rnacentral:lncRNA from 1 species
UGCAUGGAUGUUGUAUUACAGCAACACAACAUAGCGCAUGGAAGAUCACAAGUUUUGCAACAAAGUACUUACCAGCUGUUGCAAGAAUUGUGUUGUCAGCACCUAUGGCAGAUCCCUGAGCAGUCGCAGUGCCAGGCCAUCCACAAUGUUGUUCAUGCUAUUAUUCUGCAUCAACAACAAAAACAACAACAACAACAACCAUCGAGCCAGGUCUCCUUCCAACAGCCUCAACAACAAUAUCCAUUAGGCCAGGGCUCCUUCCGGCCAUCUCAGCAAAACCCACAGGCCCAGGGCUCUGUCCAGCCUCAACAACUGCCCCAGUUCGAGGAAAUAAGGAACCUAGCGCUACAGACGCUACCUGCAAUGUGCAAUGUCUACAUCCCUCCAUAUUGCACCAUCGUGCCAUUUGGCAUCUUCGGUACUAACUGAGAAGAAAAUAACUCUAGUACUAGAUAUAUGAAACACCGUUUUCUCAGUCCAUGGUUUGGUCAUUGUAGCGGUGAAAAAAUAAUGUGACAUGCACUAUCAUGUAAGAACCCGAACUAUACUAGUUCAAACUUGGGAAUAAAAGACAAACACAGGUCUUGUCUACAUAUUUAUGUUGCAUUUAUCUAAAGAUAACAAAAUGAGUCUAAAAUUUGAAUUAAAUUGAAGUAUUUUCUUGGACUUUAAUUUGCACAUUAAUUAGAAAUUACUAUCCCUCGAUCUGGUAAAUCUUAACAAAUAGAAUUAUCUUGACCGUUAGAUUUAUGUAACAUAUAUAAUGCUCUGGGCCUCCAACGACUGUACGUGACACAUCUGAACGCACAUAUGUUAAAGAAAAUAUAUUUUGUAAAUGGUGGGCCUCUUUAAAAAGAGAACUUACGUACAUACACCAACUAAGAAAAACACAUACAUGUAAAUGGGAAAAGGAUGAGAUUUUCUCACGUACAUGUGUUGAUGCUUAAAAGUGGCACGAUCAUAAAGCAGCAUGCCGGGGCGAAAACCUUGCCGGGGUAAAAUCUUGCUGGUGUGAAAGCUUGCCGGUGUGAAGGCUUGCCGGCGUGGAAACCUUGCCGGCACAGAAAGAUCGCCGGUGCUUGCCGGUGUGAAAUCUUGCCGGGGGAGAAACCUUGUCAGGGAGGAACCCUUGCCGGAGUACAAACCUUGCCGGAGUGAAACCUUGCCGGUGUGAAAGCUUGCCGGGUAGAAACUUUGCCGGUGUGGAAAGCUUACUCGGAUGGAAAACUUGCCGGGUUGGAGGCUGAGAUAGUCAAUCGAACGAGAAGUUGAAGAUGGGCUCAAAAGGUUAUUCAGAUGAUCUCGGAUGGAAAAAUGAUCUACAGGGUUGUCUUCGUCUCGUCGAAACGAUCGAUUUUGAUAUAAAAAUCAUUCAAAUCCGAGUUCGUAUGCAAAAGUUAGAGCAAUCAGAGUGCAGCCCUGUCACGAGGCGAGAUGUGGCACGCCCACCAGACACAUGUCUGACGGGUAGUGUGAGGAAAUAGCCUGUGUUGCGAGACCGAUCUGACCCUCAAGAUGACCUCUGAUCAAAAAACCUUCAACAUGAAAGUUGUUCGUCUCGUCGAAACGGUCAAGAUUGCUUUUGGGCUUGUUUUCAUCCGGAAUCGUUUACCACCGCAAAAAAGACCCGCAAGGUGCAGCCAGUUUUAACCGAACAGUUUUGGAAAGUUUGGAUAAACCAGUCCGAAUUUGACUAAUGUUUUGGACGUGAAUUGAUGUAAUUUUCUUGUAAGGAAAGCCUAGAUAAAUUCUUGGCUUGUACGGGAAGUCCAGCUGCCUCUUAUAUAUGUUGGGGGUGGCGGCCGAUUGAAACAACACAUAAUCGAACAAACACAUAUACUACUUUUUCGUGUUCAUCUACUUUUUAUCUCUCCCUUGUAUCUUUCUUCUCGUUCUUCGCUAGUUCUUCAUGCUGGAGGGCUGCGGAUCCACGAGGCUCUAGGGGCGAGUGAAUCGACCUAGGGCAGCCCAUAGCCGCCGCAAUCCCUGACGGGGUCCCUCCCGGGUGCGCGGGGUUUCGGGUCUGCAAAAGCGCCCGCCGACUGCCUUGCGUAUCACGCUGUCGGUCGGGUCUCCUUCGACGUGAGCUACGGUGCAUCACCCCCGGCGUCGAGGGUAAACGUGACAUGUUCGUGUGCGAACACACUUUUUGGCGACUCCGCUGGGGACGAAGCUCUGAACAGUCUCCAGCCUGUUCUUGCUACGAGGAGAGCGUCACCAAGCGGCUGCAAUCUACAACGGUAACAUGUAUCGUCAAUCUCCUUGCGUAGAUGCAAAUAGCCAUUAUGUUGAUGUUGCUAGAUCUUUCAACGGACAUGUGAUGUCGGCCAGCCCUAAUGAGGAAAGGCCGACUAGUUAUUCCAUUGGAGAAACUUGGAAUUUACAGAAUCGUGACAUGCAACUUAUGAAUCUGAACUUUCGUGCAUCGGCAACAACUUUCAAUAUGCCGGUGAACAACACGAUUUGUUCGAGUGAUCAAUAUAGGACACCUCAUGUACAGGAGGGUAUCUCAAAGUUUUAUCCAUCGGCAGCCGGCUCGCAAUAUGCGGGUUCAUCCCCAAACAUGCCGAUGAAUGGGGGAAUCGGUCAUGCUUUUGUUAGCUAUUUGGCCGGUUAUCCUCAAACAUCAUAUACUACACCUCAUCAGAUUAAUUGUUCAAUGGCGUAUGAAACUAAAAAUAUUCAUAACUCGGCUCACGUUCACGGUCAUGGCCGAGUGAAUGGAGAUACUAUAGGAGCAUAUGUGCCUAAUAUUGCAGGAGAUGAGGUGGCUCUGGCUGCAUUAAAAAUUUUAGCCCAAAAUAAGAAGAUUAGUGCUAUUUUCCUUGAGCAACACGACAAGGGAUUGGUUCCUGAUUAUGAGGCAAUAAGAGCUAGGGUUUUGAAAGAAGACCAAGUGUUGCCGAUUGAUCAAAUUGUCGAGAGAAAAUAUUCAACAACGAUGCACAUGCCUUCACCUAUCAUUGCAGCAUGUUAUACACCCCCUGUACAAGCGCAAAAUUUCGGCAACAUUAAUUCAUUGCCGAAAGAUCCUAAAAGUAUUGGGGGGCAAGCCGAUCCAAGCAGGGUUGAGUUUAAAGAAAAAUAUCUAGCCCAAGUGGACAAGAUCAAGCCAAAGCUCACAGGGAAUAGAGUCAACGAAUUUACUACACCUACCCUUGAGGAAUUACCAGCAGAAUAUCGACAGGCCUACGAAGCACUCAAGAAGAAACGUGGAGAGGGAUAUUUGCAAGAAUACUUCAAGUGCCUUCCUCCAUGUAGCAACCAUGUUGGCCCUUCUACACUGUUGAGGCAAGAUAAAAAAAGAAGCUUUGCAAGCAAACCAGCAAAAAAGGAUUCACUCGGCUAAUACGGUGGAUUCGGUUGAAACCGGAUUGAGCAACGGGAUGUUUAAGGCCGAGUGCGUUGCAUCGUGCCAGCCGAGUGCAUCGUUCCAGACGAGUGCAUCACCAGCUAAAGCCGAGUGCAUCAAGCCAACUAUUGCCUCGUGUACGAAAAUAGAAGAUGCAAGCUUGGCUGAGCAAAGGAACAACAAACGCAACAAAUUGGUUGUGCUCGAUUUUUCUGGAUCUAAGGGAGCUUACAUGCUACCUUAUGAGUUUCGUGCUAAAGAUAUUGAUGAGCAUCAAGAACACAGUAAUGGCUGAACACAGUUCAGUUAACGAUGAACAUCAAGACCAAGAAAAUGCGGCCGAGCAAAGUUCAACUGACAAAGAGCGUCCGAGUGAAAUCCACUCGGGCAAUCCGACUGAAAUAUACUCGGGCAAUUCGAGUGAAAUAUACUCAGGCAAUCCGAGUGAUGAGGCACCAGAUCCAGAAAAAGAGGAAGAGGCAUUGGAGAAUUAUUCAUAAGUGGAGCAAUGUAUUGUUCCAGUGGUGCAACCAUCUUCUCCUUCCAAUGUCUUCACAAAGGUACACCUAGAAGAUAGUUUACUCAAUUUUCAAUUCGGUCAAAAUGAUAUUGUUGAUGUACCUAUUAGUAAGAUUCUAAUUAAUUUUGAAAGACCAAUUGAAAUGAGUAAUCUUUUUGUUAGGAAGGAUCUUGUCACUAAUCAUGAUAGUCAACACAUGGUAUCGUUCAUAGAGGCUAAUAGUGACAACUUAUCAAAACCAAAGUUGUUCUUGUCAUGCCAACUGAACUUUGUAUUCAUAUGGACAACUUUGUUUGUUUCAUGCCCGGCUAACAUUUGGACUCGUAUGAGCCGUAUAUUCUGUAAUUAUUUUAGUUGCAGAAACAUAAAGCCAGGUCCAAAGUCCUUCGAAGCCAAUUCAAAUGCAUCAGGAAAAGAAGAUGAAUCUUUCCCAAUUGAUAAAAUUGGCGAGCAAAAAUAUGGUUUUACAACAAUGCAUAUGCCUUCACCUAAUACUACAUCAUAUUAUACAGCCCCUACACAAUUGCAAAGUUUCGGCAACACCCAUGUGCCAUUGCCGAAAGAGUCUAAAAGCAAUGGGGGACAAUCGUAUCCGAAGUGGGCUGAAAAUGAGAAAAAGAUUAAAGCCAAUUUCGCCACUCGCCGCCAGAAACAAAAAGAAACAGAAUUGGCUCAAGUGAAAGAAGCAUUGCCAAUUGGUAGAAGCAAUGUAAAGAAAGAUGAUUCAGAACAUGAAAGUACUCCGGUUAAAAGAGCCGAAUCAAGAAGUAUAUAUUCUGAAUCCAUCAAAUGCAAAGAGGCAAGCAUUAUUGAGAAAGGGCAUGGCAAGCAUAGCAAAGCGACCAUACUUGAUUUUUCUAAAGUUAAUGGAACCUACUUCCUGCCCUAUGAGUUUCGUGCCAGAGAAUUUUGAUGAACUUCAAGGACAAGAACAAGUAGCCGAACAAAGUUCGGCCGACAAAAAUCUUCAAUGUAAUGAUGCACGGAAUCAAGAAAAAGAUGAUGAAGAAGCGUUGGGGGGCCAUCCAAAGGCGGAGCAAGAUAUUGUUCAAGUCACACCACCAUCGUGCUCUCCCAACAUAUUUGAAGAGGUAUGUUUAGCAAGUAAUUUACUUAUUUUCAGAUUUGGUCAGGACUUUAUUGUUGAUGCAUCUAUUGGAAAAAUCCUCAUAAGUAAUUUUGAAAGACCAAUGAAGAAGGGUAAUUUACUUGCUAGCAAUAAAGUUGUUAUUGAGCAUAUCGGUCAACCCAUUACGCCAUUUAUAAAGACCGAUAGUGACUUAUUAUUACAGCCAAAGCUUUCCCCGUUGCUUUAUCUAAAGUUCAUAUCUAUUUGGGUAGCUUUGCUUAUUUCAUACUUGGCUUGCACUUGGUCUCAAUUGAGACAUGUGUGUUCUAACUAUUUUCGUUUUAGAAAUUUAAAGCCAAGAUUAAAUUCUGUUGAGAAAACCGAUGCUAGUAUAAUAUCUUACCCAAAGACAUCGGAGAUAGAGUGCAAAACACAAUGCAUAGCCGAAUGGUGUGAUGCAAAAUCUGAACCAUUCGUUUGCUUAAUUCCAAAGCCGUUCUCACAGCAAGAUCGGCUAGAAAACAAGAAGUAUACCUUCAAUUCAAGCAUGUGUGUUCAAAUAUUUGAUUUGUUGCUGAAAAAUAAUUACAUUACAAUUCUUGAUCACCAUGUUAAGCCAUCAAUCCAAGGACGAAUGUAUUGUAAGUUGCAUGAUUCGUCCAAGCAUGAUUUUGAGGAUUGCAACAUGUUUCGUCAAAUAGUUAAAUCGGCCAUUGAAAAAGGACGAUUGAAGUUUGUUGAAACACCAAGAGAUGACCAGUCUAUUCCGAUUGGUCCCGAUGGCAAAAAGUUUUUGCAUCGGCUGCUUCGAGCCGAUCCAUUUAAAGAGAAGGUAAAAACUGCAGGUGAUGGGAUCAAGCUUUCAACUAAAGAAGUUGUUGAAGAGCAUAAUGAACAUAAUCUUGAGGGUGAGAAUUCCAUCGAAGCUACAAUGGAGACGCCAAGGACUGGGGGGCAGCAAGCAAAUCCAACGAUCGAUGAAAGCAAACCAAAAGAAAACAAAGGCCGAAAUAAGCGCAAGUGUAAAAUAUCAAAAAUCACCUUCGCUGAACUAUUGGAGAAAUAUCAAAAGAAGAGUGAAGAGAAGAAUGCUUAUCGGCCCAAUCAUGCAAAGAAACCAAAAUCACCCCCAAGGCGCAAAUAUGAGGAUCCGUAUUGGCAAAGUGAGAGUUUCAAUGCAACAUAUUCAUAUCCUUAUUUUGGGCCGCCAAUGACAAUGCCGUGGAUGCCUCCCUAUACUCAUGUAGAUCCAUGUUCAUCAUGGGACAGGUAUGAUACAAGGGCACAUUCUCCAUCUUAUUUUAGACCAUCUCACCAAUAUUAUGCAGCUCCGAGAAGAUCAACAUUUGAACAGUCACAUGUUAAAGAUCGUUUCAAUUAUAAGGAAUCGGUCCGGACACCAUGGAUGAAAAAAGAGGUGGUCAACCAAGUCUACCGCGUGAAAAGAGAUGGUCGUAAGUGUGCUACUUCAGAUUUGAUCUCAAAUAAUAAAGAGCCAAUUAAAGUGUUGACAUUGUCUACAAAAGGCAAUGAGACGAAGCAACCAAUUAUUGAGAGUCAAAGUGCCAAAUCAGAAGAAAAGAAGUUGAGAGUGCACAAGGUCAAAAAGGAAUUGCCAUUGGUCAGAACAGAAUCAUAGCCGAGAUGCCCACUCGGCUUAUCGUAUUGGCAAAAGAGGGAAUUACACAAACUUAGUGCACAAGAACUUGAAGAAAGGAACAUGGCAUGGGUUCCCAAAGGAAGUGCUCAAAAUAAGAAUUAUGUGCAUGCCUCCAUUACAAGAAGUGCGGCAAAAGUGAAGAAGGAAAAGAGUAAAAACUAUGAAGGACCAAGCCGAAGGAUUCAACAUCUUUGGUCUACACAUUAUCCAUAUUCUUCAACUAUGCCAUUAACGCCUAUGCCAUGGAAUUCGUCAUCAGGUAUGAUUGGUAACCCUCAAUGGGCUUAUUUUAAUCCAUGGAUGCAAUAUAAUUUCUUACGUCAUGAAAGGGUAUUACCAAGUCACUAUACAUUUGAUUAGCUACAAGUUUGUUGCUGAUCCAGAGGGCCGAAAUACUUGAUUUGUCAUUUCAUUUGUUUAUUUCGGCUAUAUGUGCUUUGAAUGAAGUUUACAUGGUAAUGGCCGAUGAUAUUUAUCUAUCGUCCUAAGAGUAUGUCAAUUCAUGCCCGGUGUAGUAUUCUAAUAUCAUCCUUAGUUUGAUGGAGAGCGAGACAAGGUACAUGCUCAUGAAAAUUUAUAUGUAUGCCUAUAUUAUGAUUGAAUGGAGUUGAGACAUCAUGACCGAUGUCAUUGAAUAUAUGCUGCAUAGACCAAUUCAUAGCUGCAGAAUUGGUUGGUGGGCUUAUACUUUGUUUGGAUAUGAUUUGGCUUAUGCAUCUUUGAGAUCUAUAAGAGGCCAAAUCAUAGUUGAUUUUGUUACUGAACAUCGGAUUAGUGUCAUGCAUAAUAUUAAUAUUAUCCUUGUCUCUCUAGUACUAUGGAGAUUAUGUUUUGAUGGUUCAAUUCAUAGCAAUGGCCAAAGUGUUGGUGUUGUUUAUAUAUUUCUUUAUGGUACUAUUUUUUGAAGCCUCGUGCCGCUUAGAAUAUUUUUAUGCACGAUUAAUCAAGGCCGAAUAUGCAUUGUUAUUCGGAUUGACUCUUUUACUUGCUGUAGGUGUUAUACAGAUUGAGGCUUUUGGUGAUUCGUUAUGAGUAGUGCAACAAAUAUCCAAGGAUUAUCAAUGUGUUUUGACGAAUCACUUAUAGUUUAUCUUGGGUUUGUCUAGAUGAAGAAUUUACCUUGGGUUGCAUUAAAUUUUUUCAUAUAUUUAGACAUGACAAUUGGAGAGAGUUGGCAUAGCAAGCAUCCGGCUACCAUGUCCAUCAUGUUGUAUUGCGUUUCUCUCAAUAGCCGAUGCUUAGUCUUGUCAACAUAGGUAAGGCCGAACCGAAGUCUAGAACUUCGGACACUAAUGAAAUUUUUAUGCAGGCGAAAGUAAGGAUUGGAGAAAGUUUAUUGUUGAUUGUCUACAAAAUCCUAGCAAAAGGGUGAACAAUAUGGUUCGGAGUAUGACAUUGAGAUACAUAUCUAUGGAACUUUAUCACCGGAUUGUUAAUGAAGCUGAGAAGGUUUCACCCAAGUUUGCAUCAGAAAGUUCACACAAGACAUGGCCGAUAUAUACUUAUCGUCCUAAGAACAUAUAAAUGGCCGAUGGAGUGUUGACAUCGUCCUUAGAACAAACUUGGUACAAGUAUUUUUCGGCAUGCUAGCUUUACCGAAAAACGGGAGGGCAUGUGUUGACGCUCAAAAGUGGCACGAUCAUAAAGCAGCAUGCCGGGGCGAAAACCUUGCCGGGGUAAAAUCUUGCCGGUGUGAAAGCUUGCCGGUGUGAAGGCUUACCGGCGUGGAAAGCUUGCCGGCACAGAAAGAUCGCCGGUGCUUGCCGGUGUGAAAUCUUGCCGAGGGAGAAAUCUUGUCAGGGAGGAACCCUUGCCGGAGUACAAACCUUGCCAGAGUGAAACCUUGCCGGUGUGAAAGCUUGCCGGGUAGAAACAUUGCCGGUGUGGAAACCUUACUCGGAUGGAAAACUUGCCGGGUUGGAGGCUGUGAUAGUCAAUCGAACGAGAAGUUGAAGAUGGGCUCAAAAGGUUAUUUAGAUGAUCUCGGAUGGAAAAAUGAUCUACACGGGUUGUCUUCAUCUCGUCCAAACGAUCGAUUUUGAUAUAAAAAUCGUUCAAAUUUGAGUUUGUAUGCAAAAGUUAGAGCAAUCGGAGUGCAGCCCUGUCACGAGGCGAGAUGUGGCGCCCCCCACCAGACACAUAUCUGACGGGUAGCGCGAGGAAAUAGCCUGUGUUGCGAGACCGAUCUGACCCUCAAGAUGAUCUCUGAUCAAAAAACCUUCAACAUGAAAGUUUUUCGUCUCGUCGAAACAGUCAAGAUUGCUUUUGGGCUUGUUUUCAUCCGGGAUCGUUUACCACCGCAAAAAAGACCCGCAAUGUGCAGCCAGUUUAAACCGAACAGUUUUGGAAAGUUCGGAUAAACCAGUCGGAAUUUGACUAGGGUUUUGGACGUGAAUUGAUGUAAUUUUCUUGUAAGGAAAGCCUAGAUAAAUUCUUUGCUUGUACGGGGAGUCCAGCCGCCUCUUAUAUAUGUUGGGGGUGACGGCCGAUUGAAACAACACACAAUCGAACAAACACAUCUACUACUUUUUCGUGUUCAUCUACUUUUUAUCUCUCCCUUGUAUCUUUCUUCUCGUUUUUCGCAAGUUCUUCAUGCUGGAGGGCUGCGGAUCCACGAGGCUCUAGGGCCGAGCGAAUCGACCUAGGGCAGCCCAUAGCCGCCGCAAUCCCUAACGGGGUCCCUCUCAGGUGCGCGGGAUUUCGGGUCUACAAAAGCGCCCGCCGACUGUCUUGCGUAUCGCGCUGUCGGUCGGGUCUCCUUCGACGUGAGCUGCGGUGCAUCACCCCCGGCGUCAAGGUUACAUGUGACGUGUUCGUGUGCGAACAACGUGCUCCCUGGCUCCACCCCGUUGAAAAAAUAUACAUUUGGAGGCCACUUUGUUUCCUCAUCAAAAAAAACUUACGUUAAAAAGAUUGCAUGCAUCCCAGGGAAAGUAAUCAAGAAGAAGUCGGACUCUUCCUUACAAAAACAAGGAACGUGUUAAGUUAACUUCAAAGAAAAAGGAACAUGUUAAGUUAAAAAAAAGAAGAAACAUGUUAAGUUAGAAAAAAACAAGGAACGUGUUGUCCUAGGAAAGAUAUGUGUCAAAUCUUACAAAAAAAAGAAUACACACACGUACGUUCAUGCACUUGGAAAAUAGAAAAAAAAGGAACAUCACGUAUGUAUACACUUCGGAAACUCAUUACAUGACCAUGUCUGAUAUACUCAUCUAAUGCUUAAUAUUAGUGCCUAAUAAUUUAUAUUUAAAAUUUAAUUUACUGAUCAAAUAUCCCCAAUGUUUAAAUUUUAAUUUGGCACAUUGUUUGGCUAUAGUAUGAACCUAAAUUUCCUCUUAUUAUUAUAUAUCAUGAUAAUAAUCCAAAGGCGACUAAUCUGCGCUGGUGCACCGGGGCAAUCAAUUCGGCCGGACACAGCGCGGCCUUUUGAUUAGAUUGCAUUUAACCGUCUGAUCUGGAAUUGUUUUCUUUCCAAUUAAACGGAUUCAACCAAACAGCAGAGGGGAAAACAAAGCAGCGCCGCCGCCAACACUAGCCAUGGACGAUCGAUGUAGCAAAACCUUGAAGAACCGCCGCCGGUCGCCACCCUCGCCGCUGGUGGCCGCCCUCGCCAUCGGUCACCGCCGGUCGCCGCCCUCGCCGCCUGCGUUUCUCAUCGGCUUCAUGCAUGCAACAACAUGCACUCGUGGUUGCAGGCUUGCAGCUCCGGCUCCGGGGGACAUGGCCGCAUCUCCGGUAACGCCGGCCGCCAACCAUAGCACCUGUCAUUGUGGUCGCGUUGUACCUCACCGUGUGCCCUCCCAAGGCUCUUGCUGGUUCCAACAAAAAACGAUACCUGUUGUAGCAAAAAAGUUUAUCGCUUCCAGCAAAAAAGCUUUCCGCUACAGCCCGCCAUUGUCAUUGUAGCAAAAAUGUUAACCCGAUGUAGCUUUUGUGGUUGCCGACUGCAACAAAAAAUGACAUGGUUGAAGCAAAACACAAAAGAAAAACGCCGGCCGGCCGCUGUGUAUGGUGGUAACAAACCCUAUAGCCGGUGGUAGCGAAAAACUUCAUAGUUUGCAGCAAAAAAAUGUUGUCGCCCGUCGUCGAGGUUGCAUCAUCUUCAUGAAUUAUGUCGCAAAAAAACAUUGUCGCCGGUAGUAGCAAAUGAAGCCGCCCGGUAGUAGCAAAACAAGACACUGGUUCCAGCCAAAAAAAAUCAGCGACAGAACCUUUGGUUGGUUCCAACAAAAAAACUUGUCGGUUGUAACAUCCCUCGCCGCCGGAUGUAGCAUCUCCCGGGGCUGGUUGCAACACUCUAAAAAAAAGUUGUCUAAGAGCGCAUCCAUGGCGACUGCUGCACCGUCAGCAACGAGGGGAAGAGGAGGCAAUGAAAAUCGUUCGAGUCGUAGCUCCACAGGACGCGGCUGCAGCAUGGGGAGUCCAAAAAUCUGUCACAAGCAACAUGCGCCUCGCCAUCCUCCUGCGUAGGAGAGAGAAGAAAAAGGAAUAAGAGGAAGAAGAAAGGAAACGGGAGAAAGAAAAAAGAAACGAUUGGUGGUGGGCUGAGGCAAUUAGUCAAACGAGGGGCACGCGGGGCCGCAGGAUACAGCGCAAUCGAACGAAGCACGCGCGUCCGGCCGAAGACUCGGCCGGACUGCCGGCUGGAAACGUUUCCCUAAUCCAAAGGCUUUGUCUGAAUGACAAGUCGUCUAGGUUACCGGCUAACUAGAAAAAAGAUAAAUAUGCUAGAGAAUUUCAUAAUAAUUAGAAAUAUCUAGCCUUUAAUUAUGUAAAUCAGAAAAUCACAACCGUAGGAUUUACUUUAAAGGUAAAUUUCUCUAAAUUCCCACCAUUGCCAGUAUGUAGAAACAUGUGCUGCUUCAAUUCUCCCAUAAUCACCAAUCAAUCAACAACACAAAACAUACCUCAGUUAAAAAAAACUGAACAAAAAAAAGAAAAAAAGAAGAAAGGACAAGAUACACGCAUGUACACGACAGCCUUGGCUUGAAACACAUCAGUAGAUCAAGUGUCCGCCUCCCUUACACAGAAUAAAUUCUAGGGAAGAAAAUAAUAGUGCAACCUAACCUUAUACGUACUAUUCUAUCCUCACGUCCCAUGAGGUUUACUAGCCUACCGCCGCCGCAUCAUGCCAUCCUCUCCUUUCAGCUCCCAUGCUCUCCAGCAUCCUCCUUGCCGCGCCACUACUCGCCUAGGAAUAUUGCUGCUCAGACCGCGGAGCUUAACCUGCUUCUUCUUCAGCAAAUAUGGAACUGCUUUAGGAUCCUUCUCACAUCAGCACGUAUGGGCCUCAUUAUACUGCAGCUCCUGGACCUCCUACAAUUGGUUGGCUAUGGCCAGUUGAUCGAUGUGCUGAAGUCUAGGUCUGUUUGCUGGCACAUAUGCUUUGGAAAUAGGCCACUAUGUUUGUACUUCAAAAUUGUUUCGGUAUUCUUGAGUGGUACAUCCUUUUAAGUGCCAGUUUUUUAUGUUAAUUCGACAACACUUAACCUAGCCUUUCAUGUUCACGUACUAAAUACAGGAGCAAGUAAAAAAAACAGACCACCUAAUUGCUCUGCAAGUUCUACAUAGGAAAAUUUGUCAUGUUCUACGAUCGCACCAUCCCACCCUUCUCUCUUGGUAUGGGCGCCAAUUGAGGGAUUGAUAAAACUGAAAUGAAGACGUCACAGGGCUGGAAGUACCGCUAGCCUGGUUUGCACUGCAACCUACCCAACGCCAUCAGAAACUAGCAACUGAGGCAGGUGUUGAUCGAUUCUCUCAAAUUGCUCUCAUGUAAGUACUACCCCUUGCAUGUGCGUACAUACCUUUGUUGCAUUCUCAAACAGAUAGAACAUGUAUGAUCGGUGCAUGGCUAUUUUUAGGUAUAGCGACUGCACAACUUCUUCAACUCCAUAUGAUGCUAGUGUAUUGCAUCGAAAGAAUCAACGGAUUGCUAGAGAUCAACUGAGGUAUUCUCAUAUUAUUGGCUCGCUUAUGUAUUUGACGACUGCCACGAGGCCUAACAUCUCGUUUGCUGUUAGCAAGCUGAGUCGGUUUGUGUAAAAACCAGGAGAUGAUCAUUGCCAUGCGCUUGAGAGAGUUAUGCGCUAUUUGAAAGGCACCGCGAGCAAUGGGAUUCACUACACCGGGUAUCCAAGGGUACUGGAGGGUUAUAGUGACUCAAACUGGAUAUCUGAUGCUAAUGAGAUUAAGGCCACAAGUGGUUAUGUUUUUACACUUGGUGGUGGCACUGUUUCUUGGAAGUCCUGCAAACAGACCAUCUUAAUGAGGUCAACUAUGGAAGCGGAACUCACAGCAUUAGAAACUACCACUGUUGAAGCAGAGUGGCUUCGUGAGUUCUUGAUGGACUUACCUAUAGUUGAAAAACCAAUACCCCCUAUCCCUAUGAACUGUGAUAAUCAAACUGUGAUUGUCAAGAUAAACAGUUCUAAGGACAAUAUGAAGUCCUCAAGGCAUGUGAAGAGGAGACUGAAAUCUGUCAGAAAAUUGAGGAACUCCGAAGUUAUUACGUUGGAUUAUAUCAAAACGUCGAAAAAUUUGGCUGAUCCCUUCACAAAGGGUCUAUCACGUAAUGUGAUAGAUAAUGCAUCGAUGGAGAUGGGUCUGAGACCCACCGCAUGAGUUGUCCAUAGUGGUAACCCACUCUAUGUGAUCGGAGAUCCCGUGAAGUAGAAGUGGGAGACAAGUUGUUGGUCAGCUGGGAGGAGAGUAUCCCUAUAUUACCUAUCCCACUCCCUGAAGAUGCAAUACUCUCCUAAUCUGCAUGGCAGGUUGAUACUUACCUUAAUGUGUUCCAAGUGGCUUAUUCGGGUAAGUAGAAAUGUUGUCCUGCAGAACAUCUUCUGAGGAACACACCUAUAUGAAUUUGACUGUUAACAUUGUAGUCUGUGAGAAUUGGGUGUUCUCUAAUAAAUUCAUGAAAAGGCCCUGGAGUAUGACGUAUACGCUCCACCCGCGGGGAAGCCUUGCGGCAGCCUAGUAUCGGUCAAGAAUUUGUGUGAAACUAGUCUCGCAGAAAAUUUGUAGUUCAAGGCAUAGUCCACUAUUUAAGUUGUGAUCUAGUGUAGCAUAAAUCUCUAAGUGGAAGUUCAACUUCAUAGUCUCCACUAAGCACCGGUAUAUAAACAAUGUUUUGGAACUAAAUGAUGAGAUGUUCCAAUGAGUCUUUGUGGGGGAAUUGUUGGAAUUUUGCUAGUACGCCUUUGGCCCAAAGCCCAACUAAAAUUAUGAAAUUUUCUUGGCCCAUUCAUGCAUACAUGUGAGUGGAGUGAGUGAGACUAAAGUAUAGUCCCACCCCGGAAGUUGAGAGAGAGCACCUCUUUAUAAGGUAAGCUCUUCUACCACUUGUAUGAGCAUGAGAAUAGGAGACCUACACACGCGCUCCUCCUUGCUCGCCACGCCACGCCUCGUCACGACGCGCUGCAGGUUGCGGGAUUGAGCGGAGCCGAGGACAGAGCUAUGCACGUUGUCUAUUUUUUGCUACCCGGGAAAAAUUAAUGAGUCAUUAAUUAAUAAUUAAUGGACGCGUUAAUAACUGAACCGUUUCCGAUUCUUUUGGAUCGUGACGACUCGGACAUGGGGUUUACUCCCACGACCUACCCGGCCCGCACUAUAUAGUCAGUCAGACGUCUACCCUAGCCGCCGCCGCUUCGUAUGGUUUCUCACCACCAUUCCAGAUCAUUGCGCCGCAAAGCAAGUCUUCUCCAUACCUCCUUUCGGCGUGCACUGGGAGAAGGAACAGCAGGCCUUCGGAACCCCGCCGCUCGUGAUCCUGUACGGGAGAGGGGCGAUCAGGUUUUUGGGGAGCGCACUCGCGCGACUGCUGGCAGCGACGACUUCGCGAAUGACGACUUCAUCCCGGACCUCGGCAACCUCAUCCUCGACGACAUGGGUGACAACGUCAACGCCGGCGGUGCUGCAGCCGCUGCACCGUAUGUUAUUCUAUCCUUCUUGUUCGAGAUCGUGGUAGAAUUCAGGUUUCUAGUAUGUGCCCUAGAUGUGAUCUGUUCAUCUACUCUGCUAGUUCGCAUGAUUAGUUUAAUCUCUGCUAUUGCUGUCAUGAUCUAUUUCCAAUUUAUUCGGAUUAAAUCUCGUAGUAAUUUGCUCAUUUUUCCAACAAUGCCAUCUGAUAGAUGAUGUAAUUCUCGUCAAGUUUGACGUUGUUGAGCUAAUUUACAAAAAAACCUCAUCAUUAUUGGAUGUCCUUAACAGCUCAAGAACAAGUUGGGGUCGAACUAAUGGAUUUUACACUUUUACAUUAAAGGUUUAGCUAAAGCUAGCAGGUGUUUUUAAACCUGAUUUUUUUCCUCCUAAAUUUCUUUGUAUUUUCUUAUUGACACUAUUUAUACAAUCAUCUGACAAAGAUUUGCUAAAGCUGCUUGUAGAUACGUUGAAACCUGAAAAGCUUCUUUGGUUUUCUCAUAGGUCUUAAUUCUUAUGUAAUACCAAGAUGCAUUGUGGUAGUGUACAUGUGUUAAAUUCGUGUUGUUAUUCACAAUUUGCGACAAAAUUUAGCUCACGCUACAUUUCAAUAUGUUGAAAUGUGAAAGCUCUUUUUCUUCUCCUUUCUACACCUUGCAUCGGAUUGCAUCCCUUUAGUUAUCCAACAUUUUGUACAACAUGUAGAGAUUAGGAAGUUCAUCAUAGUUUGUCUAUUUCGGUGCUAAUAAAUGUAUGAAAUCUGCAUUUCCAAGCUAUUAGGACAAGUAAAAAAUAAUAAUUUUACUAUAGGAUUCAAAAACAGCAGUUCUGAAGUGCACUUUAUUUAUUUGCGAAAGUGACCACAUUUUGUUUCAUUUUUCUAUAGACAAAUCUACUAAUACAUACUCACGAUAAAACUAUAAAAGUUCUAGUCCGCACAUUGGGCGGGCCACCCGGCUGGUUCGUCUAAAGAAAACAAAAUGAGUCUGGAAUUUGAAUUAAAUUGAAGUAUUUUCUUGGACUUUCAAAUUGAGUAUAGUUAAAGUAGUAAGGACUAUCCACAUCCUUGGCUUGCCCCUAAUCAAUUAUUUCCAGAGAAGCAUUCAAUUCAUCAAUCAAUUACAUUGAUUUUAGUGGCUGGUACUUCUCCUGAACAUCAGUAUAUUCACCGUGGCCACUCCAAAUCGGCAAGAAUGAGGUACCAGUGCUCUGGAGCAGUGCAAGCUAAUUGCUUCUCAUGUGAAGGGGUGCGGGCGCGGGAGAGGUAUUUCUGGUGGGCCAAGGGACUAAGAAGCGACCGUGGCAGCGGUACAGACGCCCGCAAAGCCCCAUAGUUUGUUUUUGAUUUACAGGAAAAUUGCACAUCCAUACUGGCCUGGGGAAUAUAGGACCGUAUUGGAUGGAAAACCAUGUCCGGAUGGUUGCGAGCGGUUUGAGGGUUAGCUUUUGUAACACCCGGUUAGUUAUGCUACAGCAAUUCCCUGCUAAUGAUGUCACGUCACCACGAUUACUGUUGUUAACCUCACAAUGAUUGAAUCCCAUUCAAAUUCAAAUUUAAAAUAAAGGCAAACAUCAAAAGUUUUCAAACAUGAAAACUAAAAUCUUUGAGAGGUGACAAAUAAUGCAUAAGUAAUUAUGGUGGAGAAACCACACUUUAAUUAAAUGUUAAAAUACUCUAAAAUGAAAAAAACAGUGGCUUAAACUAUUAUUUAAAUGCUUUUAAAAUAGUAAAAAUCUUCUAACUAAAUUAUUUGGGUACCAAACUUUUGGUGGCAGUGGUAUAUUUAGUAGAACUAAUUUAGAUGCUAAUUAUAUAAUUUACAAAAUUAGAAUAAAUUGAAAAAUAGGAUAAAACGGAAAAGGAAAGACAAAACAAAUAAAAGCAAAAAGGGGGCAACCCCUCGCUGGGCCUCGGCCUAGCUGGCCACUAGGCGAGCUAGGCUGGCCCCGCUGCCUCCCUUAACCCCCACACUCCUCAUCGAACCCAAGCCCGAUCGCCCCACUUCCCCACACCCCCUCGCCAGCCUCCCCACCCCUUGAUCCCAUCUGGAUCGGCGAGUGUAUUGCCCCCAUCGACCCCGUUGCCAUCGCUAGAUCGCCCGCCGACGUCGCCAGGCCUCCUCCCCGCCGCACGUCUUUGGCUCGCCUCUCCUCUCGCUCCUCUUCCCCGGCCCGAUCUUGAUCGUGAACGAGCAAUGAGCUUGAAGCCCCCCUUCACCGGCGCCAUCACCGUGCGCCACCACCACCGCCUGAAGACCUCACCGUCGCUGAACCUUGCGUCGCCUCCUCGUAUCCCUCCCCUACUCACGUCCUCAAGCCAGGCCGAGCCCCUUCUCGGCAACGCUGUGAGACGCCCCCGUUUCCCUCCUCUUUCCACCGCGUUCACCACGCCGCCCGCCAUGCCCCUCGCCGUGCGCAUGCCCACCACCGCACCAGCCCCCGCUCCGCGCACGACCCUACCCGCGCCCGCGACAUGAUCCCCUUUUCCGCCCUAUCUUCCUGCGCUCGCCGCGGUCCCGAUGCUCCCCCGCGCCUUCUUUCAGGGGCGCCGACUGCCCCUGUCCCGCUGCUCGCCGCCGUGCCUCGCCACCGCUCUACUGCUGCGUUACUACUGUGCUGCGGCCGCCGCCUCUUCCUGCUGCUCCGCCAGCGCCGAAGCUCCCAGUUGGCUCCACCACUGCUCACUUUAAACCGCCGGCCUAAAUGGCCUAACCCCGGCUAAUGAACCCCCACUAACCCACUGACACCGGGACCCACAUUCCCUAAUUAACCAUUUAAUAAAUUAAAACUCUUAAAUUAACAUUAGUGUAUGACAUGUGCGUCCCCUGUUAAUUAAUAAUUUUGCUGCUAGUUUUAUUAGUUUCUGUUUUUCUGCAUAUUUCUUUUGUAUUUGAACACGCUUUAUACAGUAAUAUUUAGCGUAUCAUACACAUACAAAUGUAAUCAUAGCAUAUACAUACAAAUAGUCUCAUCAAAUCAUGUCAUCAUCAUAAUCAUCAUCCAUCACAAAGUGGUCUCUCGUCAUCAUCUCGAAAAUAGCGAUACAAGUCUCGAUUACUUGCAACUACAUCGUCAUCCAUCUAAAUAAUGAUAUACGCGAGAAGAGCUAUUACUAUGAGUACGAGCGGAACUAUGCAGUACAUGAGGCUGUAUCCCUCUCUCGCAUUAGCGUGAACCUAAACUAACUACUGGCUGUUGCUCGGAAACCGGAAACCGGUACACCUAGGCUUGACACUCCGGCCACUCGUCGUAUACUCCUGGCGUAGAACUUCUUCUCCAUCGAUGAUCUAUGUGAAGGAAAUAUGCCCUAGAGGCAAUAAUAAAGUUAUUAUUUAUUUCCUUAUAUCAUGAUAAAUCGUGAUGGGAAUGGGCCGGGUCGGCCCGCUGGGUCACUGACUCGGCCCGAAAUCUCGAGGCCAAUGGGCCAGGGAGGUUGGCCUCGAAUCACAAAACGGGUCAGUGGAGCCGGCCCCGUGUGACCCGAUGGACCAGAUGGGUCGACCCAGCGCUGCCCUAGUCCUCCAUCUAUGCCGCCGCCCCCCACGAUCUCUGUAGCCGCUCCCGAUGAUUUCUUCCGCCGCCGGCCAUCUUUGCCGCCCCUGGCAUCCCCCGACCUUCUCUAUCGGCCGCUCCCGACCUGCUGCCGCCGCCGGCUGCCCCUGAACAUCUUUGCUGGCCUGCUGCCGCCGGCGUUCCUCCCGCAUCUCGUUCGUCGUCUUGGUCGCCGUCGAGCUCGCUGACCUGCGGUCCCGUCCACCAUCUACCUCGCCAUUCCGGUCGCCGUCCUCAUCGUCAUCAUCACGCAGGUGAGACUCUUGCCGGCUUCCUCCCUGUCCCAGCGCAGCUGCAAUGACUGGUCUAGUUUAGGUUCUUGGUCUUGCUGGCACUCUCUGCGUUGUCUGCAAUUGUUUCAGUAGUUGGAGCUUGGAAGAAAUAGUCAACACUCAAAAAUAGACUGUUUGAUUGUUCAGCAUGGGACUUGUUUGAUUGUUCUCAAGAAGAAAUAGUGCUUCAGUUGAGCUCCUGUGUAGCUGCAGUUUAGCAUUCAACAACAGUUUUCUUUUUUGUGCAGCAUGCCACUUUCUUUUUUGUGCAGCAGCUUAGCUGCAGUUUAGCCUUUCGGUCCUCUGAUCCGAGGAAAAGUAAUUAGUGUUACUUCCUGUUGUUGGUUACUAAAUAAACCAGAAAUAGUUGUCCUGUGAAACAAUUUUACUCUGUUUUUUUGUUGAAUCGGCAAAUUUUACUCUGCUGGUAGGAUGGAGUAGUGCAUAUGUUGAUGAUGCUCACGAAAAACCUUCCUGGAGUAGUGCAUAUGUCCAACUGUGAGUUUCUUCUAUUCCUCGAAUGGCCGUUUGGUGUGGUGUUCUCCUAAUUUGUUGCCUGACAAGCUAGGUGUUGUGGGCGUGCUGCAUAAGAAGUAACAAUGGUUAGAAGAUGUAGUUAAUGCUUAGUUUUUUAUGUGAUAUAGGGUCAUGUGACUUCUUUUUCUUGGGCUAGCUGCCAGGUUGAGUUUGCGUAUAUGCAUAUCAGUGUAGCUGAUCCAUCGACAAGUCCAGCAUUUUUUAGUGUCAGUUCAGGGGAUGCUUUACUGGCAGCGAUUUCUGUAGUGUUGCUCAAUGGGAUGCUUUGCCGACAGUGAUUAGACCGUAAACUAAACUAUCCGGUUUCUUAUCUGCAUGCAUCUGCUGUUGAUUUUGAAAGUUAAUGCUCUCUAAUGUUCAUAUAUUUCCCUCUGAUUAGAAAAAUGGAAGAGGAGGAAGGGGACCAUGAGGCAUACCAAAGUGGUGGUUCAUCGUUGAUAUCCGGUGCGAUAAUGAGAAGGGCUCAACCACCCCCAGGGGUGUCUCCUUCUUCGAUAGACAUCUGUAGAGCUUAUCAUGGUGAGUAUUGUUAAUCUUUCUUUUUAUAGGGAUGCAAAUUAAUGGUUGCUAAAAUAAAAAAUACUCAUAAUUGUAAUGUUAACACUCGUGUCCUUUGCUCAGCAGGACGUUCGCAAGACACUCGUAUGGUUGAUUUUGAAGAAGAUGAGGCUGAUGAAGAAGAUGUUGACUAUGAAGAAGCAGAGGAAGGAGAAGAAGAUGAGGAUGAUGAAGAAGAAGAAGAAGAUGAUGAUGAUGAAGAAGAAGAAGAAGAGGGAGAUAAUGUGGAUGAAGAGGGAGAGGUUGAGAUCAUUGACAUGGGAUCGUUUUCUGAACCGGGAAGAAAGUUUUUGUCGAAAGUGUGGAAAGAAUAUGAGCCUAUCCGUGUUGAUGGCAUUGUUGUAGCUGCUGAGUGCAAACACUGUGCAAGGAAUAUUUGUGCUGAGCGUAAACAUGGAACAAGUUCAUUGCGCAAACAUUUGAAGAGAUGCAGGGAAAGGAAGAAGGUUCUUAGAGUUUCUGGACAGCUGAGUGCUUCUAUCGUGAGUCCUGAUGGAGUUGCAAUGGGGCUUUGGACCUUUAAUCAGGCAUUAGCACGCCGAGAGCUGAUGAGGAUGAUAGUGUUGCAUGAAUUGGCAUUCUCAUUGGUGGAGUACGAUGGAUUUAGAAGAUUUGUCUCUAGUUUAAAUCCUAGCUUCAAGAUGAUAUGCAGAAAAACUGUGAAGGAGGACUGCAUGAAAGCAUUUAAGGAAGAGAAGAGAAUUUUGCAAAGGAUGUUCCAAAACUCCAAAUCCAAGAUUUCUUUGACUACGGACCUAUGGACAUCAAAUCAGACAGUGGGGUACAUUUGCAUCACAGCUCACUUCAUUGAUGAGGAGUGGAAGCAGCAGAAGAGGAUAGUGAAAUUUGCAGCUAUGGAGACGCCGCACACAGGAGCUGCAAUGUUCAACGUCAUGGUGAAUUUCAUAAGAGAGUGGAACAUUGAAGAUAAUCUCUUUGCUGUGACGCUAGACAAUGCAUCGAACAAUGGUGCAAUGAUGAAGCUAUUGAAGGCACAUCUCCUGCUUAAGAAGAUGUUACCUGGUGGUGGCAAGUUGUUUCACCAACGUUGUGCCGCCCAUGUCAUAAAUCUGAUAUGUCAAGCAGGAUUGAACUUCCUUGGUCCAGUGAUCAACAUGAUACGUGAAACUGUGAAAUAUAUUCGAAGCUCACCAAGUCGAAAGGAAAAAUUUCAAGAAAUUGUUGAGCAACAUGGUGUAUCAUGUAGGAGAACUCCAAUUCUUGAUGUUCCAACUCGUUGGAACUCAACCUACAUGAUGAUUGAUAUAGCAAAAGAGUAUCGUGGAGUGUUUGACUCUUUGGCCAUUCAAGAUAAACAAUAUACCUUCAAGCCAUCUUUUGAGGAUUGGGAAAAUGCUGAAGAUGUUUGCAGGCUACUGAAGGUAUUUUAUGAAGCCACUAAUGUGAUAUCCGGCACAAAAUAUCCAACUGCUAACUUGUAUUUCCAUGAAAUGUGGAAAGUGAAGCUGACCUUAGAGCAACAACAUUAUGAAGAGGAUUCUGAGAUGGGCACAACGGUCAAAUAUAUGAAGAGAAAAUUUAGAAGGUAUUGGAAGAUGACAUGGUUGAGCCUUUGUAUUCCAGUGAUUUUGGACCCACAAUUCAAGUUGAAAUAUGUUGAUUUCCGAUUUGGCCUAGAGUUUGGGAACGAAGUUGCAGCAAUGAUUGCUAAAAUAAAAAAUGUGUUCCAAGGGUUGUUCAAGGAAUACCUCCAAUUGAAUGACAAUGGAUCAGAUCCCAUGUCACAAGGAGGUGAUGAUGACAUGGCUGUAAGUGGUGAAGAUCCUAUGGCUGAUUGGGUCCAACAUGUCACCCUCACUGCUCGAUCAACAAAUUUGGAUUAUACCGAACUUGAUUCGUACUUGUCAAAGGUACCCAUCCGCCGAAGUGAUCAAUUCAAUAUCCUUACAUGGUGGCAGACGAACUCCAGUGAAUACCCAACGCUGAGUCGCAUGGCAGCUGAUAUCUUGGCGGCUCCUUCCUCUGCGGUGGCAUCCGAGUCCGCCUUCAGCACAGGGAAGAGAGUCCUAUCAGAUUUUCGAAGUCGAAUGACCGCAACGACACUUGAAGCUCUUGUUUGUUUACAAGAUUGGAUAAGGGCCAACGGUAAAGCCAUACGACACAAGUUUCUUCUUUGUUUCUUAUUAAUGCUUCAAGUUUACAAGUUUCUUUUUUUUCUGCAGCUAAUACUCAACGUAGCUUGGCUUCAGUUCAUGACAUUAUAAUGGACUUACAAGGUAUGAGAAAUCUUCUGAUGUAUAUAGUGCCAUGUAUAUGAAGUACACUUAGUAUGAAGUCUGCUUUUUAUUUAGGGAUUUCAUAUCUACAGUUUGUUCCAGGGAACUAUUUGCAAGAUGCAACCCAAACAUGUAGAUGAGUAUAUAGAGUGUUUUACACACAGAACUAGUGCUUUUAUUUUUGGUUUCCCCAAGUUGUAGUUGAUCUCUAAUAUAUAUUUCUUUUUUCUCUCAGAUAUGAAUGUGUAGUUUAGAUUCAUUUUUUUAAUCGCCAAACUAUAUUAAAAAUAUGCAUUGCUAACUACAGUAACUUGAUUAGAAUAUGUUGCGGAGUGGAUGACAGGUAGUGUAUAAUGGAUAUUUAGAAGUGUAUUUUCUUGCAAACCUGAUCAUGAAUUGGUUUUCUGGAACACGCCUUUGCUACUAAGAAUAUUCCUCUGUUCAUAAAUAUAUUAUUUAGUUUUUUUGUGGAUAAAUAUACUAUUUAGUUGAUGUGCACAGAAUUACUCUUGUAACAUUUCUUUGCAAAUACAGAUAUCGAGGACUGAUGCUUGUUGGAGCAAUUGAUGUUAAAGCUCAAGCAGAUGGUGAAGAAGAUAUGUCAGCUUUCUCUAUAACCUACUGGAUGUGAAAAGAUUAGCAUGUUGAACUUGUAAUAUUUUGAUCUUGCAUGAGUCUGUUGGAUUGAGGUCAUUAGCUUGACGUUCUUUGAAAUCUGUAAUCUUUUGGUCUUGUUCGAAUCUGUUGGAUUGAGGUCUUUUGCUUGAUGCUCUUUGAAACAUGUAAUCUCAUGAUCUUGCCAUUCUAGAAACAUUUGCUAAAUUCUGGGUCGGCCUCAUGUACCCAAUGGGUCAAUGGGGCCACAAAAUUCUGAUGAAAUGGGCCGGCCCGUGGCCUCACAUUUUGACCUUGGGGCCACGGGGCCGGGGCCGGGGCCAGGGCCGGGUCGGCCCAUUCCCAUUCUGAAUGAUAAAUGUUUAUUAUUCAUGCUAGAAUUGUAUUAACCGGAAACAUAAUACAUGUGUGAAUACAUAGACAAACAGAGUGUCACUAGUAUGCCUCUACUAGACUAGCUCGUUAAUCAAAGAUGGUUAAGUUUCCUAACCAUAAACAAAGAGUCGUUAUUUGAUUAACGAGGUCACAUCAUUAGUUGAAUGAUCUGAUUGACAUGACCCAUUCCAUUAGCUUAGCACCCGAUCGUUUAGUAUGUUGCUAUUGCUUUCUUCAUGUCUUAUACAUGUUCCUAUGACUAUGAGAUUAUGCAACUCCCGUUUGCCGGAGGAACACUUUGUGUGCUACCAAACGUCACAACGUAACUGGGUGAUUAUAAAGGAGCUCUACAGGUGUCUCCAAUGGUAGAUGUUGGGUUGGCGUAUUUCGAGAAUAGGAUUUGACACUCCGAUUGUCGGAGAGGUAUCUCUGGGCCCUCUCGGUAAUGCACAUUACACAAGCCUUGCAAGCAUUGCAACUAAUGAGUUAGUUGCGGGAUGAUGUAUUACAGAACGAGUAAAGAUACUUGCCGGUAACGAGAUUGAACUAGGUAUUGGAUACCGACGAUCGAAUCUCGGGAAAGUAACAUACCGAUGACAAAGGGAACAACGUAUGUUGUUAUGCGGUCUGACCGAUAAAGAUCUUCGUAGAAUAUGCAGGAGCCAAUAUGGGCAUCCAGGUCCCUCUAUUGGUUAUUGACCAGAGACGUGUCCUGGUCAUGUCUACAUUGUUCUCGAACUGUAGGGUCCGCACGCUUAACGUUACGAUGACAGUUAUUAUGAGUUUAUGCAUUUUGAUGUACCGAAGGUAGUUCGGAGUCCCGGAUGUGAUCACGGACAUGACGAGGAGUCUCGAAAUUGUCACACCCUAGCUAGUUUAUGCAUUAGAGUGUGCAUCAUGUUUACCUUCAUCAGAAAUUGAAAUGGGGAGAGCAGAACCCCCAGCACCCCCCCCCUGAAAUCAACGAGGGUUUACUAAAAAUAAAUUCAAUGAACCUGAAAUGCCCUUGAAAUAUGUUCACCCUCUUUGCCUUGGGUUAGAACCCUUGGGAAAAAUGGUGCAUAUAAUUUUAGGUCAACAAAAGGGGCAUUGACUUAAUUCAUAAAUAUUUGAAUUUGGGCAUUUAAAAUACUAUUAUAUAAUUCAAAUGCUCAAAUAAUGUUGGAACUAUUUUUGGGCCACUGAAAUAUUUCAGAAAGUGUCCAUAAAUAUUUUCAGGAUUUUAUAAAAUGAUUUAGUAUCUGAACUAAAUCAAAACAGAAUAACAGAAAUAGAAAAACAAAAAAAAAUAAAGAGGGAAAGACCAUGGGCCACUUACCUGGCCCAGCGCCAGGCCACUAGCGGCCCAGCCCACCAGGCCGAUGCCAGUCGUCCCCUAGCUCCUGCCAGGAGGACGAAGGGCGUGUGCCCGCGGUGCGCCAGCACGCACACGGCCACCGACGGCCACCUCCUGCUUCGGCCGCCUCCCCGACGUCGCUUUGGACGCCACGCAUCCCCCCCUGACCCCUCGCUCACUCUCUUUCAUCCUCAUCCCCUCCUCUGCUCUCUCUCCCGCGCAACCGCCAUGAGCCCGAGAGCGCCGACGAGGACCACCACGGCCACCGCCUACCCCUCGCUUCCCUGACCAGCUUAGAGGCUCCGCCUCGACCCCGUCUUCCUUCUCACCGAACCACGCCCCGCCGGAAGCCCUGCGUCAUCAAAUUCAAGCUCUUCUUCAAGCUUCGGCACCGACGAUCGCCGCCGUCGAUUCGCUUGCUCCAGUGCCUCCCCGAGCUUGCCGAGGCCACCGCUGCAACUGCUGUGAGCUCCUGUGUCGUUUCCCCCUCCCCCCUGGCUCGAUUUCUUCUUCUAACACCGAUGCCCGUCAGAACCGAGAGCUCUUCGCCGCCGGCCAUGCCGCCACCGUGACCACAGCCGUGCAAGCUCACUCCCGAGCACGGCAACGUGCUCCACACCUCACCAAGAGCACGUGGAACCCAUCAGUUUCCCCUCCCGUGCACCACAACGCCGAUCCGCUCAACUCCCGAACUCCGGCCGCCGCGCAAGUUGCCGCCGCCGUCGUUUUAGGCCACUAGGGCUGCUGCCGUGUGCACAGAUAGAUGCGGGCGAGUCCCAGCUCCGCGUAGAUGCCCUCCGCUGGCCAUUUGGUCGCCGGAGGAGGAUUUCCGAGCCCCUCCGCCGUCUCUGGCCUUGCCGGCGACGAGCCGGGGUCAACUCCGGCGUGUUUUGACCCCGGGUCGGCUGGGUUGACUCCCCCCUGACUCACUGACGUGUGGGCCCAGGCGCCUGCCUAAUUACCAUUAGUUAAUUAGAGUUAAUAAAAAUUAGCUAAUUAGUGAGCCACUGACAUGCGGGCCCCGCCCGGCUAACCAAGUUAGUUAGGGUUAACUAACUUAGUUAGUUGAUUGUGUCACUGACCAGUGGACCCCACUGGUCAUGUUUGACCUGGAGGCGCCAGUUGACCUGCUGACAUCAGGGUGAUGUCAUGCUGACGCAAUAACUCUUUUUCUGGAUUUAAUUUUAUAUAGAAAAUUCCAGAAAAUUGCCUAAACUUCAAAAAUUCAUAGAAAUUCAACCAUAACUCCAAAUGAGACAAAUUAUAUAUGAAAAAUUAUCAGAAAAAUUCAAGGAAUCCAUCUGUACCAUUUUCAUGCAUGUUUGAACAAUGCUUGUCCUCUGUUUUGGACAAAACAAAUAAAGGGCAUUUAAAUAAUCAUAUAUGGGGUUGGAAUUUGAAUCUUGUACUCAAACCAACUCCAUUUAAAUCAUAGCUAGUUGCAUAAGCUCAAGACACAUCCAUAUUGCCAUGUCAUAGCAUGCAUCAUAUUGUUGCAUAUCAUCAUGUGUUGAUUGUGCUCGGUUGUGUUCUUCGUGGUAGGUUCUGCCUCCGAGGAUAUUCACGAGUAUCCAACUGAAGGGCAGUAUCCCGUUACCACUCCAUCAGGCAAGCAACCAUUGAUCAUUCCGAUACAACCCAUGUUCUCGCUCCUACUCUUGUUUACUGCAUUAAGACAACACGAUUCAAACUGCCGUGUGCUACGGUAGUUGAACCCUUAUCCUCUGCAUGACCUGUCAUUGCCACAGUAACUAGAUGAAACCCACUAGCAUGUGUAGGAGUUGAUUGAGCCAUGUUUUGUGAUUCCUACCUUGCUAUGCCUGCUAUGCUUAGAGUUGUGUCAGGUCUGGUUCAUCUGGGGAAUGGGCUAGAGUGAAAUGCUUGUGCCAGUAAAUUGUGGGAUGUGUUGAACAUGUUUUGGUAAAGGUAUCGAUGAGAGGCCAUGUAGGAGUACAUGGUGGGUUGUUUCAUUGAAGCCGUCCCUAAGAACUGAGUUCUGUAUGCGUGAAUUAAGAUUCAGCUACUACCACACAUUGGGCCCUGAAAUAUGACCCCGCUCGACUUACCGACCCCUCUCGCCUCAGUCCAGGAGUUGCAACUAGUUUCUGGUGUUUGUAGGAUAUGUGUUGGCGGCCGUGCGUAGCGCUGACCCUAGGGGUGGGCUAUGUUGCGGUAGAUACACCGUGGCACGGUGUACUGAGUCACCCGUUUGGUGUCUCGGGAACCCUGUUCACAUCGUUCGGGGCCGUUGAGGACACCCCGGCCGGAUUUCCUUGCGGAUGGAACCUGAAUAGGCGAUGACCCUGGACUAGAGACUCGUGAGGUUAGUCAGGUCGUGGUCUACACCCACGUCGGUUUUCGCUUGAAGUCUGCCGAGCACAUUUCGUGUGCAGACGCUAAGUGGUGGAAACAUGUGUGACGAAGUACACCCCUGCAGGGUAUAAAACUAUUCGAAUAGCCGUGUCCGCGGUAAAGGACUACUUGGUUGCAUAUACAGUUCAUAGACAAGUUAAUGGAUACUACUAAAAGACUCAAGAUAAGUGUGAGUACCGAGGAUGGCUCCCUCGCAGGAUACGAGGGAGGAUCCACGGUGGAGUAUUGUGAUGGUGAGUAGUGGACUCGUGUGCAAAAACUAUUUUGCUAAAAGAUUCCGUAGGAUAGCUUAGCCAAGAGUCAAAGCUGGUUUGCUGCAUAAACCCCACCACCUUCUUGAGAAUGAGCAUGUACAGUAGGUUCUGAUGUAAGACUUGCUGAGUACCUUUGUACUCAUGUUUGCUUAUUUAUUGUUUUCAGACGACAACACUGCCCCCUCCGAUGGGUUUUACGUAGACCUUGACGUCGACGAGUGACUAGCCACCCAGGUGGUGAUCCAGGCCAUGGAGGGCCCUAUGUAGAUAGACAGGCUUCGAGAAGCCUUCUUUCUUUCUAGAGUCUGUACCCAGACUAGUUGCUUCCGCAUGUGCUUGUAUGACUGUAUGACUUGAGUGUCGGGUCAUGUGACCCCUACCUGUAUGGAUAUGUUAUGUAUGGCUCCCUGGAGCCUUUAAAUAAAGUACCUGAGUUGUAGAGUUUUGUUGUGAUGCCAUGUUGUAUGUACUCAUAUCGAGCAUAUUGUAUGUAUGAUUGAAAUGCUUGGUAUGAGUGGGAUCCGACAAUCUAGUUGUUUGUCCUUCGCAGCCUUUCUUAUGGGGAAAUGUAGUCUAGUGCUCCUCGAGCCAUAGUAGUCCGCUACAGCCCGGUUCAGCGGAGUCCUACUAGCCCAGCACUACUGUUCAGGACACUUGACUAGCCGGCAUGUGUUUCACUUCGGGGAAAUGUCACGCGGUGAUCUCCGGAGUCCUGUCUAGCCUGCUACAGCCCGGGAUCCCCCGGAGUCCUGUUAGCCCAGUGCUACAGCCCGGAAUCACUCGUUGAUGACCGACAUGUUCGUUGUGAUUCAUGUAUGCCUGUCUCCAUAGGUCUGUGCCGCUUUGGGUUCACGACUAGCCAUGUCGGCCCGGGUUCUCGGUCAUAUGGAUGCUAGCGACAUUGUCAUAUACGCGAGCCAAAAGGCGCAAACGGUCCCGGGCCAUGGUAAGGCGACACCCGUGGGAUACCGUGAGUGAGGCCGCAAAGUGAUAUGAGGUGUUACCGGCUAGAUCGAUGUGGCUUAGAAUCGGGGUCCUGACAGCGUUGGCAUCAGAGCCGGACUGCCUAUAGGUUCGUUCAGCCAAACUGGUCGAUGUCGAGUCUAGAAAUGCUUUAGUUAUAUGUAAGGGAAUUGAUUGUGGGAGGGAACGUAAGGUUCUUUUACUCCUUUACCCUAUGCUUCUGAUCUGAGUCAUUCUCUUCUCAUUCAACGUGGGUUAAGGACUAGGCUCUCUUCUUCUAUCAGGUUCACGUGUUACUAAUCCGUAGUAGUUCAUAGGAUUAUUGCUACGAGUUCCAGUCCAGUUUCUACUAUUUUAGUACGUUGCUAUUUGAAUCAGAACCUUGAUAUGAUGCUGUUGAGCGGUAUUGUGAACUGUUGUGGAUGUCUCAAAUCUUUUUCUGAGCAUUUACAACCGCUAUGCUGCCCAAUUUUCCCUAGGAAUUCUGAUGUCUUUGUCUUGUGGUUGUGCUUUCAGAUGGCCAACCAUUCUCAAAAUCAAGUGGUUCGCCUGACUAGGUGCCUCGACGUGCCCGGUCAUACUGCUAUGUUGGUCCGGGUCAUGAUCGAGACAGGAUACCGUUGGUAUCCCGAAUACACUGUUGAAGAGCAGUUCCGCGACUUUAAUCAAAGCCAGUAUUUAUGCACCGUCAGGAUAUUUCCUUCCUAUCCUGGAUCUACCGAGCCCCUUCACUGUUCCUAUGGACUCGGAGUUACCAUUGAGAUGGCUGUGCAGGAUGCUGCCUAUUUCAUGAUGACCAUCUUGCGAGUCCGGACUGGCCUGCUUCGGAACACUGACUUCCGUUACAUGCCAGCUUCACUUCCGGGAGCGCAGGGGUAUCUUCAGGCUAUCUAUGCUGACUCCACUCAGGAGGACUCAUUAACUCGUACCACCGCUGAGAUGCUCGAAGAUAUGGACCGAGAGAAUCGGGCCUUGAGGCUGGAGCUCUUUAAUACCCGUGCUGAUCAUUGGGCCACAUUGACUCGGUUUGCACCCGCGGUGCAAGCGGGAUGUAUGGAUACCAGGGAUCUGUAUCCUGUGAGAGCAGCUCUGCCAGACAUGGUGGAUUGGCGUGAUGUGGGAGGCAUCACCCCACCCCUUGGUCACCGCAGGCCACCGUUUGUGGGUCCAAGACCUUAUCCUAGCCCCUAUGGUCCACAGGCUCCUCAGGACCGUCUGUUUCCGGAUGAUCACGUUGAACUUCCAGGCUAUGGAGGUGACUUCUAUGAGGACUACUACGGAGCUAUCUGAGUUAGUAGUAGUACCACUAGUAUUGUAGUAGUUGUAUCUCCACUGUCCUGUGUGACUUGUGGAAUACGACUUGGUGUGUAAUCGAUUCCGGAGGUGUAGACAAAUAAUGUAUAGGGACUCGGAAUGCCUCCGAUGAGAUGUAACGUCUACCUUCAUAGUUGUACUGUAGCAUGGGCUUGUACUAAACUAUGUAUGACGAGUAUGACCGUUGGUGUAUAUAUGGCAGUUUUAUAUUACCAUGGCAUACGAAUGAGCAUCUCUGCAUUCCGCGUUAUCCUUUACAUUCUGCACUUCCCUGUUAAGUUUGAGCCAUCCUUGUCUAAACCGUUGUCUUGUUUCCUCCUAGGAUGGUCAACACCCGCGGAAACCCUGCUGCCCCGGAGCAGGGGGAAGCCAAUGCAGCUAGAGGUGAAAAUUUGCCUCACCCGCCUUCCCUGGCCGAAGUGAUGCUGGAGGCGGAAAGGAACAAGCGUGAGACCAACCGCCUGCUGGAGCGGAUUGAGCAGAACACUGCACGCCACCCACGAAAUGACUUGGUGUCAAUCAACGACUUUAUCAAGCUGUACCCACCAAAGUUUAACCAUUCCGUCGAGCCCCUCGACGCGGAUGAUUGGCUUCGCAGCAUCACCCACAAGCUACGUUCUGCCAACGUAGCUGAAGCCGACAAGGUUACCUAUGCUGCUUAUCAUCUUGAGGGCCCCGCUAGCCAUUGGUGGGAAAACUACGAAGCUAUGCGCCCGGUCGGCCAAAUCACUACCUGGGCUGAGUUCAGCGAGGCUUUCCGUGAGCAUCACAUUCCGGAAGGUCUCAUGGAUCGCAAGAGGGAGGAGUUCUGUAACUUCACCCAAGGAAGGCUGACUGUGGAUGCAUAUAGCCGAGAAUUUGGGAACCUGGCACGCUAUGCUCCUGAAGAGGUUUCUACUGACGCCAAGAAGCAGGGAAGGUUCCGUAAGGGACUUAGCCCUGAGCUUCGCUGCGAUCUCCGUCCGCACGAGUGCACAUCCUUCCAGAAGCUGGUCAAUAAAGCUAUCAGUGCUGAGACAGGCCAGACUGAUUAUGACGCUUCACGCAAGCACUCUCGUGAUUUUGGGUCUUCAUCCGGCUCUGGAGCUCAGAAGCGCCGGGUGUGGAUUCCAAGCACCGCACUGCCAGCCAGAUUCACCCCGAGGCCAUCCUUUGAGGCGCCUCAUCCCAACCAGCAAUUUGCACCGCCCAAGCCCUAUGGUGGCCCCGCUGCUAAUGUUGCUCCACGCCCCACUAUGGUAACAUGCUUCAUGUGUGGAGAACCGGGUCACUAUAGUCGAGAGUGUCCCCAGAACAACCCCAAUCAAGCUGGAAAGUCCGUUGGCCGUGGUAAGCCCGCGGGAAAGACUUUCUAUGCCAAGCCGGCCACUACUGCACGUGGCCAUGUAAACUACGUCUCAGCCGAAGAGGCUCAUGAGGAUCCCAACGUCGUCCUUGGUACGCUCCUUGUUAACUGCCAUCCGGCAUCUGUUCUUUUCGAUACUGGAGCAUCUCAUUCAUUCAUAUCCGAGAAUUAUGCUCGGUCGCAUAACACGACAUUCUGUGACAUGCCCACUUCCAUGGUAAUUCAAACUCCGGGUUCCAAAUGGCAAACUUCUAGGGUAAGCCAUGGGAACGAAAUUCUUGUCGAUAGGCUUGUUUUCCUUGCAUCUUUAAUAGCUCUCAAGUCCUCCGACAUAAACAUCAUCUUGGGUAUGGACUGGAUGUCGGCUCAUUAUGCCAAGAUCGAUUGUGCCACUAGAACCGUUCAACUUAUUCAUCCCUCAGGCAAGACAGUUAAUGUCUUAACUCGAGUGGCCAAGCGCCAACUUUACUCUCUCAAUGCCAACCCUCUUCCAGACCUUGAGGACGUUCCGGUAGUCCGAGACUUCCCGGAUGUGUUUCCGGAAGAACUGCCAGGUGUUCCACCUGACCGGGAUGUCGAGUUUGUGAUAGACCUUGUUCCAGGAACCGUUCCAAUUGCUAGAAGACCCUACAAGAUGGCACCCUUAGAACUAGCCGAGCUUAAGAACCAACUCGAUGAGUCCUUGAACAAAGGGUUCAUCCGUCCUAGCUCCUCUCCUUGGGCUUGCCCCGUCCUCUUCGUCAAGAAGAAGGAUGGAACGGAUCGAAUGGUUGUGGAUUACCGACCUGUCAAUCUGGUCACCAUCAAGAACAAAUACCCGCUUCCCAGGAUCAACGACCUGUAUGAUCAGCUCACUGGAUCCUCAGUCUUCUCCAAGAUGGAUUUGAGGCUGGGCUACCAUCAAAUCAAAAUCAGAAACGGGGACAUUCCCAAAACGGCCUUUGUUACUCGUUAUGGCCAAUACGGGUACACCGUCAUGUCCUUCGGUUUAACCAAUGCCCCGGCCACUUUCUCCUGGUUAAUGAACUCGGUUUUCAUGGAGUACUUGGACAAAUUCGUUGUAGUAUACCUCGAUGACAUACUCAUCUACUCCAAGAAUGAAGAGGAACAUGCCGAACAUCUAAGGCUGGUAUUGAUGAAACUUCGAGAGCAUCGCCUUUAUGCCAAAUUCUCCAAGUGUGAAUUUUGGUUGUCAGAAGUGACCUAUCUAGGCCAUGUAAUCUCUGGUAAGGGUAUUGCUGUCAAUCCCGAGCGAGUUCAAGCCGUCCUUGAUUGGACUCCACCUGAAACGGUCAAGCAAGUUCGGAGUUUCCUUGGCCUAGCGAGCUAUUGCCGCCGCUUCGUCGAGAAUUUCUCCAAGGUUGCUAAACCUCUAACUGAACUCCUCAAGAAAGAUAAAAAGUUCGAGUGGACUCCGCAGUGCGAGUUCAGUUUUCAGGAAUUGAAAAGACGCCUGACAUCUGCUCCCGUACUGGUACCACCAGAUUUCUCCAAGGACUUUAUUAUCUAUUGCGACGCCUCGCGACAAGGACUAGGUUGCAUACUCAUGCAAGAUCGUCAGGUAAUUGCCUAUGCUUCAUGGCAAUUACACCCACAUGAGGAAAAUUAUCCCACACAUGAUCUAGAGCUUGCAGCUGUAGUCCAUGCACUCAAAACCUCGCGACAUUACCUCCUCGGUAAUCGUUGCGAGAUCUUCACCGAUCACCAAAGCUUGAAAUAUAUCUUCACCCAACCAGAUUUGAAUCUCAGGCAAAGACGUUGGGUCGAGUUGAUCUCGGAUUACGACUUAGGAAUAACUUACACCCCUGGCAAAGCCAAUGUCAUGGCCGAUCCGCUAAGUCGUAAGUCCUACUGUAACAACCUGCUGUUACAACAAAGUCAACCACUUCUCCAUGAGGAAUUUCGCAAGCUUAAUCUUCACAUUGUUCCUCAAGGAUUCUUGUCUACUCUGGUGGCGAAACCUACCCUUAUGGAUCAAAUCAUAGCUGCCCAAAAGCGUGAUAAGGGCAUAUCCCGGAUUAAGGAAAACAUUGCUAGCGGAGUAGCUAAAUGUUUUUCCAUGGAUGAGCAAGGUGCUGUCUUCUUUGAGAACCGCCUGGUGGUUCCCAAGAACCAACAUCUACGCCAGAUGAUCCUUAAGGAAGCUCAUGAAUCCCCUCUCACCAUUCAUCCCAGUAGUACUAAAAUGUAUCAAGACUUACGCCAGAGGUUUUGGUGGACUAGGAUGAAGAGAGAAAUCGCUCAAUACAUUGCUAAUUGCGACGUUUGUCGUCGUGUUAAAGCAGAGCAUCAACGGCCUGCUGGCACCCUUCAACCUUUGGCUAUUCCUGAAUGGAAAUGGGACAAAAUCAGUAUGGAUUUCAUCACUGGGUUUCCCAGGACCAAGAGGGGAAAUAAUGCCAUCUUCGUCGUGAUCGACCGUCUUUCCAAAGUAGCCCAUUUUCUACCUGUUCGUGAGAGUAUCACCGCUAGCCAGCUAGCUGACCUAUACAUCUCCCGAAUAGUGUCUCUUCAUGGUGUCCCAUUGGAAAUUAACUCAGACCGUGGAAGUCUCUUCACCUCUCGAUUUUGGGAAAGUUUCCAAAAUGCUAUGGGAACUCAUCUCUCCUUUAGCACCGCCUUCCAUCCUCAAUCAAGUGGUCAAGUAGAGCGAGUAAAUCAAAUUCUGGAAGAUAUGCUCCGAGCUUCUGUUAUCUCGUUCGGAAUGAGUUGGGAAAAAUGCCUUCCAUUCGCGGAGUUUGCUUAUAACAAUAGCUAUCAAGCUAGUUUGGGCAAGGCUCCCUUCGAAGUUCUCUAUGGACGAAAAUGUCGAACGCCUCUUAACUGGUCAGAAACCGGGGAAAGGCAACUCUUUGGCCCGGAUAUGAUUCAGGAAGCAGAAGAGCAGGUUCGCGUUAUUCGUGAGAAAUUGAAAACGGCCCAAUCUCGCCAAAAGAGUCAAUAUGAUCGUAAGCAUAAGCCAAUGACAUUUGAAAUUGACGAGAAAGCUUAUCUUCGGGUUACCCCGUUAAAGGGAACCCAUCGCUUCGGUAUCAAAGGCAAAUUGGCUCCUCGUUACAUUGGACCCUUUCGCAUUCUUGCCAAACGAGGAGAAGCUGCCUACCAAUUGGAACUACCUCCGCAUCUUUCCAGAGUUCACGACGUCUUCCACGUUUCGCAACUCAGGCGUUGCUUCGCGGAUCCUAUCCGUGGAGUGGACCACGAAACGCUUGAUUUACAAGAUAACCUCUCUUAUCGGGAAUACCCCGUUCGUAUCCUUGAUCAAGCCGAGCGUACCACUCGACGUCAUAAUAUCAAGUUUCUCAAGGUUCAAUGGUCACACCAUUCCGAGGAAGAAGCCACUUGGGAAAGGGAGGAUCGUCUUCGACUCGAGUACCCCGCCUUCUUCCCAGAUGAUCCUAAAUCUCGGGACGAGAUUCUAUUGAGUGGGGGUGAGUUGUCACACCCUAGCUAGUUUAUGCAUUAGAGUGUGCAUCAUGUUUACCUUCAUCAGAAAUUGAAAUGGGGAAAGCAGAACCCCCAGCACCCCCCCUGAAAUCAACUAGGGUUUACUAAAAAUAAAUUCAAUGAACCUGAAAUGCCCUUCAAAUAUGUUCACCCUCUUUGCCUUGGGUUAGAACCCUUGGGAAAAAUGGUGCAUAUAAUUUUAGGUCAACAAAAGGGGCAUUGACUUAAUUCAUAAAUAUUUGAAUUUGGGCAUUUAAAAUACUAUUAUAUAAUUCAAAUGCUCAAAUAAUGUUGGAACUAUUUUUGGGCCACUGAAAUAUUUCAGAAAGUGUCCAUAAAUAUUUUCAGGAUUUUAUAAAAUGAUUUAGUAUUUGAACUAAAUCAAAACAGAAUAACAGAAAUAGAAAAACACAAAAAAAAAUAAAGAGGGAAAGACCAUGGGCCACUUACCUGGCCCAGCGCCAGGCCACCAGCGGCCCAGCCCACCAGGCCGAUGCCAGUCGUCCCCUAGCUCCUGCCAGGAGGACGAAGGGCGUGUGCCCGCGGUGCGCCAGCACGCGCACGGCCACCGACGGCCACCUCCUGCUUCGGCCGCCUCCCCGACGUCGCUUUGGACGCCACGCAUCCCCCCCUGACCCCUCGCUCACUCUCUUCCAUCCUCAUCCCCUCCUCUGCUCUCUCUCCCGCGCAACCGCCAUGAGCCCGAGAGCGCCGACGAGGACCACCACGGCCACCGCCUCCCCCUCGCUUCCCUGACCAGCUUGGAGGCUCCGCCUCGACCCCGUCUUCCUUCUCACCGAACCACGCCCCGCCGGAAGCCCUGCAUCGUCGAAUUCAAGCUCUUCUUCAAGCUUUGGCACCGACGAUCGCCGUCGUCGAUUCGCUUGCUCCAGUGCCUCCCCGAGCUUGCCGAGGCCACCGCUGCAACUGCUGUGAGCUCCUGUGUCAUUUCCCCCUCUCCCCUGGCUCGAUUUCUUCUUCUAACACCGAUGCCCGUCGGAACCGAGAGCUCUUCGCCGCCGGCCAUGCCGCCACCGUGACCACAACCGUGCAAGCUCACUCCCGAGCACGGCAACGUGCUCCACACCUCACCAGGAGCACGUGGAACCCAUCAGUUUCCCCUCCCGUGCACCACAACGCCGAUCCGCUCAACUCCCGAACUCCGGCUGCCGCGCAAGUUGCCGCCGCCGUCGUUUUAGGCCACUAGGGCUGCUGCCGUGUGCACAGAUAGAUGCGAGCGAGUCCCAGCUCCGCGUAGAUGCCCUCCACUGGCCAUUUGGUCGCCGGAGGAGGAUUUCCGAGCCCCUCCGCCGUCUCUGGCCUUGCCGGCGACGAGCCGGGGUCAACUCCGGCGUGUUUUGACCCCGGGUCGGCUGGGUUGACUCCCCCCGGACUCACUGACGUGUGGGCCCAGGCGCCUGCCUAAUUACCGUUAGUUAAUUAGAGUUAAUAAAAAUUAGCUAAUUAGUGAGCCACUGACAUGCGGGCCCCGCCCGGCUAACCAAGUUAGUUAGGGUUAACUAACUUAGUUAGUUGAUUGUGUCACUGACCAGUGGACCCCACUGGUCAGGUUUGACAUGGAGGCGCCAGUUGACCUGCUGACAUCAGGGUGAUGUCAUGCUGACGCAAUAACUCUUUUUCUGGAUUUAAUUUUAUAUAGAAAAUUCCAGAAAAUUGCCUAAACUUCAAAAAUUCAUAGAAAUUCAACCAUAACUCCAAAUGAGACAAAUUAUAUAUGAAAAAUUAUCAGAAAAAUUCAAGGAAUCCAUCUGUACCAUUUUCAUGCAUGUUUGAACAAUGCUUGUCCUCUGUUUUGGACAAAACAAAUAAAGGGCAUUUAAAUAAUCAUAUAUGGGGUUGGAAUUUGAAUCUUGUACUCAAACCAACUCCAUUUAAAUCAUAGCUAGUUGUAUAAGCUCAAGACACAUCCAUAUUGCCAUGUCAUAGCAUGCAUCAUAUUGUUGCAUAUCGUCAUGUGUUGAUUGUGCUCGGUUGUGUUCUUCGUGGUAGGUUCUGCCUCCGAGGAUAUUCACGAGUAUCCAACUGAAGGGCAGUAUCCCGUUACCACUCCAUCAGGCAAGCAAGCAUUGAUCAUUCCGAUACAACCCAUGUUCUCGCUCCUGCUCUUGUUUACUGCAUUAAGACAACACGAUUCAAACUGCCGUGUGCUACGGUAGUUGAACCCUUAUCCUCUGCAUGACCUGUCAUUGCCACAGUAACUAGAUGAAACCCACUAGCAUGUGUAGGAGUUGAUUGAGCCAUGUUUUGUGAUUCCUACCUUGCUAUGCCUGCUAUGCUUAGAGUUGUGUCAGGUCUGGUUCAUCUGGGGAAUGGGCUAGAGUGAAAUGCUUGUGCCAGUAAAUUGUGGGAUGUGUUGAACAUGUUUUGGUAAAGGUAUCGAUGAGAGGCCAUGUAGGAGUACAUGGUGGGUUGUUUCAUUGAAGCCGUCCCUAAGAACUGAGUUCUGUAUGCGUGAAUUAAGAUUCAGCUACUACCACACAUUGGGCCCUGAAAUAUGACCCCGCUCGACUUACCGACCCCUCUCGCCUCAGUCCAGGAGUUGCAACUAGUUUCUGGUGUUUGUAGGAUAUGUGUUGGCGGCCGUGCGUAGCGCUGACCCUAGGGGUGGGCUAUGUUGCGGUAGAUACACUGUGGCACGGUGUACCGAGUCACCCGUUUGGUGUCUCGGGAACCCUGUUCACAUCGUUCGGGGCCGUUGAGGACACCCCGGCCGGAUUUCCUUGCGGAUGGAACCUGAAUAGGCGAUGACCCUGGACUAGAGACUUGUGAGGUUAGUCAGGUCGUGGUCUACACCCACGUCGGUUUUCGCUUGAAGUCUGCCGAGCACAUUUCGUGUGCAGACGCUAAGAGGUGGAAACAUGUGUGACGAAGUACACCCGUGCAGGGUAUAAAACUAUUCGAAUAGCCGUGUCCGCAGUAAAGGACUACUUGGUUGCAUAUACAGUUCAUAGACAAGUUAAUGGAUACUACUAAAAGACUCAAGAUAAGUGUGAGUACCGAGGAUGGCUCCCUCAUGUGACCCCUACCUGUAUGGAUAUGUUAUGUAUGGCUCCCUGGAGCCUUUAAAUAAAGUACCUGAGUUGUAGAGUUUUGUUGUGAUGCCAUGUUGUAUGUACUCAUAUCGAGCAUAUUGUAUGUAUGAUUGAAAUGCUUGGUAUGAGUGGGAUCCGACAAUCUAGUUGUUUGUCCUUCGCAGCCUUUCUUAUGGGGAAAUGUAGUCUAGUGCUCCUCGAGCCAGAGUAGUCCGCUACAGCCCGGUUCACCGGAGUCCUGCUAGCCCAGCACUACUGUUCAGGACACUUGACUGGCCGGCAUGUGUUUCACUUCGUCCCUAUGUCUGUCCCUUCGGGGAAAUUUCACGCGGUGAUCUCCGGAGUCCUGUCUAGCCUGCUACAGCCCGGGAUCCCCCGGAGUCCUGUUAGCCCAGUGCUACAGCCUGGAAUCACUCCUUGAUGACCGACAUGUUCGUUGUGAUUCAUGUAUGCCUGUCUCCAUAGGUCUGUGCCGCUUUGGGUUCACGACUAGCCAUGUCGGCCCGGGUUCUCGGUCAUAUGGAUGCUAGCGACAUUGUCAUAUACGCGAGCCAAAAGGCGCAAACGGUCCCGGGCCAUGGUAAGGCGACACCCGUGGGAUACCGUGCGUGAGGCCGCAAAUUGAUAUGAGGUGUUACCGGCUAGAUCGAUGUGGCUUAGAAUCGGGGUCCUGACAGAAAUGGUCGAGACAUAAAGAUUGAUAUAUUGGAAGCCUAUAUUUGGAUAUCGGAAGUGUUCCGGGUAAAAUCGAGAUUUUGCCAGAUUACCGGGAGGUUACCAGAACCCCCCGGGAGCCAUAUGGGCCUUAUUGGGCUUUAGUGGAAAGGUGAAAAGGGCUGCCAUGGUGGGCUGCACGCCUCCCCCCUCCCCUAGUCCUAUUAGGACUAGGAGAGGUGGCCGGCCACCUCUCUCUCUCUUUCCCCCUUGGGAGUCCUAUUUGGAAUAGGAUUGGGGGGGAGUCCUACUCACGGUAGGAGUAGGACUCCUCCUGCACCCUCCUCUUUGCCGGCCAGCCCCUCCCCCUUGGAUCCUUUAUAUACAGGGGCAGGGGGCACCUCUAGACACACAAGUUGAUCAUUGAGAUCGUUCCUUCGCCGUGUGCGGUGCCCCCUGCCACCAUAUUCCACCUCGAUCAUAUCGUUGUAGAGCUUAGGCGAAGCCCUGUGUCGGUAGAACAUCAAGAUCGUCACCAUGCCGUCGUGCUGAUGGAACUCCUCCACGAAGCUUUGCUGGAUCGGAGCCCGGGGAUCGUGAUCGAGCUGUACGUGUGCUAAGAACUCGGAGGUGCCGGAGUAACGGUGCUUGGAUCGGUCGGAUCGGGAAGAAGACGUACGACUACUUCCUCUACGUUGUGUCAACGCUUCCGUUGCGAUCUACAAGGGUACGUAGAUUAGACUCUCCCCCUCGUUGCUAUGCAUCACCAUGAUCUUGCGUGUGCGUAGGAAAAUUUUGAAAUUACUACGUUCCCCAACACUAUGCACCUGCAUCGUCACAUGAGUCGAUGAUAUGCAACAUAUAUAGUUGAGCAUCAGAAAGAGAUAGACUUGGCAAAAAUAGAAGCAACAUAUCAUAAGCAUAAAUAACAAAGUUCAUCGUACCCAAAAUGCCCUAACUAGAGUGAUCUUCGGUAGUCAAGGAGGAAGGUUUAAUUACAUCACAAAUAAUGUUUCGUCGUGCAUAACUCAAAGUUCCGUCAUACAGAAGGUAUGAACUAAACGGACACAUUGUCAUAUUUCGAAAAUCACUCCAACAUGGCGUGCCAUCCAUCCAAGUCAAGGAGAUAGUGCCCGAGCUUAGUGAAAGGCUUCAGGUCGAGACGCUGAGCGGCUACGCGUGUUCGGACUCUUCCCAUGACAUUUGUCCUUCUUCAUAGAACAUCCCUGUUUUUUCGACGACCUCCAUCAUGAUGAUUUGGGCAAGUUCGCACUGGAAGUGAUAUAACUCAUCUUGAAGUCGAUGAUCCUCGAUAUCUUCUAAGUUCUUUGCCCAUUGCAGAAUAUGGGCAUGGCUGAAUUUAGGUGACAUGCAAAGGUUCUGGUGAUCCUGUCUGUACUCCAUCAUGUGGUGUAGGACAUAGAACCCAUCAUCAAGAGAAUCACUCGGUUGCUGGAUGCAGCUGAAGUCGGUCUUAUGGGCCUGCCGUCCCUUUUCUUCUUGUCCUUGACCUCUCCACCCCGUGCAUCGUAGUAAAACAUAGCACUAUCGAGAACAAACUUGAUGUGGGUGUAAUCCUUUUUGUUAAUGUUCUUCGACGAGUCCACAAUAUCGGGGGUAGAGGAUGAUGAGGACGGCGCGCCUGCCGUUGCGCAAAAUAAGUACACCUCAAAUGAAUUAAACUCCAUCGUUCAAAUGAAUGAUUGAAAUCGAAGGAAGGAUAUCUGCGCGGAUGACUUACACGGGAUGAUAAGGCACGAGAAUCGCCUCCUUGUCCUUAUUGGCAAGCAUGAAAUUGACGAUGUAUUCCUCGUGUAUUCAUGGUGCUUUGCGCGGACUCCCAAGACGCCCUCGUGCAUGAAGUACGGGUCAGCGACAUAGAUAUGAGGUAUCUGCUCAACCCCGAUGAGGUAGUUCAUGUGCAAGGCAUAAAGGCGGACAAACAUAAAAUCCAGCUUCUUUAAGUGAAACAUGUUGAAGAUGUAAUCAGAUCGAAGGAAAAACUUCUUCGAGGGGAAUGUGUCGACGUACGACAAUUGCCCGGCACGUUAACCACGUAGAGAGGGUAUCCUGGAUUUUUCGAGGCGAUGAGGCCUUUCUCUAUCCGCAACACGUCGUCAUGAAGUCUCCUUAGAUCGCCGGAUCUGGCCCCUAGCGCUGCUUUCGGUAGGAUUGGUUCACCAGGAUACGCCAUUUUGCCGCUCCGGGGACAUCUAUACGGUCUUGAACCCGAGGCUGCUGAGGCGGCUGGAUCAUAGAAGCAGCUUUGUUGGCUUUCCUCAGUGUAUUCCUAGGCUUCUUUGCUACAGGAAGGUCAUCUAUGAUAUGUUCAGCCUCCAGAGGCGGCAAUUCAGGCACCGACUCAUGACGCUCAAACCCUGAGUAGGCGCCAGUAUUGAGAUACUGUUGAGUGCCAUUGUUGUCCUCAUCUAUGGCGGUGUCACCAGCGACAAAUGGAGCCUCUUCCUCACCCCGUUCGCUAUCACCCAGCACGACAGCCGGCGCUAAUUGGGUAGGUGGGGUGUUGAUGUUCAUACCUAACUGCGUGCUCGUGUGUGUGCUCCCGGCCGUCUCCAAACAAAGUAGACUCUUUGGCCACAACAGGACCCACCCAUUGCAAUCACCAAUCCCCUGCGGGAUCUCGUCGUCAUUCCCCCUAGUACCGGAGGAGCCAAAUUCUCCUGGCCUGGUUUGACACUGGCCACGGAAACUUUGUAGACGUCCGAGGGGAUCGGUCGGCCGUGGAACAAUGGUUCCUUAGGCUUCAUUAUCGUCACCUUCCCCACGUCCACCUCCUGGUAGCGGAUGUUGUACAAUAUGGUGCACGGGGUUACAUUGGCCUGCAAAGACAUUUCUGCGAUGUGAGAUAUCCGACAGGCAACAAAAAAUGGGAGAUUAUACAUUUAUUGAAGAGGGCUGGUGUGACAGAUAUAGUGAGGGCGUCGAGCUCAUCCAAAGAUGAAGCACCGCUGAGCACGUCCGGUGUCGGAGCCGGUGCGGGAGCAGGUGCAGGUGCUGGUGCAACGCUAGUCGAGCUGCUCCCGAAGAAGUCAGCAAGGGGAAAGUCCGCUGCAUUUUUUUUCUGGAUUUUGCGUGCUCGAAUUGAAAACGGCCGAAACCAAGACAGUAGACAUAUCUGCAACCACCUGUUUUGCGGCAGCUAUCGCUGUUGCGACUGUCUCAGAUGAUUUCUUCUCAAUCGGAAUCUAAACCUUCUGGCUGAUGUUUUCUUCAGUUAACCUCCGUCUUUCCUUUCGCUCCUCCGUGGUCUCACGGUAGUACUUCUUCCACGUGGCGCCGUCUACGACACCGUCCACGCGUCCAUACGACGGCCGAUUCUCCACCAGGAGUCCUUUCAAUAUGUUCAAUACCCGGUUGAAUGGAGUCUACCACUUGGGCCUCGCCAACGCCUCAGACGGCGAGUCACUUUCGGCUGCAAUCUUGUGCUGCUCUCUCUUCAAAAGGAACAAGGAUCGUUUACAAAUAUGACUAAACGUGCAGUCGAAUUGAUCAGAAACUAAAAUUACCAGCAGUCUCGUGAACUCCGUCGUGAUCGGGUCCGUCUUAAAAACCUUCUUGACUGAGUCCCAAUGGUGCCGUGCCCCGAGGACGUCACGCUCCUGCGGGACGGUGAAGUCCGCCAAGGGGUCUGGGAUGCCCAGACGUUCGCGUUCCGCGUCCUCCUUGGCCCAUAUGGACCUCUUCCCGCCGUAACCACGGCUUCCGAGGUGGUGGCGCCCCAUGUUCCUUUGUUGAAGCCCUUUCAUGUACUUCGACUUUUUUUUGGCAGCUUCGGCCUCGCAAGCCGCCUUGAAUUUUUCAAAGUGCUCUCCCGUGAUUGUCGGAUUAUCCUUUACAAUCUCGGAGUAUGGUUCCUUUUUGUCGACAAUCCGAUGUUUCAACCUUGUUUUCCAGGUGGCCAACGUGUCGCUAAACUUGGUCAUGGCGUGUUUGUUUAUCUUCUUCAUUGCCGGGUCCUUAUUUGGAUAUUUAUAAUCCUUUUCAUUCCGGCCCGGGAACAACAAUAUCUGGUGCAGCUUCUUUAGGAGGGAGGACCUCAUAUUAUCUAUCUUCUGUAGUUUCCCAUGGUUGAUCGUGGCAGUUAUCCGUACGAUGCAGCCUAUUUGAUUGCCGUAGCACGAUCGCGCUUCCUUGGGCGCUAUUGUCUGAAAAAUACGGUCGUCCAUCUCCGUGACCACCAGUCUAGUUGUCAUGAGCUGGUUUGGGCGCCGUGGCUUCUUAGCUUUCGGUUCUAGAUCAGCUCCGCUAGUCUCGGCGCCGGUCUCAGUCUCAUCGCCGGUCUGCAUGUCGGUAUCAGUCCCCGAUGCGACAGGUCGGCCCAGCAACAACAUUCGUUGAUCGUCGGCAAGGCUCAAAAAUUCAUCUGCCGCCAGGUAGACGUGUCGCAAUCACCAGAACCCUAUCCUUCAUCAUUGCUAGCCAUGUUUCCUACGAUUAUAUCUAGUCAAUUAAUUCUAGACCUAAUAAAAUGAAUAAUGACAUAAAACAGGCCAAUGUUUUGCAGGAUUACAACUCAACCCAUUGCAGAUUAGAAAACAAUCCCGUGUGAAUGCACAGGCUGACGACUAGUAUAUAUAAAGCUUAAUGGUGCCUAAGAAAGCUCGCACAAUUUUACAGUGGCUAUGGAAAUGUGUUGCCAAACUUUGACAUAAGAUUUUCGUUUGGCAUCCAGAGUUGCAAAACGCUUGUGUUGUCCUUAAUCCAUGGCCACUCUAAUUUUUCCGGCUGGGCCUUCCCUGUGGUAUCGCGGCAAGGCUUGCGUGUGUAUAUGUUUCCUUUAACUACCACUAGCACAUAUGCCCGUGCGUGCGUUGCAACGGGAGAGAUAAUGGCGUAUCCACCAAUAUAUCUAACAGCAUGACCCAACAAUAUCCGAAUGAUGUCACCCGAUGACGGCAGGAAGGCACGCACAGAGGUCUAGUAAAAACUCAUAUCAAUUGUAAGGGCAUGGUUAAUUCGCGUGAAUUCAGGGGUGUGAGAUUAGUUAGUGUUGGUCCCACAAUUGAAUUCGGGGGGUGAUUAGUUAGUGUGGGCCCACCCUCGAAUUCACGGGGGGAGACAAAAUAAUUAGGGUGAGGAGAGAUUUACGGGGCUUGGUCCCCAGAUGCGUUGUGGCAGUCAUUAUUCGAGCAUUGCAAUGCUCGCACGUGACGAGCUCUUUUUCCAAUUGUAUAUUAAGAAGCAUGCUACAGAUACAAUGUUUUUGAUACGUUUUUUGUACAAUGAUCCUGAUCUUAAAGGGCCACCUAAUUUUUAUAUCUUAAAGGCAUUAUUUGUAAGUUGUCGUGAAAAAAAUCUCGCUAAAAGGGUUGUGUUAGACCAUCUUCAGUACAUUAGAAAUAACGAAUUAUAAUUCCUUGGCAUUUGAAGAAACAAUCGCUACUUAUUUACACAUACAAUUCUUUUGGUACGAUUUUGAAAUCUUGAAGGCAUUAUUUGUAAGUUGAAGCAAUUUUGAAAUCUCACUAAAAGGUCUGUUAGACCCUCUAGAGCUUUAGAAAUAACUAAUUAUAAUUUUGCAAAAAAAAGAAAUAACUAAUUAUAAUUCCUUAAGCAUCUGACCGAAACGACCCCGAAUUAUUGUCUGGGUAGUAAUUCCUUUGCAACAUUAUUCUCUCCUUUUUUGAAGGAGCUCUUGCCUGGGUAGUAAUUCCUAUUUGCAAGGUUAUUCUCUCCUUCAUUUUUACAGGAGCUCUCCUUCCUUAUACUAAUUGGUCAUUAUCCUCUCCUUCCUUUUUCUUUUUGCCAAACUCUCUUUCCAUACUUAUGCCGCUAACCACGCCACUCUUUUUCCUUAUUUAUGCCCUUUGAUCACGCCACACAUCUCAUGAAAUCUAAGCCAUAUCACCCAUCUUUUUUCCUUAUUCUCAAAGGCGCUUUCCUCACAAACAGUAGUUCUCUAGGAUGCUUAACGAUUUUGAAACAGAAACAUAUAUAAAUCGGUAGAACGGGUUGUCAAGCAGCGAGGUGGUACUAGUUUAUAAAGAAACAAAUUAACCUUUUCUUUUUGUGUAAUGAUGCCUUGGUUCGGCUGGUUGCUGCCUUUGCCCUUGAUGUGCAGCGUUGGGAAAAGGAUGGGCGAAGUGGACGAACCAAAAACGGACAAAAUUACGGUAGUAAGAAGCGAUAGCCCAUUUAUUAGUAGGUAUAGAUAUAGAUGUCGAGGAUGAGGAUUUACUGCACACAAGUGCGGGGGCACUCAGGUCCUGGUGCCGGCCUUUUAUUUUGGCUUCCGAUUUUCAAACUUCUAUAUCUUUUAAACGAAAAGUUCAAUUUAAGUUACGUUUUCAUAUUCGUGCUUCUCGCGGCCAGCGCUUUCAAAUAAGAUCCAUUUUGCAUACAUUUUGGCUGCUUUUGGAAACAUUGCUAAGUUUCAUUGUUUGAAACUUAGUACGAGCGACCGAUAAAAUUUAAUUAUUUUGUGUCUACGACCAACAGGAGAAAUUGCUUAAAAUUACAUCUUUGAAACUGGUCAUUUUUUUACUGUGUCCUACUUCACGAAUCACGAGGCAAAUCAAGUAGGCGGCAUGCCCUGGCCGGUGAGUGCCAUUGCACUUACUUGCCCCAGCGAUUUUCCGCGUGCAUUGUAGAAUUCUUUCUCCGAGUCCUGUGAAUUAAAGAUGGUGCAGACAAAAGUAUAUCCUAUAUGCGUACAUGUGCAUGAUCAGAACAUGUUUUUACGUGCGUCUACUAUAAAUCAUGACCAUUUUUAACACAAAUCAUGACCAUUCAUGAUUAGUGAAUCAUACUGUCUUAACUUAUGUGAAAUCAUGUGGAGUAAUAUAAUAUAAUACAAUAGAUAGACAGAUCCAUGUUGUAUUAUUUUUUGUUUACAAAAAAAUCUGUAAUUACACAUUUUGAUUUAUGCAUUUGUUUACAAAAAAACAGUAACAUUUCAUGGUGGAAAGUUUGUAUUGUUUCAUACUGAACACCAAUGUUUUCCUGUAAAAGAAAAUAAUGCCUACGCAUAUGCUUUUAUAUUAUUAUUAUUCUUUCAAACUUAUUCAUAUAGUAUUUUUGAUUGUGCAACCAUAAUUUUUAUUAUCUCUCUCGUUCCACUACAUGCUCUUACUCAAUGAUUUUCUUUAUAAUGGGUGUUUUUAUUAACUCAAAAUAUAGCAUCAAGCGGAUACAGAACAUACUGAGCCACACCCGGUCUCUGCAUAACUAAGAUGCACACAGCCAAAAGCGGAAGUCUGACAAAAAUAAGAUAAGAAAAUCGACAUAUCGACAACAGUGAGUCAUAUAGUUCCGACACUAUGCCUCUGUCGAAGGAGGGGGUGGAGCGAUCUAGAGAUUAUGCUGCCUUCCAUGUUGAGUAAACACCUCCCUGGCCACUUGUUCCAACUGCAUAGACGCCGCCACGAAUAACGGUUGGUACUCUGUUCGGUGUAGCAUACACCAUGUAGGAAGUGAGUGCUCACUCCUAGUUACUGAAUUAUGUACACACUAGUAGAAAAAGGCCCAUUUGUCCCGGUUCGUAAGGCCCAUUUGUCCCAGUUGGGGAACCGGGACUAAAGGGUCGGUACUAAAGCCCUACACCUUUAGUCCCGGUUCUUACACCAACCGAGACAGAUGGGGCUCCACGUGGCCGUUGCGGCUUACCGUGGCAGGUGGGCCUUUUGUCCCGGUUGGUAGCACCAACCGGGACCAAUAAGCUACCACGCGUCAGCAUUUGAGGGGCUANNNNNNNNNNNNNNNNNNNNNNNNNNNNNNNNNNNNNNNNNNNNNNNNNNNNNNNNNNNNNNNNNNNNNNNNNNNNNNNNNNNNNNNNNNNNNNNNNNNNNNNNNNNNNNNNNNNNNNNNNNNNNNNNNNNNNNNNNNNNNNNNNNNNNNNNNNNNNNNNNNNNNNNNNNNNNNNNNNNNNNNNNNNNNNNNNNNNNNNNNNNNNNNNNNNNNNNNNNNNNNNNNNNNNNNNNNNNNNNNNNNNNNNNNNNNNNNNNNNNNNNNNNNNNNNNNNNNNNNNNNNNNNNNNNNNNNNNNNNNNNNNNNNNNNNNNNNNNNNNNNNNNNNNNNNNNNNNNNNNNNNNNNNNNNNNNNNNGGUUAAUUUUGGAGGGUUUCAUAUAUUGUGUUAGGUAGCUAAUUAAUUAAUACAGAGAAGUGUCAUCUCUUAUCUCCGUGCUUGGUCGACGCUACGUACUAUACGUACAGAGAGGCCCUCGACACGCUAGCCAGUAAGCAAAUGAAGGAAACCAUUAAGUACAGAAGUUCGUCAUGAACAUAUGCAUACAAACUAAGUGAUAUCGACCUCUCCUUCUCUGAGAGAUAGGUCGAACAACAAGUUUCCGUAUAUCUAUCCGGCGCUACUAGCUACAUAUAUACAAUAUUAAGAUCUCUUACAAUAUAAUCCCCUAAUUAUAUAUGAACUCAGCUUUCAGAUGGUAUUCUCCGGCUUUAUUGAUGACGUGGUCAAGAAAGAAUCCCUCCAAUUCCUCUUGAAUUGCUUUGAUGCGAUCUUCUGGUAGGAGUUCAUCCCGCAUCUGCCACAUCUAAUUUGAAGAAGGGGGUCAAUCACUAGUAGAAUAACAGCCAUUUGUCCUGGUUCGUAAGGCUCAUUCGUCCUGGUUGGGGAACCGAGACUAAAGGGUCGUUACUAAAGCCCUACACCUUUAGUCCCGGUUCUUACACCAACUGGGACAGAUGGGCCUCCACGUGGCCGCUGCGGCGAGCCCAGGCAGGAGGUCCUUUGGUCCCGGUUAGUGGCACUGAUACUUCUCCAACGUAUCUAUAAUUUUUGAUUGCUCCAUGCUAUUAUGUUAUCUAUUUUGGAUGUUAAUGGGCUUUAUUUUACACCUUUAUAUCAUUUUUGGGACUAACCUACUAAUCGGAGGCCCAGCCCAAAUUGUUGUUUUUUUGCCUAUUUUAGGUUUUCGAAGAAAAGGAAUAUCAAACGAAGUCCAAACGGAAUGAAACCUUCGGGAACGUGAUUUUCUCAACGAACAUGAUCCAGGAGACUUGAAGUGUGCGCCAAGAAAGAAGGGAGGAAGGCAAGAGGCAGGGGGCACGCCUACCCCCCUUGGGCGUGCCCUCCACCCUCGUGGGCCCUCCGCUGCUCCAUCGACGUACUUCUUCCUCCUAUAUAUAUCCACGUACCCCUCGAACAUCCAGGAGCACCACGAAAACCUAAUUCCACCGCCGCAACCUUCUGUACCCGAGAGAUCCCAUCUUGGGGCCUUUUCCGGAGGUCCACCGGAGGGGGCAUCGAUCACGGAGGUCCUCUACAUCAACUCCAUGGCCUAUCCAGUGAUGUGUGAGUAGUUCACUUCAGACCUACGGGUCCAUAGUUAUUAGCUAGAUGGCUUCUUCUCUCUCUUUGGAUCUCGAUACAAAGUUCUUUUCGAUUUUCUUGGAGAUCUAUUUGAUGUAACCUUAUUUUGCGGUGUGUUUGUCGAGAUCCGAUGAAUUAUGGGUUUAUGACCCAGAUUAUCUAUGAACAAUAUUUGAUUCUCCUCUAAAUUCUUUUAUGUAUGAUUGGUUUAUCUUUGCAAGUCUCUUCGAAUUAUCAGUUUGUUUUGGCCUACUAGAUUGAUCUUUCUUGCAAUGGGAGAAGUGCUUAGCUUUGGGUUCAAUCUUGCGGUGUUUGAUCCUAGUGACAGAAAGGGAACCGAUACGUAUUGUAUUGUUGCCAUCGAGGAUAAAAAGAUGGGGUUUAUAUCAUAUCGCAUGAGUUUAUCCCUCUACAUCAUGUCAUCUUCCUUAAAGCAUUACUCUGUUCUCUUGAACUUAAUACUCUAGAUGUGUGCUGGAUUGCGGUCGAUGUGUGGAGUAAUAGUAGUAGAUGCAGAAUCGUUUCGGUCUACUUGUCUCGGACGUGAUGCCUAUAUACAUGAUCAUACCUAGAUAUUCUCAUAACUAUGCUCAAUUCUGUACAAUAUGGUGCACGCGGUUACAUCGGCCUGCAAAGACAUUUCUGCGAUGUGAGACAUCCGAAAAGCAACGAAAACGGGAGAUUAUACAUUUAUUGAAGAGGGCCGGAGUGACAGAUACCGUGAGGGUCUCGAGCUCAGCCAAAGACAAAGGACAGAUGAGCACGGCCUAUGUCGGAGCCAGUGCGGGAGCCGGUGCGGGAGCAGGUGCAGGUGCAGGUGCUGGUGCAAUGCUAGUCGAGCUGCUCCUAAAGAAGUCAACAAUGGGAAAGUCCGCUACAUUUUUUCUGGAUUUUGCGUGCUCCAAUUGAAUACAGCUGGAACCAAGACAGUAGACAUAUCUGUUGGAAAUAUGCCCGAGAGCCAAUAAUAAAUUGGUUAUUAUUAUAUUUCCUUGUUCAUGAUAAUCGUUUAUUAUCCAUGCUAGAAUUGUAUUGAUAGGAAACUCAGAUACAUGUGUGGAUACAUAGACAACACCAUGUCCCUAGUAAGCCUCUAGUUGACUAGCUCGUUGAUCAAUAGAUGCUUACGGUUUCCUGACCAUGGACAUUGGAUGUCGUUGAUAACGGGAUCACAUCAUUAGGAGAAUGAUGUGAUGGACAAGACCCAAUCCAUAUCUAGCACAAGAUCGUGUAGUUCGUAUGCUAAAGCUUUUCUAAUGUCAAGUAUCAUUUCCUUAGACCAUGAGAUUGUGCAACUCCCGGAUACAGUAGGAGUGCUUUGGGUGUGCCAAACAUCACAACGUAACUGGGUGGCUAUAAAGGUGCACUACGGGUAUCUCUAAAAGUGUCUGUUGGGUUGGCACGAAUCGAGACUAGGAUUUGUCACUCCGUGUAAAUGGAGAGGUAUCUCUGGGCCCACUCAGUAGGACAUCAUCAUAAUGAGCACAAUGUGAUCAAGGAGUUGAUCAAGGGAUGAUGUCUUACGGAACGAGUAAAGAGACUUGCCGGUAAUGAGAUUGAACAAGGUAUCGGGAUACCGACGAUCAAAUCUCGGGCAAGUAUCGUACCGAUAGACAAAGAGAAUUGUAUACGGGAUUGAUUGAAUCCUUGACAUCGUGGUUCAUCCGAUGAGAUCAUUGUGGAGCAUGUGGGAGCCAACAUGGGUAUCCAGAUCCCGCUAUUGGUUAUUGACCGGAGAGUUGUCUUGGCCAUGUCUGCAUGACUCCUGAGCUCGUAGGGUCUACACACUUAAGGUUCGAUGACGCUAGGGUUAUAGGGAAAGUAUGUACGCGGUUACCGAAUGUUGUUCGGAGUCCCAGAUGAGAUCCCAGACAUCACGAGGAGUUCUGGAAUGGUCCGGAGGUAAAGAUUUAUAUAUGGGAAGUUCCGUUUUGGUCACCGGAAAUGUUUCGGGUGCUAUCGGUAACGUACCGGGACCACCGGGAGGGUCCCAGGGGUCCAUCAGGUGGGGCCACCAGCCCCGGAGGCCUACAUGGGCCAAUAGUGGGAAGGGACCAGCCCCUAGGUGGGCUGGGGCGCCUCCCGACAAGGCCCAAGUCGCCUCCAAGAGGGGAAGGGGGCAAACCCUAGGGCAGAUGGGCCCCAAGGCCCACCCUAGGUGCGCCUCCCCCUCUCCCCCUUGUAGCCGCCACCCUAGAUGGGAUCUAGGGCUGCCGCACCCCUUGGGGUGGGAACCCUAGAGGGGGCGCAGCCCCCUCCCCUCCCCCUAUAUAUACUUGAGGUAUGGGGGCUGCCCAACAUACGAUUUGAUCUCUCUCUUGGCGCAGCCCUACCCCUCUCCCUCCUCGUCUCUCAUAGUGCUUGGCGAAGCCCUGCUGGAGUUCCGCGCUCCUCCACCACCACUACCACGUCGUCGUGCUGCUGCUGGACGGACUCUUCCCAACCUCUCCUUCUCCCCUUGCUGGAUCAAGGCGUGGGAGACGUCACCGGGCUGCAGAUGUGUUGAACGCGGAGGCGCCGUGGUUCGGCGCUUAGAUCGGAAUCAACCGAGAUCUGAAUCGCUACGAGUACGGCUCCUUCAUCCGCGUUCUUGCAACGCUUCCGCUUAGCGAUCUACAAGGGUAUGUAGGUGCACUACCCUUCCCUUCGUUGCUAGGUUACUCCAUAGAUUGAUCUUGGUGAUGCGUAGAAAAUUUUAAAUUUCUGCUACGAUCCACAACAGUGGCAUCAUGAGCUAGGUCUAUGCGUAGUUUCUAUGCACGAGUAGAACAUAAAACAGUUGUGGGCGUCAAUAUUGUCAAUUACUUGCCGUUAGUAGUCUUAUCUUGAUUCGGCGGCAUCGUGGGAUGAAGCGGCCCGGACUGACCCUACACGUACGCUUACGUGAGACUUGUUCCACUGACUGACAUGCACUAGUUGCAUAAGGUGGCUAGUGGGUGUCUGUCUUUCCCACUUUAGUCAGAUCGGAUUCGAUGAAAAGGGUCCUUAUGAAGGGUAAAUAAAAAUUGGCAUACCACGUUGUCGUUUUGGCGUAGGUAAGAAAUGUUCUUGCUAGAAACCUAUAGGAGCCACGUAAAAACUUGCAACAACAAUUUGAGGACCUCUAACUUGUUUUUGCAGCAUGUGCCGUGUGAUGUGAUAUGGCCAAAAGGAUGUGAUGAAUGAUAUAUGUGAUGUAUGAGAUUGAUCAUGUUCUUGUAAUAGGAAUCACGACUUGCAUGUCGAUGAGUAUGACAACCGGCAGGAGCCAUAGGAGUUGUCUUUAUUUAUUUAUGACCUGCGUGUCAACAUAAACGUCAUGUAAUUACUUUACUUUAUUGCUAAAGCGUUAGCCAUAGUAAUGGAAGUAAUAGAUGACAAGACAACUUCAAGAAGACACGAUGAUGGAGAUCAUGAUGAUGGAGAUCAUGGUGUCAAGCCCGUGACAACGAUGAUCAUGGAGCCCCAAAGAUGGAGAUCAUAAGGAGCAAAAUGAUAUUGGCCAUAUCAUGUCACUAUUUGAUUGCAUGUGAUGUUUAUCAUGUUUUACCUCUUAUUUUCUUAGAACGACGGUAGCUUAAAUAAGAUGAUACCUCGCAAUAAUUUCAAGAAAGUGUUUCCCCUAACUGUGCACCGUUGCGAAGAUUCGUUGUUUUGAAGCACCACGUGAUGAUCGGGUGUGAUAUAUUCUAACGUUCAAAUACAACAGGUGUAAGCCAGAUUUACACACACAAUACACUUAGGUUGACUUGAUGAGCCUAGCAUUUACAGACAUGGCCUCGGAACACGGUAGACCGAAAGGUCGAGCAUGAGUCGUAUAGAAGAUACGAUCAACAUGAAGAUGUUCACCGAUGUUGACUAGUCCGUCUCACGUGAUGAUCGGCCACGGCCUAGUUGACUCGGAUCAUGUUUCACAUAGAUGACUAGAGGGAUGUCUAUCUGAGUGGGAGUUCAUUAAAUAAUUUGAUUAGAUGAACUUAAUUAUCAUGAACAUAGUCCAAAUUGUCUUUGCAAAUAUGUUGUGGAUAAAUAGCUCACGCUUUAGCUCCCUGUUUUAAUAUGUUCCUAGAGAAAAGACUAACUGGAAAGAUAUUGUAAGCAUUAACGCUGACUAGGUCUGUUGCCUGAGGAGUGUCCUCACUGCUACACAGAAGGCUUAUGUCUUUGAUGCACCGCUCGGUGUGCCAACCCCUCCGGCGUCGUCUGUGGAUGUUGUGAACACCCGACAGACACAUCCUGAUGACUACUUGAAAGUUUAGUGCACCAUACUUUACGGCUUAGAAUCGGGAUUCCAAUGACGUUUUGAACGCCAUAAGACAUAUGAGAUGUUCCAAGAGCUGAAAUUGGGAUUUCAGGCUCAUGCCCGUGUUGAGAGGUAUGGACCUCUGACAAGUGCUUUUGCCAACAAGAUGGAGUAGAAUAGCUCAGCUAGAGAGCAUGUGCUCGGAAUGUCUGGGUGCUACAAUCACUUAAAUCAAGUGGGAGUUAAGCUUCCAGAUAAGAUAGUGAUUGAUAGAGUUCUCUAGCCACUAUCACUAAGAUACUAGAUCUUCGUGAUGAACUAUGACAUGCAAGGGAUGGAGUUGAUCCCGGAGCUGUUCACGGUGCUUAAGAUCGCAAAAGGUAGAAAUCAAGAAGGAGCAUCAAGUGUUGAUGGUUUAACAAGACCACUAGUUUCAAGAAGGGCAAGGGCUAGAAGGGAAACUUCAUGAAUGGCAAACCAGUUACCAAUCAAGUGAAGGAACCCAAGGUUGAACCCAAACCCGAGACAAAGUGCUUCUAUUGUAAGGGGAACAGUCACUGGUAGCGGAACUACCCCAAAUACAUGGUAGAUAAGAAGGAUGGCAACUUCAACAAAGUAUAUACAUGUUAUUAAUGUGUACCUCACCAGUACUCUUGGUAGCACCUGGGUAUUGGAUACCGGUUCAGUUGCUAUUAUUGGUGACUUGAAGCAAAAGCUACGGACUAAACGGAGACUGGCUAAGGGCGAGGUGACGUUGUGUGGUGGAAGUGUUUCCAAAGUUGAUAAGAUCACCAUCGCAUGCUCCAUCUGCCUUUGGGAUUAGUAUUGAACCUAGAUAAAUGUUAUCAGGUGUCUACGUUGAGGAUGAAUAUGAUUAGAUCAUGUUCAUUGCAAUACGGUUAUUCAUUUAAGAUAGAGAAUAAUGGUUAUUCUGUUUACAUGAAUAAUACCUUUCAUGGUCAUGCACCCUAUGUGAAUGGUUCAUUGAAUCUCGGUCGUGGUAAUACAGAUGUUCACGCCAAAAGAUGUAGAGUUAACAAUGAUAGUACCACUUUCUUGUGGAACUGCCGCUUAGGUCAUAUUGGCAUAAGAUGCAUGAAGAAACUCCAUGUCGAUGGAUGUUUGGAGUCAAUUGAUUUUGAAUCGCUUGACACAUGCGAGCCAUGAUUCAUGGGCAGGAUGACUAAGACCCCGUUUUCAGGUAAAAUAAAACGGGCAAGUGACUUCUUGGAAAUCAUACAUGCUGAUGCAUGUGUUCCAAUCAGAAUUGAAGCGUGCGGUGGAUAUCGCUAUUUUCUCAUCUUCACUGACGAUUUGAGUAGAUAUAGGUAUAUUUACUUAAUGAAGCACAAGUCUGAAACAUUUGAAAAGUUCAAGCGAUUUUAGAGUGAAGUUAAGAACCAUCAUAUAUAAUAAGAAGAUCAAAUUCCUACGAUCUGAUCGAUGAGAAUUUCUGAGUUAUGAGUUGGGCAAUCACUUAAGACAUUGUGGAAUUGUUUCAUAGUUGAAGCCACCUGGAACAACACAGGGUAAUGGUGUGUCCGGACGUCGUAAUCGAACCUUAUGAGAUAUGGUGCGAUCUAUGAUGUCCCUUACCGAUCUACCAUUUUCAUUUUGAGGAUAUGCGUUAGAGAAAGCUGCAUUCACUUUUGAUAGGACACCAUCUAAGUCCGUUGAGAUGACGUCGUAUGAAUAUGGUUUGGCAAGAAACCAAAAUUGUCGUUUCUUAAUGUUUGGGGCUGCGAUGCUUAAGGCUUCAGGCGGAGAAGAUCGAACCCAAAAGAGGACAAACACAUCUUCAUAGGAUACCCAAAGGUGACAGUUUGGUAUACCUUCUAUCUCCAAUCUGAGGGCAAGUUGUUUGUCGCUAAGAAUGGUUCCUUUCUCGAGAAGGAGUUUCUCUCGAAAGAAUUGAGUGGGAAGAAGAUAGAACUUGAUGAGGUUGUCGAACCUUUGUUUCAACCAGAGAGUGAUGCAACACAGAAAGAUGUUUUCUGUGGCACCUACGUCUGUUGAAGAGGAAGUUAAUGAUAGUGAUCAUGAAGCUUCGGAUCAAGUUGCUAUCGAACCUCAUAGGUCGACCAGGAUAUGUACUACUCCUGAGUGGUACGGUAAUCCUGUCUUAGAUAUCAUGUUGUUAGACAACAAUGAACCCAUGAGCUAUGGAGAAGCGAUGGUGGGCCCGUAUUCCGACAAAUGGUUAGAAGCCAUGAAAUCCGAGAUAGGCUCCAUGUAUCAGAACAAAGUAUGGACUUUGGUGGACUUGCCCGAUGAUCGGCGAGCCAUUGAGAUAAAUGGAUCUUUAAGAAGAAGACGGACGUGGGCGGUAAUGUUACCAUCUAUGAAGCUCGACUUGUGGGAAAGAGUCUUUUCACAAGUUCAAGGAGUUGACUACGAUGAGAAUUUCUCACCCGUAGCGAUGCUUAAGUCCGUCGGAAUCAUGUUAGCAUUAGCUGUAUUUUUCGAUUAUGAAAUCUGACAGAUGGAUCUCAAAACAAGUUUUCUUACCAGUUUUCGUAAGAAAAAGUUGUAUGUGAUACAAUAAAAGGUUUUGUCGAUCCUAAGGAUGCUAAAAGGUAUGCUGGCUCCAGCAAUCCUUCUAUGGACUAGAGCAAGCAUCUCGAAGUUGGAAUAUAUGCUUUGAUGGAGUGAUCAAAGCUUUUAGGUUUAUACAAUGUUUGCUAGAAACUUGUAUUUACAAGAAAGUGAGUGGGAGAACUACAACAUUUCUGAUAAGUAUAUGUGGAUGACAUAUUGCUGAUUCAAAAUAAUGUAGAAUUUCUGGAAAGCAUAAACGGUUGUUUGAAGAGUGAUUUUCAAAGGCAGACCUGGAUAAAGCUGCUUACAAAUUGGGCAUCAAGAUCUGUAGAAAUAGAUCAAGACGCCUGAUGAUACUUUCAAAGAACGCACACCUUGACAUGUUUUUGAAGGAGUUCAAAAUAGAUCAGGCAAAGAAGGGGUUCUUACCUGUGUUGUAAGGUGUGAAGUUGAGUAAGACUUGAAAGCUUGACCACGACAGAAGAAAGAGGAAGGAUGAAGGUCAUCCCCUAUGCUUUUGUCAUAGGCUCUAUACGGUAUGCCAUGCUGAGUACCACACCAGAUGAGUGCCUUGCCACAUGUCUGGCAAGAGGGUACAAAGGUGAUCUAGGAGUGGAUCACCAGAUAGCGGUCAAAAUUGUCCUUAGAGGAAUAAGGAAAUGUUUCUCAGUUACGGAGCUGAUAAAGAGUUCGACAUAAAGAGUUACGUCGAUACAUGCUUAAACACCAAUCCGGAUAGCUCUGAGUAGAGAUACCAGAUACGUAUAAUGGAGCAACAAUUUGGAAUAGCUCCAAGUGGAACGUGGUAGCAGCAUCUACGAUAUGACAUAAAGUUUUGGGAAAUACAUAGGGAUCUGAAUAUUACAGACCCGUUGACUACAACCUCUCUCACAAGCAUAACAUGAUCAAACCCAGAACUCAUUGAGUGUUAAUCGCAUAGUGAUGUGAACUAGAUUAUUGAAUCUAGUAAACUCUUUAGAUGUUGGUCACAUGGCGAUGUGACCAGUGAGUGUUAAUCACAUGGCGAUGUGAACUAGAUUAUUGACUCUAGUGCAAGUGGGAGACUGUUGGAAAUAUGCCCUAGAGCUAAUAAUAAAUUGGUUAUUAUUAUAUUUCCUUGUUCAUGAUAAUCGUUUAUUAUCCAUGCUAGAAUUGUAUUGAUAGGAAACUCAGAUACAUGUGUGGAUACAUAGACAACACCAUGUCCCUAGUAAGCCUCUAGUUGACUAGCUCGUUGAUCAAUAGAUGGUUACGCUUUCCUGACCAUGGACAUUGGAUGUCGUUGAUAACGGGAUCACAUCAUUAGGAGAAUGACGUGAUGGACAAGACCUAAUCCUAAGCCUAGAACAAGAUCAUGUAGUUCGUAUGCUAAAGCUUUUCUAAUGUCAAGUAUCAUUUCCUUAGACCAUGAGAUUGUGCAACUCCCAGAUACAGUAGGAGUGCUUUGGGUGUGCCAAACGUGACAACGUAACGGGGUGGCUAUAAAGGUGCACUACGGGUAUCUCUGAAAGUGUCUGUUGGGUUGGCAUGAACCGAGACUGGGAUUUGUCACUCCGUGUAAACGGAGAGGUAUAUCUGGGCCCACUCGGUAGGACAUCAUCAUAAUGUGCACACUGUGAUCAAGGAGUUGAUCACGGGAUGAUGUAUUACGGAACGAGUAAAGAGACUUGCCGGUAACGAGAUUGAACAAGCUAUCGGGAUACCGACGAUCGAAUCUCGGGCAAGUAUCAUACCGAUAGACAAAGGGAAUUGUAUACGGGAUUGAUUGAAUCCUUGACAUCAUGGUUAAUCUGAUGAGAUCAUCGUGGAGCAUGUGGGAGCCAACAUGGGUAUCCAGAUCCCGCUGUUGGUUAUUGACCGGAGAGUUGUCUCGGCCAUGUCUACAUGACUCCCGAGCCCGUAGGGUCUACACACUUAAGGUUCGAUGACGCUAGGGUUAUAGGGAAAGUAUGUACACGGUUACAGAAUGUUGUUCGGAGUCUUGGAUGAGAUCCCGGACGUCACGAGGAGUUCCAGAAUGGUCCAGUGGUAAAGAUUUAUAUAUGGGAAGUCCCGUUUUGGUCACCGGAAAGGUUUCGGGUGCUAUCGGUAACGUACCGGGACCACCGGGAGGGUCCCAGGGGUCCAUCAGGUGGGGCCACCAGCCCCGGAGGCCUACAUGGGCCAAUAGUGGGAAGGGACCAGCCCCUAGGCGGGCUGGGGCGCCUCCCACCAAGGCCCAAGGCGCCUCCAAGAGGGGAAGGGGGCAAACCCUAGGGCAGAUGGGCCCCAAGGCCCACCCUAGGUGCGCCUCCCCCUCUCCCCCUUGUAGCCGCCACCCUAUAUGGGAUCUAGGGCUGCCGCACCCCUUGGGGUGGGAACCCUAGAGGGGGCGCAGCCCCCUCCCCUCCCCCUAUAUAUACUCGAGGUAUGGGGGCUGCCCAACAUAUGAUUUGAUCUCUCUCUUGGCGCAGCCCUACCUCUCUCCCUCCUCGUCUCUCAUAGUGCAUGGCGAAGCCCUGCUGGAGUUCCGCACUCCUCCACCACCACCACACCGUCGUUCUGCUGCUGGACGGAGUCUUCCCAACCUCUCCUUCUCCCCUUGCUGGAUCAAGGUGUGGGAGACGUCACCGGGCUGCACGUGUGUUGAACGCGGAGGCGUCGUGGUUCGGCGCUUAGAUCGGAAUUAACCGCGAUCUAAAUCGCUACGAGUACGGCUCCUUCAUCCGUGUUCUUGCAACGCUUCCGCUUAGAGAUCUACAAGGGUAUGUAGAUGCACUCCCCUUCCCUUUGUUGCUAGAUUACUACAUAGAUUGAUCUUGGUGAUGCGUAGAAAAUUUUAAAUUUCUGCUACGAUCCCCAACAAUAUCUGCAACCACCUGUUUUGCGGCAGCUACUGCUGUCGCGAAUGUCUUAGAUGAUUUCUUCUCAACCGCAAUCUCAACCUUCUUGUCGAUGUUUUCUUCAGUUAACCUCCAUCUUUCCUUUCUCUCCUCCGUGGUCUCACAGUAGUACUUCUUCCACGUGGCCCCGUCUCCGACACCGUGAACGCGUCCAUACGACGACCUAGUCUCCACCGGCAGUCCUUUCAAUAUGUUCAAUGCCCGGGUGAAUGGAGUGUCCCACUUGGGCCUCGCCAACGCCUCAGACGGUGAGUCGCUUUCAGCCACAAUCAUGUGCUUCUCUCUCUACAAAAGGAACAAGGAUCAUUUACAAAUAUGACUAAACGUGCAGUCGAAUUGAUCAGAAACUAAAAUUACCAGCAGUCUCAUGAACUCCGUCGUGAUCGGGUCCGUCUUGAAAACCUUCUUGACCGAGUUCGAAUGGUGUCGUGCCCUGAGGACGUCAUGCUCCUAUGGGACGGUGAAGUCCGCCAAGGGGUCUAGGAUGCCAGACUUUCGUGUUCCGUGUCCUGCUUGGCCCAUAUGGACCUCUUCCUGCCGUAACCACGGCUUCUGAGGUGGUGGCGCCCCAUGUUCCUUUGUUGAAGCCCCUUCAUGUACUUUGACUUUGUUUUGGCGGCUUCGGCCUCGCAAGCCGCCUUUAAUAUUUCAAAGUGCUCUCCCGUGAUUGUCGGAUUAUCCUUUACAAUCUCGGAGUAGGGUUGAUACGUCUCCAACGUAUCUAUUAUUUUUGAUUGCUCCAUGCUAUAUUAUCUACAGUUUUGGACAUUAUUGGGCUUUAUUAUCUACUUUUAUAUUAUUUUUGGGACUAACCUAUUAACCAGAGGUCCAGCCCAGAAUUGCUGUUUUUUUGCCUGUUUUAGGGUUUCGAAGAAAAGGAAUAUCAAACGGAGUCCAAACGGAAUGAAGCCUUCGGGAAUGAGAUUUUCUCAACGAACAAGACCCGGGAGACUUGGACCCUACGUCAAGACAAAANNNNNNNNNNNNNNNNNNNNNNNNNNNNNNNNNNNNNNNNNNNNNNNNNNNNNNNNNNNNNNNNNNNNNNNNNNNNNNNNNNNNNNNNNNNNNNNNNNNNNNNNNNNNNNNNNNNNNNNNNNNNNNNNNNNNNNNNNNNNNNNNNNNNNNNNNNNNNNNNNNNNNNNNNNNNNNNNNNNNNNNNNNNNNNNNNNNNNNNNCACCGACGUACUUCUUCCUCCUAUAUAUACCUACGUACCCCCAAACGAUCAUAUACGGAGCCAAAACCCUAAUUCCACCGCCGCAACUUUCUGUAUCCAUGAGAUCCCAUCUUGGCGCCUGUUCCGGAGCUCCGCCGGAGGGGGCAUCGAUCACGGAGGGCUUCUACAUCAACAGCAUAGCCUCUCCGAUGAAGUGUGAGUAGUUGACCUCAGACCUACGGGUCCAUAAUUAUUACCUAGAUGGCUUCUUCUCUCUUUUUGGAUCUCAAUACAAUGUUCUCCCCCUCUCUUGUGGAGAACUAUUCGAUGUAAUAUUCUUUUUGCGGUGUGUUUAUUGAGAUCGAUGAAUUGUGGGUUUAUGAUCAAGUCUAUCUAUGAAUAAUAUUUGAAUCUUCUCUGAAUUCUUUAAUGUAUGAUUGUUUAUCUUUGCAAGUCUCUUCGAAUUAUCAGUUUGGUUUGGCCUACUAGAUUGAUCUUUCUUACAAUGGGAGAAGUGCUUAGCUUUGGGUUCAAUCUUGCGGUGUCCUUUCCCAGUGACAGUAGGGGCAGCAAGGCAUGUAUUGUAUUGUUGCCAUCGAGGACAACAAGAUGGGGUUUUCAUCAUAUUGCAUUAUUCUAUCCCUCUACAUCAUGUCAUCUAGCUUAAGGCGUCACUCUGUUUUUAACUUAAUACUCUAGAUGCAUGCUGGAUAGCGGUCGAUGAGUGGAGUAAUAGUAGUAGAUGCAGGCAGGAGUCGGUCUACUUGUCUCGGACGUGAUGCCUAUAUACAUGAUCAUACCUAGAUAUUCUCAUAAAUAUGCUCAAUUCUGUCAAUUGCUCAACAGUAAUUUGUUCACCCACCAUAGAAUAAUUAUACUCUCAAGAGAAGCUACUAGUGAAACCUAUGGCCCCCGGGUCUAUCUUUAUCAUAUUAAUCUCCUACUACUUAGUUAUUUCCUUUGCUUUUUCCUUUGUAUUUCCUUUGCUUUUUUCCUUUGCCUUUAUUUUACUUUUCAUCUUUAUCACAAAAAUACCAAACAUAUUAUCUUUAUCAUAUCUAUCAGAUCUCACUCUCGUAAGUGGCCUUGUAGGGAUUGACAACCCCUAUUCGUGUUGGUUGUGAGGAUUUAUUUGUUUUGUGCAAUUACGAGGGACUCGCGCGUAGCCUCCUACUGGAUUGAUACCUUCGUUCUCAAAAACUGAGGGAAAUACUUACGCUACUUUGCUGCAUCAUCCCUUCCUCUUCGGGGAAAACCAACGCAGUGCUCAAGAGGUAGCAAGAAGGAUUUCUGGUGCCGUUGCCGGGGAGGUCUACGCAAAAGUGAACAUACCAAGUACCCAUCACAUACCCUUAUCUCCCGCAUUACAUUAUUUUCCAUUUGCCUCUCGUUUUCACCUCCCCCACUUCACCCUUGCUGUUUUAUUCGCCCUCUCUCUCUAUCCGCCCUCUCUUUCUCUAUUUGCCUCUUUUUUCCCGCUUGCUUUCUGUUUGCUUGUGUGUUAGUUGCUUGCUUGUCACGAUGGCUCAAGAUAAUACUAAAUUAUGUGACUUCACAAUGGCGAAAGCCUGGUUUUCGUCUUUGGCUAAAAAUAGUAUUGAUUCAUGGAAUAAGUGCAAAGAUGCUUUUAUCUCUAAGUAUUUUCCUCCUGCUAAGAUCAUCUCUCUUAGAAACGAUAUAAUGAAUUUUAAGCAACUUGAUCAUGAACAUGUUGCACAAGCUUGGGAGAGAAUGAAACUAAUGGUACAUAAUUGCCCUGCCCAUGAUUUAAAUUUGUGGAUGAUUAUACAAAAUCUUUAUGCCGGAUUGAAUUUUGCUUCUAGAAAUCUUUUAGAUUCAGCCGCGGGAGGCACUUUUAUGGAAAUCACUUUAGGAGAAACUCCUAGAUAAUAUUAUGGUCAAUUAUUCUCAACGGCAUACUGAAAGAUCUAAUAAUAAAAUGGUGCAUGCGAUAGAAGAAAUUAAUGUUUUGAGUGGAAAGAUGGAUGAACUUCUGAAAUUAUUUGCUAAUAAGAGUGUUUCUUCUGAUCCUAAUGAUAUGCCCUUGUCUAAUUUGAUUGGGAAUAAUAAUGAAUCUAUGGAUGUGGAUUUUGUUGGUAGGAACAAUUUUGGUGACAACGCGUAUAGAGGAAAUUUCAACCCUAGGCUUUAUCCUAGUAAUCUCUCUAAUAAUGAUGGUAAUUCCUACAACAAUUCUUAUGGAAAUUAUAAUAAGAUUCCCUCUGAUUUUGAAUCUAAUAUUAAAGAAUUUAUUACUUUGCAAAAGAAUUUCAAUGCCUAGAUUGAAGAAAAAUUGCUUAAGAUUGAUGAUUUGGCUAGGAACGUUGAUAGAAUUACUCUUGAUGUUGAUUCUUUGAAACUUAGAACUAUUCCACCUAAGCAUGAUGUCAAUGAGUCUCUCAAAGCCAUGAGAAUUUCCAUUGAUGAGUGCAAAGAAAGAACCGCUAGGAUGCGUGCUAAGAAAGAUGCCUUUAUAAGAGCGUGUUCUUCUCGUUCCUAUGAAAAUAAUGAUGAAGAUCUAACAGUUAUUGAUGUGUUCCCUAUUAAAUCUUUGUUUUGCAAUAUGAAUCUUGAUAAUGAUGGGACUGAAUAUGAUCCACCUUUACCUAUCAGGCGUUCCAAGAAUUCAGAAUUUGUUGAUCUUGAUGCUAAAAUUGAUAAAGGUGGGAUUGAAGAAAUUAAAACCCUUGAUGUUGCUAAACCCACUAUUAUGGAUUUCAAGGAAUUUAACUAUGAAAAUUGCUCUUUUAUUGAUUGUAUAUCCUUGUUACAAUCCAUGCUAAAUUCUCCUCAUGCUUAUAGUCAAAAUAAAGCGUUUACUAAACAUAUCGUUGAUGCCUUGAUGCAAUCUUAUGAAGAAAAACUUGAAUUGGAAGUUUAUAUCCCUAGAAAGCUUUAUGAUGAGUGGGAAUCAACUAUUAAAAUUAAAAUUAAAUAUCAUGAAUGCUAUGCUUUAUGUGAUUUAGGUGCUAGUGUUUCCAUGAUUCCAAAGACUUUGUGUGAUUUGUUAGGUUUCCGUGAUUUUGAUGAUUGCUCUUUAAACUUGCGCCUUGCGGAUUCCACUAUUAAGAAACCUAUGGGAAGAAUUAAUGAUGUUCUUAUUGAUGCAAAUAGGAAUUAUGUGCCUGUAGAUUUUAUUGUUCUUGACAUAGAUUGCAAUCUUUCAUGUCCUAUUAUUCUUGGUAGACCUUUCCUUAGAACGAUUGGUGCAAUUAUUGAUAUGAAGGAAGGAAAUAUUAGAUUCCAAUUUCCAUUAAGGAAAGUCAUGGAACACUUUACUAGAAAGUAAAUUAAAUUAACUUAGGAAUCUAUUAUGAUAGCCACUUAUGGAUUGCCUACCAAAGAUGGCAAUACCUAGAUCUAUCCUUGCUUGUUAUGCCUAGCUAGGGGCAUUAAACGAUAGCGCUUGUUGGGAGGCAACCCAAUUUUGUUUUUAUUCCUUGAUUUUUGCUCCUGUUUAGUAAUAAAUAAUUUAUCUAGCCUCUGUUUCGGUUGUGUUCUUUGUGUUUAAUUACUGUUUGUGCCAAGUAGAACCGUUAGGAAGACUUGGGGAAAGUCUUGUUACACUUGCUGUAAAAAACAGAAACUUCAGCGCUCACGAGAACUGCUGCCAUUUUUAUUUGGAAGUGCUAUUUAGUUAAUUAUUUCUGCAGAUGAUUAAUACAUAAAUUCCUCACGUCCAGCAAUUUAUUUUAGAAUUUUUGGAGUUCCAGCUCUUGAGCUAGCUACAGAUUACUACAGACUAUUCUGUUUUUGAAAGAUUCUGUUUUUUCGUGUGUUGUUUGCUUAUUUUGAUGAACCUAUGGCUAGUAAAAUAGUUUAUAAACCAUAGAGAAGUUGGAAUACAGUAGGUAUAACACCAAUAUAAAUAAAUAAUGAGUUCAUUAUAGUACCUUCAAGUGGUCUUUUAUUUUCUUUCGCUAACGGAGCUCACGAGAUUUUCUACUUUAAGUUUUGUGUUGUGAAGUUUUCAAGUUUUGGGUAAAGAUUUGGUGGAUUAUGGAACAAGGAGUGACAAGAGCCUAAGCUUGGGGAUGCCCAUGGCACCCCCAAGAUAAUCUAAGUACACAUAAAAGCCAAAGCUUGGGGAUGCCCCGGAAGUCAUCCCCUCUUUCGUCUACUUCUAUCGGUAACUUUACUUGGAGCUAUAUUUUUAUUUGCCACAUGAUAUGUGUUUUGCUUGGAGCGUCUUGUAUUAUUUGACUUGUCAGGACCCCGAUUCCAAGCCACAUCGAUCUAGACGGUAACACCUCAUAUCACUUUGCAGCCUCACGCACGAUAUUCCACGGGUGUCGCAUUACCAUGGCCUGGGACCGUUUGCGCCUUUUGGCUCACGUAUAUGAUAGUGUCGCUAGCAUCCAUAUGACAGAGAACCCGGGCCGACAUGGCUAGUCGUGAACCCAAAGCGGCACAGACCUAUGGAGACAGGCAUACAUGAAUCACAUCGAGCAUGUCGGUCAUCAGCGAGUGAUUCCGGGCUUUAGCACUGGGCUAACAGGACUCCGGGGAACCCGGGCUGUAGCAGGCUAGGCAGGACUCCGGAAGUCACCGCGUGACAUUUCCCCGAAGAGACAGACAUAGGAACAAAGUGAAUCACAUGCUGGCCAGUCAAGUGUCCUGAGCAGUAGUGCUAGGCUAGCAGGACUCUGGUGAACCGGGCUGUAGCGGACUACUAUGGCUCGAGGAACACUAGACUACAUUUCCCCAUAAGAAAGGCUGCCAAGGAUAAACAACUAGAUUUUCGGAUCCCACUCAUACCAAGCAUUUCAAUCAUACACACAAUAUGCCCGAUAUGAGUACAUACAACAUGGCAUCACAACAAAACUCUACAAAUCAAGUACUUUAUUUAAAGGCUCCAGAGAGCCAUACAUAACAUGUUCAUACAGAUAGGGGUCACAUGACCCGACACUCAAGUCAUACAAUCAUACAAGCACAUGCGGAAGCAACCGGUCUGAGUACGGACACUAGAAAGAAAGAAGGCUCCUCGAGGCCUGUUUAUCUACAUAGGGCCCUCCAUGGCCAGGAUCACCACCUGGGUGGCUAGUCACUCGUCGACGUCAAGGUCUACAUAGAACCCAUCGGAGGGGGCGGUGUUGUCGUCUGAAAACAGUAAUUAAGCAAACAUGAGUACAAAGGUACUCAGCAAGUCUUACAACAGAACCUACUAUACAUGCUUAUUCUCAAGAAGGUGGUGGGGAUAUUGCAGCAAGCCAGCUUUGACUCUUGGCUAAACUAUCCUAUGGAACUUCUCUAGUAAAAUAGUUUUCGCACACGAGUCCACUACUCACCAACACAAUACUCCACCGGGGAUCCUCCCUCGUCAUCCUACGAGAGGGCCAUCCUCGGUACUCACACUUAUCUUGAGUCUUUUAGUAGUAUCCAUUUACUUGUCUACGAACUGUAUAGGCAACCAAGUAGUCCUUUACCGCGGACGCGGCUAUUCGAAUAGUUUUAUACCCUGCAGGGGUGUACUUCGUCAUGCACGCUUUCACCACUUAUCGCCGUUUACACGACAUGUACUCGGCAACCUUCAAGCGGAAGCCCAGUGAGGGUGUCGGCCACGGCCUACCUAAACACUUAAGUCUCUAGUCCAGGUUUAUCGCCUAUCCAGGUUCCAUCCGCAGGGAGUCCGGCCGAGGUUUCCACAUACGGCCCGAACGAUGUGAACAGGGUCCCGAGACGCCAAUCGGGCACCCGGCAUACCCGGCCACGGUGUAUCUACCGCAACAUAGCCCACCCCUAGGGUCAGCACUACGCACGGCCGCCAACACAUAACCUACAAGCACCAGAAACUAUUUGCAACUCCUGGACAGAGUACUAGGGUGAUUAAGAAGCCGAGAGGGUCAAUUAAGGAUCCCAAUGCAUGGUAGUAGCUGAAUCUUAAAUCGCACAUACAGAUCUCAGUUCUUUGGGACGGUCUCAAUGAAACAACCCACCAUGUACUCCUACAUGGCCUCUCAUCGAUACCUUUACCAAAACAUGUUCAACACAUUCCUCAUAUUACCGACAUAAUCAUAUCACUCUAGCCCAUCACCCAGAUGAACCAGACCUGACACAACUCUAAGCAUAGCAGGCAUAGCAAGGUAGGAAUCACAGACAUGGCUCAAUCAACUCCUACACAUGCUAGUGGGUUUCAUCUAGUUACUGCGGCAAUGACAGAUCAUGUAGAGGAUAAGGGUUCAACUACCGUAGCACACAGUAGUUUGAAUCGCGUUGUCUUAAUCCAGUAAACAAGAGCAAAGGCGAGAACAUGGGUUGUAUCGGAAUGAUCAAUGGGUUGCUUGCCUGAUGGAGUGGUAGCGGGAUACUGCCCUUCAGUUGGAUACUCGUGAAUAUCCUCGGAGGCAGAACCUACCACGAAGAACACAUCGGAACACAAUCAACACAUGACGAUAUGCAACAAUAUGAUGCAUGCUAUGACAUGGCUAUGGUGUUGGCCUAAUGCAAGCUAAAAUAGAAAGGGAUGAACUCAUUUGAAUCAAAGAUUCAAAUAUUAGCUCAUUAAACAUGGCCUUAAUAGUGGAUUUCCUUAUUCUGCUUAAACAGCAAGGUAAACUUGUUUUUUCAUGCAUGAAACCAUUACAUAUGGAUAGAUUGAAUUUUUCUGAUAAAUUUUUCAUAUAUAAAUUAUUUCAUUUGGAGUUACGGUUGAAUUUCUAUGAUUUUUAGAAGUUUUAAACAUUUUCUGGAAUUUCCUGAAUAAAGAUAAAUCCAGAAAAUGCAUUACUGCAUCAGCAUUGCGUCAUGCUGACCUCAGCAGGUCAAAGGCGCCAGCCCAGGUCAAACCUGACUGGUGGGCCCCUUCUGUCAGUCUCUGAGUUAAAUAACAGGAUUAGAUUAACACUAAUUAGCUGUCAGUGGGGCCUGGGCCCACAUGUCAGUGACUGAUUAAAAUAAAAUUAGUUAAAACUAAUCCUAGAUUAGUUAGCAGACCGGCCCCACCUGUCAUAGACUCAGGGGGGUCUACCUGGGCCCACCCAGGGUCAAACUGGGUCAAACUCACCGGCGUUGAGCAGCCGGCGAGGCCCGAGACGGUGGCGCAGCUCGGAAAACGCCUAUAGGGCAUGAGGGAGGCCGUUCUUGGGCUCGUUGGAGAGCUCUUGCAAUCGCGCAUCUAGUGGUGGUGGUGGCCGAGCCUACGGUGGCCGGAGACGACGACGGCGAGCUCCAAGGCGGCGGCCGGAGUUCGGCCAUGUGCGGGGUGUGGGCUGCGGUGUGCAAACGUGGAAACUGAGGCGCUAGCGAGGCACUACGCGAUGCGGCAAGCAUGUUGCGUAGCACGGGAUGACCAAAUGGUCGCCGAAGCGGCACCGGCGACAAGCUCGAGCGGAGACGAGCUUCGGCCAUGGUGGAACUAUGGCCUAGAGGGUGCAAACGCGUGGAAAAGAAGAGGGGAAAGGUGGGGGAGCUCACAGGGAGGUCGAUGAGCAGCUCAGCGGGCUUGGGGGCGACCGGAGUGAGGCGAAUCGAUGAGCGGUGUCCGGUGGGUACCGAGGUUGAAGACGAUCCGAUGGCGGCGAUGCAGGGCCUCCGGCGAUGCGUGGCUCGGUGGGGAGGGCGAGGGCGUCACGGCAGAGCUUCUGGACAGGUCUGAGAGGCGAGAGGGUGACGGAGGGCGUGACUACGGCGGUGAGAGGGCGACGGGUGCGUCGGCCAUCGCGGGAGAGGGAGAGGGAGACGCGGUGGAGAGUGAGAGAGGAUGAGAGGGGGACGUGGGGGUCGCGUGGCAUUCCCUAGACGUCUCCCGGUGUCGGCGGAAGCAGGAGGUGGCCGGCGUGUGGCCGCGGGCGUCGGCCACGCGCUCCGCGUCCUUCUGGCACGAGGAGGACGACGACUGGCAGCGCCAGUAGGCUGGGCCGAGCCAGGUGGGCUGGCCAGCACAGGUAAGGCCCAGGUGGGCUUCUCCCUCUCUUUUUUUAAUUUGUUUCUGUUUUCUAUUUAACUGUAACUGUUGGGCUUUAUUUAAAAUACUAAAACAUUUCCAAAAAUCCUGAAAAUAAUUGUGGGCUCUAUUUGGAUUAUUUCCAACAGCAAACAUUUAUUUCCAGAAUUAUUUGAGCAUCUAAAUUAUUUAAUAGCAUUUAAAUGUCCAAAUUCAAAUACUUAUGAUUUAAAUCAAUGACCUUCUGUUGACCAAGAAAAAUUGUGCACCAAUUUUGCCAGAGGUUCUAACCCAAGACAAAGAGGGUGAACUUUUUAGAAGGGCAUUUCAGGUUCAUUGAAAAUAAUUUUAGUAAACCCUAGUUGUUUCCAGGGGGGUGUUGGGGGUUUGUGCCUUCCCCAACUCAAAUUUAAGAGGAAUUUAAACAUGAUGCACAUUCUAAUGCUUGAACUAGCUAGGGUGUGACAACUCACCCCCAGUCAAAAGAAUCUCGUCCUGAGAUUUAGGAUCCUCUGGAAAGAAGGUGGGGUACUCGAGUCGAAGACGAUCCUCCCUUUCCCAAGUGGCUUCUUUCUCGGAAUGGUGUGACCAUUGAACCUUGAGAAACUUGAUAUUAUGACGUCGAGUGGUACGCUCGGCUUGAUCAAGGAGACGAACGGGAUAUUAUCGUUAAGAGAGAUUAUCUUGUAGAUCAAGCGUUUUGUGGUCCACUCCACGAAUAGGAUCCGCGAAGCAACGCCUGAGUUGUGAAACGUGGAAGACAUCAUGAACUCUGGAAAGAUGCGGAGGUAGUUCCAAUUGGUAGGCAACUUCUCCUCGUUUGGCAAGAAUGCGAAAGGGUCCAAUGUAACGAGGAGCCAAUUUGCCUUUGAUACCGAAACGAUGGGUUCCUUUUAAUGGGGUAACCCGAAGGUAAGCCUUCUCGUCGACUUCAUAAGUCAUAGGCUUAUGUUUACGAUCAUAUUGACUCUUUUGACGAGAUUGGGCUGUUUUCAAUUUCUCACGAAUAACGCGAACCUGCUCUUCCGCUUCCUGAAUCAUAUCCGGUCCAAAGAGUUGUCUUUCCCCGGUUACUGACCAGUUAAGAGGCGUUCGACAUUUUCGUCCAUAGAGAACUUCGAAAGGAGCUUUGCCCAAGCUAGCUUGAUAACUAUUAUUAUAAGGAAACUCCGCGAAUGGGAGGCAUUUCUCCCAACUCAUUCCGAACAAGAUAACAUAAGCUCGGAGCAUAUCUUCCAGAAUUUGAUUGACUUGCUCUACUUGACAACUUGAUUGAGGAUGGAAGGCUGUACUAAAAGAGAGACGAGUUCCCAUAGCAUUUUGGAAACUUUCCCAAAAUCGAGAGGUGAAGAGACUCCCACGGUCUGAGUUAAUUUCCAAUGGGACACCAUGGAGAGACACUAUUCGGGAGAUGUAUAAAUCGGCUAGCUGGAUAGCAGUGAUAUUCUCACGAACAGGUAGGAAAUGGGCUACUUUGGAAAGACGGUCGAUCACGACGAAGAUGGCAUUAUUCCCUCUCUUGGUCCUGGGAAACCCAGUAAUGAAAUCCAUACUGAUUUUAUCCAAUUACCAUUCAGGAAUAGCCAAAGGUUGAAGGGUGCCAGCAGGCCGUUGAUGCUCUGCUUUAACACGACGACAGACGUUGCAGCUAGCAAUGUAUUGAGCGAUUUAUCUCUUCAUCCUAGUCCACCAAAACCUGUGGCGUAGGUCUUGAUACAUUUUAGUGCUACCGGGAUGAAUGGUGAGAGGGGAUUCAUGAGCUUCCUUAAGGAUCAAUUGGCGUAGAUGUUGUUUCUUGGGAACCACCAAACGAUUCUCAAAGAAGACAGCACCCCGCUUAUCCAUGAAAAAACAUUUAGCAACUCCACUAGUAAUGUUUUCCUUAAUCCGGGAUAUGCCCUUAUCAUACCACUGGGCGGUUAUGAUCUGAUCCAUAAGGUUAGGUUUCGCCACCAGGGUGGAUAGGAAUCCUCGAGGAACAAUGUGAAGAUUAAGCUUACGGAAUUCCUCAUGCAGAAGUGGUUGACUUUGUUGUAACAUCGGGUUGUUACAAUAGUAUUACGGCUUAGCGCAUCAGCCAUGACAUUGGCUUUGCAUGGGGUGUAGGUUAUUCCUAAGUCGUUAUCCAAGAUCAACUCAACCCAACGUCUUUGCCUGAGAUUCAAAUCUGGUUGGGUGAAGAUAUAUUUCAAGCUUUGGUGAUCGGUGAAGAUCUCGCAACGAUUACCGAGGAGGUAAUGUCGCCAAGUUUUAAGUGCAUGGACUACAGCUGCCAGCUCUAGAUCAUGUGUGGGAUAAUUUUCCUCAUGUGGGUGUAAUUGCCGUGAAGCGUAGGCAAUUACCUGAUGAUCUUGCAUGAGUAUGCAACCUAGUCCUUGUCGCGAGGCGUCGCAAUAGAUAAUAAAGUCCUUGGAGAAAUCCGGUGGUACCAGUACGGGAGAAGAUGUCAGGCGUCUUUUCAGUUCCUGAAAGUUGAACUCGCACUGUGGAGUCCACUCAAACUUUUUAUCUUUCUUGAGGAGUUCAGUUAGAGGUUUAGCAACCUUGGAUAAAUUCUCGACGAAGCGGCGGCAAUAGCUCGCUAAGCCAAGGAAGCUCCGAACUUGCUUGACCGUCUCAGGUGGAGUCCAAUCAAGGACGGCUUGAACUCGCUCGGGAUUGACGGCAAUACCCUUACCAGAGAUUACAUGGCCUAAAUAGGUUACUUCUGGCAACCAAAAUCGACACUUGGAGAACUUGGCAUAAAGGCGAUGCUCUCGAAGUUUCAUCAAUACCAGCCUUAGAUGUUCGGCAUGUUCCUCUUCAUUCUUGGAGUAGAUGAGUAUGUCAUCGAGGUAUACUACGACGAAUUUAUCCAAGUACUCCAUGAAAACCGAGUUCAUUAACCGGGAGAAGGUAGCCGGGGCAUUGGUUAAACCGAAGGACAUAACGGUGUACUCGUAUUGGCCAUAACGAGUAACAAAGGUCGUUUUGGGAAUGUCCCCGUUUCUGAUUUUGAUUUGAUGGUAGCCCAACCUCAAAUCCAUCUUGGAAAAGACUGAGGAUCCAGCGAGCUGAUCAUACAGAUCAUUGAUCCUGGGAAGCGUGUAUUUGUUCUUGAUGGUGACCAAGUUGACAGGUCGGUAAUCCACAACCAUUCGAUCUGUUCCAUCCUUCUUCUUGACGAAGAGGAUGGGGCAAGCCCAAGGAGAGGAACUAGGACGGAUGAAACCCUUUUUCAAGGACUCAUCGAGUUGGUUCUUAAGCUCGGCUAGUUCUAAGGGUGCCAUCUUGUAGGGUCUUCUAGAAAUUGGAACGGUUCUUGGAACAAGGUCUAUCACAAACUCGACAUCCCUGUCAGGUGGAACACCUGGCAGUUCUUCUGGAAAGACAUCCGGAAAGUCUCGGACUACCGGAACAUCCUCAAGGUCUAGAAGGGGGUUGAUAUUUAGGGAGUAAAGUUGGCGCUUGGCCACUCGAGUUAAGACAUUAACUGUCUUGCCCGAUGGGUAAGUUGAACGGUUCUAGUGGCACAGUCAAUCUUAGCAUAAUGAGCUGACUUCCAGUCCAUACCUAAGAUGAUGUUUAUGUCCGAGGACUUGAGAGCUAUUAAGGCUGCAAGGAAGACAAGUCUAUCGACAAGAAUUCGUUCCCAUGGCUUACUCUAGAAGUUUGCCAUCUAGAGCCAGGGGUUUGAAUUUCCAUGGUAGAGGGCAUGUCACAGAAUGUGGUGUUGUGCAAUCGAGCAUAGUUCUCGGAUAUGAAUGAAUGAGAUGCUCCAGUAUUGAAAAGAACAGAUGCCGGAUGGCAGUUAACAAGGAGCGUACUAAGGACGACGUUGGGAUCCUCAUGAGCCUCCUCGGCUGAAACAUAGUUGACAUGGCCACGUGCAGUGGUGGCCGGCUUGGCGUAGAAUGUUUUUCCGACGGGCUUACCACGGCCAACGGACUUUCCAGUUUGAUUGGGGUUGUUGUUCUGGGGACACUCUCGGCUAUAGUGACUCGGCUCUCCACACUUAAAGCAUGUCACCACAUUGGGGCGUGGAGCAGCAUUAGCAGCGGGGCCACCAUAGGGCUUGGGCGGUGCAAAUUGCUGGUUGGGACGUGGUACCUCAAAGGAUGGCCUCGGGAUGAACCUGGGUGGCAGUGCCGUGCUUGGAAUCCACACCCGGCGCUUCUCAGCUCCAGAGCCAGAUGAAGAGCCAAAAUCACGGGAGUGCUUGCGUGAAGCGUCAUAAUCAGUCUGGCUUGUCUCAGCACUGAUGGCUUUAUUGACCAACUUCUGAAAGGAGGUGCACUCGUGCAGAUGAAGAUCGCGGCGAAGCUCAGGGCUAAGUCCCUUGCGGAACCUUGCCUGCUUCUUAGCAUCAGUAGAUACCUCUUCGGGGGCAUAACGUGCCAGAUUCCCAAAUUCACGACUGUAAGCAUCCAUAGUCAGUCUUCCUUGGGUGAAGUUGAAUAACUCCUCCCUCUUGCGAUCCAUGAGACCUUCCAGAAUGUGAUGCUCACGGAAAACCUCACUGAAUUCAGCCCAAGUAGUGAUUUGGCCGACUGGGCGCAUAGCUUCGAAGUUUUCCCACCAAAGGCUAGCAGGGCCUUCGAGGUGAUAGGCAGCAUAAGUAACCUUCUCGGCUUCGGCUACGUUGGCAGAACGUAGCUUGUGGGUGAUGCUGCGAAGCCAGUCAUCCGCGUCGAGGGGCUCGACGGAAUGGUUAAACUUUGGUGGGUACAGCUUGAUAAAGUCAUUGAUUGACACCAAGUCAUUUUGCGGGUGGCGUGAAGUGUUUUGCUCAAUCCGCUCCAGCAGGCGGUUGGUCUCACGCUUGUUUCUUUCCGCCUCCAGCAUUACUUCAGCCAAAGAAGGCAUGUGAGGCAGAUUUUCACCUCUAGCAGCACUGGCUUCCCCCUGCUCCGGGGCUGCAGGGUUGCUGCGGGUGUUGACCAUCCUAGGAGAAAACAAGACAACGGUUUAGACAAGGAUGGCUCAAACUUAGCAAGGAAGUGCAUAAUGUAAUGGAUAACACGGAAUGCAGAGAUGUUCAUCCGUAUGUCAUGGUAAUAUAAAACUGCAAUAUAUAUACCAACGGUCAUACACAUCAUACAUAGUUUAGUACAAGCCCAGGCUACAGUACAACUAUGAUGAAAGACGUUACAUCUCAUCGGAGGCAUUCCAAGAUCCUAUACAUUAUUGUCUACACCUCCGGAAUUGAUUACACGCAAAGUCAUAUUCCACAAGUCACGCAGGACAGUGGAGAUACAACUACUACAAUACUAGUGGUACUACUAUGUCACGACCGGUUUUCCAAUAAAAAUAUUUAUUGAGAAACCAAUCUUUUGAGUCCAGUAUGAGGGAAAUCCUCCUCACUGGUAGACAAAAUUCUUGAUACAAUAAGCCAGUAGCAAAGAAUAUAUUACAAGGUUGAGCUAGGGCUGCUCAACAAUUUAUAACAAGCGCGCCAACAAUUAUAUAUAAUGGCGGAUAUACCACAAUGGUGUGGUGGCAUACUACUGACUCGGGGAUAAAGUGAUGGUGGAAUAACACAGUGGGGAGUGUGAUAACAUGACUCUCAAACUGGCAUCUCAUCGAGCGUCGAGGUGAGGCUCGAUGAAUUUUAUUCGGGUUGCGGAAGCGAAUAUAAUACAUUGACCGAAUCCAGGGUCGCACGAGACUGAUUGGGACUCCUCUAGGCGUCGGACUCGCUAUCGAACUAUUCAUCCAUGAGAUCGCCUUCGUCAGCAUCUGGCCAAAUCAACAAGCCAGUGAGUACUUUGAUAGUACUCGCAAGACAGUUUGGACUUAAGAUAUAACAAAUGCAUGCAUGAAUGCGUCAUGAUUAAUUCACCAAAUGUGCAUUCCAAAAAUUAGCAUAACAAAGCAAGUAAAAGGGAAACGGCGGUAGUCCGCCUGAAAUCCCAACAAAAGCAUAAAUGAAAACCGAUCGGGUGUCUGAAGCGAUGCCUCGAAAGGUGAACAAAUAAAUAAAGGAGAAAGUCAUGCCACAGUCGGGCGUCUUCACGACACCACAUAAAGGGCUUUGAAAGAAAUGCCACAGUCGGACGUCGGGGCGACAUCACAGAAAGGGCUUUAAAAGAAAUGCCACAGUCGGACGUCGGGGCGACAUCACAGAAAGGGCUUUAAAAAAAUGCCACAGUCAGAANNNNNNNNNNNNNNNNNNNNNNNNNNNNNNNNNNNNNNNNNNNNNNNNNNNNNNNNNNNNNNNNNNNNNNNNNNNNNNNNNNNNNNNNNNNNNNNNNNNNNNNNNNNNNNNNNNNNNNNNNNNNNNNNNNNNNNNNNNNNNNNNNNNNNNNNNNNNNNNNNNNNNNNNNNNNNNNNNNNNNNNNNNNNNNNNNNNNNNNNNNNNNNNNNNNNNNNNNNNNNNNNNNNNNNNNNNNNNNNNNNNCGGACGUCGGGGCGACAUCACAAAAAGGGCUUUAAAAGAAAUGCCACAGUCGGAUGUCGGGGCGACAUCACAAAAAGGGCUUUAAAAGAAAUGCCACAGUCGGACGUCGGGGUAACAUCACAGAAAGGGCUUUAAAAGAAAUGCCACAGUCGGACUUCGGGGCGACAUCACAGAAAGGGCUGUAAAAGAAAUGCCACAGUCGGACGUCGGAGCGACAUCGCAGAAAGGGUUUUAUUCACAAGUAAAUAAUAAUCAUAAUAAAUAUUCAAUUCAUGAUAAUAAACAGGUUAGUCCAUCCACAGGAAUAACAUUUAGCCGGGCUUAGCACUCAUGGGAUUCACCGGAGUCUCUGUCAUCAAACUGAUACUGUUAGGCCAAGAUGAUACGAAUUUGGACAUGGAAUAGAUGAUUCAAGGAAUGUAUGACUCUGCAGAGUUUGUACAAAAUUUUUUCCCACAGCCAACGGAUUUCCGUAGUCACGAGGGACUAGUUCCGUUUACGGUUUUUCGGAAGAAAACACAGCUAACCAAUACACACCCAUCCUACCUCUCGAUGCCAGGACUCACCCUAGACAUCGUCCAAGAAAAACUUUUGAGACGGGGAGAUCACAAUCUCGAAUAGCAUGGGAUCAAAUUUAUAUAUGCGCGCUCUAAGGGGUGCCCCCCUCUCGGUCCCAACCGGAAACACCCAUGCCCCCUGACCGGAUGACUGGCUUUAAUCCAGGGCCAUGGAACCAUCAUCCUGGCCUCUCCUUUUGGUGUGUACCAGGAAAGCGGUUUGCAACUUACUAAGCCAUAUUCCUUGCGAAAAACAUGUGGUAGUACAGGGAAGGAAAUGGGAGGAACUGGACUGGUACGGUUUGACCCUGAAGUCAUAUAGUCUGGCAUAAGACUGGCAUGCUACAACACUGCCAUCUUACCCAUCCUCAUGCCAACACAUGGCCAUUCAUACUCACAUCCAUCCACUUAUGGAUCAUCGAACUCACUUACCUCAACAUUUCAUAAAAAAAAUAACGUUCAUCGGUAUGCUCAUCAACAUGCCAUGAAACUAACUAAAUGCAAAACAUGCCAAGACACUCAUCAUAUCAAAAGUUCAAACAUGCUUGCCUGGUUCAGAGUAGUCGGAGCCUAGCUCGGUGAAGUUCGCGGCUCCGUCACCUCCUUCGGUAUCUAUGGUAUAAAGAAAAUAUAUGCGCUAUCGUAAAUUCCAAGAGGUGCACAGAAAGUAUUCCAAAUAUUUUUCAAAUAAAUAUGAUAAAAAACUAGACAAAAAUCUGAAGAGGACAGGAAAAGAAUCACUCAAAAAUUCCUUUCUGUUAAAAAGUUAUAAGGGUUUUAAUCCAAGGACUUAUCUGUAAUGAAACAGAAAGUUUCCAGGGGCUAGUUUAUAAAAACAGAAAACGCUUCGGCAGAAACUACGCCAGCCCAGAGGGAAGGCGCAUUUGGCAGAAGGCGUUUUCAGAAAACGAUUCGCUUAGACAGGAUAGAGAGGCUGACAGCGGGUCCCGCCCGUCAGGUUUAAACUUUCAAACGGGGGGGGGGGCAGAUUUCGCCGGUGCCCGAGAGCCGCGGUGGUCGCCGGCGGCGAUCCACGGCCAGGCAGGGUGAUCGGAGAUUACCAACGUGCUCACCGUGUCCUUCCGCAAUGGUGGGUGGUGGUGUUGGUCGCCGGUGAGCACCACGUCGACGCAGAGCUUGGUCGGGAAGGUUUAGGGAGUUGGGCGUCAUCGCGAAGUUGCACCGGUUCCAUUUAGGUGCUAAGCGAGCUUGGAUUGGGGUGCUAAGGGCGAAGUCGACGGAACGGGGCGGCGCGGGCCCGUCGGCGGCAGGGAGCAUGUUUCGUGCUUGCCGGGCCGCAGUGAUGGUGCCACGGGCGUGCGCUGGCAUGCAUGAGGACAUGCGGAGAGCCAGGGAGCUUUGGGUGGCGCCGAACGGCGUUCUGCCGUGGUGUGCCUUCUGUCGGCCGCCACAGGAGGUCCCGACGCCGCAGAAGACGCCGGCGAGGGCGGGCCAGCGCGCCACUGACGCCAGGAAAGCUCCAAGCACGCGUGUGAAGCUCCGGACAAGAGGGAGGGGCUGCGAGCAUCGAGCCAAAGGCACUGUGAGCAUAUGCCUGAAACUCUGAAGAAAACGACACUGUAAAACUGAAUUUUACUGAACUUUUCUGAAAAAUGCAAAGAACAGUGCAGCUCAGGUGAUCGACAGAAUGUUUUUGGCAUCUAGGGAUUUUUCCUUGAGCUAAAACUUGGUGGAGUGGCCUCUCAUUGCUCCAGUAGGCUGCCUGAAUUUUGGUGGAAUUUUUUUGGAGAAGUGUAGAUAUGAAUUUCACCAAAUUUGGCAAAUCUGGUCCAAACUUGCAGUGAGUGAAAUUGAAAUAUUUGAAAAGAAUAAGAGUGGAUCAAGAUGGUUCUAGGUUGUGGGUACUAAAGACAAUCCAGGGAAGUUGGUUUGGGAUAAAAACUCAAAGGCAAAGUGAUACUUGCUUUGAAAAUCACUUAAGCUCAAAAUAAAUGGCAGAAAUGUUUUGGGGGAUAAAAUAAUUGAAAUAAAAUCCAAAACUUGUUUGGACUUGUUGAGACAGAGAAUUUAGAUUGUUCAAAGGUGGAGGGAUGGAUUUUGAGAGGAUUUACUAUAGGAGACAUGGUAAAACCAUGGGUGUUUUCAAAAAGAAAGAAGUCCCAAAACUCCUAGGGUUUCCUUUUUUUUGAAAAAAAUAAGUUUGAGAGGGUAACAACCAGAAGGAAAAGCUCCCAAAAACUUCAACACCAAAUUUGAAAAGGGAAAAGAAAAUCCUUGACAAAGGAAAGGAAGUUUUUAAGAGGAAGGAUUUCUGGAAAAGAAAUUUUUAAAAAACCCUCUUUUAAAAUCCAACAAGGUUUUGAUAAAAACCAAAUUAAAAUUUUGGAGUGUCACAGCACUUACCCCCUUAGGAAAAAUCUCGUCCCCGAGAUUUCAGCUGAUCCUUAAAUAAGCGAGGAUGCUCUGUCCGAAGAAAAUCCUCUCUUUCCCAAGUUGUUUCACUGUCGGUGUGAUUGCUCCACUGGACUUUGAAAAACUUGAUGGUCUUCUGUCGGGUCCUCCUUUCAGACUCCUCUAAUAUUCUUACAGGACGUUCCCGAUAAGUGAGGUCUGGCUGCACGUCGAUGUUCUCAUGGGAUACUUGUUUCUCUGGGUUGCUUACGCACUUCCUCAAUUGCGAGACGUGGAACACGUCGUGGACAUCGGAUAAUUCCUCGGGUAAGUCUAGCUGGUAGGCUACCGUGCCUCUUCGUGCCCUUAUACAGAAAGGUCCGAUGAAUCUUGGUGCUAGCUUCCCUUCAAUCUUGAACCAUUGCAAUCCGCUCAUAGGGAUACUCUUAGGUAUACGAACUCACCGGGUUCGAAGCUGACCCCACGAUGUUUCUGAUCGUAAUAACUCUUCUGUCGACUUUGAGCAGUCUUAAGUCGGUCUCUGAUUAGUUUGACUUUUUCCUCGGCUUCUCUGAGCAUGUCUGGUCCGAAGAUGCGGCUGUCUCCGGUCUCUGACCAAUUUAACGGGGUACGACAUCUUCGUCCGUAUAAGGCCUCAAAUGGUGCCAUUUGCAGGCUGGCCUGGUAGCUAUUGUUGUACGCGAACUCGGCGUAUGGCAGGCUUUCUUCCCAACUAUUUUCAUAGGUGAGGACACAUGCUCUCAGCAUGUCUUCUAAAACCUGGUUUACGCGUUCUGUUUGCCCAUCGGUCUGUGGGUGGUAUGCGGUACUGAAGGCUAGUUGGGUUCCCAGAGCCUGUUGUAAAUGCUCCCAAAAGCUCGAGACGAACUGAGUGCCUCUGUCGGACAUUAUAGUCUUCGGGACACCGUGCAGACAAACUAUGCGGGAAAGAUAAAUCCUGGCAAGCCUCUGAGUGGUGUGGGUCGUCUUUAUUGGAAUAAAGUGUGCCACUUUGGUUAACCUAUCAGUGAUGACCCAUAUGGCAUCAUUCCCGUGUCGUGACCGAGGUAGUCCGACAAUGAAAUCCAUCCCUAUUUCAUCCCAUUUCCACUCAGGUAUUUUGUUCGGUUGCAGUAGUCCGGCUGGUCUCUGAUGCUCAGCUUUUAUGCGUUGACAUGAGUCGCAGCGCGCAAUGAAGGUGGCUAUGUCCCUCUUCAUACUGUGCCACCAAAAUCUUUCCUGAAUAUCUUUAUACGUUUUGGUUCCUCCAGGGUGGAUCGAGUACGAGGCGGUGUGGGCUUCAGCUAAAAUUUGCUAUUUAAGGUCUUCUAUGUUUGGCACGCAGAGUCUGUCUCCGUACCAUAAUAUUCCUUCAUUGUCUAUGACUAAUUCCGAGGCUUUGCCCAUACUCACCUUUCUUUUGAUGCCUUCGAUGCUGGGGUGACCGGGCUGAGCUCCUUUAAUUUCCCCCACAAGGUCGGGUUGUAUUUCCAAGUUUGAUAUGGUGCCUUCUGCUACCAUCAUCAAGUUGAGCUUGGCAAAUUCUUGUUGGAAUUCGGGCCUCAAUCUGUGCAAAUUGUUGUCGUCGGAGCUGGGAUUCCGACUAAGAGCAUCGGCCACUACAUUUGCUUUUCCUGGAUGGUAAUGGAUACCAACAUCAUAAUCCUUUACCAAUUCCAACCAACGUCGUUGCCGUAAGUUUAGUUCUGGCUGUGUGAAAAUAUAUUUGAGGCUUUUGUGAUCCGUAUAUAUUUCACAUCGAUUCCCAAGUAAGAAAUGCCUCCAUUCCUUGAGUGCAUGAAUAACUGCUGCCAUUUCUAAGUCAUGAGUGGGAUAAUUUUCCUCAUGCUUACGAAGUUGCCUUGAAGCGUAGGCGACAACCUUGCCUUCCUGCAUCAACACGCAUCCGAGGCCCUUUCUGGACGCGUCACAAUAUACUUCAAAAUUCUUGUGUAUGUUGGGUACAAUUAAUACCGGUGAUGUCGUUAAUUUCCGUUUUAGCUCUUGGAAACUUUUCUCGCAGGCUUCUUUCCAUUCAAACUUCUUGUCUUUCUUGAGUAACUGUGUCAUAGGCUUGGCUAUGGUGGAGAACACUUCAAUAAAACUGUGGUAAUAUCCUAACAUUCCCAAGAAACUUCGUAUGUCCGUUACGCUGGCUAGUGACAUCCAGCCAAGUAUGGCCUUGACUUUCUCUGGGUCCACUGCGAUACCGUCUUGGGUCAGUACGUGGCCUAGAAAGCCUACUUUUCUUAGCCAAAAUUCGCACUUGCUGAACUUGGCAUACAAUUGGUGUUUUCUGAGCUCUCCUAGCACAAUCUUGAGAUGUUCUGCGUGCUCUUCUGGUGUCUUGGAGUAUACCAGAAUAUCGUCGAUGAAUACCACGACGAACUUGUCCAUAAACUUCAUAAAUACUUUGUUCAUGAGGUGAACAAAAUAUGCGGGGGCGUUAGUUAAUCCAAAUGGCAUCACUGUGAACUCGUACAGUCCAUAUCUGGAGGUGAAGGCUGUUUUGGGAAUAUCUUCUGUUCGCACCUUUAAUUGAUGGUAUCCUGACCUUAAGUCAAUUUUUGAGAAUACCUUGGCCUGAGCGAGUUGAUCAAACAAAUCGUUUAUCCUUGGCAUCGGGUAUUUGUUCUUGACUGUGACCAUGUUAAGUGCUCGAUAGUCAAUACACAAUCUCAGUGUUCCAUCCUUCUUUUGGCAAAUAAAAUUGGUGAUCCCCAAGGUGAGGAGCUGGCUCGAAUGUAUCCUUUGUCUAGCAAUUCCCUUAUUUGUUUCUUCAACUCAACUAAUUUGGAUGGUGCCAUUCGGUACGGUUUCUUGUAUAUGGGGGUGGUUCCUAGUGCGAGCUCAAUGCUGAACUCUAUCUCUCGGUCUGGUGGCAUGCCUGGUUGCUCUUCAGGGAAUACGUCUGGAAAUUCACACACUACUGGAACCUUGUUUAGCUCAGAAAUGUCCACCUUAUUCAAUCUCGGUUGGCAGGGUAUUUUUCCUUCCUUGGCUGAUACUCUUAUUGUCUUCCCUUGGUGGUGUGUGAGAAUUACGGUCCUGUUGAAACAGUCGAUAAACCCCUUGUUGGUGGUUAGCCAAUCCAUCCCUAGGAUGACAUCCAGUCCUUUAUUUUCCAACACAAUAAGAUUUGCGUGAAACUCCAAUCCUUCGAACUCAAUGACCACAUUCUGACACUAAUUCUGAGUAACUUGCUGAAUCCCAGGGGACUUGAUGAUCAUGGAUUUCUCCAAAGGAAGCAUCGAAAAAUUAUUUUGCAAAGCAAAACUUUUCAAAAUGAAAGAGUGAGAAGCUCCAGAAUCAAACAAAACCGUUGCAGGUAUUGUGUUGACAGGAAACGUACCGAGUACGAUAUCCGGAGCAUUUUGUGCCUCCUCUUUGGUUACGUGGUUCAGAUGAUCCUUCCUGUGGUUGUUGUUGGGAUUGAAAUUGUUUCGCUUGGGCACUGAAUUACUGCCGCCGUUGUUCGGCUUUGGGGUUGAGUUCCUUGGCUUGGGGCACUGUUUGGCAUAGUGCCCUUCUUCUCCACAAGUGUAACAAGUAACGCCGGGGCGAUAUGUGAACUCCUUGUCCCUUGCAUGAAAAUUCUUGAUUGGGAGUGAGACGUUGGAUGAGGAUUUGUGCGUCCCACCCUUUUUGAAAUCUGUCUUGCUCCGGUGAUUGCGAGCAAGGUUAGUCUGGUCCCUUUUUCGCUUGCGGAUAUCUUCCAGACUGCGUCUCUCAUUCUCCAGAGUAAUGGCUUUGUCCACCAGUGUUUUAAAAUCAGGAAAAGUGUGCACGACCAGUUGGCAUUUAAGCGCGGGCACCAUACCGUCAAGGAAUUUCUCCAUCUUCUUGCUUUCAGUCAUACGCUCUUCAUUGGCGUAGCGGGACAAUAGAGUAAAUUGACUGUUGUAAUCUGACACUGUCAUGUUCCUUUGCUUGAGGUCGUCGAACUCUCUCUUCUUGAUUUUCAUAAUACUCUUAGGAAUGUGUGCACCACGGAAACCUUCCUUGAAAUCAUCCCAGGUUAUGUCAUUUUCAUUGGGAUGCAUGUGCAGAAAAUUCUCCCACCACGAUGCGGCUGCUCCUGUGAGAUAGUGCGGAGUAUACAGUGCUUUUUCGGGGUCUGAACAUUUUGCAAUAUCUCUAAGCCAGUCCUCGGCUUCAAGAGGUUUGUCAGUGUGAGAAAAUGUUUGGGGACGUGUCUUCUGAAGCUUAGAUAACUUGGAUUGCUGCUGAUACUGUCCAUGGUGAUUCCCCAUGUUGAUGACUUGGUUCAUCAUUUCACGAUGUUGUUGCUGACUUUGUUCAUAUAGGCGGCACAUUUGGGAAAGUGUCGUUUCACUGUCCUGUUGACUCGACUGCCCUUGUGUGAAAUUGUUGCCUGGUUGAGUGUCAUAAUUUUCCUCUGGUGGAGUAGGCAUGGAGCGAGUCCAAGGACGAGACAUUUUUCACUAUGGGGAUAUAAUUUGCAAAACUCAUAAGAAAAGCGAAAAUGGUCGCAAAAACAAAUCCAAAAUUGCACAAGGAUGGCAAAUAAUUUAAAUGACCAAGAUCACUUAAGAAAACAAAUCGAAUUGCGCACGGAGAAGGACUGCUCAUUACAUAUCUUACACGCGGGCGAUAAUUAUACAAUACAUCACUCAGGAUAUGUGUACAUAAUCCUGACAUGUUAUUUAGGCUAGUGCACUUCUCUAGUUCCUACAUGAUGCGCAAACAAGCUACUCCUCACAACCUAUGUACAUAUCUUACAAAGCGGUACAUCGCAUGACGGGCAAGCGCACUCAGCCGGAAAUGUUGACGAUCUCCUUGGCCCUGCCAAGGGUGAGGCGCAGUGAGGCUGGGGACUCGACCUCCUCCUCACUAAUAGGCUCCAGACGUGAAGAGCUGCGUCGGGUAGAUGGAGCGGGUGCCAGGGGCGGAGCAACACGAAUAGGAGUAGGCACAACGGGUGGUGCAGUGCGCGCUGGAGUGGGCGCAAUGGCCUGGUUGAACUCCUAAGUGGUAGGCGGGCGACGAGUAGGUGCAAAAGAUGCUGAUGACAAGACCAAAGUCAGUGGCGGUGCGGCGGGUAGGAGCUCCCUCCUAUUGGUGGCACAGCCAUGGAUUGAGUCCAUGCGGGCAGCUACGAAGUCGUCCACCAGGUUGUCGAAGGCUGCCUCCAGAGCCCGGAGAUACUCAAUAAGCAUCUCAAAAGCCUCAUCUUGUUCUCCUCUGGGGCAGGAGAAUGCGUAGUGACAGGUGUAAGGCACAUGGCAUGGAAGAUAGCGGUAGCGACGAGUCUUCAUCGCGGGAAGGACAUCCCUGAGGCGAGCUAUCGCCUCACGGGCUGCCAUCUGCAUAGCAUGCCUCUCCGUAGGCAUGGCUCUUCCCACGAACCGGAAGCGGCGUAACUCACCACGCCCUCCCCUGAACUGCACCGUGACCUGGUGCAUGGUCAGAUUGUCGCUGACCUUGUGCUGGUAGAGUGUGAAGACUAGGCGCACAGACAGCCCCAUCGCGACCUGAACGAUGAAGGAGAGAAGCUUGACGAACCCAUUGGGCACGUUGGCGAAGGUUUGAGACUCGCAGCUGUUGUCGGCCAUCUACAAAAGUAGGCAAAAUUCCUGCAUGGUCAGAUCAUAAAUUUAUGCUGACUGUCAGAAAAUGACUACCAUUGCAAAAAUAUAAAUUAGCUCUAUUAUGCUAAUAACGAAUUAGCGAUCGCACCUAGUGGCUUCCUACGGUCAGCCUGACUCUGAUACCAAGCUUGUCACGACCGGUUUUCCAAUAAAAAUAUUUAUUGAGAAACCAAUCUUUUGAGUCCAGUAUGAGGGAAAUCCUCCUCACUGGUAGACAAAAUUCUUGAUACAAUAAGCCAGUAGCAAAGAAUAUAUUACAAGGUUGAGCUAGGGCUGCUCAACAAUUUAUAACAAGCGCGCCAACAAUUAUACAUAAUGGCGGAUAUAACACAAUGGUGUGGUGGCAUACUACUGACUCGGGGAUAAAGUGAUGGUGGAAUAACACAGUGGGGAGUGUGAUAACAUGACUCUCAAACUGGCAUCUCAUCGAGCGUCGAGGUGAGGCUCGAUGAAUUUUAUUCGGGUUGCGGAAGCGAAUAUAAUACAGUGACCGAAUCCAGGGUCGCACGAGACUGAGUGGGACUCCUCUAGGCGUCGGACUCGCUAUCGAACUCUUCAUCCAUGAGAUCGCCUUCGUCAGCAUCUGGCCAAAUCAACAAGCCAGUGAGUACUUCAACAGUACUCGCAAGACAGUUCGGACGUAAUAUAUAACAAAUGCAUGCAUGAAUGCGUCAUGAUUAAUUCACCAAAUGUGCAUUCCAAAAAUUAGCAUAACGAAGCAAGUAAAAGGGAAACGGCGGUAGUCCGCCUGAAAUCCCAACAAAAGCAUAAAUGAAAACCGAUCGGGUGUCUGAAGCGACGCCUCGAAAGGGUGAACAAAUAAAUAAAGGAGAAAAUCAUGCCACAGUCGGGCGUCUUUGCGACACCACAUAAAGGGCUUUAAAAGAAAUGCCACAGUCGGACGUCGGGGCGACAUCACAGAAAGGGCUUUAAAAGAAAUGCCACAGUCGGACGUCGGGGCGACAUCACAGAAAGGGCUUUAAAAAAAUGCCACANNNNNNNNNNNNNNNNNNNNNNNNNNNNNNNNNNNNNNNNNNNNNNNNNNNNNNNNNNNNNNNNNNNNNNNNNNNNNNNNNNNNNNNNNNNNNNNNNNNNNNNNNNNNNNNNNNNNNNNNNNNNNNNNNNNNNNNNNAACCGAUCGGGUGUCUGAAGUGACGCCUCGAAAGGUGAACAAAUAAAUAAAGGAGAAAAUCAUGCCACAGUCGGGCGUCUUAGCGACACCACAUAAAGGGCUUUAAAAAAAAUGCCACAGUCGGACGUCGGGGCGACAUCACAGAAAGGGCUUUAAAAGAAAUGCCACAGUCGGACGUCGGGGCGACAUCACAGAAAGGGCUUUAAAAGAAAUGCCACAGUCGGACGUCGGGGCGACAUCACAGAAAGGGCUUUAUUCACAAGUAAAUAAUACUCAUAAUAAAUAUUCAAUUCAUGAUAAUAAACANNNNNNNNNNNNNNNNNNNNNNNNNNNNNNNNNNNNNNNNNNNNNNNNNNNNNNNNNNNNNNNNNNNNNNNNNNNNNNNNNNNNNNNNNNNNNNNNNNNNNNNNNNNNNNNNNNNNNNNNNCAGAAAGGGCUUUAAAAAAAUGCCACAGUCAGACGUCGGGGCGACAUCACAGAAAGGGCUUUAAAAGAAAUGCCACAGUCAGACGUCGGGGCGACAUCACAAAAAGGGCUUUAAAAGAAAUGCCAUAGUCGGACGUUGGGGCGACAUCACAGAAAGGGCUUUAAAAGAAAUGCCACAGUCGGACGUCGGAGCGACAUCGCAGAAAGGGCUUUUAUUCACAAGUAGAUAAUACUCAUAAUAAAUAUUCAAUUCAUGAUAAUAAACAGGUUAGUCCAUCCACAGGAAUAACAUUUAGCCGGGCUUAGCACUCAUGGGAUUCACCGGAGUCUCUGUCAUCAAACUGAUACUGUUAGGCCAAGAUGAUACGAAUUUGGACAUGGAAUAGAUGAUUCAAGGAAUGUAUGACUCUGCAGAGUUUGUACAAAUUUUUUUCCCACAGCCAACGGAUUUCUGUAGUCACGAGGGACUAGUUCCGUUUACGGUUUUUUGGAAGAAAACACAGCUAACCAGUACACACCCAUCCUACCUCUCGAUGCCAGGACUCAGCCUAGACAUCGUCCAAGAAAAACUUUUGAGAUGGGGAGAUCACAAUCUCGAAUAGCAUGGGAUCAAAUUUAUAUACGCGCGCUCUAAGGGGUGCCCCCCUCUCGGUCCCAACCGGAAACACCCAUGCCCCCUGACCGGAUGACUGGCUUUAAUCCAGGGCCAUGGAACCAUCAUCCCGGCCUCUCCUUUUGGUGUGUACCAGGAAAGCGGUUUGCAACUUACUAAGCCAUAUUCCUUGCGGAAAACAUGUGGUAGUACAGGGAAGGAAAUGGGAGGAACUGGACCGGUAGAGUUUGACCCUGAAGUCAUAUAGUCUGGCAUAAGACUGGCAUGCUACAACACUGCCAUCUUACCCAUCCUCAUGCCAACACAUGGCCAUUCAUAAUCACAUCCAUCCACUUAUGGAUCAUCGAACUCACUUACCUCAACAUUUCAUAAAAAAAUAACGUUCAUCGGUAUGCUCAUCAACAUGCCAUGAAACUAACUAAAUGCAAAACAUGCCAAGACACUCAUCAUAUCAAAAGUUCAAACAUGCUUGCGUGGUUCAGAGUAGUUGGACCCUAGCUCGGUGAAGUUCGCGGCUCUGUCACCUCCUUCGGUAUCUACGGUAUAAAGAAAAUAUAUGCGCUAUCGUAAAUACCAAGAGGUGCACAGAAAGUAUUCCAAAUAUUUUUCAAAUAAAUAUGAUAAAAAACUAGACAAAAAUCUGAAGAGGACAGGAAAAGAAUCACUCAAAAAUUCCUUUCUGUUAAAAAGUUAUAAGGGUGUGAAUCCAAGGACUUAUCUGUAAUGAAACAGAAAGUUUCCAGGGGCUAGUUUAUAAAAACAGAAAAUGCUUCGGCAGAAACUACGCCAGCCCAGAGGGAAGGCGCAUUUGGCAGAAGGCGUUUUCAGAAAACGAUUCGCUUAGACAGGAUAGAGAGGCUGAUAGCGGGUCCCGCCCGUCAGGUUUAAACUUUCAGACGGGGGUGGCAGAUAUCGCCGGUGCCCGAGAGCCGCGGUGGUCGCCGGCGGCGAUCCACGGCCAGGCAGGGUGAUCGGAGAUUACCAACGUGCUCACCGUGUCCUUCCGCAACGGUGGGUGGUGGUGUUGGUCGCCGGCGAGCACUACGUUGACGGCGGUCUUGACUCCGGCGGACGAUGGUUCGGGCGUUGAUGGAUCUCGCCGAGGAGGGCUGCAAGGAUCAAAUUGAGGUGGGGGUUAGAGCACUAGGUGUAAGAGAAGGCUACGGAUGAGGUUUGGGCGCCGGAGAUGGCCUCACCGGAGUGAAUCGAGGUGGAGGCCGAGGCGGAGCGAGGCGGCCGGAGUUGGGGAAGGAGACCUCCUCGAGGUCCUCCUGGUGGCUUGGCAGGGUCCUGGAGAGGUGCAGUGAAGGUGUGGGUCUCGUGAGCGAGCUCGGGGUCCUUUUUAUAGGCGAGCCGAGGCGGUGGCCGUGAAUGGGGAUCUCCGGCGAAGGUUACGGCGGCGCAGAGCUUGGUCGGGAAGGUUUAGGGAGUUGGGCGUCAUCGCGGAGUUCCACCAGUUCCAUUUAGGUGCUAAGUGAGCUUGGAUUGGGGUGCUAAGGGCGAGCUCGAUGGAACAUGGCGGCGCGGGCCCGUCGGCGGCAGGGAGCACGUUCCGUGCUUGCCGGGCCGCGGUGAUGGUGCCACGGGCGUGCGCUGGCAUGCAUGAGGCCACGCGGAGAGCCAAGGAGCUUUGGGCGGCACCGAACGGCGUUCUGCCGUGGUGUGCCUUCUGUCGGCCGCCACAGGAGGUCCCGACGCCGCAGAACACGCCGGCGAGGGCGGGCCAGCGCGCCACCGACGCCAGGAAAGCUCCAAGCACGCGUGUGAAGCUCCGGACAAGAGGGAGGGGCUGCGAGCAUCGAGCCAAAGGCACUGUGAGCAUGUGCCUGAAACUCUGAAGAAAACGACACUGUAAAACUGAAUUUUACUCAACUUUUCUAAAAAAUGCAAAGAACAGUGCAGCUCAGGUGUUCGACAGAAUGUUUUUGGCAUCUAGGGAUUUUUCCUUGAGCUAAAACUUGGUGGAGUGGCCUCUCAUUGCUCCAGUAGGCUGCCUGAAUUUUGGUGGAUUUUUUUUUGGAGAAGUGUAGAUAUGAAUUUCACCAAAUUUGGCAAAUCUGGUCCAACUUGCAGUGAGUGAAAUUUGAAAUAUUUGAAAAGAAGAAGAGUGGAUCAAGAUGGUUCUAGGUUGUGGGUACUAAAGACAAUCCAGGGAAGUUGGUUUGGGGUAAAAACUCAAAGGCAAAGUGAUACUUGCUUUGAAAAUCACUUAAGCUCAAAAUAAAUGGCAGAAAUGUUUUGGGGGAUAAAAUAAUUGAAAUAAAAUCCAAAACUUGUUUGGACUUGUUGAGACAGAGAAUUUAGAUUGUUCAAAGGUGGAGGGAUGGAUUUUGAGAGGAUUUACUAUAGGAGACAUGGUAAAACCAUGGGUGUUUUCAAAAAGAAAGAAGUCCCAAAACUCCUAGGGUUUCCUUUUUUUUGAAAAAAAUAAGUUUGAUAGGGUAACAACCAGAAGGAAAAGCUCCCAAAAACUUCAACACCAAAUUUGAAAAGGGAAAAGAAAAUCCUUGUCAAAGGAAAGGAAGUUUUUAAGAGGAAGGAUUUCUGGAAAAGAAAUUUUUAAAAAAACCCUCUUUUAAAAUCCAACAAGGUUUUGAUAAAAACCAAAUUAAAAUUUUGGAGUGUCACAACCUACUAACUCAGAUAGCUCCAUAGUAGUCCUCAUAGAAGUCACCUCCAUAGCCUGGAAGUUCAACGUGACCAUCCGGGAACAGACGGUCUUGAGGAGCCUGUGGACCAUAGGGGCUAGGAUGGGGUCUUGGACCAACAAACGGUGGCCUGCGGGGACCACGGGGUGGGGUGAUGCCUCCCACAUCACGCCAAUCCACCACGUCUGGCAAAGCAGACCUCACAGGAUACAGAUAUCUUGUAUACAUACAUCCAGCUUGCACCGCAGGUGCAAACCGAGUCAAUGUGGCCCAAUGAUCAGCACGGGUAUUAAAAAGCUCCAGCCUCAAGGCCCGAUUCUCUCGGUCCUUAUCUUCGAGCAUCUCGGCAGUGGUACGAGUUAAUGAAUCCUCCCGAGUGGAGUCAGCAUAGAUAGCCUGAAGAUACCGUUGCGCUCCCGGAAGUGAAGCUAGCAUGUAUCGGAAGUCGGUGUUCCGAAGCAGGCCAGUCCGGACUCGCAUGAUGGUCAUCAUGGAAUAGGCAGCAUCCUGCACAGCCAUCUCAACAGUAACCCCGACUCUCGGAAUAACUGACGGUGCAGAAAUACUGGCUUUGAUUAAAGUCUCGGAAUUGCUCUUCGACGGUGUAUUCGGGAUACCAACGGUAACCCGUCUCGAUCAUGACCCGGACUAACAUAGCAGUAUGACCGGGCACGUCGAGGCACCGGGUCAGGCGAACCACUUGGUUUUGAGCACGGUUGGGCAUUUUAAAGCACAACCACAAUGCGAAGACAUCAGAAUUUCUAGGGAAAAUUGGACCGCAUAACAGCUGUAAAUGCUCAGAAAAAGAUUUGAGACAUCCACAACAGUUCGCAAUACCACUCAACAACAUCAUAUCAAGGUUCUGAUCCAAAUAGCAACAUACUAAAAAUAGUAGAAACUGAACUGGGCUUGUAACAACAAUCCUAUAAGCUACUACGGAUUGGUAACACGUGAACCUGAUAGAAGAAGAGAGCCUAGUCCUUAACCCAUGUUGAAUGAGAAGGGAAUGACUCAGAUAAGAGGCAUAGGGUAAAGGAGUAAAAGAGCCUUAUGUUCCCUCCCACAAUCAAUUCCCCUACAUAUAACUAAAGCAUUUCUAGACUCGGCAUCGACCAGUUUGGCUCAACGAACCUACAGGCAGUCCAGCUCUGAUGCCAAAGCUGUCAGGACCCCGAUUUCAAGCCACAUCGAUCUAGCCGGUAACACCUCAUAUCACUUUGCGGCCUCACGCACGAUAUUCCACGGGUGUCGCCUUACCAUGGCCCGGGACCGUUUGUGCCUUUUGGCUCACGUAUAUGAUAGUGUCGCUAGCAUCCGUAUGACAGAGAACCCGGGCCGACAUGGCUAGUCGUGAACCCAAAGCGGCACAGACCUAUGGAGACAGGCAUACAUGAAUCACAUCGAGCAUGUCGGUCAUCAGCGAGUGAUUCCGGGCUGUAGCACUGGGCUAACAGGACUCCGGGGAACUCGGGCUGUAGCAGGCUAGGCAGGACUCCGGAAGUCACCGUGUGACAUUUCCCCGAAGGGACAGACAUAGGAACGAAGUGAAUCACAUGCCGGCCAGUCAAGUGUCCUGAGCAGUAGUGCUGGGCUAGCAGGACUCCGCUGAACCGGGCUGUAGCGGACUACUAUGGCUCGAGGAACACUAGACUACAUUUCCCCAUAAGAAAGGCUGCAAAGGAUAAACAACUAGAUUGUGGGAUCCCACUCAUACCAAGCAUUUCAAUCAUACACACAAUAUGCCCGAUAUGAGUACAUACAACAUGGCAUCACAACAAAACUCUACAACUCAAGUACUUUAUUUAAAGGCUCCAGAGAGCCAUACAUAACAUGUUCAUAUAGAUAGGGGUCACAUGACCCGACACUCAAGUCAUACAAUCAUACAAGCACAUGCGGAAGCAACGGGUCUUGAAAGUGCGUUAUAUCGGCUAGGGGGGGGGGUGAAUAGGCGAUUUUUAUGGAAGUCUUCAAAACGUGGAAGUUAUGAAGACAAACAGAGUGAACAAGCCUAUCACUAUGCAGCGGAAGUUAGAUUACACAACGCAAGCCAUGGUCAAGUAUACAAUAUAGUGAAAGCACAGUGACAAAUAGCUUCAGUGUAAUGAGGAUCAGGUUGGAAGAAGUUAUGAAGCCAAACAGAUCAUACAGUCAAGUUGUGAAGACAGAAGAUAAAGCAAGCAUGCAAUAGCUUCACAAUGUGUACUGGUAAGUAAAGGGAGGCGAAGAUGAAACCAGUGACACGUUGAAGACAAUGAUAUGUUGGACCAGUUCCAGUUGCUGUGACAACUGUACGUCUGGUUGGAGCGGCUAGGUAUUUAAACAAAAGGACACACAGUCCCGGACACCCAGUCCUGAACACGCAGCUCAGGACACCCAGUCCUCACCGUUUUCUCCUUGAGCUAAGGUCACACAGACCCCGCCCAAUCACUCUGGUAAGUCUUCAAGGUAGACUCCCAAACCUUCACAGACUUUGUUCACCGGCAAUCCACAAUUCCUCUUGGAUGCUCAGAACGCGACGCCUAACUGUCUGGAGGAUGCACAGUCCUCAAGUGUAAUAAGUCUUCAGAUCACUCAGACAAGAAGACUUAAGUGAUGCCCAAUUACUCUGGCUCUGGGUGGUUAGGGCUUUUCUCCUCACUAAGGAUUUUCUCUCAAUGGCUUCGAGGUGGGUUGCUCUCAAACGACAAAAGCCGUGCACUGAAAUCUGAGCAGCCAACCGUUUAUGGUUGUAGGGGUGGACUAUUUAUAGCCGCUUGGCAACCCUGACCUGAUUUGUCCGAAAUGACCCUGGGUCACUAAGGAACUGACACGUGUACUAACGGUCGGAUUUUGAACUCUCACGGCAACUUUACUUGGGCUGCAAGUAAAGCUGACUUUUCUGACUCUGGACAAGAUUUUCUCUCAUUGUCUUCACUCGAAGACAUAGGAUUUGAAUUAGGCAUCAUUUCAGUCAUCCUGACUGGUUCUCUUGGACCCCACUUAACAGUACGGUGGUUCCUAUGACACAACAUGAAUAAAGUAAAACUACAAAGGAUCUAAGUCUUCGAGUUCCAAAGGCUUCAUGGGGAGUCUUCAUAUGUCAUUGUCUUCGACAUGAAUGUCUUCAUGAACCACCAUUGUCUUCAAUGUCUUCGUACAUUUUUCGGGGUCAUCUCUGGUAACUAAACCGAAUCAAUGAGGGACUUCUACCUGUGUUAUCCUGCAAUUCUCACAAACACAUUAGUCCCUCAACUAGGUUUGUCGUCAAUACUCCAAAACCAACUAGGGGUGGCACUAGAUGCACUUACAAUCUCCCCCUUUUUGGUGAUUGAUGACAAACUAGUUGAAGUUUUCAACGGGGAAUAUAAUUUGUGAAAUUGUAAAGGAAUUGUCUUCAUAAGCUGCAAGGGCUCCCCCUGAGGAUGUGCAUAUAAGUGAUUUGCUUUUGGAACGCGAAUGCACAUAGCAGGUUGUAUUUGUGGGAAUCCACUUCAACUUAUGAUGACAAUCCAUCAUGCAUGUAAACAUAUAAGAAGAUAAUGAUAUGCAUAAUGAAAAAUGGACGCCUGCGAAAUGAUAUAAGUGCGGAAAUUAUCGUCGUACAUGCGGAAUUUAUCUUCGCAAAAACACAGUGGCAAACAUAGUAGCAGACGACCAUCAAGUUUAAGUGUUACAACUCAAAGAACCAAAUGUAGCAAAACGAGAGUUGUAAGCACGAAGCAAAAUAUAAUAAAGCACCAGCCCUUAUUAUUGACCCGCUUGAAGACUAUAAACAUCAUAUGCUUCUCCCCCUUUUGUCAGUGAUGACCAAAAAGGUUUGAAGGCAUAGAGUUUUCUACGUGUUCCCAGGCGCAGCAGGGUCGAUGGAGGCGUUUGGUGGAGCUGGCGAGCUUGGUGCAGUGAUGAUGCGCGCUGAAGAAGGUGGUGGUGAUGUAGCAUCGUCUUCUUCCUCAAUGAUUUUUCCAGUCACUAUGGCAGCAGAGGAAGAGAACUCUGAUUCUUCAAGCGACGGAGUUCCACGCAACACAGCUCUUCUGGGGGGUGUGGAGUCAAACUUGAAUCUCUCUUUGAAGCCAUCCUCUUGCAGUUCAGCUUCAGUGCACAUCAUUGUGAGGCCUUUCCAAGUGCGGCGACAGGUUUCAUGUGCGACAAAGGCAUUCUUGGUGGCCAGAUUCCUGAUGCGAUUGACUUCUUGCAUGAUACUGCGCAUCUGCCUUUUGAGCCAGUCGUGAUGCCUAUCUUGCUUUUGGUGCAGAGCCACAAGAAGUUCACGGUCAGUGAGUGUACGAGCGCGUUUCUUGGGUCUCUGUGCAGCUGUGCUGUCAGUGGCUUCAGUUGAUGCAGGGGCACGCGUGGUGCCAGCCAUUGGAUAGACUCUGGAAAUGGCUUCAACACCUUCAUCAUGCUGAGUGAAGCUCUGGUGUUCUACAUUCUGAAGACUUAAUGGCUGCUUGGCAGGCUCAGGAUAAAUCGCUUCAGCAGAGGUGUCCACAUCAGGUAAGAAGAUUCUGUGGUUGCGGGCAGAGUGUUGAUAGGAUAUGGUAGAGUGGAGCUUGAUGAGCCUCAUAACCCAUGGAGCAUAAAUCUUCAGACCAAAGAGAUCUGAGCCAAACGCUGCUAGUUGACGUAUAAAGAGAUCCUGGGCAUUGAAGCAUUUGCCAUGCAGGAUGCAGAAGAUGAGAGUCUUCAUGGCACCUUCAACCUUGGCAUAUCGAGAGUGCCCCUUAAUGGGCCAUAGAGUCCGCCUGAUGAUGUGAUAGAUAGUUCUAGGCAGGUACUCUAAGUCUUCAACGAAGAACUCGGUUGGGUAAGGUGCGUCAGGAGGCAAUGGCUUCAUCAUUGAGAGCAUCUGACUCAUAUUUGGCUCAGGUCGCUGAAAUAUGCUCUCAACUGCUUCAGCAUGGAGUUGGCAGCCUUCUUCGAAGAGUUCGCCUGGAGUGGGUAGGCCGGUGAGCUCAAUGAUAUCAAAUGCAUUGGCUUCAUGAUGGACGUUGCCGGUCAUCCACUCCAGGACCCAAGUCUUUGGAUCUUUGUUGUAGCCUUUGAUGUGCAGUGUGGCAUAGAACUGGAGCAGAAGCUCUUCAUUCCAGUGCUCUUCAUCCGUGACAAACGGCAGCAGGCCAACUUGCUUGAAGCAGUCCAGUGCUUCUUCCAGACCAGGCAGACCAGCAAUAGCUUCAACCUCAAGGCGCUGGUGUGGAAAGAUACGGCCUUGGUUGUAGAGGACGCAGAAGUAGUAGCUGCGCUGUGGGUAGCUCCAGAACCUAUCUAACACAAUCCGUUCCCUUGAGUAAGGGUUCUUGGAGCGGUUGAAGAAGGUGUUACCUGCCCUGAAGCUAUUGACAUUAAAGGAGCCAGGAGCGGUGGCAGGACCUGGGAACCUUGGCAGUCGUGGGAUUGGCUUCUGUACCUGGGGCCUGUGCGCAACAUGAUAGUUGAACUGUGGACCGGCAGCAGACUCAGGCACAGAAGGGUCAGAGGCAGAAGCUUCAGUAUCUCUUGAAGCUGUUGGUUGGUCGGGCUCCACAAAUGCUUCAGUAUUGGGUGUGGCAGCCGCAGUGGUGUCAGCCUCAUCACGUGUAGUGAGAGGGAUGGAUUCAGGUACGUUCUCCUUGAGAACUUCUUCUUGUUGGUGUGGGGGAGAUGGAGCUUGAGGUUCUUCAUGCUCUUCUUCAUGUUCUUCGGCUGAUGCAGCCGGAAUGUCGUCAGCAGUCUGAGCCCUUGGCCCUUUGCGAAGCCUACGGAAUGCAGGCAACGCCGGUGGAGUUGCAGUGGGCUGGGGCUCAUCCUCUUCCUCCUGCGGGCGAUCUGCCCAUGAUGCAUCUUGGGUGAUUGGCGUCAAGGGACGACCAAUGCUGAUCAUUUCACUCGUUUCGAGCUGAGGAAGGACUGCAUCACCUUGCACAUUGUCUUGGAGACCAAUGUCUUCAGCAGCGUUGGAGUCGGCUGCUGGAAUGUCUUCAGCAUGCGGAGCCUUUGUGAGAGCAGGCUCAUGCACGGUCAGCUGACGAUCUUCAUGAGGAAAGCAAACGGAGAGGGGUUCGACUAUCAAGGGCUCUGUGGGAGCAGCCCGAGACUUCUUGUUCUUGCGCUUCUUGAUGGUGGGGUCUAAAGGAGAGGCUUCAGGGUGUUUCCUCUUCCUUGCUUCAGCUUCGGCUGUCCUUGUCUUCUUAACCUAUGAAGCGGUUGAGCGGUGCUUUGGCUUCGAGCCAGGCUUGGCAGUGGGGAAGACAAUCGGAACAGCUUCUUGUCGUGGGGCCUCUUGUUCAGCCACAGUGGGCUUCUUCUUUUUCUUAGCGGCCAUCCUGGGGUCGAUGCUGGGACGCCCAAGCGCCUUUCGCUUCUCGGACUCAUUGUAGGCCUGCACACAGAGAUCAGCCAAAUUCUUCAUGCGCUCACGUGAACCCUGAGCCUCUGCACGUUUCUGCAUAAAGUUUUCCUUCAACUCGUGCAGCAUGACUUUGAAGUCUUUGACUUCUUGGACGCUGAGCGUGGCCAUGUUCUGCUUGAACUGAGCCUUUUCAAAAUCUAUCUUCUGCUUCAGUUCCACUAUGCGCUGGGCAAUUGCGAGUUCUGAAGCAAUAGCUCCUUGGAAGGCUACGCUGAGGCCAAUGGGCAGCUGCAGAUCAUGGAAGCUGAUGUUGGGUGUAUCAAACCACUCAUCAAUGAAGUUGUGGAUGAUUGCUGCAUCGAACAAAGGCAGAUUGUUGAAGAUUUCAGCCUCCUCCUUGCUCUUGAUUAGCUGCUCAAGAGCGUCAUCGGCAAGAUCGUCGUCACUUGACAGAUCAAUGGCCUCGCAGCGCAGAACGGCUGCGGCAGUGAGCUCUUUGUCAGUAUGUGGCUGAUGCUUCUUGGCUUCUUGGGGCUUGGAGACUCGUGAUAAGUCUUCAGACUGCACACUUGCUUCAGGAGGUGCAGUGGCCAAUGGCUUCGCUCUGGAGAUCUUGGGAGAAGCGGCUGGCUUGGAAGCUUUUGGCUUCUUCUUCAUCUGCUUCGGCUCCGGGGCAGCAGGAGCGUCAUCAGACUCAGUGUCUACUGGAGGGUCGUUCACGGCAGUCCCUUGGACUAGAAUGCGAGUGAUGAGGCCUUUGAGAUUGGCAUACGGCCCGAUGACAUUGGGAUUUGCAUCGCGUGUGCCAUCCGCCCUUGGCUUAGAGGGACCAGGGUUGAAGUCCAGUCCAAACUCCUUCUUGUUUUGCUUCGCAGAGUUCUGAGCAAAUUGGAAGUUGCGCUUGAAGAGAUUGUCAUCGCGACACCAGAGAAGUGAUGACGGAUGUGCCUCAGCUGGCUGUGGUCCUCUGACCAUGCAUGGAUAGAAGCCUUGAGCAAUGGCUUCGUCUCUGGACCGGGGUACGAGAUUUUUGUACAAGACAUCUCCCCAUGGCCUCUGGAUGGCGCACUUCUCUGCAUAUUCCUUGGCGACGAAGCGGUAUUGGAACCACUGCUCUGCCCAAUAUCUUCGAAUCCAUUGGAUUCGUGUCUAGCGCUGACCAUAGCUCUCUUCAGGAUCAGUUUGGUACAUUUCUGCCAAAUCUUCAGGCAGAUCUUUAGACGUUUCACCACGUCUCUGUCUGCCUCCCUUCCUUGCUGGUUUUUCUGUUGCCAUGAAGCUUAACUUGGAAGGCUUCAAGAGAUUCAAAGUCUUCAAAGGCUUCCUUUUGCUUGACCAACAGGAACUUGCUUCGGGUGAAUUGAUGUGACGCUGUAGGAACUCUGCAAAUGAAUGCAGACUAUGAGAACCAAAAGAUUCUCCCACGGACAUGUACCUGUGACAGCAUUAAGGUGCGAGGGAAGGGGAAGAGGUCAUAUGCAUUCUCAAAAGAUUUUGAAGAUAAAUCAGUUUAGAAGAUAUUGACCUCAUCAUGCGAAGACAUUCACUUUAUAGAAAAGAAGUUGGUUCCAGAUUUGUACGAACCCAUAGAUCAGUACAAGUGAGGAAUCUAACUACUUCAUGAAGAACAAGUGAAUAUACUAGGCACGUUAUGAGAUACAGAUGAGAGGGAUUAAACUUUUGUGAAUGGAAACCUCUUUUGGCAGAAAGUGAUGGAGCUAUAGGAUCAAAAGAGGCUGUAAAAAGACUUGUUAUUUACCAGACUUGGAACUGCUAGACGAGGUGAGAGUUGAGGCCGAGCAGUUCGAUCCUCCGUGCCCUAACUUGGCGACGGAAGACACCUAGGGCGACGGCGGAGAGACUGAUGUCCGCUGUCGGCGUGAGAACGGCAUCGGAGAGGUUGCGGCAGUGAAGCACUUCGUCGCCGGCGUCGUUGAGAGUUAGCGGUGGCGCUAGGGUUUGUGCGAGGGUGGAAGAAGAGAUAAUGACCGCAGUGAAACGUGUAUUUAUAGGGAUAUGGGCGGCACUGCGCUAUUACUCAGGUGCCCCUGGCGAUUCGCAUCUGAUCAGUACGUGGCCAGCAUGCGGAAUUGUGGGGGCAGUUUCACCCCACGCACGCCUGGUUUGUCGGAAGCCGUUCCUACUUCUCUGGAUUUCUUGUUGAUGAAAAAACAUUAAAAUCUGUUUUAAAGUUUGUCUCUGUGUCUUCUUCUGACAAGGAUGCAGUGAAGACAUUCGACAGUUUCAAUAGAAUGCAUAGACUUGGAGAGAUAGAGUUUGAGGUAGGAAGCAUGGAGAGGUUAGGGUCCGAUCACAUUCACUUAGUUCAAAAGAUUCAAACAAGAAGACAUAGCUAUAAGUGAAUGCUGUAGAGGACAGAACACCAGUACAUAUAUAAUCAACAUAGUGAAGAUAAUCAUGAAGACAUGUUGAGAUUGAAGCUAAACCAAAUGUGAAGACAUAGCAAAUGUAAUGCCAUGAGUGAAACACUUCAAGCAGAAAAAUUUGGUGGUGGCGCUACCCACCGUAUAGGAAGUAUUGGACCCAGACACGGCGCACAAUUAUCGUGGCGCUCCGAGGUCAAAUUCCACGUUAAUGUGUUCACACUUAGAAUGUAUGUCUUCAUUGAUUGAAGAUAUACGUUACUUCGUGUGUUGCACAUCUAAGUCAUCAUCAUGCAUAAGUGUUAGGAUGUGUGCCUGAUCACAGGACAUUUGAGGAUUCCAAGAUAUUUAGCUCACACCGUAACUUGCAAAAUCUCUUCUCAUCCAAGGGCUUGGUGAAGAUAUCUGCCAAUUGCUCUUUAGUGUUGACGUGUAUGAUAUCAAUGUCUUCCUUUGCAACAUGAUCUCUGAGAAAAUGAUGACGAAUUUCAAUGUGCUUUGUCUUCGAGUGCUGAACUGGGUUGUUGGCGAUCUUGAUGGCACUUUCGUUGUCGCAGUAAAGUGGCACUUGCUUCAGAUGAAUGCCAUAAUCCUUGAGGGUUUGCUUCAUCCAUAGAAGCUGAGCGCAGCAGGAUCCAGCAGCAAUGUAUUCAGAUUCAGCAGUGGAGAGAGAUACACAGUUCUGCUUCUUUGAAGACCAACAGACAAGUGAUCGCCCAGAAAGUGACAUGUGCCUGAUGUGGACUUCCGAUCAACCUUGUCACCAGCGUAAUCAGCGUCCGAAAAUCCAACCAGAUCAAACUCUGAGCCCUUUGGAUACCAUGACCCUAGAGUUGGGGUGUGAGCCAAAUAUCGAAGAAUUCGCUUCACAGCUAAGUGAUGCGACUCCUUUGGUGCCGCUUGAAACCGAGCACACAUGUAAACACUAAGCAUAAUAUCUGGCCUAGAUGCACAUAAAUAAAGCAAAGAACCAAUCAUGGAGCGGUAUACCUUUUGAUCGAACUCUUUACCAUUGUCGUCAGGACCCAGAUGAUGUUUGGCUGGCAUUGGUGUUGUGAAGCCUUUGCAGUCUUGCAUACCGAACUUCUUCAGGCAGUCUUUGAGAUAUUUCUCUUGAGAUAUGAAGAUGCCAUUGCGUUGUUGCCGUAUCUGAAGACCGAGGAAGAAUUUCAGCUCCCCCAUCAUAGACAUCUGAUAUUGCUCUUGCAUCAUAUAUCCGAACUCCUCACUGUACUUCUGAUUGGUGCAGCCGAAGAUAAUGUCAUCCACGUAUAUUUGGCACACAAACAGUUCACCAUCAUAUGUCUUUGUGAAGAGAGUGGGAUCCAGGGAACCAGGUAUGAAGCCUUUGCUCUUCAGGAAGUAUUUGAGUGUAUCAUACCAGGCCCGAGGGGCUUGUUUGAGGCCAUAUAGUGCCUUUUUGAGCUUGUACACCAUGUCAGGAUGUUUUGGAUCUUCAAACCCAGGUGGUUGUGCAACAUACACUUCUUCUUCAAUUUUGCCAUUGAGGAAGGCACUUUUUACAUCCAUUUGAUACAGGAUUAUGUUGUGAUGAUUUGCAUAGGCCAGCAGUAUACGGAUGGCUUCAAGUCUGGCAACAGGAGCAAAUGUUUCAUCGAAGUCAAUGCCUUCGAGUUGAGUAUAUCCUUGAGCAACGAAACGAGCCUUGUUUCUGACGACUUGGCCAUGCUCAUCUUGCUUGUUGCGGUAUAUCCAUUUGGUGCCUAUUAUGUUAUGCUUCCAUGGAUCAGGACGCUUAACCAACUCCCAUACAUUGUUCAGCUCAAAUUGUUGAAGCGCUUCUUGCAUAGCUUGAAUCCAUUCAGGUUCCAUAAAGGCUUCAUCAAUUUUCCUGGGUUCUGUCAUUGAAACGAAUGCGAAGUGUCCGCAGAAGUUUGCCAGUUGAGUUGCCCUUGAAUGAGUCAGUGGACCAGGUGCAUUGAUGCUAUCAAUUAUUCUGCAAUCUGCACUUCAUUGGCAACAUGAGGAUGUAGGGGUCGAAGACUUUGCUCUUGCUGAUCUACGUUGUCAUGGGGAGGAAUGUCUUCAGGCUGAGCGUUGUCUUCAUGUGGAUCAGGUGCUGAGAUGAUAAGUUCUUCUUCAGGACGAGCUUCAGAAGGUAUAAUUUCUCCAGUUCCCAUUAGCUUGAUUGAUUCACUGGCUGGAACUUCAUCUAGCACAUCUGGUAGUUGCUCUCUUUGUGACCCAUUGGUCUCAUCGAACCGCACAUCCACUGUUUCAACCACUUUGUAGUGGAAGAGAUUGGAGACUCUGUAGGAGUGCGAAUCCUUUCCAUAUCCAAGCAUGAAGCCCUCAUGUGCUUUUGGAGCAAAUUUUUAGGUGUGGUGAGGGUCCUUGAUCCAGCAUCUUGAUCCAAAUACUCUAAAGUACCUUACAUUUGGCUUCUUGCCAGUCAGAAGUUCAUAAGAUGUCUUGUUCAGCAGCUUGUGAAGAUAUACACGGUUGAUAGUAUGGCAUGCAGUGUCAAUGGCUUCAGUCCAGAAUUUUCUUGGUGUCUUGUACUCAUCUAACAUUGUUCUGGCCAUCUCAAUGAGUGUUCUGUUCUUGUGUUCGACGAUGCCAUUCUGUUGUGGCGUGUAUGGAGCUGAGAAUUCAUGAGUGAUGCCCAAUGUAUCAAGAUAUGUGUCAAGGCCGGUGUUCUUGAAUUCUGUGCCAUUGUCACUUCUGAUGUGCUUUAUCUUGGCGCCAUAAUUGUUCAUUGCCCGAUUUGCGAAGCGUCUGAAGACAUCCUGCACUUCAGUCUUGUAAAGGAUUAUGUGCACCCAAGUAUAUCUAGAGUAAUCAUCAACAAUGACGAAGCCAUAGAGGCAAGCAGUAGUGGAGAAAGUUGAGUAGUGAGUGGGACCGAAGAGAUCCAUGUGAAGCAGUUCGAAGGGUUGAGUAGUGGUCAUGAUUUUCUUCGAAGGAUGUUUUGCCCUUGUCAUCUUCCCAGCUUCACAGGCACCGCAUAAGUGAUCUUUCUUGAACUUGACGCCCUCGAUGCCUAUGACAUGCUUCUUCUUCGCAAGGGUGUGGAGGUUCCUCAUGCCAGCAUGCCCAAGUCUUCGAUGCCAAAGCCAGCAUUCUGAAGCCUUUGCGAGAAGACAAACUGCAAGCUGUGGCCCUGCUGAGAAAUCUACCACGUACAAAUCAUCUUUUCGAUACCCUUCAAACUCUAGAGACUUGUCAGAUUCCAUUAGUACCAGACAACGAUAUUUUCCAAAGAUUACAAUCAUGUUUAAAUCGCAAAGCAUUGAGACAGACAUUAAGUUGAAGCCAAGGGACUCAACAAACAUGACUUUAUCCAUGUGUUGAUCCUUUGAGAUUGCAACUCUACCUAGACCCAGUACCUUACUUUUACCAGUGUCAGCGAAUGUGAUGUGGCUCUUGUCAGAUGGACGUAAGGUUGAGUCCAUAAAGAGACUUCUUUUGCCAGUCAUGUGAUUUGUACACCCAUUGUCAAUAAUCCAUUCUGAAGACUCUGAAGUCACUGGUGUCGUACCCUACAGUGCAGUUAGGGGGAUAGGCUUCACGAAGAGUGUUGUGAAGCAAAAACAUUUGACGAACCAGUGGAUUAUGAAAACUUAGAUCCAGGUUAGGACAAGUAGGGAGAGUAGCAUGCGAUUCAGGUAUGAAAUACAUAGUGAUGCCAUUCGGGCAUUUGAUCUUGCGCCCACAAGAUUUUUAAGGUCCCCAGCAAUAGCAUCAGAAGAUUUUGGUUUUGUGCUGGAGACCUUUCCCUGCAAAAGAGAGUUAAGCUUUCUUAACCACCCACAUCUUCAAGGGUGGCUUAGAAGCAAACAGUCUAGCAGGUGGGCAAUAGUACUCAUAAGAAUAGGCAGAAUAGUUUUUGGUCAUAUGAGAAUGACGGUUUGAAGAACCGCUCUCAUAUGCCUGAGCAUGGUUUCCCUGCAAAACAUUUGUGUUAGUGCGACUCAAAUGAGUCCUCUGCCUGUAUGAAGCCUUUGGACCAUAUAUGAAGCCUUUGGUCCGAGGUUUGUCUUCUUCAUGUGAGGUGUCAUGAGGACAUUCACAGGAAGAUUCUCAAGACACGUUUUUGGAACCCAGAUCUUCUUCAUAGGCGGUCCAUUCCUGCAGUUAGUACCAAUGUACCUGGCAAAUACUUCACCAUUCUGAUUCCUGAACAGUUUAUAGUUUGCAUCAAAGGAUUCAUCAAUGAUAAUUGGAUUAGCACAAGUGAAGCCAGAUAGAUUGGAUGGAUCUGCUGAGGAUUCCUUUGCAGCAACCCAUGUGGUUUUGGGGUACUGCUCAGGUUUCCAGUAAGAGCCAUCUGCAUUAAUUUUCCUCACGAACCCAACACCCUCCUUCCUAGGGUUUUGGUUCAGAAUCUGCUUCUUGAGGACAUCACAUAAUGUCUGAUGUCCUUUGAGACUUUUGUACAUCCCUGUUUCAAGCAAUGUCUUCAACCUAGCAUUUUCAUCAGCAAUAGCAGUGGUAUCCUCAGUAGAGGGGUUAGUUACCACUUCAACAGUUGCAACAGCAGUAGCAGUGGAACAUUCAGCAACAGAAAUAGCAUUAUCACAAUCAAUGCAUUUAAGGCAUGGUGGUUCAAAUCCUUCCUGAACAGAACUGAUCUGUUCGGCUCGAAGUGACUCGUUUUCCUUUUGAAGAUCUUCAUGAUCCGUUUUUCAAGAUGUUGCUUCUUUUGAAGAUAAUCAUAGGAAAGCUUUUCAUGAGUAGUUGAGAGAGUCUCAAGACGAUCUUCGAGUUCCUGAUACUUAACAUGAAGAUUUUUUAUGUCUUCAAUUAAGGAUUCAGAACGAGUCAUUUCAGCACCCAACAGAUCAUCGCUUCUGUCUAACAGUUUUUGAAUAUGUUCCAUGGCCUUUUGUUGUUCAGUUGCAAUUUUAGCAAGUGUUUUGUAACUGGGUUUUGAAUCACAAUCAGAGUCAUCGUCACUAGAUGUUUGAUAGUGAGUAGUGCGUGUGUUUACCUUGGCACCACGUGCCAUGAAGCAGUAGGUAGGAGUAGAGUCGUCCUUGUCAUUUGCAUCGGUGAUGGUGAUGGAGUCAUUGUCUUCAGUGUUGAAGAUGGACUUGGCGACGUAGGCUGUAGCCAGACUCGCAAUGCCUGAAUCAGACUCCUCCUCAGACUCCACCUCUGCCUCCUCAGAAGCGGACUCCUCCUCUGAAUCCAUUUCCUUGCCAACAAACGCACGAGCCUUGCCAGAUGAACUCUUCUUGUGUGAUGAAGACUUUGAGGAAGACUUGGACGAAGACUUUGAGUAUUUCUUUGUCUUCUUAUCGUCAGAGUCAUAUUCCAUGCUCUAAUUCUUCUUUCUGUUCUCAUUGUCCCACUGUGGACACUCAGAGAUGAAGUGUCCAGUUUUCUUGCACUUGUGACAUGUUUUCUUCUUGUAGUCAUGCGCAGAAGCUUCAUCAUUCCUUGAGCUUGAUCGUGAAGACUUUCUGAAGCCUUUCUUCUUGGUGAAUUUCUGGAACUUCUUCACUAGCAUUGCAAGUUCCCUUCCAAUGUCUUCAGGAUCAUCAGAACUGCUGUCAGAUUCUUCUUCAGAUGAGGACACAGCUUUUGCCUUCAAGGCACGAGUUCGCCCAUAGUUUGGACCGUAGAUAUCUCUUUUCUCAGAAAGCUGAAACUCAUGUGUGUUGAGCCUCUCAAGUAUGUCAGACGGAUCGAGUGUCUUGAAGUCUGGAUGUCAAAUGAACUGUCAAGUGAUCUUAGCAGCGUCUUAACGAUUUCAUGUUUGGUGAUCUCAGUGGCGCCGAGGGCUUGAAGCUCAUUUGUGAUGUCAGUGAGCCGGUCAAAUGUGUGAUGGACAUUCUCAUUGUCAUUUCGCUUGAAGCGGUUGAAGAGAUUGCGAAGAACACUGAUUCUCUGAUCUCUCUGGGUUGAGAUGCCUUCAUUGACCUUGGAGAGCCAGUCCCAAACCAGCUUGGAUGUCUUCAAGGCACUCACACGGCCGUACUGUCCCUUGGUCAGAUGACCACAGAUAAUAUUCUUGGCAGUGGAGUCCAGUUGAGUGAACUUCUUGACAUCAGCCGCAGUGACACCUUCUCCAGCCUUGGGAACGCCGUUUUUGACGACAUACCAUAGGUGGACGUCAAUGGCUUCAAGAUGCAUGCGCAUCUUAUUCUUCCAGUAGGGAUAUUCAGUUCCAUCGAAGACGGGGCACGCAGCGGAGACUUUAAUUAUCCCUGCAGUCGACAUAGCUAAAACUUUAGGUGGUUAAACCAAAUCACACAGAACAAGGGAGCACCUUGCUCUGAUACCAAUUGAAAGUGCGUUAUAUCGGCUAGGGGGUGAAUAGGUGAUUUUAAUGAAAGUCUUCAAAACGUGGAAGUUAUGAAGACAAACAGAGUGAACAAGCCUAUCACUAUGCAGCGGAAGUUAGAUUACACAACGCAAGCCAUGGUCAAGUAUACAAUAUAGUGAAAGCACGGUGACAAAUAGCUUCAGUGUAAUGAGGAUCAGGUUGGAAGAAGUUAUGAAGCCAAACAGAUCAUACAGUCAAGUUGUGAGGACAGAAGAUAAAGCAAGCAUGCAAUAGCUUCACAAUGUGUACUGGUAAGUAAAGGGAGGCGAAGAUGAAACCAGUGACACGUUGAAGAGAAUGAUAUGUUGGACCAGUUCCAGUUGCUGUGACAACUAUACGUCUGGUUGGAGCGGCUAGGUAUUUAAACCAAAGGACACACAGUCCCGGACACCCAGUCCUGAACACGCAGCUCAGGACACCCAGUCCUCACCGUUUUCUCCUUGAGCUAAGGUCACACAGACCCCGCCCAAUCACUCUGGUAAGUCUUCAAGGUAGACUCCCAAACCUUCACAGACUUCGUUCACCGGCAAUCCACAAUUCCUCUUGGAUGCUCAGAACGCGACGCCUAACCGUCUGGAGGAUGCACAGUCCUCAAGUGUAAUAAGUCUUCAGAUCACUCAGACAAGAAGACUUAAGUGAUGCCCAAUUACUCUGGCUCUGGGUGGUUAGGGCUUUUCUCCUCACUAAGGAUUUUCUCUCAAAGGCUUAGAGGUGGGUUGCUCUCAAACGACAAAAGCAGUGCACUGAAAUCUGAGCAGCCAACCGUUUAUGGUUGUAGGGGUGGACUAUUUAUAGCCGCUUGGCAACCCUGACCUGAUUUGUCCGAAAUGACCCUGUGUCACUAAGGAACUGACACGUGUACUAACGGUCGGAUUUUGAACUCUCACGGCAACUUUACUUGGGCUGCAAGUAAAGCUGACUUGUCUGACUCUGGACAAGAUUUUCUCUCAUUGUCUUCACUCGAAGACAUAGGAUUUGAAUUAGGCAUCACUUCAGUCAUCCUGACUGGUUCUCUUGGACCCCACUUAACAGUACGGUGGUUCCUAUGACACAACAUGAAUAAAGUAAAACUACGAAGGAUCUAAGUCUUCGAGUUCCAAAGGCUUCAUGGGGAGUCUUCAUAUGUCAUUGUCUUCGACAUGAAUGUCUUCAUGAACCACCAUUGUCUUCAAUGUCUUCGUACAUUUUUAGGGGUCAUCUCUGGUAACUAAACCGAAUCAAUGAGGGACUUCUACUAGUGUUAUCCUGCAAUUCUCACAAACACAUUAGUCCCUCAACUAGGUUUGUCUUCAAUACUCCAAAACCAACUAGGGGUGGCACUAGAUGCACUUACAGGUCUGGGUACAGACACUAGAAAGAAAGAAGGCUCCUCGAGGCCUGUCUAUCUACAUAGGGCCCUCCAUGGCCAGGAUCACCACCUGGGUGGCUAGUCACUCAUCGAAGUCAAGGUCUACAUAGAACCCAUCGGAGGGGGCGGUGUUGUCGUCUGAAAACAGUAAUUAAGCAAACAUGAGUACAAAGGUACUCAGCAAGUCUUACAACAGAACCUACUAUACAUGCUUAUUCUCAAGAAGGCGGUGGGGAUAUUGCAGCAAGCCAGCUUUGACUCUUGGCUAAACUAUCCUACGGAACUUCUCUAGUAAAAUAGUUUUCGCACACGAGUCCACUACUCACCAACACAAUACUCCAACGGGGAUCCUCCCUCAUCAUCCUACGAGAGGGCCAUCCUCGGUACUCACACUUAUCUUGAGUCUUUUAGUAGUAUCCAUUUACUUGUCUAUGAACUGUAUAGGCAACUAAGUAGUCCUUUACCGCGGACGCGGCUAUUCGAAUAGUUUUAUACCCUGCAGGGGUGUACUUCGUCAUACACGCUUUCACCACUUAUCGCCGUUUACACGACAUGUACUCGGCAACCUUCAAGCGGAAGCCCAGCGAGGGUGUCGGCCACGGCCUACCUAAACACUUAAGUCUCUAGUCCUGCUUUAUCGCCUAUCCAAGUUCCAUCCGCAGGGAUUCCGGCCGAGGUUUCCACAUACGGCCCCGAACGAUGUGAACAGGAUCCCGAGACGCCAAACGGGUGCCCGGCAUACCCGGCCACGGUGUAUCUACCACAACAUAGCCCACCCCUAGGGUCAGCGCUACGCACGGCCGCCAACACAUAACCUACAAACACCAGAAACUAUUUGCAACUCCUGGAGAGAGUACUAGGGUGAUUAAGAAGCCGAUAGGGUCAAUUAAGGAUCCCAAUGCAUGGUAGUAGCUGAAUCUUAAAUCAUACAUACAGAUCUGAGUUCUUAGGGACGGUCUCAAUGAAACAACCCACCAUGUACUCCUACAUGGCCUCUCAUCGAUACCUUUACCAAAACAUGUUCAACACAUUCCUCAUAUUACCGACAUAAUCAUAUCACUCUAGCCCAUCACCCUGAUGAACCAGACCUGACACAACUCUAAGCAUAGCAGGCAUACCAAGGUACAAAUCACAUACAUGGCUCAAUCAACUCCUACACAUGCUAGUGGGUUUCAUCUAGUUACUGUGGCAAUGAAAGGUCAUGCAGAGGAUAAGGGUUCAACUACCGUAGCACACAGCAGUUUGAAUCGCGUUAUCUUAAUGCAGUAAACAAGAGUAGAGGCGAGAAUAUGGGUUGUAUCGGAAUGAUCAAUGGGUUGCUUGCCUGAUGGAGUGGUAGUGGGAUACUGCCCUUCAGUUGGAUACUCGUGAAUAUCCUCGGAGGCAGAACCUACCACGAAGAACACAUCGGAACACAAUCAAUACAUGACGAUAUGCAACAAUAUGAUGCAUGCUAUGACAUGGCAAUAUGAAUGUGUCUUGGCCUAAUGCAAGCUAAAAUAGAAAGGGAUGAACUCAUUUGAAUCAAAGAUACAAAUAUUAUCUCAUUAAACAUGGCCUUAAUAUUGCAUUUACUUAUUCUGCUUAAACAGAAAGGUAAACUUGUUUUGUCAUGCAUGAAACCAUUACAGGUGGAUAGAUUGAAUUUUUCUGAUAAUUUUUCAUAUAUAAAUUAUUUCAUUUGGAGUUACAGUUGAAUUUCUAUGAUUUUUAGAAUUUUUAAACAUUACUGCGUCAGCAUUGCGUCAUGCUGACCUCAGCAGGUCAAAGGCGCCAGCCCAGGUCAAACCUGACUGGAGGGCCCCUUCUGUCAGUCUCUUAAUUAAAUAACAGGACUAGAUUAACACUAAUUAGCUGUCAGUGGGGCCUGGGCCCACAUGUCAGUGACUGAUUAAAAUAAAAUUAGUUAAAACUAAUCCUAGAUUAGUUAGCAGACCAGCCCCACCUAUCAUAGACUCAGGGGGGGUCUACCUGGGCCCACCCAGGGUCAAACUAGGUCAAACUCGCCGGCGUUGAGCCGCCGGCGAGGCCCGAGACGGUGGCGCAGCUCGGAAAACGCCUAUAGGGCACGAGCGAGGCCGUUCUUGGGCUCGUUGGAGAGCUCUUGCAGUCGCGCAUCUAGUGGUGGUGGUGGCGGGCCUACGGUGGCCGGAGACGACGACGGCGAGCUCCAAGGCAGCGGCCGGAGUUCGGCCAUGUGCGGGGUGUGGGCUGCGGCGUGCAAACUUGGAAACUGAGGCGCUAGCGAGGCACUACGCGAUGCGGCAAGCACGUUGCGUAGCACGGGAUGACCAAAUGGUCGCCGGAGCGGCGCCAGCGACAAGCUCGAGCAGAGACGAGCUUCGGCCAUGGUGGAACUAUGGCCUAGAGGGUGCAAACGCAUGGAAAAGAAGAGGGGAAAGGUGGCGGACCUCACGGGGAGGUCGAUGAGUAGCUCAGUGGGCUCGGGGGUGACCGGAGCGAGGCGAAUCGAUGAGCGGCGUCCGGCGGGUACCGAGGUUGAAGACGAUCCGAUGGCGGCGAUGCAGGGCCUCCGGCGAUGCGUGGGGAGGGCGAGGGCGUCACGGCGGAGCUUCUGGACAGGUCAGAGAGGCGAGGGGGUGACAGAGGGCGCGACUACGGCGGUGAGACGGCGACGGGUGCAUCGGCCAUCGCGGGAGAGGGAGAGGGGGACGUGGGGGAGAGUGAGAGAGGAUGAGAGGGGGACAUGUGGGUCGCGUGGCAUUCCCUGGACGUCUCCCGGCGUCGGCGAAAGCAGGAGGUGGCCGACGUGUGGCCGCGGGCGCCGGCCACGCGCUCCGCGUCCUUCUGGCGCGAGGAGGACGACGACGGGCAGCGCCAGUAGGCUAGGCCGAGCCCGGUGGGCUGGCCAGCACAGGUAAGGCCCAGGUGGGCUUCUCCCUCUCUUUUUUUAAUUUGUUUCUGUUUUCUAUUUAACUGUAACUGUUGGGCUUUAUUUAAAAUACUAAAAUAUUUCCAGAAAUCCUGAAAAUAAUUGUGGGCUCUGCUUGGAUUAUGUCCAACAGCAAACAUUUAUUUCCAGAAUUAUUUGAGCAUUUAAAUUAUUUAAUAGCAUUUAAAUGCCCAAAUUCAAAUACUUAUGAUUUAAAUCAAUGACCUUCUAUUGACCUAGAAAAAUUGUGCAUCAAUUUUGCCAGAGGUUCUAACCCAAGACAAAGAGGGUGAACUUUUUAGAAGGGCAUUUCAGGUUCAUUGAAAAUAAUUUUAGUAAACCCUAGUUGUUUCCAGGGGGUGUUGGGGGUUUCUCCCUUCCCCAAUUCAAAUUUAAGAGGAAUUUAAACAUGAUGGAGAUUCUAAUGCUUGAACUAGCUAGGGUGUGACAUGACUCUUUAUUUGUUAGUUUACCAUAAUCAUCCUUGCUGUACACACCUUUUGAGAGGGCCAUACAUGAUUUGGAAUUUGUUAGAAUACUCUAUGUGCUUCGCUUAUAUCUUUUGAGUUAUAUAGUUUUGCUCUAGUACUUCACUUAUAUCUUUUAGAGCACGGUGGUGGAUUUGUUUUAUAAAAACUAUUGAUCUCUCAUGCUUCACUUACAUUAUUUUGAGAUGCUUAAUAGCAUGGUAAUUUGCUUAAAAUCUUAAUAUGCUAGGUAUUCAAAGUUAGUAAAAUUUUCUUAAGAGUGUUUUGAAUACUAAGAGAAGUUUGAUGCUUGAUGAUUGUUUUGAGAUAUGGAGGUAAUAAUAUCACAGUCAUGCUAGUUGAGUAGUUGUGAAAUUGAGAAAUACUUGUGUUGAAAUUUGCACGUAUGGUAAACGUUGUGUAACAAAUUUGAAACAUGAGGCGUUAUUUGAUUGUCUUCCUUAUGAGUGGCGGUCGGGGACGAGCGAUGGUCUUUUCCUACCAAUCCAUCCCCCUAGGAGCAUGCGCGUAGUACCUAGGUUUUUGAUGACUUGUAGAUUUUUGCAAUAAGUAUGUGAGUUCUUUAUGACUAAUGUUGAGUCCAUGAAUUAUACGCACUCUGACCCUUCCAUCCUUGCUAGCCUCUUAGGUACCAUGCAUUGCCCUUUCCCACAUUGAGUGUUGGAGCAAACUUCGCCGGUGCAUCCAAACCCCGUGAUAUGAUAUGCUCUUUCACACAUAAACCUCCUUAUAUCUUCCUCAAAACAGCCACCAUACCUACCUAUUAUGGCAUUUCCAUAGCCAUUCCGACAUAUAUUGACAUGCAACUUUCCACCAUUCCGUUCAUCAUGACACAUUCAUCAUUGUCAUAUUGCUUAGCAUAAUCAUGUAGUUGACAUAGUAUUUGUGGCAAGGCCACCGUUCAUAAUUCUUUCAUACAUGUCACUAUUGGUCCAUUGCAUAUCCCAGUACACCGCCGGAGGCAUUCAUAUAGAGUCAUACUUUGUUCUAGUAUCGAGUAGAAAUUAUUGAGUUGUAAAUAAAUAGAAGUGUGAUGAUCAUCAUUAAUAGAGCAUGGUCCCAAAAAUAUAAAAAAGGAAGGGCCAAAAAAAGGCCAAAUAAAAAAAUGUAAAAAAGGGGGGCAAUGCUACUAUCCUUUUUUCCACACUUGUGAUUCAAAGUAGCACCGUAAUCUUCAUGAUAGAGAGUAUCUUGAUUUGUCAUUUUCAUCUACUAGUGGGAAUUUUUCAUUAUAGAACUUGGCCUGUAUAUUCCAACAAUGGGCCUCCUCAAGUUCCCUAGGUCUUCGUGAGCAAGCAAGUUGGAUGCACACCCACUUAGUUUCUUUUGUUGAGCUUUCAUACAUUUAUAGCUCUAGUGCAUCUGUUGCAUGGCAAUCCCUACUCCUUGCAUUAACAUCAAUCGAUGGGCAUCUCCAUAGCCCAUUGAUUAGCCUCGUUGAUGUGAGACUUUAUCCUUUUUGUCUUCUCCACAUAACUCCAGUCAUUAUAUUCUAUUCCACCCAUAGUGUUAUGUCCAUGGCAUGCAAUCAUAUAUUGCGUGAAAGUUUAUAGGUUUGAGAUCACUAAAGUAUGAAACAAUUGCUUGGCUUCUCAUCGGGGUUGUGCAUGAUGAGAGCAUUCUUGUGUGACCAAAAUGAAGCAUGAUUAAACUAUAUGAUUUUGUAGGGAUGAACUUUCUUUGGCCAUGUUAUUUUGAGAAGACAUAAUUGCUCAGUUAGUAUGCUUGAAGUAUUAUUAUUUUUAUGUCAAUAUGAACUUUUGUCUUGAAUCUUUCGGAUCUGAAUAUUCAUACCACAAUUAAGAAGAUUUACAUUAAAAUCAUGCCAACUAGCACUCUGCAUCAAAAAUUCUGUUUUUAUCAUUUACCUACUCAAGGACGAGCAGUAAUUAAGCUUGGGGAUGCUUGAUACGUCUCCAACGUAUCUAUAAUUUUUGAUUGCUCCAUGCUAUAUUAUCUACUGUUUUGGACAAUAUUGGGCUUUGUUAUCCACUUUUAUAUUAUUUUUGGGACUAACCUAUUAACCAGAGGCCCAGCCCAGAAUUGUUGUUUUUUGCCUGUUUUAGGGUUUCGAAGAAAAGGAAUAUCAAACGGAGUCCAAACGGAAUGAAACCUUCGGGNNNNNNNNNNNNNNNNNNNNNNNNNNNNNNNNNNNNNNNNNNNNNNNNNNNNNNNNNNNNNNNNNNNNNNNNNNNNNNNNNNNNNNNNNNNNNNNNNNNNNNNNNNNNNNNNNNNNNNNNNNNNNNNNNNNNNNNNNNNNNNNNNNNNNNNNNNNNNNNNNNNNNNNNNNNNNNNNNNNNNNNNNNNNNNNNNNNNNNNNNNNNNNNNNNNNNNNNNNNNNNNNNNNNNNNNNNNNNNNNNNNNNNNNNNNNNNNNNNNNNNNNNNNNNNNNNNNNNNNNNNNNNNNNNNNNNNNNNNNNNNNNNNNNNNNNNNNNNNNNNNNNNNNNNNNNNNNNNNNNNNNNNNNNNNNNNNNNNUGUUGCUCCACCGACGUACUCCUUCCUCCUAUAUAUACCUACGUAUCCCCAAACGACCAUGUACGGAGACAAAACCCUAAUUCCACCGCCGAAACUUUCUGUAUCCACGAGAUUCCAUCUUGGCGCCUGUUCCGGAGCUCCGCCGGAGGGGGCAUCGAUUAUGGAGGGCUUCUACAUCAACACCAUAGCCUCUCCGAUGAAGUGUGCGUAGUUGACCUCAGACCUACGGGUCCAUAGUUAUUACCUAGAUGGCUUCUUCUCUCUUUUUGGAUCUCAAUACAAUGUUCUUCCCCUCUCUUGUGGAGAACUAUUCGAUGUAAUCUUCUUUUUGCGGUGUGUUUGUUGAGACCGAUGAAUUGUGGGUUUAUGAUCAAGUCUAUCUAUGAAUAAUAUUUGAAUCUUCUCUGAAAUAUUUUAUGUAUGAUUGGUUAUCUUUGCAAGUCUCUUCGAAUUAUCAGUUUGGUUUGGCCUACUAGAUUGAUCUUUCUUGCAAUGGGAGAAGUGCUUAGCUUUGGGUUCAAUCUUGCGGUGUCCUUUCCCAGUGACAGUAGGGGCAGCAAGGCACGUAUUGUAUUGUUGGCAUCGAGGACAACAAGAUGGGGUUUUCAUCAUAUUUUAUGAGUCUUUCCCACUACAUCAUGUCAUCUUACUUAAGGCGUUAAUCUGUAUUUAACUUAAUACUCUAGAUGCAUGCUGGAUAGCGGUCGAUGAGUGGAGUAGUAGUAGUAGAUGCAGGCAGGAGUCGGUCUACUUGUCUUGGACGUGAUGCCUAUAUACAUGAUCAUACCUAGAUAAUCUCAUAACUAUGCUCAAUUCUGUCAAUUGCUCAAUAGUAAUUUGUUCACCCACCGUAGAAUACUUAUGCUCUCGAGAGAAGCCACUAGUGAAACUUAUGGCCCCCGGGUCUAUCUUUAUCAUAUUAAUCUCCUACUACUUAGUUAUUUCCUAUGCUUUUUUACUUUGCCUUUAUUUUACUUUGCAUCUUUAACACAAAAAUACAAAAAAAUUAUCUUUAUCAUAUCUACCAAAUCUCACUCUCGUAAGUGGCCGUGUAGGGAUUGACAACCCCUAUUCGCGUUGGUUGCGAGGAUUUAUUUGUUUUGUGCAGGUACGAGGGACUGGCGCAUAGCCUCCUACUGGAUUGAUACCUUGGUUCUCAAAACCUGAGGGAAAUACAUACACUACUUUGCUGCAUCAUCCCUCACUCUUCGGGGAAAACCAACGCAGUGCUCAAGAGGUAGCAAGGGUUCCUUUUUGUCGACGAUCUGAUGUUUCAACCUUGUUUUCCAGGCGGCCAACGCGUCGCUAAACUUGGUCAUGGCGUGUUUUUUUAUCUUCUUCAUUGCCAGGUCCUUAUCUGGAUCUUUAUUAUCCUUUUCAUUACGGUCCGGGAACAAGAAUAUCUGGUGCAGCCUCUUUAGGAGGGAGGGCCUCAUAUUAUCUAUCUUCUGUAGUUUCCCAUCGUUGAUCGUGGCAGUUGUCCAUACAAUGCAACCUAUUUGAUUGCCGUAGCACGAUCGCGCUUCCUCAGGCGCUAUUGUCUCAAAAAUACCGUCGUCCAACUCCGUGACCACCAGUCUAGUACUCAGGAGCUGGUUUGGGCGCCGUGGCCUCUUUGCUUUCGGUUCUAGACCAACUCCGCUAGUCUCGGCGCCGGUCUCAGUCUCAUCGCCGGUCUGCAUGUCGGUAUCAGUCCCCGAUGCGACAACACAGUCGCUGCAACAUGGGUAAGGGAGACCUCCGCGCGUUUGUACAUAGGCACAGGGUGAAUCCCGGUGAGAGAUGGCCAUUGGCGCAUGCAAGUAGACGACGACGUCCCCGACGAAGAGCAGCCGGCCAGCUCGCCUCACUCUCCUUUGAUUAGAAAUGAAAGAUUGGGAAGAAGCAGACUGGAGCCUGCAGGGAAAGGAUAAGGUGACGAUGCAGUCUCCACUCGUUCGGGGCGACACACGUACUGAAUGUAUGAGAAACGUGACGUGGCAGAGACCCCAAGAUACUCCCUCCAUUUAUUUUUAGUCUGCAUAUAAAGUUUGGUCAAAGUCAAGAUUUGUAAAUUUUAACUAACUUUAUAAUAAAAAAAUAUCAACAUUCACAAUAUGAAAUCAAUAUUACCAGAUGUGUCAUGAAAUGUAUUUCCAUACUAUAUAGUUUUGGUAUUGUAGAUGUUCAUAUUUUUUAUAUAAAUGGGAAGUAGAGGCACUCUUGCAUAUAAUGAAGUUUAUAAUAUAUGUGCUUAUAUUGUACUACAAUUGUUUGAAUAGCUUAGCAUAUGUUCAGAUGUAUGAUAUCUGUAAUUUAAGCGCUUGAAUUUUACAUAUAAAUAUUUAUUAAUAAAUAUGUACCCCUAUAAUAGCUAGGCCGUGCAUUUGCACGGGUAGAUGACUAGUGAUUACAAUCUUGUUUGUGUGCAAGUCAAGCUUAUCUAGUUUACACGUAACAACUUGUAGAACGUUACAAAAUUUAUGCUUGCUAAUAACUUCUAGAACACUACAACACUUGACAUGUAAAAGGAAUUUGACGAGUCAUGGCCUACUAAAGCAAGUUACAUUACUAGUCUUAUCUAUCUUAACAGACCACACAAGAUUACAAACUAAGUACCGUGACAGCCAUGCUUAUCUAGUUUAUGCGUAACAAUUUGCAGAAAAUUACAAACUUAGUUUCAGAAAAAUAGGCAAUCUAGAUUAGUGUUUGAGCUGUAAAGUGAAUAAGAUGAGUCAUGCAUGUUAUCACACCUUUUUGGUGGUGGAAUGAUAGUGCAACAACAAGGAACUUUAAUGACCAGUCCAAGAAUACACUUGUAAGUAGUGCUACCAAACAGAACAUACCAAAUGAUGAUUUUUAGAAGCAUCCAAGCACUUUCCACACAAACAAAUGCCAAUUGUGAAAGAGAUCAUUCCAUGGCAGCUAUAAAUAGCCCCAUAGCAUGACGAUCAUCCUUCCUCAUCCAUCAUUCUUAUUAGUAGAGCGCAUCAUUUAAGCCAAGCAAGCUGUGGUCAAUACAAAUCCACCAUGAAGACCUUUCUCAUCCUUGCCCUCCUUGCUAUCGUGGCGACCACCGCCACAACUGCAGUUAGAGUUCCAGUGCCACAAUUGCAGCCACAACAUCCAUCUCAGCAACAGCCACAAGAGCAAGUUCCAUUGGUACAACAACAACAAUUUCUAGGGCAGCAACAACCAUUUCCACCACAACAACCAUAUCCACAGCCGCAACCAUUUCCAUCACAACAACCAUAUCUGCAACUACAACCAUUUCCGCAGCCGCAACUACCAUAUUCGCAGCCACAACCAUUUCGACCACAACAACCAUAUCCACAACCGCAACCACAGUAUUCGCAACCACAACAACCAAUUUCACAGCAGCAGCAGCAGCAGCAACAACAACAACAACAACAACAACAACAAAUCCUUCAACAAAUUUUGCAACAACAACUGAUUCCAUGCAUGGAUGUUGUAUUGCAGCAACACAACAUAGCGCAUGGAAGAUCACAAGUUUUGCAACAAAGUACUUACCAGCUGUUACAAGAAUUGUGUUGUCAGCACCUAUGGCAGAUCCCUGAGCAGUCGCAGUGCCAGGCCAUCCACAAUGUUGUUCAUGCUAUUAUUCUGCAUCAACAACAAAAACCACAACAACAACCAUCGAGCCAGGUCUCCUUCCAACAGCCUCUGCAACAAUAUCCAUUAGGCCAGGGCUCCUUCCGGCCAUCUCAGCAAAACCCACAGGCCCGGGGCUCUGUCCAGCCUCAACAACUGCCCCAGUUCGAGGAAAUAAGGAACCUAGCGCUACAGACGCUACCCGCAAUGUGCAAUGUCUACAUCCCUCCAUAUUGCACCAUCGCGCCAUUUGGCAUCUUCGGUACUAACUGAGAAGAAAAUAACUCUAGUACUAGAUAUAUGAAACACCGUUUUCUCAGUCCAUGGUUUGGUCGUUGUAGCGGUGAAAAAAUAAUGUGACAUGCACUAUCAGGUAAGAACCCGAACUAUACUAGUUCAAACUUGGGAAUAAAAGACAAACACAGGUCUUGUCUACAUAUUUAUGUUGCAUCUAUUUAUAUAUUAAAAGUAAUAUAAGGUGAACCAGGAGCAAGGUAAAUAUGCUAGAAAAUUGCACGUUAAUUAGAAAUUACUAGCCCUCGAUCUGAUAAAUCUUAACGAACAUAUAUAAUGCUCUGGGCCUCCAACGACUGUACGUGACACAUCUGAACGAACAUAUGUUAAAGAAAAUAUAUUUGGUAAAUGGUGGGCUUCUUUAAAAAGAGAACUCACGUACAUGCACCAACUAAGAAAAACACAUACAUGUAAACGGGAAAAGGAUGAGAUUUUCUCACGUACGUGCUCCCUGGCUCCACCCCGUUGAAAAAAUAUACAUCUGGAGGCCACUUUGUUUCCUCAUCAAAAAAACUUACGUUAAAAAGAUUGCAUGCAUCCCAGGGAAAAUAGUCAAGAAGAAGUCGGACUUUUCCUUACAAAAACAAGGAACGUGUUAAGUUGACUUCAAAGAAAAAAGGAACAUGUUAAGUUAAAAAAAAACAAGAAACCUGUUAAGUUAGAAAAAAAACAAGGAACGUGUUGUCCAAGGAAAGAGGAAGAAGAAAGUUGGUUUCAGUGAGUCAUGUGAAUUGUAGAAGAAAUAGGUAAACAAGGCUAGCUCCCCUGGGGGUUGUCAUAUUACAAUCAUUUGUAUUACUUUCCUACCAAUCCUGAACUAGCUAUGACCCUUAUAGCGAGCCUCACUUUACCGUUUCAGAUAGAAACAUAUGGCAGUACUGUACGUACUCGAGAGAAGUUGCUCCCUUCCAUGACAAGGACUAGUUAAGUUUCACUAUCUCCUUUCUCAACUCACUAUAUCCCAGCGGCGGAUUAAUAUAUAUACGUUGAAAAGCAAGGGGAUAAAUUGAACGAAAUGAAGAGCAAUCCAGAAUCCUAUUUUGUAUAUGUGUCAAAUCUUACAAAAAAAAAAGAAUACACACACGUACGUUCAUGCACUUGGAAAAUAGAAAAAAAAGGAACAUCACGUAUGUAUACACUUCGGAAACUCAUUACAUGACCAUGUCUGAUAUACUCCUCUAAUGCUUCAUAUUAGUGCCUAAUAAUUUAUAUUUAAAAUUCAAUUUACUGAUCAAAUAUCCCCACUGUUUAAAUUUUAAUUUGGCACAUUGUUUGGCUAUAGUAUGAACCUAAAUUUCCUCUUAUUAUUAUAUAUCAUGGUAAUAAUCCAAAGGCGACUAAUCUGCGCCGGCGCACCGGCGCAAUCAAUUCCGCUGGACACAGCGCGGCCGUUUGAUUAGAUUGCAUUUAACCGUCAGAUCUGGAAUCGUUUUCUUUCCAAUUAAACAGAUUCAACCAAACAGCAGAGGGGAAAACAAAGCAGCGCCGCCGCCAACACUAGCCAUGGACGACCGAUGUAGCAAAACCUUGAAGAACCGCCGCCGGUCGCCACCCUCGCUGCUGGUCGCCGCCCUCGCCGUCGGUCACCGCCGGUCGCCGCCCUCGCCGCACUCGUGGUUGCAGGCUUGCAUCUCCGCCUCCGGGGGACAUGGCCGCAUGUCCGGUAGCGCCGGCCGCCGGCCGGUGCACCUGUCGUUGUGGUCGCGCUGUACCUCGCCGUGUGCCCUCCCGUGGCUCUUGCUGGUUCCAACAAAAAACGAUACCGGUUGUAGCAAAAAAAUAUCGCUUCCAGCAAAAAAGCUUACCGCUACAGCCCGCCAUCGUCAUUGUAGCAAAAAUGUUAACCCGAUGUAGCUUCUGUGGUUGCCGACUGCAGCAAAAAAUGACAUGGUUGUAGCAAAACACAAAAGAAAAACGCCGGCCGGCCUCUGUGUAUGGUGGUAACAAACCCCAUAGCCGGUGGUAGCGAAAAACUUCAUAGUGCGCAGCAAAAAAAUGUUGUCACCCGUCGUCGAGGUUGCAUCAUCUUCAUGAAUUAUGUCGCAAAAAAACGUUGUCGCCGGUAGUAGCAAAUGAAGCCGCCGGUAGUAGCAAAACAAGACACUGGUUCCAGCCAAAAAAAAUCAGCGACAGAACCUUUGGUUGGUUCCAACAAAAAAACUUGUCGGUCGUAACAUCCCUCGCCGCCGGAUGUAGCAUCUCCCGGGGCUGGUUGCAACACUCCAUAAAAAAAAGUUGUCUAUGAGCGCAUCCAUGGUGACUGCUGCACCGUCAGCAACGAGGGGAAGAGGAGGCAAUGAAAAUCGUUCGAGUCAUAGCUCCACAGGACGCGGCUGCAGCAUGGGGAGUCCAAAAAUCUGUCACAAGCAACAUGCGCCUCGCCAUCCUCCUGCGCAGGAGAGAGAAGAAAAAGGAAUAAGAGGAAGAAGAAAGAAAACGGGAGAAAGAAAAAAGAAACGAUUGGUGGUUGGCUCAGGCAAUUAGUCAAGCGAGGGGCACGCGGGGCGCAGGAUACAGCGCAAUCGAACGAAGCGCGCGCGUCCGGCGAAGACUCGGCCGGACUGCCGGCUGGAAACGUUUCCCUAAUCCAAAGGCUUUAUCUGAAUGACAACUCGUCUGGGUUACCGGCUAACUAGAAAAAAGAUAAAUAUGCUAGAGAAUUUCAUAAUAAUUAGAAAUAUCUAGCCUUUAAUUAUGUAAAUCAGAAAAUCACAACCGUUGGAUUUACUUUAAAGGUAAAUUUCUCUAAAUUCCCACCAUUGCCAGUAUGUAGAAACAUGUGCUGCUUCAAUUCUCCCAUAAUCACCAAUCAAUCAACAACACAAAACAUACCUCAGUUAAAAAAACUGAACAAAAAAAAAGAAAAAAGAAGAAAGGACAAGAUACACGCAUGUACACGACAGCCUUGGCUUGAAACACAUCAGUAGAUCAAGUGUCCGCCUCCCUUACACAGAAUAAACUCAUAGGGAAGAAAAUAAUUGUGCAACCUAACCUUAUACGUACUAUUCUAUCCUCACGUCCCAUGAGGUUUACUAGCCUACCGCCGCCGCAUCAUGCCAUCCCCUCCUUUCAGCUCCCAUGCUUUCCAGCACCCUCAUUGCCGCGCCACUACUUGCCUAGGGAUAUUGCUGCUCAGACCGUGGAGCUUAACCUGCUUCUUCUUCAGCAAAUAUGGUACUGCUUUAGGAUCCUUCUCACAUCAGCACGUAUGGGCCUCAUUAUACUGCAGCUCCUGGACCUCCUACAAUUGGUUGGCUAUGGCCAGUUGAUCGAUGUGCCGAAGUCCAGGUCUGUUUGCUGGCACAUAUGCUUUGGAAAUAGGCCACUAUGUUUGUACUUCAAAAUUGUUUCUGUAUUCUUGAGUGGUACAUCCUUUUAAGCGCCAGUUUUUUAUGUCAAUUCAUGCUGACAACACUUAACCUAGCCUUUCAUCUUCACGUACUAAAUACAGGAGCAAGUAAAAACAACAGACCACCUAAUUGCUCUGCAUGUACUACAUAGGAAAAUUUGUCAUGUUCUACGAUCGCACCAUCCCACACUUCUCUCUUGGUAUGGGCGCCAAUUGAGGGAUUGAUAAAACUGAAACGAAGACGUCACGGGGCUGGAAGUACCGCUAGCCUGGUUUGCACUGCAACCUACUCAACGCCAUCAGAAACUAGCAACUGAGGCAGUUGUUGAUCGAUUCUCUCAAAUUGCUCUCAUGUAAGUACUACCCCUUGCAUGUGCGUACAUACCUUUGUUCCAUUCUCAAACAGAUAGAACAUUUAUGAUCGGUGCAUGGCUAUUUUUCAUCACAUGACAUCCAGAUAACAAGCAUGAAAGGACUACAUUGGAGAUCAAAAAAUAUUGGUUCCUGGCUAGAGGACCACUACCUAUGGACUUGUCUCCAUAGAAUUUGUUCCCAAGAUGUUAUUUUAAUUAACCUCUUUAGCUUUCUUCCAUUGCAAACGGUGAUGUGCAUCUUGGUAUAUACGUGACCAUCUUGCACAUGUAUACACAAGAGGCUCAGACGGAGGUGCUGGAUUCUGGACGAGGGAAUAUGAAGCAGCAGUGAGCGAAGAGUAAAUAAUGGUGGGAGUACCGAUUGGUGUUAUGAAGAAAAAUGCCAUCCAAAGAUUGAUUAGUGUCAUGGAAGAUUAAUUUCUGAAUGCGAAUAUAUAUGUUACAUUGGUUUGGAUCUUUUUGAGAUAAUUGCACAUAAAUUAGGUUCUUUCUUAUUUCAUAUGUAUACCUUAUUUCAGUAAAAGUUCACAACGAACUUAGUAGGACAAAUAUAAUUUUGUUUGUUCUUUCUGUUGUCCGCCACCAAAGCUCAAUUUGAACUCUCUAGAAAUGGACAAUGAUUUAUGCAUUCUAUAUCUUCUUGAUUCAUUAGCCAUGACAAGGAAAUAAAAGGAUUGACUGAUAUAGCAUAACUUUGGAACGAUCUGUUCGUAGAGGUUACUACAAAUUAGAGUAGUGUCUGCUGGAAUUUUGCCAGUAGGUCUUUGGCCCAAAGCCCAACUAAAAUUCUGAAAUUCUCUUGGCUCAUUUAUGCACACAUGUGAGUUGAGUGAGUGAGACUAAAGUUUAGUCCCACCCCGGAGUUGAGAGAGAGUUGCACCUCUUUAUAAGGUGAGCUCUUCUACCACUUGUAUGAGCAUGAGAAGAGGAGACCUACACGCGCGCUCCUCCUCCUCGCUCGCCACGCCUCGCCGCGCCGCGCCGCGGGUUGCGGGAUUGAGCCGAGCCGAGGACGUUGUCUAUAUUUUUGCUGCUCGGGAAAAAUUAAUGAGUCAUUAAUUAAUAAUUAAUGGACGCAUUAAUUACUGAACCGUUUCCGAUUUUUUUGGAUCGUGACGAAUCGGACGCGGGGUUUACUCCCAGGACCUACCCGGCCCGCACUAUAUAGUCAGGCAGACGUCUACCCUAGCCGCCGCCGCUUCAUAUGGUUUCUCACCAUCGUUACAGAUCAUUGCGCCACCAAGCAAGUUUUCUCCAUCCCUCCUUUCGGCGUGCACCGGGAGAAGGGAUAGCAGACCUCCGGAACCCCGCCUCUCGUGAUCCUGUACGGGAGAGGGGCGAUCAGGCUUUUGGGGAGCACACUCGCACUACUGUUGGCAGCGACGACUUCGCAAACGAGGACUUCUUCCCCGACCUCGGCAACCUCAUCCUCGACGACAUGGGCGACAACGUCAACGCCGGCGGUGCUACACCCACUGCACCGUAUGUUAUUCUCUCCUUCUUGUUCGAGGUCGUGGUAGAAUUCAAAGUAUAUGUGCCCUAGAUGUGAUCUGUUCAUCUACUAUGGUAGUUCGCAUGAUUAGUUUAAUCUCUGCUAUUGCUGUCAUGAUCUAUUUCCUAUUUAUUCGGAUUAAAUCUCGUAGUAAUUUGCUCAUUUUUCCAACAAUCCAAAAACCUGAUUAAUGGAAAUUUACUCCGAGUGGUUUUGCUGCGCAUCUGAAAGCCGCUUGCCUUUAAGGGGGCGCAAUAUAAGAGGUGGCUCACAAGAGUAGUCUACUGGUUUCAGAUCAUGGGCUGCUAUGACGCCACCAAGGGCAAGCCUGAGGGCGAUCUUAAUCCAGCACAGCUGGAUGCUAUGACAACGGCAAGAACACGUGGGCUACGCUCGAGGCCAAGUUUGGUGCCUCGGACGCCGGCAGCGAGUUGUACGUCAUGGAGCAAUUCUAUGACUCCAAGAUGACUGAUGAGCGCCCUGUUGUACAGCAGGCUCAUGAGAUACAGUUGCUCGCAAAAGAACUUGAGUACUUCAUGUUGGGGAACGUAGUAAUUUCAAAAAAAUUCCUACGCACACGCAAGAUCAUGGUGAUGCAUAGCAACGAGGGGGAGAGUCUGAUCUACGUACCCUUGUAGAUCGCAACGGAAGUGUUGACACAGCGUAGAGGAAGUAGUCGUACGUCUUCUUCCCGAUCCGACCGAUCCAAGCACCGUUACUCCGGCACCUCCGAGUUCUUAGCACACGUUCAGCUCGAUGACGAUCCCCGGGCUCCGAUCCAGCAAAGCUUCGGGGAGGAGUUCCGUCAGCACGACGGCGUGGUGACGAUCUUGAUGUUCUACCGACGCAGGGCUUCACCUAAGCACUACAACGGUAUGAUCGAGGUGGAAUAUGGUGGCAGGGGGCACCGCACACGGCUAAGGAACGAUCUCAAUGAUCAACUUGUGUGUCUAGAGGUGCCCCCUGCCCCCGUAUAUAAAGGUUGCCAGGGGGAGGGCUGGCCGGCCAAGCUAUGGAGGCGCAGGAGGAGUCCUACUCCUACCGGGAGUAGGACUCCCCCCAAUCCUAUUCCUAAUAGGACUCCCAAGUGGAAAGAGAGGGAGAGAGGUGGCCGGCCACCUCUCCUAGUCCUAAUAGGACUAGGGGAGGGGGGAGGCGUGCAGCCCACCUUGGGCUGCCCCUUUCACCUUGCCACUAAGGCCCAAUAAGGCCCAUUUGGUUCCCGGGGGGUUCCGGUAACCUCCCGGUACUCCGGUAAAAUCCCGAUUUCUCCCGAAACACUUCCGAUGUCCAAACAUAGGCUUCCAAUAUAUCAAUCUUGAUGUCUCGACCAUUUCGAGACUCCUCAUGAUGUCCGCGAUCACAUCCGGGACUCCGAACAACCUUCGGUACAUCAAAAUGCAUAAACUCAUAAUAACUGUCAUCGUAACGUUAAGCGUGCGGACCCUACGGUUCGAGAACAAUGUAGACAUGACCGAGACACGUCUCCGGUCAAUAACCAAUAGCGGGACCUGGAUGCCCAUAUUGGCUCCUACAUAUUCUACGAAGAUCUUUAUCGGUCAGACCGCAUAACAACAUACGUUGUUCCCUUUGUCAUCGGUAUGUUACUUGCCCGAGAUUCGAUCAUCGGUAUCCAAUACCUAGUUCAAUCUCGUUACCGGCAAGUCUCUUUACUCGUUCUGUAAUACAUCAUCCCGCAACUAACUCAUUAGUUGCAAUGCUUGCAAGGGUUGUAUAAUGUGCAUUACCGAGAGGGCCCAGAGGUACCUCUCCGACAAUCGGAGUGACAAAUCCUAUUCUCGAAAUACGCCAACCCAACAUCUACCAUUGGAAACACCUGUAGUACUCCUUUAUAAUCACCCAGUUACGUUGUGACGUUUGGUAGCACCCAAAGUGUUCCUCCGGCAAACGGGAGUUGCAUAAUCUCAUAGUCAUAGGAACAUGUAUAAGUCAUGAAGAAAGCAAUAGCAACAUACUAAACGAUCGGGUGCUAAGCUAAAGGAAUGGGUCAUGUCAAUCAGAUCAUUCAUCUAAUGAUGUGAUCCCAUUAAUCAAAUAACAACUCUUUGUCCAUGGUUCGGAAACAUAACCAUCUUUGAUUAACGAGCUAGUCAAGUAGAGGCAUACUAGUGACACUCUGUUUGUCUAUGUAUUCACACAUGUAUUAUGUUUCCGGUUAAUACAAUUCUAGCAUGAAUAAUAAAUAUUUAUCAUGAUAUAAGGAAAUAAAUAAUAACUUUAUUAUUGCCUCUAGGGCAUAUUUCCUUCAGUCUCCCACUUGCACUAGAGUCAAUAAUCUAGAUCACAUCACCAUGUGAUUAACAUCGAUAGUUCACAUCAUCAUGUGAUUAACACCCAUAGUUCACAUCGCCAUGUGACCAACACCCAAAGGGUUUACUAGAUUCAGUAAUCUAGUUCACAUUGCUAUGUGAUUAACACCCAAAGAGUACUAAGGUGUGAUCAUGUUUUGCUUGUGAGAGAAUCUUAGUCAACGGGUCUGCCACAUUCAGAUCCACAUGUAUUUUGCAAAUUUCUAUGUCAACAAUGCUCUGCAUGGAGCUACUUUAGCUAAUUGCUCCCACUUUCAAUAUGUAUCUAGACCGAGACUUAGAGUCAUCUAGAUUAGUGUCAAAACUUGCAUCGGCGUAACCCUUUACGACGAAUCUUUUUAUCACGUCCAUAAUCGAGAAACAUAUCCUUAUUUCACUAAGGAUAAUUCUGACCGAUGUCCAGUGAUCUACUCCUAGAUCACUAUUGUACUCCCUUGCCAAAUCAGUGCCGGGUAUACAAUAGAUUUGGUAUACAGCAUGUCAUACUUUAUAGAACCUAUGGCCAAGGCAUAGGGAAUGACUUUCAUUCUCUUUCUAUCUUCUGCCGUGGUUGGGCUUUGAGUCUUACUCAACUUCACACCUUAUAAUACAGGCAAGAACUCUUUCUUUGACUGCUCCAUUUUGAACUACUUCAAAAUCUUGUCAAGGUAUGUACUCAUUGAAAAAACUUAUCAAGCGUCUUGAUCUAUCUCUAUAGAUCUUGAAGCUCAAUAUGUAAGCAGCUUCACCGAAGUCUUUCUUUGAAAAACUCCUUUCAAACACUCCUUUAUGCUUUAUAGAAUAAUUCUACAUUAUUUCCGAUUAACAAUAUGUCAUUCACAUAUACUUAUCAGAAAUGUUGUAGUGCUACCACUCACUUUCUUGUAAAUACAGGCUUCACCGCAAGUCUGUAUAAAACUAUAUGCUUUGAUCAACUCAUCAAAGCAUAUAUUCCAACUCCGAGAUGCUUGCACCAGUCCACAGAUGGAUCGCUGGAGCUUGCACAUUUUGUUAGCACCUUUCGGAUUGACAAAACCUUCUGUUGCAUCAUGUACAACUCUUCUUUAAUAAAUCCAUUAAGGAAUGCAGUUUUGUUUAUCCCUUUGCCAGAUUUCAUAAAAUGCGGCAAUUACUAACAUGAUUCGGACAGACUCAAGCAUAGAUACGAGUGAGAAGCUCUCAUCGUAGUCAUCACCUUGAACUUGUCGAAAAACUUUUGCGACAAUUCUAGCUUUGUAGAUAGUAACACUACUAUCAGCGUCCGUCUUCCUCUUGAAGAUCCAUUUAUUCUCAAUUGCUUGCCGAUCAUCGGGCAAGUCAACCAAAGUCCAAACUUUGUUCUCAUACAUGGAUCAUAUCUCAGAUUUCAUGGCCUCAAACCAUUUCGCGGAAUCUGGGCUCAUCAUCGCUUCCUCAUAGUUCGUAGGUUCGUCAUGGUCAAGUAACAUGACCUCCAGAACAGAAUUACCGUACCACUCUGGUGCGGAUCUCACUCUAGUUUACCUACGAGAUUCCGUAGUAACUUGAUCUGAAGUUACAUGAUCAUCAUCAUUAGCUUCCUCACUAAUUUGUGUAGUAGUCACAAGAACAGAUUUUUGUGAUGAACUACUUUCCAAUAAGGUAGAAGGUACAAUUACCUUAUCAAGUUUUCUACUUUCCUCCCACUUACUUCUUUCAAGAGAAACUCCUUCUCUAGAAAGGAUCCAUUAUAAGCAACGAAUGUCUUGCCUUAGGAUCUGUGAUAGAAGGUGUACCCAACAGUCUCCUUUGGGUAUCCUAUGAAGACAUAUUUCUCCGAUUUGGGUUUGAGCUUAUCAGGAUGAAACUUUUUCUCAUAAGCAUCGCAACCCCAAACUUCAAGAAACGACAACUUUGGUUUCGUGCCAAACCAUAGUUCAUAAGGCGUCGUCUCGACGGAUAUAGAUGGUGCCCCUUUUUUUAACGUGAAUGCAGCUGUCUCUAAUGCAUGACCCCAAAAACGAUAGUGGUAAAUCGGUAAGAAACAUCAUAGAUUGCACUAUAUCCAAUAAAGUACGGUUAUGGCGUUCGGACACACCAUUAUGCUGUGGUGUUCCAGGUGGCGUGAGUAGUGAAACUAUUUCACAUUGUUUUAACUGAAGACCAAACUUGUAACUGAAAUACUCUUUUCCACGAUCAGAUCGUAGAAACUUUAUUUUCUUGUUACGAUGAUUUUCCACUUCACUCUGAAAUUCUUUGAACUUUUCAAAUGUUUCCGACUUAUGUUUUAUCAAAUAGAUAUACUCAUAUCUGCUCAAAUCAUCUGUGAAGAUCAGAAAAUAAUGAUACCUAUCGCGAGCCUCAAUAUUCAUCGGACCACAUACAUCAGUAUGUAUGAUUUCCAACAAAUCUGUUGCUCGCUCCAUUGUUCAGAAGAACAAAGUCUUAGUCAUCUUGCCCAAAAGGCAUGGUUCGCAAGCAUCAAGUGAUUCCGAAAGCCCAUCAGCAUGGAGCGCUUUAUACCAAUAUGACCUAAACGGCAGUGCCACAAAUAAGUUGCACUAUCAUUAUUAACUCUGCAUCCUUUGGUUUCAAUAUUAUGAAUAUGUGUAUCACUACGAUCGAGAUCCAACGAACUUGUUUCAUUGGGUGUAUGACCAUCGAAGGUUUUAUUCAUGUAAACAGAACAACAAUUAUUCUCUGACUUUAAUGAAUAACCGUAUUGCAAUAAAUAUGAUCAAAUCAUAUUCAUGCUCAACGCAAAAACCAAAUAACACUUAUUUAAGUUCAACACUAAUCCCGAAAGUAUAGGGGAGUGUGCGAUGAUGAUCAUAUCAAUCUUGGAACUACUUCCAACACACAUCGUCACUUCACCCUUAACUAGUCUCUAUUUAUUCUGCAACUCCUGUUUUGAGUUACUACUCUUAGCAACUGAACCAAUAUCAAAUACUAAGGGGUUGCUAUAAACACUAGUAAAGCACACAUCAAUAACAUGUAUAUCAAAUAUACUUUUGUUCACUUUGCCAUCCUUCUUAUCCGCCAAUCACUUGGGGUAGUUCCGCUUCUAGUGACCAGUCCCUUUGCAGUAGAAGCACUUAGUCUCAGGCUUAGGAUCAGACUUGGGCCUCUUCACUUGAGCAGCAACUUGCUUGCCGUUCUUCUUGAAGUUCCCCUUCUUCCCUUUGCCCUUUUCUUGAAACUAGUGGUCUUGUCAACCAUCAACACUUGAUGUUUUUCUUGAUUUCUACCUUCGUUUAUUUCAGCAUCACGAAGAGCUUGGGAGUUGUUUCUGUUAUCCCUUGCAUAUUAUAGUUCAUCACGAAGUUCUACUAACUUGGUGAUGGUGACUAGAGAAUUCUGUCAAUCACUAUCUUAUCUGGAAGAUUAACUCCCACUUGAUUCAAGCGAUUUUAGUACCCAGACAAUCUGAGCACAUGCUCACUAGUUGAGCGAUUCUCCUCCAUCUUUUAGCCAUAGAACUUGCUGGAAACUUCAUAUCUCUCAACUCGGGUAUUUGCUUGAAAUAUUAACUUCAACUCUUGGAACAUCUCAUAUGGUCUAUGACGUUCAAAACGUCUUUGAAGUCCCGAUUCUAAGCCAUUAAGCAUGGUGCACUAAACUAUCAAGUAGUCAUCAUAUUGAGCUAGCCAAACGUUCAUAACGUCUGCAUCUGCUCCUGCAAUAGGUUUGUCACCUAGCGGUGCAUCAAGGACAUAAUUCUUCUGUGCAGCAAUGAGGAUAAAACUCAGAUCACGGAUCCAAUCCGCAUCAUUGCUACUAACAUCUUUCAACACAAUUUUCUCUAGGAACAUAUCAAAAUAAACACAGGGAAGCAACAACGCGAGCUAUUGAUCUAUAACAUGAUUUACAAAAUACUACCAGGACUAAGUUCAUGAUAAAUUUAAGCUCAAUUAAUCAUGUUACUUAAGAACUCCCACUUAGAUAGACAUCCCUCUAAUCCUCUAAGUGAUCACGUGAUCCAAAUCAACUAAACCAUAACCGAUCAUCACGUGAAAUGGAUUAGUUUUCAAUGGUGAACAUCAUUAUGUUGAUGAUAUCUACUAUAUGAUUCACGCUCGACCUUUCGGUCUCCGUGUUCCGAGGCCAUAUCUUUAUAUGCUAGGCUCGUCAAGUUUAACCUGAGUAUUCUGCGUGUGCAAAACUGGCUUGCACCAGUUGUAGAUGGACGUAGAGCUUAUCACACCCGAUCAUCACGUGGUGUCUGGGCACGACGAACUUUGGCAACGGUGCAUACUCAGGGAGAACACUUCUUGAUAAUUUAGUGAGAGAUCAUCUUAUAAUGCUACCGUCAAUCAAAGCAAGAUAAGAUGCAUAAAAAGAUAAACAUCACAUGCAAUCAAUAUAAGUGAUAUGAUAUGGCCAUCAUCAUCUUGUGCUUGUGAUCUCCAUCUCCGAAGCACCGUCAUGAUCACCAUCGUCACCGGCGCGACACCUUGAUCUCCAUCGUAGCAUCGUUGUCGUCUCGCCAAUCUUAUGCUUCCACGACUAUCGCUACCGCUUAGUGAUAAAGUAAAGCAUUACAUCGCGAUUGCAUUGCAUACAAUAAAGCGACAACCAUAUGGCUCCUGCCAGUUGCCGAUAACUCGGUUACAAAACAUGAUCAUCUCAUACAAUAAAAUUUAGCAUCAUGCCUUGACCAUAUCACAUCACAACAUGCCCUGCAAAAACAAGUUAGACGUCCUCUACUUUGUUGUUGCAAGUUUUACGUGGCUGCUACGGGCUUAAGCAAGAACUCAUCUCACCUACGCAUCAAAACCACAACGAUAGUUUGUCAAAUAGAUUCCGUUUUAACCUUCUCAAGGACCGGGCGUAGCCACACUUGGUUCAACUAAAGUUGGAGAGACAGUCGCCCGCAAGCCAUCUAUGUGCAAAGCACGUCGAGGGAACCGGUCUCGCGUAAGCGUACGCGUAAGGUUGGUCCGGGUCGUCUCGUCCAACAAUACCGCCGAACCAAAGUAUGACAUGCUGGUAGGCAGUAUGACUUGUAUCGCCCACAACUCACUUGUGUUCUACUCGUGCAAAUAAUAUCAAACCAUAAAACCUAGGCUCGGAUGCCACUGUUGGGGAACGUAGUAAUUUCAAAAAAUUUCCUACGCACACGCAAGAUCAUGGUGAUGCAUAGCAACGAGGGGGAGAGUCUGAUCUACGUACCCUUGUAGAUCGCAACGGAAGCGUUGACACAACGUAGAGGAAGUAGUCGUACGUCUUCUUCCCGAUCCGACCGAUCCAUGCACCGUUACUCCGGCACCUCUGAGUUCUUAGCACACGUUCAGCUCGAUGACGAUCCCCGGGCUCCGAUCCAGCAAAGCUUCGGGGAGGAGUUCCGUCAGCAUGACAGCGUGGUGACGAUCUUGAUGUUCUACCGACGCAGGGCUUCGGCUAAGCACUACAACGGUAUGGUCGAGGUGGAAUAUGGUGGCAGGGGGCACUGGACACGGCUAAGGAACGAUCUCAAUGAUCAACUUGUGUGUCUAGAGGUGCCCCUACCCUCGUAUAUAAAGGUUGCCAGGGGAGGGCUGGCCGGCCAAGCUAUGGAGGCGCAGGAGGAGUCAAACUCCUACCGGGAGUAGGACUCCCCCCCCCCAAUCUUAUUCCUAAUAGGACUCCCAAGGGGAAAGAGAGGGAGAGAGGUGGCCGGCCACCUCUCCUAGUCCUAAUAGGACUAGGGGAGGGGGGAGGCGCGCAGGCCACCUUGGGCUGCCCCUUUCACCUUUCCACUAAGGCCCAAUAAGGCCCAUUUGGUUCCCGGGGGUUCCGGUAACCUCCCGGUACUCCGGUAAAAUCCCGAUUUCUCCCGGAACACUUCCGAUGUCCAAACAUAGGCUUCCAAUAUAUCAAUCUUUAUGUAUCGACCAUUUCGAGACUCCCCGUCAUGUCCAGGAUCACAUCCGGGACUCCGAACAACCUUCGGUACAUCAAAAUGCAUAAACUCAUAAUAACUGUCAUCGUAACGUUAAGCGUGCGGACCCUACGGUUCGAGAACAAUGUAGACAUGACCGAGACACGUCUCCGGUCAAUAACCAAUAGCGGGACCUAGAUGCCCAUAUUGGCUCCUACAUAUUCUACGAAGAUCUUUAUCGGUCAGACCGCAUAACAACAUACGUUGUUCCCUUUGUCAUCGGUAUGUUACUUGCCUGAGAUUCGAUCGUCGGUAUCCAAUACCUAGUUCAAUCUCGUUACCGGCAAGUCUCUUUACUCAUUCUGUAAUACAUCAUCUCGCAACUAACUCAUUAGUUGCAAUGCUUGCAAGGCUUGUAUAAUGUGCAUUACCGAGAGGGCCCAGAGGUACCUCUCCGACAAUCGGAGUGACAAAUCCUAUUCUCGAAAUACGCCAACCCAACAUCUACCAUUGGAAACACCUGUAGUACUCCUUUAUAAUCACCCAGUUACAUUGUGAUGUUUGGUAGCACCCAAAGUGUUCCUCCGGCAAACGGGAGUUGCAUAAUCUCAUAGUCAUAGGAACAUGUAUAAGUCAUGAAGAAAGCAAUAGCAACAUACUAAACGAUCGGGUGCUAAGCUAAUGGAAUGGGUCAUGUCAAUCAGAUCAUUCAUCUAAUGAUGUGAUCCCAUUAAUCAAAUAACAACACUUUGUCCAUGGUUAGGAAACAUAACCAUCUUUGAUUAACGAGCUAGUCAAGUAGAGGCAUACUAGUGACACUCUGUUUGUCUAUGUAUUCACACAUGUAUUAUGUUUCUGGUUAAUACAAUUCUAGCAUGAAUAAUAAAUAUUUAUCAUGAUAUAAGGAAAUAAAUAAUAACUUUAUUAUUGCCUGUAGGGCAUAUUUCCUUCACUUCAAGUGUGUGUUGCCGAACAAAUUUGUUGCCGGAGGCAUCAUUGCCAAGCUUCCACCUUCGUGGAACAAUUUUGCUACUUCCCUGAAACACAAGAGACAGGAGUUUUUCGUUGCGGAUCUCAUUGGUACUCUUGAUGUUGAAGAGAAGGCGAGAGCAAAGGAUACACGUGCUCGAGUUGCUGAGGGAGGUUCUAGUGCCCACAUGGUACAGAAGAAGAUCUUCCAGCCCAACAAGUUCAAAAACAACAAGAACAAAACUUAGGGCAAAGGCAAGUUUGAUACAAAGAACAAGCCAUCACAUUCUACCAACUUCAAGAAGAACUCUCAUAAGAAGGGGAAGGGACUUUGCCAUGUCUGCGGUGAUCCUAAUCACUGGGCUCCGAAGUGUCCUAACCGCUUUGAGGAGCGCGAACAUGAGAAGAGCGGCAAGUCUGCUAAUGUUGUCAUCGGUGAUACUGAUAUGAAGGAAUCAGGGUACGGUAUUUUUCCUACCAUCCUUUCAGUAUUCCAAAUCCCUGAUUGGUUAAUUGACAUCGGUGCCAAUGUACAUGUUUGUGCUGAUGCCUCCAUGUUUUCUUCUUACCAGGCCACUUGGACUUCUCCUGUGCUGAUGGGGAACGGGUCACAUGCCAUCGUUCGAGGUGUUGGUGCGGUCAAUCUGAAGUUUACUUCGGGGAAGACCGUGCGUCUGAAGAACGUUCAUCAUGAGCCGUCCAUCAAUAAAAAUCUCGUUAGCGGUUCCCGUUUAUGUCGAGAUGGUUUUAAGUUGGUUUUCGAAUCCAAUAAAGUUAUAAUUUCUAAGUAUGGACAAUUUGUUGGAAAAGGCUAUGAGAGCGGAGGCUUGUUUCGCCUGUCUUUGUCAGAUAUUUGCACUAAAGUUAUUAAUAAUGUUUGCCACAACAAUGAGUCUGAUAUUUGGCAUUCACGACUUUGUCACAUUAACUUUGGUUGCAUGACCCGGCUAGCCAAUAUGAAUUUAAUUCCGAAAUCUCUACUGUCAAAGGCUCUAAGUGCCAAGUAUGUGUGAAAGCUAAGCAACCUCGCAAAUCCCAUAAGACUGCAGAGGCGACAGACUUGGCGCCACUAGAGCUUAUACAUUCUGAUAUUUGUGAGAUGAAUGGCGUGUGGACAAAAGGUGGAAAGAGAUACUUCAUGACGUUGAUUGAUGACUCCACUAGAUAUUGUUAUGUGUAUCUUAUGAAAUCAAAAGAUGAGGCUUUGGCUUUCUUCAAAAACUAUAAAGCUGAGGCAGAGAACCAACUUGAUCGAAAAAUUAAACGGCUUAGGUCCGAUCAUGGUGGAGAGUAUUUUUCCAAUGAAUUUGAUCUAUUUUGUGCGGAACAUGGUAUAAUCCAUGAGAGGAUGCCUCCCUACUCACCCCAGUCAGAUGCGGUAGCCGAAAGAAAGAACCAAACUCUAACUGAUAUGGUUAACACCAUGUUAGACACUUCGGGUCUAUCCAAGGAAUGGUGGGGGGAGGCGCUAAUGACUGCGUGUCAUGUCCUAAACCGAGUUCCCACAAAGCAUAAGACCAUGACUCCAUUUGAGGAAUGUUAAAGGAAAAGGUUGAAACUCUCUUACCUACGUACUUGGGGUUGUUUGGCGAAAGUCAAUAUACCAAUUCCCAAGAAGCGCAAGCUUGGACCAAAAACCGUGGGUUGUGUUCUUCUUGGGUAUGCUUUUCAUAGCAUCGGCUAUAGAUUUUUGAUAAUAAAAUCUGAGGUAUCCGACAUGCAUGUUGGUACGAUUAUGGAGUCGAAUGAUGCAACUUUCUUUGAGGACAUAUUUCCUAUGAAGGAUAUGUUGAGUUCAUCAAAUCAGGAGACACCUACUCCACCUAGUGAGGAAUUCACUGUAAUUCCUGAACCCACCAUUGCGAUGGAACACAUAGAGAAUCCUGUUGAGGGUGACAAUGGAACUCCUGUGAGGAGUAAGAGACAUAGGACUACAAAGUCCUUUGGUGAUGAUUUCAUUGUGUACCUCGUGGAUGACACACCCAGGACUAUUUCAGAAGCCUGUGCAUCUCUUGAUGCUGACUACUGGAAGGAAGCUGUACAUAGCGAGAUGGAUUCCAUCUUAGGUAACAGAACCUGGGAGAUCACUGACCGUCCUUAUGGGUGAAAACCUGUAGGAUGUAAGUGGGUGUUCAAGAAGAAGCUUAGACCUGAUGGUACGAUUGAAAAGUACAAGGCACGGCUUGUGGCCAAGGGUUAUACCCAGAAAGAAGGUGAAGACUUCUUUGAUACUUACUCACCCGUGGCUAGAAUGACCACAAUUUGGGUGCUACUAUCACUUGUUGCCUCACAUGGUCUUCUCGUUCAUCAAAUGGACGUUAAGACAGCUUUCCUCAAUGGAGAGUUGAAGGAGGAAAUUUACAUGGAUCAGCCAGAUGGUUUUGUAGUACCUGGUUAGUAAGGAAAGUUGUGCAAGUUAUUAAAGUCUUUAUAUGGCCUUAAACAAGCUCCUAAAGAGUGGCAUGAGUAGUUUGAAAGAACAUUAACUGCUGCCGGCUUUGUAGUAAACGAUGGUGACAAGUGCGUGUACUAUCGCUAUGGUGGUGGCGAAGGAGUUAUUCUUUGUCUGUAUGUCGACGACAUAUUGAUCUUUGGAACGAAACUUGAUUUAAUCAAGGAGGUUAAGGAUUUCUUAUCUCGCUAUUUUGAGAUGAAGGAUCUAGGAGUAGUUGAUGUUAUCUUAAACAUCAAGCUGUUGAGAGAUGAGAAUGAUGGGAUCACACUGCUUCAGUCUCACUAUGUGGAAAAGGUCUUGAGUCGUUUUGGGUAUAGCGACUGCACACCUUCUCCAACUACAUAUGAUGCUAGCAUGUUGCAUCGAAAGAAUCGACGGAUUGCUAGAGAUCAACUGAGGUAUUCUCAUAUUAUUGGCUCGCUUAUGAUUUGGCGAGUGCCACGAGGCCAAACAUCUCGUUUGCUGUUAGCAAGCUGAGUCGAUUUGUGUCAAAACUAGGAGAUGAUUAUUGGCAUGCGCUUGAGAGAGUUAUGCGCUAUUUGAAAGGCACCGCGAGCUAUGGGAUUCACUACACCGGGUAUCCAAGGGUACUGGAGGGUUAUAGUGACUCAAACUGGAUAUCUGAUGCUAAUGAGAUUAAGGCCACAAGUGGUUAUGUUUUUACACUUGGUGGUGGCGCUGUUUCUUGGAAGUCCUGCAAGCAGACCAUCUUAAUGAGGUCAACUAUGGAAGCAGAACUCACAACAUUAGAAACUGCUACUGUUGAAGCAGUGUGGCUUCGUGAGCUCUUGAUGGACUUUCCUAUGGUUGAAAAACCAAUACCCCCUAUCCCAAUGAACUGUGAUAAUCAAACUGUGAUCGUCAAGAUAAACAGUUCUAAGGACAAUAUGAAGUCCUCAAGGCAUGUGAAGAGGAGACUGAAAUCUGUUAGAAAAUUGAGGAACUCCGGAGUUAUUACGUUGGAUUAUAUCCAAACGUCAAAAAAAUUGGCAGAUCCCUUCACAAAGGGUCUAUCACGUAAUGUGAUAGAUAAUGCAUCGAUGGAGAUGGGUUUGAGACCCACCGCAUGAGUUGUCCAUAGUGGUAACCCACUCUUUGUGAUCGGAGAUCCCGUGAAGUAGAAGUGGGAGACAAGCUGUUGGUCAGCUGGGAGGAGAGUAUCCCUAUAUUACCUGUCCCACUCCAUGAAGAUGCAACACUCUCCUAAUCUGCAUGGCAGGUUGAUACUUAUCUUAAUGUGUUCCAAGUGGCUUAUUCGGGUAAGCAGAGAUGUUGUCCUGCGGAACAUCUUCUGAGGAACACACCUAUAUGAAUUUGAUUGUUAACGUCGCAGUCUGUGAGAAUUGGGUGUUCUCUAAUAAAUUCAUGAAAAGGCCCUGGAGUAUGACGUAUAAGCUCCACCCGCAGGGAAGCCUUGCGGCAGCCCAGUAUCGGUCAAGAAUUUGUGUGAAACUAGUCUCGCAGAAAAUUUGUAGUUCAAGGCAUAGUCCACUAUUCAAGUUGUGAUCUAGUGUAGCAUAAAUCUCUAAGUGGAAGUUCAACUUCAAAGUCUCCACUAAGCCCCGGUAUAUAAACAAUGUUUUGGAACUAAAUGAUGAGAUGUGCCAAUGAGACUUUGUGGGGGAUUGUUGGAAUUUUGCUAGUAUGCCUUUGGCCCAAAGCCCAACUAAAAUUCUGAAAUUCUCUUCGCCCAUUCAUGCACACAUGUGAGUGGAGUGAGUGAGACUAAAGUUUAGUCCCACCCCGGAAGUUGAGAGAGAGCACCUCUUUAUAAGGUGAGCUCUUCUACCACUUGUAUGAGCAUGAGAGUAGGAGACCUACACACGCGCUGCUCCUCCUCGCUCACCACGCCACGCCUGGUCACGACGCGCCGCGGGUUGCGGGAUUGAGCCGAGCCGAGGUCAGAGCUAUGCACGUUGUCUAUUUUUUGCUACCCCGGAAAAUUAAUGAGUCAUUAAUUAAUAAUUAAUGGACGUGUUAAUUACUAAACCGUUUCCGAUUCUUUUGGAUCAUGACGACUCGGACGUGGGGUUUACUCCCACGACCUACCAGGCCCGCACUAUAUAGUCCGGCAGACGUGUACCCUAGCUGUCGCCGCUUCGUAUGGUUUCUCACCACCGUUCCAGAUCAUUGCGUCGCCAAGCAAGUCUUCUCCAUCCCUCCUUUCGGCGUGCACCGGGAGAAGGGACAGCAGGCCUCCGGAACCCCGCCUCUCGUGAUCCUGUAUGGGAGAGGGGCGAUCAGGUUUUUGGGGAGCGCACUCGCGCGACUUCUGGCAGCGACGACUUCGCGAAUGACGACUUCUUCCCUGACCUCGGCAACCUCAUCCUCGACGACAUGGGCGACAACGUCAACGCCGGCGGUCCUGCACCCGCUGCACCGUAUGUUAUUCUAUCCUUCUUGUUCGAGAUCGUGGUAGAAUUCAGGUUUCUAGUAUAUGCCCUAGAUGUGAUCUGUUCAUCUACUAUGCUAGUUCGCAUGAUUAGUUUAAUCUCUGCUAUUGCUGUCAUGAUCUAUUUCCUAUUUAUUCGGAUUAAAUCUCGUAGUAAUUUGCUCAUUUUUCCAAUAGUACCAUCUAAUAGAUGAUGUAAAUCUCCUCUAGUUUGACGUUGUUGAGCUAAUUUACAAAAAAAAAACCUCAUCAUUAUUGGACGUCCUUAACAGCUCAAGAACAAGUUGGGGUCGAACUAAUGGAUUUUACACUUUUACAUUAAAGGUUUAGCUAAAGCUAGCAGGUGUUUUUAAACCUGAAUUUUUUUUUCCUCCUGAAUUUCUUUGUAUUUUCUUAUUGACACUAUUUAUACAAUCAUCUGACAAAGAUUAGCUAAAGAUGUUUGUAGAUACGUUGAAACCUGAAAAGCUUCUUUGGUUAUCCUUUUAAUAGUUCUACGUUUAAUUUCUCAUAGGUCAUAAUUCUUAUGUAAUACCAAGAUGCAUUGUGGUAGUGUACAUGUGUUCAAUUCAGGUUGUUAUUCACAAUUUGCGACAAAAUUUAGCUCACGCUACAUUUAAAUAUGUUGAAAUGUGAAUGCUCUUUUUCUUCUCCUUUCUACACCUUGCAUCGGAUUGCAUCCCUUUAGUUAUCCAACAUUUUGUACAACAUGUAGAGAUUAGGAAGUUCAUCAUAGUUUGUCUAUUUCCGUGCUAAUAAAUGUAUGAAAUCUGCAUUUCCAAGCUACUAGGACAAGUAAAAAAUAAUAAUUUUACUAUAGGAUUCAAAAACAGCAGUUCUGAAGUGCACUUUAUUUAUUUUUGAAAGUGAUCACAUUUUGUUUCAUUUUUCUAUAGACAAAUCUACUAAUACAUACUCACGAUAAAACUAUAAAAAUUCUAGUCCGCACAUUGGGCGGGCCACCCGGCUAGUUAGUCUAAAGAUAACAAAAUGAGUCUGGAAUUUGAAUUAAAUUGAAGUAUUUUCUUGGACUUUCAAAUUAAGUUUUAUUAAAGUAGUAAGGACUAUCCACAUCCUUGGCUUGCCCCUGAUCAAUUAUUUCCAGAGAAGCAUUCGAUUCAUCAAUCAAUUACAUUGAUUUUAGUGGCUGGUACUUCUCCUCAACAUCAGUAUAUUCACCGUGGCCACUCCAAAUCGGCAAGAAUGAGGUACCAGUGCUCUGCAGCAGUGCAAGCUAAUUGCUUCUCAUGUGAAGGGGUGCGGGCGCAGGAGAGGUAUUUCUGGUGGGCCAAGGGACUAAGAAGCGACUGUGGCAGCGGUAUAGAUGCCCGCAAAGCCCCAUAGUUUGUUUUUCGUUUACAGGAAAAAUGCACAUCCAUACCAACCUUGGGAAUAUAGGACCGUAUUGGAUGGAAAACCAUGUCCGGAUGGUUGCGAGCGGUUUGAGGGUUAGCUUUUGUAACGCCCGGUUAGUUAUGCUAUAGCAAUUCCCUGCUAAUGAUGUCACGUCACCACGAUUACUAUUGUUAACCUCACAAUGAUUCAAUCCCCUUCAAAUUCAAAUUUAAAAUAAAGGUAAACAUCAAAAGUUUUCAAACAUUAAAACUAAAAUCUUUGAGAGGUGACAAAUAAUGCAUAAGUAAUUAUGGUGGAGAAACCACACUUUAAUCAAAUGUUUAAAUACUCUAAAAUGAAAAAAACAGUUGCUUAAACUAUUAUUUAAAUGCUUUUAAAAUAGUAAAAAUCUUCUAACUAAAUUAUUUGGGUACCAAACUUUUGGUGGCAGUGGUAUAUUUAGUAGAAUUAAUUUAGAUGCUAAUUAUAUAAUUUACAAAAUUAGAGUAAAUUGAAAAAUAGGAUAAAACGGAAAAGGAAAGACAAAACAAAUAAAAGCAAAAGGGGCCAACCCCUCGCUGGGCCUCGACCUAGCUGCCACUAGGCUAGCUAGGCUGGCCCCGGCGCCUCCCUUAACCCCCCCCCCCACUCCCCAUCGAACCCAAGCCCGAUCGCCCCACUUCCCCCACACCCCCUCGCCAGCCUCCCCACCUCUUGAUCCCAUCUGGAUCGGGGAGGGUAUUGCCCCCAUCGACCCCGUUGCCGUCGCCGGAUUGCCCGCCGAUGUCGCCAGGCCUCCUCCCCGCCGCCCGUCUCCGGCUCGCCUCCCCUCUCGCUCCUCUUCCCCGACCCGAUCUAGAUCGUGAACGAGCAAUGAGCUCGAAGCCCCCUUCACCGGCGCCAUCACCGUGCGCCACCACCACCGCCUGAGGACCUCACCGUCGCCGAAUCUAGCGUCGCCUCCUCGUAUCCCUCCCCUACUCGCGUCCUCAAGCCAGGACGAGCCCCUUCUCGGCAACGCUGUGAGACGCCCCCGUUUCCCUCCUCUUUCCACCGCGUUCAUCGCGCCGCCCGCCGUGCCCCUCGCCGUGCGCACGCCCACCACCGCACCAGCCCCCGCUCCGCGCACGACCCUACCCGCGCCCGCGCCAUGAUCCCCUUUUCCGCCCUACCUUCCUGCGCUCGCCGCGGUCCCGAUGCUCCCCCGCGCCCUCUUUCGGGGGCGCCGACCUCCCCUGUCCCGCUGCUCGGCGCCGUGCCUCGCAAUCGCUCUACUGCUAAGUUACUACUGCGCUGCGGCCGUCGCCUCUUCCUUCUGCUCCGCUAGCGCCGAAGCUCCCGAUUGGCUCCACCACUUCUCACGUUAAACCGCCGGCCUAAAUGGCCUAACCCCGGGCUAAUGAACCCCCACUAACCCACUGACACCGGGACCCACAUUCCCUAAUUAACCAUUUAAUAAAUUAAAACUCUUAAAUUAACAUUAGUGUAUGACAUGUGCGUCCCCUAUUAAUUAAUAAUUUUACUGCUAGUUUUCUUAGUUUCUGUUUUUCUGCAUAUUUCUUUUGUAUUUGAACAGGCUUUAUACAAUAAUAUUUAGCGUCUCAUACACAUACAAAUGUAAUUAUAGCAUAUACAUACAAAUAGUCUCAUCAAAUCAUGUGAUCAUCAUAAUCAUCAUCCAUCACAAAGUGAUCUCUCGUCAUCAUCUCGAAAAUAGCGAUACUAGUCUCGAUUACUUGCAACUACAUCGUCAUCCAUCUAAACAAUGAUAUACGCGAGAAGAGCUAUCACUAUGAGUGAGAGCGGAACUAUGCAGUACAUGAGUUUGUAUCCCUCUCUCACAUUAGCGUGAACCUAAACUAACUACUGGCUGUUGCUCGGAAACCGGAAAACGGUACACCUGGGCCUGACACUCCGGCCACUCGUCGUAUACUCCUGGCGUAGCACUUCUUCGCCAUCGAUGAUCUAUGCACCUGCAUCGUCACAUGAGUCGAUGAUAUGCAACAUAUAUAGUUGAGCAACAGAAAGAGACAGACGUGGCAAAAGUAGAAGCAACAUAUCAUAAGCAUAAAUAACAAAGCUCAUCGUACGCAAAAUGCCCUAACUAGAGUGAUCUGCGCUAGUCAAGGAGGACGGUUUAAUUACAUCACAAAUAAUGUUUCGUCGUGCAUUACUCAAAGUUCCGUCAUACAGAAAGUAUGAACUAAAUGGACACAUUGUCAUAUUUCGAAAAUCACUCCCACAUGUCGUGCCAUCCAUCCAAGUCAAGGAGAUAGUGCCCGAGCUUAGUGAAAGGCUUUAGGUCAAGAUGCUGAGUGGCUACGCGUGUUCGGACGUCUUCCCACGACAUUUGUCCUUCUUCAUAGAACAUCCCUGUUUUUUCGACGACCUCCUUCAUCACUAGAAGAAAAAGGGCCUGUUGUCCCGGUUCUGGAACCGGGACUAAAGGGUCGGUACUAAUGCCCUGUCCCUUUAGUCCCGGUUCAAUCCAGAACCGGGACAGAUGGGCCUCCACGUGGCCUGUGCGCGGAGCCCAGGCAGGAGACCCUUUGGUCCCGGUUGGUGGCACCAACCGGGAACAAUAGGCAUCCACGCGUCAGCAUUUCUGUGGUUGGGGUUUUUGUUNNNNNNNNNNNNNNNNNNNNNNNNNNNNNNNNNNNNNNNNNNNNNNNNNNNNNNNNNNNNNNNNNNNNNNNNNNNNNNNNNNNNNNNNNNNNNNNNNNNNNNNNNNNNNNNNNNNNNNNNNNNNNNNNNNNNNNNNNNNNNNNNNNNNNNNNNNNNNNNNNNNNNNNNNNNNNNNNNNNNNNNNNNNNNNNNNNNNNUGGUGUUUCAUAUAUUGUGUUAGCUAGCUAUAAUUAAUAGAGAAAAGUGUCCUCUCUUAUGUCCGUGCUUGGUCGACGCUACGUACUAUACAUACGUAUAGAGAGGACUAGACACGCUAGCUAGCUAGUAAGCAAACGAAGGAAACAGAAGAUCGUCAUGAACAUAUAUGCAUACAGGACUAGACACGCUAGCUAGCUAGUAACCAAACGAAGUUCAACUAGUAAUGGCGCACCACUCCCACGGUGCGCCAUUAGUAGUUUUGAAAAAAAUUAAUUUUUUUUUUUACUAAUGGCGCACUGUGGAUGUGGUGCGCCAUUAGUAUUUGGACACUAAUGGCGUACCAACACAUGGUGCGCCAUUAGUAUAUAGUAAUGGCGCACCACAGGUCUGGUGCGCCAUUAGUGUCAAUUCCAUCUAUAGCCCUUUUCCUAGUAGUGUUAGGGACGGUCUCAAUGAAACAACCCACCAUGUACUCCUGCAUGGCCUCUCAUCGAUACCUUUACCGAAACAUGUGCAACACAUUCCUCAUAUUACCGACAUAAUCAUAUCACCCUAGCCCAUCACCCAGAUGAACCAGACCUGACACAACUAUAAGCAUAGCAGGCAUAGCAAGGUAGGAAUCACAUACAUGGCUCAAUCAACUCCUACACAUGCUAGUGGGUUUCAUCUAGUUACUGUGGCAAUGACAGGUCAUGGAGAGGAUAAGGGUUCAACUACCGUAGCACACAGCAGUUUGAAUGGCGUUGUCUUAAUGCAGUAAACAAGAGCAGAGGCGAGAACAUGGGUUGUAUCGGAAUGAUCAAUGGGUUGCUUGACUGAUGGAGUGGUAGUGGGAUACUACCCUUCAGUUGGAUACUCGUGAAUAUCCUCGGAGGCAGAACCUACCACGAAGAACACAUCGGAACACAAUCAACACAUGACGAUAUGCAACACUAUGAUGCAUGCUAUGACAUGGCAUUAUGAAUGUGUCUUGGCCUAAUGCAAGCUAAAAUAGAAAGGGAUGAACUCAUUUGAAUCAAAGAUUCAAAUAUUAGCUCAUUAAACAUGGCCUUAGUAGUGCAUUUCCUUAUUCUGCUUAAACAGCAAGGUAAACUUGUUUUGUCAUACAUGAAACCAUUACAGAUGGAUGUAUUGAAUUUUUCUGAUAAUUUUUCAUAUAUAAAUUAUUUCAUUUGGAGUUACGGUUGAAUUUCUAUGAUUUUUAGAAGUUUUAAACAUUUUCUGGAAUUUCCUGAAUAAAAAUAAAUCCAGAAAAUGCAUUACUGCGUCAGUAUUGCAUCAUGCUGACCUCAGCAGGUCAAAGGCGCCAGCCCAGGUCAAAACUGACUGGUGGGCCCCUUCUGUCAGUCUCUCAGUUAAAUAAUAGGAUUAGAUUAACACUAAUUAGCUGUCAGUGGGGCCUGGGCCCACAUGUCACUGACUGAUUAAAAUAAAAUUAGUUAAAACUAAUCCUUGAUUAGUUAGCAGACCGGCCCCUCCUGUCAUAGACUCAGGGGGGUCUACCUGGGCCCACCCAGGGUCAAACUGGGUCAAACUCGCCGGCGUUGAGCCGCCGGCGAGACCCGAGACGGUGGCGCAGCUCGGAAAACGCCUACAGGGCACGAGCGAGGCCGUUCUUGGGCUCGUUGGAGAGCUCUUGCAGCCGCGCAUCUAGUGGUGGUGGGGGCCGGAGACGACGACGGCGAGCUCCAAGGCGGCGGCUGGAGUUCGGCCAUGUGCGGGGUGUGGGCUGUGGCGUGCAAACGUGGAAACUGAAGCGCUAGCGAGGCACUACGCGAUGCGGCAAGCACGUUGCAUAGCACGGGAUGAUCCAAUGGUCGCCGGAGCGGCGCCGGCGACAAGCUCGAGCCGAGACGAGCUUCGGCCAUGGUGGAACUAUGGCCUAGAGGGUGCAAACGCGUGGAAAAGAAGAGGGGAAAGGUGGCGGAGCUCACAGGGAGGUCGAUGAGCAGCUCAAUGGGCUCGGGGGUCACCGGAGUGAGGCGAAUCGAUGAGCGGCGUCCGGCGGGUACCGAGGUUGAAGACGAUCCGAUGGCGGCGAUGCAGGGACUCCGGCGAUGCGUGGCUCAGUGGGGAGGGCGAGGGCGUCACAGCGGAGCUUCUGGACAGGUCAGAGAGGCGAGGGGGUGACGGAGGGCGCGACUACGGCGGUGAGACGGCGACGGGUGCGUCGGCCAUUGCGGGAGAGGGAGAGGGAGACAAGUGGGAGAGUGAGAGAGGAUGAGAGGGGGACGUGGGGGUCGCGUGGCAUUCCCUGGACGUCUCCCAGCAUCGGCGGAAGCAGGAGGUGGCCGGCGUGUGGCCGCGGGCGCCGGCCACGCGCUCCACGUCCUUCUGGCGUGAGGAGGACGACGACUGGCAGCGCCAGUAGGCUGGGCCGAGCCAGGGGGCUGGCCAGCACAGGUAAGGCCCAGGUGGGCAUCUCCCUCUUUUUUUUAAUUUGUUUCUGUUUUCUAUUUAACUGUAACUGUUGGGCUUUAUUUAAAAUACUAAAACAUUUCCAAAAAUCCUGAAAAUAAUUGUGGGCUCUGUUUGGAUUAUUUCCAACAGCAGACAUUUAUUUCCAGAAUUAUUUGAGCAUUUAAAUGCCCAAAUUCAAAUACUUAUGAUUUAAAUCAAUGACCUUCUAUUGACCUCGAAAAGUUGUGCACCAAUUUUGCCAGAGGUUCUAACCCAAGACAAAGAGGGUGAACUUUUUAGAAGGGCAUUUCAGGUUCAUUGAAAAUAAUUUUAGUAAUCCCUAGUUGUUUCCAGGGGGGUGUUGGGGGUUUCUGCCUUCCCCAAUUCAAAUUUAAGAGGAAUUUAAACAUGAUGCACAUUCUAAUGCUUGAUCUAGCUAGGGUGUGACAACUCACCCCCACUCAAAAGAAUCUCAUCCCGAGAUUUAGGAUCCUCUGGAAAGAAGGUGGGGUACUCGAGUCGAAGACGAUCCUCCCUUUCCCAAGUGGCUUCUUUCUCGGAAUGGUGUGACCAUUGAACCAUGAGAAACUUGAUAUUAUGACGUCGAGUAGUAUGCUCGGCUUGAUCAAGGAUACGAACGGGAUAUUCCUGAUAAGAGAGGUUAUCUUGUAGAUCAAGCGUUUCGUGGUCCACUCCACGGAUAGGAUCCGCGAAGCAACGCCUGAGUUGUGAAACGUGGAAGACAUCAGGAACUCUGGAAAGAUGCGGAGGUAGUUCCAAUUGGUAGGCAACUUCUCCUUGUUUGGCAAGAAUGCGAACGGGUCCAAUGUAACGAGGAGCCAAUUUGCCUUUGAUACCGAAACGAUGGGUUCCUUUUAACGGGGUAACCCGAAGGUAAGCCUUCUCAUCGACUUCAUAAGUCAUAGAGUUAUGUUUAUGAUCAUAUUGACUCUUUUCACGAGAUUGGGCUGUUUUCAAUUUCUCACGAAUAACGCGAACCUGCUCUUCCGCUUCCUGAAUCAUAUCCGGGCCAAAGAGUUGUCUUUCCCUGGUUUCUGACCAGUUAAGGGGUGUUCGAUAUUUUCGUCCAUAGAGAACUUUGAAAGGAGCUUUGCCCAAGCUAGCUUGAUAACUAUUGUUAUAAGCAAACUCUGCGAAUGGGAGGCAUUUCUCCCAACUCAUUCUGAAUGAGAUAACAGAAGCUCAGAGCAUAUGUUCCAGAAUUUGAUUGACUCGCUCUACUUGACCACUUGACUGAGGAUGGAAGGCGGUACUAAAAGAGAGACGAGUUCCCAUAGCAUUUUGGAAACUUUCCCAAAAUCGAGAGGUGAAGAGACUCCCACGCUCUGAGUUAUUUUCCAAUGGGACACCAUGGAGAGACACUAUUCGGGAGAUGUAUAAAUCGGCUAGCUGGCUAGCAGUGAUACUCUCACGAACAGGUAGGAAAUGGGCUACUUUGGAAAGACGGUCGAUGAUGACGAAGAUGGCAUUAUUCCCUCUCUUGGUCCUGGGAAACCCAGUAAUGAAAUCCAUACUGAUUUUAUCCCAUUUCCAUUCAGGAAUAGCCAAAGGUUGAAGGGUGCCAGUAGGCCGUUGAUGCUCUGCUUUAACACGAAUACAGACGUCACAGCUAGCAAUGUAUCGAGCAAUUUCUCUCUUCAUCCUAGUACACCAAAACCUCUCGCGUAGGUCUUGAUACAUUUUUGUGCUACCGGGAUGAAUGGUGAGAGGGGAUUCAUGAGCUUCCUUAAGGAUCAAUUGGCGUAGAUGUUGUUUCUUGGGAACCACCAAACGGUUCUCAAAGAAGACAGCACCCCGCUUAUCCAUGGAAAAACAUUUAGCAACUCCGCUAGCAAUGUUUUCCUUAAUCCGGGAUAUGCCCUUAUCAUACCGCUGGGCAGUUAUGAUCUGAUCCAUAAGGUUAGGUUUCGCCACCAGGGUGGAUAGGAAUCCUCGAGGAACAAUGUGAAGAUUAAGCUUACGGAAUUCCUCAUGGAGAAGUGGUUGACUUUGUUGUAACAUCAGGUUGUUACAACAGGAUUUACGGCUUAGCGCAGCAGCCAUGACAUUGGCUUUGCCCGGUGUGUAGGUUAUUCCUAAGUCGUAAUCCGAGAUCAACUCAACCCAACGUCUUUGCCUGAGAUUCAAAUCUGGUUGGGUGAAGAUAUAUUUCAAGCUUUGGUGAUCGGUGAAGAUCUCGCAACGAUUACCGAGGAGGUAAUGUCGCGAAGUUUUAAGUGCAUGGACUACAGCUACCAGCUCUAGAUCAUAUGUGGGAUAAUUUUCCUCAUGUGGGUGUAAUUGCCAUGAAGCGUAGGCAAUUACCUGAGGAUCUUGCAUGAGUAUGCAACCUAGUCCUUGUCGCAGAUGUCAGGCGUCUUUUCAGUUCCUGAAAGCUGAACUCGCACUGUGGAGUCCACUCGAACUUUUUAUCUUUCUUGAGGAGUUCAAUUAGAGGUUUAGCAACCUUGGAGAAACUCUCGCCGAAGCGGCGGCAAUAGCUCGCUAAGCCAAGGAAGCUCCAAACUUGCUUGACCGUCUCAGGUGGAGUCCAAUCAAGGACCGCUUGAACUCGCUCGGGAUUGACGGCAAUACCCUUACCAGAGAUUACAUGGCCUAGAUAGGUUACUUCUGGCAACCAAAAUUCACACUUGGAGAACUUGGCAUAAAGGCGAUGCUCUCGAAGUUUCAUCAAUACCAGCCUUAGAUGUUCGGCAUGUUCCUCUUCAUUCUUGGAGUAGAUGAGUAUGUCAUCGAGGUAUACUACGACGAAUUUAUCCAAGUACUCCAUGAAAACCGAGUUCAUUAACCGGGAGAAGGUAGCCGGGGCAUUGGUUAAACCGAAGGACAUAACGGUGUACUCGUAUUGGCCAUAACGAGUAACAAAGGCCGUUUUGGGAAUGUCCCCGUUUCUGAUUUAGAUUUGAUGGUAGCCCAACCUCAAAUCCAUCUUGGAAAAGACUGAGGAUCCAGCGAGCUGAUCAUACAGAUCGUUGAUCCUGGGAAGUGGGUAUUUGUUCUUGAUGGUGACAAAGUUGACAGGUCGGUAAUCCACAACCAUUCGAUCUGUUCCAUCCUUCUUCUUGACGAAGAGGAUGGGGCAAGCCCAAGGAGAGGAACUAGGACGGAUGAAACCCUUUUUCAAGGACUCAUCGAGUUGGUUCUUAAGCUCGGCUAGUUCUAAGGGUGCCAUCUUGUAGGGUCUUCUAGAAAUUGGAACGGUUCCUGGAACAAGGUCUAUCACAAACUCGACAUCCCUGUCAGGUGGAACACCUGGCAGUUCUUCUGGAAAGACAUCCGGAAAGUCUCGGACUACCGGAACAUCCUCAAGGUCUGGAAGGGGGUUGGCAUUUAGGGAGUAAAGUUGGCGCUUGGCCACUCGAGUUAAGACAUUAACUGUCUUGCCCAAUGGGUGAGUAAGUUGAACGGUUCUAGUGGCACAGUCAAGCUUAGCAUAAUGAGCUGACAUCCACUCCAUACCUAAGAUGAUGUUUAUGUCCGAGGACUUGAGAGCUAUUAAGGAUACAAGGAAGACAAGUCUAUCGACAAGAAUUUCGUUCCCAUGGCUUACUCUAGAAGUUUGCCAUCUAGAGCUAGGGGUUUGAAUUUCCAUGGUAGAGGGCAUGUCACAGAAUGUCGUGUUGUGCAAUCGAGCAUAGUUCUCGGAUAUGAAUGGAUGAGAUGCUCUAGUAUCGAAAAGAACAGAUGUCGGAUGGCAGUUAACAAGGAGCGUACCAAGGACGAGGUUGGGAUCCUCAUGAGCCUCCUCGGCUGAAACAUAGUUGACAUGGCCACGUGCAGUGGUGGCUGGCUUGGCGUAGAAUGUUUUCCCCGCGGGCUUACCACGGCCAACGGACUUUCCAGUUUGAUUGGGGUUGUUGUUCUGGGGACACUCUCGGCUAUAGUGACCCGGCUCUCCACACUUAAAGCAUGUCACCACAUUGGGGCGUGGAGCAGCAUUAGCAGUAGGGCCACCAUAGGGCUUGGGCGGUGCAAAUUGCUGGUUGGGACGUGGUGCCUCAAAGGAUGGCCUCGGGAUGAACCUGGGUGGCAGUGCCGUGCUUGGAAUCCACACCCGGCGCUUCUGAGCUCUAGAGCCGGAUGAAGAGCCAAAAUCACGGGAGUGCUUGCAUGAAGCGUCAUAAUCAGUCUGGCCUUUCUCAGCACUGAUGGCUUUAUUGACCAACUUCUGAAAGGAGGUGCACUCGGGCAGACGAAGAUCGCGGUGAAGCUCAGGGCUAAGUCCCUUGCGGAACCUUGCCUGCUUCUUAGCAUCAAUAGAUACCUCUUUAGGGGCAUAACGUGCCAGAUUCCGAAAUUCACGACCGUAAGCAUCCACAGUCAGUCUUCCUUGGGUGAAGUUGCAGAACUCCUCCCUCUUGCGAUCCAUGAGACCUUCCAGAAUGUGAUGCUCACCGAAAGCCUCACAGAAUUCAGCCCAAGUAGUGAUUUGGCCGACCGGGCGCAUAGCUUCGAAGUUUUCCCACCAAAGGCUAGCAGGGCCUUCGAGGUGAUAGGCAGCAUAAGUAACCUUGUCGGCUGCGGCUGCGUUGGCAGAACGUAGCUUGUGGGUGAUGCUGUGAAGCCAGUCAUCCACAUCGAGGUACUCGACGGAAUGGUUAAACUUUGGUGGGUAUAGCUUGAUAAAGUCAUUGAUUGACACCAAUCAUUUCGUGGGUGGCGUGCAGUGUUCUGCUCAAUCCGCUCCAACAGGCGGUUGGUCUGACGCUUCUUUAUUUCCGCCUCCAGCAUUACUUCGGCCAGAGAAGGCGGGUGAGGCAGAUUUUCACCUCUAGCAGCACUGGCUUCCCCCUGCUCCAGGGCAGCAGGGUUGCUGCGGGUGUUGACCAUCCUAGGAGAAAACAAGACAACGGUUUAGACAAGGAUGUCUCAAAUUAGCAAGGAUGUGCAGAAUGUAAUGGAUAACACGGAAUGCAGAGAUGUUCAUCCGUAUGUCAUGGUAAUAUAAAACUGCCAUAUAUAUACCAACGGUCAUACACAUCAUACAUAGUUUAGUACAAGCCCAGGCUACAAUACAACUAUGAUGAAAGACGUUACAUCUCAUCGGAGGCAUUCCAAGCUCCUAUACAUUAUUGUCUACACCUCCAAAAUUGAUUACACGCAAAGUCAUAUUCCAAAAGUCACGCAGGACAGUGGAGAUACAGCUACUACAAUACUAGUGGUACUACUACUAACUCAGACAGCUCCGUAGUAGUCCUCAUAGAAGUCACCUCCAUAGCCUGGAAGUUCAACGGGACCAUCCGGGAACAGACGGUCCUGAGGAGCCUGUGGACCAUAGGGGCUAGGAUGGUGUCUUGGACCAACAAACGGUGGCCUGCGGGAACCACGGGGUGGGGUGAUGCCUCCCACAUCACGCCAAUCCACCACGUCUGGCAAAGCAGACCUCACAGGAUACAGAUCCCUUGUAUCCAUACAUCUAGCUUGCACCGCAGGUGCAAACCGAGCCAAUGUGGCCCAAUGAUCAGCACGGGUAUUAAAAAGCUCCAGCCUCAAGGCCCGAUUCUCUCGGUCCUUAUCUUCGAGCAUCUCAGCAGUGGUACGAGUUAAUGAAUCCUCCUGAGUGGAGACAGCAUAGAUAGCCUGAAGAUACCCUUGCGCUCCCGGAAGUGAAGCUGGCAUGUAUCGGAAGUCGGUGUUCCGAAGCAGGCCAGUCCGGACUCGCAUGAUGGUCAUCAUGUAAUAGGCAGCAUCCUGCACAGCAAUCUCAACAGUAACCCCGAGUCCAUAGGAAUAGUGAAGGGGCUCGGUAGAUCCAGGAUAAGAAGGAAAUAUCCUGACAGUGCAGAAAUACUGGCUUUGAUUAAAGUCUCGGAAUUGCUCUUCGACGGUGUAUUCGAGAUACCAACGGUAACCCGUCUCGAUCAUGACCCGGACUAACAUAGCAGUAUGACCGGGCACGUCGAGCCACCGGGUUAGGCGAACCACUUGGUUUUGAGCACGGUUGGCCAUCUGAAAGCACAACCACAAUGCAAAGACAUCAGAAUUUCUAGGGAAAAUUGGACAGCAUAACAGCUGUAAAUGCUCAGAAAAAGAUUUGAGACAUCCACAACAGUUCGCAAUACCACUCAAUAACAUCAUAUCAAGGUUCUGAUCCAAAUAGCAACAUACUAAAAAUAGUAGAAACUGAACUGGGGCUUGUAACAACAAUCCUAUAAGCUACUACGGAUUAGUAACACGUGAACCUGAUAGAAGAAGAGAGCCUAGUCCUUAACCCACGUUGAAUGAGAAGGGAAUGACUCAGAUAAGAGGCAUAGGGUAAAGGAGUAAAAGAGACUUACGUUCCCUCCCACAAUCAAUUCCCCUACAUAUAACUAAAGCAUUUCCAGACUCGACAUCGACCAGUUUGGCUCAACGAACCUACAAGCAGUCUGGCUCUGAUGCCAACGCUGUCAGGACCCCGAUUCCAAGCCACAUCGAUCUAGCCGGUAACACCUCAUAUCACUUUGCGGCCUCACGCACGAUAUUCCACGGGUGUCGCCUUACCAUGGCCCGGGACCGUUUGCGCCUUUUGGCUCACGUAUAUGAUAGUGUUGUUAGCAUCCAUAUGACAGAGAACCUGGGCCGACAUGGCUAGUCGUGAACCCAAAGCGGCACAGACCUAUGGAGACAGGCAUACAUGAAUCACAUCGAGCAUGUCGGUCAUCAGCGAGUGAUUCCGGGCUGUAGCACUGGGCUAACAGGACUCCGGGGAACCCGGGCUGUAGCAGGCUAGGCAGGACUCCGGAAGUCACCGCGUGACAUUUCCCCGAAGGGACAGACAUAGGAACGAAGUGAAUCACAUGCCGGCCAUUCAAGUGUCCUAAGUAGUAGUGCUGGGCUAGCAGGACUCCGGUGAACCAGGCUGUAGCGGACUACUAUGGCUCGAGGAACACUAGACUACAUUUCCCCAUAAGGAAGGCUGCCAAGGAUAAACAACUAGAUUGUUGGAUCCCACUCAUACCAAGCAUUUCAAUCAUACACACAAUAUGCCCGAUAUGAGUACAUACAACAUGGCAUCACAACAAAACUCUACAACUCAAGUACUUUAUUUAAAUGCUCCAGAGAGCCAUACAUAACAUGUUCAUACAGAUAGGGGUCACAUGACCCGACACUCAAGUCAUACAAUCAUACAAGCACAUGCGGAAGCAACCGGUCUGAGUACAGACACUAGAAAGAAAGAAGGCUCCUCGAGGCCUGUCUAUCUACAUAGGGCCCUCCAUGGCCAGGAUCACCACCUGGGUGGCUAGUCACUCGUCGAUGUCAAGGUCUACAUAGAACCCAUAGGAGGGGGCGGUGUUGUCGUCUGAAAACGGUAAUUAAGCAAACAUGAGUACAAAGGUACUCAGCAAGUCUUACAACAGAACCUACUAUACAUGCUUAUUCUCAAGAAGGUGGUGGGGAUAUUGCAGCAAGCCAGCUUUGACUCUUGGCUAAACUAUCCUACGGAACAUCUCUAGUAAAAUAGUUUUCGCACACGAGUCCACUACUCACCAACACAAUACUCCACCGGGGAUCCUCCCUCGUCAUCCUAUGAGAGGGUGUCGGGGGUGUCUGAUCCCUCGCACACCUAUGGGGAUCAGCGGACCGAGCCCCUUUUGGUUCGGUAGGGGGCGGUGGAUGCACAAAGAGUAGAUCGAGGCGAAACACAUGAGCGAGACAAUCGAUUUACCCAGGUUCGGGCCACACGGAUGCGUAAAACCCUACUCCUGCUUUGGUGGUUGUAUUGAGUUUUUUCUCGGGAGCAGCUGGCGAGACCGAGCGUGAGAAUGGCUGUCCCCCCCCUGUUGCGCAUGGGCCUCCUUUUAUAUGUCUAAGGGGUCACCGACACGUGGCAACAGAGGUAAGGGUAAAAAUGUAAAAGGGGUGGUAGUUGGCUCCACCGCCUACAUGUCGCAUCCUACCUAACUCUGACGGCAGGGGACAAGGGCAUUAAAUGCCCGUCUGUGUCACCUUGACGGCCCAGAGAGGGACCACUAGGAACGCCACCGUUUGCCACGACGGUUCCUUGUCAGCGUCUGCUUGCCAUUGCAUGCCCCCGGCUGCACAGCCUCCCGCCACGUACGCCAGGAAUGGCCCCAGGGCGACACGUUGGUGGGUGAGCUGGAGCGCGGGCUGCGGGGUAGUGGCUUGCCGCGGCAAGUGCCUUGCCGCGGGUGUUGUCUUGUCACGUCCGGGAGCUUGCCGCUCACCGGGUCUUGUCGGGGCACGCGGUGCGCCGCAGCGAGUCUCUUGAGAUGCUUUGGUUGUCUUCCCGGCAAGCUCCUCUUGCCGGGGUCUCGUCUCCUUCCCGGCAAGCUCCUCUUGCCGGGGCCUUGUUCCCUUCCCGGCAAGCUCCUCUUGCCGGGGCCUUGUUUGGAUCUUGGAUACUUUGUUCUUGAAUGGCUCCAGAGGAACCAUGGAGGGUCUUGGCGGUCGCCCGGCAAGCCUUGCCGCGGGUCGCUGCGACUACCCAUGCACAAGUUCGGGGUACUAAGGUACCCGUACUUUAGCACACCGACAGGAGCCCCCAGGCCUGGGCCAUACACGGUGCCGAGCGCUGUUGGGCCAGGCCCAAAACAGUGCAAGGGCACGCGCGGCCUGGGUCACGCCAUAACUGAUUCCGUAUCCACCGCGCUCUCCCCAAACGGCACGCGUCAAACGCGGCAUCGUGGGAGAGAUCGUGGGCGGUUUUCGAGGUGCCCACUCCCCACGAUCACGGGGUGGGGAGAGACCGCCCCAUCCGUCGCCUCGGUUCUGCACGCCUGCCACGCGGUUCCCGUGCACUUGGGGUCGCGGGCGGCGGAAGCGGGAAACGGGGCCGUCGUGGGUCGAGGGAGUGGGUCGGCCCCGGCUCCCCGCGUCUUGAUUCGCUGAGCGGGGCGGCCGAGCCCCCACCUUGCUCCUUUAUAAAGAGCGGGAGGGGAGGACGGGAGCCUGCAUCCUCCCAUCUUCUCCUUCCUUCAGCUCCUGCUCCCCUCCCCCCAUUCGCCAUGGAGAGAGGGAACCCUGGUCCUUCGUCAGUGGCGGCAAGGGUUGCCGCCAGGCAGCGCAUCCCUCCCUCUCCCGCACCCGUGGCGGCGGAGCCAGCCAUAAGGGGAAGAGGGAGGGGGCGAAGUCGUGGACGAGGCCGUGGCGCUCGGGGAAGAGGUGGGCGAGGCGGCGCGUCGGCUUCGCCUCCGCCGGCGGCUCUUCUUCCCGCGGUGGCCCAUGCCGGGGACGACCCUUGCGAGUUAUUCGUCAGGCUGCGCCGGGCGCCCCGCCGUCGCCUCUGACUCCCGGAUCCGUUUGCGGAAGUGGUGGAGUUGGACCCGCCCGAGACGCUGAGGCUGCAGAUGAGGGCUGUGGGAUCAGCGGCACGCGGGUCCGCGCCGAAUUCCCAGCCCCCGGCGUGAUUUAUCUUGGCCGAGGGUGGAAGACGUUCGCCCGCAUCCACAGCUUGACACCGGGGCUGACCCUCCACUUCAAGUUGGUGGAGGGUGAUCUCCUCUCCGUCAAGGUCUUCGGGUGCUUCAGCGUCCGGGCCCGGUGCUGCGUGGAAAGCUCCUCCGAUAGCGAAGGCUCCUCCUCGAGCAAGAGUGACGAGGAGGGAACGACAGCGGCGACGAGGGGAGCGGGCGGCAGGAUGGCGGGUCCGACUAGGUGUCGGGCGCCGCUCCGCGCGGCACCAGCAACCCCAUCAUCCGGGUCGCCGGCUCCUUGAACUCCCCGGGGGCGUCUCCUUGGGCGGCUGGCGUAGGGAGGCUGCGAAAGAGGAAGAGGGCAGGCGGCAAGGCCGUCAGGUCGGAGUACGAUGGCGUGGUGCCCUCGACAGCGUGCUGACGUCCUGCCGCCUCGUCUUCGAGCCCCCCUUCCGGCGCUGCCAUCACCAUCCAGCCUUGAAGGCCCCCGGGAUGUUCUCUUGGUGUCUUCUGGCACCCGUAGUUCCCCUAGGCACUCCUUUUGCCCUUCUCGCCUCCUUGACCUACCUCCUGAAAAGAGGGGCAGGAAAGAGAUUACGGGCAUCUUAUCUUUUUGAUUUGUAAGCCCUCGGGCCUUAGUUGCAUCUAAAACUUGUAAUCCUCUCUUUCAUGUUUUCCAUUCUCCAUGUACUGUACCUGCGUGGAAUGUUUUAAUGAAAAGGGGAUGCUUGCCAGGUUACUCGUCUCGCGGGUAGAACCCAUGCCAAGGAGCAAAUCCUUGGUAUCUCACAGAUAGACACUCCCUCCCCAGCAACAGGCCCUGCCACAUACCCACGUCGCUCGACCUUUCUCACGCUCUUGACGGAGGCAGAGACGAGGCGGGUGCGGCCCCUCGUUUCAUCCCUUUCCCGCCGCGACUGCGACCAAAGCUUGGCCCUGGGGCCCCAGGGACCAAAGCUAAGGGAGCACGGUGGCUUUCGGGAAGAAGCGAGGUUUUGUAUUCCCAGUCCAAAAGAGAAUGCACGAAGAGGGAUGAAAGACUUAUCUGAGACUGCAGCCCCCGGCAACUCUGGCUUGCCGUGGGGUGAACCUUGGUACUUGCAGCCUCCAGCAACUCUGGCUUGCCGGGGUUCGGAUGCCGGCACGUCCUUCUUCUCCCUUUCGUCCUCACGCGGUCCGACAAGGAUAUGCAAGCCCUGCGAACCAAAGGAAACAAAGGAAGGACAAAGGGACGCACACUAGACCUCUAAGUUAGGGGUUAGCUGCUGUUAGGCACUAUCAACCCUAACCGAGGACUCGACUCGACCUAGCAUGCAUGCUGUAACUCUGGGCGCCAGCGCUUCAUUAUCUUGUGCUCAAGGUCUGUGCCUGGCUUUGUACAAAGGAUUACAUGCAACAGCGUCAAGACUUGUACAAAAGGGUGGUUGCCGGACAGGGUCCGACAACCGCGCCUUACGGGUAAAACUUACAAAGAAGCUUGAUAUUCCAGGAGUUGCUCACUAGUACGCCAUCUUCGGUCUCCAGGCGGACAGUGCCAGGCCUGGUGACUCGUUUCACCCGGUAAGGGCCUUCCCACUUCGGCGUCAACUUGUUGGAAUUCUUGGCGGACUGAACGCGCCGAAGAACAAGGUCGCCUUCCUCGAGGCUCCUAGCAUUAACUUUGCGGCUAUGAUAGCGGCGCAAAGCUUGCUGGUAGCGAGCGGCUCGCACAGCAGCCUGGAGACGAUCUUCCUCAAGGAGCAGCGCGUCAUCUUGCCGCAGCUGCUCUUGCUCAAGCUCAUCAUAGCACUCGAGGUGACCCGUAUACGAGUUCCAUGGGGAUAACUGCCUCCGCUCCAUAGACUAGAGCGAAGGGUGUCUGCCCGGUGGCUCGAUUUGGCGUCGUCCUGAUCGACCAAAGAACCACCGGCAGCUCCUUGAUCCAGUUGCGUCCGCGCUUGUGCAGCCUGUCAAAUGUUCUGGUCUUGAGCCCGUGCAGCACUUCAGCAUUCGCCCUCUUAGCUUGGCCGUUGCUUCUCGGGUGAGCGACAGAAGCAAAGCAGAACUUGGCGCCAAGAUCUUGGACGUACUGCAUGAAGGCGCGGCUUGUAAAUUGUGUACCGUUGUCGGUGAUUAUCCUGUUAGGGAUUCCGAAACGGCAAACAAUCGACCUGAAGAAUUUGAUCGCGGACUGCGCCGUCACCUUCCUCACUGGUUCCACUUCCGGCCACUUUGUGAACUUGUCGAUUGCAACGUACAAGUACUCAAAGCCCCCGACGGAUCGGGGGAAGGGGCCGAGGAUAUCGAGCCCCCAGACCGAAAAUGGCCAGGAUAAAGGGAUCGUCUGGAGAGCUUGAGCUGGCUGGUGUAUCUGCUUGGAAUGGAACUGGCACGCUUCACACUUGGUUACUUGUGCAGUUGCAUCCUGGAGGGCUGUCGGCUAGAAGAAGCCUUGUCGGAAUGCUUUUCCGACAAGAGCUCUUGCGCCAAUGUGGUGACCACAUAUGCCUCCAUGUAUCUCUGCCAACAGCUUCUGUCCAUCUUCCCGAGGAAUACACUUCAAUUUCACACCGUUGAGUCUUCUUCUGCACAGUGUGUUGUCAACAAACUGGUACAUACUGGACUGCCGGGCUACUCUUUCUGCUUCUUCUGGUUCCUCGGGAAGCUCUCCUGUCUGAAGGAAACGGACGGUCUGCUACGCCCAUGUUGGAGCCUGUGGCUCGACAACAAGGACUAAAGGCACAUCUGCUGCUGUGGGAACGCCUACUUCUACGGCAGGAGCCUGCGACUCUGCCGGAGCUUGACAUUCCCCGACAAGCUUGCCGGAGCAGAGCUUGCCGGGAGUGUCUGCUGCAAUGGAACAAACCCUGGGGCUUGCCGGAGUAGACUGCUCCUCAGCACUCUUGGCGUCGAUCUUGGGGACCUUCUUGGCGGCGUCUUCGGGGAGCUUUGCCGGGAGAUAGUCACCAGAGAUCAACUUCCUCUUCUUGCUCUGUCCACUUGAUGGUGCCACGGAUGGCUGAGUUAGCUUGAGCACAAAGGUCCCUGGUUCCACAGGUAACUUAAGUGCUGCGCACUUUGACAGGCGAUCGGCAAUGUCAUUCUCAGCUCUUGGAACAUGUUCCAUUUGCAGGCUGUCAAAGCGCUCUUCCAGCUUCCUCACUUCAUCAACGUAAGCUUCUAUCAAUGGACUUUGGUAAUCUUUGUUCACUUGGCGGACGACAAGCUGCGAGUCACCCCUAACAAUGAGCUUCUUAAUCCCAAGUUCUGCCGCGAUCCUGAGACCGGCAAGCAAGCCUUCUUACUCUGCAGUAUUGUUUGUCGCUUGCUCCUUGGGAAAGUGCAUCUGGACUAUGUACUUGAGGUGCUCCCUGGUGGGUGCGACAAGCAGUACACCAGCACCGGCGCCUUGCAGCGAGAAAGCACCGUGAAAGUACAUGAGCCACUCUUUGCUUGCUUCCUUGGCGGGGAUGCUCGUCUCCGGAAUUUCUUCGUCUGGAGUUGGCGUCCACUCUGCUAUUAACUCUGCCAAUGCUCCGCUCUGGAUUGUUGAUGUACUCUCAAACUUGAGGCCAAAGCUUGACAGUUCCAGUGCCCACUCGACAAUCCUGAAUGUUGCUUCUGGAUUUUGCAAUAUCCUUUUCAGCGGAAAGCGAGUGACAACUGUGAUCUCGUGUGCUUGGAAGUAAUGACGUAGCUUUCUCGAGGCCAUGAGGAGGCCGAAAAGCAGCUUCUGCACACUAGAGUACCUUGACCUAGCCCCCUGUAAAAGGGAGCUGACAAAGUAAACUGGGUGCUGCACCAUUUUCUUCUGUAUCUCCUCUUGUAUCUGCGCAGAUCCUUGGUUGUCGGGACCAGAGCUUGUCGGGGAAGCCCCCUGCUUGUCGCUGGAUGUGCUUGCCGCGGCCGCUGGCUCGUCGUCGGCCUCCCUUUCCGCUACUAACGCAGCACUAACCACUUGAUUGGUUGCCGCUAUGUACAGGAGCAACUUCUCUUGUGGUUUAGGCGCGACAAGUGUUCGGGUGGACGACAGGUAUCUCUUCAAGUCUUGCAGCGCAGCCUCCGCUUCCGGAGUCCAUCUCAUUGGACCUGCCUUUUUCAAAAUUUGAAAAAGGGCAGGGCGCGCUCAGCAGACCAAGGGAUAAACCUGCUAAGAGCAGCUACGCAGCCGGCAAGCUUCCGUACAUCCGUGACGCGCUUUGGUGCUUCGAUCUGCUCAAUGGCCCUGAUCUUGUCGGGGUUGGCUUCGAUUCCCCGCUGAGACACGAAGAACCCGAGAAGCUUGCCGAAAGGGACUCCAAACACACACUUCUCGGGGUUGAGCUUGAGGUUGAUCUUGCGCAGAUAUGCAAAAGUCUCUUCUAAGCCUUGGAUCAGAGUUGCCCUGUCUUUGCUUUUGACCACUAUAUCAUCCAUGUAAGCUUCUACAUUUCUGUGUAUCUAUGGCUUCAAAGCAAUAUGGACUACUCUGGCAAAUGUUGAACCAGCAUUCUUUAAUCCGAAAGGCAUCCGUACGAAACAGUACGUGCCACAUCGAGUAAUGAAUGCGGUUUUCUCCUCAUCCUCUUCCGCCAUGAAGAUCUAAUGGUAUCCUGAGUAUGCAUCAAGAAAUGAAAGCAACUCACAUCCGGCCGUGGAGUCAACAAUCUGGUCAAUGCGCGGCAAGGGAAAUGGAUCUUUUGGACAAGCUUUAUUAACAUCAGUAAAGUCAAUACAAAGCCUCCAUUUCCCAUUCGCCUUGCGCACUACAACCGGAUUGGCCAACCACAUGGGAUGGAGCACCCCUCUAACGAGGCCUGCUGCUUCCAAUUUCUUGAUUUCUUCGGCUAUGAAUUCUUGGCGCUCCACCGCCUGUUUCCUGACCUUCUGCUUGACGGGCCGCGCAUGAGGACAAACUGCAAGGUGGUGCUCAAUUACCUCCCUGGGAACACCGGGGAUGUCAGACGGUUGCCAUGCAAACACGUCGACAUUCGCCCGCGGGAAAGUAACGAGUGCGCUUUCCUAUUUAGGGUCAAGCGUGGCACUGAUGGUGAAGGUACCACCAGUGCCGUCCUCCUUGGCGGGCACCUUCUUGGUAAGUGGUGGAGCGGCCAUCGUCUUCUUACUCUUGCAGCCGGAGCUCGAUGGUGCGUCCUCGACGGCAGCGCAGCACUCCGAAGAGGUGCGCCUGCCGGAGUAGGCAUCAGAGCACUCGCCGGGCUUGGUCUUCUUCUUGCCGGUGGAGCUCGAUGGUGCGUCCUCGACGGUAGCGCAGCACUCCGAAGAGGCGCGCUUGCUGGAGUGGGUACUAGAGCUCUUGCCGGACUUGGUCUUCUUCCCCCUGGGAGCUUCAGCGGCAAGUGUCUCGCGGUCUGUCGCGGCGGCAGCUUCCCGGUAGAUCUUGUCGGCGCAGAUAAGGGCGUCCUUCUUGUCGCCAGGGACAGAGAUGACGCUUAUCGGGCCCGGCAUCUUGAGCAUGUUGUAGGCAUAGUGAUAGGCUGCCAUUAACUUGGCGAGCGCGGGACGGCCAAGUAUCCCAUUGUAGGGCAAUGGGAAAUCGGCAACGUCGAAGGUGACCCUCUCAGUCCUGAAGUUCAUCUCACUGCCGAAUGUCACCGGCAGCGCGACUUUUCCCUUCGGCUUGCUCCUUCCCGGGUUAAUUCCUUGGAAUGUACCGGUUUCUUCGAGCUCACUGUCUGGGAUCUGGAGUUUCUGGAGCACAGCGGAGGAGAUCAGAUUCAGGCCGGCCCCGCCGUCAACUAGCAUCUUGGUGACCUUGAGGUUGCGGAUUGUUGGGGAAACCAACAACGGCAAGCACCCGACCGCAGUCGUGCGAUCAGGGUGGUCCUCAAUGUCAAAGAUGAUCGGCGUGCUGGACCACUUCAGAAGCUUGCGUGAUUCGACAGGUGGCUCUGCCGCAUUAACUUCCCGGAGCCACUGUUUGAGUUGGCGGUGGGAAGUGUGCAGAGAAGCGCCACCGUCAACACACAAGACUUCUGUAGCCUUCUGAAACUCCUGCUCGCUGUUCUCAACAUCAUCCAUGUCUUCGUCGUCGUCUUCGUCUUCGUCCUUAUCGCGGCCGCGAGGAGGUCUGUCUCCUUGCCGCUGCUUGGCCUUGCCACGGCUCCCUCCCGGGCCAGCGCGGUUCUUGCCGGCUUCUCCAUCGCCUCCUUGGGCUCUCUCCUUGUCGCGCCGCUCGUACUCACCUCUUUGUUGCUGGACAAGCUGCUCGACCCUCUUGCAGUUCUGGAGAUCAUGGCCCUUGGUGCGGUGGAUCUUGCAGUACUGCUUGUCGGAGCUGCCCUGCUUGUCGGCGGCCGCCACAGCCUGGCAGUUGGUACACGCGGCAACCUCUUUGCCGGAGCUGACAACUUUGGCUUGCUUGGCGGGGCCGUCAUCGCUGGACUGCUCAACGACCAGUACCUCUUUGCCGCUCUUCUUCUUGUUGGGCCUCCGGUUUUUGCUUGCCGGGGCGGCAUCCUCACUGUCAGAUAUCCCUGCUCUAGCAUCCUCUCCGGGGAGUUUCCUCCCUUCUUCAGCGCGUGCGCACUUGUCGGCCAGGGCGUACAGCUCGCUGACGUCCUUGAUCCUGCUCAUCGCCAUCUCCUCCCGCAUCCUGCAAUUACGCAUGUUCUGAUGGAACGCGCUGAUAACCGCGGUAGGGUGGAUGUCUGGGAUGUUGCGCUGCACGCGGCUGAAUCUCUGGAUAUACUUGCGCAAAGGUUCUCCUUCCUUCUGGGCAAGCAGGUGGAGGUCACUCUCUUGGCCGUGUGGUUUGUGGCCGCCUGUAAAGGCGCCGACAAACUGGUGGCACAAAUCCGCCCAAGAGGAUAUGGAGUUGUCCGGCAAGUGCAUGAGCUAGGAUCUGACUUCGGGCUUGAGCACGAGCGGGAAGUAGUUGGCAAGGACCUUGUCGUCUCGUCCCCGGCAGCUUGCACCGCAAUGGUGUAGAUGCUGAGGAACUCCGACGGGUGUGACUUGCCGUCGUACUUCUCCGGCACGUCUGGCUUGAAAUGCUUCUGGUUGGGCCACUGGACUUGCCGCAGCUCAUGGGUGAACGCGGGACAACCCGCCGCGUACGGCAAGUUACCUGGCUCUCCGGGUGCAUGCAUGUCAACAGAGGGCCCAGCGCACAGGUCAGAUUGACGCCGCGCUUCCCUUCGGCGCUCGAUGCAUGUUCAAGUGUCUUCUUGCUGUCUCUGAUGAAGAACUUGGCGUUGAUCGCGGUGAGCUCGCGGAUCUGACGACGCGGUGGAGUAGCCGUCGAGGUGGAUCCGGUGAGUCGGCGAUCUCGGCCUUCGGGGCGGAGAGUGCACAGUGGUUGCACCCUCACCGGUCUUGUCGCCACCGGCUCGCGCCUGGCUGACUUGCCGCGGCAGCGAUGCGCUCUGCUGCCGUGGGUUGUCACCAUUGGCGCAGCCGAUGAUGCUCUGAAUAGUGGCCCUCCAGUCAUCGAUCUUCUCUAGUGCUGGAGGGUAGUCUAGGAGCAGCUGGGCACGCGCCAACGGUUCCGUCGGAGUGGUGGGCGGCGGCAGCGAACGGUGCGAGGAGCGAGAUAUGCUCGGACUCCUAACCACGUUAGAAGGAGCAACAUCCCGUCCAAGCGACCGCGCCGCGCUCGCGCCAGCACGUUGGCGUGCCUGCUGAUCCUGAGCACUUCGGGAUCCGCCAGCUUGAUCUUGGCCCAGCAGGCGUAUGGUACAGUGGGUACCAUGACGCUACUGGUCCCGCGCCUCCUGGGAUGGGCGCGGUGCGUGUACGGACACCGAGGUCUCGGAGUGCGCGCGGUCGUCGUGGGAGGCGACCGCGCUACCGACGUGCGCCGCAGCCAGGCACUUGGACCUGGCAGUGCCAUGAGUCUCCCCGUCGGCGCCCGCCCUUCCGCCGGCGCCUACUUCACCCGCCGUUCGCUCCGGCGAUGGCGGGCUCGACGCGGACGGAGCGGCUACCUCCGAAGCCUUCUUCUUCGGCGGCAUGUUGAUGAAGACGAUGAAGAUUCGGCUCGCGCGAACGCCGGAUCAGGUUCGCACUACCUCGACGCACCCCCUACCUGGCGCGCCAAAGAUGUCGGGGGUGUCUGAUCCCUCGCACACCUAUGGGGAUCGGCGGACCAAGCCCAUUUUGGUUCGAUAGGGGGCGGUGGAUGCACAAAGAGCAGAUCAAGGCGAAACACACGAGCAAGACGAUUGAUUUACCCAGGUUCGGGCCGCACGGAUGCGUAAAACCCUACUCCUGCUUUGGUGGUUGUAUUGAGUUUUUGCUCGGGAGCGGCGAGUGCUACAGUACACUCAAGCAGCUGGCGAGACCGAGCGUGAGAAUGGCUGUCCCCCUCCCCCUGUUGCGCAUGGGCCUCCUUUUAUAUGUCUAAGGGGUCACCGAUACGUAGCAACAGAGGUAAGGGUAAAAAUGUAAAAGGGGUGGUAGUUGGCUCCACCGCCUACAUGUCGCAUCCUACCUAACUCUGAUGGCAGGGGACAAGGGCAUUAAAUGCCCGUCUGUGUCACCUUGACGGCCCAGAGAGGGACCGCUAGGAACGCCACUGUUUGCCACAACGGUUCCUUGUCAGCGUCUGCUUGCCACCGCAUGCCCCCGGCUGCACAGCCUCCCGCCACGUACGCCAGGAAUGGCCCCAGGGUGACACGUUGGUGCGUGAGCUGGAGCGCGGGCUGCGGGGUAGUGGCUUGCCGCGGUAAGUGCCUUGCCGCGGGUGUUGUCUUGUCGCGUUCGGGAGCUUGCCGCUCACUGGGUCUUGUCGGGGCGUGCGGUGCGCCGCAGCGAGUCUCUUGAGAUGCUUUGGUUGUCUUCCCGGCAAGCUCCUCUUGCCGGGGUCUCGUCUCCUUCCCGACAAGCUCCUCUUACCGGGGCCUUGUUCCCUUCCCGGCAAGCUCCUCUUGCAGGGGCCUUGUUUUUCUCUUGGAUACUUUGUACUUGAAUGGCUCCAGAGGAACCAUGGAGGGUCUUGGCGGUCGCCCGGCAAGCCUUGCCGCGGGUCGCUGCGACUGCCCGUGCACAAGUUCGGGGUACUAAGGUACCCCUACUUUAGUACACCAACAGAGGGCCAUCCUCGGUACUCACACUUAUCUUGAGUAUUUAGUAGUAUCCAUUUACUUGUCUAUGAACUGUAUAGGCAACCAAGUAGUCCUUUACCGCGGACGUGGCUAUUCGAAUAGUUUUAUACCCUGCAGGGGUGUACUUCGUCAUACACGCUUUCACCACUUAUCGCCGUUUACACGACAUGUACUCGGCAACCUUCAAGCGGAAGCCCAGCGAGGGUGUCGGCCACGGCCUACCUAAACACUUAAGUCUCUAGUCCAGGUUUAUCGCCUAUCCAGGUUCCAUCGGCAGGGAGUGCGGCCGAGGUUUCCACAUACGGCCCCGAACGAUGUGAACAGGGUUCCGAGAUGCCAAACGGGCGCCCGGCAUACCCGGCCAGGUGUAUCUACCGCAACAUAGCCCACCCCUAGGGUCAGCGCUACGCACGGCCGCCAACACAUAACCUACAAACCCAGAAACUAUAUGCAACUCCUGGACAGAGUACAAGGGUGAUUAAGAAGCCGAGAGGGUCAAUUAAGGAUCCCAAUGCGUGGUAGUAGCUGAAUCUUAAAUCAACAUACAGAUCUCAGUUCUUAGGGACGGUCUCAAUGAAACAACCCACCAUGUACUCCUACAUGGCCUCUCAUCGAUACCUUUACCAAAACAUGUUCAACACAUUCCUCAUAUUACCGACAUAAUCAUAUCACCCUAGCCCAUCACCCAGAUGAACCAGACCUGACACAACUCUAAGCAUAGCAGGCAUAGCAAGGUAGGAAUCACAUACAUGGCUCAAUCAAAUCAUACACAUGCUAGUGGGUUUCAUCUAGUUAUUGUGGCAAUGACAGGCCAUGUAGAGGAUAAGGGUUCAACUACCGUAGCACACAACAGUUUGAAUCGCGUUGUCUUAAUGAAGUAAACAAGAGCAGAGGCGAGAACAUGGGUUGUAUCGGAAUGAUCAAUGGGUUGCUUGCUUGAUGGAGUGGUAGUGGGAUACUGCCCUUCAGUUGGAUACUCGUGAAUAUCCUCGGAGGUAGAACCUACCACGAAGAACACAUCGGAACACAAUCAACACAUGACGAUAUGCAACAAUAUGAUGCAUGCUAUGACGUGUCUUGGCCUAAUGCAAGCUAAAAUAGAAAGGGAUGAACUCAUUUGAAUCAAAGAUUCAAAUAUUAGCUCACUAAACAUGGCCUUAGUAGUGCAUUUCCUUAUUCUGCUUAAACAGCAAGGUAAACUUGUUUUGUCAUGCAUGAAACCAUUACAGAUGGAUAGAUUGAAUUUUUCUGAUAAUUUUUCAUAUAUAAAUUAUUUCAUUUGGAGUUACGGUUGAAUUUCUAUGAUUUCUAGAAGUUUUAAACAUUUUCUGGAAAUUCCUGAAUAAAAAUAAAUCCAGAAAAUGCAUUACUACGUCAGCAUUGCGUCAUGCUGGCCUCGGCAGGUCAAAGGCGCCAGCCCAGGUCAAACCUGACUGGUGGGCCCCUUCUGUCAGUCUCUCAGUUAAAUAACAGGAUUAGAUUAACACUAAUUAGCUGUCAGUGGGGCCUGGGCCCACAUGUCAGUGACUAAUUAAAAUCAAAUUAGUUAAAACUAAACCUAGAUUAGUUAGCAGACUGGCCCCACCUGUCAUAGACUCAGGGGGGGUCUACCUGGGCCCACCCAGGGUCAAACUCGCCGGCGUUGAGCCGCCGGCGAGACCCGAGACGGUGGCGCAGCUCGAAAAACGCCUACAGGGCACGAGCGAGGCCGUUCAUGGGCUCGUUGGAGAGCUCUUGCAGUCGCGCAUCUAGUGGUGGUGGUGGCCGGGCCUACGGUGGCCGGAGACGACGACGGCGAGCUCCAAGGCGGCGGCCGGAGUUCGGCCAUGUGCGGGGUGUGGGCUGUGGCGUGCAAACGUGGAAACUGAGGCACUAGCGAGGCACUACGCGAUGCGGCAAGCACGUUGCGUAGCACGGGAUGACCAAAUGGUCGCCGGAGCGGCGCCGGCGACAAGCUCGAGCGGAGACGAGCUUCGGCCAUGGUGGCACUAUGGCCUAGAGGGUGCAAACGCGUGGAAAAGAAGAGGGGAAAGGUGGCGGAGCUCACAGGCAGGUCGAUGAGCAGCUCAGUGGGCUCGGGGGCGACCGGAGUGAGGCGAAUCGAUGAGCGGCGUCCGGCGGGUACCGAGGUUGAAGACAAUCCGAUGGCGGCGAUGCAGGGCCUCCGGCGAUGCGUGGCUCGGUGGGGAGGGCGGGGGCGUCACGGCGCAGCUUCUGGACAGGUCAGAGAGGCGAGGGGGUGACGGAGGGCGCGACUACGGCGGUGAGACGGCGAUUAGAAAGAAAGAUUUGGUUCACUCGUACGUGAAAAAAGGAACAAGCGCUUGAUGCCUUCCUUUGCAUCGAUGCCAGACGCGGUGCUGGGAAUCGACAAGAUAACCGCCAAUCUACCAGGAUUAAAUUCCUAGCGCCUCCUUCUAGCGCCUCCCACUGAAAAUGCCCUAACGAUUUUUGAGGGAUUUUUUUACUGUGUCCUACUUCACGAAUCACGAGGCAAAUCAAGUAGGCGGCAUGGCCUGGCCGGUGAGUGCCAUUGCACUUACUUGCCCCAGCAAUUUUCCGCGUGCAUUGUAGAAUUCUUUCUCCGAGUCCUGUGAAUUAAAGAUGGUGCAGACAAAAGUAUAUCCUGUAUGCGUACAUGUGCAUGAUCAGAACAUGUUUUUACGUGCGUCUACUAUAAAUCAUGACCAUUUUUAACACAAAUCAUGACCAUUCAUGAUUAGUGAAUCAUACUGUCUUAACUUAUGUGAAAUCAUGUGGAGUAAUAUAAUAUAAUAUAAUAGAUAGAUAGAUCCAUGUUGUAUUAUUUUUUGUUUACAAAAAAUAUCUGUCAUUACACAUUUUGAUUUAUGCAUUUGUUUACAAAAAAAACAGUAACAUUUCAUGGUGGAAAGUUUGUAUUGUUUCAUACUGAACACCAAUGUUUUCCUGUAAAAGAAAAUAAUGCCUACGCAUAUGCUUUUAUAUUAUUAUUAUUCUUUCAAACUUAUUCAUACAGUAUUUUUGAUUGUGCAACCAUAAUUUUUAUUGUCUCUCUCGUUCCACUACAUGCUCUUACUCAAUGAUUUUUUUUAUAACGGGUGUUUUUAUUAACUCAAAAUAUAGUAUCAAGCGGAUACAAAACAUAAUGAGCCACACCUGGUCUCUGCAUAACUAAGAUGCAUACAGCUAAAAGCAGAUGUCUGACAAAAAUAAGAUAAGAAAAUCGACAUAUCGACAACAGUGAGUCAUAUAGUUCCGACACUAUGCCUCUGUUGAAGGACGGGGUGGAGCGAUCUGAAGAUUAUGCUGCCCUCCAUGUUGAGUAAAUACCUCCCUGGCCACUUGUUCCAACCGCAUAGACGCCGCCACGAAUAAUGGUCGGUACUCUGUUCGGUGUAGCAUACACCAUGUAGGAAGUGAGUGCUCACUUCUAGUUACUAAAUUAUGUACACACUAAUAGAAAAAGGGCCAUUUGUCCCGGUUCGUAAGGCCCAUUUGUCCCAGUUGGGGAACCGGGACUAAAGGGUCGGUACUAAAGCCCUACACAUUUAGUCCCGGUUCUUACACCAUCCGAGACAGAUGGGGCUCCACGUGGCCGCUACAGCUUGCCGUGGCAGGGGGGCCUUUUGUCCCGGUUGGUAGCACCAACCGGGACCAAUAAGCUACCACGCGUCAGCAUUUGAGGGCUAGGUUUUUUGUUUUUUUUCNNNNNNNNNNNNNNNNNNNNNNNNNNNNNNNNNNNNNNNNNNNNNNNNNNNNNNNNNNNNNNNNNNNNNNNNNNNNNNNNNNNNNNNNNNNNNNNNNNNNNNNNNNNNNNNNNNNNNNNNNNNNNNNNNNNNNNNNNNNNNNNNNNNNNNNNNNNNNNNNNNNNNNNNNNNNNNNNNNNNNNNNNNNNNNNNNNNNNNNNNNNNNNNNNNNNNNNNNNNNNNNNNNNNNNNNNNNNNNNNNNNNNNNNNNNNNNNNNNNNNNNNNNNNNNNNNNNNNNNNNNNNNNNNNNNNNNNNNNNNNNNNNNNNNCAAAUGAAGUAAACCAUUAAGUACAGAAGUUCGUCAUGAACAUAUGCAUACAAACAUAAGUGAUAUCGACCUCUCCUUCUCCGACAGAUAGGUCGAACAACAAGUUUCCGUAUAUCUAUCCGGCGCUACUAGCUACAUAUAUACAAUAUUAAGAUCUCUUACAAUAUAAUCCCCUAAUUAUAAAUGAACUCAGCUUCGAGAUGGUAUUCUCCGGCUUUAUUGAUGACGUGGUCAAGAAAGAAUCCCUCCAAUUCCUCUUGAAUUGCUUUGAUGCGAUCUUGUGGUAGGAGUUCAUCCCGCAUCUGCCACAUCUAAUUUGAAGAAGGGGGUCAAUCACCAGUAGAAUAACAGCCAUUUGUCCUGGUUCAUAAGGUUAAUUUGUCCCGGUUGGGGAACCGAGACUAAAGGGUCGUUACUAAAGCCCUACACCUUUAGUCCUGGUUCUUACACCAACUGGGACAGAUGGGCCUCCAUGUGGCUGCUGCGGCGAGCCCAGGCCGGAGGUCCUUUGGUCCCGGUUAGUGGCACUGAUACGUCUCCAACGUAUCUAUAAUUUUUGAUUGCUCCAUGCUAUUAUGUUAUCUAUUUUGGAUGUUAAUGGGCUUUAUUUUACACCUUUAUAUCAUUUUUGGGACUAACCUACUAAUCGGAGGCCCAACCCAAAUUGCUGUUUUCUGCCUAUUUUAGGUUUUCGAAGAAAAGGAAUAUCAAACGGAGUCCAAACGGAAUGAAACCUUCGAGAACGUGAUUUUCUCAACGAACAUGAUUCAGGAGACUUGGAGUGUGCGCCAAGAAACAAGGGAGGAAGGCACGAGGCAGGGGGGGCGCGGCUACCCUCUUGGGCACGCCCUCCACCCUCGUGGGCCCUCCGCUGCUCCACCGACGUACUUCUUCCUCCUAUAUAUAUCCACGUACCCCCAAACAUCCAGGAGCACCACGAAAACCUAAUUCCACCGCUGCAACCUUCUGUACCCAAGAGAACCCAUCUUGGGGCCUUUUCUGGAGGUCCACCGGAGGGGGCAUCGAUCAGGGAGGGCCUCUACAUCAACUCCAUGGCCUCUCCGGUAAUGUGUGAGUAGUUUACUUCAGACCUACGGGUCUAUAGUUAUUAGCUAGAUGGCUUCUUCUUCUCUCUUUGGAUCUCAAUAAAAAGUUCUCCUCGAUUUUCUUGGAGAUCUAUUCGAUGUAACCUUCUUUUGCAGUGUGUUUGUCGAGAUCCGAUGAAUUGUGGGUUUAUGAUCCAGAUUAUCUAUGAACAAUAUUUGAUUCUCCUAUGAAUUCUAUUAUGUAUGACUGGUUUAUCUUUGCAAGUCUCUUCGAAUUAUCAGUUCGGUUUGGCCUACUAGAUUGAUUUCUUGCAAUGGGAGAAGUGCUUAGCUUUGGGUUCAAUCUUGUGGUGUUUGAUCCCAGUGACAGAAAGGGAACCAAUACGUAUUGUAUUGUUGCCAUCGAGGAUAAAAAGAUGGGGUUUAUAUCAUAUCGCAUGAGUUUAUCCCUCUACAUCAUGUCAUCUUCCUUAAAGCAUUACUAUGUUCUCUUGAACUUAAUACUCUAGAUGCAUGCUAGAUAGCGGUCCAUGUGUCGAGUAAUAGUAGUAGAUGCAGAAUCGUUUCGGUCUACUUGUCUAGGACGUGAUGCCUAUAUACAUGAUCAUACCUAGAUAUUCUCAUAACUAUGCUCAAUUCUGUACAAUAUGGUGCACGGGGUUACAUCGGCCUGUAAAGACAUUUAUGCGAUGUGAGACAUCCGAAAAGCAACGAAAACGGGAGAUUAUACAUUUAUUGAAGAGGGCCGGUGUGACAGAUACCGUGAGGGCGUCGAGCUCAGCCAAAGACGACGGACAGCUGAGCACGGCCUGUGUCAGAGCCGGUGCGGGAGCAAGUGCAGGUGCAGGUGCUGGUGCAACGCUAGUCGAGCUGCUCCUGAAGAAGUCAACAAUGGGAAAGUCCGCUGCAUUUUUUCUGCAUUUUGCGUGCUCCAAUUGAAAAUGGCUGGAACCAAGACAGUAGACAUAUCUGCAACCACCUGUUUUCCAGCAGCUACCGCUGUCGCGACUGUCUCAGAUGAUUUCUUCUCAACCGCAAUCUCAACCUUCUUGUCGAUGUUUUAUUCGGUUAACCUCCAUCUUUCCUUUCUCUCCUCUGUGGUCUCACGGUAGUACUUCUUCCACGUGGCCCCGUCUCCGACACCGUGAACGCGUCCAUACGACGACCGAGUCUCCACCGGGAGUCCUUUCAAUAUGUUCAAUGCCCGGUUGAAUGGAGUGUCCCACUUGGGCCUUGCCAAUGCCUCAGACGGCGAGUCGCUUUCGGCCGCAAUCUUGUGCUGCUCUCUUUACAAAAGGAACACGGAUCAUUUACAAAUAUGACUAAACGUGCAGUCAAAUUGAUCAGAAACUAAAAUUACCGGCAGUCUCAUGAACUCCGUCGUGAUCGGGUCCGUCUUGAAAACCUUCUUGACUUAGUCCCAAUGGUGCCGUGCCUUGAGGACGUCAUCCUCCUACGGGAUGGUGAAGUCCGCCAAGGGGUCUGGGAUGCCAGAUUUUCGCAUUCCGUGUCCUCCUUGGCCCAUAUGGACCUCUUCCUGCCGUAACCACUGCUUCCGAGGUGGUGGCGCCCCAUGUUCCUUUGUGGAAGCCCCUUCAUGUACUUCGACUUUGUUUUGGCAGCUUCGGCCUCGCAAGCCGCCUUGAAUAUUUCAAAGUGCUCUCCCAUGAUUGUCAGAUUAUCCUUUACAAUCUCGGAGUAGGGUUGAUACGUCUCCAACGUAUCUAUUAUUUUUGAUUGCUCCAUGCUAUAUUAUCUCCUAUUUUGGACAAUAUUGGGCUUUAUAAUCGACUUUUAUAUUAUUUUUGGGACUAACCUAUUAACCGGAGGCCCAGCCUAGAAUUGUUGUCUUUUGCCUGUUUUAGGGUUUCGAAGAAAAGGAAUAUCAAACGGAGUCCAAACGGAAUGAAACCUUCGGGAACGUGAUUUUCUGAACGAACAAGACCCAGGAGACUUGGACCCUAUGUCAAGACACAAAAGAGGAGGACACGAGGUAGGGGGCGCACCUACCCCCCCCCCCCCCUCGAGGCACGCCCUCCACCCUCGUGGGGCCCCUGUUGCUCCACCGAUGUACUCCUUCCUCCUAUAUAUACCUACGUACCCCCAAACGAUCAGAUACAGAGCCAAAACCCUAAUUCCACUACCGCAACUUUCUGUAUCCACGUGAUCCCAUCUUGGGGCCUGUUCCGGAGCUCCGCCAGAGGGGGCAUCGAUCACGGUGGGCUUCUACAUCAACACCAUAGCCUCUCCGAUGAAGUGUGAGUAGUUCACCUCAGACGUACGGGUCCAUAGUUAUUACCUAGAUGGCUUCUUCUCUCUUUUUGGAUCUCAAUACAAUGUUCUCCCCCUCUCUUGUGGAGAACUAUUCGAUGUAAUCUUCUUUUUGCGGUGUGUUUAUUGAGACCGAUGAAUUGUGGGUUUAUGAUGAAGUCUAUCUAUGAAUAAUAUUUGAAUCUUCUCUGAAUUCUUUUAUGUAUGAUUGUUUAUCUUUGCAAGUCUCUUUGAAUUAUCAGUUUGGUUUGGCCUACUAGAUUGAUCUUUCUUACAAUGGGAGAAGUACUUAGCUUCGGGUUCAAUCUUGCGGUGUCCUUUCCCAAUGACAGUAGGGGCAGCAAGGCAUGUAUUGUAUUGUUGCCAUCGAGGACAACAAGAUGGGGUUUUCAUCAUAUUGCAUGAGUCUAUCCCUCUACAUCAUGUCAUCUUGCUUAAGGCGUUACUCUGUUUUUAACUUAAUACUCUAGAUGCAUGCUGGAUAGCGGUCGAUGAGUGGAGUAAUAGUAGUAGAUGCAGGGAGGAGUCGGUCUACUUGUCUCAAACGUGAUGCCUAUAUACAUGAUCAUACCUAGAUAUUCUCAUAACUAUGCUCAAUUCUGUCAAUUGCUCAACAGUAAUUUGUUCACCCACCAUAGAAUAAUUAUGCUCUUGAGAGAAGCCACUAGUGAAACCUAUGGCCCCUGGGUCUAUCUUUAUCAUAUUAAUCUCCUAUUACUUAGUUAUUUCCUUUGCUUUUUCCUUUGCCUUUAUUUUACUUUUCAUCUUUAUCACAAAAAUACCAAACAUAUUAUCUUUAUCAUACCUAUCAGAUCUCACUCUCGUAAGUGGCUGUGUAGGGAUUGACAACCCCUAUUCGCGUUGGUUGCGAGGAUUUAUUUCUUUUGUGCAAGUACGAGGGACUCGCGCGUAGCCUCCUACUGGAUUGAUACCUUGGUUCUCAAAAACUGAGGGAAAUACUUACGCUACUUUGCUGCAUCAUCCCUUCCUCUUCGGGGAAAACCAACGUAGUUCUCAAGAGCUGGCAAGAUGGAUUUCUGGCGCCGUUGCCGCGGAGGUCUACGCAAAAGUCAACAUACCAAGUACCCAUCACAUACCCUUAUCUCCCUCAUUACAUUAUUUGCCAUUUGCUUCUCGUUUUCCUCUUCCCCACUUCACCCUUGCCUUUUUAUUCGCCCUCUCUCUCUAUCCUCCCUCUCUUUCUCUAUUUGCCUCUUUUUCCCUACUUGCUUUCUGUUUGCUUGUGUGUUAGUUGCUUGCUUGUCACGAUGGCUCAAGAUAAUACUAAAUUACGUGACUUCACCAAUACCAACAACAAUGAUUUUAUUAGCACUCCGAUUUCUCCUCUUACCGAUGCUGAAUCUUGAGAAAUUAAUACUGCUUUGCUGAAUCUUGUCAUGAAAGAUCUGUUUUCCUGCCUUCCUAGUGAAGAUGCCGCUACCCACAUAAAUAGAUUCGUUGAUUUGUGUGACAUGCAAAAGAAGAAAGGUGUGGAUAAUGAUAUUGUUAAAUUGAAGCUAUUUCCUUUUUCGCUUAGAGAUCGUGCUAAAGCUUGGUUUUCGUCUUUGCCUAAAAAUAGUAUUGAUUCAUGGAAUAAGUGCAAAGAUGCUUUUAUCUCUAAGUAUUUUCCUCCUGCUAAGAUCAUCUCUCUUAGAAAUGAUAUUAUGAAUUUUAAGCAACUUGAUCAUGAACAUGUUGCACAAGCUUGGGAGAGAAUGAAACUAAUGAUACGUAAUUGACCUGCCCAUGGUUUAAAUUUGUGGAUGAUUAUACCAAAUUUUUAUGCCGGAUUGAACUUUGCUUCUAGAAAUCUUUUAGAUUAGGCCGCAGGAGGCACUAUUAUGGAAAUCACUUUAGGAGAAGCUACUAAACUCCUAGAUAAUAUUAUGGUUAAUUAUUCUCAACGGCAUACCGAAAGUUCUACUAAUAAAAAGGUGCAUGCGAUAGAAGAAAUUAAUGUUUUGAGUGGAAAGAUGGAUGAACUUCUGAAAUUAUUUGCUAAUAAGAGUAUUUCUUCUGAUCCUAAUGAUAUGCCCUUGUCUACUUUGAUUGAGAAUAAUAAUGAAUCUAUGGAUGUGGAUUUUGUUGGUAGGAACAAUUUUGGUAACAACGCGUAUAGAGGAAAUUUCAACCCUAGGCCUUAUCCUAGUAAUCUCUCUAAUAAUUAUGGUAAUUCCUACAGCAAUUCUUAUGGAAAUUAUAAUAAGAUGCAUACUGAUUUUGAAUCUAAUAUUAGAGAAUUUAUUACUUUGCAAAAGAAUUUCAAUGCUUUGAUUGAAGAAAAAUUGCUUAAGAUUGAUGAUUUGGCUAGGAACAUUGAUAGAAUUACUCUUGAUGUUGAUUCUUUGAAACUUAGAUCUAUUCCACCUAAGCAUGAUGUCAAUGAGUCUCUCAAAGCCAUGAGAAUUUCCAUUGAUGAGUGCAAAGAAAGAACCACUAGGAUGCGUGCUAAGAAAGAUGCCUUUAUAAGAGCGUGUUCUUCUAGUUCCUAUGAAAAUAAUGAUGAAGAUCAAAAAGUUAUUGAUGUGCUCCCUAUUAAAUCUUUGUUUUGCAAUACGAAUCUUGAUAAUCAUGGGACUGAAUAUGAUCCACCUUUACCUAGAAGGCGUUCCAAGAAUUCAGAAUUUGUUGAUCUUGAUGGUAAAACUGAUAAAGGUGGGAUUGAAGAAAUUAAAACCCUAGAUGUUGCUAAACCCACUAUUAUGGAUUUCAAGGAACUUAACUAUCAAAACUGCCCUUUGAUUGAUUGUAUAUCCUUGUUACAAUCCGUGCUAAAUUCUCCUCAUGCUUAUAGUCAAAAUAAAGCAUUUACUAAACAUAUCGUUGAUGCCUUGAUGCAAUCUUAUGAAGAAAAACUUGAAUUGGAAGUUUCUAUCCCUAUAAAGCUUUAUGAUGAGUGGGAACCAACUAUUAAAAUUAAAAUUAAAUAUCAUGAAUGCUAUGCUUUAUGUGAUUUUGUGUGCUAGUGUUUCCACGAUUCCAAAGACUUUGUGUGAUUUGUUAGGUUUCCAUGAUUUUGAUGAUUGCUCUUUAAACUUGCACCUUGCGGAUUCCACUAUUAAGAAACCUAUGGGAAGAAUUAAUGAUGUUCUUAUUGUUGCAAAUAGCAAUUAUGUUCCCGUAGAUUUUAUUGUUCUUGACAUAGAUUGCAAUCUUUCAUGUCCUAUUAUUCUUGGUAGACCUUUCCUUAGAACGACUGGUGCAAUUAUUGAUAUGAAGGAAGGAAAUAUUAGAUUCCAAUUUCCAUUAAGGAAAGGCAUGGAACACUUUCCUAGAAAGUAAAUUAAAUUACCUUAUGAAUCUAUUAUGAUAGCCACUUAUGGAUUGCCUACCAAAGAUGGCAAUACCUAGAUCUAUCCUUGCUUGUUAUGCCUAGCUAGGGGCGUUAAACGAUAGCGCUUGUAGGGAGGCAACCCAAUUUUAUUUUUACUCCUUGAUUUUUGCUCCUGUUUAGUAAUAAAUAAUUUAUAUAGCCUCUGUUUUGCUUGUGUUCUUUGUGUUUAAUUAGUGUUUGUGCCAAGUAGAACCGUUAGGAAGACUUGGGGAAAGUCAUGUUACACUUGCUGUAAAAAACUGAAACUUCAGCGCUCACGAGAACUGCUGCCGUUUUUAUUUGGAAAGUGCUAUUUAGUUAAUUAUUUUUUCAGAUAAAUUCCUCACAUCCAGAAAUUUAUUUUAGAAUUUUUGGGGUUCCAGCUCUUGAGCUAGCUACAGAGUACUACCGACUGUUCUGUUUUUGAAAGAUUCUGUUUUUCGUGUGUUGUUUGCUUAUUUUGAUGAAGCUAUGGCUAGUAAAAUAUUUUAUAAACCAUAGAGAAGUUGGAAUACAGUAGGUAUAACACCAAUAUAAAUAAAUAAUGAGUUCAUUACAGUACCUUGAAGUGGUCUUUUAUUUUCUUUCGCUAACGGAGCUCAUGAGAUAUUCUACUUUAAGUUUUGUGUUGUGAAGUUUUCAAGUUUUGGGUAAAGAUUUGAUGCAUUAUGGAACAAGGAGUGACAAGAGCCUAAGCUUGGGGAUGCCCAUGGCACCCCCAAGAUAAUCUAAGUACACCUAAAAGCCAAAGCUUGGGGAUGCGCCGGAAGUCAUCCCCUCUUUCAUCUACUUCUAUCGGUAACUUUACUUGGAGCUAUAUUUUUAUUCGCCACAUGAUAUGUGUUUUGCUUGGAGCGUCUUGUAUUAUUUGAGUCUUUAUUUGUUAGUUUACCACAAUCAUCCUUGCUGUACACACCUUUUGAGAGAGUCAUACAUGACUUGGAAUUUGUUAGAAUACACUAUGUGUUUCGCUUAUAUCUUUUGAGUUAUAUAGUUUUGCUCUAGUACUUCACUUCUAUCGUUUAGAGCACGGUGGUGGAUUUGUUUUAUAGAAACUAUUGAUCUCUCAUGCUUCACUUAGAUUAUUUUGAGAUUCUUAAUAGCAUGUUAAUUUGCUUAAAAUCCUAAUAUGCUAGGUAUUCAAAGUUAGUAAAAUUUUCUUAAGAGUGUUUUGAAUACUAAGAGAAGUUUGAUGCUUGAUGAUUGUUUUGAGAUAUGGAGGUAAUAAUAUCAAAGUCAUUCUACUUGAGUAGUUGUGAAAUUGAGAAAUACUAGUGUUGAAGUUUGCAUGUCCCGUAGCACGCACGUAUGGUAAACGUUGUGUAACAAAUUUGAAACAUGAGGUGUUAUUUGAUUGUCUUCCUUGUGAGUGGCGGUCGGGGACAAGCUAUGGUCUUUUCCUACCAAUCUAUCCCCCUAGGAGCAUGCGCGUAGUACCAAGGUUUUUGAUGACUUGUAGAUUUUUGCAGUAAGUAUGUGAGUUCUUUAUGACCAAUGUUGAGUCCUUGAAUUAUACGCACUCUCACCCUUCCAUCCUUGCUAGCCUCUUCGGUACCGUGCAUUGCCCUUUCCCACAUUGAGAGUUGGAGCAAACUUCGCCAGUGCAUCCAAACCCCGUGAUAUGAUACGCUCUUUAACACAUAAACCUCCUUAUAUCUUCCUCAAAAUAGCCACCAUACCUACCUAGUAUGGCAUUUCCAUAGCCAUUCCGACAUAUAUUGCCAUGCAACUUUCCACCAUUCCGUUCAUCAUGACACAUUCAUCAUUGUCAUAUUGCUUAGCAUAAUCAUGUUGUUGACAUAGUAUUUGUGGCAAGGCCACCGUUCAUAAUUCUUUCAUACAUGUCACUCUUGGUCCAUUGCAUGUCCCGGUACACCGCCGGAGGCAUUCAUAUAGAGUCCUACUUUGUUCUAGUAUCGAGUAGUAAUUAUUGAUUCGUAAAUAAAUAGAAGUGUGAUGAUCAUCAUUAAUAGAGCAUGGUCCCAAAAAGAAAAAAAGGAAGUGCCAAAAAAGGCCAAAUAAAAAAAUAUAAAAAAGGGGGGCAAUGCUACUAUCCUUUUUUUCCACACUUGUGCUUCAAAGUAGCACCGUAAUCUUCAAGAUAGAGAGUCUCUUGAUUUGUCACUUUCAUAUACUAGUGGGAAUUUUUCAUUAUAGAACUUGGCUUGUAUAUUCCAAUAAUGGGCCUCCUCAAGUGCCCUAGGUCUUCGUGAGCAAGCAAGUUGGAUGCACACCCACUUAGUUUCUUUUGUUGAGCUCUCAUACAUUUAUAGCUCUAGUGCAUCCGUUGCAUGGCAAUCCCUACUCAUUGCAUUAACAUCAAUUAAUGGGCAUCUCCAUAGCCCAUUGAUUAGCCUCGUUGAUGUGAGACUUUCUCCUUUUUGUCUUCUCCACAUAACCCCACUCAUUAUAUUCUAUUCCACCCAUAGUGUUAUGUCCAUGGCUUGCAAUCAUAUAUUGCAUGAAAGUUUAUAGGUUUGAGAUCACUAAAGUAUGAAACAAUUGCUUGGCUUGUCAUCGGGGUUGUGCAUGAUGAGAGCAUUCUUGUGUGACGAAAAUGAAGCAUGACUAAACUAUAUGAUUUUGUAGGGCUGAACUUUCUUUGGCCGUGUUAUUUUGAGAAGACAUAAUUGCUCAGUUAGUAUGCUUGAAGUAUUAUAAUUUUAUGUCAAUAUGAACUUUUGUCUUGAAUGUUUCAGAUCUGAAUAUUCAUACCACAAUUAAAAAGAAUUACAUUAAAAUCAUGCCAUGUAGCACUCCGCAUCAAAAAUUCUGUUUUUAUCAUUUACCUACUCGAGGACGAGCAGGAAUUAAGCUUGGUGAUGCUUGAUACGUCUCCAACGUAUCUAUAAUUUUUGAUUGCUCCAUGUAUAUUAUCUAUUGUUUUGGACAAUAUUGGGCUUUAUUAUCCACUUUUAUAUUAUUUUUGGGACUAACCUAUUAACCGGAGGCCCAGCCCAGAAUUGUUGUUUUUUGCCUGUUUUAGGGUUUCGAAGAAAAGGAAUAUCAAACGGAGUCCAAACGGAAUGAAACCUUCGGGAACGUGAUUUUCUCAACGAACAAGACCUAGGAGACUUGGACCCUCCAUCAAGACAUAAAAGAGGAGGCCACGAGGUAGGGGGCGUGCCUACCCCCCCCCCCCCCGGCGCGCCCUCCACCCUCGUGGGCCCCCCUGUUGCUCCACCGACGUACUCCUUCCUCCUAUAUAUACCUACUAUUGGGGAACGUAGCAGAAUUUUAAAAUUUUCUAUGCAAGAUCAAUCUAUGGAGUCAUCUAGCAACGAGGGAGAGAGGAGUGCAUCUACAUACCCUUGUAGAUCGCGCGCGGAAGCGUUCAAGAGAACGGGGUUGAUGGAGUCGUACUCGUCGUGAUCCAAAUCACCGAUGACCAAGUGCCGAACGGAUAGCACCUCCGCGUUCAACACACGUACGGUUGGGAAGACGUCUCCUCCUUCUUGAUCCAGCAAGGGGGAAGGAGAGGUUGAUGAAGAUCCAGCAGCACGAUGGCAUGGUGGUGGAUGCAGCAGGAUCCCGGCAGGGCUUCGCCAAGUGCAAGCGGGGAGGAGAGGUGUUACGGAAGGAGAGGGAGGCGCCAAGAGAAAGGGUGCGGCUACCCUCCCUCCCCCCCUCUUUAUAUAGGGGCCUUGGGGGGCGCCGGCCCUAGGAGAUGGAUCUCCAAGGGGGGCGAAGGCCAAGGGGUGGCUUCCCCCCCAAGCCAAGUGGGGGGCGCCCCCACCCCUAGGGUUUCCCAACCCUAGGUGCAGGGGAGGCCCAAGGGGGGCGCACCAGCCCACUAGGGGCUGGUUCUGCUCCCAAUUCAGCCCAUGGGGCCCUCCGGGAUGGGUGGCCCCACCCGGUGGACCCCCGGGACCCUUCCGGUGGUCCUGGUACUAUACCGGUGACCCCCGAAACCUUUCCGAUGGCCGAAACUGUACUUCCUAUAUAUAAAUCUUUACCUCCGGACCAUUCCGGAACUCCUCGUGAUGUCCGGGAUCUCCUCCGGGACUCCGAACAUAUCCUGGGUUACUACAUACUAAUAUCUCUACAACCCUAGCGUCACCGAACCUUAAGUGUGUAGACCCUACGGGUUCGGGAGACAUGCAGACAUGACCGAGACGCCUCUCCGGUCAAUAACCAACAGCGGGAUCUGGAUACCCAUGUUGGCUUCCACAUGCUCCAUGAUGAUCUCAUCGGAUGAACCACGAUGUCGAGGAUUCAAUCAAUCUGUAUACAAUUCCCUCUGUCAAUCGGUAGGUUACUUGCCCGAGACUCGAUCGUCGGUAUCCCAAUACCUCGUUCAAUCUCGUUACCAGCAAGUCACUUUACUCGUGCCGUAAUGCAUGAUCCCAUGAUCAACCACUUGGUCACAAUGAGCUCAUUAUGAUGAUGCAUUACCGAGUGGGCCCAGAGAUACCUCUCCGUCAUACGGAGUGACAAAUCCCAGUCUCGAUUCGUGCCAACCCAACAGACACUUUCAGAGAUACCUGUAAUGUUCCUUUAUAGUCACCCAGUUACGUUGUGACAUUUGGCACACCCAAGGCACUCCUACGGUAUCCGGGAGUUGCCCAAUCUCAUGGUCUAAGGAAAUGAUACUUGACAUUCGGAAAAGCUACAGCAAACGAACUACACGAUCUUUGAGCUAUGCUUAGGAUUGGGUCUUGUCCAUCACAUCAUUCUCCUAAUGAUGUGAACCCGUUAUCAAUAACAUCCAAUGUCCAUAGUCAGGAAACCAUGACUAUCUUUUGAUCAACGAGCUAGUCAACUAGAGGCUCACUAGGGACGUGUUGUCUUCUAUGUAUUCACACAUGUAUUACGAUUUCCGGAUAACACAAUUAUAGCAUGAACAAUAGACAAUUAUCAUGAACAAAGAAAUAUAAUAAUAACCAUUUUAUUAUUGCCUCUAGGGCAUAUUUCCAACAGUCUCCCACUUGCACUAGAGUCAAUGUCUAGUUACAUUGUGAUGAAUCGAACACCCUUGAAGUUCUGGAGUUGAUCAUAUUUUUCUCUAGGGAGAGGUUUAGUCAAUGGAUCUGCCACAUUCAGGUCCGUAUGUACUUUACAAAUCUCUAUGUCUCCAUUUUGAACAACUUCACGAAUGGAGUUGAAGUGACGCUUGAUAUGCCUGGUCUUCCUGUGAAACCUGGGCUCCUUGGCAAGUGCAAUAGCUCCAGUGUUGUCACAGAAUAGAGUCAUCGGGCACGGUGCAUUGGGUAUGACUCCUAGGUCGGUAAUGAACUCCUUCACCCAGACUGCUUCUUGUCCUGCCUCCGAGGCUACCAUGUACUCCGCUUCACAUGUAGAUCCCGCCACAACGCUUUGCUUGCAACUCCACCAGCUUAUUGCCCCACCAUUCAAAAUAUACACGUAUCCGGUUUCCGACUUAGAGUCAUCCAGAUCUGUGUCGAAGCUAGCAUCGACGUAACCCUUUACGACGAGCUCUUCGUCACCUACAUAAACGAGAAACAUAUCCUUACUCCUUUUUAGGUACUUGAGGAUAUUCUUGACCGCUGUCCAUGUUAGGGAACGUUGUAAUUUCAAAAAAAUUCCUACGCACACGCAAGAUCAUGGUGAUGCAUAGCAACGAGGGGAGAGUCUGAUCUACGUACCCUUGUAGAUCGCAACGGAAGCGUUGACACAACGUAGGGGAAGUAGUCGUACGUCUUCUUCCCGAUCCGACCGAUCCAAGCACCAUUACUCCGGCACCUCCGAGUUCUUAGCACACGUUCAGCUCGAUGACGAUCCUCGGGCUCCGAUCCAGCAAAGUGUCGAGGAAGAGUUCCGUCAGCACGACGGCGUGGCGACAAUCUUAAUGUACUACCGACGCAGGGCUUCGCCUAAGCACUACAACAGUAUGAUCGAGGUGGAAUUUGGUGGCAGGGGGCACCGAACACGGCUAAGGAACGAUCUCAAUGAUCAACUUGUGUGUCUAGAGGUGCCCCCUGCCCCCGUAUAUAAAGGUUGCCAGGGGGUGGGCUGGCCGGCCAAAGGAGGAGGGCGCAGGAGGAGUCCUACUCCUACCGGGAGUAGGACUCCCCCCCCCAAUCCUAUUCCUAAUAGGACUCCUCGAGAGAGAGAGAGGGAGAAGGGGGCCGGCCACCUCUCCUAGUCCUAAUAGGACUAGGGGAGGGGGGAGGCGCGCAGCCCACCUUGGGCUGCCCCUUUCGCCUUUCCACUAAGGCCCAAUAAGGCCCAUUUGGUUCCCGGGGGGUUCCGGUAACCUCCCUAUACUCCGGUAAAAUUCCCGAUUUCACCCGGAACACUUCCGAUGUCCAAACAUAGGCUUCCAAUAUAUCAAUCUUUAUGUCUCGACCAUUUCGAGACUCCUCGUCAUGUCCGUGAUCACAUCCGGGACUCCGAACAACCUUCGGUACAUCAAAAUGCAUAAACUCAUAAUAACUGUCAUCGUAACGUUAAGCGUGCGGACCCUACGGUUCGAGAACAAUGUAGACAUGACCGAGACACGUCUCCGGUCAAUAACCAAUAGCGGGACCUGGAUGCCCAUAUUUGCUCCUACAUAUUCUACAAAGAUCUUUAUCGGUCAGACCGCAUAACAACAUACGUUGUUCCCUUUGUCAUCGGUAUGUUACUUGCCCGAGAUUCGAUCGUCGGUAUCCAAUACCUAGUUCAAUCUCGUUACUGGCAAGUCUAUUUACUCGUUCCGUAAUACAUCAUCUCACAACUAACAUCUUAGUUAUAAUGCUUGCAAGGCUUCUGUGAUGUGUCUUACCGAGAGGGCCCAGAGAUACCUCUCCGACAAUCGGAGUGACAAACCCUAAUCUCGAAAUACGCCAACCCAACAUCUACCAUUGGAGACACCUGUAGUACUCCUCUAUAAUCACCCAGUUAUGUUGUGACGUUUGGUAGUACCCUAAGUGUUCCUCCGGCAAACGGGAGUUGCAUAAUCUCAUAGUCAUAGGAACAUGUAUAAGUCAUGAAGAAAGCAAUAGCAACAUACUAAACGAUUGGGUGCUAAGCUAAUGAAAUGGGUCAUGUCAAUCAGAUCAUUCAACUAAUGAUGUGACCUCGUUAAUCAAAUAACAACUCUUUGUUCAUGGUUAGGAAACGUAACCAUCUUUGAUUAACGAGCUAGUCAAGUAAAGGCAUACUAGUGACACUCUGUUUGUCUAUGUAUUCACACAUGUAUUAUGUUUCCGGUUAAUACAAUUCUAGCAUGAAUAAUAAACAUUUAUCAUGAUAUAAGGAAAUAAAUAAUAACUUUAUUAUUGCCUCUAGGGCAUAUUUCCUUCAGUCUCCCACUUGCACUAGAGUCAAUUAUCUAGAUUACACAGUAAUGAUUCUAACACCCAUGGAGCCUUGGUGCUGAUCAUGUUUUGCUCAUGGAAGAUGCUUAGUCAACGGGUCUGCAACAUACAGAUCCGUAUGUAUCUUGCAAAUCUCUAUGUCUCCCACCUGGACUAGAUCCCGGAUGGAGUUGAAGCGUCUCUUGAUGUGUUUGGUCCUUUUGUGUAAUCUGGAUUCCUUUGCUAAAGCAAUUGCACCAGUAUUGUCACAAAAGAUUUUCAUUGGACCCGAUGCACUAGGUAUGACACCUAGAUCGGAUAUGAACUCCUUCAUCCAGACUCCUUCGUUCGCUGCUUCCGAAGCAGCUAUGUACUCCGCUUCACAUGUAGAUCCCGCUACGACGCUUGUUUAGAACUGCACCAAUUGACAGCUCCACCGUUUAAAGUAAACACCUAUCCGAUUUGCAAUUUAGAAUCGUCCGGAUCAGUGUCAAAGCUUGCAUCAACGUAACCUCUUACGGUGAGCUCUUUGUCACCUCCAUAUACGAGAAACAUAUCCUUAGUCCUUUUCAGGUACUUCAGGAUGUUCUUGACCGUUGUCCAGUGAUCCACUCCUGGAUUACUUUGGUACCUCCCUGCUAAACUUAUAGCAAGGCACACAUCAGGUCUGGUACACAGCAUUGCAUACAUGAUAGAGCCUAUGGCUGAAGCAUAGGGAACAUCUUUCAUUUUCUCUCUAUCUUCUGCAGUGGUCGGGCAUUGAGUCUGACUCAACUUCACACCUUGUAACACAGGCAAGAACCCUUUCUUUGCUUGAUCCAUUUUGAACUAAUUCAAAAUCUUGUCAAGGUAUGUGCUUUGUGAAAGUCCAAUUAAGCGUCUUGAUCUAUCUCUAUAGAUCUUUAUGCCUAAUAUGUAAGCGGCUUCCCCGAGGUCUUUCAUCGAAAAACUUUUAUUCAAGUAUCCCUUUAUGCUAUCCAGAAAUUCUAUAUCAUUUCCAAUCAGCAAUAUGUCAUCCACAUAUAAUAUCAGAAAUGCUACAGAGCUCCCACUCACUUUCUUGUAAAUACAGGCUUCUCCAAAAGUCUGUAUAAAGCCAAAUGCUUUGAUCACACUAUCAAAGCGUUUAUUCAAACUCCGAGAGGCUUGCACCAGUCCAUAAAUGGAUCGCUGGAGCUUGCACACUUUGUUAGCUCCCUUUGGAUCGAUAAAACCUUCUGGUUGCAUCAUAUACAACUCUUCUUCCAGAAAUCCAUUCAGGAAUGCAGUUUUGACAUCCAUCUGCCAAAUUUCAUAAUCAUAAAAUGCGGCAAUUGCUAACAUGAUUCUGACAGACUUAAGCAUCGCUACGGGUGAGAAGGUCUCAUCGUAGUCAACCCCUUGAACUUGUCGAAAAACUUUUGCGACAAGUCGAGCUUUAUAGACAGUAAUAUUACCGUCAGCGUCAGUCUUUUUCUUGAAGAUCCAUUUAUUCUCAUUUGCUUGCCGAUCAUCAGGCAAGUCAACCAAAGUCCAUACUUUGUUCUCAUAUAUGGAUCCCAUCUCAGAUUUCAUGGCUUCAAGCCACUUUGCGGAAUCUGGGCUCACCAUCGCUUCUUCAUAGUUCGUAGGUUCAUCAUGAUCUAGUAGCAUGACUUCCAGAAUUGGAUUACCGUACCACUCUAGUGCGGAUCUCACUCUGGUUGAUCUAUGUGGUUCAGUAGUAUCUUGUCCUAAAGUUUCAUGAUCAUCAUCAUUAGCUUCCUCACUAAUUGGUAUAGGUGUCGCAGAAACAGUUUUCUGUGAUGUACUAUUUUCCAAUAAGGGAGCAGGUACAGUUACCUCGUCAAGUUCUACUUUCCUCCCACUCACUUCUUUCGAGAGAAACUCCUUCUCUAGAAAUGAUCCAUUCUUAGCAACGAAUGUCUUGCCUUCGGAUCUGUGAUAGAAGGUGUACCCAACAGUCUCCUUUGGGUAUCCUAUGAAGACACAUUUCUCCGCUUUGGGUUCGAGCUUAUCAGGUUGAAGCUUUUUCACAUAAGCAUCGCAGCCCCAAACUUUAAGAAACGACAACUUUGGUUUCUUGCCAACACUACAGGAAUCGGCUACUUUGCCAUGUGCCACGGCGGACGGCAAAGGCCCGAACGGCGGACGGCAAAGGCCUUUGCCGUCAGCGGCGGACGGCAAAAGGCUCCGGCAAAGUAGGCUUCGGUAAACAGGUUCUUUGCCGUCUACUAUUGACGGCAAAGUCUUUGCCGUCUGCGGCGGACGGCAAAGAGAGAGCAGCAGACGGCAAAGACGGCGGACGGCAAUAAUUGCGCUGUCAGUCCGUUAAGUGGCUAACGGAAGGCCUUUGCCGUCCGCCGCUGACGGCAAAAUUUCUAGGGUCUUUGCCGUCCGCCGUAUGAUGUCAUCUACACGUCACUACGUGGCAGGUUCUUUGCCGUCUGCCACUGACGGCAAAGUCUUUGCUGUCUGCCACUGUAGGCAAACUGACCAAAUGGGUCAGCUCCCAGGAAGCACAGGUGGACGCCACGUGGCUUCUUUGCCAUCCGCGGCAGACGGCAAAGAGCCCGUUGCCGUCGGUGGUAGACGGCAAAGAGCCUGCAUAUUGGCUCUUUUUUCUGUUUUUUCAUAUACCCAACCAUUUUCACAGCAAAUAGAUGAUACAUAUAUAUUUUUCACAUGGCAAGUUCACAGCAAACAUAUGAGAUAUCCAACACAUAUAAUUGCAUCAUACAUGCAUAGUUCCAUCAACCAUACAUAGCAAGUUCGACAUACAUGCAUCCAACCAUACAUAUUACAAUAGUGUCAUCCUACCAUACAUGCAUAGUUCAUAGAUACAAAGGAAACAUAGUUCAUCCAAACAAGCACUCCAUCUAUGCAAGCUUCCGUGAAGUGAAUGAAUUCUGCAAAAUGGGAAAUAAGAAAGUUAGAAGAAGAAGAUUGGAAGAAGAAGAAGUAGAAGAAGAAUAUAUAUAUAUAUAUGACAUUUAUGCGCUAAUUUAGGUGAAAUUGAUCAUUUGUGAGCUAACUUAGGUGAAAUGGAUCGUUUAUGAGCUAACCUAGGUGCAAUGGAUCGCUUAUGAGCAAACUUAAGUAAAAUGCAUCAUUUUAGAGGUAACCUAGGUAAGAUGGAUCAUUUUGGAGCUAACCUAGGUAAAAUGGGUCAUUUUAGAGCUAACUUCGGUAGAAUGGAUCAUUUAUGAGCUAGGUAAGGUUAAAUGGAUCAUUUUAGAACUAACUUAGGUAAAAUGGAUCGUUUAUGAGCUAACUUAGGUAAAAUGGAUCGUUUUUGAGCUAACUAAGGUGAAAUGAAUCGUUUUUGAGCUAACUAAGGUGAAGGGCAUCAUUUUUGAGCUAACUAAGGUGAAAUGGAUCGUUUUUGAGCUAACUAAGGUGAAAUGAAUCGUUUUUGAGCUAACUAAGGUAAAAUGGAUCGUUUUUGAGCUAACUUAGGUGAAAUGGAUCGUUUUUGAGCAAACUUAGGUGAAAUGGNNNNNNNNNNNNNNNNNNNNNNNNNNNNNNNNNNNNNNNNNNNNNNNNNNNNNNNNNNNNNNNNNNNNNNNNNNNNNNNNNNNNNNNNNNNNNNNNNNNNNNNNNNNNNNNNNNNNNNNNNNNNNNNNNNNNNNNNNNNNNNNNNNNNNNNNNNNNNNNNNNNNNNNNNNNNNNNNNNNNNNNNNNNNNNNNNNNNNNNNNNNNNNNNNNNNNNGGAUCGUUUUUGAGCUAACUAAGGUGAAAUGGAUCAUUUUUUAGCUAACUAAGGUGAAAUGGAUCGUUUUUGAGCAAACUUAGGUGAAAUGGAUCAUUUAAGAGCUAAUUUAGGUGAAAUGGAUUGUUUUUGAGCUAACUAAGGUGAAAUGGAUCGUUUUUGAGCAAACUUAGGUGAAAUGGAUCAUUUAAGAGCUAAUUUAGGUGAAAUGGAUCGUUUUUGAGCAAACUUAGGUGAAAUGGAUCAUUUAAGAGCUAAUUUAGGUGAAAUGGAUCGUUUUUAGCUAACUUAGGUGAAAUGGAUCGUUUAGGAGCUACUCUAGGUAAAUUGGGUCAUUUUAGAGCUAACUUGGAUAAACUAGAUCACUUAUAAGCUAACCUAGGUAAGAUGGGUCAUUUUGGAGCUAACUUAGGUAAAAUGGAUCGUCUAUGAGCUAACUAAGCUAAUUAUGCAAUUUUUGACAUAAGUAAGCUAAGUAUAGAUUGUUUUAGAGCUAACUUAGGUAAAAUGGAUGGUUUUGGAGGUCAGUAAGCUUAUUUAGUCAUUUUGGAGGAGAAGAAGCUAAGUCUACGUCAUUAUGGUAAGCAUUGGAGGAAAUAAAGCUAAGUCUAGGUCUUUAUGCAUGUGUUAAGCAAAACACUAGAUAAACUUACCAAGAUCCAGGAGGUGUAGGAGUGGGGUGGCUCGUGUCGGUAGCUGGAGAAGGAUCGUGCGAUGCUUGUCUGGAGUUACGCUGCACCAAAGAUCAUUUCCAAUGUCUUGUUAGCAUGAUGACACUCAAAUGUUAAGACUAGUAAGUAAUGUCCAUUCAAAUAAAACUCACCGUGGUCCCAGGAGCAAUCACUGGCAUCGGCGGAGCGGUCUGACCUGUCUUCUCGCACACAGACUGCACAUUUGGUUUUGACGACUCAGUCAUACUAGUUAGUAAUGAGACAAACACUACAUGAAUGUUUUGGCUAAUCUGCAGAUGAAACUUACCACAAGGAGCUCGUACAUGGCCCUUGCCUGCAUGUCAUUCCGUGCCCUCUCCUCCUCCACCAUCUUUGUCGUCCUCUCCUCCAACUCCCGCUGCCUCUCCGCCGCCUCCGCCAGAAGUUUCUCCGUUCUAUCUCUCUCACUCUGUAUGGCAGCCUGCAACACCACUCACAUGACAAUUUGUAAUCAUUGAUGGAAGCGCACACAAUGUAAUGGAGAAAGAUAACUGAGUAUGUAUCACUAACCUUGAUGGCGACUUGCACUGGCCGUUCACGAGGCCUUAUCUUAGGAGCGGAGCUCGACUGGCGCGCCUUGAUCUCCGAGAGAGUGCUAGGACAACGGAUAAGUCCAUCUCCAAUGGCUAUGGAGCCAUGGGACCUCCCGUCACCAGAUAUCAUCAACAGCUCUGGAUCAAUGGGACCCUGGCUCGGGUUAAAGUCCUCCCCUUUCCUCGCCUUCCCCUCAUCUCUAUAUCUCACGAGCUUGUUGUGGGAGGAGAUGUUGGUGAAGUUGUUUGCAUCAUCGAGGUCAGACUGAGAGAAAGCCUUGACUUUCUUGAAAGAGGCAGUGUGGGCCAUGGCAUACAGGUCGUACACCUCUGGCACCUUAUCCGCCUUAUUAUAGCAUGCCUGAAAGAGAGAAACAAUGAAAAUUAGUAAUUAAAGGGCUCAAGCUAGCAUGAUGAAUGAAUUGCAUGAAUCAUGAAGCAAACCACAUACCCAGUUGCGCCCGAACUGAUAUAAGUUGGAGCUGCCUUGAUGGUGUGGCACACCUUCCAUUUUUGCACGUUUGUCCUUGGCCUCCUUGUGGGGGGCUAGCCAUCGUUGUGAGCACCACUCAUCGACCAACACCUCCCAACAAUCCAUCCGAUCCGCACACCAUCUCGGAGGCGCCUAAGUUAGCAAAUAGAAACUUGAGCGCUACGGCUAAGAAUUACUAAAUGAAGGAACUUAAGUAGAGAAGGCCUUGAGAAUUACCUUCAUGUAAUGCUCCUUACUCAGGAACUUAUCGCAGCAUGCCGGCUUGGUCUUCUUGAUACCACGCAAGGCGUAGUAGUCUCGAACAGCCUGCACCCGAGCCUCGUGCCGUAAGUUCUGGAGUAGGCGCUUGCAGACGUUCUCGAUAACAUGUGCCGCGUCCUCCUCGUAUCCCUCCUCACACCUGUAGAAUGUCUGCAAUCAAAUGAGACAAUGUUGAUUAGUACAAUUAAUAACUAGCUAGUUGAAGAUUUUUAAAUGUGUAAAGGAGAAAUUACCCAGAACUUUCUGAUCACCAUGUCUGCCCUCGUGUCACACACGACACCGUCGAUAAUCUCAUUUGGCAGGGCCGGGGCAGCCACGUAGUGCUCCCAGCUCAAUCCAAGCUCUGGAAGCCGACCCUCACCAGGCAACGUGACAAACCCCGGGAAGUUUUGCCGGCAAAGAACUCCAAGGACGGAGUUGGGCCGGCGGACACUAUGAUGGUGGUCCCAACCCCUGCAGCAUGACAAGGCCAACGCAUUAGUUAUUUGAAAAAAUGUGAAUGCACAAGGUACAAAAAUAUUAAAUGCACUUACGUACCUCUCCCCAUCAGGGAAAAUCAACCACCUCUGCUCGCGGGUCACCGGCACGGACGGGAGCCGUGUAGCACCACGCUGGUAGACGGUGCCCCCCUCCUCCUCAAGAUCAGUCGGCUCCCCGCCAUCAUCAGCAUGACCACUCGGCUCCUUGGGCUGAUCCGGCCAGGUACCCCAUCCGGACGUGUGCUCCUCCGGGGUCAUGUGGGCCGAACUCUCGUGGGCUGAAGACCCGUGGACCGGAGGCUCAUGGACCGGAGUUCGUGUAGCCUCCUCCUCGGACGAGUCCACCCUAGCAGUCACGUGCUUGGGUGAAACGGUUGGGGGUGGCGGCGAGGAAGGCACCGUAGCAGUCACCCUACCUCCUCUCCCAGGACCACGUGCCCCACCUCCUCUCUUCCUACCUCGUCCCCUGCUGGGCACCAUGGUCGACGAAGAAGGGCCCGGCGGUGUGGCCAUACUGUCCAGCAACGCUCGGCGGAGAGGUGCGUCUGGAAUGGAAGACCUCAGACCACGCUCCCGACCAGUGCCCACCAUCUUUCAACACCUGCCAUGACAAACAGUAAAUGAAAUUAGUACAACAUAAAAAAGGACCGACAUGAAUAAUAAUAUGUGUAUCACUUAAGUGUAUCAUCAUCAAGUACAACAUAAAAAAAUGUAAUACCGGACACUACUAAUAAUCUCGAUCAGUAUCAUCAAUAAAUGCAUAAUCAUCAUCAUCACUAUAAUCAAUGACGGGCUCAUAGGGUUCAUUGGCAUCAACAUGUGCAAGGCCACCUUGACGUAAUCGGUCAAGCAUUGACAGGUCAUCCGCAGCAGUAACCUCUUCUUGUUCCGGCUCUUCUUGUUCCUCCUCUGGGGUGAUGUCGGAUUCAUUGUCGCUGUCUACUUCAAUGUUUUGGGGUGAAGUAUAGCGGUUCUUGAAACGCUUUUUGGAAAGACGUGUCUCUUGGAAGAAUUCUCCUUCAUAUGUGUCUGGGUUAAUGUGAGGUUCAUAAUCCUCUUCCUUUGCGGGAGAAAGUCUAGCACGUGGCGGCACUUCAUAAACGACAUCCCAACCUUUCAGAUUUGGAUUAGUUUGGCAGGCCCACGGUAGAUAGAAUACUUGGGUCGCCUGUUGAGCCAUAAUAUAGACAUCAAGAACAUCUAAACGAGUGCUUUGGUUGAUUUCAACUAGCCCUACAUGUUCAUGAGUCCUUCUAGUCUCGUUUGGCUGAAACCAAUAACAUUUGAAGACUACGACAUUUUGUGGGUUUUCACCAUAGAACAGAAGUUCAUAAAUUGCUUCAACUCUCCCAUAAUACUCGGUACCUCCUUUGCCGAUAGCAGAUACACAACAAUUUGUUGACUUUGGGUCCGCCAUAGAUAGCUCUUUGCCAUAGGUACGAAAGCGAUACCCGUUGAUGUCGUACUUGUCAAAUGAACGGACCUUAUAGUCAAAACCAUUAGCGACUUGUCUCAAUUCGGCGUCCAUAGAGUCUGGAUUAGCCUACAGGUUUAAUAUGAAAGGAUUGUUGCAUUAUGCACAAAUUAGCGAAUGAAAUGAAAUUGUCUAAUAGAAAUUACCGUUUGUUUGAACCAAGAGAUGAAACCGGGAUAGCCACCUCCUUGCUUUGCGAGAAGCUCAUACUCUUCGACAGAAUCCUUUUGGAUCUCCGCUCCAUACGAGAAUAUGGUGACGUAUCGACUGUAUGACAUAUCCAGGAAUAAGAGUAGUUCAAAGGAAAUAGAAGUUGCGAAACAAUGUAUCGAGAACUUACUCGAUGUACGGCCGCACUUCUAUCAGGUUGUUGAAGAUAUACAAUGAAAUGGUCCGCCAUUCUUUGUUAUCCAAAGAUACUGGAUGUGAAACACCAGCUGGUGCGAGAUUCCCUUUGAAUAGGCUGAGGUUGGAUCCACCCUUUUUAGGCUCGUCAGCAUUGUACCGAGGCUUCGGAUUAUGCAAAUGACGAUUUUUGGCUUCGUAGUGCGCUGUUACGAAGUUUGCCACCUCCUCUGUGAUGAAUGCCUCAGCCAUCGAUGCUUCAAUUCUACGUUUAUUUUUACAUUUUUCUCGAAGCGUGUUCUGCAUCCUCUCAGUUGGGUAGCACCAACGAUUUUGCACGGGCCCCCCCAAUCUUGCCUCGGUCGGGAGAUGCAAAAUCAAAUGCUGCAUUGGAUUAAAGAAGCCCGGUGGAAAGAUUUUCUCUAACUUGUAGAUCAACUCCGGCGCCAACUCUUCCAUUUCUUCUAGCACGCCAGGAGAUAGUUAUUUCGCACAAAGAACACGGAAGAAAUAGCUGAGUUCUGCCAGUACUAGCCAUUCAUCCUCAGGGAUGAAGCCACGCAACAUCACCGGCAUUACCCGCUCAAUCCAUAUUUGCUCCCCUCUUUAGAUUCGCUGCAUACCCAUCGGGGAACAUCAACUGCUGUUGCACCCACAAGAGAAUUUCCCUCAUAGCUGGCCUUCCAAGAUUGAACCAUGCCUUUGGCUUCGUCUAGUUCUGCUUUCCUUUCGGUUCUUUCAUGUUUUGUAACGGCCUAUCACAUAGCGCCUCCAGAUCGACUCUAGCCUUAGUAUUAUCCUUUGACUUCCCAUCCAUGCCGAACAAUGUACCAAAAAGUGCCUCGGUGAUAUUCUUCUCAGUGUGCAUCACGUCGAUGUUGUGUGGGCAAAGGAGGUCUUUGAAGUAAGGCAGAUCCCAUAAGCAUGUUUUGUGAGUCCACGCAUGCUUAGUAUUAUACCCCUUGAAGUACCCUGGACAUUGUGGAUCUGGCUCGAGAGCGUUUAACUGAUCCAGGGUCUGUUGGCCUGUCAAUGCAGGUGGUGCAGAGUUUUUGACAACUCUACCCCUGAUGAAGUUCUUCUUGUCUUCCCUGAACUUAUGGCGAGGAUCCAGGAACUGUCUAUGCAUGUCGAAGCAAGAAAACUUGCGACCGGCCUGAAGCCAACGAAACUCAAGAGCUCCCUGGCAUGUGGGGCACGGGAACCUUCCAUGCACACACCAGCCAAUGAAUAGCGCAUACGCCGGCAAGUCAUGCGUCGAGUACAUGUACUAGACACGCAUUAUGAAGUUCCGUUUGCUAAAGGCAUCGUAUGUCUUGAACCCAUUAUCCCAAGCUUCUUGCAAUUCGUCCUUAAGCGGCUGCAUGUACACAUUCAUAUUUUUGCCCGGAUAGUUGGGUCCUGGAAAUAUCAACGUUAGGAAAAUGUUCUUUCUUUGCAUAAUCUGUGCGGGGGGGAGAUUGAGUGGAAAGACAAAUACGGGCCAACAACUGUAUUGGGCUGCCAUCAUACCAAACACACUGAACCCAUCCGUGCUGAUGCCGACUCGAGAAUGCCUCGGAUCUGCCGCUUUGUCAGCAUGUAAUUCAUCAAACUUUUUCCACGCAACACCAUCCGAUGUGUGUACCAUCAUCAGAUUCCCAUCUGCAUCUAGUGCGGUUCUUUUGCCUGUUUUGUGCCAUGUCAUCUGUCUGGCCGUCUCUUUGACCAUGAAAAGACGUUGAAGUCUUGGUACAAUUGGCAUAUACCGAAGAACACUAACGGGGAUUUUGGUCUGUGUCUUCUCACCCAUACCGUUGUCUACCACAAUAUACCUGGAAGACUUGCAAAUGGGACAAUAGUUCAAGUCCGCAUAGUCAAGCCUAAAUAAGGCACAUCCUUUCUCACAGGCAUGUAUCUUCUCAUAGGGCAUCUUCAGUGCAUGGAGGAUUUUGUCCGACUGGUACAGGUUUGCAGGCAUUACAUGUCCUUUGGGUAGAAAGCGUCCAAAUACUGUCAUAAUUGCGUCAUAGCAUUCUCUACCCAAGUUGAACUGAGCCUUCAGAGCCAUUACUUGUGAGAUGGCAUCCAACUGACAAAGCUCAGUGUGCUCGCGGAGCGGACGUUUCGAAGACUCCAACAUUUCAUUGAAGGCCUUUGCAGAUUCCUCCAUCUCCUCGUCCGAAUCCCGAGCAUCAUCAUAGUCUUGCACCAUGUUUUCCAUCCCGGUACCAUGCUCGUCGGUGCGACGACGAUCCACCUCAGCUCGGUCACGUUGGGCAGACUCACCAUGAAAUGUCCAGACCGUAUAAUCGGGCGUAAAACCACUCUUCUGCAGGUGUUUGCCCAUUUCAGCCUCUCUCUUCUUUUCCCAAUUGCCGCACCGGAAAUAGGGGCACCAGGUUUUCUUUUGGCCAUUUGCAAAUGCGGCUUGCACAAACCCCUUAGUUUUUGUGAACCAUUCAGCGCUCCAUUUGUUCUGACCAGUGUGACCGGUAUACAUCCAAGCACGGUCACUCAUCUUGACUUUCAGAGCUACUGGACACACAACAAUUAUAUAUGUAAUUCACCAUGUAUAUAUUCAUCAGUUGAUCUACUGUGUCAAUUUUAUUACGUCCAUGCAACCUACACUCUAAUAGGUAAUGAUAGGUCCUAAUCCCACCCGUGUAUGUGUAGAUUGGGUUCAUUUUCCCAUGCUAUGCUCCGGAUCCGACGCAAAAUUUCGGCAGCACCUCCCCGUUAUUCUCCUGAUACACGUCUCUGCAAUAAACAGAGAGGAUGUGUACCCGGAGAACAACAGGGGAGGCACUGACGAAAUAUAUGCGUCGGAUCCGGAGCAAAGCAUAUGGGAAAACGAACCCAAUCUACACAUACUCGGGCUGUCCAUGGAUAGCGUUGGACAAUUCGAAAGAAUCAAGGUUAUAAAUAUGCAAAUGCAUGCAUAUUUAUAAAUAUGACGCUUUCGAAUGGGAGACACAUAUUGGUUACGCAUACUGAUGAUUCAAGACACAUAUAUAGCUAGCUAUCAAGUUUCAUCGGAAUAGAUCAAAUAAUUAAUGGGGGAGGAGGACUUGUCAUUUGUGCUCACCCACGAACGAAGGGCAGAGCUCGUCAAACGCACGGCGAGGUCGUCGAACACCAAACCUCGCAGCGAUGAAACAACUGCACAUUUAAAACUACACGAUCAACACAAUUAUAUAUGAUGUUUUUCAUAACUAAAUCGAAAAAUAUAUAACCUAACUAAUAAUUCACAAAUAUAUGACCCCGUCGGCCUCUGGAAGGCCGAAGAACACCUUAAUUUUCGGGAGGUGUCGGUGGUCGGGGUGCCCUGUCGGUGUCGGGGUGCCGUGUCGGGGUCGGGGUCUCGGGGUCGGGGUGUCGGGUCGGGGUGCCNNNNNNNNNNNNNNNNNNNNNNNNNNNNNNNNNNNNNNNNNNNNNNNNNNNNNNNNNNNNNNNNNNNNNNNNNNNNNNNNNNNNNNNNNNNNNNNNNNNNNNNNNNNNNNNNNNNNNNNNNNNNNNNNNNNNNNNNNNNNNNNNNNNNNNNNNNNNNNNNNNNNNNNNNNNNNNNNNNNNNNNNNNNNNNNNNNNNNNNNNNNNNNNNNNNNNNNNNNNNNNNNNNNNNNNNNNNNNNNNNNNNNNNNNNNNNNNNNNNNNNNNNNNNNNNNNNNNNNNNNNNNNNNNNNNNNNNNNNNNNNNNNNNNNNNNNNNNNNNNNNNNNNNNNNNNNNNNNNNNNNNNNNNNNNNNNNNNNNNNNNNNNNNNNNNNNNNNNNNNNNNNNNNNNNNNNNNNNNNNNNNNNNNNNNNNNNNNNNNNNNNNNNNNNNNNNNNNNNNNNNNNNNNNNNNNNNNNNNNNNNNNNNNNNNNNNNNNNNNNNNNNNNNNNNNNNNNNNNNNNNNNNNNNNNNNNNNNNNNNNNNNNNNNNNNNNNNNNNNNNNNNNNNNNNNNNNNNNNNNNNNNNNNNNNNNNNNNNNNNNNNNNNNNNNNNNNNNNNNNNNNNNNNNNNNNNNNNNNNNNNNNNNNNNNNNNNNNNNNNNNNNNNNNNNNNNNNNNNNNNNNNNNNNNNNNNNNNNNNNNNNNNNNNNNNNNNNNNNNNNNNNNNNNNNNNNNNNNNNNNNNNNNNNNNNNNNNNNNNNNNNNNNNNNNNNNNNNNNNNNNNNNNNNNNNNNNNNNNNNNNNNNNNNNNNNNNNNNNNNNNNNNNNNNNNNNNNNNNNNNNNNNNNNNNNNNNNNNNNNNNNNNNNNNNNNNNNNNNNNNNNNNNNNNNNNNNNNNNNNNNNNNNNNNNNNNNNNNNNNNNNNNNNNNNNNNNNNNNNNNNNNNNNNNNNNNNNNNNNNNNNNNNNNNNNNNNNACUAAAUCUAAACCUAAAACAAAACUAAAACUAAACCUAAAACUAAAACUAAAACUAAAUCUAAACUAAAACUAAAAAGGAAAAAAACAGAAAAAAAAUAGAAAAAAGGAGGUUGGGGCUCACCUUCUGCAGCGCCGGUGGAGGAGGGGGCGGGGCGGUGGAGGAGCUGGCUGGGGCGCGGGGCGGCCUGGGGCGGCGCGGGGCCGGGCCCGAUGCGGUGGGGCGCGGGGCGGCGGUGCGUGCGGACCCUAUGGUUCGAGAACAAUGUAGACAUGACCGAGACACGUCUCCGGUCAAUAACCAAUAGCGGGACCUGGAUGCCCAUAUUGGCUCCUACAUAUUCUACGAAGAUCUUUAUCGGUCAGACCGCAUAAUAACAUACGUUGUUCCCUUUGUCAUCGGUAUGUUACUUGCCCGAGAUUCGAUUGUCGGUAUCCAAUACCUAGUUCAAUCUCGUUACUGGCAAGUCUCUUUACUCGUUCCAUAAUACAUCAUCUCACAACUAACAUCUUAGUUAUAAUGCUUGCAAGGCUUAUGUGAUGUGUCUUACCAAGAGGGCCCAGAGAUACCUCUCCGACAAUCGGAGUGACAAACCCUAAUCUCGAAAUACGCCAACCCAACAUCUACCAUUGGAGACACCUGUAGUACUCCUUUAUAAUCACCCAGUUACGUUGUGACGUUUGGUAGUACCCAAAGUGUUCCUCCGGCAAACGGGAGUUGCAUAAUCUCAUAGUCAUAGGAACAUGUAUAAGUCAUGAAGAAAGCAAUAGCAACAUACUAAACGAUCGGGGGCUAAGAUAAUGAAAUGGGUCAUGUCAAUCAGAUCAUUCAACUAAUGAUGUGACCUCGUAAAUCAAAUAACAACUCUUUGUUCAUGGUUAGGAAACAUAACCAUCUUUGAUUAACGAGCUAGUCAAGUAAAGGCAUACUAGUGACACUCUGUUUGUCUAUGUAUUCACACAUGUAUUAUGUUUCCGGUUAAUACAAUUCUAGCAUGAAUAAUAAACAUUUAUCAUGAUAUAAGGAAAUAAAUAAUAACUUUAUUAUUGCAUCUAGGGCAUAUUUCCUUCAGUCCAGUGUUCCAUGCCGGGAUUACUUUGGUACCUUCCUACCAAACUUACGGCAAGGUUUACAUCAGGUCUGGUACACAGCAUAGCAUACAAGAUAGACCCUAUGGCCGAGGCAUAGGGGACGACACUCAUAUUUUCUCUAUCUUCUACCGUGGUCGUGCAUUGAGCCGUGCUCAAUCUCGUACCUUGCAAUAUAGGCAAGAACCCCUUCUUUUACUGAUCCAUUUUGAACUUCUUCAAUAUCUUGUCAAGGUACGUACUCUGUGGAAGACCAAUGAGGCGUCUCGAUCUAUCUCUAUAGAUCUUGAUGCCUAAUAUAUAAGCAGCUUCUCCAAGAUCCUUCAUUGAAAAACACUUGUUCAAGUAGGCCUUUAUGCUUUCCCAGAAUUCUAUAUCAUUUCCCAUCAACAAUAUGUCAUCCACAUCCAAUAUGGGAAAUUCUACAAAGCUCCCACUCAGUUCUUGUAAAUGCAGGCUUCUCCAUAAGUCUGCGUAAACCCAAACGCUUUGAUCAUCUCAUCAAAAUGAAUGUUCCAACUCCGAGAUGCUUGCACCAGCCCAUAAAUCGAGCGUUGGAGCUUGUACACCUUGUCAGCAUUCUUAGGAUCGACAAAACCUUCUGGCUGCAUCAUAUACAAUUCUUCCUUAAGGAAACCAUCAAGGACUGUUGUUUUGACGUCCAUUUGCCAUAUCUCAUAAUCAUAGAAUGCGGCAAUUGCUAACAUGAUUCGGACGGACUUCAGCUUCGCUACGGGUGAGAAAGUCUCAUCAUAGUCAACCCCUUGUACUUGCCGAUAACCCUUAGCGACAAGCCGAGCUUUAUAGAUGGUCACAUUACCAUCCGCGUCUGUCUUCUUCUUAAAGAUCCAUUUAUUUUCUAUGGCUCGCCGACCAUCGGGCAAGUCAGUCAAAGUCCAUACUUUGUUUUCAUACAUGGAUCUUAUCUCGGAUUUCAUGGCUUCCAGCCAUUUCUCGGAAUCCGGGCCCGCCAUUGCUUCUUCAUAGUUCGAAGGUUCACCGUUGUCUAACAACAUGAUUUCCAAGACAGGGUUGCCGUACCACUCUGGUGCGGGACGUGUCCCCGUGGACCUACGAAGUUCAGUAGCAACUUGAUCUGAAGUUUCAUGAUCAUCAUCAUCAACUUCCUCUCUAGUCGGUGCAGGCACCUUAGGAACAUUUUCUUGAGCUGCGCCACUUACCGGUUCAAGAGGUAAUACUUCAUCAAGUUCUACUUUCCUCCCACUUAUUUCUUUCGAGAGAAACUCUUUCUCUAGAAAGGACCCAUUCUUGGCAACAAAGAUCUUGCCUUCGGAUCCGAGGUAGAAGGUAUACCCAAUAGUUUCUUUAGGGUAUCCUAUGAAGACGCAUUUUUCCGAUUUGGGUUCGAGCUUUUCAGGUUGAAGUUUCCUGACAUAAGCAUCGCAUCCCCAAAGUUUUAGAAAUGACAUCUUAGGUGUCUUCCCAAACCAUAAUUCAUACGGCGUCGUCUCAACGGAUUUCGACGUAGCCCUAUUUAAAGUGAAUGCGGCAGUCUCUAAAGCAUAGCCCCAAAAUGACAGCGGUAAAUCAGUAAGAGACAUCAUAGAUCAUACCAUAUCUAAUAGAGUGCGAUUAUGACGUUCGGACACACCAUUACGCUGAGGUGUUCCAGGCGGCGUGAGUUGUGAAACUAUUCCACAUUUUCUUAAGUGUGUGCCAAAUUCGUGACUCAAGUAUUCUCCCCCACGAUCUGAUCGCAAGAACUUGAUUUGCCUGUCAUGUUGAUUCUCAACCUCACUUUGAAAUUCCUUGAACUUUUCAAAGGUCUCAGACUUGUGUUUCAUUAAGUAGACAUACCCAUAUCUACUCAAGUCAUCAGUGAGGGUGAGAACAUAACGAUAGCCACCACGAGCCUCAACACUCAUUGGACCGCACACAUCAGUAUGUAUGAUUUCCAAUAAGUUGGUUGCUCGCUCCAUUGUUCUUGAGAAAGGAGUCUUGGUCAUUUUACCCAUGAGGCAUGGUUCGCACGUGUCAAAUGAUUCGUAAUCAAGAGACUUUAAAAGUCCAUCUGCAUGGAGCUUCUUCAUGCGUUUGACACCUAUGUGACCAAGGCGGCAAUGCCACAUGUGGGACUAUCAUUAUCAACCUUACAUCUUUUGCUAUUCACACUAUGAAUAUGUGUAACAUUAUGCUCGAGAUUCAUUAAGAAUAAACCAUUCACCAAUGGAGCAUGACCAUAAAACAUAUCUCUCAUAUAAAUAGAACAACCAUUAUUCUCGGAUUUAAAUGAGUAGCCAUCUCAAAUUAAACGAGAUCCUGAGACAAUGUUCAUGCUCAAAGCUGGCACUAAAUAACAAUUAUUGAGGUUUAAAACUAAUCCCGUAGGCAAAUGUAGAGGCAGCGUGCCGACGGCGAUCACAUCGACCUUGGAACCAUUCCCGACGCGAAUCGUCACCUCGUACUUCGCCAGUCUCCGUUUAUUCCGCAGCUCCCGCUUUGAGUUACAAAUGUGAGCAACUGCACCGGUAUCAAAUACCCAGGAGCUACUACGAGUACUGGUAAGGUACACAUCAAUUACAUGUAUAUCACAUAUACCUUUAGUGUUGCCGGCCUUCUUGUCCGCUAAGUAUUUGGGGCAGUUCUGCUUCCAGUGACCACUUCCCUUGCAAUAAAAACACUCAGUCUCGAGCUUGGGUCCAUUCUUUGGCUUCUUCCCGGCAACUUGCUUAGCGGGCGCGGCAACUCCCUUGCCGUCCUUCUUGAAUUCUUCUUACCCUUGCCUUUCUUGAACUUAGUGGUUUUAUUCACCAUCAACACUUGAUGUUCCUUUUUGAUUUCCACCUCUGCUGAUUUCAGCAUUGAAUAUACCUCAGGAAUGGUCUUUUCCGUCCCCUGCAUAUUGAAGUUGAUCACAAAGCUCUUGUAGCUUGGUGGAAGCGACUGAAUGAUUCUGUCAAUGACCGCGUCAUUCGGGAGAUUAACUCCCACCUGAGUCAAGCGGUUAUGCAACCCAGACAUUUUGAUUAUGUGCUCACUGACAGAUCUAUUUUCCUCCAUAUUACAGCUGAAGAACUUGUCGGAGACUUCAUAUCUCUCGACCCGGGCAUGAGCUUGAAAAACCAUUUUCAGCUCUUCGAACAACUCAUAUGCUCCGUGUCUCUCAAAAUGCUUUUGGAGCCCCGGUUCUAAGCUGUAAAGCAUGCCGCACUGAACGAGGGAGUAAUCAUCAGCACGUAACUGCCAAGCGUUCAUAAUGUCUUGGUUCUCUGGGACAGGUGUGUCACCUAACGGUGCUUCUAGGACAUAAUCUUUCUUGGCAGCUAUGAGGAUGAUCCUCAGGUUCUGGACCCAGUCCGUAUAGUUGCUGCCAUCGUCUUUCAGCUUGGUUUUCUCCAGGAACGCGUUGAAAUUGAGGACAACGUGGGCCAUUUGAUCUACAAGACAUAUUGUAAAGAUUUUAGACUAAGUUCAUGAUAAUUAAGUUCAUCUAAUCAAAUUAUACAAUGAACUCCCACUCAGAUAGACAUCCCUCCAGUCAUCUAAGUGAAACAUGAUCCGAGUUAACUAGGCUGUGUCGGAUCAUCACGUGAGACGGACUAGUCAACAUCGGUGAACAUCUUCAUGUUGAUCGUAUCUUCUAGACGACUCAUGCUCGACCUUUUAGUCUUCUAUGUUCCGAGGCCAUGUCUGUACAUGCUAGGCUCGUCAAGUAAACCUAAGUGUAUUGCGUGUGUAAGUCUGGCUUACACCCGUUGUAUUCGAACGUUAGAAUCUAUCACACUCGAUCAUCACGUGGUGCUUCGAAACAACGAACCUUCACAAUGGUGCACAGUUAGGGGGAACAGUUUCUUGAAAUUAUUUCGAGGGAUCAUCUUAUUGAAGCUACCGUCGUUCUAAGCAAAUAAGAUGUAAAACAUGAUAAACAUCACAUGCAAUCAAAUAGUGACAUGAUAUGGCCAAUAUCAUUUUCUCCUUUUGAUCUCCAUCUUCGGGGGUCCAUGAUCAUCAUUGUCACUGGCAUGACACCAUGAUCUCCAUCAUCAUGUCUUCUUGAAGUUGUCUCGUCAUCUAUUACUUCUACUACUAUGGCUAACGCUUUAGCAAUAAAGUAAAGUAAUUACAUGACGUUUAUGUUGACACGCAGGUCAUAAAAAAUAAAGACAACUCCUAUGGCUCCUGCCGGUUGUCAUACUCAUCGACAUGCAAGUCGUGAUUCCUAUUACAAGAACAUGAUCAAUCUCAUACAUCACAUAUAUCAUUCAUCACAUCCUUUUGGCCAUAUCACAUCACACGACACAUGCUGCAAAAACAAGUUAGACGUCCUCUAAUUGUUGUUGCAAGUUUAUACAUGGCUGCUAUAGGUUUCUAGCAAGAACGUCUCUUACCUAUGGCAAAACCACAACGUGAUAUGCCACUUUCUAUUUACCCUUCAUAAGGACCCUUUUCAUCGAAUCCGAUCUGACUAAAGUGGGAGAGACAGACACCCGCCAGCCACCUUAUGCAACUAGUGCAUGUCAAUCGGUGGAACCAGUCUCACAUAAGCGUACGUGUAAGGUCGGUCCGGGCCGCUUCAUCCCAUGAUGCCACCGAAUCAAGAUAAGACUAGUAACGGCAAGCAAAGUGACAAUAUCCACGCCCACAACUGCUUUGUGUUCUACUCGUGCAUAGAAACUACGCAUAGACCUAGCUCAUGAUGCCACUGUUGGGGAAUGUAGCAGAAUUUUAAAAUUUUCUAUGCAUCACCAAGAUCAAUCUAUGGAGUCAUCUAGCAAUGAGGGAGAGAGGAGUGCAUCUACAUACCCUUGUAGAUCGCGCGCGGAAGUGUUCAAGAGAACGGGGUUGAUGGAAUCGUACUCGUCGUGAUCCAAAUCACCGAUGACCAAGUGCCUAACGGACAGCACCUCCGCGUUCAACACACGUCCUUUUGGGAAGACGUCUCCUCCUUCUUGAUCCAGCAAGGGGGAAGGAGAGGUUGAUGAAGAUCCAGCAGCACCACGACGUGGUGGUGGAUGCAACAGGAUCCCGGCAGGGCUUCACCAAGCGGAAGCGGGGAGGAGAGGUGUUACGGAGGGAGAGAGAGGCGCCAAGAGCAAGGUUGCGGCUGCCCUCCCUCCCCCCCUCUUUAUAUAGGGGCCAUGGGGGGGCGCCGGCCCUAGGAGAUGGAUCUCCAAGGGGGGCGAAGGCCAAGGGGUGGCUCCCCCCCCCCCAAGCCAAGUGGGGGGCGCCCCCACCCCUAGGGUUUCCCAACCCUAGGCGCAGGGGAGGCCCAAGGGGGGCGGACCAGCCCACUAGCGGCUGGUUCCCCUCCCAAUUCAUCCCAUGGGGCCCUCCGGGAUGGGUGGCCCCACCCGGUGGACCCCCGGGACCCUUUCGGUGGUCCCGGUACAAUACUGGUGACCCCCGAAACCUUCCCGAUGGCCGAAACUGUACUUCCUAUAUAUAAAUCUUUACCUCCAGACCAUUCCGGAACUCCUCGUGACGCCCGGGAUCUCAUCCGGGACUCCGAACAACUUUCGGGUUACUAUAUACUAAUAUCUCUACAACCCUAGCGUCACUGAACCUUAAGUGUGUAGACCCUACGGGUUUCGGAGACAUGCAGACAUGACUGAGACGCCUCUCCAGUCAAUAACCAACAGCGGGAUCUGGAUACCCAUGUUGGCUCCCACAUGCUCCAUGAUGAUCUCAUCAGAUGAACCACGAUGUCGAGCAUUCAAUCAAUCUGUAUACAAUUCCCUUUGUCAAUCAGUACGUUACUUGCCCGAGACUCGAUCAUCGGUAUCCCAAUACCUUGUUCAAUCUUGUUACCGGCAAGUCACUUUACUCAUACCAUAAUGCAUGAUCCCGUCAUCAACCACUUGGUCACAUGAGCUCAUUAUGAUGAUGCAUUACCGAGUGGGCCCAGAGAUACCUCUCCAUCAUACGGAGUGACAAAUCCCAGUCUCGAUUCAUGCCAACCCAAUAGUCACUUUCAGAGAUACCUGUAAUGUAACUUUAUAGUCACCCAGUUACGUUGUGACGUUUGGCACACCCAAGGCACUCCUACGAUAUCUGGGAGUUUUGUUGGAAAUAUGCCCUAGAGGCAAUAAUAAAAGCAUUAUUAUUAUAUUUCCUUGUUCAUGAUAAUUGUCUUUAUUCAUGCUAUAAUUGUGUUAUCCGGAAAUCGUAAUACAUGUGUGAAUAACAGACACCAACAUGUCCCUAGUAAGCCUCUAGUUAACUAGCUCGUUGAUCAACAGAUAGUCAUGGUUUCCUGACUAUGGACAUUGGAUGUCAUUGAUAACGAGCUCACAUCAUUAGGAGAAUGAUGUGAUGGACAAGACCCAAUCAUAAACAUAGCAUAAAGAUCGUGUAGUUCGUUUGCUAGAGUUUUUCCAAUGUCAAGUAUACUUUCCUUAGACCAUGAGAUCGUGUAACUCCCGGAUACCGUAAGAGUGCUUUGGGUGUACCAAACAUCACAACGUAACUGGGUGACUAUAAAGGUAUACUACGGGUAUCUCCAAAAGUGUCUGUUGGGUUGACACGGAUCAAGACUGGGAUUUGUCACUCCGUAUGACGGAGAGGUAUCACUGGGCCCACUCAGUAAUGCAUCAUCAUAAUGAGCUCAAAGUGACCAAGUGUCUGGUCACGGGAUCAUGCAUUACGGUACGAGUAAAGUGACUUGCCGGUAACGAGAUUGAACGAGGUAUUGGGAUACCGACAAUCGAAUCUCGGGCAAGUAACAUACCGAUUGGCAAAGGGAAUUGUAUACGGGGUUGCCUGAAUCCUCGAUAUCGUGGUUCAUCCGAUGAGAUCAUCGUGGAGCAUGUGGGAGCCAACAUGGGUAUCCAGAUCCCGCUGUUGGUUAUUGACCGAAGAGUCGUCUCGGUCAUGUCUGUCUGUCUCCCGAACCCGUAGGGUCUACACACUUAAGGUUCGGUGAUGCUAGGGUUGUAGGAAUAUGUAUAUGCAGUAACCCGAAUGUUGUUCGGAGUCCCGGAUGAGAUCCCGGACGUCACGAGGAGUUCCGUAAUGGUCCGGAGGUAAAGAAUUAUAUAUGGGAAGUGCUAUUUCGGCCAUCGGGACAAGUUUUGGGGUCACCGGUAUUGUACCGGGACCACCGGAAGGGUCCCGGGGGUCCACCGGGUGGGGCCACCUAUCUCGGAGGGCCCCAUGGGCUGAAGUGGGAAGGGACCCAGCCCAAAGUGGGCUGGGGUGCCUCUCCCCUAGGGCCCAUGCGGCUAGGGUUUGGGGGAAACCCUAAAAGGGGGCGCCCCCUUGCUUGGGGGGCAAGCCCCCCACCCCUUGGCCGCCGCCCCCCCCUCCCCCUAGGAAAAUAGAUCUCCUAGGGCCGGCGCCCCCCCCCCUUGGCCCUCCUAUAUAUAGUGGGGGAGGGAGGGCUAUUCUCUCAUGCCUUUGGUUGCCUCCCUCUCCCUCUCCGACACCUCCUCCUCCUCCAUAGUGCUUGGCGAAGCCCUGACGGAGUUCUGCAGCUCCACCAUCACCACGCCGUCGGUCUGCUGCUGGAGCCAUCUUCCUCAACCUCUUCUUCCCUCUUGCUGGAUCAAGAAGAAGGAGACGUUACGCUAACCGUACGUGUGUUGAACGCGGAGGUGCCGUCCGUUCGGCGCUAGGAUCUCUGGUGAUUUGAAUCACGUCGUGUACGACUACUUCAUCCACGUUCUUUGAACGCUUCCGCUCGCGAUCUACAAAGGUAUGUAGAUGCAUCCGAUGACUCGUUGCUAGAUGAACUCAUAGAUAGAUCUUGGUGAAACCGUAGGAAAUUUUUUGUUUUCUGCAACGUUCCCCAACAGUGGUAUCAGAGCUAGGUCUAUGCGUAGUUCUUCUUGCGCGAGUAGAACACAAUUUGUUGUGGGCGUAGAUGUUGUCAACUUUCUUGCCGCUACUAGUCUUAUCUUGCUUCGACGGUAUUGUGGGAUGAAGCGGCCCGGACCAACCUUACACGUAUGCUCACGUGAGACAGGUUCCACCGACAAACAUGCACUAGUUGCAUAAGGUGGCUAGCGGGUGCCUGUCUCUCCUACUUUAGUUGGAGCGGAUUCGAUGAGAAGGGUCCUUAUGAAGGGUAAAUAGAAGUUGAAAAAUCACGUUGUGGCUUUCACGUAGGUUAGAAAACGUUCUUGCUAGAACCCUACUUCAGCCACGUAAAACUUGCAACAACAAUUAGAGGAUGUCUAACUUGUUUUUGCAGCAAGUGCUUUGUGAUAUGAUAUGGCCAAAGUUGUGAUGAAUAAUACAUAUGUGAUGUAUGAGAUGUUCGUGCUAUUGUAAUAGGAAUCACGACUUGCAUGUCGAUGAGUAUGACAACCGGCAGGAGCCAUAGGAGUUGUCUUUAUUCUUUUAUAUGACCUGCGUGUCAUUGAGAAACGCCAUGUAAAUUACUUUACUUUAUUGCUAAACACGUUAGCCUUAGUAGUAGAAGUAAUAGUUGGCGAGCAACUUCAUGGAGACACGAUGAUGGAGAUCAUGAUGAUGGAGAUCAUGGUGUCAUGCCGGUGACAAGAUGAUCAUGGAGCUCCAAGAUGGAGAUCAAAGGAGCUAUGUGAUAUUGGCCAUAUCAUGUCACUAUUAUUAUUUGAUUGCAUUUGAUGUUUAUCAUGUUUUGCAUCUUGUUUACUUAGAACGACGGUAGUGAAUAAGAUGAUCCCUCAUAAUAAUUUCAAGCAAGUGUUCCCCCUAACUGUGCACCGUUGCGACAGUUCAUUGCUUCAAUGCACCACGUGAUGAUCGGGUGUUUGAUUCAAACGUUCACAUACAACGGGUGUAAGACAGAUUUACACAUGCAAACACUUAGGUUGACUUGACGAGCCUAGCAUGUGUAUAGACAUGGCCUCGGAACACAGAAGACCAAAAGGUCGAGCAUGAGUCGUAUAGAAGAUACGAUCAACAUGAAGAUGUUCAUCGAUGUUGACUAGUCCGUCUCACGUGAUGAUCGGACACGGCCUAGUUGACUCGGAUCAUGUUAUACUUAGAUGACUAGAAGAGGGAUGUCUAUCUAAGUGGGAGUUCAUUCAAUAAUUUGAUUAGAUGAACUUAAUUAUCAUGAACUUAGUCUAAAAUCUUUGCAAUAUGUCUUGUAGAUCAAAUGGCCAACGUAGUCCUCAACUUCAACGCGUUCCUAGAGAAAACCAAACUGAAAGAUGAUGGCAGUAACUAUACGGAAUGGGUCUGGAACCUGAGGAUUAUCCUCAUAGCUGCCAAGAAAGAUUAUGUCCUACAAGCACCGCUAGGUGAAGCUCCCGUCCCAUGGAACCAAGAUGUUAUGAACGCUUGGCAGACACGUGCUGAUGACUACUCCCUCGUUCAGUGCGGCAUGCUUUACAGUUUAGAGCCGGGGCUCCAAAAGCGUUUUGAGAGACAUAGAGCAUAUGAGAUGUUCGAAGAGCUGAAAAUGGUGUUUCAAGCUCAUGCCCGGGUCGAGAGAUAUGAGGUCUCCGACAAAUUCUUCAGUUGUAAGAUGGAGGAAAAUAGUUCUGUCAGUGAGCACAUACUCACUAUGUCUGGGUUACAUAAUCGCUUGACUCAGCUGGGAGUUAAUCUCCUGGAUGAUGCGGUCAUUGACAGAAUCCUCCAGUCGCUUCCACCAAGCUACAAGAGCUUUGUGAUGAACUUCAAUAUGCAGGGGAUGGAAAAGACCAUUCCUGAGGUAUUUACAAUGCUGAAAUCAGCAGAGGUAGAAGUCAAGAAGGAACAUCAAGUGUUGAUGGUCAAUAAAACCACUAAGUUCAAGAAGGGCAAGGGUAAAAAGAACUUCAAGAAGGACGGCAAGGGAGUUGCCGCGCCCGGCAAGCAAGCUGCCGGGAAGAAGCCAAAGAAUGGUCCCAAGCCCGAGACUGAGUGCUUUUAUUAUAAGGGAAGCGGUCACUGGAAGCGGAACUGCCCCAAAUACUUAGCGGACAAGAAGGCCGGCAAAACAAAAGGUAUAUGUGAUAUACAUGUAAUUGAUGUGUACCUUACCAGUACCCGUAGUAGCUCCUGGGUAUUUGAUACUGGUGUAGUUGCUCACAUUUGUAACUCAAAGCAGGGGCUGCGGAAUAAGCGGAGACUGGCGAAGGACGAGGUGACGAUGCGCGUCGGGAAUGGUUCCAAGGUCAAUGUAAUCGCCGUCGGCACGUUACCUCUAUAUUUACCUUCGGGAUUAGUUGUAAACCUUAAUAAUUGUUAUUUAGUACCAGCUUUGAGCAUGAACAUUGUAUUGGGAUCUCGUUUAAUUCAAGAUGGCUACUCAUUUAAAUCCGAGAAUAAUGGUUGUUCUAUUUAUAUGAGAGAUAUGUUUUAUGGUCAUGCUCCUAUGGUGAAUGGUUUAUUCUUAAUGAAUCUCGAGCGUAAUGCUACACAUAUUCAUAGUGUGAGUACCAAAAGAUGUAAGGUUGAUAAUGAUAGUCCCACAUACUUGUGGCACUGCCGCCUUGGUCACAUAGGUGUCAAACGCAUGAAGAAGCUCCAUGCAGAUGGACUUUUAGAGUCUCUUGAUUAUGAAUCAUUUGACACGUGCGAACCAUGCCUCGUGGGUAAAAUGACCAAGACUCCGUUCUCAGGAACAAUGGAGCGAGCAACCAACUUAUUGGAAAUCAUACAUACUGAUGUGUGCGGUCCAAUGAGCGUUGAGGCUCGCGGUGGCUAUCGUUAUGUUCUCACCCUCACUGAUGACUUGAGUAGAUAUGGGUAUGUCUACUUAAUGAAACACAAGUCUGAAACCUUUGAAAAGUUCAAGGAAUUUCAGAGUGAGGUUGAGAAUCAACGUGACAGGAAAAUCAAGGUUCUACGAUCAGAUCAUGGAUGCGAAUACUUGAGUCACGAAUUUGGCACACACUUAAGAAAAUGUGGAAUAGUUUCACAACUCACGCCGCCUGGAACACCUCAGCGUAACGGUGUGUCCGAACGUCGUAAUCGCACUCUAUUAGAUAUGGUACGAUCUAUGAUGUCUCUUACCGAUUUACCACUAUCUUUUUGGGGCUAUGCUUUAGAGACUGCCGCAUUCACUUUAAAUAGGGCUCCGUCGAAAUCCGUUGAGACGACACCGUUUGAAUUAUGGUUUGGGAAGAAACCUAAGCUGUCGUUUCUAAAAGUUUGGGGAUGCGAUGCUUAUGUCAAGAAACUUCAACCUGAAAAGCUCGAACCCAAGUCGGAAAAAUGCGUCUUCAUAGGAUACCCUAAAGAAACUGUUGGGUAUACCUUCUACCUCAGAUCCGAAGGCAAGAUUUUUGUUGCCAGGAAUGGAUGCUUUCUAGAGAAGGAGUUUCUCUCGAAAGAAGUAAGUGGGAGGAAAGUAGAACUUGAUGAAGUGUUACCUCUUGAACCGGAAAAUGGCGCAACUCAAGAAAAUGUUCAUGAGGUGCCUGCACCGACUAGAGAGGAGGUUAAUGAUGAUGAUCAUGAAACUUCUGAUCAAGUUGCUACUGAACUUCGAAGGUCCAUAAGGACACGUUCCGCACCAGAGUGGUACGGCAACCCUGUCUUGGAAAUCAUGUUGUUAGGCAACGGUGAACCUUCGAACUAUGAAGAAGCGAUGGCGGGCCCGGAUUCCGACAAAUGGCUAGAAGCCAUGAAAUCCGAGAUAGGAUCCAUGUAUGAAAAUGAAGUAUGGACUUUGACUGACUUGCCCGUUGAACGGCGAGCCAUAGAAAAUAAAUGGAUCUUUAAGAAGAAGACAGACGCGGAUGGUAAUGUGACCAUCUAUAAAGCUCGGCUUGUCGCUAAGGGUUAUCGACAAGUUCAAGGGGUUGACUACGAUGAGACUUUCUCACCGGUAGCGAAGCUGAAGUCCGUCCGAAUCAUGUUAGCAUUUGCCGCAUUCUACGAUUAUGAGAUAUGGCAAAUGGAUGUCAAAACGGCAUUAAUUAAUGGUUUCCUUAAGGAAGAAUUGUAUAUGAUGCAGCCGGAAGGUUUUGUCGAUCCUAAGAAUGCUGACAAGGUGUGCAAGCUCCAACGCUCGAUUUAUGGGCUGGUGCAAGCAUCUCGGAGUUGGAACAUUCGCUUUGAUGAGAUGAUCAAAGUGUUUGGGUUUACUCAGACUUAUGGAGAGGCCUGCGUUUACAAGAAAGUGAGUGGGAGCUCUGUAGCAUUUCUCAUAUUAUAUGUAGAUGACAUACUUUUGAUGGGAAAUGAUAUAGAACUCUUGGACAGCAUCAAGGCCUACUUGAAUAAGAGUUUUUCAAUGAAGGACCUUGGAGAAGCUGCUUAUAUAUUAGGCAUCCAGAUCUAUAGAGAUAGAUCAAGAUGCCUCAUAGGUCUUUCACAAAGCACAUACCUUGAUAAGAUAUUGAAGAAGUUCAAUAUGGAUCAAUCUAAGAAGGGGUUCUUGCCUGUGUUACAAGGUAUGAAAUUGAGCUCAGCUCAAUGUCCGACCAUGGCAGAAGAUAUAGAAGAGAUGAGUGUCAUCCCCUAUGCCUCAGCCAUAGGUUCUAUUAUGUAUGCCAUGCUGUAUACCAGACCUGAUGUAAACCUUGCCGUAAGUUUGGUAGGAAGGUACCAAAGUAAUCCCGGCAAGGAACACUGGACAGCGGUCAAGAAUAUCCUGAAGUACCUAAAAAGGACUAAGGAAAUGUUUCUCGUUUAUGGAGGUGACGAAGAGCUCGUCGUAAAGGGUUACGUCAACGCUAGCUUCGACACAGAUCUGGAUGACUCUAAGUCACAAACCGGAUACGUGUAUAUUUUGAAUGGUGGGGCAGUAAGCUGGUGCAGUUGCAAGCAGAGCGUCGUGGCGGGAUCUACAUGUGAAGCGGAGUACAUGGCAGCCUCGGAGGCAGCACAUGAAGCAAUUUGGGUGAAGGAGUUCAUCACCGACCUAGGAGUCAUACCCAAUGCGUCGGGGCUGAUCAAGCUCUUCUUUGACAACACUGGAGCUAUUGCACUUGCCAAGGAGCCCAGGUUUCACAAGAAGACAAGGCACAUCAAGCGUCGCUUCAACUCCAUUCGUGAAAAUGUUCAAGAUGGAGACAUAGAUAUUUGUGAAGUACAUACGGACCUGAAUGUAGCAGAUCCGUUGACUAAACCUCUCCCUAGAGCAAAACAUGAUCAACACCAGAAUUCCAUGGGUGUUCGAUUCAUCACAAUGUAACUAGAUUAUUGACUCUAGUGCAAGUGGGAGACUGUUGGAAAUAUGCCCUAGAGGCAAUAAUAAAAGCAUUGUUAUUAUAUUUCCUUGUUCAUGAUAAUUGUCUUUAUUCAUGCUAUAAUUGUGUUAUCCGGAAAUCGUAAUACAUGUGUGAAUAACAGACACCAACAUGUCCCUAGUAAGCCUCUAGUUAACUAGUUCGUUGAUCAACAGAUAGUCAUGGUUUCUUGACUAUGGACAUUGGAUGUCAUUGAUAACGAGAUCACAUCAUUAGGAGAAUGAUGUGAUGGACAAGACCCAAUCAUAAACAUAGCAUAAAGAUCGUGUAGUUCGUUUGCUAGAGUUUUUCCAAUGUCAAGUAUCCUUUCCUUAGACCAUGAGAUCGUGUAACUCCCGGAUACCGUAAGAGUGCUUUGGGUGUACCAAACGUCACAACGUAACUGGGUGACUAUAAAGGUAUACUACGGGUAUCUCCGAAAGUGUCUGUUGGGUUGACACGGAUCUAGACUGGGAUUUGUCACUCCGUAUGACGGAGAGGUAUCACUGGGCCCACUCGGUAAUGCAUCAUCAUAAUGAGCUCAAAGUGACCAAGUGUCUGGUCACGGGAUCAUGCAUUACGGUACGAGUAAAGUGACUUGCCGGUAACGAGAUUGAAUGAGGUAUUGGGAUAACGACGAUCGAAUCUCGGGCAAGUAACAUAUCGAUUGGCAAAGGGAAUUGUAUACGGGGUUGCUUGAAUCCUCGACAUCGUGGUUCAUCCAAUGAGAUCAUCGUGGAGCAUGUGGGAGCCAACAUGGGUAUCCAGAUCCCGUUGUUGGUUAUUGACCGGAGAGUCGUCUCGGUUAUGUCUGCCUGUCUCCCGAACCCGUAGGGUCUACACACUUAAGGUUCAGUGACGCUAGGGUUGUAGGAAUAUGUAUAUGCAGUAACCCGAAUGUUGUUCGGAGUCCCGGAUGAGAUCCCGGACGUCACGAGGAGUUCCGGAAUGGUCCGGAGGUAAAGAAUUAUAUAUGGGAAGUGGUAUUUCGGCCAUCGGGACAAGUUUCGGGGUCACCGGUAUUGUACCGGGACCACCGGAAGGGUCCCGGGGGUCCACCGGGUGGGGCCACCUAUCCCGGAGGGCCCCUUGGGCUGAAGUGGGAAGGGACCCAGCCCAAAGUGGGCUGGGGCGCCUCUCCCCUAGGGCCCAUGCGGCUAGGGUUUGGGGGAAACCCUAAAAGGGGGCGCCCCCUUGCUUGGGGGGCAAGCCCCCCACCCCUUGGCCGCCGCCGCCCCCCCCCCCUAGGAGAAUAGAUCUCCUAGGGCCGGCGCCCCCCCCCUUGGCCCUCCUAUAUAUAGUGGGGGAGGGAGGGCUAUUCUCUCACGCCUUUGGUUGCCUCCCUCUCCCUCUCCAACACCUCCUCCUCCUCCAUAGUGCUUGGCGAAGCCCUGACGGAGUUCUGCAGCUCCACCAUCACCACGCCGUCGUGCUGCUGCUGGAGCCAUCUUCCUCAACCUCUUCUUCCCUCUUGCUGGAUCAAGAAGAAGGAGACGUUACGCUAACCGUACGUGUGUUGAACGCGGAGGUGCCGUCCGUUCGGCGCUAGGAUCUCCGGUGAUUUGAAUCACGUCGUGUACGACUACUUCAUCCACGUUCUUUGAACACUUCCGCUCGCGAUCUACAAAGGUAUGUAGAUGCAUCCGAUGACUCGUUGCUAGAUGAACUCAUAGAUAGAUCUUGGGGAAACUGUAGGAAAAUUUUCUGCAACGUUCCCCAACAAGUUUCACAAUCUCAUGGUCUAAGGAAAUGAUACUUGACAUUCGGAAAAGCUACAGCAGAUGAACUACACGACCUUUGAGCUAUGCUUAGGAUUGGGUCUUGUCCAUCACAUCAUUCUCCUAAUGAUGUGAUACCGUUAUGAAUGACAUCCAAUGUCCAUAGUCAGGAAACCAUGACUAUCUUUUGAUCAACAAGCUAGUCAACUAGAGGCUCACUAGGGACGUGUUGUGGUCUAUGUAUUCACACAUGUAUUACGAUUUCCGGAUAACACAAUUAUAGCAUGAACAAUAGACAAUUAUCAUGAACAAAGAAAUAUAAUAAUAACCAUUUUAUUAUUGCCUCUAGGGCAUAUUUCCAACACCUACGUACCCCCAAACGAUCAUAUACGGAGCCAAAACCCUAAUUCCACCGCCGCAACUUUCUGUAUCCACGAGAUCCCAUCUUGGGGCCUGUUCCGGAGCUCCGCCAGAGGGGGCAUCGAUCACGGAGGGCUUCUACAUCAACACCAUAGCCUCUCCGAUGAAGUGUGAGUAGUUCACCUCAGACCUACGGUUCCAUAGUUAUUAGCUAGAUGGCUUCUUCUCUCUUUUUGGAUCUCAAUACAAUGUUCUCCCCCUCUCUUGUGGAGAACUAUUCGAUGUAAUCUUCUUUUUGCGGUGUGUUUGUUGAGACCGAUGAAUUGUGGGUUUAUGAUCAAGUCUAUCUAUGAAUAAUAUUUGAAUCUUCUCUGAAUUCUUUUAUGUAUGAUAGGUUAUCUUUGAAAGUCUUUUCGAAUUAUCAGUUUGGUUUGGCCUACUAGAUUGAUCUUUCUUGCAAUGGGAGAAGUGCUUAGCUUUGGGUUCAAUCUUGCGGUGUCCUUUCCCAGUGACAGUAGGGGCAGCAUGGCACGUAUUAUAUUGUUGCCAUCGAGGACAACAAGAUGGAGUUUUCAUCAUAUUGCAUGAGUCUAUCCCUCUACAUCAUGUCAUCUUGCUUAAGGCCUUAAUCUGUUUUUAACUUAAUACUCUAGAUGCUUGCUGGAUAGCGGUCGAUUAGUGGAGUAAUAGUAGUAGAUGCAGGCAGGAGUCGGUCUACUUGUCUCGGACAUGAUGCCUAUAUAUAUGAUCAUACCUAGAUAUUCUCAAAACUAUGCUCAAUUCUGUCAAUUGCUCAACAAUAAUUUGUUCACCCACCGUAGAAUACUUAUGCUCUCGAGAGAAGCCACUAGUGAAACCUAUGGCCCCCGGGUCUAUCUUUAUCAUAUUAAUCUCCUACUACUUAGUUAUUUCCUUUGCUUUUUACUUUGCCUUUAUUUUACUUCGCAUCUUUAUCACAAAAAUACGAAAAAAAUUAUCUUUAUCAUAUCUAUCAAAUCUCACCCUCGUAAGUGGCCGUUUAGGGAUUGACAACCCCUAUUCGCGUCGGUUGUGAGGAUUUAUUUGUUUUGUGCAGGUACAAGGGACUCGCGCGUAGCCUCCUACUGGAUUGAUACCUUGGUUCUCAAAACCUAUUUGAUUGCCGUAGCACGAUCGCGCUUCCUCGGGCGCUAUUGUCUCAAAAAUACCGUCGUCCAUCUCCGUGACCUCCAGUCUACUACUCAUGAGCUGGUUUGGGCGCCGUGGCCUCUUUGCUUUCGGUUCUAGACCAGCUCCGCUAGUCUCGGCGCCUGUCUCAGUCUCAUCGCCGAUCUGCAUGUCGGUAUCAGUCCCCGAUGCGACAUCACAGUUGCUGCAACAUGGGAAAGGGAGACCACGUCAGUGCUGGGGGGUCUGAAAAUCGGAACACACUUUCGCGCGUUGCGGGCCGCCUCUCAGACAGCUACUGGGGAGGCGGCGGAGUACCUGGGUGCGCGGCGAAUCCCCGGGAACUCGGUGACCAACUUCCUUCCCGUGUGGCGCAUGGAGACGACGGCGACCCCGGCGAAGAGCAGCUUAGCCGCGAGCUGCACAGCCUCGUCCACCUCCUAAGUUGGGACCUCCGUGCGAGCGUUGCGGGGCCGCCACUCGGAUGGCUUCUGGAAGGCGGUUGUACAUGGGCACAUGGUGAAUCCCGGCGAGAGCUUGCCAUUGGCGCGCUCAAGUAGACGACGACGUCCUCGACGAAGAGCAGCCCGGCCAGCUCGCCUCACUAUCGUUUGAUUAGAAAUGAAAGAUUGGGAAGAAGCAGACUUGAGCCUGCAGGGAAAGGAUAAGGUGACGAUGCAGUCUCCACUCGUUCGGGGCGACACUCGUACUGAAUGUAUGAGAAAUCUGACGUGGCAGAGACCCCAAGAUACUCCCUCCAUUUAUUUUUAGUCUGCAUAUAAAGUUUGGUCAAAGUCAAGAUUUGUAAAUUUUAACUAACUUUAUAAUAAAAAAAUAUCAACAUUCACAAUAUGAAAUCAAUAUUACCAGAUGCGUCAUGAAAUGUAUUUCCAUACUAUAUAGUUUUGGUAUUGUAGAUGUUCAUAUUUUUUUAUAUAUAUGGGAAGUAGAGGCACUCUUCUAUACUAUAUUCAGAUGUAUGAUAUCUGUUAUUUAAGCGCUUGAAUUUUACAUACGAAUAUUUAUUAUUAAAUAUGUACCCCUACAAUAGCUAGGCCGUGCAGUUGCACGGGUAGAUGACUAGUGAUUACAAUCUUGUUUGUGUGCAAGUCAAGCUUAUCUAGUUUACACGUAACAACUUGUAGAACAUUACAAAAUUUAUGCUUGCUAAUAACUUUUAGAACACUACAACACUUGACAUGUAAAAGGAAUUUGACUGAGUCAUGGCCUACUAAAGCAAGUUACAUUACUAGUCUUAUCUAUCUUAACAGACCACACAAGAUUACAAACUAAGUACCGUGACAGCCAUGCUUAUCUAGUUUAUGCGUAACAAUUUGCAGAAAAUUACAAACUUAGUUUCAGAAAGAUAGGCAAUCUAGAUUAGUGUUUGAGCUGUAAAGUGAAUAAGAUGAGUCAUGCAUGUUAUCACACCUUUUUGGUGGUCGAAUGAUAGUGCAACAACAAGGAACUUUAAUGACCAGUCCAAGAAUACACUUGUAAGUAGUGCCACCAAACAGAACAUACCAAAUGAUCAUUCCAUGGCAGCUAUAAAUAGCCCCAUAGCAUGACGAUCAUCCUUCCUCAUCCAUCAUUCUCAUAAGUAGAGCACAUCAUUUAAGCCAAGCAAGUUGUGGUCAAUACAAAUCCACCAUGAAGACCUUUCUCAUCCUUGCCCUCCUUGCUAUCGUGGCGACCACCGCCACAACCGCAGUUAGAGUUCCAGUGCCACAAUUGCAGCCACAAAAUCCAUCUCAGCAACAGCCACAAGAGCAAGUUCCAUUGGUACAACAACAACAAUUUCUAGGGCAGCAACAAACAUUUCCACCACAACAACCAUAUCCACAGCUGCAACCAUUUCCAUCACAACAACCAUAUCUACAGCUGCAACCAUUUCCGCAGCCGCAACUACCAUAUUCGCAGCCACAACCAUUUCGACCACAACAACCAUAUCCACAACCGCAACCACAGUAUUCGCAACCACAACAACCAAUUUCACAGCAUCAACAGCAGCAGCAGCAACAACAACAACAACAACAACAACAACAAAUCCUUCAACAAAUUUUGCAACAACAACUGAUUCCAUGCAUGGAUGUUGUAUUGCAGCAACACAACAUAGCGCAAGGAAGAUCACAAGUUUUGCAACAAAGUACUUACCAGCUGUUGCAAGAAUUGUGUUGUCAGCACCUAUGGCAGAUCCCUGAGCAGUCGCAGUGCCAGGCCAUCCACAAUGUUGUUCAUGCUAUUAUUCUGCAUCAACAACAACAAAAACAACAACAACAACAACAACAACAACCAUCGAGCCAGGUCUCCUUCCAACAGCCUCAGCAACAAUAUCCAUUAGGCUAGGGCUCCUUCCGGCCAUCUCAGCAAAACCCACAGGCCCAGGGCUCUGUCCAGCCUCAACAACUGCCCCAGUUCGAGGAAAUAAGGAACCUAGCGCUACAGACACUACCUGCAAUUUGCAAUGUCUACAUCCCUCCAUAUUGCACCAUCGCGCCAUUUGGCAUCUUCGGUACUAACUGAGAAGAAAAUAACUCUAGUACUAGAUAUAUGAAACACCGUUUUCUCAGUCCAUGGUUUGGUCGUUGUAGCGGUGAAAAAAUAAUGUGGCAUGCACUAUCAUGUAAGAACCCAAACUAUACUAGUUCAAACUUGGGAAUAAAAGACAAACACAGGUCUUGUCUACAUAUUUAUGUUGCAUCUAUUUAUAUAUUAAAAGUAAUAUAAGGUGAACCAGGAGCAAGGUAAAUAUGCUAGAAAAUUGCACGUUAAUUAGAAAUUACUAGCCCUCAAUCUGGUAAAUCUUAACAAAUAGAAUUAUCUUGACCGUUAGAUUUAUGUAACAUAUAUAAUGCUCUGGGCCUCCAACGACUGUACGUGACACAUCUGAACGCACAUAUCUUAAAGAAAAUAUAUUUGGUAAAUGGUGGGCCUCUUUAAAAAGAGAACUCACGUACAUGCACCAACUAAGAAAAACACAUACAUGUAAACGGGAAAAGGAUGAGAUUUUCUCACGUACGUGCUCCCUGGCUCCACCCCGUUGAAAAAAUAUACAUCUGGAGGCCACUUUGUUUCCUCAUCAAAAAAAAACUUACGUUAAAAAGAUUGCAUGCAUCCCAGGGAAAAUAGUCAAGAAGAAGUCGGCUCUUCCUUACAAAAACAAGGAACGUGUUAAGUUGACUUCAAAGAAAAAAGGAACAUGUUAAGUUAAAAAAAACAAGAAACCUGUUAAGUUAGAAAAAAACAAGGAACGUGUUGUCCUAGGAAAGAUAUGUGUCAAAUCUUACAAAAAAAAAGAAUACACACACGUACGUUCAUGCACUUGGAAAAUAGAAAAAAAAGGAACAUCACGUAUGUAUACACUUCGGAAACUCAUUACAUGACCAUGUCUGAUAUACUCCUCUAAUGCUUAAUAUUAGUGCCUAAUAAUUUAUAUUUAAAAUUUAAUUUACUGAUCAAAUAUCCCCACUGUAUAAAUUUUAAUUUGGCACAUUGUUUGGCUAUAGUAUGAACCUAAAUUUCCUCUUAUUAUUAUAUAUCAUGGUAAUAAUCCAAAGGCGACUAAUCUGCGCCGGCGCACCGGCGCAAUCAAUUCGGCCCGACACAGCGCGGCCGUUUGAUUAGAUUGCAUUUAACCGUCAGAUCUGGAAUCAUUUUAUUUCCAAUUAAACGGAUUCAACCAAACAGCAGAGAGGAAAACAAAGCAGCGCCGCCGCCAACACUAGCCAUGGACGACCGAUGUAGCAAAACCUUGAAGAACCGCCGCCGGUCGCCACCCUUGCCGCUGGUCGCCGCCCUCGCCGCCUGUGUUUCUCAUCGGCUUCAUGCAUGCAACAACAUGCACUCGUGAUUGCAGGCUUGCAGCUCCGGCUCUGGGGGACAUGGCCGCAUCUCCAGUAGCGCCGGCCGCCGGCCGCAGCACCUGUCGUUGUGGUCACGCUGUACCUCGCCGUGUGCCCUCCCAAGGAUCUUGCUGGUUCCAACAAAAAACGAUACCUGUUGUAGCAAAAAAGUUUAUCGCUUCCAGCAAAAAAGCUUACCGCUACAGCCCGCCAUCAUCAUUGUAGCAAAAAUGUUAACUCGAUGUAGCUUCUGUGGUUGCCGACUGCAGCCAAAAAUGACGUGGUUGUAGCAAAACACAAAAGAAAAACUCCGGCCGUCCGCUGUGUAUGGUGGUAACAAACCCUAUAGCCGGUGGUAGCGAAAAACUUCAUUGUUUGCAGCAAAAAAAUGUUGUCGCCCAUCGUCGAGGUUGCAUCAUCUUCAUGAAUUAUGUCGCAAAAAAACGUUGUCGCCGGUAGUAGCAAAUGAAGCCGCCGGUAGAAACAAAACAAGACACUGGUUCCAGCCAAAAAAAAAUCAGCGACAGAACCUUUUGUUGGUUCCAACAAAAAAACUUGUCGGUUGUAGCAUCCCUCGCCGCCGGAUGUAGCAUCUCCCAGGGCUGGUUGCAACACUCCAUAAAAAAAGGUUGUCUACGAGCGCAUCCAUGGCAACUGCUGCACCGUCAGCAACGAGGGGAAGAGGAGGCAAUGAAAAUCGUUCGAGUCGUAGCUCCACAGGACGCGGGUGCAGCAUAGGGAGUCCAAAAAUCUGUCACAAGCAAGAUGCGCCUUGCCAUCCUCCUGCGCAGGAGAGAGAAGAAAAAGGAAUAAGAGGAAGAAGAAAGGAAACGGGAGAAAGAAAAAAAGAAACGAUUGGUUGUGGGCUCAGGCAAUUAGUCAAACGAGGGGCACGCGGGGCCGCAGGAUACAGCGCAAUCGAACGAAGUGCGCGCGUCUGGCCGAAGACUCAGCUGGACUGCCGGCUGGAAAUGUUUCCCUAAUACAAAGGCUUUUCUGAAUGACAAGUCGUCUGAGUUAUCGGCUAACUAGAAAAAAGAUAAAUAUGCUAGAUAAUUCCAUAAUCAUUAGAAAUAUCUAGCCUUUAAUUAUGUAAAUCAGAAAAUCACAACCGUUGGAUUUACUUUAAAGGUAAAUUUCUCUAAAUUCCCACCAUUGCCAGUAUGUAGAAACAUGUGCUGCUUCAAUUCUCCCUUAAUCACCAAUCAAUCAACAACAGAAAACAUACCGCAGUUCAAAAAACUGAACAAAAAAAAGAAAAAAAGAAGAAAGGACAAGAUACACGCAUGUACACGACAGCCUUGGCUUGAAACACAUCAGUAAAUCAAGUGUCCACCUCCCUUACACAGAAUAAAUUCUAGGGAAGAAAAUAAUAGUGCAACCUAACCUUAUACGUACUAUUCUAUCCUCACGUCCCAUGAGGUUUACUAGCCUACUGCCGCCGCAUCAUGCCAUCCUCUCCUUUCAGCUCCCAUGCUCUCCAGCACCCUCCUUGCGGCGCCACUACUCGCCUAGGGAUAUUGCUGCUCAGACCGUGGAGCUUAACCUGCUUCUUCUUCAGCAAAUAUGGAACUGCUUUAGGAUCCUUCUGACAUCAGCGCGUAUGGGCCUCAUUAUACUGCAGCUCCUGGACCUCCUACAAUUGGUUGGCUAUGGCCAGUUGAUCGAUUUGCUGAUGUCCAGGUCUGUUUGCUGGCACAUAUGCUUUGGAAAUAGGCCACUAUGUUUGUACUUCAAAAUUGUUUCUGUAUUCUUUAGUGGUACAUCCUUUUAAGCGCCAGUUUUUUAUGUUAAUUCAUGCUGACAACACUUAACCUAGCCUUUCAUGUUCACGUACUAAAUACAGGAGCAAGUAAAAACAACAGACCACCUAAUUGCUCUGCAAGUUCUACAUAGGAAAAUUUGUCAUGUUCUACGAUCGCACUAUCCCACCCUUCUCUCUUGGUAUGGGCGCCAAUUGAGGGAUUGAUAAAAUUGAAACGAAGCCGUCACAGGGCUGGAAGUACCGCUAGCCUGGUUCGCACUGCAACCUACCCAACGCCAUCAGAAACUAGCAACUGAGUCAGGUGUUGAUCGAUUCUCUCAAAUUGCUCUCAUGUAAGUACUACCCCUUGCAUGUGCGUACAUACCUUUGUUGCAUUCUCAAACAGAUAGAACAUGUAUGAUCGGUGCAUGGCUAUUUUUCAUCACAUGACAUCCAGAUAACAAGCAUGAAAGGACUACAUUGGAGAUCAAAAAAUAUUGGUUCCUGGCUAGAGUACCACUACCUAUGGACUUGUCUCCAUAGAAUUUGUUCCCAAGAUGUUAUUUUAAUUAACCUCUUUAGCUUUCUUCCAUUGCAAACGGUGAUGUGCAUCUUGGUAUAUACGUGACCAUCUUGCACAUGUAUACACAAGAGGCUCAGACGGAGGUGUUGGAUUCUGGACGAGGGAAUAUAAAGCAGGAGUGAGCGAAGUGUAAAUAAUGGUGGGAGUACCGAUUGGUGUUAUGAAGAAAAAUGCCAUCAAAAGAUUGAUUAGUGUCAUGGAAGAUUAAUUUCUGAAUGCGAAUAUAUAUGUUACAUUGGUUUGGAUCUUUUUGAGAUAAUUGCACCUAAAUUAGGUUCUUUCUUAUUUCAUAUGUAUACCUUAUUUCAGUAAAAGUUCACAACGAACUUAGUAGGACAAAUAUAAUUUUGUUUGUUCUUUCUGUUGUCCGCCACCAAAGCUCAAUUUGAACUCUCUAGAAAUGGACAAUGAUUUAUGCAUUCUAUAUCUUCUUGAUUGAUUAGCCAUGACAAGGAAAUAAAAGGAUUGACUGAUAUAGCAUAACUUUGGAACGAUUAGAGGUUACUACAAAUAAGAGUAGUGUCUGUUGGAAUUUUGCUAGUAGGCCUUUGGCCCAAAGCCCAACUAAAAUUCUGAAAUUCUCUUGGCUCAUUUAUACACACAUGUGAGUUGAGUGAGUGAGACUAAAGUUUAGUCCCACCCCGGAAGUUGAGAGAGAGUUGCACCUCUUUAUAAGGUGAGCUCUUCUACCACUUGUAUGAGCAUGAGAAGAGGAGACCUACACGCGCGCUCCUCCUCCACGCUCGCCACGCCUCGUCGCGCCGCGCCGUGCCGCGGGUUGCGGGAUUGAGCCGAGCCGAGGACGUUUUCUAUAUUUUUGCUGCUCGGGAAAAAUUAAUGAGUCAUUAAUUAAUAAUUAAUGGACACAUUAAUUACUGAACCGUUUCCGAUUUUUUUGGAUCGUGACGACUCGGACGUGGGGUUUACUCCCAGGACCUACCCGGCCCGCACUAUAUAGUCAGGAAGAUGUCUACCCUAGCCGCCGCCGCUUCGUAUGGUUUCUCACCAUCGUUACAGAUCAUUGCGCCGCCAAGCAAGUUUUCUCCAUCCCUCCUUUCGGCGUGCACCGGGAGAAGGGACAGCAGACCUCCGGAACCCCGCCUCUCGUGAUCCUAUACGGGAGAGGGGCGAUCAGGUUUUUGGGGAGCGCACUCGCAUGACUGCUUGCAGCGACGACUUCGCAAACGACGACUUCUUCCCCGACCUCGGCAACCUCAUCCUCGACGACAUGGGCGACAACGUCAACGCCGGCGAUGCUACACCCACUGCACCGUAUGUUAUUCUCUCCUUCUUGUUCGAGAUCGUGGUAGAAUUCAUGUUUCUAGUAUAUGUGCCCUAGAUGUGAUCUGUUCAUCUACUAUGGUAGUUCGCAUGAUUAGUUUAAUCUCUGCUAUUGCUGUCAUGAUCUAUUUCCUAUUUAUUCGGAUUAAAUCUCUUUGUAAUUUGCUCAUUUUUCCAACAAUCCAAAAACCUGAUUAUAGGAAAUUUACUCCGAGUGGUUUUGCUGCGCAUCUGAAAGCCGCUUGCCUUUAAGGGGGCGCAAUAUAAGAGGUGGCGCACCAGAGCAGUCUACUGGUUUCAGAUCAUGGGCUGCUAUGACGCCACCAAGGGCAAGCCUGAGGGCGAUCUUAAUCCAGCACAGCUGGAAGCUUUCAAGAAGAUCAAUACCCUCUUUAAAGGCACGCUUCUGAGUGUUCUUGAUGACUCCAUUGUAGAUUCGUAUAUGUCGUUUGACAACGGCAAGAACAUGUGGGCUACGCUCGAGGCCAAGUUUGGUGCCUCGGACGCCGGCAGCGAGUUGUACGUCAUGGAGCAAUUAUAUGACUCCAAGAUGACUGAUGGGCGCCCUGUUGUACAUGGGCGACUUCUUCCCCGACCUCGGCAACCUCAUCCUCGACGACAUGGGUGACAACGUCAAUGCCAGCGGUGCUACACCCACUGCACCGUAUGUUAUUCUAUCCUUCUUGUUCGAGAUCGUGGUAGAAUUCAGAUUUCUAGCAUGUUCCCUAGAUGUGAUCUGUUCAUCUACUAUGCUAAUUCGCAUGAUUAGUUUAAUCUCUGCUAUUGCUGUCAUGAUCUAUUUCCUAUUUAUUCGGAUUAAAUCUCGUAGUAAUUUGCUCAUUUUUCCAACAGUGCCAUCCAAUAGAUGAUGUAAAUCUCCUCAAGUUUGACGUUGUUGAGCUAAUUUACAAAAAAAACCUCAUCAUUAUUGGAUGUCCUUAACAGCUCAAGAACAAGUUGGGGUCGAAAUAAUGGAUUUUACACUUUUACAUUAAAGGUUUAGCUAAAGCAAGCAGGUGUUUUUAAAACUGAAUUUUUUCCUCCUGAAUUUCUUUGUAUUUUCUUAUUGACACUAUUUAUACAAUCAUCUGACAAAGAUUAGCUAAAGCUGUUUGUAGAUACGUUGAAACCUGAAAAGCUUCUUUGGUUAUCCUUUUAAUAGUUCUACGUUUAUUUUCUCAUAGGUCAUAAUUCUUAUGUAAUACCAAGAUGCAUUGUGGUAGUGUACAUGUGUUAAAUUCAGGUUGUUAUUCACAAUUUGCGACAAAAUUUAGCUCACGCUACAUUUAAAUAUGUUGAAAUGUGAAAGCUCUUUUUCUUCUCCUUUCUACACCUUGCAUCGGAUUGCAUCCCUUUAGUUAUCCAACAUUUUGUUCAACAUGUAGAGAUUAGGAAGUUCAUCAUAGUUUGUCUAUUUCCGUGCUAAUAAAUGUAUGAAAUCUGCAUUUCCAAGCUACUAGGACAAGUAAAAAAUAAUAAUUUUACUAGAGGAUUCAAAAACAGCAGUUCUGAAGUGCACUUUAUUUAUUUGUGAAAGUGAUCACAUUUUGUUUCAUUUUUCUAUAGACAAAUCUACUAAUACAUACUCACGAUAAAACUAUAAAAGUUCUAGUCCGCACAUUGGGCGGGCCACCCGGCUAGUUAGUCUAAAGAUAACAAAAUGAGUCUGGAAUUUGAAUUAAAUUGAAGUAUUUUCUUGGACUAUCCACAUCCUUGGCUUGCCCCUGAUCAAUUAUUUCCAGAGAAGCAUUCAAUUCAUCAAUCAAUUACAUUGAUUUUAGUGGCUAGUACAUCACCUCAACAUCAGUAUAUUCACCGUGGCCACUCCAAAUCGGCAAGAAUGAGGUACCAGUGCUCUGGAGAAGUGCAAGCUAAUUGCUUCUCAUGUGAAGGGGUGCGGGCGCGGGAGAGGUAUUUCUGGUGGGCCAAGGGACUAAGAAGCGACCGUGGCAGCGGUACAGAUGCCCGCAAAGCCUCAUAAUUUGUUUUUGGUUUACAGGAAAAAUGCACAUCCAUACUGGCCCGGGGAAUAUAGCACUGUAUUGGAUGGAAAACAAUGUCCGGAUGGUUGUGUGCGGUUUGAGGGUUAGCUUUUGUAACGCCCGGUUAGUUAUGCUAUAGCAAUUCCCUGCUAAUGAUGUCACGUCACCACGAUUACUGUUGUUAACCUCACAAUGAUUCAAUCUCGUUCAAAUUCAAAUUUAAAAUAAAGGCAAACAUCAAAAGUUUUCAAACAUUAAAACUAAAAUCUUUGAGAGGUGACAAAUAAUGCAUAAGUAAUUAUGGUGAAGAAACCACACUUUAAUCAAAUGUUUAAAUACUCUAAAAUGAAAAAAAAACAGUGACUUAAACUAUUAUUUAAAUGCUUUUAAAAUAGUAAAAAUCUUCUAACUAAAUUAUUUGGGUACCAAAACUUUUGGUGGCAGUGGUAUAUUUAGUAGAACUAAUUUAGAUGCUAAUUAUAUAAUUUACAAAAUUAGAGUAAAUUGAAAAAUAGGAUAAAACGAAAAAAGGAAAAACAAAACAAAUAAAAGCAAAAGGGGGCAACCCCUCGCUGGGCCUCGGCCUAGCUGGCCACUAGGCUAGCUAGGCUCGCCCCGCCGCCUCCCUUAACCCCCCACUCCCCGUCGAACCCAAGCCCGAUCGCCCCACUUCCCCCACACCCCCUCGCCGGUCUCCCCACCUCUUGAUCCCAUCUGGAUCGGGGAGGGUAUUGCCCCCAUCGAACCCGUUGCUGUCGCCGGAUCGCCCGCCGACGUCGCCAGGCCUCCUCCCCGUCGCCCGUCUCCGGCUCACCUCCCCUCUCGCUCCUCUUCCCUGACCCGAUCUGGAUCGUGAACGAGCAAUGAGCUCGAAGCCCCCCUUCACCGGCGCCAUCACCGUGCGCCACCACCACCGCCUGAAGACCUCACCGUCGCCGAACCUUGCGUCGCUGUAACACCCUCGAUGCGACUAUAUCUCCCACGUGUCGAGGCACGACUUAGAGGCAUAAUCGCAUUGAAGGCAUAUGUCGCAAGUGAGGUAGUCUUCACACAACCCAUGUAAUAUAAUAAGGGAAAGAGAUACAUAGUUGGCUUACACUCGCCACUUCACACAAUUACAUGAAUAAAACAUUACAUCAACCAAGUACACUCAUGGUCCGACCACGGAACCAAAAUAAAGAAGAACCCCAAAAGCGACAAAGGUCCCCGAUCGACCCCAACUGGGCUCCACUACUGAUCAAUUAGAACGAAACAGCUCAACGGACAAAGUCUUCAUCGAGCUCCUCCUGAGCUUGGUUGCGUCCUGCUCGGACUCAUCGGCACCUCCAAGCUGGUUUUGGAAGUAUCUGUGAGCCACGGGGACUCAGCAAUCUCGCACCCUCGCGAUCAAGACUAUUUAAGCUUAUGGGUAAGGUAAAGGUAUGAGGUGGAGCUGCAGCAAGCGACUAGCAUAUAUGGUGGCUAACCUAUUCGCAAAUGAGAGCGAGAAGAGAAGGCAAAGCACGGUCGAUAAAAGUAUGAUCAAGAAGUGAUCCUAGACUACCUACGUCAAGCAUAACUCCAACAACCGUGUUCACUUCCCGGACUCCGCCGGAAAAAGACCAUCACGGUUACACAUGCUGUUGAUUCAUUUUAAUUAAGGUCAAUUUUAGAUUUUCUACAACCGGACGUUAACAAAUUCCCAUCUGCCCAUAACCGCGGGCACGGCUUUCGAAAGUUCAAAUCCCUGCAGGGUGUCCCAACUUAGCCCAUGACAAGCUCUCACGGUCAACGAAGGAAUAGACCUCCACCCGAGAUAUUCCGAUCAGACUCGGUAUCCCAGUACAACAAGACAUUUCGACAGGGUAAAACUAAACCAGCAACACCGCCCGAUGCGCCGACAUCCUGAUGGGAGCUGCACAUAUCUCGUUCUCAGGGCAACACUGGAUUGUCUAAACUUCCGGUAGGCCAGCCCAGAGUUGCCCCUGGUGGCCACCGGCGGCUGACGGUUUGGACCAACACUUAGACAAGCACUGGCCCGGGGGGGUUAAAAAACGAUGACCCUCAGGAGCGCGACUCCCAAGGGAAAAGAAAAGGCUAGGUGGCAAAUGGUAAAGCCAAUGUUGGGCAUUGCUGGCAAAGCUUUACUUAAGGCGAACUGUCAAGGGGUUCCCAUUAUAGCCCAACCGCGUAAGGGACGCAAAGUCCAGGAACAUAACACUGAUAUGACGGAAACUAGGGCGGCAAGAGUGGAACAAAACACCAGGCAUAAGGCCGAGCCUUCCACCCUUUACCAAGUAUAUAGAUGCAUUAAUUAAAUAAGAUAUAUAGUGAUAUCCCAACAAGUAAACAAAUGUUCCAACAAGGAACGGCCUCCAAUCUUCACCUGCAACUAACAACGCUAUAAAAGGGGCUGAGCAAAGCGGUAACAUAGCAAUUCAACGGUUUGCUAGGACAAUGGUGGGUUAGGGGCUGAACAUGGCAAUUUGGGAGGCUGACAAGCAAGUGGUAGGCAUUGUAGCAAUGGCAUAGCAAAAGAGUGAGCAUACUAGCAUAGCAAAGAUAGUAGUGACUUCGAGGGUAUGAUCAUCUUGCCUGAAAUCCCGCAAGGAAGAAGAACGAGUCCAUGAAGAAGACAAACGGGCGUAGUCGAACGGGUCCUCACAAUCACGACGUUAUCGGAACCAACCCGAAGAAGCAAUCACCGGAAAAGAAGCACACACAACAUAGUAAACACCCAACACAUCAACAUGGCAAGAUGCACAAUCGAGUAUGAUGCAUGUCCGGUUUAAAGAGGCAUGGCAUGGCAAAGUGCACAAACAACCCUACAAAUUAAGUGGAGCUCAAUAUGCAACGGUUGCAUAUUGACGAAACACCACGUCAAUUAUUUAGUUCGAUCUCGUUUAUGUACCCAACAAUAUUAAAUGUUGUUAAAACAUGGCAAGAGGGGAAACAUGAUGAAACUAUCUAAUCUAGGCAAGUUUAAAUGAGGCCGGAAGCAACGAACAACAAUUCCGGAAAAUCCUCAUGUGUAAAUAUUAGGUUAGGUCCUGAUCUGUCCUAAACACAAUUUAAGCGUUGUUUAACAUGCAAGAUGAGGCCACCACGUUAAACUAGGCAAAAUUCUACCCGAUUUACAUAUAAAGAUUAUUAAAAUCGGAGUUACGGUUAAUUAGAUAUGAAUAAAAUCAUUUUAGCAUGGCAUGGGAGCAAACUUAAACAAACAUCAUUUUAGACAUUUUUUAAUUGUUGUUAUCAUGAUGCGGAUGACAUGAACAAGUUUAACGCAAUUUUAAUUAAGACUUGACAAGAGCAUUAUCAUGAAGCAUUGUCACCGUGGUGGAAGGAAAAAGGGGGUGCCACGGCAACGAAUCCGAAAAUGAUGCCAUGGCAACAUAUCGGUUCCGGUAACUCGAUUGAGAUCCCGGUGCAAACGAAAAAAACGACGGGAGCGUGACACGCGAUAGGAGGUGGGGUGAUCCCGGAUAUCGGGUUCCCACAAUAUGGUGACAAAGCAAAAGAGGGGCGACGUGCACCGAACAACUCCGACACGGAGCAAACACGAGCAUUUCAUACAUCACACAUGCAUUCGUUCACGGGCAUCGUUCCGGCGGUUAUACCUUUGAAGCGAGCAUCAUCGAAACGGAUCGAGUUCGACGGUAGGGGUACACGUGUCGACGAGGAAGUAGUUGUACACGGGGUCGUCGUGGGAAGUAGUCAUUCUCGCGAUGGUAGUGGAAGUAGGGGUACAUGACGACGUAGAGGUGCUCGCGACGGUAGUCGUUCACGUUUGCGUUUCACGGGUCUUCGGCGACGGUUGUCGUACAUGGUCCACAAGACGUCGAUCGUUCGGGGUCCGAUUUGCGGAUCUUGCCGACAUGAAGGGGUACUUGGCGUUCUCCGGACUUGCUGGUCUCGUCGAAACGAAGGGGUACUUGGUACAAUCCUCGUAGUCGUGCACUUGUCGUCAAGGGACUAGAUGGAUCCGAGGCUUCCGGAGGCGACGGUAGUGGGACUUGGUGAAUCCGAGUUCUUCAGAGGUCGUCAUGGUACUUGGUGAAAUCCUCGGAGAUGGACUUGACGCACGAAAGGUCUUCGGUGCCACGGUACUUGUCUGAUCACACACGGAGAUGCAUCGAUGGAUCUCUGACUCGUCCUGGCGAUGGACGAACUUGGCGAAAACCCCGAAGGCGGUCUUGAGCUUCCCUGGUUACCGCACCUUGGCAGAGACCAGAGGAACGACGAGGCCAGCGGGCAGCAACCGAAGAUGCCUGAGGUCUGUGGGCGUCCAGAUCAGGUGGCCUUCUGGCUAGGCAAGGACGACGAGGAGGAUGCCGAGGCGCGGGGACGAGGUAGGAGGCGGCACGGGAGCACGGCGCGGGCGUGGGCGCUCCUGGUGGGCGCAGAGGACGACGACGGCAGGCCAUGGCAGGGGCGGAGGCGCGGUUCCCUGGACCGGUAGGGCCGCGGCGGCGCUGUGGUGCCCGGCGGCCUCGGCGACGCGGCGAGGGAGGGGAUCCGGCGGGGCGCGAGGGAGCUCGGUGGCGGCGCAGGCUGCAGUGCCCGACAGAUGGAGGAGGCGCGGCAGGGUGGCUCCGGCCAGGGCACGGCGCGGGGAGCGCAAGACGGCGGCGAGGAGGCCGAUGAGGCUCCGACCUGGUACUUGGAUCGAAGGAGGAGGGAGGAUGAGGGGAGCCGGAGGGAGAUCGAGAGGGGGGUUCGAGCAGCUGGGGAUGGGGAUCGGGCUGCGAGGGAAAAUGGGGGUCGGGCACGAGAGAGAGAGAUCGAGGGGAGAUGGCGGCGCUGCGGGAACGAGAGGGAGAUGAGUGUGGUGCAGGAGCUGGGCUUCGGGCCUUCUAGGGUUAGGAGGGAGUGGGCCAGGGAGGCCGGCCGAGGAGAGAGAGGCCCAGGUGGGCAGGGGCGCGGCCUGCGGGGAAGGAUGGGCCUAGGGAGGCCUGAGGCUGCAGCUGGGCUGGACUCUCUUUCCCUCUUUCUCUAAUUUUCUUUAGCAGCAAAUGAUUAAAGAGAAAGAAAAGAAAGAGGGGGUUAGGGAAAGGAGUCGGACACGCGGAUAAUUUUCCCGGACUCACAAAAUUGCACUUGUUCCGAGAAAAAUGAAGUGGGCAAGAUUGCAAGAAUUAAAUUCAAGGACAAUUGAAUUUAAUUAGAAAGGUUGCACAAGGACUAGGAUUUAGGAGAGUCCAAAAAUGUUGAGAAAUUAGGAGGAGCCUCAAUAAAUGGGAAAAGAGAUGUUGGCAAAGUUUGGGGACCAAACUUGAAGUAGAAAGGGAGUGGGGAUUUUUCCAGUGUGUUUUGGUUAAUUCCGAAAGAAUGGAAUAUUUUAUAAUAGCCCCACUAAUAUCGGGACGAUAUGUUAUAAAGAGAAGUCAUCCUUCCCUCGAUUUAAAUGGAUCGAAGAUCCAUAUGAAUUAUUUAGUUGAGAUGCAAAAGAUUAUGACAUGAUGACAUGAUGCAAUGCACAUGAUGACGUGACAUGGUGCAACACGCAAGCACAUGACAACGCAACAACAUCGAAUAACUGCACGACACCUGGCACAUCGGUCUCGGGGCGUUACAGUCGCCUCCUUGUAUCCCCCCCCUACUCGCAUCCUCAAGCCAGGCCGAGCCCCUUCUCGGCAACGCUGUGAGACGCCCCCGUUUCCCUCCUCUUUCCACCGCAUUCACCGCGCCGCUCGCCGUGCCCGUCGCCGUGCGUGAGCCCACCACCGCACCAGCCCCCGCUCCGCGCACGACCCUACCCGCGCCCGCGCCAUGAUCCCCUUUUCCGCCCUACCUUCACGCGCUCGCCGCGAUCCCGAUGCUCCCCCGCGCCCUCUUUCGGGCGCGCCGACUGCCCCUGUCCUGGUGCUCGCCGCCGUGCCUCGCCACCGCUCUACUGCUACGUUACUACUGCGCUGCGGCCGCCGCCUCUUCCCGCUGCUCCGCUAGCGCCGGAGCUCCCGGUUGGCUCCACCACUGCUCACGUUAAACCGCCGGCCUAAAUGGCCUAACCCCCGGCUAAUGAACCCCCACUAACCCACUGACACCGGGACCCACAUUCCCUAAUUAACCAUUUAAUAAAUUAAAACUCUUAAAUUAACAUUAGUGUAUGACAUGUGCGUCCCCUGUUAAUUAAUAAUUUUACUGCUAGUUUUAUUAGUUUCUGUUUUUUCUGCAUAUUUCUUUUGUAUUUGAACAGGCUUUAUACAAUAAUAUUUAGCGUAUCAUACACAUACAAAUGUAAUCAUAGCAUAUACAUACAAAUAGUCUCAUCAAAUCAUGUCAUCAUCAUAAUCAUCAUCCAUCACAAAGUGGUCUCUCGUCAUCAUCUCGAAAAUAGCGAUACAAGUCUCGAUUACUUGCAACUACAUCGUCAUCCAUCUAAACAAUGAUAUACGCGAGAAGAGCUCUCACUAUGAGUGAGAGCGGAACUAUGCAGUACAUGAGUUUGUAUCCCUCUCUCGCAUUAGCGUGAACCUAAACUAACGACUCGCUGUUGCUCGGAAACCGGAAACCGGUACACCUGGGCCUGACACUCCGGCCACUCGUCGUAUACUCCUGGCGUAGCACUUCUUCGCCAUCGAUGAUCUAUGCACCUGCAUCGUCACAUGAGUCGAUGAUAUGCAACAUAUAUAGUUGAGUAACAGAAAGAGACAGACUUCGCAAAAAUAGAAGCAACAUAUCAUAAGUAUAAAUAACAAAGUUCAUCCUACCCAAAAUGCCCUAACUAGAGUGAUCUUCGCUAGUCGAGGAGGACGGUUUAAUUACAUCACAAAUAACGUUUCGUCGUGCAUAACUCAAAGUUCCGUCAUACAGAAAGUAUGAACUAAACGGACACAUUGUCAUAUUUCGAAAAUCACUCCAACAUAUCGUACCAUCCAUCCAAGUCAAGGAGAGAGUGCCCGAGCUUAGUGAAAGGCUUGUGGUCGAGACGCUGAGCGGCUACGCGUGUUCGAAAGUCUUCCCACGUCAUUUGUCCUUCUUCAUAGAACAUCCCUGUUUUUUCGACGACCUCCUUCAUGAUGAUUUGGACAAGUUCGCACUGGAAGUGAUAUAACUCAUCUCGAAGUGGAUGAUCCUCGAUAUCUCCUAAGUUCUUUGCCCAUUGCAGAAUAUGGGCAUCGCUGAAUUUAGGUGACAUGCAAAGGUUCCGGUGAUCUCGUCUAUACUCCAUCAUAUGGACAUAGAAUCGAUCAUCAAGAGAAUCACUCGGUUGCUGGAUGCAGCUGAAGUGGGUCUUAUGGGCCUGCCGUCCCUUUUCUUCUUGUCCUUGACCUCUCCACCCCGUGCAUCGUAGUAAAACGUAGCACUGUCGAGAAUAGACUUGAUGUGGGUGUAAUCCUUUUUGUUAAUGUUCUUCGACGAGUCCACAGUAUCGGGGGUAGCGGAUAAUGAGGACGGCGCUGAAGGAAAUAUGCCCUAGAGGCAAUAAUAAAGUUAUUAUUUAUUUCCUUAUAUCAUGAUAAAUGUUUAUUAUUCAUGCUAGAAUUGUAUUAACCGGAAACAUAAUACAUGUGUGAAUACAUAGACCAACAGAGUGUCACUAGUAUGCCUCUACUUGACUAGCUCGUUAAUCAAAGAUAGUUAUGUUUCCUAACCAUGAACAAAGAGUUGUUAUUUGAUUAACGAGGUCACAUCAUUAGUUGAAUGAUCUGAUUGACAUGACCCAUUCCAUUAGCUUAGCACCCGAUCGUUUAGUAUGUUGCUAUUGCUUUCUUCAUGACUUAUACAUGUUCCUAUAACUAUGAGAUUAUGCAACUCCCAUUUACCGGAGGAACACUUUGGGUACUACCAAACGUCACAACGUAACUGGGUGAUUAUAAAGGAGUACUACAGGUGUCUCCAAUGGUAGAUGUUGGGUUGGCGUAUUUCGAGAUUAGGGUUUGUCACUCCGAUUGUCGGAGAGGUAUCUCUGGGCCCUCUCGGUAAUGCACAUCACAUAAGCCUUGCAAGCACUGCAACUAAUAUGUUAGUUGUGAGAUGAUGUAUUACGGAACGAGUAAAGAGACUUGCCAGUAACGAGAUUGAACUAGGUAUUGGAUACCGACGAUCGAAUCUCGGGCAAGUAACAUACCGAUGACAAAGGGAACAACGUAUGUUGUUAUGCGGUCUGACCGAUAAAGAUCUUCGUAGAAUAUGUAGGAGCCAAUAUGGGCAUCCAGGUCCCGCUAUUGGUUAUUGACCGGAGACGUGUCUCGGUCAUGUCUACAUUGUUCUCGAACCGUAGGGUCCGCACGCUUAAUGUUACGAUGACAGUUAUUAUGAGUUUAUGCAUUUUGAUGUACCGAAGGUUGUUCGGAGUCCCGGAUGAGAUCACGGACAUGACGAGGAGUCUUGAAAUGGUCGAGACGUAAAGAUUGAUAUAUUGGAAGCCUAUGUUUGGACAUAGGAAGUGUUCCGGGUGAAAUCGGGAUUUUACCGGAAUACCGGAAGGGUUACCGGAACCCCCCGGGAGACUAAUGGGCCUAUUGGGCCUUAGUGGAAAAAGAGAAAAGGGGCAGCCCAUAGCUGGCCGGCGCCCCCCCCCUUUCCCCAAGUCCUAGUAGGACUAGGAGAAGGGGCCGGCCCCCCCUCUUUCUCCUUUCCCCCCGAGAGUCCUAAUUGGAAUAGGAUUGGAGGGAGGAGUCCUACUCCCGGUGGGAGUAGGACUCCCCUGCGCCUCCCUCUCCCUGGCCGGCCGGCCCCCCUUCCUCCAACCUUUAUAUACGGGGGCAGGGGACACCCCAAGACACACAAGUUGAUCCUUGAGAUCGUUCCUUAGCCGUGUGCGGUGCCCCCUGCCACCAAAUUCCACCUCGAUCGUACCGUUACAGUGCUUAGGCGAAGCCCUGCGUCGGUAGUACAUCAAGAUCGUCACCACGCCGUCGUGCUGACGGAACUCUUCCUCGACACUUUGCUGGAUCGGAGCCCGAGGAACGUCAUCGAGCUGAACGUGUGCUAAGAACUCGGAGGUGCCGGAGUAACGGUGCUUGGAUCGGUCGGAUCGGGAAGAAGACGUACGACUACUUCCUCUACGUUGUGUGAUCGCUUCCGCAGUCGGUCUGCGUUGGUACAUAGACAACACUCUCCCCUCUCGUUGCUGUGCAUCACCAUGAUCUUGCGUGUGCGUAGGAAAAUUUUCGAAAUUACUGCGUUCCCCAACAGGCGCGCCCGCCGCUGCGCAAAAUAAGUACACCUCCAAUUAAUUACACUCCAUCGUUCAAAUGAAUGAUUGAAAUCGAAGGAAGGAUAUCUGCGCGGAUGACUUACACGAGAUGAUAAGCCAUGAGAAUCGCCUCCUUGUCCUUAUUGGCAAGCAUGAAAUCGACGAUGUAUUCCUCGCGUAUUCACGGUGCUUUGCACGGACUCCCAAGAAGCCCUCGUGCAUGAAGUACGGGUCAGCAACACAGAUAUGAGGUAUCUGCUCAACCCCGAUGAGGUAGUUCAUGUGCAAGGCAUAAAGGCGGACAAACGUAAAAUCCAGCUUCUUUAAGUGAAACAUGUUGAAGAUGUAAUCGAAUCGAAGGAAAAACUUCUUCGAGGGGAAUGUGUCGACGUACGACAAUUGCCGCGGCACGUUAACCACGUAGAGAGGGUAUCCUGGAUUUUUCGAGGCGAUGAGGCCUUUCUCUAUCCGCAACACGUCGUCAUGAAGUCUCCUUAGAUUGCCGGAUCUGGCCCCUAGUGCUGCUUUCGGUAGGAUUGGUUCACCGGGAUACGCCAUUUUGCCGCUCCGGGGAUAUCUAUACGGUCUUGAACCCGAGGCUGCUGAGGCGGCUGGAUCAUAGAAGCAGCUUUGUUGGCUUUCCUCGGUGUAUUCCUAAGCUUCUUUGCUACCGGAAGGUCGUCUAUAAUAUGUUCAGCCUCCGGAGGCGGCAAUUCAAGCACCGACUCAUGACGCUCAAACCCUUAGUAGGCGCCAGUAUUGAGAUACUAUUGAGUGUCAUUGUCAUCCUCAUCUAUGGCGGUGUCACCAGCGACAAAUGGAGCCUCUUCCUCACCCCGUCCGCUAUCACCCAGCACGACAGCCGGCGCUAAUUGGGUAGGUGGGGUGUUGAUGUUCAUACCUAACUGCGUGCUCGUGUGUGUGCUCCCGGCCGUCUCCAAACAAAGCAGACUCUUUGGCCACAAUAGGACCCACCCAUUGCAAUCACCAAGCCGCUGCGGGAUCUUGUCGUCAUUCCCCCUAGUACCGGAGGAGCCAAAUUCUCCUGGCCUGGUUUGACACUGGCCACGGAAACUUUGAAGAUGUCCAGGGGGAUCGAUCGGCCGUGGAACAAUGGUUCCUUCAGCUUCAUUAUCGUCACCUUCCCCACGUCCACCUCCUGGUAGCGGAUGCUGUACAAUAUGGUGCACGGGGUUAUAUUGGCCUGCAAAGACAUUUCUGUGAUGUGAGAUAUCCGAAAGGCAACGGAAAUGGGAGAUUAUACAUUUAUUGAAGAGGGCCGGUGUGACAGAUACCGUGAGGGCGUCGAGCUCAGCCAAAGACGAAGCACCGCUGAGCACGUCUGGUGUCGGAGCCGGUGCCGGAGCAGGUGCGGGAGCCCGUGCGGGAGCAGGUGUAGGUGCCGGUGCAACGCUAGUUGAGCUACUCCCGAAGAAGUCAGCAAGGGGAAAGUCUGCUGUAUUUUUUUCUGGAUUUUGCAUGCUCCAAUUGAAAACGGCCGGAACCAAGACAGAAGACAUAUCUGGAACCACCUGUUUUGCGGCAGCUAUCGCAGUUGUGACUGUCUCAGAUGAUUUCUUCUCAACCGCAAUCUCAACCUUCUGGUUGAUGUUUUCUUCAGUUAACCUCCGUCUUUCCUUUCUCUCCUCUGUGGUCUCACGGUAGUACUUCUUCCAUGUGGCGCCGUCUUCGACACCGUGCACGCGUCCAUACGACGGCCGAUUCUCCACCGGGAGUCCUUUCAAUAUGUUCAAUGCCCGAUUGAAUGGAGUGUUCCACUUGGGCCUCGCCAACACCUCAGACGGUGAGUCACUUUCGGCUGCAAUCUUGUGCUGCUCUCUCUACAAAAGGAACAAGGAUCGUUUACAAAUAUGACUAAACGUGCAGUCGAAUUGAUCAGAAACUAAAAUUACCGGCAGUCCCAUGAACUUCGUCGUGAUCAGGUCAGUCUUGAAAACCUUCUUGACUGAGUCCCAAUGGUGUCGUGCCCCGAGGACGUCAUGCUCCCGCGGGACGGUGAAGUCCGCCAAGGGGUCUGGGAUGCCCAGACUUUCGCGUUCCGCGUCCUCCUAUGCCCAUAUGGACCUCUUCCCGCCGUAACCACGGCUUCCGAGGUGGUGGCGCCCUAUGUUCCUUUGUUGAAGCCCCUUCAUGUACUUCGACUUUUUUUGGCAGCUUCGGCCUCGCAAGCCGCCUUGAAUUUUUCAAAGUGCUCUCCCGUGAUUGUCGGAUUAUCCUUUACAAUCUCAGAGUAUGGUUCCUUUUUGUCGACAAUCCGAUGUUUCAACCUUGUUUUCCAGGUGCCCAACGCGUCACUAAACUUGGUCAUGGCGUGUUUGUUUAUCUUCUUCAUUGCCGGGUCCUUAUUUGGAUCUUUAUAAUCCAUUUCAUUCCGGCCCGGGAACAACAAUAUCUGGUGCAGCUUCUUUAGGAGAGAGGGCCUCAUAUUAUCUAUCUUCUGUAGUUUCCCAUCAUUGAUCGUGGCAGUUGUCCGUACGAUGCAGCCUACUUGAUUGCCGUAGCACGAUCGCGCUUCCUCGGGCGCUAUUGUCUGAAAAACACUGUCGUCCAUCUCCGUGACCACCAGUCUAGUAGUCAUGAGCAGGUUUGGGCGCCGUGGCUUCUUUGCUUUCGGUUCUAGACCAGCUCCGCUAGUCUCGGCGCCGGUCUCAGUCUCAUCGCCAGUCUGCAUGUCGGUAUCAGUCCCCGAUGCGAUAGGUCGGCCCAGCAACAACAUUCGUUGAUCGUCGGCAAGGCUCAAAAAUUCAUCUGCCGCCAGGUAGACGUGUCGCAAUCACCAGAACCCUAUCCUUCAUCGUUGCUAGCCAUGUUUCCUACGAUUAUGCCUAGUCAAUUAAUUUUAGACCUAAUAAAAUGAAUAAUGACAUAAAACAGGCCAAUGUUUUGCAGGAUUACAACUCAACCCAUUGCAGAUUAGAAAACAAGCCCGUGUGAAUGCACAGGCUGACCACUAGUCUAUCUAUACCUAUACCUACCUAUACUAAUUACAGACUCCCAAGUAAUUCCCACGUUAAUUAGUAAUUAAGAGCCGUUAAUCUUGUGGGACCAAAUUAUUACGACAGUCCACGAUCUCUUUUCUCUCUGUGUAAAAAAAAAGGUCCACGAUCUCUUUUCUCCGUUGUAAAAGAUAAAGGCAACUCAGGUCCACGAUCUCUUUUCACGGUUGUGAAAGAUAAAGACAACUCCCGUCUUCUUCUAAUCUAUAGUUCUAUACCUCCACGACCCCUUCCUCUCCCCAUUUAAAAGGAACAAGCUGAACCAAUAUCUAAGCAUGCAAUUGGUUCCUGUGCGGUCUUGACCUUCCAUCCGUCCACUGCUCGAUCGGCCCUCCCUCAACUACAAGCUGACAAGCCACCAUCGCCAUCCAGCGGCACGCCACCGUUCAUGCAUGUGUUUUUGCCCUUCAAUCUGAAGGAGAUGCGUUGGCUACUCAAGUAACUCUGUUUGUUUUGUUCAAACCAAUUUCGUUAAUUCGGUUCUUUGAUUAUCUUAUUGACAUGGCCUGUGAGUUUUGUGCUAGUGAUACAGGGCCUGUCUACUAGAUUCUCUCCUUGCAACUUCUAUUGUUGUCUCGAUUUGGUGUGGUCAAGAUCCUUGCCCCACCACAAGCAGCACCUUUGCACCAUCGGGGAAAUCUGUCAUAGCAAACAGAGGUAUGUAACAUGCUUUGGUGUUUUCCUCUUUCGUUUAGAUCACUAGAGUUGCUCAACCACACCAUUCAUUGAUUAGUAGUUGGCCUGAGAAGUUGCUCGGUCACCUGCAGCGUCUGAUCCCCUUCUUGACCCUCUCAUUCUGGUCAUUAUCCACCGGCAGGUCAAUGCCAAACGGAUCGUUCGUUGCCGCCACCUUGCGGAGACCGAUGUUUGGCUGCCCUCCUGCCAUCCUGGCGCUCUGGUACCGGUCACUGUGCCGUUGUUCUAGAAGAACUAUGUCACACGAAGCGAGAUAUCUUCUUACUAAUCUGGAACAUAAGUGUUUCUUCUUACUAGGAUUCGCUCACCGGUGCAUUCAUCUCUUUUUGGAAAAUACGGCCUUCAUAUUUCACACGCCUAUACAUGGGUGCUGUCCCAACAAUAAUCCAUCUAAUCCAUGAUGCACAUUCAUGAAGACUGAUGUGACUGAAUUAAUAUAUCAAUCUGGUGCUUCCGGAUCAGCACUUGAAGAAGCAACCCCUUUAGUUCAUAAAUAUAUCAUACGAAAGUCAGGGGAGAAAUCAACUAAGUCAUGUGUGCUUUUCUAAUUAUUUACUAUACACUAAUUCCAUUUUUUCAGUAGAAGGCUAGGAUACGUGGAUUGUGGCAGCACAGAAGUAAACCGAUGAGCUACGUUGGCCGUUCACCAGUCAUCGGAUCAGCAGCCAUGUCGACCAGAGGGACGGAACAGUUCUAUAUUAGGCGAUGGAUACAUGUGGAAGCAACUAAGCAUAUGUGGAUGCAUGUGAUCGCAUAGGUAAGGCCAUAGCUGUUCAAGCCCUACAGGAUCUUUAUUGCUGGUUUUAAUUAUGAGUUUACAACACCAUCUAUACAUACUACUUAUCCAUUUAUUUCCUUACCUUCUUUGUUUCUUUCUCUCCUUGAUCCCCUGUCAAAAGGGCAUCAACAUCCAUAUGCGCAACGGCACACGCAACAAACUAUGACUUCGGUUGCAUGUCCAACGGCAACCACAGUACAUGAUGAUAUCAUGUUUGCUGCAAGACGAAGUACAAGUUCAUAAUUUGGUCUUUUGCAUGGUCCCUUAGUAAAUUCACUUCUGCUUCGGUACACCCCCCCUAAACACAUAGACGGCCCAGAUUAGUCGAUACCUCUUCAUAAGUAAGGGCAUGAUGGUCAUAUAUUAAAAACCAUUCGUCCCCUGUAUAUGUGUACAGUGAGAUGGGCCGGCCCAUCUUUCCCUUUUUUUCUGAUUUGAUCCUGACAGGAAUCGAACCAGAUAGUUCCUGGUACAUAGUUGGACGUGAUAACCAACCAGCCGACUUAGGCACCUAUGGUUAGAUAGUUCUUUCUCGUCCUUUUCUUCUUUCCUCUUUCCUCUUUCUUAUUUCCUUUUUUCUUGUUUUUUCAAACGUUGUUUUGGGUUUUCAUUUCCCUUUUUUUCUUUUUCGUUUUCUUUUCCUUUUUAUGUUCCUUUUGUUUUACCUUUUCUUUUGCAAUGUGCAAAAUUUUUCAGUUUCCUUUAUAAAAAAUUAAUGAACCUUUUUUAAUAUUGAUGAUUUUUUUUUCAAAGUCGAUGAACUUUAUUCAAGAUUGAUGAUUUUUUUCUAAAUUGAUGAACCUUUCUCAAGAUGAAUAUAGUUUUUUCAAAGUAGAAGAUUUUUUUUCAAAAUUGAUAAAAUUUUGCAAAAUCGAUGAUUUUAAAAAAAUCAUGAACUUUUUUCAAAUCCUUGUACUUUUUUUAAUCAAGAUGCAUGGGUUAUUUUUAAUUCAUGGAACUUUUAAUUUACGGACAUUUUGCCAAUCCGCUUAUUUUUUUCAAGUCCAUGAACUUUUCCAAAAGGGCGAACCCUUUUUUAUAGUCAAUGGUCAAAGGUCAAGCAUGUCAAUGGUCAACUUUUUGUCCAGGUUAACCAUGAAGAAGUUUUUUUUUGGUCGAACCACGAAGAAGCGAUCGAGCGUAUGCUCUUGGCGAGCGACAGCUGAUCGCUCCUGUAGUUUGGCCAGCCCAUGAAAGGUGGUGUUCAAGCGAUGUGUCCACUAAGUAGCGCAGAAAGCGGUGACUAGGCGCUCCCACUGUACAGGGAGUAGCGUCGCACAAACCGGCGCACACACCCCUUCGUCCAAGGUCUGGCCCAUUUUCCUUUUCUAUUUUUACCUUGAAAAAAUAGGUGCAUGAAGUAGGAUUCAAACUAUGAACCUUUGUGAUUACUUCCACCCACUAUAACAAACUAGGAUAGCUCACUUCUUGCGUCUAAUUACUUCUUUUUUAGAGCAUCUUCUCAGUCUGUUUUUUCUUUUGCUUUUGUUUGGCCUUUUUAUUCCGUUUUAUUCAUUUUUUAUUUGUCUUUGUUUCUUCUUAUUUUCAUUUUGUUAAAUUCAUGAUUUUUUAAAUCUAUGAGCUUAUUUUAAGGAUGUUGAGAAAUAACAUGCUCCCAGACAAAACCUUCUGGCCUACCGGAUACUCUUUGUAGAACAUGGUAUAGUUUUGGACAUCAUUCAAAUGAUCCCAACUUUUGUAGGAUGGUGGGCAUUUCCCGUGGUAGGCAUCAUUGACAGGUUUGAAUGACUUCUGACACCGUAUGCAAGUUGCGACACGUCCGAUCAUUUAUCGGUCUUUUUUCACCGGAAAAACUCUAGAAAAUGCAAAACUUGUUGAGAAUCCAAAAAACUUAGCUUGGUGUCUUGAAUUGGUCGUACAAGGCCAUGAAAAAAUUUGGGGCCAUUUCAAGGAUGUCAAGAAACAACGUGCUCUCAAACAGAGCCUUCUGGCAACCGAACACCCUUCAUUGAACAUGGUCUAGUUUUGGACAUUCUUGAAAUGACCCCAACUUUUUGAAGUAGAUGAGCAUGCCCAUGGUAGACAUCCAUGUCAAGUUUGAAUGAUUUCUGACACCGUAUGCAAGUCGCGACACGUCCGGCCAUUUAUCGACCUUUUUUGGCCGAGGAAACUCCAGAAAAUGCAAAAUUCAUCAAAAAACAAAACAACUUGGCAUGGUGCACUUAGUUGGCCAUACAAGGUCAUAUAAAAAAUUGGGGCAAUUUCAUGGGUGUGGAAACACAACAUGCUCUCAGACGGAGCUUUCUGACCUACCUGAUGAAGGAAAUAUGCCCUAGAGGCAAUAAUAAAGUUAUUAUUUAUUUCCUUAUGUCAUGAUAAAUAUUUAUUAUUCAUGCUAGAAUUGUAUUAACCGGAAACAUAAUACAUGUGUGAAUACAUAGACAAACAGAGUGUCACUAGUAUGCCUCUACUUGACUAGCUCGUUAAUCAAAGAUGGUUAUGUUUCCUAACCAUGGACAAAGAGUUGUCAUUUGAUUAACGGGAUCACAUCAUUAGUUGAAUGAUCUGAUUGACAUGACCCAUUCCAUUAGCUUAGCACCCGAUUGUUUAGUAUGUUGCUAUUGGUUUCUUCAUGACUUAUACAUGUUCCUAUAACUAUGAGAUUAUGUAACUCCCGUGUGCCGGAGGAACACUUUGUGUGCUACCAAACGUCACAGCAUAACUGGGUGAUUAUAAAGGUGCUCUACAGGUGUCUCCAAAGGUACAUGUUGGGUUGACGUAUUUCGAGAUUAGGAUUUGUCACUCCGAUCGUCAGAGAGGUAUCUCUCGGCCCUCUCGGUAAUGCACAUCACUUAAGCCUUGCAAGCAUUGCAACUAAUGAGUUAGUUGCGGGAUGAUGUAUUACGGAACGAGUAAAGAGACUUGCCGGUAAUGAGAUUGAACUAGGUAUUGGAUACCGACGAUCGAAUCUUGGGCAAGUAACAUACCGAUGACAAAGGGAACAACGUAUGUUGUUAUGCGGUCUGACCGAUAAAGAUCUUCGUAGAAUAUGUAGGAGCCAAUAUGGGCAUCCAGGUCCCGCUAUUGGUUAUUGACCGGAGACAUGUCUCGGUCAUGUCUACAUUGUUCUCGAACCCGUAGGGUCCGCACGCUUAAGGUUUCGAUGACAGUUAUAUUAUGAGUUUAUACGUUUUGAUGUACCGAAGGUUGUUCGGAGUCCCGGAUGUCAUCACGGACAUGACGAGGAGUCUCGAAAUGGUCGAGACAUAAAGGUUGAUAUAUUGGAAGCCUAUGUUUGGAUAUCGGAAGUGUUCCGGGUGAAAUCGGGAUUUUACCGGAGUACCGGGAGGUUACCGGAACCCCCCGGGAGAUAUAUGGGCCUUAGUGGGCCUUAGUGGAAAAGAGAAGAGGCAGCCAGAGAUGGGCCGCGCACCCCUCCCCUCCCUUGGUCCGAAUAGGACAAGGAGAGGGGGCCGGCCCCCUUNNNNNNNNNNNNNNNNNNNNNNNNNNNNNNNNNNNNNNNNNNNNNNNNNNNNNNNNNNNNNNNNNNNNNNNNNNNNNNNNNNNNNNNNNNNNNNNNNNNNNNNNNNNNNNNNNNNNNNNNNNNNNNNNNNNNNNNNNNNNNNNNNNNNNNNNNNNNNNNNNNNNNNNNNNNNNNNNNNNNNNNNNNNNNNNNNNNNNNNNNNNNNNNNNNNNNNNNNNNNNNNNNNNNNNNNNNNNNNNNNNNNNNNNNNNNNNNNNNNNNNNNNNNNNNNNNNNNNNNNNNNNNNNNNNNNNNNNNNNNNNNNNNNNNNNNNNNNNNNNNNNNNNNNNNNNNNNNNNAUCCUACUCCCGGAGGGAGUAGGACUCCUCCUGGCGCGCCUCUCCUAGGCCGGCCGCACCCCUCCCCCCCCUUGAGCCUUUAUAUACGGAGGCAGGGGCACCCCAGAGGAACACAAGUUGAUCCACGUGAUCAUAUUCUUAGCCGUGUGCGGUGCCCCUGCCACCAUAGUCCUCGAUAAUAUUGUAGUGGUGCUUAGGCAAAGCCCUGUGACAGUAGUACAUCAAGAUCGUCACCACGCCGUCGUGCUGACGGAACUCUUCCCCGACACUUUGCUGGAUCGGAGUCCGGGGAUCGUCAUCGAGCUGAACGUGUGCUAGAAUCGGAGGUGCCGUAGUUUCGGUGCUUGAUUGGUCGGGCCGUGGAGACGUAUGACUACAUCAACCAAACGCUUCCGUUGUUGAUAUACAAGGGUACGUAGAUCACAUUCUCCCCUCUCGUUGCUAUGCAUCACCAUGAUCUUGCGUGUGCGUAGGAUUUUUUUUGAAAUUACUACGUUCCCCAACACCUGAACACCCUCAUUUGAACAUGGUCAGUUUUUAGAUAUCCUUCAAAAGACCACAACUUUUCCAAAAAGGUGAGCAUGCACAUGGUAGGCAUAUAUGCCAAGUUUGAACGAUUUUUGACACUGUAUGCUAGUUGCGACACGUUCGGCAAUUUUCGCCAUUUUUUGACAAAGAAAUCUCCAGAAAAUGUAGAAUUUUUAGAAAACCAAAAAACCCUGGCAUGGUGCCUUGAAUUCUUCAUACAAGCCAGUGAAAAAAAAUAGGUCAUUUGACGGAUGUCGAGAAAAAACAUGCUCCCAAACGGAGCCUUCUUACCUACCCCUACACCCUAUGUUGAACAUGGUGAUUUUUUCUACACGAACACAAAAAAAAUGUUCGAGAAAAUUCAAAAAAUUUUCUUUCAAAUUUUUAUUCGUAUUUUUCUUGAAGUUCCAAAUUUAAUAGUGAAUUUUCCUAAAAUGUUAAAUCAAAAAUGUUCGUGUGGAAAAUUUUGUUUGCUCUUUGUAAAAAUGUUUGUGUUUUGACAUUAUGAGCAAUUUGAAAAUACAAAUACAUUCUGAGGAAUUCAUAAAUGUCGCAUUUUGAAGUAAUUGUUCGUAGUUUCAGAAAAUGUCCGUGUUUUCAGUUUUAUAUCUCUUUUAAGAAAAUGUUCGUAUUUAAAAAAAAUUGUUUGUAGUUUCAAGAAAUGUUCUCGUUUUCAAUUCUGCUCUUAUUUUUCUAAAACAAAGUUUGAGAGUCUGAAACAUUGCUCACUAAAGGUUUGAAUUUUAAAAAUAUGUUCACAGAUUUUGAAAUUUUUUGGGUUUAAAGCAUAUUUACUUUGUCAAACAGAAAUUCACAUACGGAAUUUUGAAAAAAAUAAUCGUUUUUGGACUAGUGAUGUUAUGCACUCGCGGGAGCUUGUGUGUUAGAUCCGCGCACCCAUUUUAGUAUUUGUGAAUUGGUGUUGAAGUGUUGCCGCUCUAGCUAAUUCUUUAGGUGUGACACUGCUAUUGUGUCGGUUGCGUUAGGCAGGCGAAGUGGCUAGGGCGUAAUUUUUGUUGAUUUUCCAGCCCAAAUGGAUCGGCCCAGGUUAUCUGUGCCUGUGUCCUGCGAACAUAUGGCACAUUCCAGCGUACGUACGAAAAUGGAUAGGAUUUGUCAAAAGUCUAAAUUACCCAUUAUACGCUUUGUGAGGGGGGUGUAUCGAAGCGUUUCUCCACAUAAAUUAUAUUUGUCCACAUACACCACAUACAUAAAAACAGGUAGAAGCGGUUGCAUGGUGAAAAUGUCCUCUCAAUAUGCAUGCCUAUGAAUACUAUCACCAGAAAGCCAAGGACUAACAAUUAUUCAGGGGUCAAGAUUGAAGACAGACGUCCAAGAUUGGAAGUCGGCCGGCCUAAGAGGGGCAAAACCAUUGUACAUUAUAUUGUAUGGACCUAGCAAGAUCCUAAAGAUAAGUGAUAAUGGAGAUCAUGGGGGCCACCCUUAUAACCAUAUGUCCAAAUGUUCUUAUUUGUUUAUUUUUCUUUUCUCUUUUCGGAAGAAUCCAUCCUGCCUCUAUGGUCAUCCUGACCACUUCGUAUUGUUAUCUAAUCUCCUCCCUUAAUUAAUAUAAAGAAUUACCGCAGCUGAAUUCACUAAAAAAAGUAUUCAGUUUAUUUUAAUUUAUUCAACUAUUAUGGCAUAUCAAUUGGAUUGCAAGUUCUUGGCGGUUGCAUUUGAAUCAUAUUUGAUGUGCACAAAGGCUUCAGUGUCAAGGUGGUCGGACGAGUAUUUAUGUCCAUUAUAUAUGCGUUAGCUUGAGAUCAUCAGGCACCUGUUAUGCAUCUGUCCAGUUAAAAGGAUGUUCAGACUCAGGCUUGCCCUACCAUAUAUGGCUGUGACACUCUGAACCAAGCAAGUUGGUCAUAUAUGUCGAGCACUAUUAACUCUUUGGAAGAAGAUCCACCAAGUACAGAAAACAAAUCAAAUAUCUUCUUAACCUUAUCACCAGAAAAAUUAGCAAGAGAUGAAUAGUAACAUUUUAAAGAAGAAAGAUAUGUUUGAAAAGGGAUAUAUAUUAUGGCGACGAUUAGAACAGCCCUUGACGAAUGGUGCCUAGCCUGCGAAAGUUUCUUAUGAAUAUAGUCAACACUCUAUAUCAACUGUUGUAAGAUUUUAGAAAUAUUUUUGGGGACAUAUGAUACAUGUCUAUUAUACAUAUGAUUCAACAGAAGUUUGAUUGAAUACAUAUUUAAAACGUGACUGACUUCUAUAUGGACGGAGUAUUUCACAAAGGACUCACUGCCAACUGUGUGAAUAUUCCAAGAUAGUUAGUGCACAUAAAUGUUCAAAUCCAUAGCUGCAUAAAUAUACAAAAGCAAUGUGUUAGACCACUACACAUGCUUCUGAAAGGAGGCAAAAAAAUGUAUGCUUGAUUGAUGACCGUUCAUGCAUGAAAUUAAUUUUUGAUUUCUAAUUAUUUUGGUCAUAUAAUGGAAAUAGAGACAUUAUAAAGAUCCAACAGCAUGCUAUCACACACGUGUGAACACAGACACACACAAAUAACAUUUGCCGAGCACUCACAAAUAAAAGGUGUGGCUACUCUUGGGUGUUCUACAGCUGGCUUAAAAAAACACGUAUGAAACAUGAUCCCCAAAAAUCUGAAAUUCGCAACAUAUGAAAAUCCACCCUCAAACAUAUUUCUAGUGUCUCAAUUCUUUUAGUUUCAGAUGGUAUGUCCAGCCAAAGUAGUUGUACACAUACAUUACUAUGUUCUAUUAUUUGAGAUUCUAAGAGAACAUUUAGUAACUAGCCCGUGCGAUGCACGGGUUCACGACUAGUAUAUAUAAAGCUUAAUGGUGCCUAAGAAAGCUCGCACAAUUUUACAGUGGCUAUGGAAAUGUGUUGCCAAACUGAGACAUAAGAUUUUCAUUUGGCAUCCAGAGUUGCAGACCGCUUGUGUUAUCCUUAAUCCAUGGCCACUCUAAUUUUUCCGGCUGGGCCUUCCCUGUGGUACCGCGGCAAGGCUUGCGUGUGUAUAUGUUUCCUUUAACUACCACUAGCACAUAUGCCCAUGCGUGCGUUGCAAUGGGAGAGAUAAUGGCAUAUCCACCAAUAUAUCUAGCAGCAUGACCCAACAACAUCCGAAUGAUGUCACCCGACGACGGCAGGAAGGCACGCACAGAGGUCUAGUAAAAACUCAUCAAUUGUACGGGCAUGGUUAAUUCGCGUGAAUUCAAGGGUGUGAGAUUAGUUAGUGUUGGUCCCACAAUUGAAUUCGGGGGGUGAUUAGUUAGUGUGGGCCCACCCUUGAAUUCACCGGGGGAGACAAAAUAAUUAGGGCGAGGAGAGAUUUACGGGGCUUGGUCCCCAGAUGCGUUGCGGCAGUCAUUAUUCGAGCAUUGCAAUGCUCGCACGUGAGGAGCUCCUUUUCCAAUUGUAUAUUAAGAAGCAUGCUAUAGAUACAAUGUUUUUGAUACAUUUUUGUACGAUGAUCCUGAUCUUAAAGGGCCUUCUAAUUUUUAAAUCUUAAAGGCAUUAUUUGUAAGUUGUCGUGAAAAAAAUCUCGCUAAAAGGGUUGUGUUAGACCAUCUUCAGUACAUUAGAAAUAACGAAUUAUAAUUCCUUGGCAUUUGAACAAACAAUCCCUACUUAUUUACACAUACAAUACUUUUGGUAUGAUUUUGAAAUCUUGAAGGCAUUAUUGUAAGUUGAAGCAAUUUUGAAAUCUCACUAAAAGGUCUGGUAAGCUUUAGAAAUAACUAAUUAUAAUUUUGCAAAAAAAAGAAAUAACUAAUUACUAAUUUUGGUAUGAUUUAUUGUCUGGGUAGUAGUUCCUUUGCAACAUUAUUCUCUCCUUUCUUGAAGGAACUCUUGCCUGCUCCCUCGCCAUGCUCCCAUCCAUGCUCCCACUCCAUCCUAUGGUUGUCCUUUUUUCCUUUUUCUUUCUAAACUAAUCAUCUCCCCCCCUGAUUUUAAGGGGAUGGGGCCGGGCCUUAUUUUGUUCCAAUUAAAUCAUGCCACGUAUGCGGGAGCAUUUUGUCCCUCCUUCUAGCGCCUCCCACUGAAAAUGCCCUAAAAGUUUUUGAGGGAUUUUUUUACUGUGUCCUACUUCACGAAUCACGAGGCAAAUCAAGUAGGCGGCAUGGCCUGGCCGGUGAGUGCCAUUGCACUUACUUGCCCCAGCGAUUUUCCGCCUGCAUUGUAGAAUUCUUUCUCCGAGUCCUGUGAAUUAAAGAUGGUGCAGACAAAAGUAUAUCCUAUAUGCGUACAUGUGCAUGAUCAGAACAUGUUUUUACGUGCGUCUACUAUAAAUCAUGACCAUUUUUAACACAAAUCAUGACCAUUCAUGAUUAGUGAAUCAUACUGUCUUAACUUAUGUGAAAUCAUGUGGAGUAAUAUAAUAUAAUAUAAUAGAUAGAUAGAUCCAUGUUGUAUUAUUUUUUGUUUACAAAAAAUAUCUGUCAUUACACAUUUUGAUUUAUGCAUUUGUUUACAAAAAAACAGUAACAUUUCAUGGUGGAGAGUUUGUAUUGUUUCAUACUGAACACCAAUGUUUUCCCGUAAAAGAAAAUAAUGCCUACGCAUAUGCUUUUAUAUUAUUAUUAUUCUUUCAAACUUAUUCAUAUAGUAUUUUUGAUUGUGCAACCAUAAUUUUUAUUAUCUCUCUCGUUCCACUACAUGCUCUUACUCAAUGAUUUUUUUAUAAUGGGUGUUUUUAUUAACUCAGCCAAAACAUAAUGAGCCACAUCCGGUCUCUGCAUAACUAAGAUGCACACAGCCAAAAGCAGAAGUCUGACAAAAAUAAGAUAAGAAAAUCAACAUAUCGACACCAGUGAGUCAUAUAGUUCCGACACUAUGCCUCUGUUGAAGGACGGGGUGGAGCGAUCUGGAGAUUAUGCUUCCCUCCAUUUUGAGUAAAUACCUCCCUGGCCACUUGUUCCAACCGCAUAGACGCCGCCACGAAUAAUGGUUGGUACUCUGUUCGGUGUAGCAUACACCAUGUAGGAACUGAGUGCUCACUCCUAGUUACUAAAUUAUGUACACACUAGUAGAAAAAGGGCCAUUUGUCCCGGUUCGUAAGGCCCAUUUGUCUCAGUUAGGGAACCGGGACUAAAGGGUCGGUACUAAAGCCCCACACCUUUACUCCCGGUUCUUACACCAACCGAGACAGAUGGGGCUCCACGUGGCCGCUGCGGCUUGCCAUGGCAGGGGGGCCUUUUGUCCCGGUUGGUAGCACCAACCGGGACCAAUAAGCUACCACGCGUCAGCAUUUGAGGGGCUUGGGUUUUUGUUUUUCUUCUGAAGGGGAGGGGAGGGGUGUUGGGGGUUUUGGGGGGUUUUGUAUGGUUAAUUUUGGGGGGUUUCAUAUAUUGUGUUAGGUAGUAAUUAAUUAAUAGAGAGAAGUGUCCUCUCUUAUCUCCGUGCUUGGUCGACGCUACGUACUAUACGUAUAGAGAGGCCCUCGACACACUUGCCAGUAAGCAAAUGAAGGAAACCAUUAAGUACAGAAGUUCGUCAUGAACAUAUGCAUACAAACAUAAGUGAUAUCGACCUCUCCUUCUCUGAGAGAUAGGUCGAACAACAAGUUUCCGUAUAUCCAUCCGGCGCUACUAGCUACUUAUAUACAAUAUUAAGAUCUCUUACAAUAUAAUCCCCUAAUUAUAUAUGAACUCAGUUUCCAGAUGGUAUUCUCGGGCUUUAUUGAUGACGUGGUCAAGAAAGAAUCCCUCCAAUUCCUCUUGAAUUGCUUUGAUGCGAUCUUGUGGUAGGAGUUCAUCCCGCAUCUGCCACAUCUAAUUUGAAGAAGGGGGUCAAUCACUAGUGGAAUAACAGCCAUUUGUCCAAGUUCAUAAGGCUCAUUUGUCCCGGUUGGGGAACCGAGACUAAAGGGUCGUUACUAAAGCCCUACACCUUUAGUCCCGGUUGUCGGUGUCAAAACCGGCGGAUCUCGGGUAGUUGGUCCCGAACUGUGCGUCUAGGCCGGAUGGUAACAGGAGGCAAGGAACACAAUGUUUUACCCAGGUUCGGGCCCUCUCGAUGGAGGUAAAACCCUACGUCCUGCUUGAUUAAUAUUGAUGAUAUGGGUAGUACAAGAGUAGAUCUACCACGAGAUCAAGGAGGCUAAACCCUAGAAGCUAGCCUAUGGCAUGAUUGUUGUGUAUGGAGUUGAUUGCCUACGGACUACAACCCUCCGGUUUAUAUAGACACCGGAUAGGGUUAGGGUUACAUAGAGUCGGUUACAAUGGUAGGAGAUCUUGAAUAUCCGCAUCGCCAAGCUUGCCUUCCACGCCAAGGAAAGUCCCAUCCGGACACGGGACAAAGUCUUCAAUCUUGUAUCUUCAUAGUCCAGGAGUCCGGCUACCCGAACACCCCCUAAUCUAGGACUCCCUCAGUAGCCCCUGAACCAGGCUUCAAUGACGACGAGUCCGGCGUGCAAAUUGUCUUCGGCAUUGCAAGGCGGGUUCCUCCUCCACGUCCUUCAUAGAAGAUUGUAAACACCAAGAGUAGUGUCCGGCUCUGCAAAAUAAGCUUCCACAUAUUUCCGUAGAGAGAAUAAUAUUAACACAAAUCAAAUCUGCUGACGUAUUCCGCAGUGCGUCAUCACACUGCAGCCAAGUCCUUCACUCGAAUCGUUUUCACUUUUCCACCUCAGCGUGUUUUGCGAGGCGGUUUCCUUGGCACGUCUUGUCAAAGUAGAUAUCGUGUACCCCCCUUUUACGGGAUUCUCAUCAAUACAGACAUGGGUAACCCAACCGCGCCACUUAUCUCGACGCUUGGGAGGCAAGCGAGUUUUACUAGGCAGGUGGGGACGCACAACCGCAUCUACCCAUAUAAGGGGAUAAGGAUCCACCUUUUUACCUACGCCUUCUUCCUCCUUUGCCUAUCCAUCUCCUGCGCACCCGAGCUCCAGCGCCCAAGCCCGCACUUCCCACCUCGACCUUCUCCAGCAAUGUCCGGAGCGGGAGGCAAGUGGAUGGUCUCUACCACCACGGAGGGUAAAAUCAAGAAGCUAAGGAAGGCCGGAUACCUGUCCAAGGACAUCGCGCACUGGCUUCCCGAAGAGGGGCAGCUUCUCCCCACCCCAAGGCCCCAUGAGAGGGUAGUAUUUCUCCCCCACUUCCUCCGCGGACUGGGUUUUCCACUCCACCCAUUUGUCCGGGGGCUCAUGUUCUACUACGGCCUGGAUUUCCACGAUCUGGUCCCGAACUUCAUCCUCAACAUCUCGGCGUUUAUCGUCUUUUGCGAGGCUUUUCUCCGCGUCCGCCCUCAUUUCGGCCUCUGGCUCAAGACCUUCAACGUCAAGCCCAAGGUGGUGUGCGGCAGCCAGGCGGAGUGCGGAGGCGCCAUGGUGGGCAAGAUGGCCAAUGUCAUAUGGUUCGAGGGCUCUUUUGUGGAGACCCUAAAGGGAUGGCAAUCUGGGUGGUUUUACAUCACCGAGCCGCGCGAUCCGAAAUGGACCGCAGCCCCCGAGUUCCGAUCCGGACCCCCCAAGCGGCUUGUGUCCUGGAAAGAGACGGGCCUGUCAUGGGGUGACGAAAAUGAGGUGACCGGAUUGCAAACAUGCAUCCAGUCCCUGGUGAACAAGCCAGUCUGGCUUGUUAAUGUAAUCCAGGUUAUGCUCGUCCGCCGGAUCCUCCCGUGCCAACAACGGGAUUUUAAUCUAUGGGAGUUCGACCCGGUGCAGCAUCAAACCCUCAGCAGGCUCUUCGACACGACGUACGAAGACGCCUGGAAGAUGCUAUUAAAGGGCGUCGAGGCUCCCGCAUCCGCUUCCGAGGACCGCGAAUACAGCUCGCAGCGUCACGCUAGCGAGGUAAGCCAUCUACACCUUUUAUAGGAUGUUCAAGCUUUUUUCAUAGUUUGACUCUAUGUGGGAUCUAAACUCCCUUACCUUUGAAAGGCUUGGCGGGCAAUAUCCGGACCGAUUAACUGUCCGGCUCCGCUGCCCGAAGACCCAGCCCCAGCUCUACUAGUGAAGCUGCUGGUUCCGGAGCCUUAUGUGGUGCCGAAGACGAAGGCCAAGAAGAAGAAGACCACAGGGACUCGAAAGAGUGCAUGCAACGUGGUGGUGUCGGACUCGUCAUCUGACGAGUCCAAGACGCCCUCCUCCCAUGAAAACGAGGAGGAGGAAGAAGAAAACUCCCCCCCCCCCCCAGCGGAGGGAGGAGAGAAGAGGAAGGCCGCCCCAACGGGGGAGGCCGAGGGGUCUAGGAAAAGGAAGACCCCUCCGCCAGACUACGCCCCCGACGCCGAAGAGGGCGAAGAGGAGUGGCCGAACAGGGCCAAACGUCCGGCGAAAUCGUAAGUUCGGAUAUCAGAGUAACUCAUGAUGUUCCUUUGUUGCACAGCUUUCCCUAAUGUCGAAUGUAAUUAUGCAGUCCGCCCCGGGCCAAAUUCGACGAAUCAUCGUGCGGCUCCCUGGACUCAUCGGACGUGAACUCAGUUCCGCCCGCUGUCUCCCCCCGCACUGUGGACGACGCCGAAGUGGCGUCGCGACAAGCCCCGGGGCAGGAGGAGGUGGUCCCGGAGGAGCCACAAGGCAACCUCCCGGACUCCAGGAGUGAAGGGGACAAGACCCCCCAGGGCUCCAAGUCUGGCUUUGAGCCGGACACCGCACCGGAAUCUACAACAGUUCCGGACCGCGGUAGGCGAACUCCUUCCAAGAGGAGUAAGCCUUCUGAGCCGGCGUCCUCCGUCCAGCCGAAGGCGCCGGAAAAUCUGCUGGAGGAGCUUAAGGGCGCCUCCAUCGACGAGGAGCACCAUGCCAUCAUGAGUAUGGUGGUCCAGAAGGUUCGGUCCGCCAAAAGCGGACUGACUGAAGCUUGUAAAAAUAUGUAAAAAUAUUACCGUAUAGACAGUAGCCCCUGAUGCUCUGUUUGGCGUUCGGAAAGAAAAGCUGGAUAGAGGAUCUAUUAAAUAUCGCAGGAGUCUAACUAAAAAGCAGUCAAUAUACGUAUGCAGGCUUCGCUGCUGGCCACCGCUGCACUGACUGCGGAGGUGGGUGCCCUGAAACAGGGCCUCGAGCGGACCGAGCAAGAGCUCGGCCUUGCCAAACGGCAGCUCGAGGAGAAAGAAGGUAAGAAAUACCUUACAGAAAAAGUGCCUAUAAAAAGACCUGAUUGCAAAAAAUAACAGGAUUGUACUGCUUAUUGUAGGGGCCACGACUGAGGUGGCGACCCUCAAGCAGGCGCUGUCCGAGGCCAAAAAGAAAACGGCCGUGGAGUGCACCGAGCGAGAGAAACUUGAGGCCCAGGUCAGCGAGGUGCAGCAGGAGCUUCAGGCUCUCAUGAAAAAACAUGAGAGUUUGGAGCUUGAGUCCAAGACGCAAGCGUAUGAGCUCGCGGCGGCCCUUGAGACUGCCAAGUCUGCCAAGGCCGAAGCCCAAAAGGCCCUCCAAGAGUUGGAGGAGAUGAAAAAGAUAGCGGCGGGUAAGGCAUUCUUUAUGCAAAGCAGAAGUAUAAAAGUGAAGUACUUGUUACUUACCCGAAUCCAGAGCUCUCCAGGGGCAUUCGCAGAUCUUCCCCGCGGCGUAUCUGACGCCGCUGCAUUCUACCGAGCCGAAGAGGGCAGCUCGACGGAGAAGGUGUUCUGGUUUCAGUAUGCUGAGGCCGGACACCCUGUGCCCUUGAGCGACCAGCUGAAACAGCUGGUCGAGCUCCACAAGGCGGCCGAGCAGGCCAUGAAGGGCUUCAUAGUUCGGCUGUGGCCCGGAGAGGCCCUGCCUGGGAGCUACUUCGGGUUGGUGUGGCGACUGGUGGAGGCCUGUCCAAGGCUCGAGGUCAUUAAGUGCUCCGUCUGCAUCGAAGGUGCCCGUAGGGCCCUUGCCCGUGCAAAGGUGCACUGGGGCAAGCUGGACGGUGAGAAGCUUGUGAGGGACGGGCCGCCGCCGGGGAAGGAGCAUCGCAAGCCCGAGAACUACUAUAAGGAUGUUCUAGCGGGUGCCCGCCUUGUGGCGGAUGAAUGUACCAAGGAUGUAAUUUUUUAAUGAACUCGCUCGUGUUUAUCCUGUGUGCUGAAAAGUUGUUCAUAUGCGCUAAGCAAUGCUUGUUGAAUUUAAAAUAUUACUUUCUGUGCGGCCGUUUAUCAAAAAUUGAGAGAUGGCCAGUCGGCGGCUUCUGCCCCCAUGCCACUAGUGCUGGGGUGUUCGGGAUAAACCUGAGCGCUCUUUUUCCCAUAGUUGGAUCCUUCGAGGGAGGCGCUCAGCACAACGAACCAGGCAAUCGGACUAUAAUGCUUGAACACUCUAACUUAGCCAUAGAACUCUAUAAUUUUAAAUUUCGGCGAAGCCCCUAGUUCGGAAGACCGAGUUCGGGGCGCUAUCCACGCCUUGGCCGGACAAAGCCGGCUCCUCGCUCGAAGCGGCAUAAGUCUUUAGGGACUCGAAAAACCUGUCGAACAGCGACCGGUCUCUCACCAUAUCAUGACAGUCAGUUUUACCUUUCUCCACUGAGGUGCUUAACCCAGCUCAACCGGGGCACAAUCGCAGUGGUUCUCCUAGUGCUACCUUAGCCGAUAUAGCGGAACGUAAGGCACCAAAACAUAGGAGCCAGGCAAACGCAACUAUUGACCCAAAUCAUGAUACGGAGCCGAUGCAUAUAGUGCUAUAAGUUCGGGGUGCCGUACUUGUGAAAGUGUACGGACUUCUCACGCCAUAUUUAUGGGUACUAAAGCCCCUGACGUAUUUUGCCGUACCACGGUGUACGGGUGCAACAUGUCAUAAACAUAUAUAUGAAAAGGUGAUAAUGCGAAAAAUAGACAGAAAGCUAUCCAUUGUUUAUAGAGAGGCUAUUUAUCAAAGCCGAACGAUACAAAUAGUGCGGUAAGCAAAAAAUAUUGGACUAUUUAGUAUGUCCUGACCAGGAGCAGGCCGCGGAAUUGUGUUUAAAACAGGUAUACCGCUCGUAACAGAGACCACCUGGGAGUUCCAUAAUGCGGCAUGGCUUGUCUUCCUCCCUGGAUCUUGCAUCGUUUGUGCGGCCGUCGAAUUGCCGAACAGGUCGUCCGAAGUAUGGAGUCCUGAAAGUAAGAAAAAAAUUAAAAAAAGAAUCCGGCAGCCCCUAGUACGUUUUAAGUCGUAUUUUGGGCGUGCCGUUAUUGCCCCUUCCCCUGUGCCCAUGGUAUUUCAAGGGCGUAGUUAUGUACGCGGGGUACUGGUUUCGCUAUGUCGCGAAAGCUGGGGUUGGGGCCACAUUGCUACGCUUGCUUAGAGUGUGCCAGGCGGUCCUGCUGUGGGUUACUCCAGGGGCGCCUGGCAGUGUCUGGCUUUUUAAUGGCCGGACUAGAGAAUUGCCUGAGAAGGCUACUUUGUACCUCCGCUGCGAGAGCCGCCGUAUGCUCCCCCAUAUGGAGGGAGCGUUCGGUGUUUCCGUUGACCGUAAUUACUCCUCGAGGGCCUGGCAUCUUGAGCUUGAUAUAUGCGUAGUGCAGCACCGCAUUGAACUUUGAGAAUGCAGUUCGUCCGAGCAGGGCGUGAUAGCCACUGCGAAACGGGACUAUAUCGAAGAUUAACUCUUCGCUUCGGAAAUUGUCCGGGGAUCCGAAGACCACGUCAAGUGUUACUGAGCCUGUACAGUUGGCUUCUACACCUGGUAUAAUGCCUUUAAAGGUCGUUCUUGUGGGCUUAAUCCUUGAGGGAUCUAUGCCCAUUUUCCGCACUGUAUCCCGAUAAAGCAGGUUCAGGCUACUGCUGCCGUCCAUGAGGACUCUUGUGAGAUGAAAUCCGUCGAUGAUUGGGUCGAGAACCAAUGCGACGAAGCCGCCAUGACGGAUGCUAGUGGGAUGGUCCCUUUGAUCAAAAGUGAUUGGGUAGGAGGACCAUGGGUUGAACUUUGGGGCGACUGGCUCCAUCGCGUAUAUGUCUCGCAGCGCACGCUUCCGCUCCCGCUUGGGAAUGUGGGUUGCAUUUAUCAUGUUCACCGUCCGCACUUGUGGGGGAAAGCCCUUCUGUCCAUUGUUGUUCGGCGGCUUGGGAUCCUCAUCGUCGUUGUGCAGCCCCUUUUUCUCUGUUUUUGGCCCUUAACUUGCCUGCCUGCUUGAACACCCAACAAUCCCUAUUAGUGUGAUUGGCUGGCCUUUCGGGGGUGCCAUGUAUCUGGCACAAGCGAUCGAGUAUUCGGUCCAAACUGGACGGGCCCUGAGUAUUCUUUUUGAAUGGCUUUUUCCGCUGACCGGAUUUAUAGCCUUUGAAUCCGGCAUUGACUGCCGUGUCUUCAUUGCUGUUGCUGCUAACGCGGCGUUUUUGCUUAUUCCGACGUGUCCUGCCACUUUUGUCCUUGGUAUCCGAAUUACCAGGGUUCUUUGAUAAGUUGUUACUGCGAGCUAGCCAGCUAUCUUCUCUCGCGCAAAAGCGGGUCAUGAGUGUCGUGAGGGCUGCCAUGGAUUUCGGCUUUUCCUGUCCCAGGUGCCGGGCAAGCCACUCGUCGCAGAUGUUAUGCUUCAAGGCUGCCAGGGCCUCUGCGUCCGGAUAGUCGACUAUCUGGUUUUUCUUUGUUAGGAACCAUGUCCAGAAUUGUCUGCCGAUUCCUCUGGCUGCUGAAUUAUGUGGCUUAAGUCGUCGGCAUCCGGUGGUCGCACGUAAGUGCCCUAGAAGUUGUCGAGGAAUGCGGCUUCCAGGUCCUCCCAAGAACCGAUUGAGUCUGCUGGCAAGCUGUUAAGCCAAUGCCGGGCCGGUCCUUUAAGUUUGAGCAGGAGCUAUUUGAUGGCGUGUAGAUCAUCGCCGCGUGCCAUGUGGAUGUGAAGGAGAUAAUCCUCGAUCCAUACCGCCAGAUCUGUUGUGCCAUCGUAUGAUUCGAUGUUUACGGGUUUGAAACCCUCUCGGAUUUUAUGAUCCAUUACUUCGUUCGUGAAGCAUAGCGGGUGUGCGGCGCCUCUGUAUUGGGCUAUAUCAUGACGCAGCUCGGAAGAGCUAUGUCUGUUGUGUUCGGCCCGGCCGGAUUUGUUGUAUCCGGAGUGAAGAUCAUUGUCACAUGCUGUAGGGUGGCUGCGCGAUCCGUAGAUCGAUCUUUUUUGUCUUGCCUUAUCCUCCAGUAUGUCUCGCAGAUCGGGCGCAUUUUCCCGUGCCUUAUUUACGCACCGUCGGGGCAUGGCUUGGGUGGAGGGCCGAGAGGCCUCUCUGUCGCGGCCGUGAGGUGGCCGGUCUGCCAUGUCAUUCGCUGGUGACGUAGGUACUUCCUCCUCUGAUCGGGGUAGCGGCCUGCGCUUCGGGUAACUCUUGGAGGGGCGUUCGUGUUCAUACUCUUCGGCUGCAAGGACUUCAGUCCAUCUGUCAGCUAGCAAAUCUUGGGCGGCUGUAAGCUGUUGCUGCUUUUUCUGGAGGCUGCUUGCCAUGGCUAAAAGCCUGUGUUUAAAACGCUCUUGUUCGGCGGGGUCUGAUGGUAUGACGAAUUUGUCGUCAUCGAGGCUUGCCUCGUCUCCAGAGGGAGGCGUAUAGUUAUCAUCCUCGACUUCUCGGUCUGCCGCUCUCUCAUGAGGGCUGGCUACUCCAUCUCCCUGUGCCGAAUCUUGCUGAGGUGGGUGUUCUUCGGCGUUAUCCGGGGUAGUAUUAUCUCCCGUGCCGGAAUCACCGUUUUUGCUUUGGCUGUUUCUUGGGGGCGUCAUCCCCCACUAUUCCAUCACCAUCUCCAUCUUUUGGAGUAUCCACCAUAUAUAUGUCAUAUGACGAGGUGGCCUUCCAGCGCCCUAUAGGUGUUGGUUCCUAUUCGUCUCCUACUUCGUCGUCCAUGCCGUCGAUGUCUUCGGAGCCGAAGUCACGCAUGUCGGUUAAAUCAUCGACAGUGGCUACAAAGUGGGUGGUGGGUGGGCUUUGAAUUUCCUCAUCGUCCGUAUCCCACCCUCGCUGACCGUAGUCCGGCCAGGGCUCUCUUGAUAAAGAGAGAGACUUAAGAGAAUUCCGGAUGUCACCAAAAGGCGAAUGCUGAAAGAUGUCUGCGGCGGUGAACUCCAUUAUCGGCGCCCAAUUGGAUUCGAUUGGCAGGGGCGCAGGGGGUUUGGAGUCCGGGAAGGAGUCCGGAUCCUCGGAGUCACGGGUCGUCCAGAGUGCGGGGCUAGCGUUCAGCUCGAUCGCUUUCGGGAUCGCAGCCCCUGAGGUGACGUCCAGCCACUCAUCCUCGAUUGGCGCAAUAGGCAUCGAGUUAGGGGUCAGAACCGAUGCGUGUGCGGCCUCCAGGACACUGUCCGGGGGCAGAGCUAGAUCAUGCCCCUCGAGAUAGUGCGGCGCGCUUGACCGUGGCUCGAGCCCGUCGAAGAUCAAGUCUCCGCGGAUGUCAGCCGUGUAGUUUAAGCUUCCAAACCUGACUUGAUGGCUAGGGGCGUAGCUUUCGAUCUGCUCCAGGUGGCCGAGCGAAUUGGCCCGCAGAGCAAAGUUGCCGAAGACGAAGAUCUGUUCGGGGAGAAAAGUAUCACCCUCGACCGCAUCGUUGUUGAUGAUCAAAGGAGCCAUCGGGCCUAAAGGCGACGACACAGAGGAACUCUCAAUGAAAGCACCAAUGUCGGUGUCAAAACCGGCGGAUCUCGGGUAGUGGGUCCCGAAUUGUGCGUCUAGGCCGGAUGGUAACAGGAGGCAGGGAACACGAUGUUUUACCCAGGUUCGGGCCCUCUUGAUGGAGGUAAAACCCUACGUCCUGCUUGAUUAAUAUUGAUGAUAUGGGUAGUACAAGAGUAGAUCUACCACGAGAUCAAGGAGGCUAAACCCUAGAAGCUAGCCUAUGGCAUGAUUGUUGUGUAUGGAGUUGAUUACCUACGGACUACAACCCUCCAGUUUAUAUAGACACCGGAUAGGGUUAGGGUUACAUAGAGUCGGUUAUAAUGGUAGGAGAUCUUGAAUAUCCACAUCGCCAAUCUUGCCUUCCACGCUAAGGAAAGUCCCAUCCGGACACAGGACAAAGUCUUCAAUCUUGUAUCUUCAUAGUCCAGGAGUCCGGCUGAAGGUCUAGUCCGGCUACCCGAACACCCCCUAAUCCAGGACUCCCUCACCGGUUCUUACACCAACUGGGAGAGAUGGGCUUCCACGUGGCCGCUGCGGCGAGCCCAGGCAGGAGGUCCUUUGGUCCCGGUUAGUGACACUGAUACGUCUCCGACAUAUCUAUAAUUUUUGAUUGCUCCAUGCUAUUAUGUUAUCCAUUUUGGAUGUUAAUGGGCUUUAUUUUACACCUUUAUAUCAUUUUUGGGACUAACCUACUAAUUGGAGGCCAAACCCAAAUUGCUGUUUUUUUUGCCUAUUUUAGGUUUUCGAAGAAGAGGAAUAUCAAACGGAGUCCAAACGGAAUGAAAACUUCGGGAACGUGAUUUUCUCAACGAACAUGAUCCAGGAGACUUGGAGUGUGCGCCAAGAAAUAAGGGAGGAAGGCACGAGGCAGGGGUCGCGCCUACCCCCCUUGGGCGUGCCCUCCACCCUCGUGGGCCCUCCACUGCUCCACCGACGUACUUCUUCCUCCUAUAUAUAUACACGUACCCCCCCAAACAACCAGGAGCACCAUGAAAACCUAAAUCCACCGCCGCAACCUUCUGUACCCGAGAGAUCCCAUCUUGGGGCCUUUUCCGGAGGGGGCAUCGAUCACGGAGGGCCUCUACAUCAACUGCAUGGCCUCUCCGAUGAUGUGUAAGUAGUUUACUUCAGACCUACGGGUCCAUAGUUAUUAGCUAGAUGGCUUCUUCUCUCUCUUUGGAUCUCAAUACAAAGUUCUCCUCGAUGUUCUUGGAGAUCUAUUCGAUGUAAUCUUCUUUUGCGGUGUGUUUGUCGAGAUCCGAUGAAUUGUAGGUUUAUGAUCCAGAUUAUCUAUGGACAAUAUUUGAUUCUCCUCUGAAUUCUUUUAUGUAUGAUUCGUUUAUCUUUGCAAGUCUCUUCGAAUUAUCAGUUUGGUUUGGCCUACUAAAUUGAUCUUUCUUGCAAUGGGAGAAGUGCUUAGCUUUGGGUUCAAUCUUGCGGUGUUCGAUCCCAGUGACUGAAAGGGAACCGAUAUUUAUUGUAUUGUUGCCAUCGAGGAUAAAAAGAUGGGGUUUAUAUCAUAUUGCAUGAGUUUAUCCCUCUACAUCAUGUCAUCUUCCUUAAAGCAUUACUCUGUUCUCUUGAACUUAAUACUCUAGAUGCAUGCUGGAUAGCGGUCGAUGUGUGGAGUAAUAGUAGUAGAUGCAGAAUCGUUUCAGUCUACUUGUCUCGGACCUGAUGCAUAUAUACAUGAGCAUAACUAUAUAUUCUCAUAACUAUGCUCAAUUCGAUCAAUUGCUCGACAGCAAUUCGUUUACCCACCGUAAUACUUAUGCUCUUGAGAGAAGCCACUAGUGAAACCUAUGGCCUCGGGGUCUAUCUUCUAUCAUAUUAAUCCUCCAAUACUUAGUCAUUUCUAUUUCUAUUUAUUUUAUUUUGCAUCUUUUAUUUCUCUUUAUCAUAAAAAUACCAAAAAUCUUAUCUUAUCAUAUCUAUCAGAUCUCACUGUCGUAAGUGACCGUGAAGGGAUUGACAACCCCUUUAUCGCGUUGGUUGCGAUGUUCUUAUUUGUUUGUGUAGGUUCGUGGGACUUGAGCAUGAUCUCCUACUGGAUUGAUACCUUGGUUCUCAAAAACUAAGGGAAAUACUUACGCCGAUUUAUUUCAUCACUCUUUCUUCUUCAAGGGAAAACCAACGCAAUGCUCAAGAGGUAGUGUCGGUGUCAAAACCGGCGGAUCUCGGGUAGUGGGUCCUGAACUGUGCGUCUAGGCCGGAUGGUAACAGGAGGCAGGGAACACGAUGUUUUACCCAGGUUCGGGCCCUCUUCAUGGAGGUAAAACCCUAUGUCCUGCUUGAUUAAUAUUAAUGAUAUGGGUAGUACAAGAGUAGAUCUACCAUGAGAUCAAGGAGGCUAAACCCUAGAAGCUAGCCUAUGGUAUGAUUGUUGUAUAUGGAGUUGAUUGCCUACGGACUACAACCCUCCGAUUUAUAUAGACACCGGAUAGGGUUAGGGUUACAUAGAGUCGGUUACAAUGGUAGGAGAUCUUGAAUAUCCGCAUCGCCAAGCUUGCCUUCCACGCCAAGGAAAGUCCCGUCCGGACACGGAACGAAGUCUUCAAUCUUGUAUCUUCACAGCCCAGGAGUCCGGCUGAAGGUAUAGUCCGGCUAUCCGAACACCCCCUAAUCCAGGACUCCCUCAGUAGCCCCUGAACCAGGCUUCAAUGACGACGAGUCCGGCACGCAAAUUGUCUUCGGCAUUGCAAGGCGGGUUCCUCCUCCAAGUCCUUCAUACAAGAUUGUAAGCACCAAGAGUAGUGUCCGACUCUGCAAAAUAAGCUUCCACAUAUCGCCAUAGAGAGAAUAAUAUUAACACAAAUCAAAUCCGCUGACGUAUUCCGCAGUGCGUCAUCACACUACAGCCAAGUCCUUCACUCGAAUCGUUUUCACUUUUCCACCCCAGUGUGUUUUGCGAGGUGGUUUCCUUGGCACGUCUUGUCAAAGCAGAGAUCGUGUCCCCUUUGUUUACGGGAUUCUCGUUAAUACGGACGUGGGUAACCCAACCGCGCCACUUAUCAUGGCGCUUGGGAGGCAAGCGAGUUCUACUAGGCUGGUGGGGACGCAUAGUCGCAUCCGCCCAUAUAAGGGGAUAAGGAUCCACCUUUUUACCUAUGCCUUCUUCCUCCUUUGCCUAUCCAUCUUCUGCGCACCCGAGCUCUAGUGCCCCAUCCCGCGCUUCCUACCUCAACCCUCUCCAACAAUGUCCGGAGCGGGAGGCAAGUGGAUGGUCUCCUCCGUCACGAAGGGCCAUGUCAAAAGGUUAAGGAAGGCCGGAUACUUGUCCAAAGACAUCGCGCACCGGCUUCCUGAGGAGGGGCAGCUUCUCCCCACCCCAAGGCCCCAUGAGAGGGUAGUAUUUCUUCCCCACUUCCUCCGCGGACUGGGUUUUCCUAUCCACCCAUUUGUCCGCGGGCUCCUGUUCUACUAUGGCCUAGAUUUCCAUGAUCUGGCCCCGAACUUCAUCCUGAAUAUCUCGGCAUUUAUCGUCGUGUGCGAGGCUUUCCUCUGCAUUCGCCCCCAUUUCAGCCUCUGGCUCAAGACCUUCAACGUCAAGCCAAAGGUGGUGCGCGGUAACCAGGCGGAGUGCGGAGGUGCCAUGGCGGGAGAAAUUGCCAACGUCCUAGGGCUCGAGGGCUCCUUUGUGGAGACCUUGAAGGGGUGGUAGUCAGGGUGAUUUUACAUCACCGAGCCACGCGAUCCGAAGUGGAUCGCAGCCCCUGAAUUCCGAUCCGGACCCCCUACACGGCUCACGUCCUGGAAGGAGACGAGCUUGUCGUGGGGCGACGAAGGAGAGUUGACCGGACUGCAAAAAUGCAUCCAGUCCCUGGUGAACAAGCAGCUCAAGCUUGUCAACGUAAUCUAGGUCAUGCUCGUCCGCCGGAUCCUUCCGUGUCAAGAACGGGACAUCAAUUUGUGGGAGUUCAACCCGGUGCAGCAACGAACUCUGAGAAGGCUCUUUGACACGACGUACGAAGUUGUCUGGAGGGGGCUAACCAAAGGCGCCGAGGCUCCCACAUCCGCCUCCGAUGACCGCGGAUUCAGCUCGCAGCGUCCUGCUGGCGAGGUAAGAUAUUUCCAUCUUUUACAGGAUAUUAAGUUUUUUCAUAGUUGACUCUAUGCGGGAUCUAAACUCCCUCACCUUUGACAGGAUUGGCGGGAGAAGUCCGGACAGAUUAACUGCCCGGCUCCCUUGCCAAGCCGGAGAAGAGGGCCAAGAAGAAGAAGGCCACGGGGACUCGAAAGAGUUCCUGGCAUAUGGUGGUGUCGGACUCGUCGUCCGACGAGUCCGAGAUGCACUCCUCCCGUGAAUACGAGGAGGAAGAAGAAACCUCUCCCCCUCCAGCGGGGGGAGGAGAGAAGAGGAAGGCCGCCCCAGUAGGGGAGGCCGAGGGGUCCAAGAAGAGGAAAACCCAUCCGCCGGACUACGUCCCCGACACCGACGAGGACGAAGAGGAGUGGCCGGACAGGGCCAAGCGUCCGGCGAGAUCGUAAUUCUUCGGAUACCAGAGUAACUCGUGAUAUUCCUUUUGUUGCACAGGUUUCGCUAAUGUCAGAUAUAAUCAUGCAGUCCACCCAAGGACGGGCACGACGAGUCGUCGAGCGGCUCCCUGGAUUCAUCGGACGCGAAUUCAGUUCCGCCUACUGCUUCCCCCUAUGCUGCAGAUGACGCCGAAGUGGCGUCGCGACAAGCUCCGGGGCGAGAGGAGGUGGUCCAGGAGGAGUCGCGAGGUGACCUCCCGGACUCCAGGAGUGAAGGGGACAAGACCCCCAUGGGCUCCAAGUCCGGCUUUAAGCUGGACACUGCGCCGGAAUCAUCAAUGGUUCCGGACCGCGGUAGGCGAACUCCUGCCAAGAGGAGCAAGCCUACUGAGCCGGCAUCCUCCGUCCAGCCGGAGGCGCCGCACAAUCUGGUGGAGGAGCUUAAGGGCGCCUCCAUCGACGAGGAGCAUCGUGCCGUCAUGAGUACGGUGAUCCAGAAGGUUCGGUCCGCCAAAAGCGGACUGACUGAAGCUUGUGCUAGCCUUCUAACAGGCUUCGAGGUAAGUAAAAAUAUGUAAAAAUAUUACCGUAUAGACAGUAGCCCCUGAUGCUCUGUUUGGCGUUUGUAAAGAAAAGCCAAAUAGAGGAUCUAUUAAAUAUCCCAGGAGUCUAACUAAAAAGGAGUCAAUAUACGUAUGUAGGCUUCGCUGCUGGCCAUCGCCGCACUGACUGCGGAGGUGGGUGCCCUUAAGCAGGGCCUCCAGCGGACCGAGCAAGAGCUCGGCCUUGCCAAACGGCAGCUCGAGGAGAAAGAAGGUAAGAUAUACCUUAGAGAAAAAGUGCCUAUAAAAAGGCUUGAUUGCAAAAAGAGUAACAGGAUUGUACUGCUUAUUGUAGGGGCUACGACUGAGGUGGCGACCUUUAAGCAGGUGUUGUCUGAGGCCGAAAAGAAAACGGCCGCGGAGCGCACCGAGCGAGACAGACUUGGGGCUCAGGUCAGCGAGGUGCAGCAAGAGCUUCAGGCUCUCAUGAAAAAACAUGAGAGUUUGGAGCUGGAAUCGAAGGCGCAAGCAUCCGAGCUUGCAAUGGCCCUAGAGGCUGCCAAGUCUGCCAAGGCCGAAGCCCUAAAGGCCCUCCAAGAGUUGGAGGAGAUGAGGAAGAUAGCAGCGGGUAAGGCAUUCUUUAUGCAAAGCAGAAAUAUAAAAGUGAACUACCUGUUACUUACCCAAAUCCGAAGCUCUCCAGGGGCAUUCGCAGAUCUUCCCAGCAGCGUAUCCGACGCCGCCGCAUUCUGCCAAGCUGAAGAGGGUAGCUCGACGGAGAAGGUGUUCUGGUUUCAGUAUUCUAAGGCCGGACACCCUGUGCCCUUGAGCGACCAGCUGAAACAGCUGGUUGAGCUCCACAAGGCGGCCGAGCAGGCCAUGAAGGGCUUCAUAGUUCGGCUGUGGCCCGGAGAGGCCCUACUUGGGAGCUAUUUCGGGCUAGUGCGGCGGCUUGUGGAGGCCUGUCCGAGGCUUGAGGUCAUCAAGUGCUCCGUCUGCAUCGAAGGUGCCCGUCGGGCCCUUGCCCGUGCAAAGGUGCACUGGGGUAAGCUGGAUGGUGAGAAGCUUGUGAAGGACGGGCCGCCGCCGGGGAAGGAGCAUCGCAAGCCCGAGAACUACUACAAGGAUGUUCUUGCAGGUGCCCGCCUUGUGGCGGAUGAAUGUACCAAGGAUGUGAUAUUUGAAUGAACUCGCUCGUGUUUAUCCUGUGCGCUGAAAACUUGUUCAUAUGCGCUAAGCAAUGCUUAUUGAAUUUAAAAUAUUACUUUCUGUGCGGCCAUUUAUCAAAAAUUGAGAGAUGGCCAGUCGUCGGCUUUUGCCCCCGUGCCACUAGUGCUGGGGUGUUCGGGAUAAACCUGAGCGCUCUUUUUCCCAUAGUUGGGUCCUUCGAGGGAGGCGCUCACCACAACGAAUCAGGCAAUCAGACUAUAAUGCUUGAACACUCUCACUUAGCCAUAGAGCUCUAUAAUUUUAAAUUUCGGUGAAGCUCCUAGUUUGGAAGACCGAGUUCGGGGCGCUAUCCACGCCUUGGCCGGACAAAGCCAGCUCCUCGCUCGAAGCGGCAUAAGCCUUUAGGGACUCGAAAAACCUCUCGAACAGCGACUGGUCUCUCGCCACAUCAUGACAGUCAGUUUUAGCUUUCUCCACUGAGGUGCUUAACCCAGCUGAACCGGGGCACAAUCGCAGUGGUUCUCCUAGUGCUACCUUAGCCGAUAGAGCGGAACGUAAGGCACCAAAACAUAGGAGCCGGGCAAACCCAACUAUUGACCCAAAUCAUGAUUCGGAGCCGAUGCAUAUAGUGCUAUAAGUUCGGGGUGCCGCACUUGUGAAAGCGUACGGACUUCUCACACCAUUAUGAGGGGUUCUGAAGCCCCUGGCGUGUUUGCCAUACCAUGGUGUACGGGUGCAAUCAUGUCAUUUAAUAAACAUAAAUGUGAAAAGAAGACAACGCAAAAAAUAGACUAGAAGCUAAGCAUUGUUUAUAGAGAGGCUAUUUAUCAAAGCCGGACGAUACAAAUACUGAAGUAAGCAAAAGAUAUUGGACUAUUCAGUAUGUCCUGACCAGGGGCAGGCCGCGGAAUUGUAUUUAAAACAGGUAUACCGCUCGUAACAGAGACCACAUGGGAGUUCCAUAAUGCGUCAUGGCUUGUCUGCCUCCCUGGAUCUUGCAUCGUUUGUGCGGCAGUCGAAUAUCCGAACAGGUCAUCCGAAGUAUGGAGUCCUGAAAGAAGAAAAAAUUAAAAAAAGAAUCCGGCAGCCCCUAGUACGUAUUAAGCCGUAUUUUGGGCAUGUCGUUAUUGUGCCCCUUCUCCUGUGCCCAUGGUAUUUCAAGGGCGUAGUUAUGUCCGCGAGGUACUGGUUUCGCUAUGUCGCGAAAGCUGGGGUUGGGGCCGCAUUGCUACGCUUGCUCAGAGUGUGCCAGGCGGUCCUGCUGUGGGUUACUCCGGGCGUGCUUGGCAGUGCCUGGCUUUUUAAUGGCCGGACCGGAGAAUUGCCUGAGAAGGCUACUUUGUACCUCCGCUGCGAGAGCCACCGUAUGCUCCUCCAUACGGAGGGAGCGUUCGGUGUUUCCGUUGACCGUAAUUACUCCUUGAGGGCCUGGCAUCUUGAGCUUGAGAUAUGCGUAGUGCGGCACCGCGUUGAUCUUUGCGAAUGCGGUUCGUUCGAGCAGGGCAUGAUAGCCACUGCGAAACGGUACUAUAUCGAAGAUUAACUCUUCGCUUCGGAAAUUAUCCGGGGACCUGAAGACCACAGCAAGUGUUACUGAGCCUGUACAAUUGGCUUCUACACCUGGUAUAACGCCUUUAAAGGUUGUUCUUGUGGGCUUAAUCCUUGAGGGAUCUAUGCCCAUUUUCCGCACUGUAUCCUGAUAAAGCAGGUUCAGGCUAAUGCCGCCGUCCAUGAGGACUCUUGUGAGAUAAAAUCCUUCGAUGAUUGGGUCGAGAACCAAUGCGGCAAAGCCGCCAUGACGGAUGCUAGUGGGAUGGUCCCUUCGAUCGAAAAUGAUCGGGCAGGAGGACCAUGGGUUGAACUUUGGGGCGACUGGCUCCAUCGCAUAUACGUCCCGUAGUGCAUGCUUCCGCUCCCGCUUGGGAAUGUGGGUUGCGUAUAUCAUGUUCACCGUCCACACUUGUGGGGGAAAGCCCUUCUGUCCAUUGUUGUUCGGCGGCUUGGGCUCCUCCUCGUCGCUGUGCAGCCCCUUGUCUCUAAUUUCGGCCCUUAACUUGCCUGCCUGCUUGAACACCCAACAAUCCUGUUAGUGUGAUUGGCUGGCCUUUCGGGGGUGCCAUGUGUCUGGCAUAAGCGAUCGAGUAUUCGGUCCAAACUGGACGGGCCCUGAGUAUUCUUUUUGAAUGGCUUUUUCCGCUGACCGGAUUUAUAGCCUUUGAAUCCGGCAUUGACUGCCGUGUCUUCAUUGCUGUCGCUGCUAACGCGGCGUUUUUGCUUAUUCCGACGUGUCCUGCCACUUUUGUCCUUGGUAUCCGAAUUACCAGGGUUCUUUGAUAAGUUGUUACUGCGAGCUAGCCAGCUGUCUUCUCCCGCGCAAAAGCGGGUCAUGAGUGUCAUGAGGGCUGCCAUGGAUUUCGUCUUUUCCUGUCCCAGGUGCCGGGCAAGCCACUCGUCGCAGAUGUUAUGCUUCAAGGCUGCCAGGGCCUUUGCGUCCGGACAGUCGACUAUCUGGUUUUUCUUUGUUAGGAACCGUGUCCAGAAUUGUCUGGCCGAUUCCUCUGGCUGCUGAAUUAUGUGGCUUAAGUCGUCGGCAUCCAGUGGUCGCACGUAAGUGCCCUGGAAGUUGUCGAGGAAUGCGGCUUCCAGGUCCUCCCAAGAACCGAUUGAGUCUGCUGGCAAGCUGUUAAGCCAAUGCCGGGCCGGUCCUUUAAGUUUGAGCGGGAGGUAUUUGAUGGCGUGUAGAUCAUCGCCGCAUGCCAUGUGGAUGUGAAGGAGAUAAUCCUCGAUCCAUACCGCCGGAUCUGUUGUGCCAUCGUAUGAUUCGAUGUUUACGGGUUUGUAACUCUCUGGGAUUUUAUGAUCCAUUACUUCAUUCGUGAAGCAUAGUGGUUGUGCGGGUCCUCUGUAUUGGGCUAUAUCACGACGCAGCUCGGACGAGCUAUGUCUGUUGUGUUCGGCCCGGGGCCGGAUUUGUCGUAUCCGGAGUGAAGAUCAUUUUCCCGUGCCUUAGUUGAGCGGUGUCGGGGCAUGCCUUGGGUGGAGGGCCGAGACGCCUCUCUGUCGGGGCCGCGAGGUGGCCGGUCUGCCAUGUCAUGCGCUGGUGAUGUAGGUGCUUCCUCCUCUGAUCGGGGUAGCUGCCUGCGCUUCGGGUAACUCUUGGAGGGGCGUUCGAGUUCAUACUCUUCGGCCGCAAGGACUUCAGUCCAUCUGUCAGGUAGCAAAUCUUGGGCAGCUCUAAGCUGUUGCUGCUUUUUCUUGAGGCUGCUUGCCGUGGCUAAAAGCCUGCGUUUAAACGCUCUUGUUCGGCGGGGUCUGAUUGUAUGACGAAUUCGUCGUCAUCGAGGCUUGCCUCGUCUUCGGAGGGAGGCGUAUAGUUAUCAUCCUCGACCUCUCAGUCUGCCGCUCUCUCAUGAGGGCUGGCUUCUCCAUCUUCCUGUGCCGAAUAUUGCUGAGGUUGGUGUUCUUCGGCGCUAUCCGGGGUAGUAUUAUCUCUCGUGUCAGAAUCACCGUUUUUGCUUUGGCGGGAUUUAGGGUGGCGCCGCUGGUGCCGGUGCUUUGGUUGUUUCUUGGGGGCGUCAUCCCCCACUGUUCCAUCGCCAUCUCCAUCUUUUGGAGUAUCCACCAUAUAUAUGUCAUACGACGAGGUGGCCUUCCAGCGCCCUACAGGUGCUGGUUCCUAUUCGUCUCCUACAUUGUCGUCCAGGCCGUCAAUGUCUUUGGAGCUGAAGUCAAGCAUGUCGGUUAGAUCGUCGAUACUGGCUACAAAGUGGGUGGUGGGUGGGCUUUGAAUUUCCUCAUCGUCCGUAUCCCACCCUCGCUGACCGUAGUCCGGCCAGGGCUCUCCUGAUAAAGAGAGAUACUUAAGAGAAUUCAGGAUGUCGCCAAAAGGCGAAUGCUGAAAGAUGUCUGUGGCGGUGAACUCCAUUAUCGGCGCCCAAUCGGAUUCGAUUGGCAGGGGCGCGGGUGGUUUGGAGUCCGGGGAGGAGUCCAGAUCCUCGGAGUCACCGGUCGUGCAGAGUGCGGGGCUAGCAUUCGGCUCGAUCGCUUUCGGGAUCGCAGCCCCCGAGGUGACGUCCAACCGCUCAUCCUCGAUUGGCGCAAUAGGUUCCGAGUUAGGGGUCGGAACCGAUGCGUGUGCGGCCUCCAGGACACUGGCCGGGGGCAGAGCUAGAUCAUGCCCCUCGGGAUAGUGCGGCGCGCUUGGCCGUGGCUCGAGCCCGUCGAAGAUCAAGUCUCCAUGGAUGUCUGCCGUGUAGUUUAAGCUUCCAAACCUGACUUGAUGGACAGGGGCGUAGCUUUCGAUCUGCUACAGGUGGCCGAGCGAAUUGGCUCGCAGAGCGAUGCCGCCGAAGACGAAGAUCUGUCCGGGGAGAAAAGUCUCACCCUGGACCGCAUCGUUGUUGAUGAUCAAAGGAGCCAUCGGGCCUAAAGGUGACGAGACAGAGGAACUCUCAAUGAAAGCACCAAUGUCGGUGUCAAAACCAGUGGAUCUCGGGUAGUGGGUCGCGAACUGUGCGUCUAGGCCGGAUGGUAACAGGAGGCAGGGAACACGAUGUUUUACCUAGGUUCCGGCCCUCUUGAUGGAGGUAAAACCCUAUGUCCUGCUUGAUUAAUAUUGAUGAUAUGGGUAGUACAAGAGUAGAUCUACCACGAGAUCAAGGAGGCUAAACCCUAGAAGCUAGCCUAUGGUAUGAUUGUUGUAUAUGGAGUUGAUUGCCUACGGACUACAACCCUCCGGUUUAUAUAGACACCGGAUAGGGUUAGGGUUACAUAGAGUCAGUUACAAUGGUAGGAGAUCUUGAAUAUCCACAUCGCCAAGCUUGCCUUCCACGCCAAGGAAAGUCCCGUCCGGACCCGGGACGAAGUCUUCAAUCUUGUAUCUUCAUAGCCCAGGAGUCCGGCUGAAGGUAUAGUCCGGCUACCCGAACACCCCCUAAUCCAGGACUCCCUCAGGUAGCAAGAUGGAUUUCUGGCGCCGUUGCCGGGGAGACUCGCGCCAAGUAAAGACAUACCAAGUACCCAUCACAAACCCUUAUCCCUCGCAUUACAUUAUUUUCCAUUUGCCUCUCGUUUUCCUCUCCCCCACUUCACCCUUGCCGUUUUAUGCGCCCUCUCUUUUUUCCUUCGCCUCUUUUCCACUUGCUUUGUCAUUAUGGCUAGUCCUUUAUCUACUCCUUUGUCUCCCGAGAAUGAAGUUCUUAAUUUUAAACAAAGGGAGGGAGAAAAUCUAAAAGAUGCUUGGUACAGAAUUUGCAACACGCAAAUUAGAUCUACUAGGAAACAAUCUACUUUUGUUCUUCUUCACAAUUUUUAUGUAGGCAUCACACCUAGGAAUAGAUAUAUUCUUGAUGCCAUUACCGGAGGGAAUUUCUUGGGUAGCCAUACUUUUGAUUCUUAUAAUGCUAUGAUAGAUCUGUUUGGCCCACCACCUCUUUUGGUUAAUGGAACUAUUUUAACUUUGGAACAUGUGAUGCAAUGGCUUGAAAUUAGUGAAAAUAAAGUUGCCACCAUAGAGUUAAUUGAAAAUUUGGAUAGAAAGAUCCACAACCAAAUUACCCAAUACGGAUCUAAGUUAGGAGUUGCUCUUAAAAGUUUUAAAGAAAAGGGACCUAUGGUUAAUGAAAAGAUAGAAAAAGAUUCCACUAGAAUUGUUAAAUUGAGGAUAUUAUUACCAACCUUGGGUCUUCCUUUUCUUCUAUUAUAAAUACUCUACCUAAUGCUAAGAUUGCCAAACUAAUGUAUGUUACAAAAAAUAAUGGUGAAACUUCUAAUAAGGAAAAUGCGGAUCUCAAAUCCAUAAGUGUUCACCCCAAUUUUCUCACUAUCCUGAAGGAACCUUUUGCUACAAAUGAUUUUCUUGAUUUCGUACCUAGGAGUUUGAUAAUUAAUAAAAACCAAGAAACUCCUAAAAGUUAUUGGUGUCUUAUUGAAGAAUCACCUUCCAAAGACGGCAAUACCUAGGUCUAUCUUCGCUUUUAUGCCUAGCUAGGGGCGUUAAACGAUAGCGCUUGUUGGGAGGCAACCCAGUUUUAUUUUUAUUCCUUGCUUUUUGCUCCUAUUUAGUAAUAAAUAAUUUAUGUAGCCUCUGUUUUGGUUUGUGUUUUUUGUGUUUAAUUUGUGUUUGUGCCAUGUAGAACCGUUGGGUAGACUUGGGGAAAGUCUUUUUGAUCUUGCUGUAAAAAACAGAAACGUUAGCGCUCACGAGAAUCGCUGACAUUUUUAUUUGGAAAGUGAUAUUUAGAUAAUUAUUUUUGCAGAUGAUUAAUAGAUAAAUUCCUCACGUCUAGAAAUUUAUUUUAUAAUUUUUGGGGUUACAGAAGUUUGCGUUAGGUACAGAUUACUACAGACUGUUCUGUUUUUGACAGAUUAUGUUUUUCGUGUAUUGUUUGCUUAUUUUGAUGAAUCUAUGGCUAGUAAAAGAGGUUAUAAACCGUAGAGAAGUUGGAAUACAGUAGGUUUAACACCAAUAUAAAUCAAGAUUGAGUUCAUAACAGUACCUUGAAGUGGUGUUUUGUUUUCUUUCGCUAACGGAGCUCACGAGAUUUUCUAUUUGAGUUUUCUGUUGUGAAGUUUUCAAGUUUUGGGUAAAGAUUUGAUGGAUUGUGGAACAAGGGGUGGCAAGAGCCUAAGCUUGGGGAUUCCCAUGGCACACCAAGGUAAAAUUCAAGGACACCAAAAAGCCUAAGCUUGGGGAUGCCCCGGAAGGCAUCCCCUCUUUCGUCUUCGUCUAUUGGUAACUUUACUUGGAGCUAUAUUUUUAUUCACCACAUGAUAUGUGUUUUGCUUGGAGCGUCUUGUAUGAUUUGAUUAUUUGAUUUUUAGUUUACCAAAAUCAUCCUUGCUGUACACACCUUUUGAGAGAGACUCACAUGAUUGGGAAUUUAUGAGAGUACUCGAUGUGCUUCACUUAUAUCUUUUGAGCUAUAUGGUUUUUGUUCUAGUUCUUCACUUAUAUAUUUUAGAGCACGGCGGUGGUUUUAUUUUAUAGAAAUAAUUGUUCUCUCAUGCUUCACUUAUAUUAUUUUGAGAGUCCUUUAGAACAACAUGGCAAUAAUAAAACUGUCAUACAAGUGCAUUGAAUACUAUGAGAAGUUUGAUACUUGAUAAUUGUUUUGAGAUAUGGAGAUGGUGAUAUUAGAGUCAUGCUAGUUGUGUAGUUGUGAAUUUGAGAAAUACUUGUGUUGAAGUUUGUGAUUCCCGUAGCAUGCACGUAUGGUGAACCGUUAUGUGACGAAGUCGGAGCAUGAUUUAUUUGUUGAUUGUCUUCCUUAUGAGUGGCGGUCGGGGAUGAGCAAUGGUCUUUUACUACCAAUCUAUCUCCCUAGGAGCAUGGGCAUAAUACUUUGCUUUGAUAACUUGUAGAUUUUUGCAAUAAGUAUGUGAGUUCUUUCUGACCAAUGUUGAGUCCAUGGAUUAUACGCACUCUCACCCUUCCACCAUUGCUAGCCUCUCUAAUACCGCGCACUUCUCGCCGAUAUCAUACACCCACCAUAUACCAUCCUCAAAACAGCCACCAUACCUACCUAUUAUUGCAUUUCCAUAGCCAUUCCGAGAUAUAUUGCCAUGCAACUUUUCAUCGUUCCAUUAUUAUGACACACUUCAUCAUUGUCAUAUUUGCUUGCAUGAUCAUGUAGUUGGCAUUGUAUUUGUGCAAAGCCACCGUUAAUAAUUCUUCAUACAUGUCACUCUUCAUUCACUUCAUAUCCCGGUACACCGCCGGAGGCAUUCACAUAGUCAUAUUUUGUUCUAAGUAUCGAGUUGUAAUUCUUGAGUUGUAAGUAAAUAAAAGUGUGAUGAUCAUCAUUAUUAGAGCAUUGUGCCAAGUGAGGAAAGGAUGGAGACUAUGAUUCCACAACAAGUCGGCAUGAGACUCCAGACGAAAAUAAAAAAAGAGGGGAAAAAGAGAAAGGCCAUAGAAAAAGAAGGCCCAAAAAAUGAGAGAAAAAGAGAGAAGGGGCAAUGUUACUAUCCUUUUUCCACACUUGUGCUUCAAAGUAGCACCAUCAUCUUCAUGAUAGAGAGUCUCCUAUGAUAUCACUUUCAUAUACUAGUGGGAAUUUUUCAUUAUAGAACUUGGCUUGUAUAUUCCAAUGAUGGGCUUCCUCAAAUUGCCCUAGGUCUUCGUGAGCAAGCAAGUUGGAUGCACACCCACUUAGUUUCUUUUGUUGAGCUUUCAUACACUUAUAGCUCUAGUGCAUCCGUUGCAUGGCAAUCCCUACUCACUCACAUUGAUAUCUAUUAAUGGGCAUCUCCAUAGCCCGUUGAUACGCCUGUUCCGGAGCUCCGCCGGAGGGGGCAUCGAUCACGGAGGGCUUCUACAUCAACAGCAUAGCCUCUUCGAUGAAGUGUGAGUAGUUGACCUCAGACCUAUGGGUCCAUAGUUAUUACCUAGAUGGCUUCUUUUCUCUUUUUGGAUCUCAAUACAAUGUUCUCCCCCUCUCUUGUGGAGAACUAUUCGAUGUAAUCUUCUUUUUGCGGUGUGUUUAUUGAGACCGAUGAAUUGUGGGUUUAUGAUCAAGUCUAUCUAUGAAUAAUAUUUGAAUCUUCUCUGAAUUCUUUUAUGUAUGAUUGUUUAUCUUUGCAAGUCUCCUCGAAUUAUCAGUUGGUUUGGCCUACUAGAUUGAUCUUUCUUACAAUGGGAGAAGUGCUUCGCUUUGGGUUCAAUCUUGCGGUGUCCUUUCCCAGUGACAAUAGGGGCAGCAAGGCAUGUAUUGUAUUGUUGCCAUCGAGGAAAACAAGAUGAGGUUUUCAUCAUAUUGCAUGAGUCUAUCCCUCUACAUCAUGUCAUCUAGCUUAAGGCGUUACUCUGUUUUUAACUUAAUACUCUAGAUGCAUGCUGGAUAGCGGUCGAUGAGUGGAGUAAUAGUAGUAGAUGCAGGCAGGAGUCGGUCUACUUGUCUCGGACGUGAUGCCUAUAUACAUGAUCAUACCUAGAUAUUCUCAUAAAUAUGCUCAAUUCUGUCAAUUGCUCAACAGUAAUUUGUUCACCCACCAUAGAAUAAUUAUGCUCUCGAGAGAAGCUACUAGUGAAACCUAUGGCCCCCGGGUCUAUCUUUAUCAUAUUAAUCUCCUACUACUUAGUUAUUUCCUUUGCUUUUUCCUUUGCCUUUAUUUUACUUUUCAUCUUUAUCACAAAAAUACCAAACAUAUUAUCUUUAUCAUAUCUAUCAGAUCUCACUCUCGUAAGUGGCCGUGUAGGGAUUGACAACCCCUAUUCACGUUGGUUGCGAGGAUUUAUUUGUUUUGUGCAAGUACGAGGGACUCGCGCGUAGCCUCCUACUGGAUUGAUAUCUUGGUUCUCAAAAACCGAGGGAAAUACUUACGCUACUUUGCUACAUCAUCCCUUCCUCUUCGGGGAAAACCAACGCAGUGCUCAAGAGGUAGCAAGAAGGAUUUCUGGUGCCAUUGCCAGGGAGGUCUACGCAAAAGUUAACAUACCAAGUACCCGUCACAUACCCUUAUCUCCCGCAUUAUAUUAUUUGCCAUUUGCCUCUCGUUUUCACCUCCCCCACUUCACCCUUGCCGUUUUAUUCGCCCUCUCUCUCUAUCCUCCCUCUCUUUCUCUAUUUGCCUCUUUUUUCCCGCUUGCUUUCUGUUUGCUUGUGUGUUAGUUGCUUGCUUGUCACGAUGGCUCAAGAUAAUACUAAAUUAUGUGACUUCACCAAUACCAACAACAAUGAUUUUAUUAGCACUCCGAUUGCUCCUCUUAUCGAUGCUGAAUCUUGUGAAAUUAAUACUGCUUUGCUGAAUCUUGUCAUGAAAGAUCUGUUUUCCGGCCUUCCUAGUGAAGAUGCCGGUACCCACCUAAAUAGAUUCAUUGAUUUGUGUGACAUGCAAAACAAGAAAGGUGUGGAUAAUGAUAUUGUUAAAUUGAAGCUAUUUCCUUUUUCGCUUAGAGAUCGUGCUAAACUUGGUUUUCGUCUUUGCCUAAAAAUAGUAUUGAUUCAUGGAAUAAGUGCAAAGAUGCUAUUAUCUCUAAGUAUUUUCCUCCUGCUAAGAUCAUCUCUCUUAGAAACGAUAUUAUGAAUUUUAAGCAACUUGAUCAUGAAUAUGUUGCACAAGCUUGGGAGAGAAUGAAACUAAUGGUACGUAAUUGCCCUGCCCAUGAUUUAAAUUUGUGGAUGAUUAUACAAAAUUUUUAUGCCGGAUUGAAUUUUGCUUCUAGAAAUCUUUUAGAUUCGGCCGCGGGAGGCACUUUUAUGGAAAUCACUUUAGGAGAAGCUACUAAACUCCUAGAUAAUAUUAUGGUUAAUUAUGCUCAACGGCAUACUAAAAGAUCUAAUAAUAAAAAGGUGCAUGCGAUAGAAGAAAUUAAUGUUUUGAGUGGAAAGAUGGAUGAACUUCUGAAAUUAUUUGCUAAUAAGAGUGUUUCUUCUGAUCCUAAUGAUAUGCCCUUGUCUACUUUGAUUGAGAAUAAUAAUGAAUCUGUGGAUGUGGAUUUUGUUGGUAGGAACAAUUUUGGUAACAGCGCGUAUAGAGGAAAUUUCAACCCUAGGCCUUAUCCUAGUAAUCUCUCUAAUAAUUACGGUAAUUCCUACAACAAUUCUUAUGGAAAUUAUAAUAAGAUGCCCUCUAAUUUUGAAUCUAAUAUUAAAGAAUUUAUUACUUUGCAAAAGAAUUUCAAUGCCUUGAUUGAAGAAAAAUUGCUUAAGAUUGAUGAUUUGGCUAGGAACGUUGAUAGAAUUACUCUUGAUGUUGAUUCUUUGAAACUUAGAUCUAUUCCACCUAAGCAUGAUGUCAAUGAGUCUCUCAAAGCCAUGAGAAUUUCCAUUGAUGAGUGCAAAGAAAGAACCGCUAAGAUGCGUGCUAAGAAAGAUGCCUUUAUAAGAGCGUGUUCUUCUAGUUCCUAUGAAAAUAAUGAUGAAGAUCUAAAAGUUAUAGAUGUGUUCCCUAUUAAAUAUUUGUUUUUCAAUAUGAAUCUUGAUAAUGAUGGGACUGAAUAUGAUCCACCUUUACCUAUAAGGCGUUCGAAGAAUUCAGAAUUUGUUGAUCUUGAUGCUAAAAUUGAUAAAGGUGGGAUUGAAGAAAUUAAAACCCUAGAUGUUGCUAAACCCACUAUUAUGGAUUUCAAGGAAUUUAACUAUGAAAAUUGCUCUUUGAUUGAUUGUAUAUCCUUUUUACAAUCCGUGCUAAAUUCUCCUCAUGCUUAUAGUCAAAAUAAAGCGUUUACUAAACAUAUCGUUGAUGCCUUGAUGCAAUCUUAUGAAGAAAAACUUGAAUUGGAAGUUUCUAUCCCUAGAAAGCUUUAUGAUGAUUGGGAACCAACUAUUAAAAUUAAAAUUAAAUAUCAUGAAUGCUAUGCUUUAUGUGAUUUGGGUGCUAGUGUUUCCACGAUUCCAAAGACUUUGUGUGAUUUGUUAGGUUUCCGUGAUUUUGAUGAUUGCUCUUUAAACUUGCGCCUUGUGGAUUCCACUAUUAAGAAACCUAUGGGAAGAAUUAAUGAUGUUCUUAUGGAUGCAAAUAGGAAUUAUGUGCCUGUAGAUUUUAUUCUUCUUGACAUAGAUUGCAAUCUUUCAUGUCCUAUUAUUCUUGGUAGACCUUUCCUUAGAAUGAUUGGUACAAUUAUUGAUAUGAAGGAAGGAAAUAUUAGAUUCCAAUUUCCAUUAAGGAAAUUCAUGGAACACUUUACUAGAAAGUAAAUUAAAUUACCUUAUGAAUCUAUUAUGAUAGCCACUUGUGGAUUGCCUACCAAAGAUGGCAAUACCUAGAUCUAUCCUUGCUUGUUAUGCCUAGCUAGGGGCGUUAAACGAUAGCGCUUGUUGGGAGGCAACGCAAUUUUGUUUUUAUUCCUUGAUUUUUGCUCCUGUUUAGUAAUAAAUAAUUUAUCUAUCCUCUGUUUUGGUUGUGUUCUUUGUGUUUAAUUAGUGUUGGUGCCAAGUAGAACCGUUAGGAAGACUUGGGGAAAGUCUUGUUACACUUGCUGUAAAAAACAGAAACUUCGGCGCUCAUGAGAACUGCUGCCAUUUUUAUUUGGAAAGUGCUAUUUAGUUAAUUAUUUCUGCAGAUGAUUAAUAGAUAAAUUCCUCACGUCCAGAAAUUUAUUUUAGAAUUUUUGGGGUUCCAGCUCUUGAGCUAGGUACAGAUUACUACAGAUUGUUCUGUUUUUGAAAGAUUCUGUUUUUUCGUGUGUUGUUUGCUUAUUUUGAUGAACCUAUGGCUAGUAAAAUAGUUCAUAAACCAUAGAGAAGUUGGAAUACAGUAGGUAUAACACCAGUAUAAAUAAAUAAUGAGUUCAUUAUAGUACCUUGAAGUGGUCUUUUAUUUUCUUUCGCUAACGGAGCUCACGAGAUUUUCUACUUUAAGUUUUGUGUUGUGAAGUUUUCAAGUUUUGGGUAAAGAUUUGAUGGUUUAUGGAACAAGGAGUGACAAGAGCCUAAGCUUGGGGAUGCCCAUGGCACCCCCAAGAUAAUCUAAGUACACCUAAAAGCCAAAGCUUGGGGAUGCCCCGGAAGUCAUCCCCUCUUUCGUCUACUUCUAUCGGUAACUUUACUUGGAGCUAUAUUUUUAUUCGCCACAUGAUAUGUGUUUUGCUUGGAGCGUCUUGUAUUAUUUGACUCUUUAUUUGUUAGUUUACCACAAUCAUCCUUCCUGUACACACCUUUUGAGAGAGCCAUACAUGAUUUGGAAUUUGUUAGAAUAGUCUAUGUGCUUCGCUUAUAUCUUUUGAGUUAUAUAGUUUUGCUCUAGUACUUCACUUAUAUAUUUUAGAGCACGGUGGUGGAUUUGUUUUAUAAAAACUAUUGAUCUCCCAUGCUUCACUUAGAUUAUUUUGAGAUGCUUAAUAGCAUGGUAACUUGCUUAAAAUCCUAAUAUGCUAGGUAUUCAAAGUUAGUAAAAUUUUCUUAAGAGUGUUUUGAAUACUAAGAGAAGUUUGAUGCUUGAUGAUUGUUUUGAGAUAUGGAGGUAAUAAUAUCAAAGUCGUGCUAGUUGAGUAGUUGUGAAAUUGAGAAAUACUUGUGUUGAAAUUUGCAUGUCCCGUAGCAUGCACGUAUGGUAAAUGUUGUGUAACAAAUUUGAAACAUGAGGUGUUAUUUGAUUGUCUUCCUUAUGAGUGGCGGUCGGGGACGAGCGAUGGUCUUUUCCUACCAAUCUAUCCCCCUAGGAGCAUGCGCGUAGUACCGAGGUUUUUGAUGACUUGUAGAUUUUUGCAAUAAGUAUGUGAGUUCUUUAUGACUAAUGUUGAGUCCAUGAAUUAUACGCACUCUCACCCUUCCAUCCUUGCUAGCCUCUUUGGUACCAUGCAUUGCCCUUUCCCACAUUGAUUGUUGGAGCAAACUUCGCCGGUGCAUCCAAACCCCGUGAUAUGAUACGCUCUUUCACACAUAAACCUCCUUAUAUCUUCGUCAAAAAAGCCACCAUACCUACCUAUUAUGGCAUUUCCAUAGCCAUUCCGACAUAUAUUGCCAUGCAACUUUCCACCAUUCCGUUCAUCAUGACACAUUCAUCAUUGUCAUAGUGCUUAGCAUAAUCAUGUAGUUGACAUAGUAUUUGUGGCAAGGCCACCGUUCAUAAUUCUUUCAUACAUGUCACUCUUGGUCCAUUGCAUAUCCCGGUACACCGCUGGAGGCAUUCAUAUAAGUCAUACUUUGUUCUAGUAUCGAGUAGUAAUUAUUGAGUUGUAAAUAAAACGAAGUGUGAUGAUCUUAAUUAAUAGAGCAUGGUCCCAAAAAGAGAAAAAAGGAAGGGCCAAAAAAAGGCCAAAUAAAAAAAUAUAAAAAGGGGGGCAAUGCUACUAUCCUUUUUUCCACACUUGUGAUUCAAAGUAGCACCGUAAUCUUCAUGAUAGAGAGUAUCUUGAUUUGUCACUUUCAUAUACUAGUGGGAAUUUUUCAUUAUAGAACUUGGCUUGUAUAUUCCAACAAUGGGCCUCCUCAAGUGCCCUAGGUCUUUGUGAGCAAGCAAGUUGGAUGCACACCCACUUAGUUUCUUUUGUUGAGCUUUCAUACAUUUAUAGCUCUAGUGCAUCCGUUGCAUGGCAAUCCCUACUCCUUGCAUUAACAUCAAUCGAUGGGCAUCUCCAUAGCCCAUUGAUUAGCCUCGUUGAUGUGAGACUUUCUCCUUUUUGUCUUGUCCACAUAACUCCACUCAUUAUAUUCUAUUCCACCCAUAGUGUUAUGUCCAUGGCUUACAAUCAUAUAUUCCGUGAAAGUUUAUAGGUUUGAGAUCACUAAAGUAUGAAACAAUUGCUUGGCUUGUCAUCGGGGUUGUGCAUGAUGAGAGCAUUGUUGUGUGACAAAAAUGAAGCAUGACUAAACUAUAUGAUUUUGUAGGGAUGAACUUUCUUUGGCCAUGUUAUUUUGAGAAGACAUAAUUGCUUAGUUAGUAUGCUUGAAGUAUUAUUAUUUUUAUGUCAAUAUGAACUUUUGUCUUGAAUCUUUCGGAUCUGAAUAUUCAUACCACAAUUAAGAAGAAUAACAUUAAAAUCAUGCUAAGUAGCACUCUGCAUCAAAAAUUCUGUUUUUAUCAUUUACCUACUCGAGGACGAGCAGGAAUUAAGCUUGGGGAUGCUUGAUACGUCUCCAACGUAUCUAUAAUUUUUGAUUGCUCCAUGCUAUAUUAUCUACUGUUUUGGACAAUAUUGGGCUUUAUUAUCCACUUUUAUAUUAUUUUUGGGACUAACCUAUUAACCGGAGGCCCAGCCUAGGAUUGCUGUUUUUUGCCUAUUUUAGGGUUUCGAAGAAAAGGAAUAUCAAACGGAGUCCAAACGGAAUGAAACCUUCGGGAACGUGAUUUUCUCAACGAACAAGACCCAGGAGAAUUGGACCCUCCGUCAAGACACAAAAGAGGAGGCCACGAGGUAGGGGGCGUGCCUACCCCCCCGGCGCGCCCUCCACCCUCGUGGGCCCCCUGUUGCUCCACCGACGUACUCCUUCCUCCUAUAUAUACCUACGUACCCCCAAAUGAUCAUAUACGGAGCCAAAACCCUAAUUACGCUGCCGCAACAUUCUGUAUCCACGAGAUCCCAUCUUGGUGCCUGUUCCGGAGCUCCGUCAGAGGGGGCAUCGAUCAUGGAGGGCUUCUACAUCAACACCAUAGCCUCUCUGAUGAAGUGUGAGUAGUUGACCUCAGACCUACGGGUCCAUAGUUAUUACCUAGAUGGCUUCUUCUCUCUUUUUGGAUCUCAAUACAAUGUGCUCCCCCUCUCUUGUGGAGAACUAUUCGAUGUAAUCUUCUUUUUGCGGUGUGUUUGUUGAGACCGAUGAAUUUUGGGUUUAUGAUCAAGUCUAUCUAUGAAUAAUAUUUGAAUCUUCUCUGAAUUCUUUUAUGUAUGAUUGGUUAUCUUUGCAAGUCUCUUCGAAUUAUCAGUUUGGUUUGGCCUACUAGAUUGAUCUUUCUUGCAAUGGGAGAAGUGCUUAGCUUUGGGUUCAAUCUUGCGUGUCCUUUCCCAGUGAUAGUAGGGGUAGCAAGGCACGUAUUGUAUUGUUGCCAUCGAGGACAACAAGAUGGGGUUUUCAUCAUAUUUUAUGAGUCUAUCCCUCUACAUCAUGUCAUCUUACUUAAGGCGUAAUAGUAGUAGAUGAGUGGAGUAAUAGUAGUAGAUGCAGGCAGGAGUCGGUCUACUUGUCUCGGACGUGUUGCCUAUAUACAUGAUCAUACCUAGAUAAUCUCAUAACUAUGCUCAAAUCUAUCAAUUGCUCAAUAGUAAUUUGUUCAUCCACCGUAGAAUACUUAUGCUCUCGAGAGAAGCCACUAGUGAAACCUAUGGCCCCCGGGUCUAUCUUUAUCAUAUUAAUCUCCUACUACUUAGUUAUUUCCUUUGCUUUUUUACUUUGCCUUUAUUUUACUUUGCAUCUUUAUCACAAAAAUAAAAAUAUCUUUAUCAUAUCUAUCCAAUCUCACUCUCGUAAGUGGCCGUGUAGGGAUUGACAACCCCUAUUCACGUUGGUUGCGAGGAUUUAUUUAUUUUGUGCAGGUACGAGGGACUGGCGCAUAGCCUCCUACUGGAUUGAUACCAUGGUUCUCAAAACCUGAGGGAAAUACUUAUGCUACUUUGCUGCAUCAUCCCUCACUCUUCGGGGAAAACCAACGAAGUGCGCAAGAGGUAGCAAGGGUUCCUUUUUGUCGACGAUCUGAUGUUUCAACCUUGUUUUCCAGGCGGCCAACGCAUCACUCAACUUGGUCAUGGCGUGUUUGUUUAUCUUCUUCAUUGCCAGGUCCUUAUCUGGAUCUUUAUUAUCCUUUUCAUUACGGUCCGGGAACAAGAAUAUCUGGUGCAGCUUCUUCAGGAGGGAGGGCCUCAUAUUAUCUAUCUUCUAUAGUUUCCCAUCGUUGAUCAUGGCAGUUGUCCGUACAAUGCAACCUAUUUGAUUGCCGUAACACGAUUGCGCUUCCUCGGGUGCUAUUGUCUCAAAAAUACUGUCGUCCAUCUCCGUGACCACCAGUCUAGUACUCAUGAGCUGGUUUAGGCGUCGUGGCCUCUUUGCUGUCGGUUCUAGACUAACUCCCCUAGUCUCGGCACCGGUCUCAGUCUCAUCGCCGGUCUGCAUGUCGGUAUCAGUCCCCGAUGCGACAACACAGUCGCUGCAACAUGGGUAAGGGAGACCACAUCAGUGCUGGGGGUCCGAAAAUUGGGACACACUUUCGCGCGUCGCGGGCCGCCUCUCAGACAGCUAAUGGGGAGGCGGCGGAGUACCUGGGUGCGCGGCGAAUCCCCAAGAACUCGGUGACCAACUUCCUUCCCGUGUGGCGCAUGGAGACGACGGCGACCCUGGCGAAGAGCAGCUUAGCCGCGAGCUGCACAGCCUCGUCCACCUCCUAAGUUGGGACCUCCGUGCGAGCGUUGCGGGGCCGCCGCUCGGAUGGCUUCUGGAAGGCCGUUGUACAUGGGCACAGGGUGAAUCCCGACGAGAGCUGGCCAUUGGCGCGCGCAAGUAGACGACGACGUCCCCGACGAAGAGCUGCCCGGCCAGCUCGCCUCACUCGCCUUUGAUUAGAAAUGAAAGAUUGGGAAGAAGCAGACUUGAGCCUGCAGGGAAAGGAUAAGGUGACGAUGCAGUCUCCACUCGUUCGGGGCGACACGCGUACUGAAUGUAUGAGAAACGUGACGUGGCAGAGACCCCAAGAUACUCCCUCCAUUUAUUUUUAGUCUGCAUAUAAAGUUUGGUCAAAGUCAAGAUUUGUAAAUUUUAACGAACUUUAUAAUAAAAAAAUAUCAGCAUUCACAAUAUGAAAUCAAUAUUACCAGAUGCGUCAUGAAAUGUAUUUCCAUACUAUAUAGUUUUGGUAUUGUAGAGGCACUCUUCCAUAUAAUGAAGUUUAUAAUAUAUGUGCUUAUAUUGUAUUACAAUUGUUUGAAUAGCUUAGCAUAUGUUCAGAUGUAUGAUAUCUGUAAUUUAAGCGCUUGAAUUUUACAUAUAAAUAUUUAUUAAUAAAUAUGUACCCCUAUAAUAGCUAGGCCGUGCCGUUGCACGGGUAGAUGACUAGUGAUUACAAUCUUGUUUGUGUGCAAGUCAAGCUUAUAUAGUUUACACGUAACAACUUGUAGAACAUUACAAAAUUUAUGCUUGCUAAUAACUUCUAGAACACUAGAACACUUGACAUGUAAAAGGAAUUUGACGAGUCAUGGCCUACUAAAGCAAGUUACAUUACUAGUCUUAUCUAUCUUAACAGACCACACAAGAUUACAAACUAAGUACCGUGACAGCCAUGCUUAUCUAGUUUAUGCGUAACAAUUUGCAGAAAAUUAGAAACUUGGUUUCAGAAAAAUACGCAAUCUAGAUUAGUGUUUGAGCUGUAAAGUGAAUAAGAUGAGUCAUGCAUGUUAUCACACCUUUUUGGUGGUGGAAUGAUAGUGCAACAACAAGGAACUUUAAUGACCAGUCCAAGAAUACACUUGUAAGUAGUGCCACCAAACAGAACAUACCAAAUGAUGAUUUUUAGAAGCAUCCAAGCACUUUCCACACAAACAAAUGCCAAUUGUGAAAGAGAUCAUUCCAUGGCAGCUAUAAAUAGCCCCAUAGCAUGAGGUUCAUCCUUCCUCAUCCAUCAUUUUCAUUAGUAGAGCGCAUCAUUUAAGCCAAGCAAGCUGUGGUCAAUACAAAUCCACCAUGAAGACCUUUCUCAUCCUUGCCCUCCCUGCUAUCGUGGCGACCACCGCCACAACUGCAGUUAGAGUUCCAGUGCCACAAUUGCAGCCACAAAAUCCAUCUCAGCAACAGCCACAAGAGCAAGUUCCAUUGGUACAACAACAACAAUUUCUAGGGCAGCAACAACCAUUUCCACCACAACAACCAUAUCCACAGCCGCAACCAUUUCCAUCACAACAACCAUAUCUGCAGCUGCAACCAUUUCCGCAGCCGCAACUACCAUAUUCGCAGCCACAACCAUUUCGACCACAACAACCAUAUCCACAACCGCAACCACAGUAUUCGCAACCACAACAACCAAUUUCACAGCAGCAGCAGCAGCAGCAACAACAACAACAACAACAACAACAACAACAAAAGCAAAUCCUUCAACAAAUUUUGCAACAACAACUGAUUCCAUGCAUGGAUGUUGUAUUGCAGCAACACAACAUAGCGCAUGGAAGAUCACAAGUUUUGCAACAAAGUACUUACCAGCUGUUGCAAGAAUUGUGUUGUCAGCACCUAUGGCAGAUCCCUGAGCAGUCGCAGUGUCAGGCCAUCCAAAAUGUUGUUCAUGCUAUUAUUCUGCAUCAACAACAAAAACAACAACAACAACCAUCGAGCCAGGUGUCCUUCCAACAGCCUCUGCAACAAUAUCCAUUAGGCCAGGGCUCCUUCCGGCCAUCUCAGCAAAACCCACAGGACCAGGGCUCUGUCCAGCCUCAACAACUGCCCCAGUUCGAGGAAAUAAGGAACCUAGCGCUACAGAUGCUACCUGCAAUGUGCAAUGUCUACAUCCCUCCAUAUUGCACAAUCGCGCCAUUUGGCAUCUUCGGUACUAACUGAGAAGAAAAUAACUCUAGUACUAGAUAUAUGAAACACCGUUUUCUCAGUCCAUGGUUUGGUCAUUGUAGCGUCGAAAAAAUAAUGUGACAUGCACUAUCAUAUAAGAAUCCGAACUAUACUAGUUCAAACUUGGGAAUAAAAGACAAACACAUGUCUUGUCUACAUAUUUAUGUUGCAUCUAUUUAUAUAUUAAAAGUAAUAUAAGGUGAACCAGGAGCAAGGUAAAUAUGCUAGAAAAUUGCACGUUAAUUAGAAAUUACUUGCCCUCGAUCUGGUAAAUCUUAACAAAUAGAAUUAUCUUGACCGUUAGAUUUAUAUAACAUAUAUAAUGCUCUGGGCCUCCAACGACUGUACGUGACACAUCUGAACGAACAUAUGGUAAAGAAAAUAUAUUUGGUAAAUGGUGGGCCUGUUUAAAAAGAGAACUCACGUACAUGCACCAACUAAGAAAAACACAUACAUGUAAACGGGAAAAGGAUGAGAUUUUCUCACGUACGUGCUCCCUGGCUCCACCCCGUUGAAAAAAUAUACAUCUGGAGGCCACUUUGUUUCCUCAUCAAAAAAACUUACGUUAAAAAGAUUGCAUGCAUCCCAGGGAAAAUAGUCAAGAAGAAGUCGGACUUUUCCUUACAAAAACAAGGAACGUGUUAAGUUGACUUCAAAGAAAAAAGGAACAUGUUAAGUUAAAAAAAAACAAGAAACCUGUUAAGUUAGAAAAAAACAAGGAACGUGUUGUCCAAGGAAAGAUAUGUGUCAAAUCUUACAAAAAAAAAGAAUACACACACGUACGUUCAUGCACUUGGAAAAUAGAAAAAAAGGAACAUCACGUAUGUAUACACUUCGGAAACUCAUUACAUGACCAUGUCUGAUAUACUCCUCUAAUGCUUAAUAUUAGUGCCUAAUAAUUUAUAUUUAAAAUUUAAUUUACUGAUCAAAUAUCCCCACUGUUUAAAUUUUAAUUUGGCACAUUGUUUGGCUAUAGUAUGAACCUGAAUUUCCUCUUAUUAUUAUAUAUCAUGGUAAUAAUCCAAAGGCGACUAAUCUGCACCGGCGCACCGGCGCAAUCAAUUCGGCUGGACACAGCGCGGCCGUUUGAUUAGAUUGCAUUUAACCAUCAGAUCUGGAAUCGUUUUCUUUCCAAUUAAACGGAUUCAACCAAACAGCAGAGGGGAAAACAAAGCAGCGCCGCCGCCAACACUAGCCAUGGACGACCGAUGUAGCAAAACCUUGAAGAACCGCCGCCGGUCGCCACCCUCGCCUCUGGUCGCUGCCCUCGCCGUCGGUCACCGCCGGUCGCCGCCCUCGCCGCCUGCGUUUCUCAUCGGCUUCAUGCAUGCAACAACAUGCACUCGUGGUUGCAGGCUUGCAUCUCCGGCUCCGGGGACAUGGCCGCAUCUCCGGUAGCGCCGGCCGCCGGCCGCAGCACCUGUCGUUGUGGUCGCGCUGUACCUCGCCGUGUGCCCUCCCGAGGCUCUUGCUGGUUCCAACAAAAAACGAUACCUGUUGUAGCAAAAAAGUAUCGCUUCCAGCAAAAAAGCUUACCGCUACAGCCCGCCAUCGUCAUUGUAGCAAAAAUGUUAACCCGAUGUAGCUUCUGUGGUUGCCGACUGCAGCAAAAAAUGACAUGGCUGUAGCAAAACACAAAAGAAAAACACUGGCCGGCCGCUGUGUAUGGUGGUAACAAACCCUAUAGCCGGUGGUAGCGAAAAACUUCAUAGUGUGCUGCAAAAAAAUGUUGUCACCCGUCGUCGAGGUUGCAUCAUCUUCAUGAAUUAUGCCGCAAAAAAACGUUGUCGCCGGUAGUAGCAAAUGAAGCCGCCGGUAGUAGCAAAACAAGACACUGGUUCCAGCCAAAAAAAAAAUCAGCGACAGAACCUUUGGUUGGUUCCAACAAAAAAACUUGUCGGUUGUAACAUCCCUCGCCGCCGGAUGUAGCAUCUCCCGGGGCUGGUUGCAACACUCCAUAAAAAAAGUUGUCUAUGAGCGCAUCCAUGGUGACUGCUGCACCGUCAGCAAUGAGGGGAAGAGGAGGCAAUGAAAAUCAUUCGAGUCAUAGCUCCACAGGACGCGGCUGCAGCAUGGGGAGUCCAAAAAUCUGUCACAAGCAACAUGCGCCGCGCCAUCCUCCUGCGCAGGAGAGAGAAGAAAAAGGAAUAAGAGGAAGAAGAAAGGAAACAGGAGAAAGAAAAAAGAAAGGAUUGGUGGUUGGCUCAGGCAAUUAGUCAAGCGAGGGGCACGCGGGGCCGCAGGACACAGCGCAAUCGAACGAAGCGCGCGCGUCCGGGCGAAGACUCGGCCGGACUGCCGUCUGGAAACGUUUCCCUAAUCCAAAGGCUUUAUCUGAAUGACAAGUCGUCUGGGUUACCGGCUAACUAGAAAAAAGAUAAAUAUGCUAGAGAAUUCCAUAAUAAUUAGAAAUAUCUAGCCUUUAAUUAUGUAAACCAGAAAAUCACAACCGUUGGAUUUACUUUAAAGGUAAAUUUCUAUAAAUUCCCACCAUUGCCAGUAUGUAGAAACAUGUGCUGCUUCAAUUCUCCCAUAAUCACCAAUCAAUCAACAACACAAAACAUACCUCAGUUAAAAAAACUGAACAAAAAAAAGAAAAAAAGAAGAAAGGACAAGAUACACGCAUGUACACGACAGCCUUGGCUUGAAACACAUCAGUAGAUCAAGUGUCCGCCUCCCUUACACGUACGUCCCAUGAGGUUUACUAGCCUACCGCCGCCGCAUCAUGCCAUCCUCUCCUUUCAGCUCCCAUGCUCUCCAGCACCCUCAUUGCGGCGCCACUACUCGCCUAGGGAUAUUGCUGCUCAGACCGUGGAGCUUAACCACAUCAGCAUCAGCACGUAUGGGCCUCAUUAUACUGCAGCACGUAUUGCGCCCCCUUAAGUCCAGGUCUGUUUGCUGGCACAUAUGCUUUGGAAAUAGGCCACUAUGUUUGUACUUCAAAAUUGUUUCUGUAUUCUUGAGUGGUACAUCCUUUUAAGCGCCAGUUUUUUAUGUUAAUUCAUGCUGACAACACUUAACCUAGCCUUUCAUGUUCACGUACUAAAUACAGGAGCAAGUAAAAACAACAGACCACCUAAUUGCUCUGCAUGUACUACAUAGGAAAAUUUGUCAUGUUCUACGAUCGCACCAUCCCACCCUUCUCUCUUGGUAUGGGCGCCAAUUGAGGGAUUGAUAAAACUGAAACGAAGACGUCACAGGGCUGGAAGUACCGCUAGCCUGGUUUGCACUGCAACCUACCCAACGCCAUCAGAAACUAGCAACUGAGUCAGGUGUUGAUCGAUUCUCUCAAAUUGCUCUCAUGUAAGUACUACCCCUUGCAUGUGCGUACAUACCUUUGUUGCAUUCUCAAACAGAUAGAACAUGUUUGAUCGGUGCAUGGCUAUUUUUCAUCACAUGACAUCCAGAUAACAAGCAUGAAAGGACUACAUUGGAGAUCAAAAAAUAUUGGUUCCUGGCUAGAGUACCACUACCUAUGGACUUGUCUCCAUAGAAUUUGUUCCCAAGAUGUUAUUUUAAUUAAUCUCUUUAGCUUUCUUCCAUUGCAAACGGUGAUGUGCAUCAUGGUAUAUACGUGACCAUCUUGCACAUGUAUACACAAGAGGCUCAGAUGGAGGUGCUGGAUUCUGGACGAGGGAAUAUGAAGCAGGAGUGAGCGAAGAGUAAAUAAUGGUGGGAGUACCGAUUGGUGUUAUGAAGAAAAAUGCCAUCCAAAGAUUGAUUAGUGUCAUGGAAGAUUAAUUUCUGAAUGCGAAUAUAUAUGUUACAUUGGUUUGGAUCUUUUUGAGAUAAUUCCACCUAAAUUAGGUUCUUUCUUAUUUCAUAUGUAUACCUUAUUUCAGUAAAAGUUCACAACGAACUUAGUAGGACAAAUAUAAUUUUGUUUGUUCUUUCUGUUGUCCGCCACCAAAGCUCAAUUUGAACUCUCUAGAAAUGGACAAUGAUUUAUGCAUUCUAUAUCUUCUUGAUUGAUUAGCCAUGACAAGGAAAUAAAAGGAUUGACUGAUAUAGCAUAACUUUGGAACGAUUAGAGGUUACUACAAAUAAGAGUAGUGUCUGUUGGAAUUUUGCUAGUAGGCCUUUGGCCCAAAGCCCAACUAAAAUUCUGAAAUUCUCUUGGCUCAUUUAUGCACACAUGUGAGUUGAGUGAGUGAGACUAAAGUUUAGUCCCACCCUGGAAGUUGAGAGAGAGUUGCACCUCUUUAUAAGGUGAGCUCUUCUACCACUUGUAUGAGCAUGAGAAGAGGAGACCUACACGCGCGCUCCUCCUCCACGCUCGCCACGCCUCGUCGCGCCGCGCCGUGCCGCGGGUUGCGGGAUUGAGCCGAGCCGAGGACGUUUUCUAUAUUUUUGCUGCUCGGGAAAAAUUAAUGAGUCAUUAAUUAAUAAUUAAUGGACACAUUAAUUACUGAACCGUUUCCGAUUUUUUUGGAUCGUGACGACUCGGACGUGGGGUUUACUCCCAGGACCUACCCGGCCCGCACUAUAUAGUCAGGAAGACGUCUACCCUAGCCGCCGCCGCUUCGUAUGGUUUCUCACCAUCGUUACAGAUCAUUGCGCCGCCAAGCAAGUUUUCUCCAUCCCUCCUUUCGGCGUGCACCGGGAGAAGGGACAGCAGACCUCCGGAACCCCGCCUCUCGUGAUCCUAUACGGGAGAGGGGCGAUCAGGUUUUUGGGGAGCGCACUCGCAUGACUGCUGGCAGCGACGACUUCGCAAACGACGACUUCUUCCCCGACCUCGGCAACCUCAUCCUCGACGACAUGGGCGACAACGUCAACGCCGGCGGUGCUACACCCACUGCACCGUAUGUUAUUCUCUCCUUCUUGUUCGAGAUCAUGGUAGAAUUCAUGUUUCUAGUAUAUGUGCCCUAGAUGUGAUCUGUUCAUCUACUAUGGUAGUUCGCAUGAUUAGUUUAAUCUCUGUUAUUGCUGUCAUGAUCUAUUUCCUAUUUAUUCGGAUUAAAUCUCGUAGUAAUUUUCUCAUUUUUCCAACAAUCCAAAAACCUGAUUAUAGGAAAUUUACUCCGAGUGGUUUUGCUGCGCAUCUGAAAGCCGCUUGCCUUUAAGGGGGCGCAAUAUAAGAGGUGGCGCACCAGAGCAGUCUACUGGUUUCAGAUCAUGGGCUGCUAUGACGCCACCAAGGGCAAGCCUGAGGGCGAUCUUAAUCCAGCACAGCUGGAAGCUUUCAAGAAGAUCAAUACCCUCUUUAAAGGCACGCUUCUGAGUGUUCUUGAUGACUCCAUUGUAGAUUCGUAUAUGUCGUUUGACAAUGGCAAGAACAUGUGGGCUACGCUCGAGGCCAAGUUUGGUGCCUCGGACGCCGGCAGCGAGUUGUACGUCAUGGAGCAAUUCUAUGACUCCAAGAUGACUGAUGGGCGCCCUGUUGUACAGCAGGCUCAUGAGAUACAGUUGCUCGCAAAAGAACUUGAGUACUUCAAGUGUGUGUUGGCGAACAAAUUUGUUGCCGGAGGCAUCAUUGCCAAGCUUCCACCUUCGUGGAACAAUUUUGCUACUUCCCUGAAACACAAGAGACAGGAGUUUUUCGUUGCGGAUCUCAUUGGUACUCUUGAUGUUGAAGAGAAGGCGAGAGCAAAGGAUACACGUGCUUGAGUUGCUAAGGGAGGUUCUAGUGCCCACAUGGUACAGAAGAAGAACUUCCAGCCCAACAAGUUCAAAAACAACAAGAACAAAACUUAGGGCAAAGGCAAGUUCGAUACAAAGAACAAGCCAUCACAUUCUACCAACUUCAAGAAGAACUCUCAUAAGAAGGGGAAGGGACUUUGCCAUGUCUAUGGUGAUCCUAAUCACUGGGCUCCGAAGUGUCCCAACCGCUUUGAGGAGCGCGAACAUGAGAAGAGCGGCAAGUCUGCUAAUGUUGUCAUCGGUGAUACUGAUAUGAAGGAAUCAGGGUACGGUAUUUUUCCUACCAUCCUUUCAGUAUUCCAAACCCCUGACUGGUUAAUUGACACCGGUGCCAAUGUACAUGUUUGUGCUGAUGCCUCCAUGUUUUCUUCUUACCAGGCCACUGGGACUUCUCCUAUGCUGAUGGGGAACGGGUCACAUGCCAUCGUUCGAGGUGUUGGUACGGUCGAUCUGAAGUUUACUUCGGGGAAGACCGUGCGUCUGAAGAACGUUCAUCAUGUGCCGUCCAUCAAUAAAAAUCUCGUUAGCGGUUCCCGUUUAUGUCGAGAUGGUUUUAAGUUGGUUUUCGAAUCCAAUAAAGUUAUAAUUUCUAAGUAUGGACAAUUUGUUGGAAAAGGCUAUGAGAGCGGAGGCUUGUUUCGCCUGUCUUUGUCAGAUAUUUGCACUAAAGUUAUUAAUAAUGUUUGCCACAACAAUGAGUCUGAUAUUUGGCAUUCACGACUUUGUCACAUUAACUUUGGUUGCAUGACGCGGCUAGCCAAUAUGAAUUUAAUUCCGAAAAUCUCUACUGUCAAAGGAUCUAAGUGCCAAGUAUGUGUGCAAGGUAAGCAACCUCGCAAGUCCCAUAAGACUGCAGAGGCAACAGACUUGGCGCCACUAGAGCUUAUACAUUCUGAUAUUUGUGAGAUGAAUGACGUGUUGACAAAAGGUGGAAAGAGAUACCUCAUGACGUUGAUUGAUGACUCCACUAGAUAUUGUUAUGUGUAUCUUAUGAAAUCAAAAGAUGAGGCUUUGGCUUUCUUCAAAAACUAUAGAGCUGAGGCAGAGAACCAACUUGAUCGAAAAAUUAAACGGCUUAGGUCCGAUCAUGGUGGAGAGUAUUUUUCCAAUGAAUUUGAUCUAUUUUGUGCGGAACAUGGUAUAAUCCAUGAGAGGAUGCCUCCCUACUCACCCCAGUCAGAUGGGGUAGCCGAAAGAAAGAACCAAACUCUAACUGAUAUGGUUAACACCAUGUUAGACACUUCGGGUCUAUCCAAGGAAUGGUGGGGGGAGGCGCUAAUGACUGCGUGUCAUGUCCUAAACCGAGUUCCCACAAAGCAUAAGACCAUGACUCCAUUUGAGGAAUGUUAAAGGAAAAGGUUGAAACUCUCUUACCUACGUACUUGGGGUUGUUUGGCGAAAGUCAAUAUACCAAUUCCCAAGAAGCGCAAGCUUGGACCAAAAAUCGUGGGUUGUGUUCUUCUUGGCUAUGCUUUUCAUAGCAUCGGCUAUAGAUUUUUGAUAAUAAAAUCUGAGGUAUCCGACAUGCAUGUUGGUACGAUUAUGGAGUCGAAUGAUGCAACUUUUUUUGAGGACAUAUUUCCUAUGAAGGAUAUGUCGAGUUCAUCAAAUCAGGAGACACCUACUCCAUCUAGUGAGGAAUUCAUUGUAAUUCCUGAACCCACCAUUGCGAUGGAACACAUUGAGAAUCCUGUUGAGGGUGACAAUGGAACUCUUGUGAGGAGUAAGAGACAUAGGACUACAAAGUCCUUUGGUGAUGAUUUCAUUGUGUACCUCGUGGAUGACACACCCAGGACUAUUUCAGAAGCCUGUGCAUCUCUUGAUGCUGACUACUGGAAGGAAGCUGUACGUAGCGAGAUGGAUUCCAUCUUAGGUAACGGAACCUGGGAGAUCACUGACCGUCCUUAUGGGUGAAAACCUGUAGGAUGUAAGUGGGUGUUCAAGAAGAAGCUUAGACCUGAUGGUACGAUUGAAAUGUACAAGGCACGGCUUGUGGCCAAGGGUUAUACCCUGAAAGAAGGUGUAGACUUCUUUGAUACUUACUCACCCGUGGCUAGACUGACCACAAUUGGGUGCUACUAUCACUUGUUGCCUCACAUGGUCUUCUCGUUCAUCAAAUGGACGUUAAGAACGCUUUCCUCAAUGGAGAGUUGAAGGAGGAAAUUUACAUGGAUCAGCCAGAUGGUUUUGUAGUACCUGGUUAGUAAGGAAAGGUGUGCAAGUUAUUAAAGUAUUUAUAUGGCCUUAAACAAGCUCCUAAAGAGUGGCAUGAGUAGUUUGAAAGAACAUUAACUGCUACCGGCUUUGUAGUAAACGAUGGUGACAAGUGCGUGUACUAUCGCUAUGGUGGGGGCGAAGGAGUUAUUCUUUGUUUGUAUGUCGACGACAUAUUGAUCUUUCGAACCAAACUUGAUUUAAUCAAGGAGGUUAAGGAUUUCUUAUCUCGCUGUUUUGAGAUGAAGGAUCUAGGAGUAGCUGAUGUUAUCUUAAACAUCAAGCUGUUGAGAGAUGAGAAUGGUGGGAUCACACUGCUUCAGUCACACUAUGUGGAAAAGGUCUUGAAUCGUUUUGGGUAUAGCGACUGCACACCUUCUCCAACCCCAUAUGAUGCUAGCAUGUUGCAUCGAAAGAAUCGACGGAUUGCUAGAGAUCAACUGAGGUAUUCUCAUAUUAUUGGCUCGCUUAUGUAUUUGGCGAGUGCCACGAGGCCAAACAUCUCGUUUGCUGUUAGCAAGCUGAGUCGGUUUGUGUCAAAACCAGGAGAUGAUCAUUGGCAUGCACUUGAGAGAGUUAUGUGCUAUUUGAAAGGCACCGCGAGCUAUGGGAUUCACUACACCGGGUAUCCAAGAGUACUGGAGGGUUAUAGUGACUCAAACUGGAUAUCUGAUGCUAAUGAGAUUAAGGCCACAAGUGGUUAUGUUUUUACACUUGGUGGUGGCGCUGUUUCUUGGAAGUCCUGCAAGCAGACCAUCUUAAUGAGGUCAACUAUGGAAGCAGAACUCACAACAUUAGAAACUGCCACUGUUCAAGCAGUGUGGCUUCAUGAGCUCUUGAUGGACUUUCCUAUGAUUGAAGAACCAAUACCCCCUAUCCCAAUGAACUGUGAUAAUCAAACUAUGAUCGUCAAGAUAAAUAGUUCUAAGGACAAUAUGAAGUCCUCAAGGCAUGUGAAGAGGAGACUGAAAUCUGUCAGAAAAUUGAGGAACUCCGGAGUUAUUACGUUGGAUUAUAUCCAAACGUCAAAAAAAUUGGCAGAUCCCUUCACAAAGGGUCUAUCACGUAAUGUGAUAGAUAAUGCAUCGAUGGAGAUGGGUCUGAGACCCACCGCAUGAGUUGUCCAUAGUGGUAACCCACUCUUUGUGAUCGGAUAUCCCGUGAAGUAUAAGUGGGAGACAAGCUGUUGGUCAGCUGGGAGGAGAGUAUCCCUAUAUUACCUGUCCCACUCCAUGAAGAUGCAAUACUCUCCUAAUCUGCAUGGCAGGUUGAUACUUAUCUUAAUGUGUUCCAAGUGGCUUAUUCGGGUAAGCAGAGAUGUUGUCCUGCAGAACAUCUUCUGAGGAACACACCUAUAUGAAUUUGACUGUUAACGUCGCAGUCUGUGAGAAUUGGGUGUUCUCUAAUAAAUUCAUGAAAAGGCCCUGGAGUAUGACGUAUACGCUCCACCCGCAGGGAAGCCUUGCGGCAGCCCAGUAUCGGUCAAGAAUUUGUGUGAAACUAGUUGCGCAGAAAAUUUGUAGUUCAAGGCAUAGUCCACUAUUCAAGUUGUGAUCUAGUGUAGCAUAAAUCUCUAAGUGGAAGUUCAACUUCACAGUCUCCACUAAGCCCCGGUAUAUAAACAAUGUUUUGGAACUAAAUGAUGAGAUGUGCCAAUGAGACUUUGUGGGGGAUUGUUGGAAUUUUGCUAGUAGGCCUUUGGCCCAAAGCCCAACUAAAAUUCUGAAAUUGUCUUGGCCCAUUCAUGCACACAUGUGAGUGGAGUGAGUGAGACUAAAGUUUAGUCCCACCCCGGAAGUUGAGAGAGAGCACCUCUUUAUAAGGUGAGCUCUUCUACCACUUGUAUGAGCAUGAGAAUAGGAGACCUACACACGCGCUCCUCCUCCUCGCUCGCCACGCCACCCCUCGUCACGACGCGCCGCGGGUUGCGGGAUUGAGCCGAGCCGAGGACAGAGCUAUGCACAUUGUCUAUUUUUUGCUACCCGAAAAAAUUAAUGAGUCAUUAAUUAAUAAUUAAUGGACACGUUAAUUACUAAACCGUUUUCGAUUCUUUUGGAUCAUGAAGACUCGGACAUGGGGUUUACUCCCACGACCUACCGGGCCCGCAUUAUAUAGUCCGGCAGACGUCUACCCUAGCUGCCGCCGCUUCAUAUGGUUUCUUACCACCGUUCCAGAUCAUUGCGCCGCCAAGCAAGUCUUCUCCAUCCGUCCCUUCGGCGUGCAUCGGGAGAAGGGACAACAGGCCUCCGGAACCCCGCCUCUCGUGAUCCUGUACGGGAGAGGGGCGAUCAGGUUUUUGGGGAGCGCACUCGCGCGACUGCUGGCAGCGACGACUUCGCGAAUGACGACUUUUUCCCUGACCUCGGCAACCUCAUCCUCGACGACAUGGGCGACAACGUCAACGCCGGCGGUGCUGCACCCGCUGCACCUUAUGUUAUUCUAUCCUUCUUGUUCGAGAUCAUGGUAGAAUUCACGUUUCUAGUAUAUGCCCUAGAUGUGAUCUGUUCAUCUACUAUGCUAGUUCGCAUGAUUAGUUUAAUAUCUGCUAUUGCUGUCAUGAUCUAUUUCCUAUUUAUUCGGAUUAAAUCUCGUAGUAAUUUGCUCAUUUUUCCAAUAGUACCAUCUAAUAGAUGAUGUAAAUCUCCUCUAGUUUGACGUUGUUGAGCUAAUUUACAAAAAAAACCUCAUCAUUAUUGGACGUCCUUAACAGCUCAAGAACAAGUUGGGGUCGAACUAAUGGAUUUUACACUUUUACAUUAAAGGUUUAGCUAAAGCUAGCAGGUGUUUUUAAACCUGAAUUUUUUUCCUCCUGAAUUUCUUUGUAUUUUCUUAUUGACACUAUUUAUACAAUCAUCUGACAAAGAUUAGCUAAAGCUGUUUGUAGAUACGUUGAAACCUGAAAAGCUUCUUUGGUUAUCCUUUUAAUAGUUCUACGUUUAUUUUCUCAUAGGUCAUAAUUCUUAUGUAAUACCAAGAUGCAUUGUGGUAGUGUACAUGUGUUAAAUUCAGGUUGUUAUUCACAAUUUGCGACAAAAUUUAGCUCACGCUACAUUCAAAUAUGUUGAAAUGUGAAAGCUUUUUUUUCUUCUCCUUUCUACACCUUGCAUCGGAUUGCAUCCCUUUAGUUAUCCAACAUUUUGUACAACAUGUAGAGAUUAGGAAGUUCAUCAUAGUUUGUUUAUUUCGGUGCUAAUAAAUGUAUGAAAUCUGCAUUUCCAAGCUACUAGGACAAGUAAAAAAUAAUAAUUUUACUAUAGGAUUCAAAAACAGCAGUUCUGAAGUGCACUUUAUUUAUUUUUGAAAGUGAUCACAUUUUGUUUCAUUUUUCUAUAGACAAAUCUACUAAUACAUACUCACGAUAAAACUAUAAAAGUUCUAGUCCGCACAUUGGGCGGGCCACCCGGCUAGUUAGUCUAAAGAUAACAAAAUGAGUCUGGAAUUUGAAUUAAAUUGAAGUAUUUUCUUGGACUUUCAAAUUGAGUUUUAUUAAAGUAGUAAGGACUAUCCACAUCCUUGGCUUGCCCCUGAUCAAUUAUUUCCAGAGAAGCAUUCAAUUCAUCAAUCAAUUACAUUGAUUUUAGUGGCUGGUACUUCUCCUCAACAUCAGUAUAUUCACCGUGGCCACUCCAAAUCGGCAAGAAUGAGGUACCAGUGCUCUGGAGCAGUGCAAGCUAAUUGCUUCUCAUCUGAAGGGGUGCGGCCGCAGGAGAGGUAUUUCUGGUGGGCCAAGGGACUAAGAAGCGACUGUGGCAGCGGUAUAGACGCCCGCAAAGCCCCAUAAUUUGUUUUUGGUUUACAGGAAAAAUGCACAUCCAUACCAGCCUGGGGAAUAUAGGACCGUAUUGGAUGGAAAACCAUGUCCGGAUGGUUGCGAGCGGUUUAAGGGUUAGCUUUUGUAACGCCCGGUUAGUUAUGCUAUAGCAAUUCCCUGCUAAUGAUGUCACGUUACCACGAUUACUGUUGUUAACCUCACAAUGAUUCAAUCCCCUUCAAAUUGAAAUUUAAAAUAAAGGCAAACAUCAAAAGUUUUCAAAUAUUAAAACUAAAAUCUUUGAGAGGUGACAAAUAAUGCAUAAGUAAUUAUGGUGGAGAAACCACACUUUAAUCAAAUGUUUAAAUACUCUAAAAUGAAAAAAAACAGUUGCUUAAACUAUUAUUUAAAUGCUUUUAAAAUAGUAAAAAUCUUCUAACUAAAUUAUUUGGGUACCAAACUUUUGGUGGCAGUGGUAUAUUUAGUACAACUAAUUUAGAUGCUAAUUAUAUAAAAAGGAAAAGCAAAAGGGGGCAACCCCUCGCUGGGCCUCGGCCUAGCUGCCACUAGGCUAGCUAGGCUGGCCCCGCCGCCUCCCUUAACCCCCCCCCCCCACUCCCCAUCGAACCCAAGCCCGAUCGCCCCACUUCCCCCANNNNNNNNNNNNNNNNNNNNNNNNNNNNNNNNNNNNNNNNNNNNNNNNNNNNNNNNNNNNNNNNNNNNNNNNNNNNNNNNNNNNNNNNNNNNNNNNNNNNNNNNNNNNNNNNNNNNNNNNNNNNNNNNNNNNNNNNNNNNNNNNNNNNNNNNNNNNNNNNNNNNNNNNNNNNNNNNNNNNNNNNNNNNNNNNNNNNNNNNNNNNNNNNNNNNNNNNNNNNNNNNNNNNNNNNNNNNNNNNNNNNNNNNNNNNNNNNNNNNNNNNNNNNNNNNUUGAUCCCAUCUGGAUCGGGGAGGGUAAUGCCCCAAUCGACCCCGUUGCCGUCGCGGGAUUGCCCGCCGACGUCGCCAGGCCUCCUCCCCGCCACCCGUCUCCGGCUCGCCUCCCCUCUCGCUCCUCUUCCCCGACCCGAUCUGGAUCGUGAACGAGCAAUGAGCUCGAAGCCCCCUUCACCGGCGCCAUCACCGUGCGCCACCACCACCGCCUGAAGACCUCACCGUCGCCGAACCUUGCGUCGCCUCCUCGUAUCCCUCCCCUACUCGCGUCCUCAAGCCAGGCCGAGCCCCUUCUCGGCAACGCCGUGAGACGCCCCCGUCUCCCUCCUCUUUCCACUGCGUUCACCGCGCCGCCCGCCGUGCCCCUCGCCGUGCGCACGCCCACCACCGCACCAGCCCCCGCUCCGCGCACGACCCUACCCGCGUCCGCGCCAUGAUCCCCUUUUCCACCCUACCUUCCUGCGCUCGCCGCGGUCCUGAUGCUCCCCCGCGCCCUCUUUUGGGGGCGCCGACUGCCCCUGUCCCACUGCUCGCCGCCGUGCCUCGCCAUCGCUCUACUGCUAAGUUAUUGCUGCGCUGCGGCCGUCGCCUCUUCCCGCUGCUCCGCCAGCGCCGAAGCUCCCGAUUGGCUCCACCACUUCUCACGUUAAACCGCCGGCCUAAAUGGCCUAACCCCCGGCUAAUGAACCCCCACUAUCCCACUGACACCGGGACCCACAUUCCCUAAUUAACCAUUUAAUAAAUUAAAACUCUUAAAUUAACAUUAGUGUAUGACAUGUGCGUCCCCUAUUAAUUUAUAAUUUUACUGCUAGUUUUAUUAGUUUCUGUUUUUUCUGCAUAUUUCUUUUGUAUUUGAACAGGCUUUAUAUAAUAAUAUUUAGCGUCUCAUACACAUAUAAAUGUAAUUAUAGCAUAUACAUACAAAUAGUCUCAUCAAAUCAUGUCAUCACCAUAAUCAUCAUCCAUCACAAAGUGAUCUCUCGUCAUCAUCUCGAAAAUAGCAAUACAAGUCUCGAUUACUUGCAACUACAUCGUCAUCCAUCUAAACAAUGAUAUACGCGAGAAGCGCUAUCACUAUGAGUGAGAGCGGAACUAUGCAGUACAUGAGUUUGUAUCCCUCUCUCACAUUAGCGUGAACCUAAACUAACUACUGGCUGUUGCUCGGAAACCGGAAACCGGUACACCUGGGCCUGACACUCCGGCCACUCGUCGUAUACUCCUGGCGUAGCACUUCUUCGCCAUCGAUGAUCUAUAAACCUACAUCGUCAGAUGAGUCGAUGAUAUGCAACAUAUAUAGUUGAGCAACAGAAAGAGACAGACUUGGCAAAAAUAGAAGCAACAUAUCAUAAGCAUAAAUAACAAAGUUCAUCGUACGCAAAAUGCCCUAACUAGAGUGAUCUUCGCUAGUCGAGGAGGACGGUUUAAUUACAUCACAAAUAAUUUUUCGUCGUGCAUAACUCAAAGUUCCGUCAUACAGAAAGUAUGAACUAAAUGGACACAUUGUCAUAUUUCAAAAAUCACUCCCACAUGUCGUGCCAUCCAUCCAAGUCAAGGAGAUAGUGCCCGAGCUUAGUGAAAGGCUUUAGGUCGAGACGCUGAGCGGCUAUGCGUGUUCGGACGUCUUCCCACGACAUUUGUCCUUCUUCAUAGAACAUCCCUGUUUUUUCGACGACCUCCUUCAUCACUGGAAGAAAAAGGGCCUGUUGUCCCGGUUCUGGAACCGGGACUAAAGGGUCGGUACUAAUGCCCUGUCCCUUUAGUCCCGGUUCAAUCCAGAACCAGGACAGUUGGGCCUCCACGUGGCCUGUGCGCGGAGCCUAGGCGGGAGACCCUUUGGUCCAAUAAGCAUCCACGCAUCAGCAUUUAUGUGGUUGGGGUUUUUGUUUUUUUUGAAGGGGGGGGCAUUGGGGGUUUUGGGGGGUUAAUUUUGGUGUUUCAUAUAUUGUGUUAGCUAGCUAUAAUUAAUAGAGAGAAUUGUCCUCUCUUAUGUCCGUGCUUGCUCGACGCUACGUACUAUACAUACGUAUAGAGAGGACUAGACACGGUAGCUAGCUAGUAAGCAAACGAAGGAAAUAGAAGAUCGUCAUGAACAUAUAUGCAUACAGAGAGAAGUAAUAUCGACCACCUCUCCUUCUCCGAGAGAUUGGUCGAACAACAAGUUCUCAUAUAUCUAUCCGACACUACCGGCUACAUAUAUACAAUAAUUAUCUCUUACAAAUAUAAUCAUACGGAUUCAGGGUCCACAUAGUAUUCUCUGUCUUCAAGGAUCACGUGGUCAAGAAAGAAUGCCGCCAAUUCCUCUUGAAUUGCUCGCAUGCGAGCUGGUGCUAGGAGUUCAUCCCGCUUCCGAAACAUCUAAUUUAAAGAAGGGGGUUAAUACAUAUAUACAUAUAUAUAUAUAUAUAUAUAUAUAUAUAUAUAUAUAUAUAUAUAUAUGAAUGAAUGAAACUCAACACGAAUGAUGGUAAUAAAAUAAAAUUGUGAAUGUUGUUAUUUACGUACUUCAUAUUGUUCGUCAGUGUAGCCCCGCUCAUAGGUCGUGUGGCGGAUGGACUCGCAAACGUAGUAUCCACAGAAAUCAUUCCUUUGUUCCUGCCACAACCACUUUAUAAGAAAUAGAGGUCAAUCAAACUGAUAAGCAAGAAUGCCAAAUGGUAUUGAUGAAACUUGUCAGGACCCCGAUUCCAAGCCACAUCGAUCUAGCCGGUAACACCUCAUAUCACUUUGCGGCCUCACGCACGAUAUUCCACGGGUGUCGCCUUACCAUGGCCCGGGACCGUUUGCGCCUUUUGGCUCACGUAUAUGAUAGUGUUGCUAGCAUCCAUAUGACAGAGAACCCGGGCCGACAUGGCUAGUCGUGAACCCAAAGUGGCACAGACCUAUGGAGACAGGCAUACAUGAAUCACAUCGAGCAUGUCGGUCAUCAGUGUGUGAUUCCGGGCUGUAGCACUGGGCUAACAGGACUCCGGGGAACCCGGGCUGUAGCAGGCUAGGCAGGACUCCGGAAGUCACCGCGUGACAUUUACCCGAAGGGACAGACAUAGGAACGAAGUGAAUCACAUGCCGGCAAGUCAAGUGUCCUGAGCAGUAGUACUGGGCUAGCAGGACUCCGGUGAACCGGGCUGUAGCGGACUACUAUGGCUCGAGGAACACUAGACUACAUUUCCCCAUAAGAAAGGCUGCCAAGGAUAAACAACUAGAUUGUCGGAUCCCACUCAUACCAAGCAUUUCAAUCAUACACACAAUAUGCCCGAUAUGAGUACAUACAACAUGGCAUCACAACAAAACUCUACAACUCAAGUACUUUAUUUAAAGGCUCUAGAGAGCCAUACAUAACAUGUUCAUACAGAUAGGGGUCACAUGACCCGACACUCAAGUCAUACAAUCAUACAAGCACAUGCGGAAGCAACCGGUCUGAGUACAGACACUAGAAAGAAAGAAGGCUCCUCGAGGCCUGUCUAUCUACAUAGGGCCCUCCAUGGCCAGGAUCACCACCUGGGUGGCUAGUCACUCGUCGAUGUCAAGGUCUACAUAGAACCCAUCGAAGGGGGCUGUGUUGUCGUCUGAAAACAGUAAUUAAGCAAACAUGAGUACAAAGGUACUCAGCAAGUCUUACAAAAGAACCUACUAUACAUGCUUAUUCUCAAGAAGGUGGUGGGGAUAUUGCAGCAAGCCAGUUUUCACUCUUGGCUAAACUAUCCUACAGAACUUCUCUAGUAAAAUAGUUUUCGCACACGAGUCCACUACUCACCAACACAAUACUCCACCGGGGAUCCUCCCUCGUCAUCCUAUGAGAGGGCCAUCCUCGGUACUCACACUUAUCUUGACUAUUUUAGUAGUAUCCAUUUAAUUGUCUAUGAACUGUAUAGGCAACCAAGUAGUCCUUUACCGCGGACGCGGCUAUUCGAAUAGUUUUAUACCCUGCAGGGGUGUACUUCGUCAUACAUGCUUUCACCACUUAUCGUCGUUUACACGACAUGUACUCGGCAACCUUCAAGCGAAAGCCCAGCGAGGGUGUCGGCCACGGCCUACCUAAACACUUAAGUCUCUAGUCCAGGUUUAUCGCCUAUCUAGGUUCCAUCCGCAGGGAGUCCGGGCGAGGUUUCCACAUACGGCCCCGAACGAUGUGAACAGGGUCCCGAGACGCCAAACGGGCGCCCGGCAUACCCGGCCAUGGUGUAUCUACCGCAACAUAGCCCACCCUUAGGGUCAGCGCUACGCACGGCCGCCAACACAUAACCUACAAACACCAGAAACUAUUUGCAACUCCUAGACAGAGUACAAGGGUGAUUAAGAAGCCGAGAGGGUCAAUUAAGGAUCCCAAUGCAUGGUAGUAGCUGAAUCUUAAAUCACACAUACCGAUCUCAGUUCUUAGGGACGGUCUCAAUGAAACAACCCACCAUGUACUCCUACAUGGCCUCUCAUCGAUACCUUUACCAAAACAUGUUCAACACAUUCCUCAUAUUACCGACAUAAUCAUAUCACCCUAGCCCAUCACCCAGAUGAACCAGACCUGACACAACUAUAAGCAUAGCAGGCAUAGCAAGGUAGGAAUCACAUACAUGGCUCAAUCAACUCCUACACAUGCUAGUGGGUUUCAUCUAGUUACUGUGGCAAUGACAGGUCAUGCAGAGGAUAAGGGUUCAACUAUCGUAGCACACAGCAGUUUGAAUCACAUUGUCUUAAUGCAGUAAACAAGAGCAGAGGCAAGAACAUGGGUUGUAUCGGAAUGAUCAAUGGGUUGCUUGACUGAUGGAGUGGUAGUGGGAUACUGCCCUUCAGUUGGAUACUCAUGAAUAUCCUCGGAGGCAGAACCUACCACGAAGAACACAUCGGAACACAAUCAACACAUGAUGAUAUGCAACAAUAUGAUGCAUGCUAUGACAUGGCAAUAUGAAUGUGUCUUGGCCUAAUGCAAGCUAAAAUAGAAAGGGAUGAACUCAUUUGAAUCAAAGAUUCAAAUAUUAGCUCAUUAAACAUGGCCUUAGUAGUGCAUUUCCUUAUUCUGCUUAAACAGCAAGGUAAACUUGUUUUUUCAUGCUUGAAACCAUUACAGAUGGAUAUAUUGAAUUUUUCUGAUAAUUUUUCAUAUAUAAAUUAUUUCAUUUGGAGUUACGGUUGAAUUUCUAUGAUUUUUAGAAGUUUCAAACAUUUUCUGGAAUUUCUUGAAUAAAAAUAAAUCCAGAAAAUGCAUUACUGCGUCAGCAUUGCAUCAUGCUGACCUCCGCAGGUCAAAGGCACCAGCCUAGGUCAAACCUGACUGGUGGGCCCCUUCUGUCAGUCUCUCAGUUAAAUAACAGGAUUAGAUUAACACUAAUUAGCUGUCAGUGGGGCCUGGGCCCACAUGUCACUGACUGAUUAAAAUAAAAUUAGUUAAAACUAAUCCUAGAUUAGUUAGCAAACCGGCCCCACCUGUCAUAGACUUAGGGGGGGUCUACCUGGGCCCACCCAGGGUCAAACUGGGUCAAACUCGCCGGCGCAGCUCGGAAAACGCCUACAGGGCACGAGCGAGGCCGUUCUUGGGCUCAUUGGAGAGCUCUUGCAGUCGCGCAUCUAGUGGCGGUGGUGGCCGGAGACGACGACGGCGAGCUCCAAGGCGGCGGCCGGAGUUCGGCCAUGUGCGGGGUGUCGGCUGUGGCGUGCAAACGUGGAAACUGAGGCACUAGCGAGGCACUACGCGAUGCGGCAAGCACGUUGCAUAGCACGGGAUAAUCAAAUGGUUGCCGGAGCGGCACCGGUGACAAGCUCGAGCGGAGACGAGCUUCGGCCAUGGUGGAACUAUGGCCUAGAGGGUGCAAACGCGUGGAAAAGAAGAGGGGAAAGGUGGCGGAGCUCACAGGGAGGUCGAUGAGCAGCUCAGUGGGCUCGGGGGCGACAGAAGUGAGGCGAAUCGAUGAGCAGCGUCCGGCGGGUACCGAGGUUGAAGACGAUCCGAUGGCGGCGAUGCAGGGCCUCCGGCGAUGCGUGGCUCGGUGGGAAGGGCGAGGGGGUGACGGAGGGCGCGACUACGGCGGUGAGACGGCGACGGGUGCGUCGGCCAUCGCGGGAGAGGGAGAGGGAGAUGAGUGGGAGAGUGAGAGAGGAUGAGAGGGGGACGUGGGGGUCGCGUGGCAUUCCCUGGACGUCUCCCGGCAUCGGCGGAAGCAGGAGGUGGCCGGCGUGUGGCCGCGGGCGCCGGCCACGCGCUCUGCGUCCUUCUGGCGCGAGGAGGACGACGACUGGCAGCGCCAGUAGGCUGGGCCGAGCCAGGUGGGCUGGCCAGCACAGGUAAGGCUCAGGUGGGCUUCUCCCUCUUUUUUUUAAUUUGUUUCUGUUUUCUAUUUAACUGUAAAUGUUGGGCUUUAUUUAAAAUACUAAAACAUUUCCAAAAAUCCUGAAAAUAAUUGUGGGCUCUGUUUGGAUUAUUUCCAAUAGCAAACAUUUAUUUGCAGAAUUAUUUGAGCAUUUAAAUGCCCAAAUUCAAAUACUUAUGAUUUAAAUCAAUGACCUUCUGUUGACCUAGAAAAGUUGUGCACCAAUUUUGCCAGAGGUUCUAACCCAAGACAAAGAGGGUGAACUUUUUAGAAGGGCAUUUCAGGUUCAUUGAAAAUAAUUUUAGUAAUCCCUAGUUGUUUCCAGGGGGGUGUUGGGGGUUUCUGCCUUCCCCAAUUCAAAUUUAAGAGGAAUUUAAACAUGAUGCACAUUCUAAUGCUUGAACUAGCUAGGGUGUGACAACUCACCCCCACUCAAAAGAAUCUCGUCCCGAGAUUUAGGAUCCUCUGGAAAGAAGGUGGGGUACUCGAGUCGAAGACGAUCCUCCCUUUCCCAAGUGGCUUCUUUCUCGGAAUGGUGUGUCCAUUGAACCUUGAGAAACUUGAUAUUAUGACGUCGAGUGGUACACUCGGCUUGAUCAAGGAUACGAACGGGAUAUUCCCGAUAAGAGAGGUUAUCUUGUAGAUCAAGCAUUUCGUGGUCCACUCCACGGAUAGGAUCCGCGAAGCAACGCCUGAGUUGUGAAACGUGGAAGACAUCAUGAACUCUGGAAAGAUGCGGAGGUAGUUCCAAUUGGUAGGCAACUUCUCCUCGUUUGGCAAGAAUGCGAAAGGGUCCAAUGUAACGAGGAGCCAAUUUGCCUUUGAUACCGAAAUGAUGGGUUCCUUUUAAUGGGGUAACCCGAAGGUAAGCCUUCUCGUCGAUUCAUAAGUCAUAGGCUUAUGUUUACGAUCAUAUUGACUCUUUUGACGAGAUUGGGCUGUUUUCAAUUUCUCACGAAUAACGCGAACCUGCUCUUCCGCUUCCUGAAUCAUAUCCGGGCCAAAGAGUUGUCUUUCCCCGGUUUCUGACCAGUUAAGAGGCGUUCGACAUUUUCGUCCAUAGAGAACUUCGAAAGGAGCUUUGCCCAAGCUAGCUUGAUAACUAUUGUUAUAAGCAAACUAUGCGAAUGGGAAGCAUUUCUCCCAACUCAUUCCGAAUGAGAUAACAGAAGCUCGGAGCAUAUCUUCUAGAAUUUGAUUGACUCGCUCUACUUGACCACUUGAUUGAGGAUGGAAGGCGGUACUAAAAGAGAGACGAGUUCCCAUAGCAUUUUGGAAACUUUCCCAAAAUCGAGAGGUGAAGAGACUCCCACGGUCUGAGUUAAUUUCCAAUGGGACACCAUGGAGAGACACUAUUCGGGAGAUGUAUAAAUCGGCUAGCUGGCUAGCAGUGAUACUCGCACGAACAGGUAGGAAAUGGGCUACUUUGGAAAGACGGUCGAUCACGACGAAGAUGGCAUUAUUCCCUCUCUUGUUCCUGGGAAACCCAGUAAUGAAAUCCAUACUGAUUUUAUCCCAUUUCCAUUCAGGAAUAGCCAAAGGUUGAAGGGUGCCAGCAGGCCGUUGAUGCCCUGCUUUAACACGAUGACAGACGUCGCAGCUAGCAAUGUAUCGAGCGAUUUCUCUCUUCAUCCUAGUACAUCAAAACCUCUGGCGUAGGUCUUGAUACAUUUUAUUGCUACCGGGAUGAAUGGUGAGAGGGGAUUCAUGAGCUUCCUUAAGGAUCAAUUGGCGUAGAUGUUGUUUCUUGGGAACCACCAAACGGUUCUCAAAGAAGACAGCACCCCGCUUAUCCAUGGAAAAACAUUUAGCAACUCCGCUAGCAAUGUUUUCCUUAAUCCGGGAUAUGCCCUUAUCAUACCGCUGGGCAGUUAUGAUCUGAUCCAUAAGGUUAGGUUUCGCCACCAGGGUGGAUAGGAAUCCUCGAGGAACAAUGUGAAGAUUAAGCUUACGGAAUUCCUCAUGGAGAAGUGGUUGACUUUGUUGUAACAUCAGGUUGUUACAAUAGGAUUUACGGCGUAGUGCAGCAGCCAUGACAUUGGCUUUGCCCGGUGUGUAGGUUAUUCCUAAGUCGUAAUCCGAGAUCAACUCAACCCAACGUCUUUGCCUGAGAUUCAAAUCUGGUUGGGUGAAGAUAUAUUUCAAGCUUUGGUGAUCGGUGAAGAUCUCGCAACGAUUAAGUGCAUGGACUACAGCUGCCAGCUCUAGAUCAUGUGUGGGAUAAUUUUCCUCAUGUGGGUGUAAUUGCCGUGAAGCGUAGGCAAUUACCUGACGAUCUUGCAUGAGUAUGCAACCUAGUCCUUGUCGCGAGGCGUCACAAUAGAUAAUAAAGUCCUUGGAUAAAUCAGGUGGUACCAGUACGGGAGCAGAUGUCAGGCGUCUUUUCAGUUCCUAAAAGCUGAACUCGCACUGUGGAGUCUACUCGAACUUUUUAUCUUUCUUGAGGAGUUUAGUUAGAGGUUUAGCAACCUUGGAGAAAUUCUCGACGAAGCGGCGGCAAUAGCUCGCUAAGCCAAGGAAGCUCCAAACUUGCUUGACCGUCUCAGGUGGAGUCUAAUCAAGGACGGCUUGAACUCGCUCGGGAUUGACGGCAAUACCCUUACCAGAGAUUACAUGGCCUAGAUAGGUUACUUCUGGCAACCAAAAUUCACACUUGGAGAAUUUGGCAUAAAGGCGAUGCUCUCGAAGUUUCAUCAAUACCAGCCUUAGAUGUUCGGCAUGUUCCUCUUCAUUCUUGGAGUAGAUUAGUAUGUCAUUGAGGUAUACUACGAUGAAUUUAUCCAAGUACUCCAUGAAAACCGAGUUCAUUAGCCGGGAGAAGGUAGCCGGGGCAUUGGUUAAACCGAAGGACAUAACGGUGUACUCGUAUUGGCCAUAACGAGUAACAAAGGCCGUUUUGGGAAUGUCCCCGUUUCUGAUUUAGAUUUGAUGGUAGCCCAACCUCAAAUCCAUCUUGGAAAAGACUGAGGAUCCAGCAAACUAAUCAUACAGAUCAUUGAUCCUGGGAAGUGGGUAUUUGUUCUUGAUGGUGACCAAGUUGAUAGGUCGGUAAUCCACAACCAUUCGAUCUGUUCCAUCCUUCUUGACGAAGAGGACGGGGCAAGCCCAAGGAGAGGAACUAGGACGGAUGAAACCCUUUUUCAAGGACUCAUCGAGUUGGUUCUCAAGCUCGGCUAGUUCUAAGGGUGCCAUCUUGUAGGGUCUUCUAGAAAUUAGAAUGGUUCCUGGAACAAGGUCUAUCACAAACUCGACAUCCCUGUCAGGUGGAACACCUGGCAGUUCUUCUGGAAAGGCAUCCGGAAAGUCUCGGACUACCGGAACAUCCUCAAGGUCUGGAAGGGGGUUGGCAUUUAGGGAGUAAAGUUGGCACUUGGCCACUCGAGUUAAGACAUUAACUGUCUUGCCCGAUGGGUGAGUAAGUUGAACGGUUCUAGUGGCACAGUCAAUCUUAGCAUAAUGAGCUGACAUCCAGUCCAUACCUAAGAUGAUGUUUAUGUCCGAGGACUUGAGAGCUAUUAAGGAUGCAAGGAAGACAAGUCUAUCGACAAGAAUUUCGUUCCCAUGGCUUACUCUAGAAGUUUGCCAUCUAGAGCCAGGGGUUUGAAUUUCCAUGGUAGAGGGCAUGUCACAGAAUGUCGUGUUGUGCAAUCGAGCAUAGUUCUCGGAUAUGAAUGAAUGAUAUGCUCCAGUAUCGAAAAGAACAGAUGCCGGAUGGCAGUUAACAAGGAGCGUACCAAGGACGACGUUGGGAUCCUCAUGAGCCUCCUCGGCUGAAACAUAGUUGACAUGGCCACGUGCAGUGGUGGCUGGCUUAGCGUAGAAUGUUUUUCCCGCGGGCUUACCACGGCCAACGGACUUUCCAGUUUGAUUGGGGUUGUUGUUCUGGGGACACUCUCGGCUAUAGUGACCCGGCUCUCCACACUUAAAGCAUGUCACCACAUUGGGGCGUGGAGCAGCAUUAGCAGCGGGGCCACCAUAGGGCUUGGGCGGUGCAAAUUGCUGGUUGGGACGUGGUGCCUCAAAGGAUGGCCUCGGGAUGAACCUGGGUGGCAGUGCCGUGCUUGGAAUCCACACCCGGCGCUUCUGAGCUCCAGAGCCGAUGAAGAGCCAAAAUCACGGGAGUGCUUGCGUGAAGUGUCAUAAUCAGUCUGGCCUUUCUCAGCACUGAUGGCUUUAUGGACCAACUUCUAAAAGGAGGUGCACUUGUGCAGACGAAGACCACGGUGAAGCUCAGGGCUAAGUCCCUUGCGGAACCUUGCCUGCUUCUUAGCAUCAGUAGAUACCUCUUCAGGGGCAUAACGUGCCAGAUUCCCAAAUUCACGACUGUAAGCAUCCACAGUCAGUCUUCCUUGGGUGAAGUUGCAGAACUCCUCCCUCUUGCGAUCCAUGAGACCUUCCGGAAUGUGAUGCUCACGGAAAGCCUCACUGAAUUCAGCCCAAGUAGUGAUUUGGCCGACCGGGCGCAUAGCUUCGAAGUUUUCCCACCAAAGGCUAGCAGGGCCUUUGAGGUGAUAGGCAGCAUAAGUAACCUUGUCGGCUUUGGCUACGUUGGCAGAACGUAGCUUGUGGGUGAUGCUGUGAAGCCAGUCAUCCACGUCGAGGGGCUCGACGGAAUGGUUAAACUUUGGUGGGUACAUCUUGAUAAAGUCAUUGAUUGACACCAACUCAUUUCGCGGGUGGCGUGCAGUGUUCUGCUCAAUCCGCUCCAGCAGGCGGUUGGUCUCACGCUUCUUUCUUUCUGCCUCCAGCAUUACUUCGGCCAGAGAAGGCGGGUGAGGCAGAUUUUCACCUCUAGCAGCACUGGCUUCCCCCUGCUCCGGGGCAACAGGGUUGCUGCGAGUAUUGACCAUCCUAGGAGAAAACAAGACAACGGUUUAGACAAGGAUGGCUCAAACUGAGCAAGGAUGUGCAGAAUGUAAUGGAUAACACGGAACACAGAGAUGUUCAUCCGUAUGUCAUGGUAAUAUAAAACUGCCAUAUAUAUACCAACGGUCAUACACAUCACACAUAGUUUAGUACAAGCCCAGGCUACAGUACAACUAUGAUGAAAGACGUUACAUCUCAUCGGAGGCAUUCCAAGCUCCUAUACAUUAUUGUCUACACCUUCGGAAUUGAUUACACGCAAAGUCAUAUUCCAAAAGUCACGCAGGACAGUGGAGAUACAACUACUACAAUACUAGUGGUACUACUACUAACUCAGACAGCUCCGUACUAGUCCUCAUAGAAGUCACCUCCAUAGCCUGGAAGUUCAACGUGACCAUCCGGGAACAGACGGUCCUGAGGAGCCUGUGGACCAUAGGGGCUUGGAUGGGGUCUUGGACCAACAAACGGUGGCCUGCGGGGACCACAGGGUGGGGUGAUGCCUCCCACAUCACGCCAAUCCACCACGUCUGGCAAAGCAGACCUCACAGGAUACAAAUCCCUUGUAUCCAUACAUCCAGCUUGCACCACAGGUGCAAACCGAGUCAAUGUGGCCCAAUGAUCAGCACGGGUAUUAAAAAGCUCCAGCCUCAAGGCCUGAUUCUCUCGGUCCUUAUAUUCGAGCAUCUCGGCAGUGGUACGAGUUAAUGAAUCCUCCUGAGUGGAGUCAGCAUAGAUAGCCUGAAGAUACCCUUGCGCUCCCGGAAGUGAAGCUAGCAUGUAUCGGAAGUCGGUGUUCCGAAGCAGGCCAGUCCGGACUCGCAUGAUUGUCAUCAUGGAAUAGGCAGCAUCCUGCACAGCCAUCUCAACAGUAACCCCGAGUCCAUAGGAACAGUGAAGGGGCUCGGUAGAUCCAGGAUAAGAAGGAAAUAUCUUGACGGUGCAGAAAUACUGGCUUUGAUUAAAGUCUCAGAAUUGCUCUUCGACGGUGUAUUCGGGAUACCAACGGUAACCCGUCUCGAUCAUGACCCGGACUAACAUAGCAGUAUGACCGGGCACGUCGAGCCACCGGGUCAGGCGAACCACUUUGUUUUGAGCACGGUUGGGCAUCUGAAAGCACAACCACAAUGCAAAGACAUCAGAAUUUCUAGGGAAAAUUGGACAGCAUAACAGCUGUAAAUGCUCAGAAAAAGAUUUGAGACAUCCACAACAGUUCGCAAUACCACUCAACAACAUCAUAUCAAGGUUCUGAUCCAAAUAGCAGCAUACUAAAAAUAGUAGAAACUGAACUGGGGCUUGUAACAACAAUCCUAUAAGCUACUACGGAUUAGUAACACGUGAACCUGAUAGAAGAAGAGAGACUAGUCCUUAACCCACAUUGAAUGAAAAGGGAAUGACUCAGAUAAGAGGCAUAGGGUAAAGGAGUAAAAGAGCCUUACGUUCCCUCCCACAAUCAAUUCCCCUACAUAUAACUAAAGCAUUUCCAGACUCGACAUCGACCAGUUUGGCUCAACGAACCUACAGGCAGUCCGGCACUGAUGCCAACGCUGUCAGGACCCCGAUUCCAAGACACAUCGAUCUAGCUGGUAACACCUCAUAUCACUUUGCGGCCUCACGCACGAUAUUCCACGGGUGUCGCCUUACCAUGGCCCGGGACCGUUUGCGCCUUUUGGCUCACGUAUAUGAUAGUGUCGCUAGCAUCCAUAUGAUAGAGAACCCGGGCCGACAUGGCUAGUCGUGAACCCAAAGAGGCACAGACCUAUGGAGACAGGCAUACAUGAAUCACAUCGAGCAUGUCGGUCAUCAGCGAGUGAUUCCGGGCUGUAGCACUGGGCUAACAGGACUCCGGGGAACCCGGGCUGUAGCAGGCUAGGCAGGACUCCGGAAGUCACCGCGUAACAUUUCCCCGAAGGGACAGACAUAGGAAUGAAGUGAAUCACAUGCCGGCAAGUCAAGUGUCCUGAGCUGUAGUGCUGGGCUAGCAGGACUCUGGUGAACCGGGCUGUAGCGGACUACUAUGGCUCAAGGAACACUAGACUACAUUUCCCCAUAAGAAAGGCUGCCAAGGAUAAACAACUAGAUUGCCGGAUCCCACUCAUACCAAGCAUUUCAAUCAUACACGCAAUAUGUCCGAUAUGAGUACAUACAACAUGGCAUCACAACAAAACUCUACAACUCAAGUACUUUAUUUAAAGGCUCUAGAGAGCCAUACAUAACAGGUUCAUACAGAUAGGGGUCACAUGACCCGACACUCAAGUCAUACAAUCAUACAAGCACAUGCGGAAGCAACCGGUCUGAGUACAGACACUAGAAAGAAAGAAGGCUCCUCGAGGCCUGUCUAUCUACAUAGGGCCCUCCAUGGCCAGGAUCACCACCUGGGUGGCUACUUACUCGUCGACGUCAAGGUCUACAUAGAACCCAUCGGAGGGGGCGGUGUUGUCGUCUGAAAACAGUAAUUAAGCAAACAUGAGUACAAAGGUACUCAGCAAGUCUUACAACAGAACCUAGUAUACAUGCUUAUACUCAAGAAGGUGGUGGGGAUAUUGCAGCAAGCCAGCUUUGACUCUUGGCUAAACUAUCCUACGGAACUUCUCUAGUAAAAUAGUUUUCGCACACGAGUCCACUACUCGCCAACACAAUACUCCACAGGGGAUCCUCCCUCGUCAUCCUAUGAGAGGGCCAUCCUCGGUACUCACACUUAUCUUGAGUAUUUUAGUAGUAUCCAUUUACUUGUCUAUGAACUGUAUAGGAAACCAAGUAGUCAUACACGCUAUUCGGAUAGUUUUAUACCCUGCAGGGGUGUACUUCGUCAUACACGCUUUCACCACUUAUCGCCGUUUACAUGACAUGUACUCGGCAACCUUCAAGCGGAAGCCCAGCGAGGGUGUCGGCCACGGCCUACCUAAACACUUAAGUCUCUAGUCCAGGUUUAUCGCCUAUCCAGGUUCCAUCCACAGGGAGUCCGGCCGAGGUUUCCACAUACGGCCCCGAACGAAGUGAACAUGGUUUCGAGACGCCAAACGGGCGCCCGGCAUACCCGGCCACGGUGUAUCUACCGCAACAUAGCCCACCCCUAGGGUCAGCGCUAUGCACGGCCGCCAACACAUAACCUACAAACACCAGAAACUAUUUGCAACUCCUGGACAGAGUACAAGGGUGAUUAAGAAGUCGAGAUGGUCAAUUAAGGAUCCCAAUGCAUGGUAGUAGUGAAUCUUAAAUCGCACAUACAGAUCUCAGUUCUUAGGGACGGUCUCAAUGAAACAACCCACCAUGUACUCCUACAUGGCCUCUCAUCGAUAUCUUUACCAAAACAUGUUCAACACAUUCCUCAUAUUACCGACAUAAUCAUAUCACCCUAGCCCAUCACCCAGAUGAACCAGACCUGACACAACUCUAAGCAUAGCAGGCAUAGCAAGGUAGGAAUUAUAUACAUGGCUCAAUCAACUCCUACACAUGCUAGUGGGUUUCAUCUAGUUACUGUGGCAAUGACAGGUCAUGCAGAGGAUAAGGGUUCAACUACUGUAGCACACAGCAGUUUGAAUCACGUUGUCUUAAUGCAGUAAACAAGAGCACAGGCGAGAACAUGGGUUGUAUCGGAAUGAUCAAUGGGUUGCUUGCUUGAUGGAGUGGUAGUGGAAUACUGCCCUUCAGUGGGAUACUCGUGAAUAUCCUCGGAGCCAGAACCUACCACGAAGAACACAUCGGAACACAAUCAACACAUGACGAUAUGCAACAAUAUGAUGCAUGCUAUGACGUAUCUUGGCCUAAUGCAAGCUAAAAUAGAAAGGGAUGAACUCAUUUGAAUCAAAAAUUCAAAUAUUAGCUCAUUAAACAUGACCUUAGUAGUGCAUUUCCUUAUUCUGCUUAAACAGCAAGGUAAACUUGUUUUGUCAUGCAUGAAACCAUUACAGAUGGAUAGAUUGAAUUUUUCUGAUAAUUUUUCAUAUAUAAAUUAUUUCAUUUGGAGUUACGGUUGAAUCUCUAUGAUUUUUAGAAGUUUUAAACAUUUUCUGGAAAUUACUGAAUAAAAAUAAAUCCAAAAAAUGCAUUACGGCGUCAGCAUUGUGUCAUGCUGACCUCAGCAGGUCAAAGGCGCCAGCCCAGGUCAAACCUGACUGGUGGGCCCCUUCUGUCAGUCUCUCAGUUAAAUAACAGGAUUAGAUUAACACUAAUUAACUGUCAGUGGGGCCUGGGCCCACAUGUCAGUGACUGAUUAAAAUAAAAUUAGUUAAAACUAAUCCUAGAUUAGUUAGCAGACCGGCCCCACCUGUCAUAGACUCAGGGGGGUCUACCUGGGCCCACCCAGGGUCAAACUGGGUCAAACUCGCCGGCGUUGAGCCGCCGGCGAGACCCGAGACAGUGGCGCAGCUCGGAAAACGCCUACAGGGCACGAGCGAGGCCGUUCUUGGGCUCGUUGGAGAGCUCUUGCAGUCGCGCAUCUAGUGCUGGUGGUGGCCGGGCCUACGGUGGCCGGAGACGACGACGGCGAGCUCCAAGGCGGCGGCCGGAGUUCGGCCAUGUGCGGGGUGUGGGCUGCGGCGUGCAAACGUGGAAACUGAGGCGCUAGCGAGGCACUACGUGAUGCGGCAAGCACGUUGCGUAGCACGGGAUGACCAAAUGGUCGCCGGAGCGGCGCUGACGACAAGCUCGAGCGGAGACGAGCUUCGGCCAUGGUGAAACUAUGGCCUAGAGGGUGCAAACGCGUGGAAAAGAAGAGGGGAAAGGUGGCGGAGCUCACAGGGAGGUCGAUGAGCAGCUCAGUGGGCUCGGGGCGACCGGAGUGAGGCGAAUCGACGAGCGGCGUCCGGCGGGUACCGAGGUUGAAGACAAUCCGAUGGCGGCGAUGCAGGGCCUUCGGCGAUGCGUGGCUCGGUGGGGAGGGCGAGGGCGUUACGGCGGAGCUUCUGGACAGGUCAGAGAGGCGAGGUGGUGAUGGAGGGCGCGACUAUGAUGGUGAGACGGCGAUUAAAAAGAAAGAUCUGGUUCACUCGUACGUGAAAAAAGUAGCAAGCGCUCGAUGCCUUCCUUUGCAUCGAUGCCAGACGCGGUGCUGGGAAUCGACAAGAUAACCGCCAAUCUACCACGAUUAAAUUCCUAGCGCCUCCUUCUAGCGCCUCCCACUGAAAAUGCCCUAAAGGUUUUGGAGGGAUUUUUUUACUGUGUCCUACUUCACGAAUCACGAGGCAAAUCAAGUAGCCGGCAUGGCCUGGCCGGUGAGUGCCAUUGCACUUACUUGCCCCAGCAAUUUUCCGCGUGCAUUGUAGAAUUCUUUCUCCGAGUCCUGUGAAUUAAAGAUGGUGCAGACAAAAAUAUAUCCUAUAUGCGUACAUGUGCAUGAUCAGAACAUGUUUUUACGUGCGUCUACUAUAAAUCAUGACCAUUUUUAACACAAAUCAUGACCAUUCAUGAUUAGUGAAUCAUACUGUCUUAACUUAUGUGAAAUCAUGUGGAGUAAUAUAAUAUAAUAUAAUAAAUAGAUAGAUCCAUGUUGUAUUAUUUUUUGUUUACAAAAAAUAUCUGUCAUUACACAUUUUGAUUUAUGCAUUUGUUUACAAAAAAAACAGUAACAUUUCAUGGUGGAAAGUUUGUAUUGUUUCAUACUGAACACCAAUGUUUUCCUGUAAAAGAAAAUAAUGCCUACGCAUAUGCUUUUAUAUUAUUAUUAUUCUUUCAAACUUAUUCAUACAGUAUUUUUGAUUGUGCAACCAUAAUUUUUAUUGUCUCUCUCGUUCCACUACAUGCUCUUACUCAAUGAUUUUUUUAUAACGGGUGUUUUUAUUAACUCAAAAUAUAGUAUCAAGCGGAUACAAAACAUAAUGAGCCACACCUGGUCUCUGCAUAACUAAGAUGCACACAGCCAAAAGCAGAUGUCUGACAAAAAUAAGAUAAGAAAAUCGACAUAUCGACAACAGUGAGUCAUAUAGUCCCGACACUAUGCCCCCGUUGAAGGACGGGGUGGAGCGAUCUGGAGAUUAUGCUGCCCUCCAUGUUGAGUAAAUACCUCCCUGGCCACUUGUUCCAAACGCAUAGACGCCGCCACGAAUAAUGGUCGGUACUCUGUUCAGUGUAGCAUACACCAUGUAGGAAGUGAGUGCUCACUCCUAGUUACUAAAUUAUGUACACACUAGUAGAAAAAGGGCCAUUUGUCCCGGUUCGUAAGGCCCAUUUGUCCCAAUUGGGGAACCGGGACUAAAGGGUCGGUACUAAAGCCCUACACCUUUAGUCCCGGUUCUUACACCAACCGAGACAGAUGGGGCUCCACGUGGCCGCUACAGCUUGCCGUGGCAGGGGGGCCUUUUGUCCCGGUUGGUAGCACCAACCGGGACCAAUAAGCUACCACGCGUCCGCAUUUGAGGGGCUAGGGUUUUUGUUUUUUUUCUGAAGGGGGGGGGGUGGGUUUGUAUGGUUAAUUUUGGGGGGUUUCACAUAUUGUGUUAGGUAGCUAAUUAAUUAAUAGAGAGAAGUGUCCUCACUUAUCUCCGUGCUUGGUCGACGCUACGUACUAUACGUAUAGAGAGGCCCUCAACACGCUAGCCAGUAAGCAAAUGAAGUAAACCAUUAAGUACAGAAGUUCGUCAUGAACAUAUGCAUACAAACAUAAGUGAUAUCGACCUCUCCUUCUCCGAGAGAUAGGUCGAACAACAAGUUUCCGUAUAUCUAUCCGGCGCUACUAGCUACAUAUAUACAAUAUUAAGAUCUCUUACAAUAUAAUCCCCUAAUUAUAUAUGAACUCAGCUUCCAGAUGGUAUUCUCCGGCUUUAUUGAUGGCGUGGUCAAGAAAGAUUCCCUCCAAUUCCUCUUGAAUUGCUUUGAUGCGAUCUUGUGGUAGGAGUUCAUCUCGCAUCUGCCACAUCUAAUUUGAAGAAGGGGGUCAAUCACCAGUAGAAUAACAACCAUUUGUCCUGGUUCAUAAGGUUAAUUUGUCCCGGUUGGGGAACCGAGACUAAAGGGUCUUUACUAAAGCCCUACACCUUUAGUCCUGGUUCUUACACCAACUGGGACAGAUGGGCCUCCAUGUGGCUGCUGCGGCGAGCCCAGGCCGGAGGUCCUUUGGUCCCGGUUAGUGGCACUGAUACGUCUCCAACGUAUCUAUAAUUUUUGAUUGCUCCAUGCUAUUAUGUUAUCUAUUUUGGAUGUUAAUGGCUUUAUUUUACACCUUUAUAUCAUUUUUGGGACUAACCUACUAAUCGGAGGCCCAACCCAAAUUGUUGUUUUCUACCUAUUUUAGGUUUUCGAAGAAAAGGAAUAUCAAACGGAGUCCAAACGGAAUGAAACCUUCGAGAACGUGAUUUUCUCAAUGAACAUGAUUCAGGAGAAUUGGAGUGUGCUCCAAGAAACAAGGGAGGAAGGCACGAGGCAGGGGGCGCGCCUACCCCCUUGGGCGCGCCCUCCACCCUCGUGGGCCCUCCGCUGCUCCACCGACGUACUUCUUCCUCCUAUAUAUAUCCACGUACCCCCAAACAUCCAGGAGCACCACGAAAACCUAAUUCCACCGCUGCAACCUUCUGUACCCGAGAGAUCCCAUCUUGGGGCCUUUUCCGGAGGUCCACCGGAGGGGGCAUCGAUCAUGGAGGGCCUCUACAUCAACUCCAUGGCCUCUCCGGUGAUGUGUGAGUAGUUUACUUCAGACCUAGGGGUCUAUAGUUAUUAGCUAGAUGGCUUCUUCUUCUCUCUUUGGAUCUCAAUACAAAGUUCUCCUCGAUUUUCUUGGAGAUCUAUUUGAUGUAACCUUCUUUUGCGGUGUGUUUGUCGAGAUCCGAUGAAUUGUGGGUUUGUGAUCCAGAUUAUCUAUGAACAAUAUUUGAUUCUCCUAUGAAUUCUAGUAUGUAUGAUUGGUUUAUCUUUGCAAGUCUCUUCGAAUUAUCAGUUUGGUUUGGCCUACUAGAUUGAUUUCUUGCAAUGGGAGAAGUGCUUAGCUUUGGGUUCAAUCUUGCAGUGUUUGAUCCCAGUGACAGAAAGGGAACCGAUACGUAUUGUAUUGUUGCCAUCGAGGAUAAAAAGAUGGGGUUUAUAUCAUAUCGCAUGAGUUUAUCCCUCUACAUCAUGUCAUCUUCCUUAAAGCAUUACUAUGUUCUCUUGAACUUAAUACUCUAGAUGCAUGCUGGAUAGCGGUCCAUGUGUCGAGUAAUAGUAGUAGAUGCAGAAUCGUUUCGGUCUACUUGUCUCGGACGUGAUGCCUAUAUACAUGAUCAUACCUAGAUAUUCUCAUAACUAUGUUCAAUUCUGUACAAUAUGGUGCACGGGGUUACAUCGGCCUGCAAAGACAUUUCUGCGAUGUGAGACAUCCGAAAAGCAACGAAAACGGGAGAUUAUACAUUUAUUGAAGAGGGCAGGUGUGACAGAUACCGUGAGGGCGUCGAGCUCAGCCAAAGACGAUGGACAGCUGAGCACGGCCUGUGUCAGAGCCGGUGCGGGAGCAGGUGCAGGUGCAGGUGCUGGUGCAACGCUAGUCGAGCUGCUCCUGAAGAAGUCAACAAUGGGAAAGUCCGCUGCAUUUUUUCUGCAUUUUGCGUGCUCCAAUUGAAAAUGGCUGGAACCAAGACAGUAGACAUAUCUGCAACCACCUGUUUUCCGGCAGCUACCGCUGUCGCGACUGUCUCAGAUGAUUUCUUCUCAACCGCAAUCUCAACCUUCUUGUCGAUGUUUUAUUCGGUUAACCUCCAUCUUUCCUUUCUCUCCUCCGUGGUCUCACGGUAGUACUUCUUCCACGUGGCCCCGUCUCCGACACCGUGAACGCGUCCAUACGACGACCGAGUCUCCACGGGGAGUCCUUUCAAUAUGUUCAAUGCCCGGUUGAAUGGAGUGUCCCACUUGGGCCUUGCCAAUGCCUCAGACGGCGAGUCGCUUUCGGCCGCAAUCUUAUGCUGCUCUCUCUACAAAAGGAACACGGAUCAUUUACAAAUAUGACUAAACGUGCAGUCGAACUGAUCAGAAACUAAAAUUACCAGCAGUCUCAUGAACUCCGUCGUGAUCGGGUCCGUCUUGAAAACCUUCUUGACUGAGUCCCAAUGGUGUCGUGCCCUGAGGACGUCAUGCUCCUACGGGACGGUGAAGUCCGCCAAGGGGUCUGGGAUGCCAGAUUUUCGCGUUUCGUGUCCUCCUUGGCCCAUAUGGACCUCUUCCUGCCGUAACCACUGCUUCCGAGGUGGUGGCGCCCCAUGUUCCUUUGUGGAAGCCCCUUCAUGUACUUCGACUUUGUUUUGGCAGCUUCGGCCUCGCAAGCCGCCUUGAAUAUUUCAAAGUGUUCUCUAGUGAUUGUCAGAUUAUCCUUUACAAUCUCGGAGUAGGGUUGAUACGUCUCCAACGUAUCUAUUAUUUUUGAUUGCUCCAUGCUAUAUUAUCUACUGUUUUGGACAUUAUUGGGCUUUAUUAUCUACUUUUAUAUUAUUUUUGGGACUAACCUAUUAACCGGAGGCCCAGCCUAGAAUUGUUGUUUUUUGACUGUUUUAGGGUUUCGAAGAAAAGGAAUAUCAAACGGAGUCCAAACGGAAUGAAACCUUCGGGAACGUGAUUUUCUGAAUGAACAAGACCCUGGAGACUUGGACCCUACGUCAAGACACAAAAGAGGAGGACACGAGGUAGGGGGCGCGCCUAACCCCCCCCCCCCCUCGAGGCACGCCCUCCACCCUCGUGGGGCCCCUGUUGCUCCACCGACGUACUCCUUCCUCCUAUAUAUACCUACGUACUUCCAAACGAUCAGAUACGGAGCCAAAACCCUAAUUCCACUGCCGCAACUUUCUGUAUCCACGAGAUCCCAUUUGGUGCCUGUUCCGGAGCUCCGCCGGAGGGGGCAUCGAUCACGGAGGGCUUCUACAUCAACACCAUAGCCUCUCCGAUGAAGUGUGAGUAGUUCACCUCAGACGUACCGGUCCAUAUUUAUUACCUAGAUGGCUUCUUCUCUCUUUUUGGAUCUCAAUACAAUGUUCUCCCCCUCUCUUGUGGAGAACUAUUCGAUGUAAUCUUGUUUUUGCAGUGUGUUUAUUGAGAUUGAUGAAUUGUGGGUUUAUGAUCAAGUCUAUGUAUGAAUAAUAUUUGAAUCUUCUCUAAAUUCUUUUAUGUAUGAUUGUUUAUCUUUGCAAGUCUCUUCGAAUUAUCAGUUUGGUUUGGCCUACUAGAUUGAUCUUUCUUACAAUGGGAGAAGUGCUUAGCUUUGGGUUCAAUCUUGCGGUGUCCUUUCCCAAUGACAGUAGGGGCAGCAAGGCAUGUAUUGUAUUGUUGCCAUCGAGGACAACAAGAUGGGGUUUUCAUCAUAUUGCAUGAGUCUAUCCCUCUACAUCAUGUCAUCUUGCUUAAGGCGUUACUCUGUUUUUAACUUAAUACUCUAGAUGCAUGCUGGAUAGCGGUCGAUGAGUGAAACCUAUGGCCCCCGGGUCUAUCUUUAUCAUAUUAAUCUCCUACUACUUAGUUAUUUCCUUUGCUUUUUCCUUUGCCUUUAUUUUACUUUUGAUCUUUAUCACAAAAAUACCAAACAUAUUAUCUUUAUCAUAUCUAUCAGAUCUCACUCUCGUAAGUGGCUGUGUAGGGAUUGACAACCCCUAUUCGCGUUGGUUGCGAGGAUUUAUUUGUUUUGUGCAAGUACGAGAGACUCGCGCGUAGCCUCCUACUGGAUUGAUACCUUGGUUCUCAAAAACUGAGGGAAAUACUUACACUACUUUGCUGCAUCAUCCUUCCUCUUCGCGGAAAACCAACGUAGUGCUCAAGAGCUGGCAAUAAGGAUUUCUGGCGCCGUUGCCGGGGAGGUCUAAGCAAAAGUCAACAUACCAAGUACCCAUCACAUACCCUUAUCUCCUGCAUUACAUUAUUUUCCAUUUGCCUCUCGUUUUCCUCUCCCCCACUUCACCCUUGCCGUUUUAUUCGCCCUCUCUCUCUCUCUCUAUCCUCCCUCUCUUUCUCUAUUUGCCUCUUUUUUCCCACUUGCUUUCUGUUUGCUUGUGUGUUAGUUGCUUGCUUGUCACGAUGGCUCAAGAUAAUACUAAAUUACGUGACUUCACCAAUACCAACAACAAUGAUUUUAUUAACACUCCGAUUGCUCCUCUUACCGAUGCUGAAUCUUGAGAAAUUAAUACUGCUUUGCUGAAUCUUGUCAUGAAAGAUCUGUUUUUCGGCCUUCCUAGUGAAGAUGCCGCUACCCACCUAAAUAGAUUCGUUGAUUUGUGUGACAUGCAAAAGAAGAAAGGUGUGGAUAAUGAUAUUGUUAAAUUGAAGCUAUUUCCUUUUUCGCUUAGAGAUCGUGCUAAAGCUUGGUUUUCGUCUUUGCCUAAAAAUACUAUUGAUUCAUGGAAUAAGUGCAAAGAUGCUUUUAUCUCUAAGUAUUUUCCUCCUGCUAAGAUCAUCUCUCUUAGAAACGAUAUUAUGAAUUUUAAGCAACUUGAUCAUGAACAUGUUGCACAAGCUUGGGAGAGAAUGAAACUAAUGAUACGUAAUUGCCCUGCCCAUGGUUUAAAUUUGUGGAUGAUUAUACCAAAUUUUUAUGCCGGAUUGAACUUUGCUUCUAGAAAUCUUUUAGAUUAGGCCGCGGGAGGCACUUUUAUGGAAAUCACUUUAGGAGAAGCUACUAAACUCCUAGAUAAUAUUAUGGUUAAUUAUUCUCAACGGCAUACCGAAAGAUCUACUAAUAAAAACGUGCAUGCGAUAGAAGAAAUUAAUGUUUCGAGUGGAAAGAUGGAUGAACUUCUGAAAUUAUUUGCUAAUAAGAGUAUUUCUUCUGAUCCUAAUGAUAUGCCCUUGUCUACUUUGAUUGAGAAUAAUAAUUAAUCUAUGGAUGUGGAUUUUGUUGGUAGGAACAAUUUUGGUAACAACGCGUACAGAGGAAAUUUCAACCCUAGGCCUUAUCCUAGUAAUCUCUCUAAUAAUUAUGGUAAUUCCUACAACAAUUCUUAUGGAAAUUAUAAUAAGAUGCCCUCUGAUUUUGGAUCUAAUAUUAGAGAAUUUAUUACUUUCCAAAAGAAUUUCAAUGCUUUGAUUGAAGAAAAAUUGCUUAAGAUUGAUGAUUUGGCUAGGAACGUUGAUAGAAUUACUCUUGAUGUUGAUUCUUUGAAACUUAGAUCUAUUCCACCUAAGCAUGAUGUCAAUGAGUCUCUCAAAGCCAUGAGAAUUUCCAUUGAUGAGUGCAAAGAAAGAACCACUAGGAUGCGUGUUAAGAAAGAUGCCUUUAUAAGAGCGUGUUCUUCUAAUUCCUAUGAAAAUAAUGAUGAAGAUCAAAAAGUUAUUGAUGUCCUCCCUAUUAAAUCUUUGUUUUGCAAUAUGAAUCUUGAUAAUCAUGGGACUGAAUAUGAUCCACCUUUACCUAGAAGGCGUUCCAAUAAUUCAGAAUUUGUUGAUCUUGAUGCUAAAAUUGAUAAAGGUGGGAUUGAAGAAAUUAAAACCCUAGAUGUUGCUAAACCCACUAUUAUGGAUUUCAAGGAACUUAACUAUGAAAACUGCCCUUUGAUUGAUUGUAUAUCCUUGUUACAAUCCGUGCUAAAUUCUCCUCAUGCUUAUAGUCAAAAUAAAGCAUUUACUAAACAUAUUGUUGAUGCCUUGAUGCAAUCUUAUGAAGAAAAACUUGAAUUGGAAGUUUCUAUCCCUAUAAAGCUUUAUGAUGAGUGGGAACCAACUAUUAAAAUUAAAAUUAAAUAUCAUGAAUGCUAUGCUUUAUGUGAUUUGUGUGCUAGUGUUUCCACGAUUCCAUAGACUUUGUGUGAUUUGUUAGGUUUCCGUGAUUUUGAUGAUUGCUCUUUAAACUUGCACCUUGCGGAUUCCACUAUUAAGAAACCUAUGGGAAGAAUUAAUGAUGUUCUUAUUGUUGCAAAUAGCAAUUAUGUGCCCGUAGAUUUUAUUGUUCUUGACAUAGAUUGCAAUCUUUCAUGUCCUAUUAUUCUUGGUAGACCUUUCCUUAGAACGACUGGUGCAAUUAUUGAUAUGAAGGAAGGAAAUAUUAGAUUCCAAUUUCCAUUAAGGAAAGGCAUGGAACACUUUCCUAGAAAGUAAAUUAAAUUACCUUAUGAAUCUAUUAUGAUAGCCACUUAUGGAUUGCCUACCAAAGAUGGCAAUACCUAGAUCUAUCCUUGCUUGUUAUGCCUAGCUAGGGGCGUUAAACGAUAGCGCUUGUUGGGAGGCAACCCAAUUUUAUUUUUAUUCCUUGAUUUUUUCUCCUGUUUAGUAAUAAAUAAUUUAUAUAGCCUCUGUUUUGGUUCUGUUCUUUGUGUUUAAUUAGUGUUUGUGCCAAGUAGAACCGUUAGGAAGACUUGGGGAAAGUCUUGUUACACUUGCUGUAAAAAACUGAAACUUCAGCGCUCACGAGAACUGCUGCCAUUUUUAUUUGGAAAGUGCUAUGUAGUUAAUUAUUUUUCAGAUGAUUAACAGAUAAAUUCCUCACGUCCAGAAAUUUAUUUUAGAAUUUUUGGGGUUCCAGCUCUUGAGCUAGCUACAGAGUACUACAGGCUGUUCUGUUUUUGAAAGAUUCUGUUUUUCGUGUGUUGUUUGCUUAUUUUGAUGAACCUAUGGCUAGUAAAAUAGUUUAUAUACCAUAGAGAAAUUGGAAUACAGUAGGUAUAACACCAAUAUAAAUAAAUAAUGAGUUCAUUACAGUACCUUGAAGUGGUCUUUUAUUUUCUUUCGCUAACGGAGCUCAUGAGAUUUUCUACUUUAAGUUUUGUGUUGUGAAGUUUUCAAGUUUUGGGUAAAGAUUUGAUGGAUUAUGGAACAAGGAGUGACAAGAGCCUAAGCUUGGGGGUUCCCAUGGCACCCCCAAGAUAAUCUAAGUACACCUAAAAACCAAAGCUUGGGGAUGCGCCGGAAGUCAUCCCCUCUUUCAUCUACUUCUAUCGGUAACUUUACUUGGAGCUAUAUUUUUAUUCGCCACAUGAUAUGUGUUUUGCUUGGAGCGUCUUGUAUUAUUUGAGUCUUUAUUUGUUAGUUUACCACAAUCAUCCUUGCUGUACACACCUUUUGAGAGAGCCAUACAUGAUUUGGAAUUUGUUAGAAUACUCUAUGUGCUUCGCUUAUAUCUUUUGAGUUAUAUAGUUUUGCUCUAGUACUUCACUUAUAUCUUUUAGAGCACGGUGGUGGAUUUGUUUUAUAGAAACAAUUGAUCUCUCAUGCUCCACUUAGAUUAUUUUGAGAUUCUUAAUAGCAUGUUAAUUUGCUUAAAAUCCUAAUAUGCUAGGUAUUCAAAGUUAGUAAAAUUUUCUUAAGAGUGUUUUGAAUACUAAGAGAAGUUUGAUGCUUGAUGAUUGUUUUGAGAUAUGGAGGUAAUAAUAUCAAAGUCGUUCUCGUUGACUAGUUGUGAAAUUGAGAAAUACUUGUGUUGAAGUUUGCAUGUCCCGUAGCACGCACGUAUGGUAAACGUUGUGUAACAAAUUUGAAACAUGAGGUGUUAUUUGAUUGUCUUCCUUGUGAGUGGCGGUCGGGGACGAGCGAUGGUCUUUUCCUACCAAUCGAUCCCCCUAGGAGCAUGCGAAUAGUACCAAGGUUUUUGAUGACUUGUAGAUUUUUGCAGUAAGUAUGUGAGUUCUUUAUGACUAAUGUUGAGUCCAUGAAUUAUACGCACUCUCACCCUUCCAUCCUUGCUAGCCUCUUCGGUACCGUGCAUUGCCCUUUCCCACAUUGAGAGUUGGAGCAAACUUCGCCAGUGCAUCCAAACCCCGUGCUAUGAUACGCUCAUUCACACAUAAACCUCCUUAUAUCUUCCUCAAAACAGCCACCAUACCUACCUAUUAUGGCAUUUCCAUAGCCAUUCCGACAUAUAUUGCCAUGCAACUUUCCACCAUUCCGUUCAUCAUGACACAUUCAUCAUUGUCAUAUUGCGUAGCAUAAUCAUGUAGUUGACAUAGUAUUUGUGGCAAGGCCACCGUUCAUAAUUCAUUCAUACAUGUCACUCUUGGUCCAUUGCAUGUCCCGGUACACCGCCGGAGGCAUUCAUAUAGAGCCAUACUUUGUUCUAGUAUCGAGUAGUAAUUAUUGAGUCGUAAAUAAAUAGAAGUGUGAUGAUCAUCAUUAAUAGAGCAUGGUCCCAAAAAGAAAAAAAAGGAAGGGCCAAAAAAAGGCCAAAUAAAAAAAUAUAAAAAAGGGGGCAAUGCUACUAUCCUUUUUUUCCAAACUUGUGCUUCCAAGUAGCACCGUAAUCUUCAAGAUAGAGAGUCUCUUGAUUUGUCACUUUCAUAUACUAGUGGGAAUUUUUCAUUAUAGAACUUGGCUUGUAUAUUCCAACAAUGGGCGUCCCCAAGUUCCCUAGGUCUUCGUGAGCAAGCAAGUUGGAUGCACACCCACUUAGUUUCUUUUGUUGAGCUUUCAUACAUUUAUAGCUCUAGUGCAUCCGUUGCAUGGCAAUUCCUACUCCUUGCAUUAACAUCAAUCAAUGGGCAUCUCCAUAGCCCAUUGAUUAGCCUCGUUGAUGUGAGACUUUCUCCUUUUUGUCUUCUCCACAUAACCCCACUCAUUAGAUUCUAUUCCACCCAUAGUGUUAUGUCCAUGGCUUGCAAUCAUAUAUUGCGUGAAAGUUUAUAGGUUUGAGAUCACUAAAGUAUGAAACAAUUGCUUGGCUUGUCAUCGGGGUUGUGCAUGAUGAGAGCAUACUUGUGUGACGAAAAUGAAGCAUGACUAAACUAUAUGAUUUUGUAGGGGUGAACUUUCUUUGGCCAUGUUAUUUUGAGAAGACACAAUUGCUCAGUUAGUAUGCUUAAAGUAUUAUUAUUUUAUGUCAAUAUGAACUUUUGUCUUGAAUGUUUCAGAUCCGAAUAUUCAUACCACAAUUAAGAAGAAUUACAUUAAAAUCAUGCCAAGUAGCACUCCACAUCAAAAAUUCUGUUUUUAUCAUUUACCUACUCGAGGACGAGCCGGAAUUAAGCUUGGGGAUGCUUGAUACAUCUCCAACGUAUCUAUAAUUUUUGAUUGCUCCAUGCUAUAUUAUCUACUGUUUUGGACAAUAUUGGGCUUUAUUAUCCACUUGUAUAUUAUUUUUGGGACUAACCUAUUAACCGGAGGCCCAGCCCAGAAUUGUUGUUUUUUGCCUGUUUUAGGGUUUCGAAGAAAAGGAAUAUCAAACGGAGUCCAAACGGAAUGAAACCUUCGGGAACGUGAUUUUCUCAACGAACAAGAUCUAGGAGACUUGGACCCUCCAUCAAGACAUAAAAGAGGAGGCCACGAGGUAGGGGGCGUNNNNNNNNNNNNNNNNNNNNNNNNNNNNNNNNNNNNNNNNNNNNNNNNNNNNNNNNNNNNNNNNNNNNNNNNNNNNNNNNNNNNNNNNNNNNNNNNNNNNNNNNNNNNNNNNNNNNNNNNNNNNNNNNNNNNNNNNNNNNNNNNNNNNNNNNNNNNNNNNNNNNNNNNNNNNNNNNNNNNNNNNNNNNNNNNNNNNNNNNNNNNNNNNNNNNNNNNNNNNNNNNNNNNNNNNNNNNNNNNNNNNNNNNNNNNNNNNNNNNNNNNNNNNNNNNNNNNNNNNNNNNNNNNNNNNNNNNNNNNNNNNNNNNNNNNNNNNNNNNNNNNNNNUGGGCCCCCCUGUUGCUCCACCGACGUACUCCUUCCUCCUAUAUAUACCUACUAUUGGGGAACGUAGCAGAAUUUUAAAAUUUUCUACGCAUACCAAGAUCAAUCUAUGGAGUCAUAUAGCAACGAGGGAGAGAGGAGUGCAUCUACAUACCCUUGUAGAUCGCGCGCGGAAGCGUUCAAGAGAACGGGGUUGAUGGAGUCGUACUCGUCGUGAUCCAAAUCACCGAUGACCAAGUGCCGAAUGGACAGCACCUCCGCGUACAACACACGUACGGUUGGGAAGACGUCUCCUCCUUCUUGAUCCAGCAAGGGGGAAGGAGAGGUUGAUGAAGAUCCAGCAGCACGACGGCGUGGUGGUGGAUGCAGCAGGAUCCCGGCAGGGCUUCGCCAAGCGCAAGCGGGGAGGAGAGGUGUUACGGAAGGAGAGGGAGGCGCCAAGAGCAAGGGUGCGGCUGCCCUCCCUCCCCCCCCUCUUUAUAUAGGGGCCUUGGGGGGGCGCCGGCCCUAGGAGAUGGAUCUCCAAGGGGGGCGAAGGCCAAGGGGUGGCUUCCCCCCCAAGCCAAGUGGGGGGCGCCCCCACCCCUAGGGUUUCCCAACCCUAGGCGCAUGGGAGGCCCAAGGGGGGCGCACCAGCCCACUAGGGGCUGGUUCUGCUCCCAAUUCAGCCCAUGGGGCCCUCCGGGAUGGGUGGCCCCACCCGGUGGACCCCCGGGACCCUUCCGGUGGUCCUGGUACAAUACCGGUGACCCCCGAAACCUUCCCGAUGGCCGAAAUUGUACUUCCUAUAUAUAAAUCUUUACCUCCGAACCAUUCCGGAACUCCUCGUGACGUACGGGAUCUCAUCCGGUACUCCGAACAUAUCCUUGGUUACUACAUACUAAUAUCUCUACAACCCUAGCGUCACCGAACCUUAAGUGUGUAGACCCUACGGGUUCGGGAGACAUGCAGACAUGACAGAGACGCCUCUCCGGUCAAUAACCAACAGCGGGAUCUGGAUACCCAUGUUGGCUCCCACGUGCUCCACGAUGAUCUCAUCGGAUGAACCACGAUGUCGAGGAUUCAAUCAAUCUGUGUAGAAUUCCCUUUGUCAAUCGGUACGUUACUUGCCCGAGACUCGAUCGUCGGUAUCCCAAUACCUCGUUCAAUCUCGUUACCAGCAAGUCACUUUACUCGUGCCGUAAUGCAUGAUCCCAUGAUCAACCACUUGGUCACAAUGAGCUCAUUAUGAUCAUGCAUUACCGAGUGGGCCCAGAGAUACCUCUCCGUCAUACGGAGUGACAAAUCCCAGUCUCGAUUCGUGCCAACCCAACAGACACUUUCGGAGAUACCUGUAAUGUACCUUUAUAGUCACCCAGUUACGUUGUGACGUUUGGCACACCCAAGGCACUCCUACGGUAUCCGGGAGUUGCCCAAUCUCAUGGUCUAAGGAAAUGAUACUUGACAUUCGGAAAAGCUACAGCAAACGAACUACACGAUCUUUGAGCUAUGCUUAGGAUUGGGUCUUGUCCAUCACAUCAUUCUCCUAAUGAUGUGAACCCGUUAUCAAUGACAUCCAAUGUCCAUAGUCAGGAAACCAUGACUAUCUUUUGAUCAACGAGCUAGUCAACUAGAGGCUCACUAGGGACGUGUUGUCGUCUAUGUAUUCACACAUGUAUUACGAUUUCCGGAUAACACAAUUAUAGCAUGAAAAAUAGACAAUUAUCAUGAACAAAGAAAUAUAAUAAUAACCAUUUUAUUAUUGCCUCUAGGGCAUAUUUCCAACAGUCUCCCACUUGCACUAGCGUCAGUAGUCUAGUUACAUUUUGAUGAAUCCAACACCCAUGAAGUUCUGGAGUUGAUCAUGUUUUGCUCUAGGGAGAGGUUUAGUCAAUGGAUCUGCCACAUUCAGGUCCGUAUGUACUUUACAAAUCUCUAUGUAUCCAUUUUGAACACUUUCAUGAAUGGAGUUGAAGUGACGCUUGAUAUGCCUGGUCUUCCUGUGAAAUCUGGGCUCCUUGGCAAGUGCAAUAGCUCCAGUGUUGUCACAGAAUAGAGUCAUCGGGCCCGGUGCAUUGGGUGUGACUCCUAGGUCGGUAAUGAACUCCUUCACCCAGAUUGCUUCUUGUGCUGCCUCCGAGGCUGCCAUGUACUCUGCUUCACAUGUAGAUCCCGCCACAACGCUUUGCUUGCAACUCCACCAGCUUACUGCCCCACCAUUCAAAAUAUACACGUAUCCGGUUUCCGACUUAGAGUCAUCCAGAUCUGUGUCGAAGCUAGCAUCAACGUAACCCUUUACGACGAGCUCUUCGUCACCUCCAUAAACGAGAAACAUAUCCUUAGUCCUUUUUAGGUACUUGAGGAUAUUCUUGACUGCUGUCUAGUGUUCCAUGCCGGGAUUACUUUGGUACCUUCCUACCAAACUUACGGCAAGGUUUUCAUCAGGUCUGGUACACAGCAUAGCAUACAUGAUAGACCCUAUGGCCGAGGCAUAGGGGAUGACACUCAUCUUUUCUCUAUCUUCUGUCGUGGUCGUGCAUUGAGCCUCGCUCAAUCUCGUACCUUGCAAUACAGGCAAGAACCCUUCUUUUACUGAUCCAUUUUGAACUUCUUCAAUAUCUUAUCAAGGUAUGUACUCUGUGAAAGACCAAUGAGGCGUCUCGAUCUAUCUCUAUAGAUCUUGAUGCCUAAUAUAUAAGCAGCUUCUCCAAGAUCCUUCAUUGAAAAACACGUGUUCAAGUAGGCCUUUAUGCUUUCCAAGAAUUCUAUAUCAUUUCCCAUCAACAAUAUGUCAUCCACAUCCAAUAUGAGAAAUGCUACAAAGCUCCCACUCACUUUCUUGUAAAUGCAGACUUCUCCAUAAGUAUGCGUAAACCCAAACGCUUUGAUCAUCUCAUCAAAACGAAUGUUCCAUCUCCGAGAUGCUUGCACCAGCCCAUAAAUCGAAUGUUGGAGCUUGUACACCUUGUCAGCAUUCUUAGGAUCGACAAAACCUUCCGGCUGCAUCAUAUACAAUUCUUCCUUAAGGAAACCAUUAAGGAAUGUUGUUUUGACGUCCAUUUGCCAUAUUCAUAAUCAUAGAAUGCGGCAAUUGCUAACAUCGUAGUCAACCCCUUGAACUUGCCGAUAACCCUUAGCGACAAGCCGAGCUUUAUAGAUGGUCACAUUACCAUCCGCGUCUGUCUUCUUCUUAAAGAUCCAUUUAUUUUCUAUGGCUCGCCGAUCAUCGGGCAAGUCAGUCAAAGUCCAUACUUUGUUUUCAUACAUGGAUCUUAUCUCGGAUUUCAUGGCUUCCAGCCAUUUGUUGGAAUUCAGGCCCGCCAUCGCUUCUUCAUAGUUCGAAGUUCACCGUUGUCUAACAACAUGAUUUCCAAGACAGGGUUGCCGUACCACUCUGGUGCGGGACGUGUCCCCGUGGACCUACGAAGUUCAGUAGCAACUUGAUCUGAAGUUUCAUGAUCAUCAUCAUCAAUUUCCUCUCUAGUCGUUGCAGGCACCUUAGGAACAUUUUCUUGAGCUGCGCCACUUACCGGUUCAAGAGGUAAUAAUACUUCAUCAAGUUCUACUUUCCUCCCACUUAUUUCUUUCGAGAGAAACUCUUUCUCUAGAAAGGACCCAUUCUUGGCAACAAAGAUCUUGCCUUCGGAUCUGAGGUAGAAGGUAUACCCAAUAGUUUCUUUAGGGUAUCCUAUGAAGACGCAUUUUUCCAAUUUGGGUUCGAGCUUUUCAGGUUGAAGUUUCCUUACAUAAGCAUCGCAUCCCCAAACUUUUAGAAAUGACAUCUUAGGUGUCUUCCCAAACCAUAAUUCAUACGGUGUCAUCUCAACGGAUUUCGACGGAGCCCUAUUUAAAGUGAAUGCGGCAGUCUCUAAAGCAUAGCCCCAAAAUGACAGCGGUAAAUCGGUAAGAGACAUCAUAGAUCGCACCAUAUCUAAUAGAGUGCGAUUAUGACAUUCCGACACACCAUUACGCUGAGGUGUUCCAGGCGGCGUGAGUUGUGAAACUAUUCCACAUUUUCUUAAGUGUGUGCCAAAUUCGUGACUCAAGUAUUCUCCCCCACGAUCUGAUCGCAAGAACUUGAUUUGCCUGUCACGUUGAUUCUCAACCUCACUUUGAAAUUCCUUGAACUUUUCAAAGGUCUCAGACUUGUGUUUCAUUAAGUAGACAUACCCAUAUCUACUCAAGUCAUCAGUGAGGGUGAGAACAUAACGAUAGCCACCGCGCCUCAACACUCAUUGGACCGCACACAUCAGUAUGUAUGAUUUCCAAUAAGUUGGUUACUCGCUCCAUUGUUCCUGAGAACGGAGUCUUGGUCAUUUUACCCAUGAGGCAUGGUUCGCACGUGUCAAAUGAUUCGUAAUCAAGAGACUUUAAAAGUCUAUCUGCAUGGAGCUUCUUCAUGCGUUUGACACCUAUGUGACCAAGGCGGCAAUGCCACAAGUAUGUGGGACUAUCAUUAUCAACCUUACAUCUUUUGGUAUUCACACUAUGAAUAUGUGUAACAUUAUGCUCGAGAUUCAUUAAGAAUAAACCAUUCACCAAUGGAGCAUGACCAUAAAACAUAUCUCUCAUAUAAAUAGAACAACCAUUAUUCUCGGAUUUAAAUGAGUAGCCAUCUCAAAUUAACCGAGAUCCUGAUACAAUGUUCAUGCUCAAAGCUGGCAGUAAAUAACAAUUAUUGAGGUUUAAAACUAAUCCCAUAGGCAAAUGUAGAGGCAGCGUGCCGACGGCGAUCACAUCAACCUUGGAACCAUUCCCGACGCACAUCGUCACCUCGUCCUUCGCCAGUCUCCGUUUAAUCCGCAGCUCCUGCUUUGAGUUACAAAUGUGAGCAACUGCACCGGUAUCAAAUACCCAGGAGCUACUACGAGUACUGGUAAGGUACACAUCAAUUACAGGUAUAUCACAUAUACCUUUAGUGUUGCCGGCCUUCUUGUCCGCUAAGUAUUUGGGGCAGUUCCGCUUCCAGUGACUACUUCCCUUGCAAUAAAAACACUCAGUCUCGAGCUUGGAUCCAUUCUUUGGCUUCUUCCCGGAAACUUGCUUAGCGGGCGCGGCAACUCCCUUGCCGUCCUUCUUGAAUUCUUCUUACCCUUGCCUUUCUUGAACUUAGUGGUUUUAUUCACCAUCAACACUUGAUGUUCCUUUUUGAUUUCCACCUCUGCUGAUUUCAGCAUUGAAUAUACCUCAGGAAUGGUCUUUUCCAUCCCCUGCAUAUUGAAGUUGAUCACAAAGCUCUUGUAGCUCGGUGGAAGCGACUGAAGGAUUCUGUCAAUGACCGCGUCAUUCGGGAGGUUAACUCCCAGCUGAGUCAAGCGGUUAUGCAACCCAGACAUUUUGAUUAUGUGCUCACUGACAGAACUAUUUUCCUCCAUCUUAUAGCUGAAGAACUUGUCGGAGACUUCAUAUCUCUCGACCCGGGCAUGAGCUUGAAAAACCAUUUUCAGCUCUUCGAACAUCUCAUAUGCUCCAUGUCUCUCAAAAUGCUUUUGGAGCCCCGGUUCUAAGCUGUAAAGCAUGCCGCACUGAACGAGGGAGUAAUCAUCAGCACGUAACUGCCAAGCGUUGAUAAUGUCUUGGUUCUCUGGGACAGGUGCGUGACCUAACGGUGCUUCUAGGACAUAAUAUUUCUUGGCAGCUACGAGGAUGAUCCUCAGGUUCCGGACCCAGUCCGUAUAGUUGCUGCCAUCGUCUUUCAGCUUGGUUUUCUCUAGGAACGCGUUGAAAUUGAGGACAACGUGGGCCAUUUGAUCUACAAGACAUAUUGUAAAGAUUUUAGACUAAGUUCAUGAUAAUUAAGUUCAUCUAAUCAAAUUAUACAAUGAACUCCCACUCAGAUAGACAUCCCUCCAGUCAUCUAAGUGAAACAUGAUCCAAGUUAACUAGGCUGUGUCGGAUCAUCACGUGAAACGGACUAGUCAACAUCGGUGAACAUCUUCAUGUUGAUCGUAUCUUCUAUACGACUCAUGCUCGACCUUUCGGUCUUCUGUGUUCCGAGGCCAUGUCUGUACAUGCUAGGCUCGUCAACUAAACCUAAGUGUAUUGCGUGUGUAAAUCUGGCUUACACCCGUUGUAUUCGAACGUUAGAAUCUAUCACACUCGAUCAUCACGUGGUGCUUCGAAACAACGAACCUUCGCAACGGUGCACAGUUAGGGGGAACACUUUCUUGAAAUUAUUUCGAGGGAUCAUCUUAUUUAAGCUACCGUCGUUCUAAGCAAAUAAGAUGUAAAACAUGAUAAACAUCACAUGCAAUCAAAUAGUGACAUGAUAUGGCCAAUAUCAUUUGCUCCUUUUGAUCUCCAUCUUUGGGGCUCCAUGAUCAUCGUUGUCACCAGCAUGACACCAUGAUCUCCAUCAUCAUGUCUUCUUGAAGUUGUCUCGUCAUCUAUUACUUCUACUACUAUGGCUAAUGCUUUAGCAAUAAAGUAAAGUAAUUACAUGACGUUUAUGUUGACACGCAGGUCAUAAAAAAAUAAAGACAACUCCUAUGGCUCCUGCCGGUUGUCAUACUCAUCGACAUGCAAGUCGUGAUUCCUAUUACAAGAACAUGAUCAAUCUCAUACAUCACAUAUAUCAUUCAUCACAUCCUUUUGGCCAUAUCACAUCAGACGGCACAUGCUGCAAAAACAAGUUAGACGUCCUCUAAUUGUUGUUGCAAGUUUUUACAUGGCUGCUAUAGGUUUCUAGCAAGAACGUGUCUUACCUACGCCAAAACCACAACGUGAUAUGCCAAUUUCUAUUUACCCUUCAUAAGGACCCUUUUCAUCGAAUCCGAUCUAACUAAAGUGGGAGAGAUAGACACCCGCCAGCCACCUUAUGCAAGUAAUGCAUGUCAAUCGGUGGAACCAGUCUCACGUAAGCGUACGUGUAAGGUCGGUCCGGGCCGCUUCAUCCCACGAUGCCGCCGAAUCAAGAUAAGACUAGUAACGGCAAGCAAAGUGACAAUAUCCACGCCCACAACUGCUUUGUGUUCUACUCGUGCAUAGAAACUACGCAUAGACCUGGCUCAUGAUGCCACUAUUGGGGAAUGUAGCAGAAUUUUAAAAUUUUCUACGCAUCACCAAGAUCAAUCUAUGGAGUUAUCUAGCAAUGAGGAAGAGAGGAGUGCAUCUACAUACCCUUGUAGAUCGCGCGCGGAAGCGUUCAAGAGAACGGGGUUGAUGGAGUCGUACUCGUCGUGAUCCAAAUCACCGAUGACCAAGUGCCGAACGGACAGCACCUCCGCGUUCAACACACGUCCGGUUGGGAAGACGUCUCCUCCUUCUUGAUCCAGCAAGGGGGAAGGAGAGGUUGAUGAAGAUCCAGCAGCACGACGGCGUGGUGGUGGAUGCAACAGGAUCCCGGCAGGGCUUCGCCAAGCGCAAGCGGGGAGGAGAGGUGUUACGGAGGGAGAGAGAGGCGCCAAGAGCAAGGGUGCGGCUGCCUUCCCUCCCCCCUCUUUAUAUAGGGGCCAUGGCGGGCGCCGGCCCUAGGAGAUGGAUCUCCAAGGGGGGCGAAGGCCAAGGGGUGGCUCCCCCCCCCAAGCCAAGUGGGGGGCGCCCCCACCCCUAGGGUUUCCCAACCCUAGGCGCAGGGGAGGCCCAAGGGGGCGCACCAGCCCACUAGGGGCUGGUUCCCCUCCCAAUUCAGCCCAUGGGGCCCUCCGGGAUGGGUGGCCCCACCCGGUGGACCCCCGGGACCCUUCCGGUGGUCCCGAUACAAUACCGGUUACCCCCGAAACCUUCCCGAUGGCCGAAACUGUACUUCCUAUAUAUAAAUCUUUACCUCCAAACCAUUUCAGAACUCCUCGUGACGCCCGGGAUCUCAUCCGGGACUCCGAACAACUUUCGGCUUACUACAUACUAAUAUCUAUACAACCCUAGCGUCACCGAACCUUAAGUGUGUAGACCCUACGGGUUUCGGAGACAUGCAGACAUGACUGAGACGCCUCUCCAGUCAAUAACCAACAGCGGGAUCUGGAUACCCAUGUUGGCUCCCACAUGCUCCACGAUGAUCUCAUCGGAUGAACCACGAUGUCGAGCAUUCAAUCAAUCUGUAUACAAUUCCCUUUAUCAAUCAGUACGUUACUUGCCCGAGACUCGAUCGUCAGUAUCCCAAUACCUUGUUCAAUCUCGUUACCGGCAAGUCACUUUACUCAUACCAUAAUGCAUGAUCCCGUGAUCAACCACUUGGUCACAUUGAGCUCAUUAUGAUGAUGCAUUACCGAGUGGGCCCAGAGAUACCUCUUCAUCACGCGGAGUGACAAAUCCCAGUCUCGAUUCAUGCCAACCCAAUAGACACUUUCGGAGAUACCUGUAAUGUACCUUUAUAGUCACCCAGUUACGUUGUGACGUUUGGCACACCCAAGGCACUCCUACGGUAUCCGGGAGUUUCACAAUCUCAUGGUCUAAGGAAAUGAUACUUGACAUUCGGAAAAGCUACAGCAGAUGAACUACACGACCUUUGAGCUAUGCUUAGGAUUGGGUCUUGUCCAUCACAUCAUUCUCCUAAUGAUGUGAUCCCAUUAUCAAUGACAUCCAAUGUCCAUAGUCAGGAAACCAUGACUAUCUUUUGAUCAACAAGCUAGUCAACUAGAGGCUCACUAGGGACGUGUUGUGGUCUAUGUAUUCACACAUGUAUUACGAUUUCCGGAUAACACAAUUAUAGCAUGAACAAUAGACAAUUAUCAUGAACAAAGAAAUAUAAUAAUAACCAUUUUAUUAUUGCCUCUAGGGCAUAUUUCCAACACCUACGUACCCCCAAACGAUCAUAUACGGAGCCAAAACCCUAAUUCCACCGCCGCAACUUUCUGUAUCCACGAGAUCCCAUCUUGGGGCCUGUUCCGGAGCUCCGCCAGAGGGGGCAUCGAUCACGGAGGGCUUCUACAUCAACACCAUAGCCUCUCUGAUGAAGUGUGAGUAGUUCACCUCAGACCUACGGUUCCAUAGUUAUUAGCUAGAUGGCUUCUUCUCUCUUUUUGGAUCUCAAUACAAUGUUCUCCCCAUCUCUUGUGGAGAACUAUUCGAUGUAAUCUUCUUUUUGCGGUGUGUUUGUUGAGACCGAUGAAUUGUGGGUUUAUGAUCAAGUCUAUCUAUGAAUAAUAUUUGAAUCUUCUCUGAAUUGUUUUAUGUAUGAUAGGUUAUCUUUGCAAGUCUCUUCGAAUUAUCAGUUUGGUUUGGCCUACUAGAUUGAUCUUUCUUGCAAUGGGAGAAGUGCUUAGCUUUGGGUUCAAUCUUGCGGUGUCCUUUCCCAGUGACAGUAGGGGCAGCAAGGCACGUAUUAUAUUGUUGCCAUCGAGGACAACAAGAUGGAGUUUUCAUCAUAUUGCAUGAGUCUAUCCCUCUACAUCAUGUCAUCUUGCUUAAGGCGUUAAUCUGUUUUUAACUUAAUACUCUAGAUGCUUGCUGGAUAGCGAUCGAUUAGUGGAGUAAUAGUAGUAGAUGCAGGCAGGAGUCGGUCUACUUGUCUCGGACGUGAUGCCUAUAUACAUGAUCAUACCUAGAUAUUCUCAUAACUAUGCUCAAUUCUGUCAAUUGCUCAACAAUAAUUUGUUCACCCACCGUAGAAUAUUUAUGCUCUCGAGAGAAGCCACUAGUGAAACCUAUGGCCCCGGGUCUAUCUUUAUCAUAUUAAUCUCCUACUACUUAGUUAUUUCCUUUGCUUUUUACUUUGCCUUUAUUUUACUUUGCAUCUUUAUCACAAAAAUACGAAAAAAAUUAUCUUUAUCAUAUCUAUCAAAUCUCACUCUCGUAAGUGGCCGUGUAGGAAUUGACAACCCCUAUUCGCGUUGGUUGCGAGGAUUUAUUUGUUUUGUGCAGGUACGAGGGACUCGCGCGUAGCCUCCUACUGGAUUGAUACCUUGGUUCUCAAAACCUGAGGGAAAUACUUACGCUACUUUGCUGCAUCAUCCCUUCCUCUUCGGGGAAAACCAAGGCAGUGCUCAAGAGGUAGCAAGGGUUCCUUUUUGUCGACGAUCCGAUGUUUCAACCCUGUUUUCCAGGUGGCCAACGCGUCGCUAAACUUGGUGACGGCGUGUUUGUUUAUCUUCUUCAUUGCCAGGUCCUUAUCUGGAUCUUUAUUAUCCUUUUCACUGCGGUCUGGGAACAAGAUUAUCUGGUGCAGUUUCUUAAGGAGGGAGGGCCUCAUAUUAUCUAUCUUCUGUAGUUUCCCAUCGUUGAUCGUGGCAGUUGUCCGUACGAUGCAACCUAUUUGAUUGCCGUAGCACGAUCGCGCUUCCUCGGGCGCUAUUGUCUCAAAAAUACCGCCGUCCAUCUCCGUGACCGCCAGUCUACUACUCAUGAGCUGGUUUGGGCGCUGUGGCCUCUUUGCUUUCGGUUCUAGACCAGCUCCGCUAGUCUCGGCGCCUGUCUCAGUUUCAUCAUCGGUCCGCAUGUCGGUAUCAGUCCCCGAUGCGACACCACAGUUGCUGCAACAUGGGUAAGGGAGACCACGUCAGUGGUGGGGGGUCUGAAAAUCAGAACACACUUUCGCGCGUCGCGGGCCGCCUCUCAGACAGCUACUGGGGAGGCGGUGGAGUACCUGGGUGCGCGGCGAAUCCCCGGGAACUCGGUGACCAACUUCCUUCCCGUGUGGCGCAUGGAGACGACGGCGACCCCGGCGAAGAGCAGCUUAGCCGCGAGCUGCACAGCCUCGUCCACCUCCUAAGUUGGGACCUCCGCGCGAGCGUUGCGGGGCCGCCACUCGGAUGGCUUCUGGAAGGCGGUUGUACAUGGGCACAUGGUGAAUCCCGGCGAGAGCUGGCCAUUGGCGCGCGCAAGUAGACGACGAUGUCCUCGAAGAAGAGCAGCCCGGCCAGCUCGCCUCACUAUCCUUUGAUUAGAAAUGAAAGAUUGGGAAGAAGCAGACUUGAGCCUGCAGGGAAAGGAUAAGGUGACGAUGCAGUCUCCACUCGUUCGGGGCGACACUCGUACUGAAUGUAUGAGAAACGUGACGUGGCAGAGACCCCAAGAUACUCCCUCCAUUUAUUUUUAGUCUGCAUAUAAAGUUUGGUCAAAGUCAAGAUUUGUAAAUUUUAACUAACUUUAUAAUAAAAAAAUAUCAACAUUCACAAUAUGAAAUCAAUAUUACCAGAUGCGUCAUGAAAUGUAUUUCCAUACUAUAUAGUUUUGGUAUUGUAGAUGUUCAUAUUUUUUUAUAUAUAUGGGAAGUAGAGGCACUCUUCUAUAUAAUGAAGUUUAUAAUAUAUGUGCUUAUAUUGUACUAUAAUUGUUUGAAUAACUUAGCAUAUAUUCAGAUGUAUGAUAUCUGUAAUUUAAACGCUUGAAUUUUACAUAUGAAUAUUUAUUAAUAAAUAUGUACCCCUAUAAUAGCUAGGCCGUGCAGUUGCACGGGUAGAUGACUAGUGAUUACAAUCUUGCUUGUGUGCAAGUCAAGCUUAUCUAGUUUACACGUAACAACUUAUAGAACAUUACAAAAUUUAUGCUUGCUAAUAACUUCUAGAACACUACAACACUUGACAUGUAAAAGGAAUUUGAUGAGUCAUGGCCUACUAAAGCAAGUUACAUUACUAGUCUUAUCUAUCUUAACAGACCACACAAGAUUACAAACUAUGUACCGUGACAGCCAUGCUUAUCUAGUUUAUGCGUAACAAUUUGCAGAAAAUUACAAACUUAGUUUCAGAAAGAUAGGCAAUCUAGAUUAGUGUUUGAGCUGUAAAGUGAAUAAGAUGAGUCAUGCAUGUCAUCACACCUUUUUGGUGGUGGAAUGAUAGUGCAACAACAAGGAACUUUAAUGACCAGUCCAAGAAUACACUUGUAAGUAGUGCCACCAAACAGAACAUACCAAAUGAUGAUUUUGAGAAGCAUCCAAGCACUUUCCACACAAACAAAUGCCAAUUGUGAAAGAGAUCAUUCCAUGGCAGCUAUAAAUAGCCCCAUAGCAUGACGAUCAUCCUUCCUCAUCCAUCAUUCUCAUAAGUAGAGCACAUCAUUUAAGCCAAGCAAGUUGUGGUCAAUACAAAUCCACCAUGAAGACCUUUCUCAUCCUUGCCCUCCUUGCUAUCGUGGCGACCACCGCCACAACUGCAGUUAGAGUUCCAGUGCCACAAUUGCAGCCACAAAAUCCAUCUCAGCAACAGCCACAGGAGCAAGUUCCAGUGGUACAACAACAACAAUUUCUAGGGCAGCAACAACCAUUUCCACCACAACAACCAUAUCCACAGCCGCAACCAUUUCCAUCACAACAACCAUAUCUGCAGCUGCAACCAUUUCCGCAGCCGCAACUACCAUAUUCGCAGCCACAACCAUUUCAACCACAACAACCAUAUCCACAACCGCAACCACAGUAUUCGCAACCACAACAACCAAUUUCACAGCAGCAGCAGCAGCAGCAGCAGCAGCAACAACAACAACAACAACAACAACAACAACAACAACCACAACAAAUCCUUCAACAAAUUUUGCAACAACAACUGAUUCCAUGCAUGGAUGUUGUAUUGCAGCAACACAACAUAGCGCAAGGAAGAUCACAAGUUUUGCAACAAAGUACUUACCAGCUGUUGCAAGAAUUGUGUUGUCAGCACCUAUGGCAGAUCCCUGAGCAGUCGCAGUGCCAGGCCAUCCACAAUGUUGUUCAUGCUAUUAUUCUGCAUCAACAACAAAAACAACAACAACAACAACAACAACAACAACCAUCGAGUCAGGUCUCCUUCCAACAGCCUCAGCAACAAUAUCCAUUAGGCCAGGGCUCCUUCCGGCCAUCUCAGCAAAACCCACAGGCCCAGGGCUCUGUCCAGCCUCAACAACUGCCCCAGUUCGAGGAAAUAAGGAACCUAGCGCUACAGACACUACCUGCAAUUUGCAAUGUCUACAUCCCUCCAUAUUGCACCAUCGCGCCAUUUGGCAUCUUCGGUACUAACUGAGAAGAAAAUAACUCUAGUACUAGAUAUAUGAAACACCGUUUUCUCAGUCCAUGGUUUGGUCGUUGUAGCGGUGAAAAAAUAAUGUGGCAUGCACUAUCAUGUAAGAACCCAAACUAUACUAGUUCAAACUUGGGAAUAAAAGACAAACACAGGUCUUGUCUACAUAUUUAUGUCGCAUCUAUUUAUAUAUUAAAAGUAAUAUAAGGUGAACCAGGAGCAAGGUAAAUAUGCUAGAAAAUUGCACGUUAAUUAGAAAUUACUAGCCCUCAAUCCGGUAAAUCUUAACAAAUAGAAUUAUCUUGACCGUUAGAUUUAUGUAACAUAUAUAAUUCUCUGGGCCUCCAACGACUGUACGUGACACAUCUGAACGCACAUAUGUUAAAGAAAAUAUAUUUGGUAAAUGGUGGGCCUCUUUAAAAAGAGAACUCACGUACAUGCACCAACUAAGAAAAACACAUACAUGUAAACGGGAAAAGGGCUCCACCCCGUUGAAAAAAUAUACAUCUGGAGGCCACUUUGUUUCCUCAUAAAAAAAAACUUACGUUAAAAAGAUUGCAUGCAUCCCAGGGAAAAUAGUCAAGAAGAAGUCGGACUCUUCCUUACAAAAACAAGGAACGUGUUAAGUUGACUUCAAAGAAAAAAGGAACAUGUUAAGUUAAAAAAAACAAGAAACCUGUUAAGUUAGAAAAAAACAAGGAACGUGUUGUCCUAGGAAAGAUAUGUGUCAAAUCUUACAAAAAAAAGAAUACACACACGUACGUUCAUGCACUUGGAAAAUAGAAAAAAAAAGGAACAUCACGUAUGUAUACACUUCGGAAACUCAUUACAUGACCAUGUCUGAUAUACUCCUCUAAUGCUUAAUAUUAGUGCCUAAUAAUUUAUAUUUAAAAUUUAAUUUACUGAUCAAAUAUCCCCACUGUUUAAAUUUUAAUUUGGCACAUUGUUUGGCUAUAGUAUGAACCUAAAUUUCCUCUUAUUAUUAUAUAUCAUGAUAAUAAUCCAAAGGCGACUAAUCUGCGCCGGCGCACCGGCGCAAUCAAUUCGGCCCGACACAGCGCGGCCGUUUGAUUAAAUUGCAUUUAACCGUCAGAUCUAGAAUCAUUUUAUUUCCAAUUAAACGGAUUCAACCAAACAGCAGAGGGGAAAACAAAGCAGCACCGCCGCCAACACUAGUCAUGGACGACCGAUGUAGCAAAACCUUGAAGAACCGCCGCCGGUCGCCACCCUCGCCGCUGGUCGCCGCCCUCGCCGCCUGCGUUUCUCAUCGGCUUCAUGCAUGCAACAACAUGCACUCGUGAUUGCAGGCUUGCAGCUCCGGCUCCGGGGGACAUGGCCGCAUCUCCGGUAGCGCCGGCCGCCAGCCGCAGCACCUGUCGUUGUGGUCACGCUGUACCUCGCCGUGUGCCCUCCCAAGGCUCUUGCUGGUUCCAACAAAAAACGAUACCUAUUGUAGCAAAAAAGUUUAUCGCUUCCAGCAAAAAAGCUUACCGCUAUAGCCCGCCAUCAUCAUUGUAGCAAAAAUGUUAACUCGAUGUAGCUUCUGUGGUUGCCGACUGCGGCCAAAAAUGACGUGGUUGUAGCAAAACACAAAAGAAAAACGCCGGCCGUCCGCUGUGUAUGGUGGUAACAAACCCUAUAGCCGGUGGUAGCGAAAAACUUCACUGUUUGCAGCAAAAAAAUGUUGUCGCCCGUCGUCGAGGUUGCAUCAUCUUCAUGAAUUAUGUCGCAAAAAAACGUUGUCGCCGGUAGUAGCAAAUGAAGCCGCCGGUAGUAACAAAACAAGACACUGGUUCCAGCCAAAAAAAUCAGCGACAGAACCUUUUGUUGGUUCCAACAAAAAAACUUGUCGGUUGUAACAUCCCUCGCCGCCGGAUGUAGCAUCUCCCAGGGCUAGUUGCAACACUCCAUAAAAAAAGUUGUCUAUGAGCGCAUCCAUGGCAACUGCUGCACCGUCAGCAACGAGGGGAAGAGGAGGCAAUGAAAAUCGUUCGAGUCGUAGCUCCACUGGACACGGCUGCAGCAUGGGGAGUCCAAAAAUCUGUCACAAGCAAGAUGCGCCUCGCCAUCCUCCUGCGCAGGAGAGAGAAGAAAAAGGAAUAAGAGGAAGAAGAAACGAAACGGGAGAAAGAAAAAAAGAAACGAUUGGUUGUGGGCUCAGGCAAUUAGUCAAAUGAGGGGCACGCGGGGCCGUAGGAUACAGCGCAAUCGAACGAAGUGCGCGCGUCCGGCCGAAGACUCAGCUGGACUGCCGGUCCAGCUGGAAAUGUUUCCCUAAUACAAAGGCUUUUCUGAAUGACAAGUCGUCUGAGUUAUCGGCUAACUAGAAAAAAGAUAAAUAUGCUAGAUAAUUCCAUAAUAAUUAGAAAUAUCUAGCCUUUAAUUAUGUAAAUCAGAAAAUCACAACCGUUGGAUUUACUUUAAAGGUAAAUUUCUCUAAAUUCCCACCAUUGCCAGUAUGUAGAAACAUGUGCUGCUUCAAUUCUCCCUUAAUCACCAAUCAAUCAACAACUGAAAACAUACCUCAGUUAAAAAAACUGAACAAAAAAAAGAAAAAAAGAAGAAAGGACAAGAUACACGCAUGUACACGACAGCCUUGGCUUGAAACACAUCAGUAGAUCAAGUGUCCGCCUCCCUUACACAGAAUAAAUUCUAGGGAAGAAAAUAAUAGUGCAACCUAACCUUAUACGUACUAUUCUAUCCUCACGUCCCAUGAGGUUUACUAGCCUACUGCCGCCGCAUCAUGCCAUCCUCUCCUUUCAGCUCCCUCCUUGCGGCGCCACUACUCGCCUAGGGAUAUUGCUGCUCAGACCGUGGAGCUUAACCUGCUUCUUCUUCAGCAAAUAUGGAACUGCUUUAGGAUCCUUCUGACAUCAGCGCGUAUGGGCCUCAUUAUACUGCAGCUCCUGGACCUCCUACAAUUGGUUGGCUAUGGCCAGUUGAUCGAUGUGCUGAAGUCCAGGUCUGUUUGCUGGCACAUAUGCUUUGGAAAUAGGCCACUAUGUUUGUACUUCGAAAUUGUUUCUGUAUUCUUCAGUGGUACAUCCUUUUAAGCGCCAGUUUUUUAUGUUAAUUCAUGCUGACAACACUUAACCUAGCCUUUCAUGUUCACGUACUAAAUACAGGAGCAAGUAAAAACAACAGACCACCUAAUUGCUCUGCAAGUUCUACAUAGGAAAAUUUGUCAUGUUCUACGAUCGCACCAUCCCACCCUUCUCUCUUGGUAUGGGCGCCAAUUGAGGGAUUGAUAAAACUGAAACGAAGACGUCACAGGGCUGGAAGUACCGCUAGCCUGGUUCGCACUGCAACCUACCCAACGCCAUCAGAAACUAGCAACUGAGUCAGGUGUUGAUCGAUUCUCUCAAAUUGCUCUCAUGUAAGUACUACCCCUUGCAUGUGCGUACAUACCUUUGUUGCAUUCUCAAACAGAUAGAACAUGUAUGAUCGGUGCAUGGCUAUUUUUCAUCACAUGACAUCCAGAUAACAAGCAUGAAAGGACUACAUUGGAGAUCAAAAAAUAUUGGUUCCUGGCUAGAGUACCACUACCUAUGGACUUGUCUCCAUAGAAUUUGUUCCCAAGAUGUUAUUUUAAUUAACCUCUUUAGCUUUCUUCCGUUGCAAACGGUGAUGUGCAUCAUGGUAUAUACGUGACCAUCUUGCACAUGUAUACACAAGAGGCUCAGACGGAGGUGCUGGAUUCUGGACGAGGGAAUAUGAAGCAGGAGUGAGCGAAGAGUAAAUAAUGGUGGGAGUACCGAUUGGUGUUAUGAAGAAAAAUGCCAUCCAAAGAUUGAUUAGUGUCAUGGAAGAUUAAUUUCUGAAUGCGAAUAUAUAUGUUACAUUGGUUUGGAUCUUUUUGAGAUAAUUGCACCUAAAUUAGGUUCUUUCUUAUUUCAUAUGUAUACCUUAUUUCAGUAAAAGUUCACAACGAACUUAGUAGGACAAAUAUAAUUUUGUUUGUUCUUUCUGUUGUCCGCCACCAAAGCUCAGUUUGAACUCUCUAGAAAUGGACAAUGAUUUAUGCAUUCUAUAUCUUCUUGAUUGAUUAGCCAUGACAAGGAAAUAAAAGGAUUGACUGAUAUAGCAUAACUUUGGAACGAUCUGUUCGUAGAGGUUACUACAAAUUAGAGUAGUGUCUGUUGGAAUUUUGCUAGUAGGCCUUUGGCCCAAAGCCCAACUAAAAUUCUGAAAUUCUCUUCGCUCAUUCAUGCACACAUGUGAGUGGAGUGAGUGAGACUAAAGUUUAGAGAGAGUUGCACCUCUUUAUAAGGUGAGCUCUUCUACCACUUGUAUGAGCAUGAGAAGAGGAGACCUAUACACGCGCUCCUCCUCCUCGCUCACCACGUCUCGUCACGCCGCGCCGCGCCGCGGAUUGCGGGAUUGAGCCGAGCCGAGGACGUUGUCUAUAUUUUUGCUGUUUGGGAAAAAUUAAUAAGUCAUUAAUUAAUAAUUAAUGGAUGCGUUAAUUACUGAACCAUUUUCGAUUCUUUUGGAUCGUGACGACUCGGACGUGGGGUUUACUCCCACGAUCUACCCGGCCCACACUAUAUAGUCAGGCAGACGUCUACCCUAGCCGCCGCCACUUCGUAUGGUUUCUCACCACCGUUACAGAUCGUUGCGCCGCCAAGCAAGUUUUCUCCAUUCCUCCUGUCGGCAUGCACUGGGAGAAGGGACAGCAGGCCUCCGGAACCCCGCCUCUCGUGAUCCUGUACGGGAGAGGGGCGAUCAGAUUUUUGGGGAGCGCACUCGCACGACUGCUGGCAGCGACGACUUCGCAAACGACGACUUCUUCCCCGACCUCGGCAACCUCAUCCUCGACUUCUGCACCGUAUGUUAUUCUAUCCUUCUUGUUCGAGAUCGUGGUAGAAUUCAGAUUUCUAGCAUGUUCCCUAGAUGUGAUUUGUUCAUCUACUAUUCUAAUUCGCAUGAUUAGUUUAAUCUUUGCUAUUGCUGUCAUGAUCUAUUUCCUAUUUAUUCGGAUUAAAUCUCGUAGUAAUUUGCUCAUUUUUCCAACAGUGCCAUCUAAUAGAUGAUGUAAAUCUCCUCAAGUUUGACGUUGUUGAGCUAAUUUACAAAAAAAACCUCAUCAUUAUUGGAUGUCCUUAACAGCUCAAGAACAAGUUGGGGUCGAAAUAAUGGAUUUUACACUUUUACAUUAAAGGUUUAGCUAAAGCAAGCAGGUGUUUUUAAACCUGAAUUUUUUUCCUCCUGAAUUUCUUUGUAUUUUCUUAUUGACACUAUUUAUACAAUCAUCUGACAAAGAUUAGCUAAAGCUGUUUGUAGAUACGUUCAAACCUGAAAAGCUUCUUUGGUUAUCCUUUUAAUAGUUCUACGUUUAUUUUCUCAUAGGUCUUAAUUCUUAUGUAAUACCAAGAUGCAUUGUGGUAGUGUACAUGUGUUAAAUUCAGGUUGUUAUUCACAAUUUGCGACAAAAUUUAGCUCACGCUACAUUUAAAUAUGUUGAAAUGUGAAAGCUCUUUUUCUUCUCCUUUCUACACCUUGCAUCGGAUUGCAUCCCUUUAGUUAUCCAACAUUUUGUACAACAUGUAGAGAUUAGGAAGUUCAUCAUAGUUUGUCUAUUUCCGUGCUAAUAAAUGUAUGAAAUCUGCAUUUCCAAGCUACUAGGACAAGUAAAAAAUAAUAAUUUUACUAUAGGAUUCAAAAACAGCAGUUCUGAAGUGCACUUUAUUUAUUUGUGAAAGUGAUCACAUUUUGUUUCAUUUUUCUAUAGACAAAUCUACUAAUACAUACUCACGAUAAAACUAUAAAAGUUCUAGUCCGCACAUUGGGCGGGCCACCCGGCUAGUUAGUCUAAAGAUAACAAAAUGAGUCUGGAAUUUGAAUUAAAUUGAAGUAUUUUCUUGGACUAUCCACAUCCUUGGCUUGCCCCUGAUCAAUUAUUUCCAGAGAAGCAUUCAAUUCAUCAAUCAAUUACAUUGAUUUUAGUGGCUGGUACUUCUCCUCGACAUCAGUAUAUUCACCGUGGCCACUCCAAAUCGGCAAGAAUGAGGUACCAGUGCUCUGGAGCAGUGCAAGCUAAUUGCUUCUCAUGUGAAGGGGUGCGGGCGCGGGAGAGGUAUUUCUGGUGGGCCAAGGGAUAAGAAGCGACCGUGGCAGCGGUACAGACGCCCGCAAAGCCCCAUAAUUUGUUUUUGGUUUACAGGAAAAAUGCACAUCCAUACCGGCCUGGGGAAUAUAGCACUGUAUUGCAUGGAAAACCAUGUCCGGAUGGUUGUGAGCGGUUUGAGGGUUAGCUUUUGUAACGCCCGGUUAGUUAUGCUAUAGCAAUUCCCUGCUAAUGAUGUCACGUCACCACGAUUACUGUUGUUAACCUCACAAUGAUUCAAUCCCGUUCAAAUUCAAAUUUGAAAUAAAGGUAAACAUCAAAAGUUUUCAAACAUUAAAACUAAAAUCUUUGAGAGGUGACAAAUAAUGCAUAAGUAAUUAUGGUGAAGAAACCACACUUUAAUCAAAUGUUUAAAUACUCUAAAAUGAAAAAAAAACAGUGACUUAAACUAUUAUUUAAAUGCUUUUAAAAUAGUAAAAAUCUUCUAACUAAAUUAUUUGGGUACCAAACUUUUGGUGGCAGUGGUAUAUUUAGUAGAACUAAUUUAGAUGCUAAUUAUAUAAUUUACAAAAUUAGAGUAAAUUGAAAAAUAGGAUAAAACGGAAAAAGGAAAGACAAAACAAAUAAAAGCAAAAGGGGGCAACCCCUCGCUGGGCCUCGGCCUAGCUGGCCACUAGACUAGCUAGGCUGGCCCCGCCGCCUCCCUUAACCCCCCACUCCCCAUCGAACCCAAGCCCGAUCGCCCCAUUUCCCACACACCCCCUCGCUAGUCUCCCCACCUCUUGAUCCCAUCUGGAUCGGGGAGGGUAUUGCCCCCAUCAACCCCGUUGCCGUCGCCGGAUCGCCCGCCGACGUCGGCAGGCCUCCUCCCCGUCGCCCGUCUCCGGCUCACCUCCCCUCUCGCUCCUCUUCCCCGACCCGAUCUGGAUCGUGAACGAGCAAUGAGCUCGAAGCCCCCCUUCACCAGCGCCAUCACCGUGCGCCACCACCACCACCUGAAGACCUCACCGUCGCUGAACCUUGCGUCGCCUCCUUGUAUCCCUCCCCUACUCGCAUCCUCAAGCCAGGCCGAGCCCCUUCUCGGCAACGCUGUGAGACGCCCCCGUUUCCCUCCUCUUUCCACCGCGUUCACCGCGCCGCCCGCCGUGCCCCUCGCCGUGCAUGAGCCCACCACCGCACCAGCCCCCGCUCCGCGCACGACCCUACCCGCGCCCGCGCCAUGAUCCCCUUUUCCGCCCUACCUUCACGCGCUCGCCGCGAUCCCCAUGCUCCCCCGCGCCCUCUUUCGGGGGCGCCGACUGCCCCUGUCCCGGUGCUCGCCGCCGUGCCUCGCCACCGCUCUACUGCUACGUUACUACUGCGCUGCGGCCGCCGCCUCUUCCCGCUGCUCCGCUAGCGCCGAAGCUCCCGGUUGGCUCCACCACUGCUCACGUUAAACCGCCGGCCUAAAUGGCCUAACCCUCGGCUAAUGAACCCCCACUAACCCACUGACACCGGGACCCACAUUCCCUAAUUAACCAUUUAAUAAAUUAACAUUAGUGUAUGACAUGUGCGUCCCCUGUUAAUUAAUAAUUUUACUGCUAGUUUUAUUAGUUUCUGUUUUUCUGCAUAUUUCUUUUGUAUUUGAACAGGCUUUAUACAAUAAUAUUUAGCGUAUCAUACACAUACAAAUGUAAUCAUAGCAUAUACAUACAAAUAGUCUCAUCAAAUCAUGUCAUCAUCAUAAUCAUCAUCCAUCACAAAGUGGUCUCUGGUCAUCAUCUCGAAAAUAGCGAUACAAGUCUCGAUUACUUGCAACUACAUCGUCAUCCAUCUAAACAAUGAUAUACACGAGAAGAGCUCUCACUAUGAGUGAGAGCGGAACUAUGCAGUACAUGAGUUUGUAUCCCUCUCUCGCAUUAGCGUGAACCUAAACUAACGACUGGCUGUUGCUCGGAAACCGGAAACCGGUACACCUGGGCCUGACACUCCGGCCACUCAUCGUAUACUCCUGGCGUAGCACUUCUUCGCCAUCGAUGAUCUAUGCACCUGCAUCGUCACAUGAGUCGAUGAUAUGCAACAUAUAUAGUUGAGCAACAGAAAGAGACAGACUUGGCAAAAAUAGAAGCAACAUAUCACAAGUAUAAAUAACAAAGUUAAUGUUUUGCAGGAUUACAACUCAACCCAUUGCAGAUUAGAAAACAAGCCCGUAUGAAUGCACAGGCUGACGACUAGUCUAUCUAUACCUAUACCUAUACCUAUACCUAUACCUACCUAUACUAAUUACAGACUCCCAAGGAAUUCCCACGUUAAUUAGUAAUUAGGAGUCGUUAAUCUUGUGGGACCAAAUUAUUACGACAGUCCACGAUCUCUUUUCUCUCUGUGUAAAAAAAGGUCCACGAUCUCUUUUCUCGGUUGUAAAAGAUAAAGGCAACUCAGGUCCACGAUCUCUUUUCACGGUUGUGAAAGAUAAAGACAACUCCCGUCUUCUUCUAAUCUAUAGUUCUAUACCUCCACGACCCCUUUCUCUCCCCAUUUAAAAGGAACAAGCUGAACCAAUAUCUAAGCAUGCAAUUGGUUCCUGUGCGGUCUUGACCUUCCAUCCGUCCACUGCUCGAUCGGCCCUCCCUCAACUACAAGCUGACAAGCCACCAUCGCCAUCCAGCGGCACGCCACCGUUCAUGCAUGUGUUUUUGCCCUUCAAUCUGAAGGAGAUGCGUUGGCUACUCAAGUAACUCUGUUUGUUUUGUUCAAACCAAUUUCGUUAAUUCGGUUCUUUGAUUAUCUAAUUGACAUGGCCUGUGAGUUUUGUGCUAGUGAUACAGGGCCUGUCUACUAGAUUCUCUCCUUGCAACUUCUAUUGUUGUCUCGAUUUGGUGUGGUCAAGAUCCUUGCCCCACCACAAGCAGCACCUUUGCACCAUCGGGGAAAUCUGUCAUAGCAAACAGAGGUAUGUAACAUGCUUUGGUGUUUUCCUCUUUCGUUUAGAUCACUAGAGUUGCUCAACCACACCAUUCAUUGAUUAGUAGUUGGCCUGAGAAGUUGCUCGGUCACCUGCAGCGUCUGAUCCCCUUCUUGACCCUCUCCUUCUGGUCAUUAUCCACCGGCAGGUCAAUGCAAAACGGAUCGUUCGUUGCCGCCACCUUGCGGAGACCGAUGUUUGGCUGCCCUCCUGCCAUCCUGGCACUCUGGUACCGGUCACUGUGCCGUUGUUCUAGAAGAACUAUGUCACACGAAGCGAGAUAUCUUCUUACUAAUCUGGAACAUAAGUGUUUCUUCUUACUAGGAUUCGCUCACCGGUGCAUUCAUCUCUUUUUGGAAAAUACGGCCUUCAUAUUUCACACGCCUAUACAUGGGUGCUGUCCCAACAAUAAUCCAUCUAAUCCAUGAUGCACAUUCAUGAAGACUGAUGUGACUGAAUUAAUAUAUCAAUCUGGUGCUUCCGGAUCAGCACUUGAAGAAGCAACCCCUUUAGUUCAUAAAUUUAUCAUACGAAAGUCAGGGGAAAAAUCAACUAAGUCAUGUGUGCUUUUCUAAUUAAUUACUAUACACUAAUUCCAUUUUUUUCAGUAGCAGGCUAGGAUACGUGGAUUGUGGCAGCACAGAAGUAAACCGAUGAGCUACAUUGGCCGUUCACCAGUCAUCGGAUCAGAAGCCAUGUCGACCAGAGGGACGGAACAGUUCUAUAUUAGGCGAUGGAUACAUGUGGAAGCAACUAAGCAUAUGUGGAUGCAUGUGAUCGCAUAGGUAAGGCCAUAGCUGUUCAAGCCCUACAGGAUCUUUAUUGCUGGUUUUAAUUAUGAGUUUACAACACCAUCUAUACAUACUACUUAUCCAUUUAUUUCCUUACCUUCUUUGUUUCUUUCUCUCCUUGAUCCCCUGUCAAAAGGGCAUCAACAUCCAUAUGCGCAACGGCACACGCAACAAACUAUGACUUCGGUUGCACGUCCAAUGGCAACCACAGUACAUGAUGAUAUCAUGUUUGCUGCAAGACGAAGUACAAGUUCAUAAUUUGGUCUUUUGCAUGGUCCCUUAGUAAAUUAUAUUUGUCCACAUACACCACAUACAUAAAAACAGGUAGAAGCGGUUGCAUGAUGAAAAUGUCCUCUCAAUAUGCAUGCCUAUGAAUACUAUCACCAGAAAGCCAAGGACUAACAAUUAUUCAGGGGUCAAGAUUGAAGACAGACGUCCAAGAUUGGCAGUCGGCCGGCCUAAGAGGGGCAAAACCGUUGUACAUUAUAUUGUAUGGACCUAGCAAGAUCCUAAAGAUAAGUGAUAAUGGAGAUCAUGGGGGCCACCCUUAUAACCAUAUGUCCAAAUGUUCUUAUUUGUUUAUUUUUCUUUUCUCUUUUCGGAAGAAUCCAUCCUGCCUCUAUGGUCAUCCUGACCACUUCGUAUUGUUAUCUAAUCUCCUCCCUUAAUUAAUAUAAAGAAUUACCGCAGCUGAAUUCACUAAAAAAAGUAUUCAGUUUAUUUUAAUUUAUUCAACUAUUAUGGCAUAUCAAUUGGAUUGCAAGUUCUUGGCGGUUGCAUUUGAAUCAUAUUUGAUGUGCACAAAGGCUUCAGUGUCAAGGUGGUCGGACGAGUAUUUAUGUCCAUUAUAUAUGUGUUAGCUUGAGAUCAUCAGGCACCUGUUAUGCAUCUGUCCAGUUAAAAGGAUGUUCAGACUCAGGCUUGCCCUACCAUAUAUGGCUGUGACACUCUGAACCAAGCAAGUUGGUCAUAUGUGUCGAGCACUAUUAACUCUUUGGAAGAGGAUCCACCAAGUACAGGAAACAAAUCAAAUAUCUUCUUAACCUUAUCACCAGAAAAAUUAGCAAGAGAUGAAUAGUAACAUUUUAAAGAAGAAAGAUAUGUUUGAAAAGGGAUAUAUAUUAUGGCGACGAUUAGAAGAGCCCUUGACGAAUGGUGCCUAGCCUGCGAAAGUUUCUUAUGAAUAUAGUCAACACUCUAUAUCAACUGUUGUAAGAUUUUAGAAAUAUUUUUGGGGACAUAUGAUACAUGUCUAUUAUACAUAUGAUUCAACAGAAGUUUGAUUGAAUACAUAUUUAAAACGUGACUGACUUCUAUAUGGACGGAGUAUUUCACAAAGGACUCACUGCCAACUGUGUGAAUAUUCCAAGAUAGUUAGUGCACAUAAAUGUUCAAAUCCAUAGCCUGCAUAAAUAUACAAAAGCAAUGUGUUAGACCACUACACAUGCUUCUGAAAGGAGGCAAAAAAAUGUAUGCUUGAUUGAUGACCGUUCAUGCAUGAAAUUAAUUUCUGAUUUCUAAUUAUUUUGGUCAUAUAAUGGAAAUAGAGACAUUAUAAAGAUCCAACAGCAUGCUAUCACACACGUGUGAACACAGACACACACAAAUAACAUUUGCCGAGCACUCACAAAUAAAAGGUGUGGCUACUCUUGGGUGUUCUACAGCUGGCUUAAAAAAACACGUAUGAAACAUGAUCCCCAAAAAUCUGAAAUUCGCAACAUAUGAAAAUCCACCCUCAAACAUAUUUCUGGUGUCUCAAUUCUUUUAGUUUCAGAUGGUAUGUCCAGCCAAAGUAGUUGUACACAUACAUUACUAUGUUCUAUUAUUUGAGAUUCUAAGACAACAUUUAGUAACUAGCCCGUGCGAUGCACGGGUUCACGACUAGUAUAUAUAAAGCUUAAUGGUGCCUAAGAAAGCUCGCACAAUUUUACAGUGGCUGUGGAGAUGUGUUGCCAAACUGAGACAUAAGAUUUUCGUUUGGCAUCCAGAGUUGCAGACCGCUUGUGUUAUCCUUAAUCCAUGGCCACUCUAAUUUUUCCGGCUGGGCCUUCCCUGUGGUACGGCAGCAAGGCUUGCGUGUGUAUAUGUUUCCUUUAACUACCACUAGCACAUAUGCCCGUGCGUGCGUUGCAAGGGGAGAGAUAAUGGCGUAUCCACCAAUAUAUCUAGCAGCAUGACCCAACAACAUCCGAAUGAUGUCACCCGACGACGGCAGGAAGGCACACACAGAGGUCUAGUAAAAACUCAACAAUUGUACGGGCAUGGUUAAUUCGCGUGAAUUCAAGGGUGUGAGAUUAGUUAGUGUUGGUCCCACAAUUGAAUUCGGGGGCUGAUUAGUUAGUGUGGGCCCACCCUUGAAUUCACCGGGGGAGACAAAAUAAUUAGGGUGAGGAGAGAUUUACGGGGCUUGGUCCCCAGAUGCGUUGCGGCAGUCAUUAUUCGAGCAUUGCAAUGCUCGCACGUGAGGAGCUCUUUUUCCAAUUGUAUAUUGAGAAGCAUUGCUACAGAUACAAUGUUUUUGAUACGUUUUUGUACGAUGAUCCUGAUCUUAAAGGGCCUUCUAAUUUUUAAAUCUUAAAGGCAUUAUUUGUAAGUUGUCGUGAAAAAAAUCUCGCUAAAAGGGUUAUGUUAGACCAUCUUCAGUACAUUAGAAAUAACGAAUUAUAAUUCCUUGGCAUUUGAACAAACAAUCCCUACUUAUUUACACAUACAAUACUUUUGGUAUGAUUUUGAAAUCUUGAAGGCAUUAUUUGUAAGUUGAAGCAAUUUUGAAAUCUCACUAAAAGGUCUGUUAGACCAUCUAUAGCUUUAGAAAUAACUAAUUAUAAUUUUGCAAAAAAAAGAAAUAACUAAUUAUAAUUCCUUAAGCAUCUGACCGAAACGACCCCGAUUUAUUGUCUGGGUAGUAAUUCCUUUGCAACAUUAUUCUCUCCUUUCUUGAAGGAACUCUUGCCUGGGUAGUAAUUCCUUUGCCCACGUAUUUGCAAGGUUAUUCUCUCCUUCAUUUUUACAGGAGCUCUCCUUCCUUAUACUAAUUGGUCAUUAUCCUCUCCUUCCUUUUUCUUUUUGCCAAACUCUCUUUCCAUAUUUAUGCCGCUAACCACGCCACUCUUUUUCCUUAUUUAUGCCCUUUGAUCACGCCACACAUCUCAUGAAAUCUAAGCCAUAUAUAUCACCCAUCUUUUUUCCUUAUUCCGGUGCUUUCCUCACAAACAGUAGUUCUCUAGGAUGCUUAACGAUUUUGAAACAGAAACAUAUAUAAAUCGGUAGAACGGGUUGUAAAGCAGCGAGGUGGUACUAAUUUAUAAAGAAACAAACCUUUUCUUUUUGUGUAAUGAUGCCUUGGUUCGGCUGGUUGCGUUGGGAAAAGGACCGGCGAAGUGGGCGAACCAAAAACGGAUAAAAUUACGGUGGUAAGAAGCGAUAGCCCUUUUAUUAGUAGGUAUGAGGAUGUCUAGGAUGUCUAGGAUGAGGAUUUACUGCACACAAGUGCGGGGGCACUCAGGUCCUGAUGCCGCCUUUUUAUUUUGGCUUCCGAUUUUCAAACUUCUAUAUCUUUUAAACAAAAAAUUCAAUUUAAGUUACGUUUUCAUAUUCGUGCUUCUCGCGGCCAGCGCUUUCAAAUAAGAUCCAUUUUGCAUACAUUUUGGUGGCUUUUGGAAACGGGCGAAUAGCUCCUAUGCGACGUUGUUGGUGUGUAUUGUCUCUCAUGCGACGUUGUUGGCUGUAAUAGCUCUCAUGCGACAUCUGCGUUGGAAAAAAUAGCUCCCAUGCGACACACCAUUUACGCGGCUAGUUGGCUGUUAGUUAGGCUGAGGUUUGGUUAGGACACUGGGGGUUAUGUGCUCUGACUGGUGGGGUCCACCUAUGGUCACGUAGACAAGAGUCAACCGUCCACGACUCGACCUGGGACUGUGUGACCGUGCUCGACUCACCCGUGCUGGACUGAGUGAGCGGUGCCGCCGUAAGCAUCUUCUCCGACAGCGGUUUCUUCUCCGCGGUGGUGGAGCGCAUUUCUCGGCAGCGGCAGAGCUAUUGCGAGGUGAGCCCGAAACCCUAGUCCCACUCCCCAGAAUUUUGGGGGAUCUGUGGCCUCAUGCUGCCCUCUGUUUCUUGGCGAUUUAGAAUCGGGCUCCAUUGGAUCCGGGGGUUGUUUCUUCUCCGUGGCCCGGUGGUGGAGCGCCUAUCUCUGUAGCGGCUAUUGCGAGUGAGUAUUUUCCAAACACUACUCGCAUUCCACUAAAUUUUGGAUAAAUCUGUGGCCUCAUGCUGCCCCUAUUUCUUGGCGUUUUAGAAUCUCGAUUGGAUAGGAGAUGGAGCGAGGGCUGGAUGAGAUGGAGCGAGGAGACAGUGCUUCAAAUCGGUAAUGCCACACUCUUUUCUUGGCGAUUUAGAAUCGAACUCGAUUUGGUAGUGACUGCCGCCGCUGCCUGCCAUUGACAAAACAGGGGAGGUUCAAGUUCUGCCACCACAUUCACAAUUAUAGUGGAAUUUUUUCCCUGUAAAGCCAAGCUCAGUGAUGGCAGUGUCCAAGACAUUGAUAGAGAUACCACCGUGAGGUUCGAUGUCGAAUUUGCAGAUGUUGAUCCCCAGGAAUUGGAGAGCAUGAAGGAGAAGGCCGUGGGCAAUUUGGUGGAGAGAAUUGGGGAGAAUAUUGUUUGGGGUCCAGAACAAGAGGUAUGUCUGCAACGUUUCGAUAACUAUAAUGGUGAAUAUGUGAGAAUUGAAGAUGGAGAAUCCAUGGUUGCUGAAAUUGAUCAGCAAGAAGGGUGGGCAACUAAACAAGUAACAUUUUAUGCAGAGCUAAUUGAUCUACAAACUCAUUCCAGAGUUGGUUAUGUGCAAUCAAAGAGGGCUGCACAGAUGGAAGAUGAUGAGUGGGUUUCACAAAAGAAGAUGUUGGCAUUGUUGACUGAACCGACUGUAGUAGCUGAAGAUACAGGGAUUGAUGCAGAUGGAGAGGAGGGAACCCAUGGUGCUAGGAAGAUUGUUGUUGACUGGAAUGUAGUAGAGUUGAAUGAAAAAACAGAUUUGGUCAUUACACCAAUAUCUGACAUUGAUAUGGCCGAAAUGUUUGGCAUUCAAGUUGAUGACAAAGAUAAGGAGAAGGAUGACAGUUCUUUGCCUGCUGAAGGAACAUAGGCCCUAGAAAUGCAAAUGAGGAUGAAGAACAGCUGAUGAGAGAGGCUGCAGAUGAUGUGGAUGAUGCAGAUGAUAAUGAGUUGGUUUGUUUGUAUGACAAAGAGAACCCAGUUAUUGAGGUGGGAAAGUUGUGGCCAAGCAUGAAGGAGUUUAGGAUGUCUUUCAGGACCUAUGCAGUGAAAAAGAGUUUGAUGCCAAGACUAUGUGGACUGAUUGAAAGAAAUUUUAUGCUCGGUGCAAAGGUUAUGAUGGUGGUGGCAAUCCUUGCAAAUGGUACUUGUCUGCCAGACUACAACCUGAUUGAAGUACAGUAAGGGUAAAUCAAAUACCACACCAGCAUACAUGUAUGACCACUUCACAGAGAGUUUCAAAGAUGACAUCACAGCUUUGGGUUACAGAGAAGAUUACUCCUAUUUUAGCCAAGACUCCAAACACUACUGCAAAGAGGCUUAAAGUUGACUUGGAGAAGCUGUACCCCAUCCAGCUGCAAUAUACCACAGUGUGGAAAGCAAAACAAAGGGCCAUGAAAUCAUUGUAUGGUGACUGGGCAAAUACAUUUAGGAUGUUGUAUAGUUUUAAAGCAGAGGUGGAGAAGAGGUCACCUGGGAGUGUGGUGGAGAUAGAUACAGAGGUAACAGAGGAUGUCAUGGUUUUAUUCAGCAAGUUUUUUAUGUGUUUGAAGCCAUGCAUAGAUGGAUUCAAAGCAGGUUGUCGUCCAUAUUUGAGCAUAGACUCAUCUUUUUUGACUGGAAAGUGGAAUGGUCAGUUGGCUGCAUGCAAUGCUCUAGAUGGACGCAACUGGAUGUUCCCAAUUGCAAUAGGAAUGUUUCAAUCAGAGACAGAGGCAUCAUGGAUAUGGUUCAUGAUGCAACUGAAAAGAUGUAUAGGGCCAGUUUCUCCUUUAGCCAUCCACACAGAUGCAUGUAAAGGGUUCGAAAAUGCAGUAAAAAAUGUUGUCCCCCAUGCUGAGCAGAGGGAGUGCUUUGGACAUAUGUGGAUGAAUCUGAUAAAAAAAUUAGAGGAGAUGAAUUUGGGCGCAUGUGGCCAGCAGCAAGAUCCUACACCAGACAGACACAUUCCUAUCACCUUGGUAAGAUAUUGGCAUCAUGUAGUGAUAAUGAAUUUGCUUCAUGGUUGAACACCCGCCAUUCUCUGUUGUGGUAUAGAUCAGGUUUUAAUACUGCCAUAAAAUGUGAUAAUAUCAAUAACAACUUGGCAGAAAGUUUUAACAACAAAGUGAAGGAUUUGAAAGACUUGCCUGUGCAUGACAUGGUGGACCAAAUAAGGAUCAUGAUCAUGCGUUUGUGGGAGUUGAGAGGAAAAAUUGCUAAUAUUUUGGAAGGGGACAAGCUUCCAGCAGUGGUACAAUAGGUGGUCAACAGGAGUAGAAAUCUUUCACAUCUAUCUGUUGAGAAAUCUUCCUUGUGGGGUGCUGAAGUUAGAGAUACAAAGAGUGGCAAGAGGCAUGUGGUAAAUACUGAGUUGCAUGAGUGUACUUGCCGAGAGUGGCAACACACUGGAAAACCAUGUGAGCAUGCCAUACUUUUUUUGGCAUCUAAACCCAGGUUAAAUAUGCACCCAUAUUUGCAUGAGUAUUAUUCAGUACAAAAAUUCAAAGCUGCAUAUGCAAGUCCAAUUCCUGCACUGACUGACCAAUCUCAGUGGCCUGAGGUGGAAAUAGAAUUUACCUUGUGUCCCCUGUCACUAGAAGAAAGGCUGGGAGGCCUAAACAGAGCAGAUUCAAAGCUUGGUUUGAGAAAGGUGGUUGUAGUAAGAAGGGGAAAAAAGAAAAGAAAAAGAAUGAUAAGCCCAAAAGGGCUCAAAAAGGUAAGAAAAAUAGGUGCAAGUUGUGUGAGGUACUUGGGCACAGAAUUGGUUCAUCCAAGUGCAUCUAUACUCCUCAGAGGACAAAGUAUGUUCAUGUUACUGUUUUUACAAGUUUUUGAUUUUGUUACUUGUUCUAGUAUCUAACCAAGUCAAAUGCUUUAUUUUUUAGGAGGAAGCGUGCAGAAAAAGCCCCACCUCUUGUUGUUGAACAAUGCUGGCCAGUGAAAAAAGCAAGACUCAAUGGCUAUAUAGAAGGAAGAGCACUAAGCAGAUAAUGUUUGGUGACAAAGAUAUGGAGCUAACUGAAACUGUUACUGCUGAACAUGAGCUAAGUGUUUCUGUUUUGGACGAUGUGAUGCAUACUGAAUCUGUUUUGCAGACGCUAGGGCAAUCUGAAACUGUUGCAGAUGAAGCAACGGUUGUGCUGCCAUGCGAAUCUGCUUUGACAACUGUGUUGCCAUGUUUGGAGGUUGUGCUGCCAAGUGUUGAGUUGCAAACUGAAGUAGUUGAACAAUUUGUGCCAUCUACUCAAUCUGCAGAAGUGCAAACUGAAGAAGUGCAAACUGAAGAAGUGGGACAUGGUCAGGUGAAAAAGUUGAGGGGGCCUAGUGGAGUUUGCAAGGGGCCAAAAAGCAAGAGCAUCAACAUCAACAAACUAUGCGCCGUGGAACCAAACGAUGGAAAAAAGCAGAAGAAAUCGAGUGGUAGAAAGAAGCAAAAGAAAUAGAGUCGAAAUCAUUCAAAUUUGAUGUGAAAACUUAAGUUUGUUGUCAUUUGAUGUGAAAACUUAUGUUCUUUCAUGUGAAAACUUAUGUGCUAUGAUGUUGAUUUGACUUGAAAUAAAAUUCAAAUUUGAACCGACAUUCAAAUUUGAACCUAUCUCCAAAUUUUUUUGAGUUCAUUUGUUUGUUCUGUGAUGUUGCAUCGUUUUAUGUACUACUAUGCACUUUGUGAAGUCCAACUCAUAGUCACUGAAAAUGCUGUACAAACAGGCUCCAAAGUAAGGGAAAACGGCCCCAUUUCUAAGCAAGUUUUUUUCGAUCUUCUCAAAAUCACCCAAAAAAGAUUUUCUUAGCUUAUAUUAUACCUAUAUAGGAUCAAUACAAAGUCUCACCUUUUUUGAAUAAGUAUUCAUAUUAUUUAAUUUAUUUUUGAAAAAACACCCUUUAAUACAAAGUCAGCAAUAAAACAAGUUUAAAAAUUUUAAAUGCAAAAAUAACUUCAGAUCCUCCUUAGUCACUCUAAAAUGAAGCUAAGGUGAUGUUUUUUGAUUUUUUUGCAUUUUCAAAACCUCAAACCCUCUUCUCACUCCUUUGAACUCUAUGCAACCUCAGUCGAGAUAGUCCAAUUUGUGAAGGUUUUUUCAUGCAAAGAUCAUUAGAUCAAGUUUAUCAUUUUAUAUCAUAACUAUGUAACAUAAAAAGGCUAUAUGCGCAGGUUUUUCAUUUUUUAGAUUUUUUUGAAUUAGUUAUACACAUUUGAAUGUUCGGUCAAACCUUUCAAAACCCCGUUGACUGCCUCAAAACCCCAUGUAACCCUAGCGCCAAACGUCCACCGUCGAUCUAACCCUAACGCCAAACUGCGGCCGUCGGAUGGGACUUCUAGAAGGAUUCCGCGGGGGCGAUCCAUGGGCUCCAAUCUGAUUGGCCAUUGUUUUUUCUCUCUGACGAACAGAUAACGUUGAGCGGGGGAGCAUCUAAGUGACCGUUGGGCCGAGUGGAUUGGGCCUGGCAAAGCCUGGCGUGCGUGCACACGGCUGUUGAGAGGGGGGAUGGGCUGCAUGCGAGCGGGUCAAUGACAUGUGGGCCAUCCUUGUCCCAUGCAUGCCAUGCAACGUCGCAGCCUAGCUAUUCUUUGCUCGUGAAAGCCUAGCCAUUUGCAUGCGGGCUUGCAUGCACGCAUCGACGCAGAGUACGGCAAGGGUGCAGCGUAUAGGUACGUCGCAUCUAAGCUAUUUUAACAAAUGCAUGUUUGAACGAGAUGGACGCGUCGGUGGUGCAGCUCCUUUUUCAGUGUCACGCGCGGAUGAACGGGCCUGUUUCCCAUGCGGCAUCACCGCCGAUGCAAGUGCCCGUGCCUCUUUGGAUGCUCUGGCCGCCGUUUUUUGAAUUAAUGCCCGCAAUUACUUAUGCCAUGCGAACGGAGAAGAGAAAAAGAUCGAGAAGGGGCACCGUGUACACAUUGACCAUGGUUGCAAUGCGGCUAUAAAAGGGCACCAUUUCCUCAUCCUCUCACACUCAUCUCUCAAGCCUCCUCCCCUUCUUCUUUUCGAGCCAAAUCCACCACUCGAGCCACCAUGCAGUUCAACGGCCCUACCUACCGUCGCCCUUGCACCGUGCCGGAGAGGCAGUACCCAGCCGGAGUCGUCGUGGAGAACAGCCUGAGGGUGUGGGCCAUCUCUAGGUGGAGGGGCCCUAGAGAGUUGGCUCGCUUCUUCCUCCAAGCUGGCUACCGCCACCUCCCUCCGGGCACUCCGCCCAUGUUCCACCUCCACGAGCAGUACGAUGGCAAUGCCGGCCCCGACGGCUUCGUCAUCGGCCUCUAUGUCACCUUCACCAACCCCUACGACGCUCACCACCUCCCCGGGGAGGUGUUCUGGUGUGGAUGCGAGUUUAUCGCGUUCACGACCUACAACAUCUUCACCAACUUCCACCACAUCUUCCCUCACCACAACGGCAUGCACACCCUCCCCUAUCAGAUGCCGGAGGACGACGAGUGAGGGGCCCAAGGAGGAGGGUCCAAGGAGUGGCAAGGAGGAGGGGCCAAGGAGUUGUUCAAGCGGCGAGUCUUCUAUCUAUCUAGUUUGGGGCUCUAGUUUGUGUUUGUGUUGGUUCGGGCGUGUGUGCCCGUGUCUUUUAUAUAUCUAGUUUUAAUUAUUUUACUUUCAUGUUUUAUGAACUAUAUGUAGUGGGGGGAUGCCCCUCUAUAAGUUUUAUCUAUCUAUGCUACUAGGGUACCCGAUGCCCCUCUAUCUAUCUAUAUGUUUUUUCGGUCCUAAAGUUUCUCCAUUGCAUUUUAUUUAUGUGGCCAUGUGUACUAAAAAACAAUUGAUCUGGUAUCUAAAAUGUACGUUACCAAGAAAUUGACAAUAAAGAUUAUAUACUGUACUACAUAAUCAUACAGUUGGUAUACAAUGCAUUUGAAGACAAUGGGCAAGAAAAAUGCUAAUUAUCUGGUGCUGGUGACAUGCGUAAGUGUUGUCUGAUGUUUAAAUCAUGCUUGCUAUGUCAUUUUUUGCUGCCAAACAUGGCAUUAGCGAGAAAGGUCAUUUGGGCACUGAAUGUAUUAAAGUAUACACCAUAUAUAAAAAUGUCUAGCCAAAAGAUUUGGGUGUACAACUGUACACCAAUGACCAAGUAUGGAUCCGCCCCUGGUUGUAAGGGGAUGCCCCUCUAUGUUGUAAGGAGAUGCUACUAGGGGCACACUAGAUGUCUUCUUUUUUUGAGAGAGGCACAACCUUUUUCGGUUGAAACACACGAGUAAAAACUUUGAAAACACCAUAGCACAAGUAAAAAAAUAUAUUAAGAAAUGGUGCUUGGUUGAAAUAAACUAGAACCAAACAAUUGCAACUUUCUUGGUUCACAAAGACUGCUCAAAUAAUUAUCUCAAAUAGCUUAUGCAUAAAAAUAUCUCAAAUAAUUAUUAGAUGAGUUAUCUCAAAAAAGGUGACUGCAGGAAACUUAAAAUUUGUGAAAUGAUCUAAAGCCGAAAAGAUAUAUCGAUGAAUUAUCUCAAAUAGCUUAUGCAUAAAAAUAUCUCAAAUAAUUAUUAGAUGAGUUAUCUCAAAAAAGGUGACUGCAGGAAACUUAAAAUUUGUGAAAUGAUCUAAAGCCGAAAAGAUAUAUCGAUGUCAAUGACCGUGUGCACUUUUUUUGCACUCCUUUUAUCAAUGGGCCUGGAUAUGUUCUAUUCGGCCCUGCCUAACUUCUAUAUGGGCCUGGCCUUUUCGGGCAACUAUGGACGAACCUUUUUUUUCCUUUUCUCCCUCUACCACUGAAACUGAAACUGAUGACGAACUGAAGAACUAAAAAACGGGGCCGAAACAGAGUGGAGAGGACAUGCUGAAUUCGUACAACGCAACACUUUUAUUCAAAUAUACAUAUCAUUAGGAUUACAAAUGAUGCCCAAUCUAUUCACUUACGACUAAUUAUCAUCACAUAAACAAAUGCGAGAGCAAUUACACAAACAUAAAAAAGUCCGGCCAUCAGCCCCAUCAAAUUGCCCUGCUUCUGCAAUUUGAUGAGUUUCUUCAUCUGCUUGUUUAGCUUCUUCAGCUCUGCCGUCACUACUGCAUCCCCCACAGUAGCCCCAAUGGAAUGGGCACAUCCAGGGGCCCCAGAUCCAGAAGCGCCCGAUCCAAACUUGCCCAACUUCUCCACCUCCAGCGGUAAAUCGAGCUCCCCUGAUGCACCCUCCAGUUGAAUCCGCUCUAUGUACUCAUUUAGCCACUCAAAAUGGGUGCAUUGCUUCAAUUUCUGAAAUUGGAAAGAUGAACCCUAAAUCCCAAAUCCGAUGAAAAAUGGGGAAAAAUUGUGAUAUGAAAUUGGGAUACAAAAACCAAAAUUGGCAUAUUGAGAAGUAAAAUCUCACCUUUCCCUGCUCUGGUUUGCUCUCGCAUUUCACGAAUUCCCGCCCAAGGUUGCCAUUCUUGUCGGUCGUUGUGACUAGCCGCUUCAGGGGUGUGAUACGUGGGCCUGCAGGGCACCUUGUCAUGGGCACUGCGCCAUAGCGCGGCCAUGAGCGGCGGGAGGCUGAAGCGGAGCUCGACAUUGCUAGGUCGCGGCCCGGAACGGCGUUGCUGCGCGUCGUCGCCGGAGAAGAAGAACAACAACGGUCGGGGAGGGGGGGUGGGGGCGGGGGCGAGGAUGGGCCACGGCUCGGGCCACGGCUCGGUGUCCUCUUGUACCAAUGCUGACCUGGAUAAGUUAGUGGGUCCCACGCAGUGGGUCCCGCUCACCUGACCAAUGCUGAGUUGGAUAAGUUAGUGGGUCCCGCGCUGUGGGUCCCGCUCACCUGAUUCGAGUUUUAAACAUGUGUCUUUGGAUUAGACAGCAGUGUCGCAUGGGAGCUAUUUUUUCCUAUGCAGAUGUCGCAUGAGAGCUAUUACAACCAACAACGUCGCAUGAGAGACAAUACACACCAACGAUGUCGCAUAGGAGCUAUUCGCCCUUUGGAAACAUUGCUAAGUUUCAUUGUUUGAAACUUAGUACGAGCGACCGAUAAAAUUUAAUUAUUUUGUGUCUACGACCAACAGGAGAAAUUGCUUAAAAUUACAUCUUUGAAACUGGUCAUUUUUUGAUGCAAAAAUGUAAGUUUCAUCAUUGAAACUUAAGGGCAUGUCCAAUGCUGGAUGCUUAUCCAGGCGCUUAUCGUGUGGAAAAAAAAAAUGCCACGAAGUUAGCUCUCGCUUGUCCAACAGCCAAUGCUAACAACGGGCGCUAACCACGGCUGGAGCUAUAGAUUAGAAAGAAAGAUCUGGUUCACUUGUACGUGAAAAAAGGAGCAAGCGCUCGAUGCCUUGCUUUGCAUCGAUGCCAGACUGAGGUGCUGGGAAUCGACAAGAUAACCGCCAAUCUACCAGGAUUAAAUUCCUAGCGCCUUCUUCUAGCGCCUCCCACUGAAAAUGCCCUAAAGGUUUUUGAGGGAUUUUUUUACUGUGUCCUACUUCACGUAUCACGAGGCAAAUCAAGUAGGCGGCAUGGCCUGGCCGGUGAGUGCCAUUGCACUUACUUGCCCCAGCGAUUUUCCGCCUGCAUUGUAGAAUUCUUUCUCCGAGUCCUGUGAAUUAAAGAUGGUGCAGACAAAAGUAUAUCCUAUAUGCGUACAUGUGCAUGAUCAGAACAUGUUUUUACGUGCGUCUACUAUAAAUCAUGACCAUUUUUAACACAAAUCAUGACCAUUCAUGAUUAGUGAAUCAUACUGUCUUAACUUAUGUGAAAUCAUGUGGAGUAAUAUAAUAUAAUAUAAUAGAUAGAUAGAUCCAUGUUGUAUCAUUACACAUUUUGAUUUAUGCAUUUGUUUACAAAAAAAACAGUAAAAUUUCAUGGUGAAAAGUUUGUAUUGUUUCAUACUGAACACCAAUGUUUUCCCGUAAAAGAAAAUAAUGCCUACGCAUAUGCUUUUAUAUUAUUAUUAUUCUUUCAAACUUAUUCAUAUAGUAUUUUUGAUUGUGCAACCAUAAUUUUUAUUAUCUCUCUUGUUCCACUACAUGCUCUUACUCAAUGAUUUUUUUAUAAUGGGUGUUUUUAUUAACUCAAAAUAUAGCAUCAAGCGGAUACAAAACAUAACGAGCCACGUCCGGUCUCUGCAUAACUAAGAUGCACACAGCCAAAAGCAGAAGUCUGACAAAAAUAAGAUAAGAAAAUCAACAUAUCGACAACAGUGAGUCAUAUAGUUCCGACACUAUGCCUCUGUUGAAGGACGGGGUGGAGCGAUCUGGAGAUUAUGCUUCCCUCCAUUUUGAGUAAAUACCUCCCUGGCCACUUGUUCCAACCGCAUAGACGCCGCCACGAAUAAUGGUUGGUACUCUGUUCGGUGUAGCAUACACCAUGUAGGAAGUGAGUGCUCACUCCUAGUUACUAAAUUAUGUACACACUAGUAGAAAAAGGGCCAUUUGUCCCGGUUCGUAAGGCCCAUUUGUCUCAGUUAGGGAACCGGGACUAAAGGGUCGGUACUAAAGCCCUACACCUUUAGUCCCGGUUCUUACACCAACCGAGACAGAUGGGGCUCCACGUGGCCGCUGCGGCUUGCCAUGGCAGGGGGGCCUUUUGUCCCGGUUGGUAGCACCAACCGGGACCAAUAAGCUACCACGCGUCAGCAUUUGAGGGGCUUGGGUUUUUGUUUUUUUCUGAAGGGGGGGAGGGGGGUUGGGGGUUUUGGGGGGUUUUGUAUGGUUAAUUUUGGGGGGUUUCAUAUAUAGUGUUAGGUAGUAAUUAAUUAAUAGAGAGAAGUGUCCUCUCUUAUCUCCGUGCUUGGUCGACGCUACGUACUAUACGUAUAGAGAGGCCCUCGACACGCUUGCCAGUAAGCAAAUGAAGGAAACCAUUAAGUACAGAAGUUCGUCAUGAACAUAUGCAUACAAACAUAAGUGAUAUCGACCUCUCCUUCUCCGAGAGAUAGGUCGAAGAACAAGUUUCCGUAUAUCUAUCCGGCGCUACUAGCUACAUAUAUACAAUAUUAAGAUCUCUUACAAUAUAAUCCCCUAAUUAUAUAUGAACUCAGCUUCCAGAUGGUAUUCUCCGGCUUUAUUGAUGACGUGGUCAAGAAAGAAUCCCUCCAAUUCCUCUUGAAUUGCUUUGAUGCGAUCUUGUGGUAGGAGUUCAUCCUGCAUCUGCCACAUCUAAUUUGAAGAAGGGGGUCAAUCACUAGUGGAAUAACAGCCAUUUGUCUAGGUUCGUAAGGCUCAUUUGUCCCGGUUGGGGAACCGAGACUAAAGGGUCGUUACUAAAGCCCUACACCUUUAGUCCCGGUUGUCGGUGUCAAAACCGGCGGAUCUCGGGUAGUGGGUCCUGAAUUGUGCGUCUAGGCCGGAUGGUAACAGGAGGCAGGGAACACGAUGUUUUACCCAGGUUCGGGCCCUCUUGAUGGAGGUAAAACCCUACGUCCUGCUUGAUUAAUAUUGAUGAUAUGGGUAGUACAAGAGUAGAUCUACCACGAGAUCAAGGAGGCUAAACCCUAGAAGCUAGCCUAUGGCAUGAUUGUUGUGUAUGGAGUUGAUUGCCUACGGACUACAACCCUCCGGUUUAUAUAGACACCGGAUAGGGUUAGGGUUACAUAGAGUCGUUUACAAUGGUAGGAGAUCUUGAAUAUCCGCAUCACCAAUCUUGCCUUCCACGCCAAGGAAAGUCCCAUCCGGACACAGGACGAAGUCUUAAAUCUUGUAUCUUCAUAGUCCAGGAGUCCGGCUGGACGUAUAGUCCGGCUACCCGAACACCCCCUAAUCCAGGACUCCCUCACCGGUUCUUACACCAACUGGGAGAGAUGGGCCUCCACGUGGCCGCUGCGGCGAGCCCAGGUAGGAGGUCCUUUGGUCCCCGUUAGUGACACUAAUACGUCUCCAACGUAUCUAUAAUUUUUGAUUGCUCCAUGCUAUUAUGUUAUCCAUUUUGGAUGUUAAUGGGCUUUAUUUUACACCUUUAUAUCAUUUUUGGGACUAACCUACUAAUCGGAGGCCUAGCCCAAAUUGCUAUUUUUUGCCUAUUUUAGGUUUUUGAAGAAGAGGAAUAUCAAACGGAGUCCAAACGGAAUGAAACCUUCGGGAACGUGAUUUUCUCAACGAACAUGAUCCAGGAGACUUGGAGUGUGCGCCAAGAAAUAAGGGAGGAAGGCACGAGGCAGGGGGGCGCGCCUACCCCCCUUGAGCAUGCCCUCCACCCUCGUGGGCCCUCCACUGCUCCACCGACGUACUUCUUCCUCCUAUAUAUAUCCACGUACCCCCCAAACAACCAGGAGCACCACGAAAACCUAAUUCCACCACCGCAACCUUCUGUACCCGAGAGAUCCCAUCUUGGGGCCUUUUCCGGAGGGGGCAUCGAUCACGGAGGGCCUCUACAUCAACUGCAUGGCCUCUCCGAUGAUGUGUAAGUAGUUUACUUCAGACCUACGGGUCCAUAGUUAUUAGCUAGAUGGCUUCUUCUCUCUCUCUUUGGAUCUUAAUACAAAGUUCUGCUCGAUUUUCUUGGAGAUCUAUUCGAUGUAAUCUUCUUUUGUGGUGUGUUUGUCGAGAUCCGAUGAAUUGUAGGUUUAUGAUCCAGAUUAUCUAUGGACAAUAUUUGAUUCUCCUCUGAAUUCUUUUAUGUAUGAUUCGUUUAUCUUUGCAAGUCUCUUCGAAUUAUCAGUUUGGUUUGGCCUACUAAAUUGAUCUUUCUUGCAAUGGGAGAAGUGCUUAGCUUUGGGUUCAAUCUUGCGGUGUUCGAUCCCAGUGACUGAAAGGGAAGCGAUAUGUAUUGUAUUGUUGCCAUCGAGGAUAAAAAGAUGGGGUUUAUAUCAUAUUGCAUGAGUUUAUCCCUCUACAUCAUGUCAUCUUCCUUAAAGCAUUACUCUGUUCUCUUGAACUUAAUACUCAAGAUGCAUGCUGGAUAGCGGUCGAUGUGUGGAGUAAUAGUAGUAGAUGCAGAAUCGUUUCGGUCUACUUGUCUGGGACCUGAUGCCUAUAUACAUGAGCAUACCUAUAUAUUCUCAUAACUAUGCUCAAUUCUAUCAAUUGCUCGACAGCAAUUCGUUUACCCACCGUAAUACUUAUGCUCUUGAGAGAAGCCACUACUGAAACCUAUGGCCUCGGGGUCUAUCUUCUAUCAUAUUAAUCCUCCAAUACUUAGUUAUUUAUAUUUCUAUCUAUUUUACUUUCCAUCUUUUAUUUCUCUUUAUCAUAAAAAUACCAAAAAUCUUAUCUUAUCAUAUCUAUCAGAUCUCACUGUUGUAAGUGACCGUGAAGGGAUUGACAACCCCUUUAUCGCGUUGGUUGCGAUGUUCUUAUUUGUUUGUGUAGGUUCGUGGGACUUGAGCGUGAUCUCCUACUGGAUUGAUACCUUGGUUCUCAAAAACUAAGGGAAAUACUUACGCUAAUUUACUUCAUCACUCUUUCCUCUUCAAGGGAAAACCAACGCAAUGCUCAAGAGGUAGUGUCGGUGUCAAAACCGGCGGAUCUCGGGUAGUGGGUCCCGAACUGUGCGUCUAGGCCGGAUGGUAACAGGUGGCAGGGAACACGAUGUUUUACCCAGGUUCGGGCCCUCUUCAUGGAGGUAAAACCCUACGUCCUACUUGAUUAAUAUUGAUGAUAUGGGUAGUACAAGGGUAGAUCUACCACAAGAUCAAGGAGGCUAAACCCUAGAAGCUAGCCUAUGGUAUGAUUGUUGUAUAUGGAGUUGAUUGCCUACGGACUACAACCCUCCGGUUUAUAUAGACACCGGAUAGGGUUAGGGUUACAUAGAGUCGGUUACAAUGGUAGGAGAUCUUGAAUAUCCGCAUCGCCAAGCUUGCCUUCCACACCAAGGAAAGUCCCGUCCGGACACGGAACGAAGUCUUCAAUCUUGUAUCUUCAGAGCCCAGGAGUCCGGCUGAAGGUAUAGUCCGGCUAUCCGAACACCCCCUAAUCCAGGACUCCCUCAGUAGCCCCUGAACCAGGCUUCAAUGACGACGAGUCCAGCGCGCAAAUUGUCUUCGGCAUUGCAAGGCGGGUUCCUCCUCCAAGUCCUUCAUAGAAGAUUGUAAGCACCAAGAGUAGUGUCCGGCUCUGCAAAAUAAGCUUCCACAUAUCGCCAUAGAGAGAAUAAUAUUAACACAAAUCAAAUCUGCUGACGUAUUCCGCAGUGCGUCAUCACACUACAGCCAAGUCCUUCACUCGAAUCGUUUUCACUUUUCCACCUCAGCGUGUUUUGCGAGGCGGUUUCCUUGGCACGUCUUGUCAAAGCAGAGAUCGUGUCCCCCUUGUUUACGGGAUUCUCGUUAAUACGGACGUGGGUAACCCAACCGCGCCACUUAUCACGGCGCUUGGGAGGCAAGCGAGUUUUACUAGGCUGGUGGGGACGCAUAGUCGCAUCCGCCCAUAUAAGGGGAUAAGGAUCCACCUUUUUACCUACGCCUUCUUCCUCCUUUGCCUAGCCAUCUUCUGCGCACCCGAGCUCUAGCGCCCCAGCCCGCGCUUCCUACCUCAACCCUCUCCAACAAUGUUCGGAGCGGGAGGCAAGUGGAUGGUCUCCUCCGUCACGGAGGGCCAUGUCAAAAGGUUAAGGAAGGCCGGAUACUUGUCCAAAGACAUCGCGCACCGGCUUCCUGAGGAGGGGCAGCUUCUCCCCACCCCAAGGCCCCAUGAGAGGGUAGUAUUUCUUCCCCACUGCCUCCGCGGACUGGGUUUUCCUCUCCACCCAUUUGUCCGCGGGCUCAUGUUCUACUAUGGCCUAGAUUUCCACGAUCUGGCCCCGUACUUCAUCCUCAAUAUCUCGGCGUUUAUCAUCGUGUGCGAGGCUUUCCUCUGCAUUCGCCCCCAUUUCGGCCUCUGGCUCACGACCUUCAACGUCAAGCCAAAGGUGGUGCGCGGUAACCAGGCGGAGUGCGGAGGUGCCAUGGCGGGCAAAAUUGCCAACGUCCUAUGGCUCGAGGGCUCCUUUGUGGAGACCUUGAAGGGGUGGCAGUCAGGGUGGUUUUACAUCACCGAGCCACGCGAUCCGAAGUGGAUCGCAGCCCCUGAAUUCCGAUCCGGACCCCCUACGCGGCUCAUGUCCUGGAAGGAGACGAGCUUGUCGUGGGGCGACGAAGGAGAGUUGACCAGACUGCAAAAAUGCAUCCAGUCCCUGGUGAACAAGCAGCUCAAGCUUGUCAACGUAAUCUAGGUCAUGCUCGUCCGCCGGAUUCUUCCGUGUCAAGAACGGGACUUCAAUUUGUGGGAGUUCAACCCGGCGCAACACCGAACUCUGAGAAGGCUCUUCAACACGACGUACGAAGAUGUCUGGAGGGGGCUAACCAAAGGCGCCGAGACUCCCACAUCCGCCUCCGAAGACCGCGGAUUCAGCUCGCAGCGUCCUGCUGGCGAGGUAAGAUAUUUCCAUCUUUUACAGGAUGUUAAGCUUUUUCAUAGUUGACUCUAUGCGGGAUCAAAACUCCCUCACCUUUGACAGGAUUGGCGGGAGAAGUCCGGACAGAUUAAAUGCCCGGCUCCCUUGCCCGAAGACCUAGCCCCUGCUCUCCUAGAGAAGCUGCUGGUUUCGGCACCUUAUGUGGUGCCGGAGAAGAGGGCCAAGAAGAAGAAGGCCACGGGGACUCGAAAGAGUUCCUGGCAUAUGGUGGUGUCGGACUCGUCGUCCGACCAGUCCGAGACGCACUCCUCCCGUGAAGACGAGGAGGAAGAGUGUCGGACUCGUCGUCCGACGAGUCCGAGACGCACUCCUCCCGUGAAGAGGAGUGGCCGGACUACGUCCCCGACGCCGACGAGGACGAAGAGGAGUGGCCAGACAGGGCCAAGCAUCCGGCGAGAUCGUAAGUGUUCGGAUACCAGAGUAACUCGUGAUAUUCCUUUUGUUGCACAGCUUUCCCUAAUGUCGGAUAUAAUCAUGCAGUCCGCCCAAGGAUGGGCUCGACGAGUCGUCGAGCGGCUCCCUGGAUUCAUCGGACGUGAAUUCAGUUCCGCCUACUGCUUCCCCCUGUGCUGCAGAUGACGCCGAAGUGGCGUCGCGACAAGCUCCGGGACGAGAGGAGGUGGUCCAGGAGGAGUCGCGAGGUGACCUCCCGGACUCCAGGAGUGAAGGGGACAAGACCCCCCUGGGAUCCAAGUUCGGCUUUAAGCCGGACACUGAGAUGGAAUCAUCAACAGUUCCGGACUGCGGUAGGCGAACUCCUACCAGGAGGAGCAAGCCUACUGAGCCGGCAUCCUCCGUCCAGCCGGAGGCGCCGGACAAUCUGCUGGAGGAGCUUAAGGGCGCCUCCACCGACGAGGAGCACCGUGCCGUCAUGAGUACGGUGAUCCAGAAGGUUCGGUCCGCCAAAAGCGGACUGACUGAAGCUUGUGCUGGCCUUCUAACAGGCUUCGAGGUAAGUAAAAAUAUGUAAAAAUAUUACCGUAUAGACAGUAGCCCCUGAUGCUCUGUUUGGCGUUUGUAAAGAAAAGCCAAAUAGAGGAUCUAUUAAAUAUCGCAGGAGUCUAACUAAAAAGGAGUCAAUAUAUGUAUGCAGGCUUCGCUGCUGGCCACCGCCGCACUGACUGCGGAGGUGGGUGCCCUGAAGGAGGGCCUCCAGCGGACCGAGCAAGAGCUCGGCCUUGCCAAACGGCAGCUCGAGGAAAAAGAAUGUAAGAGAUACCUUACAGAAAAAGUGCCUAUAAAAAGGCUUGAUUGCAAAAAGAGUAGCAGGAUUGUACUGCUUAUUGUAGGGGCCACGACUGAGGUGGCGACCUUUAAGCAGGUGUUGUCUGAGGCCGAAAAGAAAACGGCCGCGGAGCGCACCGAGCGAGACAGACUUGGGGCUCAGGUCAGCGAGGUGCAGCAAGAGCUUCAGGCUCUCAUGAAAAAACAUGAGAGUUUGAAGCUGGAGUCGAAGGCGCAAGCAUCCGAGCUUGCAACGGCCCUAGAGGCUGCCAAGUCUACCAAGGCCGAUGCCCUAAAGACCCUCCAAGAGUUGGAGGAGAUGAGGAAGAUAGCAACGGGUAAGGCAUUCUUUAUGCAAAGCAGAAAUAUAAAAGUGAACUACCUGUUACUUACCCGAAUCCGAAGCUCUCCAGGGGCAUUCGCAGAUCUUCCCUGCAGCGUAUCCGAUGCCGCCGCAUUAUACCAAGCUGAAGAGGGUAGCUCGACGGAGAAGGUGUUCUGGUUUCAGUAUUCUGAGGCCGGACACCCUGUGCCCUUGAGCAACCAGCUGAAACAGCUGGUUGAGCUCCACAAGGCGGCCAAGCAGGCCAUGAAGGGCUUCAUAGUUCGGCUGUGGCCUGGAGAGGCCCUACCUGGGAGCUAUCUCGGGCUGGUGCGGCGGCUGGUGGAGGCCUGUCCGAGGCUUGAGGUCAUCAAGUGCUCCGUCUGCAUCGAUGGUGCCCGUCGGGCCCUUGCCCGUGCAAAGGUGCACUGGGGUAAGCUGGACGGUGAGAAGCUUGUGAAGGACGGGCUGCCGCCGGGGAAGGAGCAUCGCAAGCCCGAGAACUACUACAAGGAUGUUCUUGCAGGUGCCCGCCUUAUGGCGGAUCAAUGUACCAAGGAUGUGAUAUUUGAAUGAACUCGCUCGUGUUUAUCUUGUGCGCUGAAAACUUGUUCAUAUGUGCUAAGCAAUGCUUAUUGAAUUUAAAAUAUUACUUUCUGUGCGGCCAUUUAUCAAAAAUUGAGAGAUGGCCAGUCGUCGGCUUCUGCCCCCGUGCCACUAGUGCUGGGGUGUUCGGGAUAAACCUGAGCGCUCUUUUUCCCAUAGUUGGGUCCUUCGAGGGAGGCGCUCAGCACAACGAACCAGGCAAUCGGACUAUAAUGCUUGAACACUCUCACUUAGCCAUAGAGCUCUAUAAUUUUAAAUUUCGGUGAAGCCCGUAGUUCGGAAGACCGAGUUCGGGGCGCUAUCCACGCCUUGGCCGGACAAAGCCGGCUCCUCGCUCGAAGCGGCAUAAGCCUUUAGGGACUCGAAAAACCUCUCGAACAGCGAUCGGUCUCUCGCCACAUCAUGACAGUCAGUUUUAGCUUUCUCCACUCAGGUGCUUAACCCAGGUGAACCGGGGCACAAUCGCAGUGGUUCUCCUAGUGCUACCUUAGCCGAUAGAGCGGAACGUAAGGCACCAAAACAUAGGAGCCACGCAAACCCAACUAUUGACCCAAAUCAUGAUUCGGAGCCGAUGCAUAUAGUGCUAUAAGUUCGGGGUGCCGCACUUGUGAAAGUGUACGGACUUCUCACACCAUUAUGAGCGGUACUGAAGCCCCUGGCAUGUUUGCCAUACCAUGGUGUACGGGUGCAAUCAUGUCAUUUAAUAAACAUAAAUGUGAAAAGAAGAUAAUGCAAAAAAUAGACUAGAAGCUAAGCAUUGUUUAUAGAGAGGCUAUUUAUCAAAGCCGAACGAUACAAAUAGUGCGGUAAGCAAAAGAUAUUGGACUAUUCAGUAUGUCCUGACCAGGGGCAGGCCGCGGAAUUGUAUUUAAAACAGGUAUACCGCUCGUAACAGAGACCACCUGGGAGUUCCAUAAUGCGUCAUGGCUUGUCUGCCUCCCUGGAUCUUGCAUCGUUUGUGCGGCAGUCGAAUUGCCGAACAGGUCGUCCGAAGUAUGGAGUCCUGAAAGAAGAAAAAAUUAAAAAAAGAAUCCGGCAGCCCCUAGUACGUAUUAAGCCGUAUUUUGGGCGUGUUGUUAUUGUGCCCCUUCCCCUGUGCCCAUGGUAUUUCAAGGGCGUAGUUAUGUACGUGAGGUACUGGUUUCGCUAUGUUGCGAAAGCUGGGGUUGGGGCCGCAUUGCUACGCUUGCUUAGAGUGUGCCAGGCAGUGUCUGGCUUUUUAAUGGCCGGACUGGAGAAUUGCCUGAGAAGGCUACUUUGUACCUCCGCUGCGAGAGCCGCCGUAUGCUCCUCCAUAUGGAGGGAGCGUUCGGUGUUUCCGUUGAACGUAAUUACUCCUUGAGGGCCUGGCAUCUUGAGCUUGAGAUAUGCGUAGUGCAGCACCGUGUUGAUCUUUGCGAAUGCGGUUCGUCCGAGCAGGGCAUGAUAGCCACUGCGAAACGGUACUAUAUCGAAGAUUAACUCUUCGCUUCGGAAAUUGUCCGGGGAUCGGAAGACCACAUCAAGUGUUACUGAGCAUGUACUGUUGGCUUCUACACCUGGUAUAACGCCUUUAAAGGUCGUUCUUGUGGGCUUAAUCCUUGAGGGAUCUAUGCCCAUUUUCUGCACUGUAUCCUGAUAAAGCAGGUUCAGGCUACUGCCGCCGUCCAUGAGGACUCUUGUGAGAUGAAAUCCGUCGAUGAUCGGGUCGAGAACCAAUGCGGCGAAGCCGCCAUGACGGAUGCUAGUGGGAUGGUCCCUUCGAUCGAAAGUGAUCGGGCAGGAGGGCCAUGGGUUGAACUUUGGGGCGACUGGCUCCAUCGCAUAUACGUCCCGUAGCGCAUGCUUCCGCUCCCGCAUGGGAAUGUGGGUUGCGUAUAUCAUGUUCACCGUCCACACUUGUGGGGGAAAGCCCUUCUGUCCAUUGUUGUUCGGCGGCUUGGGCUCCUCGUCGUCGCUGUGCAGCCCCUUGUCUCUGUUUUCGGCCCUUAACUUGCCUGCCUGCUUGAACACCCAACAAUCCCUGUUAGUGUGAUUGGCUAGCCUUUCGGGGGUGCCAUGUAUCUGGCACAAGCGAUCGAGUAUUCGGUCCAAACUGGACGGGCCCUGAGUAUUCUUUUUGAAUGGCAUUUUCCGCUGACCGGAUUUAUAGCCUUUGAAUCCGGCAUUGACUGCCGUGUCUUCAUUGCUGUCGCUGCUAACGCGGCGUUUUUGCUUAUUCCGAUGUGUCCUACCACUUUUGUCCUUGGUAUCCGAAUUACCAGGGUGCUUUGAUAAGUUGUUACUGCGAGCUAGCCAGCUGUCUUCUCCCGCGCAAAAGCGGGUCAUGAGUGUCGUGAGGGCUGCCAUGGAUUUCGGCUUUUCCUGUCCCAGGUGCCAGGCAAGCCACUCGUCGCAGAUGUUGUGCUUCAAGGCUGCCAGGGCCUCUGCGUCCGGACAGUCGACUAUCUGGUUUUUCUUUGUUAGGAACCGUGUCCAAAAUUGUCUGGCCGAUUCCUCUGGCUGCUGAAUUAUGUGGCUUAAGUCGUCGGCAUCCGGUGGUCACACGUAAGUGCCCUGGAAGUUGUCGAGGAAUGCGGCUUCCAGGUCCUCCCAAGAACCGAUUGAGUCUGCUGGCAAGCUGUUAAGCCAAUGCCGGGCCGGUCCUUUAAGUUUGAGCGGGAGGUAUUUGAUGGCGUGUAGAUCAUCGCCGCGUGCCAUGUGGAUGUGAAGGAGACAAUCCUCGAUCCAUACCGCCGGAUCUGUUGUGCCAUCGUAUGAUUCGAUGUUUAUGGGUUUGUAGCCCUCUGGGAUUUUAUGAUCCAUUACUUCAUUCGUGAAGCAUAGCGGGUGUGUGGCGCCUCUGUAUUGGGCUAUAUCACGACGUAGCUCGGAAGAGCUAUGUCUGUUGUGUUCGGCCCGGCCGGAUUUGUUGUAUCCAGAGUGAAGAUCAUUUUCCCGUGCCUUAGUUGAGAGGUGUCGGGGCAUGGCUUGGGUGGAGGGCCGAGACGCCUCUCUGUCGCGGCCGCGAGGUGGCCGGUCUGCCAUGUCAUGCGCUGGUGAUGUAGGUGCUUCCUCCUCUGAUCGGGGUAGCGGCCUAUGCUUCGGGUAACUCUUGGAGGGGCGUUCGAGUUCAUACUCUUCGGCCGCAAGGACUUCAGUCCAUCUGUCAGCUAGCAAAUCUUGGGCAGCUCUAAGUUGUUGCUGCUUUUUCUUGAGGCUGCUUGCCAUGGCUAAAAGCCUGCGUUUAAAAAGCUCUUGUUCGGCGGGGUCUGAUGGUAUGACGAAUUCGUCGUCAUUGAGGCUUGCCUCGUCUUCGGAGGGAGGCGUAUAGUUAUCAUCCUCGACCUUUCCGUCUGCCGCUCUCUCAUCAGGGCUGGCUUCUCCAUCUUCCUGUGCCGAAUCUUGCUGAGGUGGGUGUUCUUCGGCGCUAUCCGGGGUAGUAUUAUCUCUCAUGUCGGAAUCACCGUUUUUGCUUUGGCGGGAUUUAGAGCGGCGCCGCUGGUGCCGGCGCUUUGGCUGUUUCUUGGGGGCGUCAUCCCCCACUGUUCCAUCGCCAUCUCCAUCUUUUGGAGUAUCCACCAUAUAUAUGUCAUAUGAUAAGGUGGCCUUCCAGCGCCCUACAGGUGCUGGUUCCUGUUCGUCUCCUACAUUGUCGUCCAUGCCGUCGAUGUCUUUGGAGCUGAAGUCAACCAUGUAGGUUAGACCGUCGAUAAUGGCUACAAAGUGGGUGGUGGGUGGGCUUUGAAUUUCCUCAUCGUAUGUAUCCCACCCUCGCUGACCGUAGUCCGGCCAGGGCUCUCCUGAUAAAGAGAGAGACUUAAGAGAAUUCAGGAUGUCGCCAAAAGGCGAAUGCUGAAAGAUGUCUGUAGCGGUGAACUCCAUUAUCGGCACCCAAUCGGAUUCGAUUGGCAGGGGCGCGGGGGGUUCGGAGUCCGGGGAGGAGUCCGGAUCCUCGGAGUCACGGGUCGUGCAGAGUGCGGGGCUAGCGUUCGGCUCGAUCGCUUUCGGGAUCGCAGCCCCCGAGGUGACGUCCAACCGCUCAUCCUCGAUUGGCGCAAUAGGUUCCGAGUUAGGGGUCGGAACCGAUGCGUGUGCGGCCUCCAGGACACUGGCCGGGGGCAGAGCUAGAUCAUGCCCCUCGGGAUAGUGCGGCGUGCUUGGCCGUGGCUCGAGCCCGUCGAAGAUCAAGUCUCCGUGGAUGUCAGCCGUGUAGUUUAAGCUUCCAAACCUGACUUGAUGGCCAGGGGCGUAGCUUUCGAUCUGCUACAGGUGGCCGAGCGAAUUGGCUCAUAGAGCGAUGCCGCCGAAGACGAAGAUCUGUCCGGGGAGAAAAGUCUCACCCUGGACCGCAUCGUUGUUGAUGAUCAAAGGAGCCAUCGGGCCUAAAGGCGACGAGACAGAGGAACUCUCAAUGAAAGCACCAAUGUCAGUGUCAAAACCGGUGGAUCUCGAGUAGUGGGUCCCGAACUGUGCGUCUAGGCCGGAUGGUAAUAGGAGGCAGGGAACACGAUGUUUUAUCCAGGUUCGGGCCCUCUUGAUGGAGGUAAAACCCUACGUCCUGCUUGAUUAAUAUUGAUGAUAUGGGUAGUACAAGAGUAGAUCUACCACGAGAUCAAGGAGGCUAAACCCUAGAAGCUAGCCUAUGGUAUGAUUGUUGUAUAUGGAGUUGAUUGCCUACGGACAACAACCCUCCGGUUUAUAUAGACACCGGAUAGGGUUAGGGUUACAUAGAGUCGGUUACAAUGGUAGGAUAUCUUGAAUAUCCACAUCGCCAAGCUUGCCUUCCACGCCAAGGAAAGUCCCGUCCGGACACGGGAUGAAGUCUUCAAUCUUGUAUCUUCAUAGCCCAGGAGUCCGGCUGAAGGUAUAGUCCGGCUACCUGAACACCCCCUAAUCCAGGACUCCCUCAGGUAGCAAGAUGGAUUUCUGGCGCCAUUGCCGGGGAGAUUCGCGCCAAGUCAAGACAUACCAAGUACCCAUCACAAACCCUUAUCCCUCGCAUUACAUUAUUUUCCAUUUGCCUCUUGUUUUCCUCUCCCCCACUUCACCCUUGCCAUUUUAUGCGCCCUCUCUUUUUCCGUUCCCCUCUUUUCCACUUGCUUUGUCGUUAUGGCUAGUCCUUUAUCUACUCCUUUGUCUCCCGAGAAUGAAGUUCUUAAUUUUAAACAAAGGGAGGGAGAAAAUCUAAAAGAUGCUUGGUACAGAAUUUGCAACACACAAAUUAGAUCUACUAGGAAACAAUCUACUUUUGUUCUUCUUCACGAUUUUUAUGUAGGCAUCACACCUUGGAAUAGAUAUAUUCUUGAUGCCAUUACCGGAGGGAAUUUCUUGGGUAGCCAUACUUUUGAUUCUUAUAAUGCUAUGAUAGAUCUGUUUGGCCCACCACCUCUUUUGGUUAAUGGAACUAUUUUAACUUUGGAACAUGUGAUGCAAUGGCUUGAAAUUAGUGAAAAUAAAGUUGCCACCAUAGAGUUAAUUGAAAAUUUGGAUAGAAAGAUCCAUAACCAAAUUACCCAAUACGGAUCUAAGUUAGGAGUUGCUCUUAAAAGUUUUAAAGAAAAGGGACCUAUGGUUAAUGAAAAGAUAGAAAAGGAUUCCACUAGAAUUGAUAAAAUUGAGGAUAUUAUUACCAACCUUGGGUCUUCCUUUUCUUCUAUUAUAAAUACUCCGCCUAAUGCUAAGAUUGCCAAACUAAUGUAUGUUACAAAAAAUAAGGGUGAAACUUCUAAUAAGGAAAAUGCGGAUCUCAAAUCCAUAAGUGUUCACCCCAAUUUUCUCACUAUCCUUAAGGAACCUUUUGCUACAAAUGAUUUUCUUGAUUUCAUACCUAGGAGUUUGAUAAUUAAUAAAAACAAAGAAACUCCUAAAAGUUAUUGGUGUGUUAUUGAAGAAUCACCUUCCAAAGACGGCAAUACCUAGGUCUAUCUUCGCUUUUAUGCCUAGCUAGGGGCGUUAAACGAUAGCGCUUGUUGGGAGGCAACCCAGUUUUACUUUUAUUCCUUGAUGUUUGCUCCUAUUUAGUAAUAAAUAAUUUAUGUAGCCUAUGUUUUGGUUGUGUUUUUUGUGUUUAAUUUGUGUUUGUGCCAUGUAGAACCAUUGGGUAGACUUGGGGAAAGUCUUUUUGAUCUUGCUGUAAAAAACAGAAACGUUAGCGCUCACGAGAAUCGCUGACAUUUUUAUUUGGAAAGUGAUAUUUAGAUAAUUCUUUUUGCGGAUGAUUAAUAGAUAAAUUCCUCACGUCCAGCAAUUUAUUUUAUAAUUUUUGGGGUUACAGAAGUUCGCGUUAGGUACAGAUUACUACAGACUGUUCUGUUUUUGACAGAUUCUGUUUUUCGUGUAUUGUUUGCUUAUUUUGAUGAAUCUAUGGCUAGUCAAAGAGGUUAUAAACCGUAGAGAAGUUGGAAUACAGUAGGUUUAACACCAAUAUAAAUCAAGAUUGAGUUCAUAACAGUACCUUGAAGUGGUGUUUUGUUUUCUUUCGCUAACGGAGCUCACGAGAUUUUCUGUUUGAGUUUUUUGUUGUGAAGUUUUCAAGUUUUGGGUAAAGAUUUGAUGGAUUAUGGAACAAGGAGUGGCAAGAGCCUAAGCUUGGGGAUUCCCAUGGCACACCAAGGUAAAAUUAAAGGACACCAAAAAGCCUAAGCUUGGGGAUGCCCCGAAAGGCAUCCCCUCUUUCGUCUUCGUCUAUUGGUAACUUUACUUGGAGCUAUAUUUUUAUUCACCACAUGAUAUGUGUUUUGCUUGGAGCGUCUUGUAUGAUUUGAUUAUUUGAUUUUUAGUUUACCAAAAUCAUCCUUGCUGUACACACCUUUUGAGAGAGACUCACAUGAUUGGGAAUUUAUGAGAAUACUCUAUGUGCUUCACUUAUAUCUUUUGAGCUAUAUGGUUUUUGUUCUAGUUCUUCGCUUAUAUAUUUUAGAGAAUGGCGGUGGUUUUAUUUUAUAGAAAUAAUUGUUCUCUCAUGCUUCACUUAUAUUAUUUUGAUAGUCCUUUAGAACAACAUGGCAAUAAUAAAACUGUCAUACAAGUGCAUUGAAUACUAUGAGAAGUUUGAUACUUGAUAAUUGUUUUGAGAUAUGGAGAUGGUGAUAUUAGAGUCAUGCUAGUUGUGUAGUUGUGAAUUUGAGAAAUACUUGUGUUGAAGUUUGUGAUUCCCGUAGCAUGCACGUAUGGUGAACCGUUAUGUGACGAAGUCAGAUCAUGAUUUAUUUGUUGAUUGUCUUCCUUAUGAGUGGCGGUCGGGGAUGAGCAAUGGUCUUUUACUACCAAUCUAUCUCCCUAGGAGCAUGGGCAUAAUACUUUGCUUUGAUAACUUAUAGAUUUUUGCAAUAAGUAUGUGAGUUCUUUCUGAGCAAUGUUGAGUCCAUGGAUCAUACGCACUCUCACCCUUCCACCAUUGCUAGCCUCUCUAAUACCGUGCACUUCUCGCCGAUAUCAUACACCCACCAUAUACCAUCCUCAAAACAGCCACCAUACCUACCUAUUAUCACUAGUGCAGAACCGGGCAAUAGCACCGGUUCGUAAGGCCCUUUAGUGCCGGUUUAGGAACCGGCACUAUUAUUUCGGCACUAAACCCCCCCCCCUUUAGUACCGGUUCAGCACGAACCGGUGCUAAAGGGGUACCACGUGGCACGAGCCAGCUCCGGGGGCCGGGAGCCCUUUAGUACCGGUUGGUAAAACCAACCGGUACUAAAUGGUUGUGGGUUUUUGUUUUAUUUUGUAUUUUUCAAUUAAAUUUGUGUUAUCAAUUUAAAUUAGGAUUGUUUUACGUUAUAAUGAGUUGUAGUCGUCAUCAUCAUCAUCAUCAUCGCAUAUUAAUAAAUAAAUAAACUCUAGCUAGCUAAAAAUCAUCGUGGUCGUCUAAUUACCACUAUUUAAUCAUCAUAGUCAUUACCGCUAGCUAUGUAAUCAUCAUCAACGUUGGCUAGCUUAAAGAGGAAACAUUCACUUUGUAACAGAAGCAAAGAGAUAUCAUCAAGUUCAACAUAAUCAUCACCAACAUCGAAGUUCAGGACACGGAUCCAUGAGACGAGUACUAAUUAAGAGCAUGAAGUAGUAGCUACUGAUCCUGCUUCUCCCUCUCAGGUAGAAUAGCACAGAACAUGUAUAGCUCUCCUGAUUCAUCAUACUGAAGCAUGCAGAUGAAUCUGUCUCCUAAUCUUGGGUUGCGCUUCUCCUUACUGCCCCCUAGUACUUCUCUGCGAUCGUUAACAAUUUUGCUCCAAUCUUUCACUAUUAAGCAUUCUUCGCUUUUAGAAAUCCUGAAUGCACUCAUGUGCAAUGUAGGAAAUCUUGGUCGUAAGCUAACCAUUGACAUGCGACCUUUUGUCUCGAUCCACUAAGGCACAACUGUCAUCGGAAGUCCCUGUUGAACAACAUCGUAUAGUAAUUAAUAUACUAAGCAAUGAAAGUUUAGCUUUAAAAAUAAUGUACGCAAAAGAUGCACUAAUUAAGGACAAAUAUUUAAAAUCUUACCAUCUUUUGAUUAUAGAUGUGACCGUAGUUCAAGGCGAUCACCAUUGGUCGCACGUUUUGAGUACUAACAUUUCUAAGUUUAGAAAAAAAAUUGUCUUGACAGUAUUAAGAUCCUCAAGCCAUGAAACACAAUGACUUAUUUCCUCGCAGUUUAGUUGAGCCCCGAGGUAGUAGUAGGUCCUGUCUACCAAGCGCCGGACAUGUUUGCUUGAACCGAAAUAAGCUGACAAUACACAUCAGUUGUCAACUAUUUUUGAAUAAACUGUACGAAAGACAUAAACGUAUAUAUGCAUGCAUGGUUGAGAAAAACUCACCAAAUGGUAGAACUGGAGGCGUUUGCACAUCGACCCAGAUGUCUAUAUUACCUUCAAUAUCAUCUUCCGGACGAAUAUCAAAGGUGAUAACCAUAUCAGGCUCAAAUGCAUAAGCCUUGCAUAGUGCUUGCCAAGUUUUGCAUUCAAAAUGGGUGUAUGUGCCUCCAUUAUAUAAUUUGACGUUGAAAGUAUACCCAUGCUCCGUCUUCAAGUAAACUCUCUUUACCUCCAUAUCAUCUAUAGCACUAAAACCUAUCUUAUAUAAUACAAAAAUUCUUGUAUGGCAGGGGAUGCGCUAGUAGAAUAGUGAAAAUUUAAAAUUAUAAGUUGAAGCAAAUGAAGCAUAAGUUUUGCAUUCAAAUAAUAAUUGACAAAGUGGCUUACUGUAUCAACUUCAAAUGUCUCAUCCAGCUUGAUGUUGAAGCGCCUACCAUCAACAAGGAAAUUUUGGUCGCACAGGCCGCGCUGGUCUUCACAGUGUUCGCACAUAAUAAAAUCUUUUUAGUUGUCAGAUGACAUUUCCUAUGUUCAUAUAGGUGAAACAUUAAACACCUAUAUCUAGCCAAAUAUAUAUUCAUCUAACAUUUGACAUUAAUAUAUCUAACUAUAUAUUCAAUUGACAUUACUAUAUAUUUAACUUUUCUAUCUAAUUCAUCUAACAUUCGACAUUAAUCUAACAUUUAUAUAAACUCAAAAUAUAUAAAAAAUUAAAUAAACAGAAAAACUCAUUAACAAAUAAUAUUUUAAUUAGAUCAUCAAAUCUCAUAUACCUAAAUUUUCUUACUAAAAAUAAACUAGUUAUAUUAAUUAUUCAACUAGUUCUAAUCUNNNNNNNNNNNNNNNNNNNNNNNNNNNNNNNNNNNNNNNNNNNNNNNNNNNNNNNNNNNNNNNNNNNNNNNNNNNNNNNNNNNNNNNNNNNNNNNNNNNNNNNNNNNNNNNNNNNNNNNNNNNNNNNNNNNNNNNNNNNNNNNNNNNNNNNNNNNNNNNNNNNNNNNNNNNNNNNNNNNNNNNNNNNNNNNNNNNNNNNNNNNNNNNNNNNNNNNNNNNNNNNNNNNNNNNNNNNNNNNNNNNNNNNNNNNNNNNNNNNNNNNNNNNNNNNNNNNNNNNNNNNNNNNNNNNNNNNNNNNNNNNNNNNNNNNNNNNNNNNNNNNNNNNNNNNNNNNNNNNNNNNNNNNNNNNNNNNNNNNNNNNNNNNNNNNNNNNNNNNNNNNNNNNNNNNNNNNNNNNNNNNNNNNNNNNNNNNNNNNNNNNNNNNNNNNNNNNNNNNNNNNNNNNNNNNNNNNNNNNNNNNNNNNNNNNNNNNNNNNNNNNNNNNNNNNNNNNNNNNNNNNNNNNNNNNNNNNNNNNNNNNNNNNNNNNNNNNNNNNNNNNNNNNNNNNNNNNNNNNNNNNNNNNNNNNNNNNNNNNNNNNNNNNNNNNNNNNNNNNNNNNNNNNNNNNNNNNNNNNNNNNNNNNNNNNNNNNNNNNNNNNNNNNNNNNNNNNNNNNNNNNNNNNNNNNNNNNNNNNNNNNNNNNNNNNNNNNNNNNNNNNNNNNNNNNNNNNNNNNNNNNNNNNNNNNNNNNNNNNNNNNNNNNNNNNNNNNNNNNNNNNNNNNNNNNNNNNNNNNNNNNNNNNNNNNNNNNNNNNNNNNNNNNNNNNNNNNNNNNNNNNNNNNNNNNNNNNNNNNNNNNNNNNNNNNNNNNNNNNNNNNNNNNNNNNNNNNNNNNNNNNNNNNNNNNNNNNNNNNNNNNNNNNNNNNNNNNNNCGGCGGCGGGGACAGCGACGAUGACGACGGACGACGGUACGGGCGACGGGCGGCGACGACGGGAUCGAGCGGUCCGCGCGGCGGAGGUGGGAGACGAAGUGGGGAGUUGAAACUGAAAUUUUCGUAAGUGCUAUAUAUAUAUAUAUAUAUAUAUAUAUAUAUAUAUAUAUAUAUAUAUAUAUAUGAUUGGCCUUUAGUACCGAAUCGUGGCUCCAACCGGUACUAAAGGCCUAUUUUCGCCAGGCCAAGCGGCGGGAAACGAAGGCUUUUAGUACCGGUUGGAGCCACCAACCGGUACUAAAGGGGGGCCUUUAGUACCGGUUGGAGCCACCAACCGGUACUAAAGGCCUUGCGCUGCCACCCCAAAAUUUAGUCCCACCUCGCCCGGCGAAGGGCAGCCGCACUGGUUUAUAAACCUAGCCGCGGCUACCUCUUCGAACUCCUCUAUAUAGCAGCCUUCUGGGCCUAAUUAAUUAGGGCGCGCUGCCAUGUGAGUCUGCUGGCCCUUCUGGGCCUGCAUUUGCACACCCUAGGUCUGGUAGACCCACAGGGCAGUGCGCCAACAAAUUUUUUAUAUAGUUUUAUCUUUUCUGCAUUACUUAUUUUCUUUUAUUUAUUUUUGAGUAGUUUUUUAUAUAGUUUUUGUUUUCUGCAUUAUUUAUUUUCUUCUAUUUAUUUUUGAGUAAUUUUUUUGUAUAGUUUUUUUAUUUUCUGCAUUACUUAUUUUUGCAUAGUCCGAAACCCUGAUACUCGGAAAGAGUUUGUCCAGUUUGUACACGAAGUGCGUCCAGUUUUUGCCGUGACCCUCUCUACUCUUUCGCGCAUGCUAUGCGGGUGAUACGAUGAUACCAUGCCAAGUUUCAACAUUUUCAGGAUUCAUUUUGUAGUGAUUUUCAAUUUCACGGUCAUUUAGCUCUCUAAACAAUUAGGUAAAUGACUGAAAAACAACAAAUGAUGUCAGAACAUGUUGAAAAUUGAUGACGUCGCUUUAAAUGCUGCAUACUGAACACAAAAGAAGUCCGGAGUACAAAUAAGUUUAAAAAACAUUGAAGUGGCCAUGUAACAGAUGAGUUCUCGUCCGAAACCCUGAUACUCGGAAAGAGUAUGUCCAUUUUGUACACGAAGUGCGUCCAGUUUUUGCCGUGACCCUCUCUACUCUUUCGCGCAUGCUAUGCGGGUGAUAUGAUGAUACCAUGCCAAGUUUCAGCAUUUUCAGGAUUCAUUUUGUAGUGAUUUUCAAUUUCACGGUCAUUUAGCUCUCUAAACAAUUAGGUAAAUGACCGAAAAACAACAAAUGAUGUCAGAAUAGACUGCACUGCACAUAGCUCAGUGUAGACUACACUGCACAUAGCUCAGUGCAAUCUAUGUUAUUCCGCAAGGCUUGAAGCUAAUCAACAUGUAGAUGAGCAUUGCAAUUCUUCGUCAUUGUCUGUGCACUCACGGCUUAUAAACCGCUCAUACUGCCUCUCUCUUGGCGAGGUGGGACUAAAAACAACUUGCCAUAACCUCAUCAAUUUCCUCUUGAAGCUUGUCCUUGCCUUUUUGCUUGUAUUCUUGUGGUGGAAGAUCAUCUUGAGCUUGUGUCCCCUUGAAGGAAGUAGGAUACUUCUCUUGUUGAGGAACAAACUUUGUCUUGGGGUAUUGAUCUUCUUCCCACUCAACUCCAUUGGCAUUGAACUUUCGUUCAAAACCAACACCUUGAUUCUUCCAGUGCCUUCCUUGCUUGCGCACAAUUUCCUCGAAUUGCUUACUCCCGGCAAGGCUUUUGUACAUUCCUUUCUCUAUAAUUCCCUUCAAUAAGCUAUUUUCUUGCUCAAGUGUAACUUGGCUAAGAGAAUCAUUAGUGGAAUCAAGAGAACUACUAGAAGCAACAAUGUUAGAUCUUAUGUCACAAAAAAGAAGUCGUAUCAAACCUUUUAUGUCGGAUCUAGAACAAACCAAUCGGUAUCGCCAUCAUACAGCCCUACCGUGGCUUGUGAUGCAUAUAUAUAUGCAUAUCAAAUGCACGGUUGGGCGUAUGAUGGCGAAUCCGAAUGAUUUGUAUUCAGUCGAUGAACUGGUAGAUGUAUGCAGUCGAUGAACUGGUAGAUGUAUGUAGUCGAUGAACUGAAAGACUUAUGCAGGGAAGGCGAGAGAUGGGCUAUAUAUAGGGUCGUCUGGCUCACAAAGUGAUUGUGGUAGUUUCGAUCCAACGACUCACAUGAGCUAGGAAGAAGCACACCCUUGAUCCAACGACUCGCAAGAGCUAUAAAGAAACACACGAUCCAUGUGAUUCUUCCUGAUUGGUGGGAUGCACAUUAGUAUCGGUUUGUGCCAUGAACUGGUGCUAAAGAUUGGCAAUGAACCGGUACUAAUGGUAGCAGCCCGCCUAGCCGUUGGAAUCGGCACUAAUGGUCACAUUUGUGCCGGCUCAAAUUCAAACCGGCACUAUAAUGUGCUUCACAUUUGACUGUUUUUCUACUAGUCAAUAGAGUUUGCCAAACUUGAGUUUCCCAAGUCACUUACACAAAAAGCUAUGAUUCAUGGUUGUCAAAUCCAUAAUUUACAAACCACAACAACCUUGAGGCAUAACAAGCUUUAAAUGCUGCAUACUGAACACAAAAGAAGUCCAGAGUUUAAAUAAGUUAUUAAAAAUAAAAAAGAGGUGCAAUGCUGGUUAAUUUGCUUCAAGCUAUUCGGAAUAGUGUAGAUUGCACUAAGCCACUGCACAUAGCUCAGUGCAAUCUAUGCUAUUCCGCAAGGCUUGAAGCUAAUCAACAUGUAGGUGAGCAUUGCAACUCUUCGUCAUUGUCUGUGCACUCACGGCUUAUAAACCGCUCAUACUACCUCUCUCUUGGCGAGGUGGGACUAAAAACAUCUUGCCAUAACCUCAUUAGUACUGGUUCAUGGUACGAACCGGCACUAAAUGGUGAUGGUGGGGCCAUAGCCUGACCGCAGGCUGACACAGCCUCUUUAGUACCGGUUCGUGGCAUGAACCGGUACUAAAGGUUCGCCACGAACCGGUACUAUUGAUCGCCGCCACGAACCGGCACUAAUGUACACAUUAGUGCCGGCUCUAAUUCAAACCGGCACUAAUGUGCUUCACAUUUGACCCUUUUUCUACUAGUGUAUGGCAUUUCCAUAGCCAUUCCGAGAUAUAUUGCCAUGCAACUUUCCAUCGUUCCAUUAUUAUGACACACUUCAUCAUUGUCAUAUUUGCUUGCAUGAUCAUGUAGUUGGCAUCGUAUUUGUGCAAAGCCACCAUUCAUAAUUCUUCAUACAUGUCACUCUUGAUUCACUGCAUAUCCCGGUACACCGCCGGAGGCAUUCACAUAGAGUCAUAUUUUGUUCUAAGUAUCGAGUUGUAAUUCUUGAGUUGUAAGUAAAUAAAAGUGUGAUGAUCAUCAUUAUUAGAGAAUUGUCCCAAGUGAGGAAAGGAUGGAGACUAUGAUUCCACAACAAGUCGGCAUGAGACUCCGGACGAAAAUAAAAAAAGAGGGAAAAAAGAGAAAGGCCAUAAAAAAGAAGGCCCAAAAAAUGAGAGAAAAAGAGAGAAGGGGCAAUGUUACUAUCCUUUUUCCACACUUGUGCUUCAAAGUAGCACCAUCAUCUUCAUGAUAGAGAGUCUCCUAUGAUAUCACUUUCAUAUACUAGUGGGAAUUUUUCAUUAUAGAACUUGGCUUGUAUAUUCCAAUGAUGGGCUUCCUCAAAUUGCCCUAGGUCUUCGUGAGCAAGCAAGUUGGAUGCACACCCACUUAGUUUCUUUUGUUGAGCUUUCAUACACUUAUAGCUCUAGUGCAUCCGUUGCAUGGCAAUCCCUACUCAAUCACAUUGAUAUCUAUUAAUGGGCAUCUCCAUAGCCCGUUGAUACGCCUGUUCUGGAGCUCCGCCAGAGGGGGCAUCGAUCACGGAGGGCUUCUACAUCAACAGCAUAGCCUCUCCGAUGAAGUGUGAGUAGUUGACCUCAGACCUACGGGUCCAUAGUUAUUACCUAGAUGGCUUCUUCUCUCUUUUUGGAUCUCAAUACAAUGUUCUCCCCCUCUCUUGUGGAGAACUAUUCGAUGUAAUCUUCUUUUUGCGGUGUGUUUAUUGAGAUCGAUGAAUUGUGGGUUUAUGAUCAAGUCUAUCUAUGAAUAAUAUUUGAAUCUUCUCUGAAUUCUUUUAUGUAUGAUUGUUUAUCUUUGCAAGUCUCCUCGAAUUAUCAGUUUGGUUUGGCCUACUAGAUUGAUCUUUCUUACAAUGGGAGAAGUGCUUAGCUUUGGGUUCAAUCUUGCGGUGUCCUUUCCCAGUGACAGCAGGGGCAGCAAGGCAUGUAUUGUAUUGUUGCUAUCGAGGACAACAAGAUGAGGUUUUCAUCAUAUUGCAUGAGUCUAUCCCUCUACAUCAUGUCAUCUAGCUUAAGGCGUUACUCUGUUUUUAACUUAAUACUCUAGAUGCAUGCUGGAUAGCGGUCGAUGAGUGGAGUAAUAGUAGUAGAUGCAGGCAGGAGUCGGUCUACUUGUCUCGGACGUGAUGCCUAUAUACAUGAUCAUACCUAGAUAUUCUCAUAAAUAUGCUCAAUUAUGUCAAUUGCUCAACAGUAAUUUGUUCACCCACCAUAGAAUUAUUAUGCUCUCGAGAGAAUCUACUAGUGAAACCUAUGGCCCCCGGGUCUAUCUUUAUCAUAUUAAUCUCCUACUACUUAGUUAUUUCCUUUGCUUUUUCCUUUGCCUUUAUUUUACUUUUCAUCUUUAUCACAAAAAUACCAAACAUAUUAUCUUUAUCAUAUCUAUCAGAUCUCACUCUCAUAAGUGGCCGUGUAGGGAUUGACAACCCCUAUUCGCGUUGGUUGCGAGGAUUUAUUUGUUUUGUGCAAGUACGAGGGACUCGCGCGUAGCCUCCUACUGGAUUGAUACCCUUGGUUCUCAAACUGAGGGAAAUACUUACGCUACUUUGCUACAUCAUCCCUUCCUCUUCGGGGAAAACCAACGCAGUGCUCAAGAGGUAGCAAGAAGGAUUUCUGGUGCCAAUGCCGGGGAGGUCUACGCAAAAGUCAACAUACCAAGUACCCGUCACAUACCCUUAUCUCCCGCAUUACAUUAUUUGCCAUUUGCCUCUCGUUUUCACCUCCCCCACUUCACCCUUGCCAUUUUAUUCGCCCUCUCUCUCUCUCUAUCCUCCCUCUCUUUCUCUAUUUGCCUCUUUUUUCCCGCUUGCUUUCUGUUUGCUUGUGUGUUAGUUGCUUGCUUGUCACGAUGGCUCAAGAUAAUACUAAAUUAUGUGACUUCACCAAUACCAACAACAAUCAUUUUAUUAGCACUCCGAUUGCUCCUCUUACCGAUGCUGAAUCUUGUGAAAUUAAUACUGCUUUGCUGAAUCUUGUCAUGAAAGAUCUGUUUUCCGGCCUUCCUAGUGAACAUGCCGGUACCCACCUAAAUAGAUUCAUUGAUUUGUGUGACAUGCAAAAAAAAGAAAGGUGUGGAUAAUGAUAUUGUUAAAUUGAAGCUAUUUCCUUUUUUGCUUAGAGAUCGUGCUAAAGCUUGGUUUUCGUCUUUGCCUAAAAAUAGUAUUGAUUCAUGGAAUAAGUGCAAAGAUGCUAUUAUCUCUAAGUAUUUUCCUCCUACUAAGAUCAUCUCUCUUAGAAACAAUAUUAUGAAUUUUAAGCAACUUGAUCAUGAACAUGUUGCACAAGCUUGGGAGAGAAUGAAACUAAUGGUACGUAAUUGCCCUGCCCAUGAUUUAAAUUUGUGGAUGAUUAUACAAAAAUGUUAUGCCGGAUUGAAUUUUGCUUCUAGAAAUCUUUUAGAUUCGGCCGCGGGAGGCACUUUUAUGGAAAUCACUUUAGAAGAAUCUACUAAACUCCUAGAUAAUAUUAUGGUUAAUUAUGCUCAACGGCAUAGUAAAAUAUCUAAUAAUAAAAAGGUGCAUGCGAUACAAGAAAUUAAUGUUUUGAGUGGAAAGAUGGAUGAACUUCUGAAAUUAUUUGCUAAUAAGAGUGUUUCUUCUGAUCCUAAUGAUAUACCCUUGUCUACUUUGAUUGAGAAUAGUAAUGAAUCUAUGGAUGUGGAUUUUGUUGGUAGGAACAAUUUUGGUAACAACGCGUAUAGAGGAAAUUUCAACCCUAGGCCUUAUCCUAGUAAUCUCUCUAAUAAUUAUGGUAAUUCCUACAACAAUUCUUAUGGAAAUUAUAAUAAGAUGCCCUCUAAUUUUGAAUCUAAUAUUAAAGAAUUUAUUACUUUGCAAAAGAAUUUCAAUACCUUGAUUGAAGAAGAACCGCUAGGAUGCGUGCUAAGAAAGAUGCCUUUAUAAGAGCGUGUUCUUCUAGUUCCUAUGAAAAUAAUGAUGAAGAUCUAAAAGUUAUUGAUGUGUUCCCUAUUAAAUCUUUGUUUUUCAACAUGGAUCUUGAUAAUGAUGGGAUUGAAUAUGAUCCACCUUUACCUAUAAGGCGUUCCAAGAAUUCAGAAUUUGUUGAUCUUGAUGCUAAAAUUGAUAAAGGUGGGAUUGAAGAAAUUAAAACCCUAGAUGUUGCUAAACCCACUAUUAUGGAUUUCAAGGAAUUUAACUAUGAAAAUUGCUCUUUUAUUGAUUGUAUAUCCUUUUUACAAUCCGUGCUAAAUUCUCCUCAUGCUUAUAGUCAAAAUAAAGCGUUUACUAAACAUAUCGUUGAUGCCUUGAUGCAAUCUUAUGAAGAAAAACUUGAAUUGGAAGUUUCUAUCCCUAGAAAGCUUUAUGAUGAGUGGGAACCAACUAUUAAAAUUAAAAUUAAAUAUCAUUAAUGCUAUGCUUUAUGUGAUUUGGGUGCUAGUGUUUCCACGAUUUCAAAGACUUUGUGUGAUUUGUUAGGUUUCCGUGAUUUUGAUGAUUGCUCUUUAAACUUGCGCCUUGUGGAUUCCACUAUUAAGAAACCUAUGGGAAGAAUUAAUGAUGUUCUUAUUGAUGCAAAUAGGAAUUAUGUGCCUGUAGAUUUUAUUGUUCUUGACAUAGAUUGCAAUCUUUCAUGUCCUAUUAUUCUUGGUAGACCUUUCCUUAGAACGAUUGGUGCAAUUAUUGAUAUGAAGGAAGGAAAUAUUAGAUUCCAAUUUCCAUUAAGGAAAGUCAUGGAACACUUUACUAGAAAGUAAAUUAAAUUACCUUAUGAAUCUAUUAUGAUAGCCACUUAUGGAUUGCCUACCAAAGAUGGCAAUACCUAGAUCUAUCCUUGCUUGUUAUGCCUAGCUAGGGGCGUUAAACGAUAGCGCUUGUUGGGAGGCAACGCAAUUUUGUUUUUAUUCCUUGAUUUUUGCUCCUGUUUAGUAAUAAAUAAUUUAUCUAGCCUCUGUUUUGGUUGUGUCCUUUGUGUUUAAUUAGUGUUGGUGCCAAGUAGAACCGUUAGGAAGACUUGGGGAAAGUCUUGUUACACUUGCUGUAAAAAACAGAAACUUCAGCGCUCACGAGAACUACUGCCAUUUUUAUUUGGAAAGUUCUAUUUAGUUAAUUAUUUCUGCAGAUGAUUAAUAGAUAAAUUCCUCACGUCCAGAAAUUUAUUUUAGAAUUUUUGGGGUUCCAGCUCUUGAGCUAGGUACAGAUUACUACAGACUGUUCUGUUUUUGAAAGAUUUUGUUUUUCAUGUGUUGUUUGCUUAUUUUGAUGAACCUAUGGCUAGUAAAAUAGUUGAUAGACCAUAGAUAAGUUGGAAUACAGUAGGUAUAACACCAAUAUAAAUAAAUAAUGAGUUCAUUAUAGUACCUUGAAGUGGUCUUUUAUUUUCUUUCGCUAACGGAGCUCACGAGAUUUUCUACUUUAAGUUUUGUGUUGUGAAGUUUUCGAGUUUUGGGUAAAGAUUUGAUGGUUUAUGGAACAAGGAGUGACAAGAGCCUAAGCUUGGGGAUGCCCAUGGCACCCCCAAGAUAAUCUAAGUACACCUAAAAGCCAAAGCUUGGGGAUGCCCCGGAAGUCAUCCCCUCUUUCGUCUACUUCUAUCGGUAACUUUACUUGGAGCUAUAUUUUUAUUCGCCACAUGAUAUGUGUUUUGCUUGGAGCAUCUUGUAUUAUUUGACUCUUUAUUUGUUAGUUUACCACAAUCAUCCUUCCUGUACACACCUUUUUUAGAAUACUCUAUGUGCUUCGCUUAUAUCUUUUGAGUUAUAUAGUUUUGCUCUAGUACUUCACUUAUAUCUUUUAGAGCACGGUGGUGGAUUUGUUUUAUAAAAACUAUUGAUCUCUCAUGCUUCACUUAGAUUAUUUUGAGAUGCUUAAUAGCAUGGUAAUUUGCUUAAAAUCCUAAUAUGCUAGGUAUUCAAAGUUAGUAUAAUUUUCUUAAGAGUGUUUUGAAUACUAAGAGAAGUUUGAUGCUUGAUGAUUGUUUUGAGAUAUGGAGGUAAUAAUAUCAAAGUCGUGCUAGUUGAGUAGUUGUGAAAUUGAGAAAUACUUGUGUUGAAAUUUGCAUGUCCCGUAGCAUGCACAUAUGGUAAACGUUGUGUAACAAAUUUGAAACAUCAGGUGUUAUUUGAUUGUCUUCCUUAUGAGUGGCGGUCGGGGACGAGCGAUGGUCUUUUCCUACCAAUCUAUCCCCCUAGGAGCAUGCGCGUAGUACCGAGGUUUUUGAUCACUUGUAGAUUUUUGCAAUAAGUAUGUGAGUUCUUUAUGACUAAUGUUGAGUCCAUGAAUUAUACGCACUCUCACCCUUCCAUCCUUGCUAGCCUCUUCGGUACCGUGCAUUGCCCUUUCCCACAUUGAGUGUUGGAGCAAACUUCGCCGGUGCAUCCAAACCCCGUGAUAUGAUACGCUCUUUCACACAUAAACCUCCUUAUAUCUUCCUCAAAACAGCCACCAUACCUACCUAUUAUGGCAUUUCCAUAGCCAUUCCGACAUAUAUUGCCAUGCAACUUUCCACCAUUCCGUUCAUCAUGACACAUUCAUCAUUGUCAUAUUGCUUAGCAUAAUCAUGUUGUUGACAUAGUAUUUGUGGCAAGGCCACUGUUCAUAAUUCUUUCAUACAUGUCACUCUUGGUCCAUUGCAUAUCCCGGUACACCGCUGGAGGCAUUCAUAUAGAGUCAUACUUUGUUCUAGUAUCGAGUAGUAAUUAUUGAGUUGUAAAUAAAUAGAAGUGUGAUGAUCAUCAUUAAUAGAGCAUGGUCCCAAAGAGAGAAAAAAGGAAGGGCCAAAAAAGGCCAAAUAAAAAAUAUAAAAAAGGGGGGCAAUGCUACUAUCCUUUUUUCCACACUUGUGAUUCAAAGUAGCACUGUAAUCUUCAUGAUAGAGAGUAUCUUGAUUUGUCACUUUCAUAUACUAGUGGGAAUUUUUCAUUAUAGAACUUGGCUUGUAUAUUCCAACAAUGGGCCUCCUUAAGUGCCCUAGGUCUUCGUGAGCAAGCAAGUUGGAUGCACACCCACUUAGUUUCUUUUGUUGAGCUUUCAUACAUUUAUAGCUCUAGUGCAUCCGUUGCAUGGCAAUCCCUACUCCUUGCAUUAACAUCAAUCGAUGGGCAUCUCCAUAGCCCAUUGAUUAGCCUCGUUGAUGUGAGACUUUCUCCUUUUUGUCUUCUCCACAUAACUCCACUCAUUAUAUUCUAUUCCACCCAUAGUGUUAUGUCCAUGGCUUGCAAUCAUAUAUUGCGUGGAAGUUUAUAGGUUUGAGAUCACUAAAGUAUGAAACAAUUGCUUAGCUUGUCAUCGGGGUUGUGCAUGAUGAGAGCGUUGUUGUGUGACAAAAAUGAAGCAUGACUAAACUAUAUGAUUUUGUAGGGAUGAACUUUCUUUGGCCAUGUUAUUUUGAGAAGACAUAAUUGCUCAGUUAGUAUGCUUGAAGUAUUAUUAUUUUUAUGUCAAUAUGAACUUUUGUCUUGAAUCUUUCGGAUCUGAAUAUUCAUAUCACAAUUAAGAAGAAUUACAUUAAAAUCAUGCUAAGUAGCACUCUGCAUCAAAAAUUCUGUUUUUAUCAUUUACCUACUCGAGGACGAGCAGGAAUUAAGCUUGGGGAUGCUUGAUACGUCUCCAACGUAUCUAUAAUUUUUGAUUGCUCCAUGCUAUAUUAUCUACUGUUUUGGACAAUAUUGGGCUUUAUUAUCCACUUUUAUAUUAUUUUUGGGACUAACCUAUUAACCGGAGGCCCAGCCCAGGAUUGCUGUUUUUUGCCUAUUUUAGGGUUUCGAAGAAAAGGAAUAUCAAACGGAGUCCAAACGGAAUGAAACCUUCGGGAACGUGAUUUUCUCAACGAACAAGACCCAGGAGACUUGGACCCUCCGUCAAGACACAAAAGAGGAGGCCACGAGGUAGGGGGCGUGCCUACCCCCCGGGCGCGCCCUCCACCCUCGUGGGCCCCCUGUUGCUCCACCGACGUACUCCUUCCUCCUAUAUAUACCUACGUACCCCCAAAUGAUCAUAUACGGAGCCAAAACCCUAAUUACACCGCCGCAACAUUUUGUAUCCACGAGAUCCCAUCUUGGCGCCUGUUCCGGAGCUCCGCCGGAGGGGGCAUCGAUCAUGGAGGGCUUCUACAUCAACACCAUAGCCUCUCCGAUGAAGUGUGAGUAGUUGACCUCAGACCUACGGGUCCAUAGUUAUUACCUAGAUGGCUUCUUCUCUCUUUUUGGAUCUCAAUACAAUGUGCUCCCCCUCUCUUGUGGAGAACUAUUCGAUGUAAUCUUCUUUUUGUGGUGUGUUUGUUGAGACCGAUGAAUUUUGGGUUUAUGAUCAAGUCUAUCUAUGAAUAAUAUUUGAAUCUUCUCUGAAUUCUUUUAUGUAUGAUUGGUUAUCUUUGCAAGUCUCUUCGAAUUACCCGUUUGGUUUGGCCUACUAGAUUGAUCUUUCUUGCAAUGGGAGAAGUGCUUAGCUUUGGGUUCAAUCUUGCGGUGUCCUUUCCCAGUGACAGUAGGGGCAGCAAGGUACGUAUUGUAUUGUUGCCAUCGAGGACAACAAGAUGGGGUUUUCAUCAUAUUUUAUGAGUCUAUCCCUCUACAUCAUGUCAUCUUACUUAAGGCAUUAAUCUGUUUUUAACUUAAUACUCUAGAUGCAUGCUGGAUAGCGGUCGAUGAGUGGAGUAAUAGUAGUAGAUGCAGGCAGGAGUCGGUCUACUUGUCUCGGACGUGAUGCCUAUAUACAUGAUCAUACCUAGAUAAUCUCAUAACUAUGCUCAGUUCUGUCAAUUGCUCAAUAGUAAUUUGUUCACCCACCGUAGAAUACUUAUGCUCUUGAGAGAAGCCACUAGUGAAACCUAUGGCCCCCGGGUCUAUCUUUAUCAUAUUAAUCUCCUACUACUUAGUUAUUUCCUUUGCUUUUUUACUUUGCCUUUAUUUUACUUUGCAUCUUUAUCACAAAAAUAAAAAUAUCUUUAUCAUAUCUAUCAAAUCUCACUCUCGUAAGUGGCCGUGUAGGGAUUGACAACCCCUAUUCACGUUGGUUGCGAGGAUUUAUUUGUUUUGUGCAGGUACGAGGGACUGGCGCAUAGCCUCCUACUGGAUUGAUACCUUGGUUCUCAAAACCUAAGGGAAAUACUUACGCUACAUUGCUGCAUCAUCCCUCACUCUUCGGGGAAAACCAACGCAGUGCGCAAGAGGUAGCAAGGGUUCCUUUUUGUCGACGAUCUGAUGUUUCAACCUUGUUUUCCAGGCGGCCAACGCAUCGCUCAACUUGGUCAUGGCGUGUUUGUUUAUCUUCGUCAUUGCCAGGUCCUUAUCUGGAUCUUUAUUAUCCUUUUCAUUACGGUCCGGGAACAAGAAUAUCUGGUGCAGCUUCUUUAGGAGGGAGGGCCUCUGGUGCAGCUUCUAUAGUUUCCCAUCGUUGAUCAUGGCAGUUGUCCGUACAAUGCAACCUAUUUGAUUGCCGUAGCACGAUUGCGCUUCCUCGGGUGCUAUUGUCUCAAAAAUACCGUCGUCCAUCUCCGUGACCACCAGUCUAGUACUCAUGAGCUGGUUUAGGCGUCGUGGCCUCUUUGCUUUCGGUUCUAGACUAACUCCGCUAGUCUCGGCGCUGGUCUCAGUCUCAUCGCCGGUCUGCAUGUCGGUAUCAGUCCCUGAUGCGACAACACAGUCGCUGCAACAUGGGUAAGGGAGACCACAUCAGUGCUGGGGGGUCCGAAAAUCGGGACACACUUUCGCGCGUCGCGGGCCGCCUCUCAGACAGCUACUGGGGAGGCGGCGGAGUACCUGGGUGCGCCGCGAAUCCCCGGGAACUCGGUGACCAACUUCCUUCCCGUGUGGCGCAUGGAGACGACAGCGACCCCGGCGAAGAGUAGCUUAGCCGCGAGCUGCACAGCCUCGUCCACCUCCUAAGUUGGGACCUCCGCGCAAGCGUUGCGGGGCCGCCGCUCGGGUGGCUUCUGGAAGGCGGUUGUACAUGGGCACAGGGUGAAUCCCGACUAGAGCUGGCCAUUGGCGCGCGCAAGUAGACGACGACGUCCCCGACGAAGAGCUGCCCGGCCAGCUCGCCUCACUCUCCUUUGAUUAGAAAUGAAAGAUUGGGAAGAAGCAGACUUGAGCCUGCAGAGAAAGGAUAAGGUGACGAUGCAGUCUCCACUCGUUCGGGGCGACACGCGUACUGAAUGUAUGAGAAACGUGACGUGGCAGAGACCCCAAGAUACUCCCUCCAUUUAUUUUUAGUCUGCAUAUAAAGUUUGGUCAAAGUCAAGAUUUGUAAAUUUUAACUAACUUUAUAAUAAAAAAAUAUCAAUAUUCACAAUAUGAAAUCAAUAUUACCAGAUGCGUCAUGAAAUGUAUUUCCAUACUAUAAAGUUUUGGUAUUGUAGAGGCACUCUUCCAUAUAAUGAAGUUUAUAAUAUAUGUGCUUAUAUUGUACUACAAUUGUUUGAAUAGCUUAGCAUAUGUUCAGAUGUAUGAUAUCUGUAAUUUAAGCGCUUGAAUUUUACAUAUAAAUAUUUAUUAAUAAAUAUGUACCCCUAUAAUAGCUAGGCCGUGCAGUUGCACGGGUAGAUGACUAGUGAUUACAAUCUUGUUUGUGUGCAAGUCAAGCUUAUCUAGUUUACACGUAACAACUUGUAGAACAUUACAAAAUUUAUGCUUGCUAAUAACUUCUAGAACACUACAACACUUGACAUGUAAAAGGAAUUUGACGAGUCAUGGCCUACUAAAGCAAGUUACAUUACUAGUCUUAUCUAUCUUAACAGACCACACAAGAUUACAAACUAAGUACCGUGACAGCCAUACUUAUCUAGUUUAUGCGUAACAAUUUGCAGAAAAUUAGAAACUUAGUUUCAGAAAAAUACGCAAUCUAGAUUAGUGUUUGAGCUGUAAAGUGAAUAAGAUGAGUCAUGCAUGUUAUCACACCUUUUUGGUGGUGGAAUGAUAGUGCAACAACAAGGAACUUUAAUGACCAGUCCAAGAAUACACUUGUAAGUAGUGCCACCAAACAGAACAUUCCAAAUGAUGAUUUUUAGAAGCAUCCAAGCACUUUCCACACAAACAAAUGCCAAUUGUGAAAGAGAUCAUUCCAUGGCAGCUAUAAAUAGCCCCAUAGCAUGACGAUCAUCCUUCCUCAUCCAUCAUUCUCAUUAGUAGAGCGCAUCAUUUAAGCCAAGCAAGCUGUGGUCAAUACAAAUCCACCAUGAAGACCUUUCUCAUCCUUGCCCUCCUUGCUAUCGUGGCGACCACCGCCACAACUGCAGUUAGAGUUCCAGUGCCACAAUUGCAGCCACAAAAUCCAUCUCAGCAACAGCCACAAGAGCAAGUUCCAUUGGUACAACAACAACAAUUUCUAGGGCAGCAACAACCAUUUCCACCACAACAACCAUAUCCACAGCCGCAACCAUUUCCAUCACAACAACCAUAUCUGCAGCUGCAACCAUUUCCGCAGCCGCAACUACCAUAUUCGCAGCCACAACCAUUUCGACCACAACAACCAUAUCCACAACCGCAACCACAGUAUUCGCAACCACAAGAACCAAUUUCACAGCAGCAGCAACAACAACAACAACAACAACAAAUCCUUCAACAAAUUUUGCAACAACAACUGAUUCCAUGCAUGGAUGUUGUAUUGCAGCAACACAACAUAGCGCAUGGAAGAUCACAAGUUUUGCAACAAAGUACUUACCAGCUAUUGCAAGAAUUGUGUUGUCAGCACCUAUGGCAGAUCCCUGAGCAGUCGCAGUGCCAGGCCAUCCAAAAUGUUGUUCAUGCUAUUAUUCUGCAUCAACAACAAAAACAACAACAACAACCAUCGAGCCAGGUCUCCUUCCAACAGCCUCUGCAACAAUAUCCAUUAGGCCAGGGCUCCUUCCGGCCAUCUCAGCAAAACCCACAGGACCAGGGCUCUGUCCAGCCUCAACAACUGCCCCAGUUCGAGGAAAUAAGGAACCUAGCGCUACAGACGCUACCUGCAAUGUGCAAUGUCUACAUCCCUCCAUAUUGCACCAUCGCGCCAUUUGGCAUCUUCGGUACUAACUGAGAAGAAAAUAACUCUAGUACUAGAUAUAUGAAACACCGUUUUCUCAGUCCAUGGUUUGGUCAUUGUAGCGUUGAAAAAAUAAUGUGACAUGCA